rnacentral:lncRNA from 1 species
CUAUCAUCUUGACCAAUCUAGCCAUGUACCAAAAAGUCAAUUUUGCCAAGUUUAAAAAGUUUGCUUUAAGCCUGUUCAUCAUAGUUGACAGAAGUUGGAAUUACAAUGAAAUAUCUAGGAGAAAAUGUCCGCAGGAGCAGAGAGAGAGAGUGAAGGCAAUACAUUCAGUCAUGAAUUUGAUGCAAAUCCCAAAGUACAUAAUUGUGUCGAAUACUCUCACCAUGAUUGUCGAUCUCUCGGAUCAGACGAUUACUAUGUUUGCCAAAAAUGCCUGGGCCGUAUGUGGAAUAAAUCAAUUUCACAAGGAGGGGAAACUGCCAAAUUCCGUACAAGGUCACUGGCAAACAGGUUAAUGCAGCCAAGGUAAUAAGAAUCCAAGCCUUCUUUUCACCAAAGUGAAGAUAGAUUGCGCUACUGUAGGCUAUCAUCAUGAAUGUUACGGAGAGGAAUAGAGUAACAAGGCCAAAUAUCAACCUCCUGGGAAGGACAAAAAGAAAAUCAUCUUCAGCAUAUCGUGCCGUGAGAAUGGAUAGGAAUAUCAGCACCGAAGCAAUGGAUAGGAAGAGGGAAAGAGCAUCCGAAACUGCAAAAAAUUUGAAGGUAUAUUCUUCGGAGAAAUUUGGUAUGCCAGUAUCAUCAUGGUUGCCACCCGGGAUGGAAAUUGCUGCUGCAAACACUACAGUAGCAAUAAGCGCUGCUGCCAAUGUGUAAGAUUUUGCUGUGCCUUUCAUCCAUUUCUCUCCUUCUUUUAUCAACUCUUUAUGUUCCUUUAUAAAUACCAUUUUUGGUGUCUCUUGUUCAUCGUUCUCAAAUUCCCUGAAGGCUUCCGGUGCAUAUUUUUCGAUUUCCUGUGUAAAAAUCAAAAUGUUUCUAAGACACAGAAAAAGAGUGGACAUGUAUAAGAAAAUUAAUUCCCCUUCAAAACAAAAAUUAUUACCUGAAACCAAUGUAACUCACGUUGCAUUUGUAGAGCUGCACCAGAAACGAGACUGAGCCGGUGUGGAGGGGCCAAUUUUCCAGCCAAAUGCAAGAUAUUGUUAUUUGAAUCACCUCUGAUUCGUAUUAUAAAUUGUCUAUGCAUACCGAUUUCGCAGAUGAGGUUGAAAAUCUUUUCAUAACGAUUUAAUAUUGCCAAUUUGAAUACUUCCUCAUCCAGAUACUGAAGUGCAGAAGGAUAUAACUUUAGAAUGUUUUCCAGAAUUUCGGGAAUUCCAUAUUUUGCCCCAUUAAUGAAUGAUUGGCUGAAUAUUUCCUUUGCUCUUGGUACUUCCAAAUCUUCAACUUUAGUACAUAGGUGGUUAAGCAAUUGAAGAGUCUGAGAAUGCAUUGUUUUUGUUUCUUGGAUUUGCUUGAUGGGUGGUACUGCAAUUAAACUUAUAUUAAGGACAACAUAUCAUUGCAUUCAAGACUUUUGCAUGCUUUAGUGGAAGUUUUGUUGUGUCCCUUACCUAACCGUCCAACCAGUUCACAGAAUAUUGCAUUCGCCUUUUGGCAAGCUGUGUGCAGGAUAAAAUUGAAGCAGUUCAGAUGCAAAAGCAGGAAUAACAGAAAAAAAAAAAAGAAAAAAAAAGAAAGAAACAAUCCUGAACAAAGUACCAAUUAAACACUAAUCUAAAUUAAAGUGAUUGUGAGUAGUAGUUGCCAACUCAUAUUGGUUGGUGUAGAGUUUGUGUUUUCUGGCUAUCAUUAAGUUAAUUAAAUAUACGAUGCCAGUUUGCUUGAAUAAAUUAAGUUUCAAGAUUCACACCCUUGAAUUACUUAUGGCCAAUCUGAUAUUCAUCUUCACAUGUACAUGAAUUUGGGGUUUGUUAUGGAAAAAUGAGAAUAGGCAACAAGAAAAAUAAGAACACAUAGAUUUAUGCGAAAAAUCCUAGAUGGGAAAAACCACGGGCAGAGGAGAAAGAUAAUCCAUUAUGUCAAAAAUUGGUACAAAAAGGGGAGUGUAUCAAGUGGCUACUAUAUAUAUCCUUGAAAACCUAUACACCAUUAAAAAUAUAUACAUAUAUGGGAGAGAAAAAAAUAAAUAAAGCAGGAAAAUCCAUAAUUUUUCUUCACCAUAUAUGUUACACCGCAAACUUUUUGGGUUGGACCAAAAAAGGAAAUCGGGUCACCAAGCUCUAACAAUCUCCACCUUGACAUAAAUUCUAAUGUAAGGAAUGAAAAAACAAACUCCAAUCUUCAACCAAAACUCUUCACCUCUUCCACAAACCCUAAAGGGCAACUCAAUAACGAAUACUAACCAAGUCCAAGCAAUGCUCAAACUUUGCUAUAGAGAGUGUCUUGGUUAUCAUAUCAACAGGAUUAUCAUGGUUGCUAACUUUGCCCAUAACAAAGCAAUGAUAUCACGCACAAAAUGAUACCUCACAUCAAUGUGCUUUGUCCUAUCAUUAAACAUUCGAUCUUUUGUGAGGAAAAUAGCACUCUAACUAUGACAAAAAACUGUGGUAAUCUGUAAGUUGUCACUAAGUUCACCAAAUAGUUUCCUUUCAAGCCUUUGUAAUAGCCAUGUACUAAGCCUCUAGUAAACAAAGCAACUGUAAUCUACAAAGUAGCUUUCCAACUAAUAGCACAACUACCAAUAGUAAAAACAUACCUUAUAAGAGAUCUUUUAUCAAGGUCACUUGCAAAAUCAGAAUCGACAUACCCAACAGCUCCAUCUCUAACUCUCCCAAAAUGCAAACAAACAUCAGUAAAGCCACACAAGUAUCUGAACAUCCAGUGAACUACUUUCCAAUGUUCUUUACCAGGAUUUGUCAUGUAUCUACUAACUACACUAACUGCAUAUGAUAAAUAUGAAUGUGAACAAACUCUUAUACUGCUGUCUAGGUGACUUUUUUAAGCCAUAGAGAGAGACUUUUUCAACAAACACACUUAGUCUUUCUUUCCUGAAACUAUAAAACCCUUAGGCUACUGCAUGUAGAUGUCCUCCUUAAGUUCCCCAUGUAAGAAUGUUGUCUUCACAUCCAACUGCUCAAGCCCAAAAUCAUACAUGGUCAUAAUAUCAAGCAAAGCUCGAAUCAAACUAUGCUUUACAUUUGGAGAAAACACAUUAGUGAAGUCUAUACUCGAAAUCUAAUCGUAGCCCUUUACAACUAAUCUCGCUUUAUACCUAGCUUCUUCAACUCUUGGUAUUCCUCCUUUCCUCUUCAACACUCAUUUGCAAUUAAAAAUCUUUUUACCCUUAUUUAGUCUCACUAAGUCCCAUGUGCCAUUUUUAUGAAGUGACCCCAUCUCCUCCUACAUGACAAUCAUCCAUCUAUUAGAAACAUCACAAUUAACUGCCUUUGAGUAGGUAGAAGGUUUUGCACUAGAAUCAAUACCUUUGGCCACAUUUAAGGCAUAAGCAACCUAAUUAGCCUCAAUAUACCUCUGUGGAGGUUUAAUAUCUCUUCUAGUCCUAUCUUUAGCAAUAGAUUAUUGUGGUGAUGGUUGUGGUGGUGAGAGAGCAGCAACACCACUCUUCAUCCCUGAACUAGACUAAGAUGUAGAAUCUAGUAUGGAUCCUAAUUCAAUCUAAAACUCCACCUGUGUGCUUGAUUUCUGUUGCUUUUUUUUUUUUCAUAAGAAUCUCUAAAAGAUAAGUCACAAAGCAUAGCAGUUUCCUAAAAAAUAUCUUUAUUGAUUAUGACUUUAUUUGUUUUUGGACACCAUAACUUAUAUCCUUUAACACUAGACUUGUAGCCAAGGAAGAUAGAUUUUAUAAAUCUAGGUUCCAAUUUUCCAUUAUCAACAUGAGCAUAGGUAGGACAUCCAAAUAUCUUCAAAUUUGAGUAAUUAGCAGAAGUACUAGACCAUACCUCUUAUGGAGUCUUUUUGUCAAUAGCAGUUGAAGAAGAGCAAUUAAUGAGAAAACAAUCAAUAGUGGUAGCUUCAACCCAAAAAGAUUUAGGUAAACCAACAUUGGAGAGAAUACAACAUACUUUCUCCAUCAAAGUCCUAUUCAUUUGCUCUACCACACUAUUUGAUGUAGAGUAUGACAAACUGUGUGAUGCCUCACAAUUCCUUCUAACUUGCGUAGAGCAUUUAAUUCAUCAUAACAAAACUCCAAGCCAUUAUUAGUGCAGAGAUGUUUUACCUACUUCUCUAUCUACUUCUCAAUCAUAAUCUUCCAGUCCUUGAAUGUAGCUAGCACAUCACUCUUUUGCUUCAAGAAAAACACCCAAAAUUUUCUAGAAAAAUCAUUAAUGAUAGUCAACAUAUAACUAUAACCUCCCUUAAAAGGCACCCUAGAUGGUCCCUAAAGAUCAUAAUAUAUAUAACCAAGUGUCCCUUUUGUCUUGUGAAUGCUUUUUAUGGAUUUAACUCUCCUCUGCUUCCCAAAAAAGCAAUGCUCAUAGAACUUCAGUUUACUAAUACUUUGCCCAUUAAAAAUUCCUUUUAUACUCAGUUCAACCAUCCUAUUCUCACUUAUAUGCCCAAGAUGCAUAUGGCAAAGUCUAAUAACAUCACCAUCUGACAAUGAAAGAGUUGCAACAGUUGCAUCACCUGUAACUAUAAGACCUUGCAAGACAUAUAAUUUGGAAGACCUUUUCUACCCUUUCAUCAUAACAAGAACACUUUUGCUAACCUUCAAGACUCCACCCUCACCAAUUUACUUGUACCUUUUUGAAUCAAGAGUACUCAACGAGAUAAGAUUCCUCUUUAGAUCUAGGACGUGUCUCACAUCACCAAGUGUCUUAACAAGCAUAUCAAACUUUUUAAUUUUGAUCAUUCCAAUACUAGCUAUCUUAUAAGAUGCAUCAUUUCUCAUCUACAUAACACAUUUGGACAUUGUUUCAUAUGUUGAAAAAUAGUCCCGAUUGGGACACAUGAAAUGUGCAAUCGGAAUCAAGAAUCAAAUCUUUGUAAGGUUUGGAGUCGCUAUAAAAAAAAACUAGGAGUUUUCCAUCACUAUACUCAUCUUCUACAACACUGGCUUCACCAGAUUUUUCUAGUUGUUUUCCCUUCUGAUUUACAGCAACUUUCUUAUUCUUAUUCUGCAAUUUAUAGCAUUCAGAUUUGAUGUGCCCCUUUUUCUUAUAGUAUCUAUAGGUUUUUUGUCUUUAUUACUACAUUUCAAUAUGCCCCUCGCAUCACCACCAAAAUUCCUCUCCUAUAUCCUCUCUCAAACAACAAGGUCCUCUACCUGAGCCUUAGAUCCAAUCACAAGCUACUUCAUCUUUUCCUUAGAAUAUAAAGCAUAAAAAACUUUCUCCAGUAAGAGUGUCACGAUUAUACAAAAUAGUAUCUCUAAAAGUCGUAUAUAAAGAGGGCAACAAACAUAAUAAAAUCAACCCUAAAUCUUCUUCAUCAUACUAAACCUCCAUGGUCUCUACAUCAAAAACAAUUUCUUUAGAGACGGUUAAGUGAUCUUCUAAAUACAUACCUUCUGUUAUACGAUGAGAAUACAGUCACUAUUUUAGAUGUAACUUGCUAGUUAGACUUUUCAUCAUGCACAAGAAAUUUUUUCUUUCAGAAUGUCCUAUAAAAUUUGAUUUGACAUAUGAAGAUGAAUUUGAGAUAGGGCCUUUUGAUCAUUACGUUGUUUUUUCUCCGGUGUCCACGAUGAGGGCAUCUUGUCAAACCCUAAUAGGAUUAUACCAAAAAAAGAAAUCGAGUUACCAAACUCUAACAAGAUUCAAUAGGUUUCAUAUAUUUCCCUUAAACCAUACACUUGAAUUUAAAGGCUAUAAUCAAGAAACCUAAUGAAAUUUGGUACAAACUCAAUCACUUGACCUCUUUUUAAUUAACUAGGAGCAUUAGGUGACAAAAUAUUCACAAAAUCUAUCAAAACAAUGCAAAUUGUGUAUCCUGCAUAAUUCUUUGAGUAGUAAAGUAAUAUCCAUUGAAAUUUGAUCAUAGAGCUGAUAUUAAAUCAAUUACUUGAACUUAAAGGAAAAAAAUGAAGAGAAUUUUGUGAGGACAAACUAAAGUUGUGAGGAUUAAUCAAAAUAAAAAGUUGAAUUCAACAAAUUGGCAUUUCUCUAAUGGGUGCAAUUUGGCAAAUUAGUUUAACCUAACUCGAAUCUCGAUGAAGUUAAGAAAACAUUUUUAGUACUCAAGUUAAGAUUUGGUUGACUUUCUUAACCAAAAAUUAAUUUGGGUUGACCUCAAUUUUGGGCUUAGUUCAAACCAAUGCUUCAAGAAUCUAAGCCUAAUUAAACUCCAUUUAAUAUUUUAUAAUAUUUAUAGAAUGUAUUACUAUAUAAUAAUAUCAAUUUUUUUUCUAGAAUAAGUUCAAGGGAAAAAACAUCAAAAUAUAUUAAGCUAACUCUUAAAAAUUUGCCUACUCUUUGUGAACACUAUUUGGAAGGAAAAUUAAUAAGGAAGCCUCUUAAGAAAGCCCCAAAGGUAUAUCGUCCUUUUAGCCAAGGCAUUCUAAAGUACAAGGCCUAAUGAACAUGAGAGCUAAGCAUGGUGCCUACUACUUCAUCACAUUUAUAGACAAUUAUGUCUACAAGUCCAAAGAAUUACUCUAGUUUAGAUGUUAUAUGAAUAUUGUAGAAAACUGAAAAGAAAAAACUAUUAAAGCAUUAAGGAUAAAUCAUGGACAUGAGUAUCUAUUAAAGAUUUUUUAAAAUCUCUAUGAUGAAAAGGAAAUCCAAAGACAAUCAAUAGCUUCAAGGACUCGAUAGUAAAUUGGUUGAAUUGAAAAAAGUAACCAUAAACUUUUGGAUAUGGUUUACUUAAAAUGACAUAAGCCAACUUUCUAAUAUCCUUGGGGAGGAAGGGUUACUGUUUUGAUUGUAACUUAAAACUUGAAUAGAGUACCCUCAAAAUCAAUUACUUCAAACCCAUAUAGUUGUGAAAAAAAAGAAGUAAAAAACUAAACCUAACUCACUUGUGAUCCUAAGGCUUAGUAGGUUCAAUUCAUGUAAAUUCUCAUAUAUAUUGUGCUAUAAAGGAAACAAGUAAAUUUUCAUUAGAUAUUCUAAUAAAUCAAAGGUUGUGUGAUGCUUAAUGUACAACUCACGAGAGUAUAAUUGAAGUUAAGUCAUAUGAAGUUAGUUUCUUAUAGGAUGAUAUUUCGAGUAGAGGAGCAUUAAACAAGAGUCUUAAUUUAUUUAAGGCAAUUAAACCAAAGGAAAAUACUGUGAUAUCCCACAUCGAAUAUAGGAAAAAGUUCUUGACAUUAUAUAUGUAUGAGCUCCUCUUAAUUAUUUAGACACAUUUUAACAUUGUGAGGGCUCUUUAAACCCAAAGCAGAUAGAAUAUAUUUACAUAGUUGGGAGUGGGUCGUUAAAAAUGAUAUUAGAGUAUAUUCUCAACCCCAAUGUGGGAGUUUGUUUAGCCUCACAACGGAUAUUUGUUUGUUUGGUCUUGCAAUCCUAUGAGACAUAAUAAGUAUGUUAUGUCUCUCUGGGGGUGAUUGUGAUAUCCCACAUUGAAUAGGGGAAAAAGUUCUUAGCAUUAUGUAUGGACUCCUCUUAACCAUGCAAGUGUGUUUUAAAUCUAUAAGGACCCUUUAAGCUUAGAGUAAACAAUAUUUACAUGAUUAGAGUGAGUUGUUAUAGAUGUUGAAGAUCUUGCUAAGGAUAUGAGUGACUCGACAAUUUUCAAGACUAUAAUUUUAAGUAGUAGCCUACCACCUACUUAUGCCACCAAGUGGGAUUUUACCAUUACAUAUUAUUCACUAGAUUUAGAUGUUUGUGUAGAAAACUUGGAACUAUCCCAUCAUUGUCAUUGUGGGCAUUAGGGUGAAGCUUUCAUGUUUGCUUCAUAAGAUCAUGAUGUUGGGAUAGAGCUUUAAAAAGUAUGAUAUGAUGUAACCAUAAAUGGAGUUCAUUAAUACUUAUAUUAUGACUUCGAUUUUCUAUUCCCUAUCCUGUUCAUGAAUUAUGUAUAUUGAGCAUUUAAACCUACAUCACUUGCAUAGUACAUGGGUGAAUUAGGAGUUGCAUAGAAGAUCCCAAUCAUAGGUUCCUUGCAAGUUAAUAACUCAUUCACCAUUGGUUCAUGGACCUAGGUAAUCCAUCUGAGGUUAUAGUGCAUUAUCUCCUAAUUAGAGAGAUGACUUACCUUGGUCAUUAGGAUGGGUUUUCCAUGAUGAGAAACUAGUGUGUUUAGUUAUGCUGGGAAACCUAGAUCUUUUCAUUCCCAUAACCCUUGAUUGUAUAGGUGCAUGCAAAAUACCCUAGGCCUCUAGAUAUUAUUCAACGUGAGAAAAAAUCAAUUUUUUAAUAUUCUAGAACCUAGAGAAAAGUCAUUAGAAAACUUUAUCUUUGAUUUGGACAGUUCUCAAAUCAAUUUUGCUUAGUGAAGAUGAAGCUUAAAGACUCCAGAGGUCUCGUACACCUAAGAUCUUUCACCCAAUGACUCAAUCCACAAUCUUGCCACUCCAUGGUGUGGGCUUUAAAAGGGUAGAAUCCUAGGCUCACUUUCUUUUUCUAAAGAUAGAAGAUGAUUGAUCUUAAAAAGCAAUGAAAACCCUAAUCCUUAAGGGGUAUUUAUAGGGUUCUCCUACUAGACUUAAGUGACUUGAGCCCACCAAGACUUAGGUCACUUAAUCAAGCUCAAAAUUGGUCUUAAUUGAUUAAUUAAGCAUAUAAGGUCAUCUAAUUAAUCAAUUAGCCCAAUCCAAAGACCUUGUUUAUUAUCCCUUGUGUAACCUUUCAUAAUUACCAAAAUACCCUUAUACAUAAGAGUGAACUUAGAGUCAAUCCAACCCUCAUAAAACUAUGCCAUAAUGGUAUAUGAGCUUAGAGUAAGGACCAAUUGGAUAGAUAGGAGGACUAACUCCUUCAUAAUCCAAUUUUGGAGUUGAUUCAACAUUCCACUAAAGAGAAUUAAUGGAACUCCAUUACCCUAUAUGAAUAAUAAUGAGAUGAAGCUUAGAUCCGUGACCUACUAUCCAUUGCAUGUAGAGUCCCCAUGAACUAAUGUCUAUAAUCUAAUAAGGUAGUGUUAUCACCUGUCAAGAUUUUCUCUUCAAUACUUAAGUUAUAGAUCCCACUUAUUAUGUGAUCAAUUGACUUUAGCUUGAAGGAGUAUAUGUCAAAUUUCCAUUAAAGGAAUUAUUAUGGCCAUAGUCUUCUAGAUCACAUGUCCUUUGGAUCACCCAAUAGGACAUAUUUUCUCAAUCUAUAAGAUAUCAUGGUGCCUCCAUUGAGAAUAUUUUUUGCCACUAGCCUCCAUCAACAGUGAUCUAAUCCAUAAGGAUAUAUGGCCACUUUAGAGUCUCACUCAUAAGUCAAAACCUCAUGUUGGCUUUGACACUAACUUAAUAUCCUCUCAAGGUUGAGAGUCCUUACCGUAUAGUAGCAUGGUGUAUCAUGACAAUUGAUAGCCUUAUGUCUUGACUCACUAUAGGUCGAGUCUAGUGCAAAUCAUAUGCACUAGUGCACUCACCAUGGGAAAACCAUCCUGGCUAUCAAGAGAAGUCAUCCCUCUUAUUAGGAGGUAGUGCACUACAAUCUUAAAUGAAUUUCCUAAAUCCAUGAACCAACCAUGGACAACUUAUCACUUUGUAAGGAACCCAUAACUUUGGAUCUUCUAUGAAACUCUUAAUGCACCCAAGUCAUGUAUAGUGUAAGUGAUGUGGGGUGUGUAUGUUCAAAUAACCAAUUAAUGCAAAUGGGAUAAUAAUAAGAAACCAAGAAGCAAAAAUAAAUAAAUUUAUAAAAGAAUCUCUAUAUCUUACAUCAUGUCAUGCUUUCAAGGGCUUAAUCCCAAUAGGCUACACAUUAGAUAGGACUUAUGGUAAGUCAGACAUUAGUUAUUAGGUAGUCAUGACUUCACCAAACAACUUUGUUGCAUGAGCUCUCAACUUUGAGAGAAUAUUGAUCUAGUGCUAAGGUCUUCAAUGACUUUGACCUAUGAGAGAGACCCUAAAGUGGUCACAUAUUCUCUAUGGAUUGGGUUACUAUUAAUUGGGACGAACAGGUAUUCUCAAAAUAGGCAUCAUGAUAUCUUAAGGGUUUGAGACAUUAUGUUCCCUUGGGUGAUCCUAAGGACAUGUGACCAUGAAAACUAUGGCCACAAUAAUUCCUUAAGUGAAAUUUGACAUAUGCACUUAGACAGAUAUAGUAUGGCAGUUAAUAAAAUAAUAGGAGGAUUUAAGAUUAAAGGAUUAUAAAGGUAGUCUUGAAAGGUUGAUAACAUUCAUCUCGUUAAAUUAUGGAUACCAAUUCAUAGGAAGCUUGCAUGCAAUUGUUAGUAGGUCAUAGCCUCAAGUCUUCUAUCUCGAUCUAAUAUCAUAGGAUACUAAAGUGUAGUUGACUCUUUAUAGUUAGAUGUUGAGUCAACUUUAAAAUUGGAUUUUGAGGGAGCUAGUACUUUUUUAUGCAUCCCGAUGGUUCCCACUUGAACUCAUAUUCCUUGGUGACAUAUUAUUUGAGGGAUAGUUGGGUUCUUUAUUCAUAUGUGUGCAUAAGAGAAUUUUGGUAAAUACAGAAGGUGACACAAGUGAUUAUACAAGAGGUAAAUAUAGAAAAAAUGAUACAACCAAAAUGAGAGUGUAAAGUAAAAUAAUAAACAGAAUAAUAAAAAACUUCUUAUGAGUACUAAGGUUUGCCUCAACUCUCCUCAUUCAAACCAUUAUCAUGCCUUUGGAUUUGGAAUUAUACCAAAUAAACAUUCAAAUCACUUUUCUUAAUGGAGAAAUGAAUGAGAAGAUCUAUGUAGAUCAAUUGACUUGUUUUAUGGCAACUAAAUAGAAGGGUAAAGUUAACAACUACGAAGGUCUGUUUAUAGCCUAAAAUAAUCUUCUAAACAAUGGUAUAUUACACUAAUUGGUUUAUGAUGGUCUAAGAACACUACUACAUGUUUAUUAAAUGGAGUAAAGGUAUAUUCUUUAUUUUUAUUUUUUUCUAUACAAAUGACAUGUUAGUUAGGGAUGACAAUGAGAUCGUCAUUGCCUCUAAAGUGUGGUGGUCAUCAAAUUUUAAAAUGAACAACAUGUUUAAAGCAAACUAUGUGCUCAAAGUUAUGAUCCUAAGCAAUCAAUAAAGUAGAAUUUUUCGUUUGUCUUACAAAUCAUACACAACAAAUAUUCUUGAAAAAAUUCUAGAUGUAAAAUUGAAAACCUAUUAGCACACAUAUAGAGAGAGUUAAAACCUUAAGCUUUAACAUGUGUCUAAGACUUUGGAUGAAAAGAAAAAGAUCACUCAAGGUUCCUAUAUAUGCUAGCAUUGUUAGUUGCUUAAAGUACCCAAUGAUAUGAACAUGAACUAAUAUUUAUUACAUAAUUAGGUUAGUAGGUUCCGGUUAGAUCCAAACCUUGCUUACAAGAAAGUAGUGAAUUGGAUGCUUUCUUACCUCAGAGGCACCAUAGGGUGUAUAAUUGUUAUUGAGGAUUGAAUUUGCACUUGAUUGGCUGUAACAAUGCUAAUUGGGGUAGCAUCCUAAAUGAACCCAAAUCCACAUAUAAUUAUAAUUUUAUAUAUGCUCCAUGAUGUUAGCAUAUAUUGGAGAAGUAGAAAACAAUCAUUUAUGACAUUGUCUAUCAUGGAGUUAGGAGUACAUUACUUAUCGUUUAGGAAAGUGACUAGUUUACAAUGUUCUUACAUAUGUUUUAUAAUGUUUCAUGUGCUUUUGAGCAUACUACUAUUUAUUGUGAUAGCAAGGAAGCUUUAGCCUAUGCCAAAGAGCCCCAACUAUCAUAGUUGAACCAAACACAUCAAUCUUAAAUAUUAGUUGUUAUAAGACAUGGUUGCAUAGGAACAUAUUUCUACACGUUUCAUGGUUACAGACUGAACCCCCCAUCCCUCCAUUGACUAAGUUAAUACGUAAAUAUGUUUAUUAGGGUCAGGUUGAGAACAUUGGAUUAUGUAGAUCAUGAUUACAUAGGAGUUAAGUUGAGAGCAUUGGAUCAUGUAGAUUAUGAUUCCAUAUUGUAUAUUUCAAUUAACCAUUAUACCUAGGAUUUAUUCAUUGUUCAAUCUUGUUUGAUGGUGGCAUGUUAUUUGCUUUACUUUAUUGGCAUGCACUUUCAUUACUUUGCACAGUGAGCAAAGUUGAAACAUAAUGAGUCUGAACCACUUAGAUAGUGUGCUAGGUCAUUGAUCCUUGUUGUGUCCAAUAUGACUUAUAUGUUAGUAGUGAAAGAGACCAAGUAUAAAUAGUCCUAUAGUCCAUACUUUACUUGUAAUGGAGUUAAUUGCCAAAUGACAUUAAUGUAGUGCUUGAUUUAGCAAGCAUAUGCAAAACUUAAGUUCUUUGCUUGAUGCAACUGAACUAAGAUUUGUAUGAUAUAGAAGAACUAAGGUACACUCAUAAUGAAGAUCUCCAUGGUAGCAUGCAUUUUCAUACUAUAUCUUCUUGGCAAUCAAAUAAGAAUGAAUGAAUAGAUUCCUCCUUCCUUGUCAUGUGUAUUAAUCUUAUAUAGGUCAUUAUAUAGUAUAACUUUUAUGCUCUUGCAAUUUUCAUUCAUAAGUUAUAAGUAUGGUGUAUUUUGAAAUAUUUUUCUAAAGGGAUUAAUGAUGCUUAAUUCAAUGUGAAUAAAUGUGUUUAAGGUAUAACAAGAAACCUUUUGGGAUGAAUUAUACAAGUUGAGAUGAAAUUUAUUUUAAUACUCCACCUUUCUUAUCAAUGUGUUCCAUAGUUGUACAAUCCAUUAGUCAAUAUGAACAUGGAUGAUAAUGAUAUAGUUGAGAGAUGCAUGACAUUGUUUUGCCUAGUAUGCAUGAGUGGGAGACAAUGGAGUUUCUAUUUCAUGAGAUACUCUCAGUAGGACUUUAUCAACUAAGAGCUUGAGAGUAAGUUGCAUACUUAUCAGUUAAGAUUCCUCUUGUGAGAGGAGGUUCACAUUCAGAUUUGGGGAGAAUCUAUAAGAGUUGUUCAUGUUUUGCAAUUCCAAUUCUAGUCCUUUCCCAUGUUUUCAAUUUAGAUUGUCGCAAUUGUUAAAUAUUUUUACUUUAGUCUUUAGCAAUUAUAAUUUUUUAAAGCUUGCUAUUUAGGUUUAGAUUUACUAGAUGCUUAUUAGAUAUCUUAAUUCUUGUUGUAUUCUCCUUGGUUAAUAAUCUUUGAUUGUGGAGUUCAAAGCUUUUUACCAAAAUAGGGAUAACGGUUUUCAAUGUUAGGGAAAGCAUUUAAUAAAAUUAAUUCUUGAAUAAGUUGGCAUGCUAAAUCUUUCAAUUGAACCUAAUAAGUUUACAUACUAAAUCUCUCAUUUUCAACCUUGGUUGUUUCCACUCUUUGCAAUUUAAUUAGGUUUUCUUUAUAUAUAUGUGUGUGUGUGUGUGUGUAUAUAUAUAUAUAUAGAUAGAUAAUUUAUUUUGUGUACCUAUAUAACUAAGUUUUUGAGUAAUUAUGAGUUGUAUUGUUACAUUUAGUAGAAUUUGACAAACUAAAUAAAUGAAGUGCUUACCUUUGAAAAAUUGAGUCCAAUAGCACAUUUGUGUGGAUAGGUCACAUCUACCAACUUGAUUCUCCAUGCUUCCUCUAUUAGGUUGACUAAGAAAAUAGUUUAAUUUCACAGGAGCACCUUAAGGACAAAAAUAUCAAGAAAAGUGAAGGAAAAUUAUGCUUCAUCUAAUAUGACUAUAGGACUUAAAUGGAAAAAAACAUAAUAAUAUAAUAGUUAUUAUAAUGAAUAUAAUAAAAAUAAAAUUUUUCAUGAUCUUCCCAAUACUCAUAAAGCCCCUUUCAAUGAAACUUUGUAAGCUCUACUAACACAAAAUAAUAGUCUGUAUAGUAAAAGCUCAAUAAAUGAGUGCUUGAUAAAUUAAUAACCUUAUUUGAAUAACAGAACCUUCUGGUCUUAACUCAGGCUAGUGUACUAAAUUAUAUAUAUAUAUUAAAAAGAAAUUCAUAAUACAAUAUUAGGUAACUUUUUAUAACUUUUAUUUUUCUAAAUUCACUUGUUUUGGAAUCAUCACAUAUUUAAAAUAUCUUUAUCUUUUACAACAUUAAGUUUUGAUGUCAUACCUAUUUUUUUAGGAGUCUUUCUAUCUUUUACAAUCAAUAACGAUCCUUUUUUUUUAGUCUCUUAGGUUUCUAUGUAUUAUCUUUUUACCAUAUGAAUUAUUUUUAAAUUUAUAAGUCAUACAUGUACCAAUAUUGUAUACUAAUAACAUAAUACUCUUUAUAAAUUAAUGAAUAUUCAUUUAUCGAUAAAUCUAAGAUAAUAAUUUUUCUUGGUCCCAAUAACAUUAUUUUAUAAGAUUUUACCCUAUAUACUUCCUUCAUUGUAGGAAUUUCUUUAGAUUAAUAUUUUUAAGUAAUAGUUGUACUUAAAAAAAUAUAUAUAAUGGAAGUUAAGAGAAUUUUGAAGUUAUAAAUUAGUGUUUUAUAUCAUUUGUUUGUCUAUGAAUGCUAAAACCAUUGUCAAAUAAAAAGAGUAAAUAAAGUAAUUAGUUAAAAAUUAAAUAAGUGACUUAAAAUUACUACUUUGGUACAUGUUUGUUUGAGGUAUAGUAGAUCGUAAGAAAUAAAAUCCUCUAGUUAUGUUUAUUUGAUAGAAUAAAAAAGUGAGUGUGUGGUUGCUCUACAAGAGAAGACCACACAUUAGUCAAAGAAAAAGUAACCAGAAAGCUUGCACAAGUGUUGAAUGAUCAAUCUCUCACCUAAGUGCACUAAUGAGAAAUAAAUGUUGAAUUAAACCAUAGUCAUGCACUCGUGCCAAGGCUCAUGCCUCCAUAUGGGAAAACCUUAAUUGCUCCAAAGUUUAAAAGUGGCCACAUCCUCUAUGCCAGGUAAGUAUUCCAAAAAUCAAGAAAGUUAACCUUUGAGUUGAUGCUUAUUUAUCUAGCAGUUUCCUCAUCCUUCUUACUAACUUGACCUUCAAAGGCUUUAUGACCAUAAGGAGCCUAGAGUGCUCACUUUUAGGUUCCUUAUGAUUGUAGGGUCCUAAUGAUCCAUUGAAGUAAGAAUGUGAACUAGGAGUUGGAAAAAUGGUGUCAUCUAUGGGAAUGCAUUAAAAGCCUUGAAGCCAUGUUUAAACCCAUAGUGGCGGUUGGGCAAUAGAAGAACCUCAUGCAAUGGACUCUUGGUAGGAAAAGGUAAUCAUGACAAAUAUGAGGUGGAGAAAGGAGUGAGAGCAAACCUUUCAACAUAUGGAGGAGCUUACUAAAAUAAGCAACUAACUCACUCAAGAGAAUGUUGCCUUUAGGGUAAGGGUGUAAGAGUACCAGUGUGAUCUUAAUCAACAGCUCUCAUUGGUUUGCACCAAUAAGAUUCAAGUCAGUGAAUAAUAGUUAUCAAAGCAAUUAGACCGACAUAUAGAUUAAAUUAGGGAAGGAGGGUGGAGGGGACCUUAAUCAUACUAACUUACCAAAGGCCUCAAUGCCUUAGGGCUUCUUGCCACCAUAGCUACCAUUAGAUGUAUAACCUUGGUGAAUAAGGAGAUUAAGCCUAGGGCCCUUCAGGAGAAGGUUGCCACAUGAGGAUUUUCCCUUCCAAAUUCAAUUUCUUUCAAUGGAACUUAAGACCCCCUAGACUACUCAUGCAUUUCUAGCAUAUAAUGAUCCCAAAAAAGGGAAAUGAUAGACUUUUAUUCAAGAUCUUCCUCUCCAGCCUCCAAGGACUAACUUUCUAUUGGCUUUAUCAACUUCUGUUAUGGUUUAUUCCUGAUAUGGAAACCUUAAGGUGAUGUUUGCCUCCUAGUACAUGAACUUAACAAGAUAGAAGAAAAGCCUUGACCAACCCAAGGUGGUUAUAGCUACCAUCCAUGAGGGAUCAUUCACUAGAUUUGAGUAACUAGGUAGGGUAUCAGGAUAUUAUAGAAGCAAAUGGUGAUUCAAGUAAAAGUCCACACAACCUUCUAUGAAGUAACUACCACUUGCCUAUAUGCCAUAUGCAUCUUUAACAAAGACUUAAGAGGACUCCAAGCCCUGCACAAGAUUUAUUGGUUAUUAGUUUAAGGAUUAUUGACUAAGACAUGCAUCUAUUCUUAGUUGACCUAAGGAGUUUAGCUAACUUACUAAAUAUAUUAGCCCAUAUACAAACAAAUGAAUAUGGAUAAAGGAAAACUAGUGUCGACUCUAGGGUAAUUGGUAGGACUAGAUAAAGUCUUGCGUGGGUUAACUAGGGAAGUCACUCUAAUAGUUUUAGUUGGUUGCUGCCAUAUAAUGACACAAUUCUUUGUUAUGGAUAUCAUUUUCCCUAUAAUACCAUUAUGGGAUGACCUUGGAUAUACAACCUAAAAGGCAUACUCUUCACCUACCAUCACAUCAUUAAAUUCGUAACACUAUAAGGAAUAUGAGAAGUAUAUUAGGACUAGGUGGUAGCAUGAGUGAUACACCAUAGCCCUUAAAGCGGUUAGGAAGUGCAUCAAUCGGGACCCAUAAGAAGUUCAUAAAUCAUAAAUCUAAUAACAAUUAACAGAUGACCCUAAAAGGCAGUUAGAGAACCUAGGGAGUCAUUACUUUAAAGGCCCUAAACCCAGGAAGUUCCUCUUGGCUCAUGCAAAAAAUGAUGUCUUAAGAUGGUUACUGGAAAAGAACCCAUCUUCGCUUGGAAACAGUAGGACAUGGUGGGUAUCAACCCCCAAGUUGCAUAUCACUAACUCAACAUAAACCUAGGUGGUUAGCUCCUUAAAGACACUAGAUUGUGAAAGAAAAGGUAUCCAGUUUCUUAGAUACUAGAUUUAUAAGAGAGGUAAUUUGUCCUAGUUGGUUAGUGAAUAAAAAUCAUCAUACCUAAGAAGACGGGAAAGUGGAAGGUAUGCCUAGACUAUACCAAUUUAAAUAAGGAUUUCCUUAAGGAUAGCUAUUCCUCACCUUGAAUAGAUUAGUUAGUCGAUGCCACCUUUGAUUAUAAGUUGAUUAUGUUCAUGGAUGUGUAUUCCAAGUAGAACCAAAUAAGCAAGCAACAAAGAAAAAAUAGCCUUUAUUAUCGGAUUAGUAACAUAUUGCUAUCAAACCAUGCUCUUUGGCCCAAAAAAAUUAAGGCUACCUACAAAUGUUCGAUCAUCUAGGUCUUUUAACUAUAAAUAGAAGUCAACAUGAAAGUCCACAUUAAUAACAUGUUAGUAACAUAUAAGAAAAGGAACAAGUACUUGAUUGACUUCCUAAGAACAUUUCAAACUCUUUGAAAGUACUAAAUGAAACUAAAUCAAUGAAGUACACCUUUAAUGUAGGGUGUGGAAAGUUCCUUAAGUGCUUGGUUACAUACAAAUGAAUAGAAAUUAACCUAGACCAAAUAAAAGCAACUUUGGAGAUAUCAAUGACUAAAAUUGUUAGAGAAGUCCAAGAGCUCACUAACAAGAUUGGUGCUUGAAAUAGAUUCAUAUAUUGGAUAAUGAAUAAAUGUCAUCCUUUCUUCGACAUCAGCAAGAAUGGAAAAUGGACUAAAGGAACCAAAAAGUGCAAAUAAGCUUGCGAAUGACUAAAGCAUUACAUGAUGCUACCCCCCAUUUUGGAUAAACCUUCGGAUAAGAAGGUCUUAUAAGGUCUUAUAAGGUCUCAUUAGCAACUAUAAGUGGAAUAUUUGCUCAAAAAGAAGGAAAAGAGGAGCAACCAAUGUACUAUGUCUAAAAAGCCCUCUUAGGUGUGGAAACGUGAGAGUAUAUAUAAAUAUUGAAAAGUUGGUGCUUACCUUUUAGAUCACCACACUAAAACUUCAAUGUUAUUUCCAAGUGCAUGUUAUUAAGGUAAGGACCAAGUGAUGAAAACUCAAACUUAACACUUUAAUGGCUCUAAAGAGCCUACUUUGGUGUUUUGAGGCACUAAAAAAUUAACCCAAUGUUUUGUUUUGUUGAUAAUACCUUAGAAUAUUAUGUUUGAUGCAUUCUAUGAGCAUUCUACAGGCUUUAAGGUGUUUUUGGUGCAAUAGAACCUUGUUGGGAACUCAUGGAGACAAAAAUGCCUAAGUAGGAAGGAAACACAUAUUGCACACCUAAAAAGUGUGCAAGACUCAAUCAUGCACUUUGUUUUUAGCGUAGAGCCACAUAGUGAUGGGAAAAUCCUAGAUCUCUUUGUUUCCUAAGCUCGGAUUAGGUUAGAAACAUACAAAACUAUCCUAGGCUUUUCUAAAUCCUAUGCAUAGUAGAAAAUUUGCAUUUUUAAACUUUAUACGGAUUUAGAAUAUGCUAAUGAAAAAUGUACCUGAGAUUUGAAUGUUCUUGAAUCGAUUCUACGCAAAGAAGAUGAAGAAUGGAGUCCCAAGAACUCUUGUAAACCCCGAGCCUUUCGCCUUAUAACUUGAACCUUAAUCUUGACACACUUUUGGUAGGGAUAGAAGGAAGGGUAGAGGCUAUGAUUCUCUUUCUAGAGAUGGAAGAAGCCUUUCUAGAAAAAGUUAUGGAAACCCUAAGCCCUAAGGGGCUAUUUAUAAGGUUUUCCCACUAGGCUUAAGUGAUUUGAGCCCACUAUAGGCUUGGGUCACUUAAUCUUAACCCAAAACAGGUUCUAAUUGAUUCAUCAACCCAAUAGGGCCUACUAAUUAAUUAAUUAACCCAAUCUAGAGACCUUGUUCACUUACCACGAUGCAAUCUUGCGUAAUUACCAAAACUCCCUUAUGCACAAAAGUGAACCUAUAGCUAAUUCGACCCUCAUAACCCAUGCCAAUAAGGUAUAUGAUCUUAGAGCAAGGACCAUUGGGACCCAUAAGAGUACUAGCUCCCUCAAAAUCCAAUUUUGAAGUUGAUUCAACAUCUUACUACAAAAAAAAAUCAACUAAACUAUAAUAUCCUAUGUAAAUAACAACAAGACACCAUGUGUUAAUGUCCGUGACCUACUAUCCAUUGCGUUUAGUCUUCCCAUGAACUGGCGACCAUAGUCCAACAAGGUGAAAACUAUCAUCCUUUCAAAACUACCUCUACUAUCCUUGAGUUAUAGAUCCUCUUAUUUUGUGUUCAAUUGACAUGUAUUACCUCUUAAAGAGUCUAUGUCAACUUCCACUUAAGGAACUACUAUGGCUAUAGUUUCCAUGAACACACUUCCUUAGGAUCACCCAAAAGGACACUCUAUCUCAAUACUAAGAGAUAUCAUGGUGCUUUUAUCAAGAAUUCAUAUUGCUAAUAGCUUUCAUCAAUAGUGACCCAAUCUAUAGGAAAUAUAUGAUCAGCUUAUGAUCUCACUGGUAGGUUAAAUCUACUACUAACUUUAGAACAAACUUAAUAUCCUCUCAAGGUUGAGAGACAACACAAUGAAGUAGUUUAGUGAAGUCAUGACUACUUGAUAGCCUUAAGUCAUGACUCAUUGCAGGUCUUGUCUAAUGUGUAACCACACACACUAAUGCACACACCAUGGGAAACCCAUCCCGAUAGUUAGAACAAGUCAUCCAUCUAAUUAGGAGGUGAUGCCUUACAACCUUUAAUGGGUUGCCUAGACUCACGAAUUGGCUAUGAAUAAGUCAUCUAUUUGCAAGGAACUGUGAUUAAUUUAGAUCUUCCUUGUAACUCCUAAUGCACCUAAGUCAUGUAUAAUGCAAAAGAUGUAGGUUAGAGUGCUUACAAGGUAUAAUGCAUGGAAAUAGGAUAUAUAAAAGUGAACUAGAACUUUAUUAAACAAAUAAUAAAAUCCUAGAGUUUAUUACAUCAUGUCAUGCUUUUGAGGACUUUAUCCUAACAUAUAAUGCACCUCCCAUGUAUGUAUUGAAGACCAAACACAUAAGAGCUCUCUAAUGUAUUGGACCAAAUUUUGCAUCCUACUCAAGCAACUCAAUCUAUAAACCUCUUAAGUGCUCUAAGCCAAAAUGUUGUGCACCCCUUUGCUUAAGUCAGCAGGAUGUGUAGUAGUACACCCCCUUGAUGUCAUCUAAAUUACAAACCAUUCUUACCUCUACAAUAGCUAUGUCCUCCCAAAGUAGCAUGUUAUUUAUAAAGUCUUCAAUUCUAUUACCAAAACCUACUCGAUGUUGAUUGCAUAGAGAAAAAAGUGCAACUCCCAACCAUAAGCUAACAUAUCAAGAAUGAUGGUGGGUUGACUACACUGACCAAGGAUCUGACCCUCAAUAUAGGCAAGAGACAAGUCCAGAUGGGUUGGUGUUGGAGUAGUUGGAAUGGAGAGAGUAUUUUUUACCUAUAAAUGGAGGAUUGUAAAUAUAUAAGUAGAAGCAAAUUAUAGAAAGCGAAAUAGUAGAUAAGUUUUUCUUCUCGUAGGAAUAGGAGUAACUUAAUGUAGUUUUAGUUUUUAGUUUUCCAUUGUGAUAUUUUUAUUUCUUUAUAAACUUUCCCUAAUUUCUAGUUUAAUGGAUUUUACAAUCUUUUUUAUUAAUCUUACAUUUCAAUUUUUCAUUUUCAACUUACAAAUUUACAUUUUCAGUUACUUCCUUAAUUUUUAACAUACUUAUAUAACCUUUGACACUCUAAGAGGUGAGAGGAGCUUAGGUCUCCCAUCAAUAAGUUUAGCUCUCUACUCAUUUAUUUAUGCAUUAGUUAUAAAGAAUUUGAUAUCUAUCGGUAGUUACGAUGACCAAAAGGAGUAACCAUGGGCAGAAAAGUCUAUGUUACACUGGUUGUGGGGGUUGUAAUUUAAGUAGCCUUGGGAGCAUAUUUUGGCAUUGUUUUAAUAAUUUUUUCAACUAAGUAUAGGCUUAUUGACAUGAAAAGAACCUCAUCUAAAUCAUUUGGUUGCAAGGAUAAAAAAAAAAGAGCAGUUAGAGGGAGAUGAACCUUAUUAAGACGGUUAUUGUUCAUUUCAAGCAAGAACCUUUUGUGGUAUAGAUCCUUGGAUUAAUCCUAAACUUGAAAGCAUAAGUUCACAACCUCGUUGGUAAGUUGUAUUUGAAAAUGGUGAUCCUAAUAAAUCUCUUGUUUUUGGGUUUUCUUUUCUUUAAUUUUCUAUCUUUAAAACUUUUUGUGUGUGUGUCUUUUAUUUAUAAAAUCAUUUUUCUAAUCUUUUAGCUAACAUUCACACCCCUAAAGCUAUUACCUCAGUUGCUACCAAUUUAUAAUUCCUUGUGGAGGCAACCUAACGGCUAUACAACUAUUAGUUUUUUUUUUUUUGGUUCAAGAGUUGAGAGUUUUAAUUAAUGAUCUAGUUUAAUUCCUCUUUGUAAAACUUGACUAUUAAAUAUAUUUUUAAAUUUUGGUAAAAAAAGGAACUAGAGAAUGACAAACAAAAAAUUAGUGUUGUUGCCAGGGACUUUUCAACAUUGACUACUCUAGAGGUAUUUUUGGGUAUAUGUUUGUUGUUUUAAAAGCUUAGCAAGUAUAUUUCACCCAUUCCCUACCUAUCUUUUAGUUGGAUUUUUAUUUAUUUUUACUUAAUUUGUUUUAUUUAGAUUUUUUUUUCUUUAUUUUUUUUGCUUAGUUUUCACUUUCAAUUGUUAAAUCUAACAUUACAAGCAUGUUCUUUAUUAGGGAAAUGAUUUUAGAAAAAAGACACUAAGUAAUCAACCAAACCAUAGUUAUCAUUUUCCUCAACACAUUAGACCAUAACCACCUUAUAUCUAUUUUCCAAAUUCAAGCAUUGGUAGUACUAAUAGAAGUAUGAUGAAUGGGGAUUUUAACCCAAAUAACUAGCUAGCCAGGACCAUAAGGGUUACCUACAACCCAAGUCAAUGCUUUCUUUUAAUUGAUAUUUCCUUUUGAAUAUUUUCAAAUAAACAUUGAGCUUGUAAUGAUCCAAUUGGUAUCUUUAUCUUAUGGAAGGGAUGAUGAAAAUCCUUAUACUUAUUUAAAAUAAUUUGAAGAGCUAUGGUCUAUUUUGGUAGAACCUUCAUGAAAUCUAGAUCAUUUGAAACUCAAGGUUUUUUUUUUUUUUUCAUUAAAGAAAAAGGCUAAGCAUUAGAGGUAUAACCCAAGACUCUAUAGUAUAAGUUCUUGGGCUACUUUACAAAAUAUUUUUAAUAUUUUUUUAUUUAUUUUUUGUUUUGUAAAGAAGGAGACCUUGCAUAAUUGUUGGGAUCAGUUUAAAGCUUUGUUGCUCAACUUCCUUACCAUAGUUUUGAAAACUUAAGGAUUGCUUCUGCUUUUUAAAAGAGACCAUCUCCCUAAAUGAAACAAUUUGUUGAAAACAUGAGUGAUGGUUAAUUUAUAUAGGAGAAACCACAAGAAACACUUAAACAUUUAAAUUUGCUUGCUGAAAAAUCAAGGGUUUGGAACCCCUUAGUCCCUCGAGUACAUCUUCUGGAACUUGAAAACCAACCCCAACAACAUAUAGUCUCUCAUCCCAUCUCUCAAUUUAUCAUUUUCUCUUGGAACAAGAUUUUUGAAGAAGAUGAUCUUUGGAUGCUAUAAGAGGAGGAAGUCGCUGAAGUUGAGGAAAAGGAAACUAUGUACAUAGUAGAUUGAAAUGAAUUUGUUGAAUAAGAAUUAGUUGAAGAAGAGAAUUUCCAAUAGGUUGCAAAUAAGUUUGUAAGCUUCAUUUUAAAAAAAAAAUUUCAAAAAUAGAAAAAGAAAACUAUAAAGAGUAAGAAACAAAGAAGGAAUGAAACAAUGUAUUACAUUCUCACACUAGCUUUAUUCUUCCUCAGUUUUCCUUCUCGUUGCAAACUAAAAAUAUUGAGCUUCAAUUUUUAGAAGCUAGCCAACAAUUUGUAAAAAGCUUUCACUUUUCUUUUCUUCAUUAUUUUUAUUUAUGUUGCUCUUGCAACUUGAGUGUGUAGUAGCACCAUCAUUGUGAAGCCUGUAAUAUUACAUUCUCAGUACACUCAAUGCAUUUGGGUGACCUAUAUCAUCUCAUAAGAACUCAAGUAUAAAUUUCUCCACACUCUAUUGGUUUCAUCAUGAUUCAAAGUACGUGUAAAUUGUUAGCACUAGGAAGGCGCACAAAAGUGUUGGAAAUAUAGGAAUUCCAUACCUUUGAGGUGCAUUGCCCAACUUGUAUGAUGACUUAAAUUGUGCAUCUAUAAAGCACAACUCAAAUUGUACACCUUGAAAGCAUGACUUAAAUUCCAUACCCUAAGAGAAUAAUUUAAAUGGUACACUCAAAAGAGCGCAACUAAAAAUUACAUACCUUUGAGCAACCUUUUAUAUUGCAUAGCUUAUGUGUGCACAAUUUAAAUUACACAUCAUAAGAGUGCAAUCAUUUCCCAUGGGAUGCCAACUUAUUCUUUUGUAUUAUUAUCCAAGCGUGUUGUCCCUAGUAAAAAAUCUUUAUUCUCUUAUGCAAACUUUUUGGAAGAAAAAUAUCUUCUUAAACAAAACCAUAAUUUCCUAUAAUUUCUUAGAGACUUUUGUCUAUCCCACCAUCAAUGUAUCAAUUAUGGUGUAGGUAGGAAAUCGAGCAGCUUUCUAAGUUUUAUAUAAAGGAAGUAAUUUUAAUACUGUUUGCAUGUGCUCAAACAAGAACACACACAAUAGUGCAAUAUGAAAACUCUGAAGAAUGGUAAAAACCAAAACACUGAGCCUAAAUGAGACAAUGAAGAGAGCUAAAAAUGAACAAUCAAGCCAAUUUAUUGAAGUAAAGGUGACUAAACCAGUCACUAUAGUAGCCAUAAUACUAGAACAACCCAACAGAGCAUUUAGUAGAAUGAACAUUCAAACAAAAAAAGAAUCACGUUAAGGUUAAUAGCGUUGACCACGUCUUCAAUUAUUAUUGCUUAAUCUUUAGGAUAAUAACAUCAUAUAAUGAGCAUUUGAAGCUAACAAUGGGUGAUAUUGAACUUUGUCGGUCAAUCUCACCCUUAGUGAAGAAUUCAAUUAAGUAAUAGUCAGAGGUUGAACAGGAUAAACAAAAAUACCCCCAAGGAACUCAAAAUCUCAAGACUAUACAAUUUUUCAAGAGCCCCUGAUAAAUAUAACUUCUUUACCUAAUUUUUGCAUCAUUUUUGUUUUCUUUACCUUUUUCUUUUAACAAUCAAAUCAAGUAAAAUAAGCUUAGUUUUAAAUAUUUUAAUUCAAGCUCACAUCUGGAAUUAAUCUACUUAAAUGACUUAUUAAAAAUCAUCAUCUAAGUAAUGAAGUACCAUAGUGAACUUAGAGGAACCAAAAAGAAAUGAGUUUUCCUAAAAGUUUCUCUUUAAUCUAGUCUCACACACCAUGCACUAUAGUGUUAGGGUACUCAUACUUCUCAGGAGAAGAACUGGUGGCAACUUGAGAAAUAGAACAAACUCAUUGUAGAUAAAGUGUUAUGAUAAGAUUUGCUAUCACCAACAUCCUAUAGGAGGACGCAAUGAAGAGCAACUAAAGGAAUCCAUUUAUUACUUGAAGCUUGGUGGUAAUUCCCCAAGGGUGCUUUAUCACCUAGUGCCUUAUACCAACUGGUCUGGGAGUCAUAUAUUGAAAUCCAUUACAUAAGCAACAAGAAGGUGACAAAGUCUACAUUCUUUGAUGAAUGAACUUUUAAUUUUUCAAAAAACAAAAAGGGCGAGUGGAGGAAGGGAAGUGAAAGUAUAUUAAGGAAAACAAUUUGUCUCAAACUUAUGCCCUAGGAACUUGCUAUUCCUAAGACUAAGGGGUGUUAGUUUGAAAAAUCAAAAGAUAGAGGAAGGGAGAAACAAUAGUAAAAACUACUAAACUUAAGGAACCUUUUGUAUGCGAAGAUCUAGUCACACCUAAGUAAGGGCUGAUUUGAAAAUUUUCUUUUAAUGUAUUUAUUUUGUUUCAUUUGAGCUCUCUUACUUUUUGCGUUUUCUAACUCAAACUCAACACUUUAAUGGCUCUAAAUAUCUCACUUUAAUGUGUGAGGUACUCAGAAUUAACCUAAUGCAUUGUUUGACAAUACCUUAAACAACUAUAUUUGAUGAAUUUUGUGAGCAUUUUGUAGGCUUUAAGGUAUUUUUGGUAUAACAUAGCCUUUUUGGGAACUUGCAUGGACAAAAAUGUGUAAGUAUAGAGCAAACACAAAUACCUCACCUCUUAGGUGCACAAGACUUAAUAACAUGCCUCUUUUUUAGUGUAAAUCCAUAGUACACCUCCCAUGUACACCCUAAAGACCAAGUUGUGCACCCACUCAAACACCUUAAUUUGCACCUCUCUUAAGUGCUCUAAGCCUAGCAGUUGCAUACCUUUUCACUUGAGUCGGUAGGAUGGCCAGAGGUGCAACUACUCAAGAUCUAAAAUGUGCAAUCUUUUUUCAAUAAUAGAAUGCACUCUUAGGGGUAUUCUAACCUUACAUACCAUUCAUAUCUCCACAAGAGUUGUGUACUUAAUCAUUCUUCUAAUUAUUAGUGUACUCACAAAAGUAGCACAGUCAUGCAUGCAUCAAAGUCUUCAAUUGUAGUACCAAAACCUACGUAAUGUCGACAACACAAAAAAUGAGGUGUAGCUACCAACCCCAAGCUAAUACAUUAAGAAUCAUGAUCAAUUGACUACAUUGACAUAGGACUAAAUUUUGGUGUUGGAGUAGUUGGAACAAGGGGAAAUUUUUUUGCCCAUAAAACUAGGAUUGUAAAUAAGUAGAAAUAGAUAAUAGAGAAUUAUAUAUUUUUUCUUCCUCAUACAAAUAAGACUAACUUGAUGCAGUUUUAGUUUUCAAUUUUCAUUUGUAAUCUUUUCUUUUCUUUAUAAAAUUUCCCUUAUUUCCAAUUUAAUGAAUUUUCUAGUUUUUUCAAUUGAUCUUACUUUUCAAUUUUUUAGUUUUAGCUUAUAGAUUUAUAUUUCUAUUGAUUUCCUUAAUUUUUAACAUGCUUAGAUAACUUUUAACACUUUAAGAGGUGAGAGGAGUUGAGGUCUUCGAUAUCUUAGUUCAACUCUCUAUUGGUUUAGUUGUGCAUAGCUACAAAGAAUUUGAUCUUUGUUAGUAGUUACAAUGACUAAAAGGAGUAACCAUGGGGAUAAAAGUCUAUGUUGCAUCGGUUGUGACGAUCACAAGUCAAGCAACCUUGGGAGCAUGCUUAAGCAUUGUUUAAAUGAUUCUUUUAACUAAGCAUAAGCCUACUAACAUGAAAUAAAAAAAUAAAAAAAUAAAAACUAUCUAAAUCAUCUAGUUGCAUGGAUCCAAAAGAGGGCAAUUAGAGAGGAAACUUAUUCAGGUGGUUCUUGUUUAUUUCAAGAAGCAAUCUUUUUGGGUAAAAACCCUUAGCCUAAUGUUAAAGCCAAUAUCAUAGGUUCAGAGCCUUAGUGGUGAGUUGUACUUGAGAGUAAAAAUCCUAACAAACCUCUAAUCCUAGGGUUACUUUUUUUUUUUUUGCCUUUUAAACUCUUUCUCCCUUUCUUUCUUUCUUCUUCCUCUCUCUCUCUUAUUUAUAAAAUCAUUUUUUUGAUUUCAAAAAAUGGUGAAAUACAAAAUAGAACUAGCCUAGCAAAUUCGAUAUAUGUUAUGCCCAUGUGUUGCAUUCAAAUUGUAAUCUCUUGUUAAAUUCAUGAUAAAGUUUACUAGUAUUAUGAAAAGGUUUAGGGGAGUUAUAGAUAGUGAAAUGAUCGAUUCAAAUGACUUUGGCAUUAUGAGUGUAUGGAGCCUCCAUUGUAAAGGGCUUAGCAAUUGGGAUACACUACUAUGCUCUCCCGAUAGGGUUUGAAAUCAACCUAUCAAUGUAGUUAGAGUAUUUGACAACUAAUAAGGAAUUGGAAUACAAGGUCCUACUAGCUAGCUUACCUUUGGCAAAAGAGGUGGGGGUUUUCUGCAUACAAUUAUAUAACUAUUUGUAACUUAUUAUCGAAAAGAUCACAAGACAUGAUGAGGCUUGGAAACCUCAAUUAUGACCUUGCUAAAAUAUUAUUUAAGCCACUAUAUGUGACCUAUAGAGGUUCCACCUUAGCCUUAUCCCUAAAGAAGCUAACCAACAAGUAUAUACCCUAGCCACACAAGUACUAGCUCACCUACGGGAACCUCAAGUAUACGUUACAUAACCAAUAGUGGAAACAUCCCACUUUAUUGUUGAGGUUCAUUAUUGGAUCUUCAAUAACAUGCUUCUAAAAAAUCCCUAUCCUUUAGUACCUCCUCGAGAGGAAGCAAUUAUAAAGGGGAAAAUGAAGCACAGGGGCUCUAAAAAAAAGUUGUAAGGUCGUAUACUAUCAUGAAUUGUGCCAGCUCCUAUGAUGGACCCUACCUAUGUUGCAUAGAUGAGGAAGAUGCUCGAUAUAAUGAAAUUAUCUACAAUGACCUAUUAUUCAUUUCUUUGGGAUACCAUGGGUCAUAGUAUCAAACAAUGGAUUCCAAUUAACCACCCAAAACUUCUAAGAUUUAUAUAAGGAAAUGAGAAUUGAGAAUUGUUACCAUAUUUUGUGGUACCCUUAAGGCAUCCAACCAGCAAAGGCCAAUAAUAAGGUAAUAGUGCAUGAACUUAAGCAAAAAGUUGGAAAAAUCUAAGCGAAUGUGAGUGAAGCAACUUUUCACUAUACUUUGAUCUUACAAAACCACUCAAAGAACGUCUACCCGAGAAGCACCUUACUUUCUCACAUAUAGGAUAGAGGUGAUCAUUUUAACUAUGAUUAGAAUGCCAACCUUGUGUACCUAAAUGAGUAGCAAAGAAGUGCUUGUUGCUAGAAAACAAGAUUUUGAUCUAGUUGAAGAAAGAAAGCAAGUGACACCCAUAAAGAUGAUUAUCUACUAGAGCAAGAUAACCAAAAUCAUAAUGGAAUAAAAACAAGACCCUUGCAUGAAAAAGAUUGAGUUUUGAGAAGGACUUUCCAUGAAAGCUAAGAAGAUGAAAAAUUAUCCUCCCUGUGGAAAGGACGAUUCCUAAUUAAAAGAAUGGGGACACAAUGCAUAUUAGUGGGAUGUUCUUGAAGGAAAGUUUAUACCAUGACCAUGGAACAUGUGCCACCUAAUAAAAACCAAAAUUUAUUAUCUUUAAAUAAAGAGAAACCUUUGGAAGAAAAAUCAUCUAACCCCUAGUGGGCAUAUUUCCUUUUAACAAGCAUAUUACUCUAAUGGGUGCCUUACCUUUCAACGAGAAUCUCUUCCUUAAUGGGUAUCUUGCCUUUUAAUAGUCAUUUUAUCCUCAAUGGGAAUUUUGCCCUUAACAGUUGUCUUAUUCCCUAGUAGACAUCCUAUCUUUUAAUAAGAACCUUGUCUCUAGUAGGGUUUCUACCUUUUAAUAGGCAUCUAAACUAAAUAGGCACCUAAACCUAAUGGGCACCCUUCCUUUUAGCAUAACAAAGUAACAACAUCAAAGAUAAAAAUAGCAAAAUGUAAAGCAUAAAAAGGUCAUAAAGGCCAUCUAAUGUAAUAGAGGCACAAAAGCCAUAAACAAACCAUGACACAAUGGCAAACAAGUGUUUAAGGGUGUGCAGGCCAAACUCCAAAUAAACAACGUAUUAAUUACUCCUCCGAUCUAAUGCAGAGGACUUCAGAAUCUCCCAUAACUUGUAAUAAAAUUAGAGUUAUCUUCGAGGAUCCUUUUAAAGCAGGUUAGACACUAUUCUUGGCCUAGAUGGCUUGAUUAAAGGCUCCAAAAUUGGGUUGGUGUCUUUUGAGGCAUUUUCCUUUAACAUUUGGAUUAUCUCUUUAAGAUGGACUUCAUGCCUAGCAAUAUCCUCCCCUGAUGGAGCAAACUUGAUGUGCAAAAUUUGUGAACACUUGAACACUUAAACUACAUGGGCCUUGAAAUAAAUAAUGCAUUCGACCUUUAGGUUUUCCAUCUCCAUAAACUUUUCCAAUAAAAUUUGAAUACAAAUUUUUUUACUAUUGACAAAUGUUGUGCUCCCACUACUAACCUCCUUUAGCUUUCCCUUUAGGACCCACACUUCCUCUUGCUUCAAUCAAAGCUCUUCUAUGACCUUCCUAUAUAUAUGUUGCUCACUCAUAGUGUGGUCCUUAAGUGCUUGUGAUGUAACCCAUAAUACGAAGAGACCCACCAUCAGGAUGUUCACUCAAUCAAAUUGCACCCCUAGCUCCCUACCACUUAGUUCCUUUAAACUUGCUAGCACCAACUUAAUAUGGUUCAUGUUUCACCUCUUGAACAAGCAACCAAAUAGAGGGCAAAGACGCACACUACGACCAAAUAAAGGGUAGCCAAAAGGGGGGAAAAAGAAAAGCUACUCACAACAUUUGAGUCAAGAAAGAGGGAAAGCAUGGAAAAAAUCUCAUAGAUCAACAUACCAACCAACCAAAGAGUAGCUUAUGGAGCAUUAAAGAAAGAUAAUUAACCCACAAAGCCCCUAAGCUUCUGUCUUCUCAAAGGAAGAUUCCUGUAUGCAAAAUGGUGGAUAAGAGCCUAACUAAUAGUUUUGUCCUAUUAUUAUGAUUCCACUAUAAUCAAUUUGCUAGAAAUAGGAAGGUAGGAGAGGGUCCUUUAAAGAAUGGGGGACAUAUCAAAAUAGGAGAAAAAACAAUUAGGGGAACAUGAAAAGGAAUAGAUGAGAUCUAUAAUUGAAACCUCCAUGGAUUUAAUAGAGUUAAGUAGAUCGGAGGACUUAAAAAAUAAAAGCGAUUUUCUAGAUUCCUGAUAAGAGAGCAUGAGGGACCGAUACAUGAGAAAGGCACGUUUGGCUACCUACAACUCACCUAUACUUUUGUUUGAACAAUUUUAUGAAAUGAAAAAAGAUAUCUAACAUAGGAGGUGAGAAAGCAUGAGCCCAUAAGCAUGAUCAAACAAGGCUGUAAGUAGGUUUUGUUAGGAUGGAAUCAUAGAGUGGGUGCUCUAAGAUCCUAGAGCAACUAGAUCUAAGAACAACAGAAGCAUAUACAUUUCAAAUAUUUAGAUAUAGGUGUUAAAAGGCAUACCUUUACAUCUAGAUGUUCCUAGAUCAUACUCUAGUUAUUACAGGGAUCUAAAAAAACUUGGUGCUUCUACCGAUGACUUUGUCUUUAAUCCUUGGAACAAGUGUAAAGUGACUACACACCUUGAGAAAGAGAGUACUUAAUGUUUUCUCUAGAAGAGCAAUGAAUGAAUAGAUGGAUAGAUAGAUUGAUAACUUGACCUCAAACCCUCAUCAAUCUAACCUUAAACCCUAAGAGAGUUUAUAUAACUUCUUUUGUAAGCUAAUGUGACUUAGGCCCACCAUAGGCUAAGGUCACUUAACCUAGUCAACUAGGUACUAAUGAAUUAAAUAGUUCUAAUGAGCUUCAAUUAAUUAAGUGGCUUAAUAAAAAAAACUUAAAAUACACUACAAGAAAAUGUACUUUUCGUGACAAAAAUUUAGUGGUGAAUUCUACUUUUGUCGCUAAAAGUAACAUUUACCGAUGAAAUUUUAGAUGUUGUCAAUAAUGCCAAUUUUCUACAAACUUUUCCUAACAAAUUUGAAAUUUUUGUCAUUGAAAGAUGUGACAGGAAAAUUUGGCGUUUUGUUUUUGGCGCAAACACUUUUGUGACGAAAAUAAACUAUUUCCCUACGAAAAUAUUUAUCACUAAUUAUAAUUUUUGGUGAUGAAAAUAAUUUCCUCACUAAAAGUUACAACUUUUUAUCUAUUUUUGCUUACAAAAUGGUUUCGUCGAUAAUUAUAUUAUUUCCUAACAAAUUGAGUAAUUUUUUCAUCAAAUCAUGUUAUUAAAUUGUGAUAUUAAUAAAGAAUAUUAAUAAAUAAGUAGAUGAUUUAUACUAUGAAAUAAUAUAAUAUAUAUUUGUUGACACUUAAUAUUUAUACUAUAAUAUUUUAUUUAUAUAAAUAAUAAUAAAAAUUAAGGAUCCAUAAAAUUAAAUACUAGAAUGUAGAUUUAUUUAAAUUUAAAUGUUCUAUUAUGUAAUAAUAGUAUUGUUAUGAAAUAAAAAAAUGUAAAUUAUUUAAGCAAUUAAUAUUUAUAGUGUAACAUGUUAUUUAUAUAUAUAUAUAUAUAUAUAUAUAUAUAAAUAAUAACAAUAGAUAAUCCAAGAUAUGUAAGAUUACAUCCUAUGAUAUAAAUUUAUUUAAAUUUCAAUAUUAUUAUAUGGUGCUACACAUACAUAAAUAUUACUAAAUGAUUUUUAUUAUAUUAGGUAAAAGUUAUCCAUACAAGUCCAAUGUAGUAUUAAAUUUAUGUUAGCUAUGAAUAAGUUAUAGUCCUCUAAUUUGUUCUCAUUCAAAAUCAUACCUUAUCCACUCAAGAAGUAAAUUUCUACUAACAUUUAGUUACCUAGUUUAAAUUAAUAGAUUUUUUUUAAUUAUUACUUAGUUUUUAAAUAAUUGGUUAGAAUUAAAUUUCUCAAAUAAAUUGUCUAGUGUCUAUAAAAACAUUCUACCUACAUAAAAUUCCAAAUAUUAUUUAUGUGUAUGAAGAUAUCAUAUAUUAUUAAUAAAUAAAUAAGUAUAAGUUAAAUAUUAUAUGAUAUAAUAUAUUGCAAGUACUAUAUGCCUAGCUCUAUUUUCAUAUUUACAAAAUAAAAAAUGUACAAUAUAUAUAGCACAUGUGAAAUUCUAUAUAAAUAUAAAGUUUUUUAAAAAGUUUUCAAUCACAUCUUUAUUAAUAAUUGGUUAUUUUAUUUUUUAUUGAUCAAUUUUAUAUUUAUUUUUUUAAAUUAUUAAUUACUAAUUUAUCAAAAUUGAUUAGUUAUUAAGAAUAAAGUCUUAAAUUAUACCGCAAAUAACUUGUAAAGGAGUUUUUAUACUUGUAUGCAUUUUUAAUCAAAUAUUUAAAACAAAUAUAGUUAUAAAAAUAAUUAAAAUAUAUCAUAAAUUAUUAUAUGAUUUAUAUUUAUAGUGUUUCAUUAUGUUUGAUAUUUUUGUUUGGAAUAGAUGAGAAAGGGAAAGAAAAAAAAUGAUGUAGAAUCCUAAUUUCAUUUUGAUCAUUAUUUUAUUAAUGUCAAUAUGAGUAUUACACUUUGGCAUUCUCCUAACAUUGUCUUCCAAUUGUACUUUUAUUUUAUAUUUCAAAUUUAUCACUUUAAUCCAUAAGUCUGGAAUUGAAUUUAUUCUAGCUAUUAAUAAACUAUAGUCCUCUAAUUUGUUCUCAUUCAACAUUAGGUUUGUUUAGAGGUGACAAAAUUUGAUAUGACUUGUCAAUAUGACUUGAAUUUAACACCCUUUCAUGAUUUAGGGUUGAGUAUAAUUGAGUUCAAGUCAAAUUCAUGUCGACUUGCAUACCUUAUUUAAUAAAUAAAUAGUGUUGGCCUUAUGGGGGGGCUAACAACCACCCUAAUGGACUAUGGAGAGUAAGCUUAAAUAAUAUAAGAUCUCCAUUCUAAUCACCAAUUAGUUUUCAGAACAAAUGGGGGUCUUGUCAUAAGAUACUCCGUGGUUAAGCAUGUUGCAGCAAAAGAAAUCUUAGGAUGGGUGACCCACUAGGAAGUAUAGAGCACCUCGAUCAAUAAGUGGUAUCAGAGCCUGGUCACAUGAUUGAUGGGUGAGCUAGCACUGUGGGUGAAUGGUGAAGGCCUGGGGUGUGGCCAAGUUAAACAAAGACGGUAGGCUAUCACCGACUUUUGGGACAAAUUUGAUUUUUUUCGUGACAAAAAUUCUUAGUUUUGUCGAUGAAAUAUUUCGUUGGAAAACACUUCUAGUAACAAAAUUUUAUUUCAAGGAAAACUUUAGGCGACAAAAUAAGAUUUUUGUCAUGGAACUUUUAGUGACGGAUCUAGGGCGAUGAACAAGGCACGAAAGAAUUUUCAUUGGGGAAUGUUUUUGUAGGCAAAAUUUAGACUUUCAAUGACAAAAUAUUUUAUCGUUGAAAGUCAAUUUUCUUGUAGUGAUAAAUAGUCAUAAGUUUUUGUGCAACUUUUAUUUUUACCAAAAUGCCCUUAUGCACACAUAUGAUUAAUUAAACCCAAUUUCCUCAAAUCUUUAUGUCAAUAAAAAUUAUGAACUUGAGCAGGGAUCACUAGAACCCAUAGGAAAAUAUAAGCCCCCUGAUAAUCCAAUUCUAAAGUUGACUCAGCAUUCCACUAAAGAAAAUCAACUACAUUCCAAUGUCCUAUGAUAUUAUAUUGAGAUAAAAUUGAUUAAAUCUAAUUUAAUUAAUUUCUUAAGCUUGUGACCUACUGUCCGCUGCAGAUGGGUUCCUUAUGAGCUAAUGUCCAUAAUCUAAAGAGUUAAUAACUAUCAACCUUAGAAAAUUACCUCUAUAGGAUUACUUAUACAAUCCUUGAGUCUCACAUCCUCCUAUUUUGUGAUUAAUUGACAUACACUAGUUCAUAAAGAACAUAUCUUCAAUCCCACUUAAGCAAUUGUUGUGGCAACAAAUUUCAUAAUCACAAGUUAUUAGGAUCACCUAAUAGGAGACACCAUAUUAAUCUCAUGAGAUAUCAUAAUGCCUUUGUUGAAAAUGUUUAGUGUCACUUGCUUUAAUUAAUAGUGACCCAAUCUAUAGGGAAUUUGUGACCACCUUAGAGUCUUAUCCACAUGUUGAACCCUUUAAAGACCUUAACACUACCUUAAUAUUCUCUUAUGAUUGAAAGUCUAUGUAACAUAGUAACUUCUUAAAGUCAUAACUACUUGGUAGACAAUGUCAUGAUUCAUUGUAAGUCUUGUCCAAUUUGUAUACACACUAGUGAACUCAUCAAGGGAAACCUAACUCAAUAACCAAGAUAAGUCAUCCCUCAAAUUAGGAAAUAGUGCACUAAAACUUUAAAUGGAUUGCCUAAGUCCCCAAACUUACUCUGAGUAACUCAUUAACCUAUAAGGAACCCAUGACAUGAAUCUUUUAUGCACUCUUAACAUACCUAAGUCAUGUACAAUGCAAAUGAUGUAAGUUUGAAUGGUCUUAUAAGUAAUAAUGCAAUCAAGGAUAGAAAAUUAGAAAUUGAAAUCAUAAUAUAAAUAUAUUGAAGAAACCUCAUUUUGUUAGAUCAUAUCAUGCUUUUAAAGGCUCUAUCUUAACAGUUUUGACACGCUAGAUGAAGACAUUUUUAAGACACACUCUUCUUUCUCUAAGUAGCUAUGAAACUCGAAAAAGUUAUAGAUAAUCAAAGGAAGAUUGUUUUGUUUAAAAAUUCCUUCUAGAGUAAAAUUUGAGGAGAUAUUGUGUGGUGGAAUGAUCUCCUAACAAUAAAGUAAAAGAGGGUAGGUAAAUUGAAAGGAGAAAAAAAAAGAAGAAUCAAAGAAAGAAAGUAAUCAUGCAAUUUAGGCCUUAAAAGCCACAAGGGACUCGAAAAUGGAUAUCCUUGUGCUCUAAACCUUCCUAAUCACUAAAGACCAUUAGUAAACCCUUUUUUCCUAAGCCUUGUUGGAGUCAAGGAGUUUCAACACUAAAUCUCUAUCAUUAAAGUUUGGCAUAAAAUCAUCAUUUUUACCCUUGUGCAACUUUAUUGAACAAGGAAAGAGUACCUUUCCUAAAUUGACAUAUUGUCCCUCUAACAUGUUGAGGAUAAUAGUACAAACCAAGAAUGUGACGAUGGUAAGGUUAACUCUAAUGAGAAAAACCCUAGAAAAAUCAUAAAGCUAACAAAUAGUGGAAGAAAAGAGAAAUGAAUGUUAGCCUGGAUGUGGGCAAUCAAGACAUCAUCUCCUUUUGAGAACUCAUAAAGUUAGUCUAAGAAAAACAACCCACUCAACAUAAGAAUAGGCCCCUUAGCAUAACUCUAUCAGGUCUAAAAAUCCUUGGAGCACUUGACUAAGAAGUCCUUGUUCUUUGCCAUAAAAAUUGAAACCCAUACUUGCUCAAAAAACCCAAGAAGAGGAAAAUAGGUGUAAGAAUAAGCCUCAAAGUACUAUUUAGUGAAGAACCACAAAGAGGCAUGAAGAGGGCGAGACUUAACUACCCAUUAAUGCGUAACACUCUAAGAAUCUCAAAAUGCUCCUUGCAUAACAAAUUAUCAUAAUGAUGUAUGGCAUUUUUAAAUCUUCCUCAUCCCUUACGAACUGUUGUCAAAGAAAAAUGAGGGAAAAAUAUAGGGGUGCUUGGUAGAAGAAGGCCACGUGUUAGCAAGAGAAUAGGUAACCAAAACCCUAGGUAUGAUUAUGCUUAUAUCUGAACCCCUUGCACAAGUGCUAAAUGAUUGAUCACUCGCCAACAAGCAUGAAUGAACAAUAAAUGCUAACUUAGACCAUACUCAUGUGACCUUAACAAAGUCUAUGCCUUGAUAUACGGAAACUCCAACUACUCCCUCAAAGGCCUUGUAUAAAAGUGACCACAACCUCUAUGCCAAGUAAGUAUUCUAAAAUCCAAGAAAUUAGCCUUUUGGAUUGACACUCAUUCAUCUAUUAGUUCCCUCAUUCUUUCUACGAACGACAAAAAAAUCAUGAUAAAUCGACAAUAUGUUAACAAAAUAUCGAAUUUUGAUUGGCACUAAAGCAACACAUAGUGGAGAAAUUUCAAUCAACCAAUUUUUUUUUAAUCAUUUUUCGGGGUAUUUAUGGGUUUUUUUACCAAUUUUUUUAGUCUAGUCAACAUGUGGCUGGCUCGGUCAAACUGCCUACUCAGUCAAAAUCAAUCAAACUUCAAAAGUGAACAUGGUUUGAUGUAGGGGGGGUUUCGAACCUAGACAAAAGGUUCUACACCUACACCACAUGACCAUUGGGCAUUACCCUUUAAUCAAUAUCAUUCACUAAUAUAUAUAUAUAUAUAUAUGUAUGUACGUAUGUAUGUAUGUAUGCAUGUAUGCAUAUAUGUAUGCUGAGAAAUAAAACUGUCAUUGCAGGUAGAUGGUGGAAAUCCUUGUUAAUAUUUUCAAUCUCAUCUUCAUCCCAACUAAAGACCAAUCUUGAAAAUUGAUGUCCAUCUGCCUUUCUUAUUUCUCAUGUGCCAAACUUAUUCUUAAUUAUGCUCUUAUUCCAUGGGCUUUGUGGUGUAUCAGAGUCUUACUAUCCAUUUAUAACACAAAAUGACCUAUUAUAUAACAUAAAAUCAAAUAAAUAAUAACAUGCAAUUGUGUGCCUUAUAUUUAAUUUUUAUUCAACAAAAUUAGGGAUAUUCAUAUAUUUUGGUAGAAUUCAUUAAGCUUAUAUUUGGUUGGGAUGAAUUUUGAUAGAAAUUAAGAAAUAGAAAUAAAAUAUAUAUAUAUAUAUAUAUAUAUAUAUAUGCAAAAAUAUAAUUUUUUUCCCUACUGUUUAUUUUACUAUGAAAAAAUUAAAUGAUAUAAAAUUAAAUAUACCUAAGAAAUGCAUUUUUAUUCCCAAAUUGUUUCCAACUUUUCUGAGGAAAGUGGAGAAAAAAUUUUAGAAUUCCUCCUGCCUUUUUCUGUAAUAUUUUUCUUACAUUUUCAUGUCAUCCAAAGCCAUGAAAAUUAAUUAUUCUUUUCUCUAUAAACAAAAGCAAGGGAGAUGCAGCGAAAAACACAAAGAAAAUUAAAAGAGUCAAGCGAGUAAAGAAACUAACAGUGAUAUAUUAUGAGUUCCCAUAACUCGAAGCGAUUUCCACUUCGGAAAGCCCAAGGCCUUUUAGCCAAUACCGUCAAAGGGGUUUUAACAUCAUCAGAAUCUUUAUCAUCAUAAGAAUCUUUAGCAUCACCGAAAUUGCAUGUGGCAAGGUCAGGAAAACGUUUAACCAGAUACAGUGCUACAUCUGCAUAUUACAAAAUUGUACAUGGGAACCCGACGGUAAUUCAUAUCAAGAAAAUAGAUAGGGGAUGGUAAAUAUAGCUCACCAUGAAACCCCACCAUUAGUGCUCUGUGCAGAAGUAUGACUCCAGGCUUGUCUGCGAAAGGACUUGGAUCUACAUCAUCUCUGGUGACGCUUAAUAAAUAUAAAGUCAGCUCUUUAUGACCAUACCUAAGAGCGCUGUGAAGAGGCACUAAAUUGCCUUGGUUGCAGGUAUUGAGCAAGCUUGGGCUUUUGUUCACUAACAACUUGACUGCUUUUAUAUUGUCAGCCCUUACAGCGUUGAAAAGGGCAGUGGCGCCAUCAGAAUCCUUCAGAGCCAGUUUAUCUAUUGGCAUAAAGUCAACCAACUGCUCCACGAAACCCAUUCUGGCCUCUCCUAACUCAACUGCUAUGUGAAGCAUUGUUGAAUUAUCUAUUCCGAUCGGGGCGUCCAAUAAUUGUGGCUCACGCCCCAAUAAUUCUGAAGCACUUUCCCAGUCACCAUUGACCACAGCUUUGUACAGUUCCGAGUAAUAGAUUAUAUCUGCAUCAUAGAAUUCUGCAGUCACAAAACCAAAAGAUGUAUAGGUCAGCCUAGAUUUCCCUGAUAUGUAUAUUUCUUCAACGUUCACAACAUCCUAAUACUAAAAUUACUUUUUUAAAAAUAAAUCAUUUAAGUUAUGUUUGGUUCUUAGAAAAUUUGACAAAAAUUACAAGGAAAAGAAAGUAAAUUGAAAAAAAUAGCUAGAAGGUGAGAAAAAGUGAAAUAAAAUAUAUCUAAAAUCAAUAAAUUAAUUAUUUUUAUAUGUUACUCAUUUCACUUAUUUUAACUAUUCAAUAUAAAAAUUAAAUAAUUUAAAAUUUCAUAAAUUUAUAACUAAUUUUAAUUAUAUUUGAUUUUCUUAAAUAUUUUUUUCGAUAUAACCAAAUAUGGGAAAAUCAUUUUGCUUGAUAUAUUGCCUUUGCUAAUUAUUUUCUUGGACUUCUUUGUUUACCUCUAAUCAACAUCUUUAUAUCUUUCAAUAAUAGUUUGAACCUCCAAUAAACUACACGAAUUAAAAUUUAAUUUAGUUUCAUUUGUUUUUUUAACAGCAGGUUGUAAAACAGUUCUACUUGUAAACUAAUUAUGCCCAAAAGUUGCAUAAGGACUUGGGCAUGAACAUGGUUUUUAGAAUCUUACCGGAGCUGCUAGUUCUUUGCAAAGAUGAAGGGGAAGAGACUGAAGCAUUGUUUGGGCUGUCAUCAUUACCGAGAUGGUAAUGAAGAGGAAGCCAUUGCAGUACACUCCUCAUCAUCCUCAGCAAUGUCGAUGUUACUGUUUUUAGGACGUAGUGAAGAAGAAGAAGUCAUCACAACAAAUUCCGAACAUGAAACUUUGGUUUAUUCGACUCUUUCAUUAUAGACGGAUAAAUUUCCAAAUUUAAGACAUAGACAAAAUUAAAAAAAAAAAAAAACUUUACUUGAUAUAUGAAUACCAAAAUAAUAAUAUUGUGUGUAACAAAAAGGAGAAUGAAUCCUGGUUGAAUGAAUAGUGCAUGCAGAAUCUUCAACUGCAUUGACCCAAAAGAUCAAACCGAUAGAAAAAAAAAAUGAAUAUAUUAGAAUUCAACUAGGUCAACCACAUUCCAUCCAAGUCAAAUACCAGCCCACAAUCGCAGCAAACAAAGACUAGCUAGCCAGUGCGUUUAAUUUCAUCCAAUAAGAAUUCCCUCAAGCAAAAAGCCAGGAAACAGAAGUAGUAGGAAAGCCCUAGCCUUGCACCAAAAAAGUCUCGUCUCAUUGCUGGGAGUGCAUGCAUCCAUGCAGGAUCUGUUGGAUCAGAAAUUGGAAGAGCUAAAGUCCAGGACAUACAGAAGCGGUCGCCGGAGCCAAACCUAGUGAGCUUCCAUUUAAAGAUUAAAGCUAUGUUUGGUUCCCGAAAAUAUUAAUUUUCUACCAUGUAUCCAAGGGAAUCAAGGGCCUCAUAUGAUUCGAUGUUAUAAAGUCGGCCUCUACAAUUUAGAUUAAAAAAAUAGUUUGUUUCAAAGGAUAAUCCAUCAAAGAAGAAUGAAACAACAUUCUCAUCCUAAUCUUCUAACCUAACAUUGGUGAAACUUUUUAAACUCGUUUUCUUUGAAAUUGAUCAACUGAUCCAUGAUGGAAAACGACCUACAUGCAUGAAAGCAACCUAGGUAGUCUUCAAAGUCCAUUUUAGCCAUAAAAAUUCAAACACCCAACUUCUAAAACUAGAAGAGGUUGAACUAAAAACGAAAGAGAUCGAAACUAAUGAUUCUAUUCUUAACAAAAAUUCAUAGCCUACCCAACCUCACACGAAAACACUUCUUGAAUUGGUUGGCAUCACUUCCACAUGGAAAUGGCAUCAAAAAAUGCAUGCGUCUCAUAGUUGUAUUCUUAUUGUUGACUAGUGUCCCAUGUCACGCCCCAAGACCCACUCCAAGGGCGUGACGGUCAUUUCACACCUCAAACCCGAAGGCUUAAAGUAUAAUCUGACCCAAACAAUCAUAUUGUAAUUGGAUGUUACCAAUUACCAAAUACCUGUUCAGAGUAGCGGAACAAAAUCUAAAAUCCUAAAAAUUUAAUUUCCAAAUAACUUCCAAAUAUCAAAUGAUCCAAAUAAAAGUUGCAGAAGGACCUCAAGCGGAAAUGGACAUGAACAUGGUUUUUAGCAUCUUACCGGAGCUGCUAAUCCUUUGCAAAGAUGAAGGGGAAGAGACUGGAGCAUAUUCAUCAGCAUUCUGCGCCAUAUUGAUGCUACUACGGUUAGGAUUGUUUGGGCUGUCAUCAAUUACCGAGAUGGUAAUGAAGAGGAAGCCACUGCAGUAAACUCCUCAUCAUGCUCAGCAAUGUCGAUGUUACUGUUUUUAGGACUGUUUGCGCUGUUGUCAUUUCUAGGACGUAGUGAAGAAGAAGAAGCCAUUACAACAAAUUCCUUAUCGUUCUAUAGUAUUGCCAUGUUUAGCGAAGUUAUUCUAAUGUGUAACAGAAAACCUAAACAAAAUCUGCAGUUGACAAAGGUCAAAAUUAACUUACCUCGCAGAUGGAAGAUUAUAUUUAACUAUAUCAAGGCAGAGAAGAUACUCUCAUCCAAAGAGAAACAACAGCAGCCCUUUUUCCCACUGUCUUCAAAAGAUACAGGAACCAUUGAAGCAUAAGAGGUGCAAUGAUAUAGUCUUCCAAGUCAACUUUAUUUAGUUGAGUAUUGGGUAAGGAGUAGACAUGAUAAACAAUAGUAAACAUGUAUCAAAUAUAAAAAAUUUCUCACAAGUGAUGCAAUUAACAUUUUUUUUCUUCAAUAAUAUGUAUAAUAUAUACCAUGUGAUGUAUUAUUUAUACUUUAAGCUUUGUUUGGAUAUAUUUUUUAUUUUUUAUAUAUAAAAAAUAAAUUAUAUUUUAAAAUUUGUGUAAUAUAAAAAAGUUAUUAUUUUUUAGUAUUUGAUAUAAUACAUUUAUAUAUUUAUUAAAUUAUGACAAUAAAUGAAAAUAAAGUGGAGAGGACGAUGUAGGUUGGCAAACCUUUCUGGAGUGAAUGCAGCGCAGCAAAAGAGAAGGUACCAUUAACUUGAAUGCGAGAAGGGUGAUUGAUCUAUCAAUCUGUACGUGUCCUUCUUGAAAGGGACCAGAUUUUAUGGGGUUGCUUAAGGAUUAAUGUGGGUGCCUGUAGCAUGAAAGUGAAAAGAAUUUUGGGUCACCAAGGCGCCUCCCAUAAAAAUAUAUCUUUUAGGUCCUUUUUCCCCAGAGUGUCCUAUCAUCCUCUGAUAAAAAUAAAAUUUUAAUUAAUAAUUAAUAAUUAAAUUUUUAAUUCAAAAAUAAAAUUAUAAUUAUUAAUUAAGAUUUUGAUUAAAAAAUAAAGCUUCAAUGGAUAAUUAAAACUUUAUUUUUAUCUCAAAUUUUAAUUGAUAAAUAAAAUUUUGGGCUAAUAGUUUUUAGUAAAAAAGAUUUAUAUUCUUUCUUUGGGCAAAUUGAACAUAGACUUAGAUUUCACUUAGAAUGAUAAACAUUCAUGGAGCCAAAUGUAAAUCCGCACUCUUGGGCAUAAUAUUAUUGAGCCAUUGGUUACCAAAAAUUACUCUAAGGUAUCAUACCCACCUUUUAGGCCAAUAAAAUUAAGAAACAUGACAAGGAAAUUAAAAAAACCAAUUCUCCAGGUUUAGCAUGGUUGCCGAGGGAAUUAAUCAUGUGCACCACACAUUGCUAUGAUCGUUUGCAAUAACCAAUUAUAUAAAAUCUGUUGAAAUAUUUUUGUAAAAUGAUAAAAUUUUACAAAAAUGAUAAUUUUUUUUGUAAAAUAUAGAAAAGGAUACAAGGCUAUUAGUUCAUAAUUGCAUGAUAACCUUUUAGUAUUUCAAUCUUUGAUUUUUUUUGGAGAUUAUUUCCAUAAAUUCCACAUUCCAAAAACAAUGAUAAUCUUUACACAAUAUUAUUGUUAUUUAAAAUGGGAAAAAAAAUAUAAAAAAUAAAAAUUUCAAAAAAAAAUUAGAGAUCACAAAGAAUACAAGGAUACGAAGAAGGUGAGGAUUGUCAUAUUUUUUGUACUCUCCUCACAUUCUUCAUGCCCCAAACCAUUUGAAUAUUUUAAUCUUUUAAUUGUUCCAAACAUUAUUUACUUCAAUUGCAAGUGUAAUUAGCGUUUUUACACAAUAUUAUUUUCAAAUGAAGUAAAAAAGAAAUUCAAAAUUAAAAAUUUCAAAAAAUUUAGAGGGUACGAAGAAUGUGAAGAGCCUCACAUUUCUUGUACCCUCCUCAAAUUCUUCGUACCUAUUGUAAUUUUUAAAUUUUUUAAUCUUUCAAUUUUUUCGAACAUUAUUUGCUUCAAUUUCAAGUGUAAUAAAGAUUUUUACCCAAUAUUAUCAUCAAGUGAUGUGAAGAAAAACUUAAAAUUAAAAAAAUUUAGAGGGUACAAAAAAUAUGAGAGAGGAGGGUGUGAGGAAUGUAAAAAAGGGUAUGAGAAAUGUGAGGGUACAAGAAAUGAAAAAAAGAAAAAAAAAAAAUCUCAUACCCUCCUCACUUUCUUCGUACCCCUACAAAUUUUUUAAUAUUUUAAUCUUUCAAAAUUUUUGAACAUUAUUUGCUUCAAUUUCAAGUGUAAUUAGUCUUUUUACAAUAUAUUAUUAUCAAGUCAAUUUAAAAAAAUUAAAACAAUUUAGAGGGUACAACAAAUGUGAGGAGGGUGUGAGAAAUGUGAAGAGGGUAUGAGAAAUAUAAGGGUACAAGAAAUGAAAAAAAAAAAAAAAAAUUCAUACCCUCUUCACAUUUCUUGUACUCUCCUCACAUUCUUUGUAUUUUCACCAAUUUUUGAAUAUUUAAAUUUUUUUUCAAAUAUUAUUUGCUUCAAUUUCAACAAAAUUCUCAUACCCUCACAUUUUUCAUACCCCACCAAUUUUGUACUAUUUUAAUAUAUAAUUUUUUUUAAACAUUAUUUGUUUCAAUUUCAAGUGUAUUUAGUCUUUUUACACAAUAUUAUUGUCAAGUGAAGUGAAAAAAAAAAAACAUAAAAUUAAAAUUUUCAAAAAAAUUAAAGGGUACAAAAAAUGUGAGAAGGGUAUAAAGAAUGUGAAGAGGGUGCAUAAAAUGUGAGGGUAUAAGAAAUGAAAAAACAAAAUUUUCAUCCCAUUCUCACAUUCUUUGUACCUUCACCAACUUUUAAAUAUUUUAAUCUUUUAAUUUUAACCCAUCUAACCCUUAUAAAUCGUGUCAUUAAGGAAUAUGAGCUCAAAGUAAGGACCAUUGGGAUCCAUAGGAGUAUUGGCUCCCUUAGAAUCAAAUUCUGAAAUUGAUUCAACAUCCCACUAUAGAGAGUCAACUACACUUUAAUAUCCUAUGUAUAUUACAACAAGACACCAAGUACUUGGGUUUAUGAUCUACUAUCUAUUGCAUGCAAACUCCCUAUGAACCGGUGUCCGUAAUCUAAUAAGGUAGUGUUGUCACCUAUCAAGAUUACCCCUCAAAUCCUUUAGUUAAAAAUCACACUUAUUAUGUGAUCAAAUGACAUACUCUACCUUUAAGGGGCAUAUGUCAAAUUCCACUGAAGGAAUUACUAUGACCACUGAUUUCAUGAUCACAUGCCCUCUGGAUCACCCAAUGGGACAUAUUGUCUCAAUCUAAUGAGAUAUCAUGGUGCCUCUAUUGAGAAUACCUAUUGUCAUCAACCUCCAUCAACAGUGACCCAAUUCAUAGGGAUAUAUGACCGCUUUAGGGUUUCACUCAUAGGUUAAAGUCUUCUAUUAAUUUUGGCACAAAUUCAAUAUCCUCUAAAGUUGAGAGUCUAUGCAGUAGAGUAGCUUAGUGAAUCAUGAUAAUUUAUAGUCUUGCGUCAUGAUUCACAUAGGUCCUAUCUAGUGUGUAUCACAUACAUUAGUAUAUUCAUCAUAGGAAACUCAUCCCAACGACCAAGACCAGUCAUCCCUCCAAUUAGGAGGUAGUGCACUAUAGUCUCUACUGAAUUGCCCAAAUCCAUGAUCCAACUAUGGACAACUUAUCUACUUAGAAGGAAUCCAUGACUUAUACAUCUGUGCAACUCCUAAUGCACCCAAAUCAUGUACAAUGUAAGAAACAUGGGUUGAAUGUUCAAAUCAGUGUCAAUACACUAGAGGGAUAACAAGGGGAUAGUUAAAUCUAACUUUGUUACAUCAUGUCUUACUUAGUUAAGUUUAAUUUUAUUACAUCGUAUCUUGCUUUUAGGGGUUCAAUUCCAACAAACUCCUACUAGCCCCAAAAGUAUACUAUGUAUUGUAGAAAAAAUCUACUCUACAGUCACGUCACCUUUCUAUACUAUCCCACAGCAAGGUAUCACUUGCUUUUUAUAUGUUCCCUCUUAUAGUGGUACUUUAGUUCUUUGGACUAUGCCACCAUCCUAGAUAAUAGUAUCUUAAACAAUACAACCAAUGGAAAUACCCAUAAGCCAAAGGCUUCCUUUGUUGCCAUAGAAGUAACAAAAACCACUUAGAGUGUACACAAUCCAAGAGGUAGACAUGCAAGAGUCCUCAUCAGAAUGAAAGUCCAAUUUCUCGAUACAAGGACUCACAAACAUAUAAUCCUUCAUUCUCUAUGGAUACUAGAGUAUAUGUUUGACAUUCGCCUAAUGAAGAAAUGAACUAAUAUCUACUCAUUAUUCCUAUAACAAAGCAAAUAUCUGGUCUAGCACAUAUCAUUGUAUGCUUAAGGCUAUCCAUUGCAAAGGCAUUAGAUACCAUCUUAAUGCGAUCUCUCUCCACAUAUGUCCAAGGACAUUGAUCUUAAGAAAGAUAACUCCAAAUCCAAAGAGUAACAAACCUUUCUUAGAGUUUUACAUCAUAUACUUGACCAAAUGCUCAUUAAUGUAGAUGACAUGGCACAAUUUUUCAUAUUCCUACAAUGCUAAAGGACCUUAACCCUAUGAAUAUAUUAUGCCUUCAUCUAGAUUUUUAUCUAGAACUGAGUAAACAACUAGAUCUUGACAGAUGAAAAUAUCCUUACAUCAUAUCCAAUGAGUAGAUUAUCAUCUACCUACAAGAUCUUAGAGCAUUACCAUGCUCCCCUAUGCUUUCAUGUACACACAAGGCCCAUUGCUAUGAAAAUGUUUGGUUGCUAUAUCUCAUAAAUGAGACACAAUGCAAUAGAUAAGAGUAAUCUGAUAGAUUUGAGUAUGAUCACUAUUGAAAAGGUUUUCCACAGUUGAAACAAAGUUUCAAACUAUAACCUUUAGCUAUAGUCUUAGCCACAUAAAACUCAAGCUUUCCAUCUACUCUUGUAGACCAUCUUACACCUAUGAGUUUUAUCCCUUUAAGUGCUUCUAUAGGAACUCAAACUAUGUUAAAAUGCAAAGAUUCUAACUACCUCUUCAUAGCUCAUUACCUUAAGUGAGCAUAAACACUACUCAAUGCUUCAUCAUAAUCUAUGACAUAUAAACUUCCCAUUAUGAUAAGGCACUGUUGUACUCAAAAUCAUAGGAAUGGUAUGCCUUAAACCCUCUAGAUCCAUAGUAUCAUAUGCAAUGUGGGACUAUCUUCUAAUAUAUCUUCCAAUCAUUAUCAUUUUUUGCCUUAUUCCUUAUAAUAUAGUUUUCAUAAAACAAAAUUGACAUUUGUGUUAACAAAUAUCUUCUGAUGAUCCUAACUAUAAAGGUAAUAACCUAAAAAUCCUCUUAUACAUCCUAUAAAUUGAUAUACCUCUUAAGAAAAAGGGUAAUCACCUUUUUAAAAAAUAGUAGGUAAAAUAUACUUGAUACAUACCUUCAACCACUACAAGAAAAAAGGUCAUUGUUGACAUAUUAUUAUCUUGACUUAAGGUGAAAUGUGUCAAUGUUGCCUAUUUUAAUGAACAACUAUGACAUAUACAACUUGUUUAAACCAAUAAUGACAUAUAUAAAAUUUGUUGAAUUCUUUCAUGACUUAUAUAGUAGAAUCUUGACAAAUAAUUUAUGAGUCAAUGUAUUCAAGGUACUUAAAUAAAAGCAAUAAUGAUAAUAAUUUGUUUGAUAUGUGUAUAUCUAAUUUACUUACUAAGUAUUAUAAAUUGAAGUGACAACAAUCAAUUUUGAUUAAGGAAGUUAAUAUUUAAUAAAUUUUUUUAGUAAUGUUAAUAUCAAUUUUCAUUUUUUUUAUCAAAUUGAUUAAAUCAUUUUUUAGUCUAUAUCAAUAGCACUGAAAUAAAUUUGUGUACAUAAUUUUUUAUGCACUAAUUUUAGUGAAAUAAAAUUUGCUACAUUAUGGUUUUUUUAUAAUUGGAUAUAAAUAAAAUCAAUACUAAUAAAGUAUUUUUUUUAUUCAUUGAUGUUAAUGAUUUUUUUUUUUUUUUUUGAGUUUGUAUUAAUAUAAUAUUUUUUUCAUAAACUGUUUUUCAUUAUUUUUAAAUUAGUAAGUAACUUGUAUUUGAUUUAAAAAUAAUUAAUAAAUUUGUGUAAGCUUGAAAAUUAAGAUAUUUGGAAUUUUGAUUUAUCAAUUCUUCGGCAUAAUAUCAGGUUUCAAAAUUUUAUUUUUUAAGUUAACUCAUACAAAUUUAGACAUUAGGAAAGAAGAAAAUUAAUUAUGGAAAAUUGACAUUAUAAAAGUUAUAAAUAUAUUCCAUGAAUUGAUUUUCAUAAAGAUAUUAUUAUUAUUAGUAUUAUUAUUAUUAUUAUUAUUUGUUUAUUUACUUUAUGUUUUUAUUUUUUAUUUUAUUUUCAUUUCUUUUUUAAAAUGCUUAUUUUAUUUUAUUUUAUUUACCUAAAAAAAAGGGCUUUGAAAAAUGUAGAACAAUCCAGCUCCAUUCGGGAAAAAUCUCUCUCUAGAUUGAUGGUUCCUGUUGAGUGGUAGAAAGAGAAAUUAGGUUUUUGAUUUUGAGAAGCAAUCUUCUAGGUUUUGACCUUUAAGGCAAAAACUACUCAUCAAAACGCAUUUGUUUCCGAUUAUCUGGUCUUAGCCACAUCUUAAUUAUUCAUAAAUUUUUAGCCCCAAAAUUCAUUCUGUUCUUAUUCAAAUCAAUAUCUGAGUAAGAGUAUGUCUGUGUCAUUAACCCAUAUUUCUUGGUGGUUAUGGAGUGGAAAACACCAAGAGCCCAAAAGACUCUCCAAUGGAUCUUCUUUAAAUUCUUCUCAAGAUUCAGGUUUGUGGGAGUCGGAUGCUUUGAAAUUCCCUUUAGUUAAGGGGACUUCUUCAUUCACAUUUCAACUCUUUUUUUCUCCCAGAACCUCUUGAUUCUCUGAAUCUCAAAGUCUCCCAAUCUCCCGCACCUCGAUCCACGCAGAUCUCCGAUUUUUGCUAUUUUUUAUUUUUUUUUUCUUCGUGAGAAUUUUCAACCUAGGGUUUUGAUUUUGUAUGUUCUAGUUUUUGCUUCGAUCUCCUCGAUCUCGGUUCCGAAUUCACCCAAGGUUUGAUCGUUUGAUUGUUGGAUUGUUUGGUUCAUCUCAUGGAGGCGAUCGAUGAGCUCAUGCAGCUGUUAGGGUCUAUGUGCUAGGCCGCGGCACUGCUGGCGGAUGAAGAUGUGGAUGAGAAUUCGAGUUCCAGUUCUUCUCAUAGGGGUUCAACUUUUCUUAACGUUGUUGCUCUUGGAAAUGUCGGUGCUGGUAAAUCUGCAAUUUUGAACAAUUUGAUUGGACAUCUUGUUUUGCCUAUUGGAGAAAAUGGUGCUACUCGGGCUCUAAUAUGUAUUGAUUUACAAAAGGAUUGUUUCCUAAGCAGCAAGUCGAUCAUCUUACAAAUUGCCAACAAAUCUCAACAAGUUUCUACAAGUGCUCUUCGACAUUCUCUCCAGGACAAGCUGAGUAAGGGUGCUUCAGGCAAGAACCGAGAUGAAAUAUAUUUGAAGCUACGAACUAGUACAACACCUCCUCUGAAACUGGUUGAUUUGCCUGGAUUGGAUCAACGGAUUAUGGAUGAGACAUUGGUGAGUGACUAUGCUCAGCACAAUGAUGCCAUUUUGCUGGUUAUUGUACCUACUGCCCAGGCACCUGAAAUGGCUUCAUCUCGAGCUCUCAAAAUUGCUAAGGAAUAUGAUGGAGAUGGUACAAGAAAAAUCGAUGUAAUUAGUAAAAUAGAUCAAGCUGCAUCAUACCAGAAAAUCCUUGCUGCUGUUCAGGCUCUCUUGUUAAAUCAGGGUCCUCGAAGUACAUCUGAAAUGCCAUGGGUUGCUUUAAUUGGGCAAUCUGUUUCAAUUGCCUCUGUCUGGAUCUAUUGGGUCUGCAUGAGUUUGAUAGCGUGCCUAAAAGAAUGUCUAUUGUCAUCAAAUUCCCCAACGAUACUGUGAAAGACUUGGUGAAAGGUGUUGAUUCUUAAAUGUUUAGCAUUUUAGCAAAAGACAGUGGGAGGAAUAGUCAUGUAAGGCCGGCAACUCAGAGCCAUUUCACUGAAUAUUCAUCACAAGGCUUACUCACACUUGUAGUUGCUGCUAGGGAUAUUAUUGAUGAGGAACUUUCAGAGUGGCAGUGUAAGUAUGAAAAUGCAAGCACUUCAUUGACUGAUAGAUCCGUAAAACUUCAUCAAACAACAACUUUCAUUGAAUGCAAAUUAAAUCUUCUUGGGUCUACUAGGAUGAGAAUAAGGCUUCCACUUUGAACCUCCACUACACAUCAGUUUAUUUUUUGUAAAAAAAAAAAAAAAAAGAAUGCUGCCACUUUAAGAAUAUGGCACCACCAGAUUUUGUGAAAGGCAUCCACACAUGAAUUUGGAGGGCAACCAUACCAUGCAAAGAAGAUGAUUGCCACUUUAAGAAUAUAGGUUUAGUUAUUUUUUAUUUAUUAGUCUUUAAUCUUAUCAUUAUUAUUGGUGAAUUAACCUCACUUUUGUAGAAUCAUUGACGCUUGCUAUAUAGGUACGCUCUCUCUCUUCCCAUUUUAAAGUUUCAUGAAUAUGUAUGUCAUUAAGAACUAUAUCCUCAUUUGAUAUUGACUUUGGGUGCCUUGAUAUUCAUUUGAUUUCCUUUGAUAAAAUGCAUGUUGAGUAAUAUAAUACUUGAAAAUUGCUAUUUUGAUACUUGUUGCUUACUUUGCUAUUAACAUGUGUCUAUCCUACUAGGUAUUCAAGAAAUAUAGCAAAAAAGAAGAAGAAGAUGAAGAAUUAAUGACCACCUCUUAUGAAGAUAGUAUUGUACUUUUUAAUUUAAGUUUAUAUAUUAUCUUAAUUGAAUAUUUGUAAUUAGUUUUUUUUUGUAUAUAGAAAAUAGAGAGUAAAUAGAAAAAGAUUUAUUCCAUUGUGUUUUUAAUAUUCAAAUGUAUCUAUAACAAUUUUUUUCCCUUGAGUAAUAGUUUAUUUACAUUGUUUUAGGACUUAGUUAUUAUUAUCAUAAUUAAAUAUGUAUCAAAAUUAAUUUGGAAACAAGUUUCAUAUGGUAACAAGUUUAUUUUCCAUUAAAACUAAAAAUUAUAGUAAAAUAAUAUUAAAUUUGUCAUAGGCAACCUUGACAGAUGGCCAAUGCCCAACAUUGACAUUGCAAUAGCUAGAAACCUUCACAUAUUAUACUUAUCCUUGACAUUUGUUGUAGCAACCUUAACAGAAUAUCAAAUUAACAUUGACAUAUGAUAAAAAAAUCUUGACAUAUGUUGAAUCCAACCUUGACAAAAGUGAAAGAAACAUUGACAUAUGUCAUAGUAACAAAGAUUCGAUCAUUGGUAGAAAUAGAAACAACCUUGACAUAUGUAAAUGUCAAGGUAGAUUUAAACUUUUCUUGACACUGGAAUAGAUGACAUAUAUAAAUAGUAACAUACCUUGACAGAUAUACCCUACCUUGAUGGUGAAAAACUGUCAACGAAAGGCUUUUUUCUUGUAGUGAACCUUUUUCUUGUCUUACAUUUUGGUCUCUUAUAUUUCAAAUCCAUCAUUUUACCCAUUCAAACUUAUUAGAAAGCAAUACUUCAAUAUCAUUUGCAAACCCUUUAUAAAUUAUAAAAAGGAAUUUUUUUUUCCACAUUCUUGUUUGAACAUUGGUUUGAAUUUAGGUAAAACCAAUUUUGAAUUGAUAGCCUUGGGUAGUAUUUGAUUACUACUCAAAAAGUGCUCUUUGGUAGCUUGUAUUUAACCCUUUUAAACACUUUUGAGUAGUAGUUUUGGCCUUUUAACUCAAUUGGCAUGUUAAGGACCCUUGAAAGCAAUUUUAAUCACUUUGUGUAAGUUUUGGUGUUUUUGUUAGUAAUUUGAUCACCAAAGCAAUCCAAGAUUGAGGAGAGUUAUGAGGAAUCUUGGGCAAAUCUUGGAAGUCAUUUGCCAAGAGUAAAUCCGGAGUGCAAGGAGAAGAAGUAAAGAGAAUCUGCCAUGAAGCAUAUUCUUGAUGACAGUCGUGGCAGCCACUUUUGGAGCACUUUAUGAAGUCUAAUUAAUGCAUGCUAUAUACCAUUUCAAAGCUCAGGAAGUCAAAAAUCCAAUGCUUUAAACGGUACGUAAUUCGGAGUUGAAACGAAGAAGUUACAGCCAUUGCAAGUCAAUCACUCCAAGCUGAAGGAAGCAUUUUGCAAAAGGUUGCGAAAUCACCCUUUUGUUGCGAAGUGAUUUCGCAGCCUUUUUGUAUAGUGUGGUGUAUUUCCUCCUGAAGUUGCCCGAUAUAUGCCACAAGCUGGAAGCUGAGAACCUCAAGAUGGAAGCCAACUUCGCAGCCCUGCGAGAAUAACCUUUUGCUGCGAAGUGAUUUCGCAACCCUUUUGUGUGUCUGCGAAAUCUCGCAGACAUCAUUUUCUCUUGCGAAAUGGUCCGUAGUGCUUCCCGAUAUUUGCUACCGACAUUGGGAGAUAUUUUCCAUCAGAUUUUUGUUGUCUAAAUCCCAAAAUACUCCUUGUAAGCCACCAAUUACAAGAUUCCUUAGCUUUUAAGUUAGUAAAAAGAGAAAAUAUCUAUAUAAUAAUUAGUUUUGUAUUAUGUUCAUAUAUAUACUCUUCGAGAGCCUGUUCGAACGAGAGGAGACCCUUUGUAAAGUUUUGAAAAGCAAGUAAAGUUCAGGCCCUUUGUUUUGCCUUACCUUCUCACUUUGUAUUAUUUAUUUCUUACUAAGUUAUGCACUCUCUAAGGAAUUUUCCCCAGAGAAUGAGUAACUAAACCUCUAGUUCCUUGGAGCUAAGGUUGCCGGGGAAGGUUCCAAGUGCAAGAAUGCAAAGCUUUGUGGUUUCAGCCAUCAAUGAAGAGGAAGUGAAAUCCUUUAGUGAUUUCUAUGUUUUUAGUUAACUUAAAACACCUUAGAGUCACCUGGGCCAACACUUGGUAUAGCAAGUGAUCUCCAACCAAGGAGAUGCAUUAGUUUACCCCUUGCGAGCCUCUGGGAGGCGACUUUAAGGUAGGAUUUUUUGGAAUUGCCAACACUUGGUAAGCUUUUAGACUCCAAGGAGACAUCCAUUAGUUAUCUCUUGCGAGCUUGAGAAGGGAAGUCUAAGGUUAAAGAUCACCUUGAAUGGUUAAGGCUUAGUUAGAGGCUUGAACCAUUGCAAGUUGCAUCAAUGAGAGAAUUAAAGUUGAAAUCUAAUUAAAGGAUGUAUCUGUACAACACCGGUUAGAGAAUUGACAAUAUGUUGAAUCUCUAACGCGAGGAAAUGAACCAUUUGACCGGAGCUAUGUCUUUUGCAUGAGGAACCACCCCAGUGAACUUGACUCUCCAAGGAAUGUUUUUCUUCCUAAGUUAUUCCCAUUACUUGUUUUGUUAGUUAGUUUGAAUCUAAAUCUUUACCAAUCAAGGUUUGAGUUUUAUUUCUUAAGCUAACCUUGAAAUGAAACACUACCAAUUCACUUUGAAUUGAUAUCAUUGAUAACUUGCUAAUCCUUCCCAGUGAACGAUCCUAGAGCCACUAUACUAUAGUAGAUUUUUCUUUGCUACCCUAGUAUAUGGUGUAAUAGGUUAUAAAUUUUGUUGAUUACUCCCUCAUCCAAGGAGCACCAGCUGGACAUGAAUCAGUUGAGACACCAAUUAGGCAUGAAUCAGUAUUUCCUAAACAUCUUUAUAUUAUUAUUUAUUAUCUAACCCUUCAUGUCUUGUGGAAGCACGUUACAUGUUAUCUAUGCUAUCUAGGUACGCCCCCUAUCACCUACCUUCUAAAUUUUGUGAAUAUGCUUGUCACUAUGAACCGUGCCUAUGUUUGAUAGUGCAUGGGUGUCUUGAUAUAUUGUUUCAUUGUUCAAUCAUUUCCAAUAAAGUGCAUGUUGGAUGAUAUGCUAUUUGAACUAACUUUAAUGUCUUGUGAUAGCACUUAAGAAGCAGUCCAGACACACACCCUAAAUUGUCUUUAUGAUUUAUGAUUGAUUAUUUUGUUUAGCAUGCCAUUUUUUUUUUUAAAUCACCUUAGUUUACCUAGGUACCCUCAAUCAACCAAUUAAUUGUCCCAAUUCCCUCAACUUAGCUAGUAGAGACCUCUUUAGGGCUUAGAGGGGUGCUACCUGUUAGAGGUACCUUCCCAAUAGGUAACUUGAUCCCUGAACCUAGACUUAGGUUUUUCAAAGACACGUUUUUCCAAAAACUAUGGAGUCACUUAUUUAGGGUUUUCUUUCUUGUUUUAUUUUCCAUUUUAAAAUAAAAUAAAAUAAGUGGUAACUCCAACUUUUCCAAAAUUAUUUUUUUUCACCAAUAAAAGCAAGUCUCAUCGAUUGAGUGGGAGCACAUAUGAAAAAUACGAGUCCACACUACGGCUUUUGUAGUACUCUAGGUAUCGUCCUCAUGGACUAGCUUAUGGAAAUUGUCAAUACUACAAUAAAUGAAUUGCUUUCGUUUGAAUCCUAAAGUGAAAAAUACUAUGAGAAUAAUGUGAAACUAAGUAAAAGAAAAUAAAUUAAUAACAAAAUGGAUAUUUAUUUUAAAUUCAAUUGAUUCAAGUUUGGGGCUUUCUACAAUCCAACAUAGGGUAUAUAAAUUAGAGAAAAUAAGGGUCUUUUAAGUAAUAUGAUCUUAGGGUUUUGGGAUCCUUGGCUGCUCGUGAUCAAGUUGAGUUCUAUAACACAAAAUUGCAUCUGAAACCUAAUUUUUCUUUUUUAAAUCAGAUUCCUAAAACCAUCAAAUGAAUUAGAUUGAUUACUAGUUUAAGAUUUGGCUUUUUAACCCUUCCUACUCUUUAUAGCUUUGUUUUGGGGCAAAUAACGAUAGAAAAAACGAGGAUAACUAAGGAUCAAGAAUUACCAAGAAUCACUAGUAUCGAGUAAUAACCUACCGUAUCAUUCCCUAAACUAACUCACAAGGAUAGGAUAAAAAAUGAUAAAUUGUCACCCAACCAAUAAUUAAUCUCAUUGUUAUAAUAAUUUACCCAUUGUCCCUAUAGGUUUCCUAACCCUUAGGUUUUCAUGCUUUAAGCCCCAAGUUGGCUCUUAACCUCUCAUGGGGGUGAUGUCACAUUCAAUCAAUAAUAGGGCAAAAAUCCAUAAUUUGAAUGAAAAGAACCUAAAACAAUAUAUUUAAUAAAGAAGAAAAAGAAAACAAACCAAAGUUCUCGUCUUCUUCCACCUUCAAUGUCAAACUCUCUAGGAAAAAAAAUCCAAGAUCCCUAAAACAUAGAACUAAGAGAGUUUAGAUAAUAUCAUCAAUUACCUAUCCUAUGGCACACUCUCAUUAGCCACUUAUUACAAAAAUAAUUACCUAAAAAUGAUUAAAAAAAUAAUAAAAUGGUGAUUUCUAGUUGUGUGGGGUCCAUUUAAGUUUGAUGGAGUGCCUUAGAUGCAAUUCCCAAGGUAGAGGAGGCGAAACAUCAAAGUGGUAGUGGGUGAAUUUGAAAUUGGUGUCAUUUCAAUGUGGAUUUCGAAUUCAUAAGUUGAAUUUUGAAAUCAUUUUGAAAUGACCCUUUAGCUUUGUGCAGUUGUUUUCAAAUGGCCAUAACUUCUUCAUUUCAGCUCCCAUUUGCACAUUGUUUGAAGUAUUAGACUCUUGACCUCCCAAGCUUCGAAACAAUAUACCAUAUGUAUAAAAUGGUCUCUAGGAAAUGCUCCAAUUUUGUCCUCAAAGUCAGGGUAUAUAUUACCAUUAGAUUUUUGAGUUCUAAAUUUCCAUGCAGUUGAAUCUUGCUUCAUGCCUCAUUUUCUAUGUUUUCUUAGCUUCUUUCUUACUCCAUUAUGGUCAUUUCUCAUCUUCCAAACUCAUGAUAUCCUCAUCUUGCCUUUUCUCAUGGUCCAUGAGUCUUGACUCACUUAUUUCUUCAUUUAACCCUUUCUUGAUCUUUCAAAAUCUAAAGUGAUUCAACUUGCACCCUUUUCUUCCCUCGAACCUGAGAUAAGUCUCCAAAGUACAAAUUAAACUCACGGCUAGGGCUUUAGCAUCAAUUUAGGUAAAGUUGGGUGAUUUGAAUGUCCUUUGGUGCACAAAUCAUAUCAAAUAUGUGCCAUUAGAGCACAUAUUUUGGCUCCAAUCAUCUCCCUUAACUAAACUUUGCUAGUCCAUAGCAAAUGAAAAGAGUAAAGAAAAAAGUGAAAAAUAUGUAAUGAGAUUCAUGAAACCAUAUUGACUCAACAUAACUGAUUACUACUCAAAAAGUGCAUUUUUAUAAGCUUAAACUUAAUUGUAUUAAGCACUUUUGAGUAGUAGUUAGACAUUUUAUCCCAAUUGGCAUGUGAAGGACCUAGCAAAUGUUACUAACCAAUUUUUGGUAAGUUUUAAUGUUUUUAGUAGCUUUUUGAUCACUGAAACAACCCAAUAUUGAGAGAGAGUUUUGUGCAAGCUAUGGCAAGGCAAGUUUAUGGUCAAUCACAUGAAGAAUCUGAGCCUUAGAGCACUUCAAAACCCCUUGCCAAACUUGGAAAGGGGUUGGCAAAGCUAUUAGUAGUAAGAUGGACGGAAACAGAGCAUUUUGCAAGGCAAAAUCAUCAAAUUCGCAAGGUGUGCCAAAAUUCGCAAUGUGUGCCAAAUUUUGGCAGGGUGUGCCAAACUUUCGCAAAGUAUGCCAAAAUUUCGCAAGGUGUGCGAAAAUCACUUUAUGCGCACCGACCUUCAGGAAAAAUCUCCAGAAUUGUAAUUUUUUCUUUUUUACUCCUUUUGUAAUAGAUAAAAGACAUUAGGGUUUGUUUAGGAACUAUAAAUAGGGGUUGGAAAACCUCUCAGAGAUGAUGUUGUGUUAGAUAUUAUGUUUUAGAUAUUUCGUAAAGUCUGAGUUUUUCUCUGCCUUUCCUUCUCAUUUUCUCUUCACUUUCUCUCUAGCCAAACACCCUCUGAGGAUGAUUUCUCAGAGGAUGAAUGGCUAAGUUUCACAUUUCUUGGAGUGAUGGAAGCUAGGUAAAGGACCCAGAUGCAAAGGUGGGAGUUUUCCUUGCUAAAAAUGAAGGUAGUUGUGUAUCGUUAAUGGUUUGUAUGUCAAGUUUUAGCUUUAAUCCCUUAGAAUCACCUUGAAUGGCCAAUACUUGGUAAGCUUUUAGGAUUCUAUGGAUGCUUAUUGCUAGAUCCAUGGAUGUCCAUUAGUUAUCAAGUACGAGCCAUUGGAAGGUGGUUCAAGGUGAGGGUCUUUAGUGUUUGAAGUCAUUAAUGGGAAGCAACUACUAUUUUUCAAGAACCCUUUGGAUCAAAACUUAUUUGCUAAAUACAAAUCCGGUUUGGGAGAUGACCAUCCUUUAUGUCAUUGUCCCCAAUGCGAGGGGAAGAUCCGGAAUUUCCCACUUUGCAAUAGGAACCUGAUCCUAGUAACCAUAGCUCCAAGAGACUUUCUCUUUAUAAUAAUUUCAAUUGUUUAUGUUUGCUUAACUUAAAAUCAACCCUUCCAAUCAAUCUUAUUUUCAUUUAAAAACUAACUUCCAAAAAGAAAAUCACCAUUUCUUCUUUCAUUAAUGUUAAGUGUACAAAGAAAACCCAUCCCUGUGGACGAUCCUAGAGCCACUAUACUAUAGUAGCUUUGUAUUUGCUACUCUAGUAUAAGGUGUUGUAGGUUUUAUAAAUGUUUUGAUAGACACCCGACUGGGCAUGAAUCAAAUGGCGCCGUUGCCGGGAAUGGUGCCUAAGUACAUAAAUGUUACCUUUUAUGAGUACUUGUGAUCUUCAUCACAAGUUGGUGAUUUUUUUUUCACUAACUCGUUUUCUUUGUUUUUAUUUUAUCUUAUCUUUCAUUUACUUUUUAGCUAACUUGUAAUCUUUUCCUAGAAUUGUAGUCCUUUUUGUUUUCUUUGUUUUUGUUUCAGUACUCUCGAGUUGUGUAUGCCCUAUUGGAUAAGAGAUAUUGAGGAAAGACUUGUGAAAAUUGAAACUCCUCAAGAAAUCAAGUUGGAAGUCUGCUUGAACAUCAUGGAUAUUCCACCUGAAGAUCAGCAUAGCCAACAUGGGCAAGAGGAGAAUCUCAAUGCAUAUCGAUCCAUAAGGGACCGCAUGCAUCCACCUCGAAUGAGUGCACCUUCAUGCAUAGUGCCUCCCACUGAGCAACUAGUGAUCCGACCUCAUAUAGUGCCCCUUCUACCUACUUUCCAUGGGAUGGAAAGUGAGAACCCCUAUUCUCACAUCAAGGAGUUUGAAGACGUGUGCAAUACAUUCCAAGAAAGAGGAGCUGCAAUUGACUUGAUGAGACUCAAGCUAUUCUCUUUCACCUUAAAGGAUAAGACCAAGGUUUGGCUUAAUUCUCUAAGGCCGAGGAGUAUCAGAAUGUGGACUAAUUUACAAGCUGAGUUUCUCAAGAAGUUCUUCCCUACUCAUAGGACCAAUGGCUUAAAAAGGAAAAUUUCGAACUUCUCAGCUAAGAAGAAUGAGAAAUUCUAUGAGUGUUGGGAGAGGUACAUGGAAGCUAUCAACGCUUGUCCUCACCAUGGCUUUAAUACAUGGCUCUUAGUGAGUUAUUUCUAUGAUGGUAUGUCUUCCUCUAUGAAGCAACUCCUAGAGACCAUGUGUGGAGGAGACUUCAUGAGUAAGAAUCCAGAGGAAGCUAUGGACUUCUUGAGUUAUGUUUCUGAAGUUUCAAGAGGAUGGGAUGAACCGAAUACUAGAGAUAUGGGGAUAAUGAAGUCUCAGCCCAAUGCUAAGGGUGGAAUGUAUGUGUUGAGUGAAGACAUGGACAUGAAAGCAAAAUUUGCAACUAUGGCAAGGAGAUUGGAAGAGCUAGAACUAAAGAAAGUAUAAGAAGUAUAAGCCAUUUCUGAGGCAUGAGUGCAAGCUACGCCUUGUUCCAUAUGUCAAUCUUAUGAGCAUUUGGUGGAGGAGUGUCCAACCAUUCCAGUAGUGCGAGAAAUGUUUGGUGAUCAAGCAAAUGUGGUUGACCAAUUCAAGCCCAACAACUAUGCUCCUUAUAGAAGCACCUACAAUUUUAAUUGGAUAAACCAUCCAAAUUUCUCAUGGAAGCUAAGGCCACCUCAGUACACACCACCAGCUCAAGCACCUCAACAAGCUUCAAACCUUGAACAAGCCAUUGUGAAUCUUAGCAAGGUUGUGGGAGACUUUGUGGGGGAGCAAAAUUCAAUCAACUCUCAAUUGAAUCAGAAAAUUGAUAGAGUGAAGAGUACAUUGAAUAAAAUGAUGGAUGAGAUGCAAAAUGAUCUAUCUCAGAAGAUAGAUAAUGUUCAAUACUCCAUCUCAAGGCUCACCAACCUCAAUACUGUGCAAGAGAAAGGAAAGUUUCCUUCUCAACCUCAUCAAAAUCCCAAGGUAAUUCAUGAAGUAGAAGCUCAAGAAGGAGAAUCUUCAAAGUUGAGGGAAGUCAAAGCAGUUAUCACUCUUAGGAGUGGUAAGGAGGUUGUUCAACCCCCACCCAAGCUGAAACAUGAUGAAGGAAGUGAAUCAAAUAAGGACAUGGGUGAGAAAAAGUCAAAGAAAGGUGACCAUGAUUCAAGUGUGGAUGAAGAACCAAGGAUAGUCAUCAAGGAAGAUAUGAUGAAGAAGCACAUGUCUCCACCUUUCCCUCUAGCUUUACAUGGUAAGAAGGGAACCAAGAAUACAUCAGAAAUUUUUGAAGUGUUGAGGCAAGUGAAGGUCAACAUUCCUUUACUUGACAUGAUCAAGCAAGUUCCAACUUAUGCCAAAUUCUUGAAGGACUUGUGCACUGUAAAGAGAGGGUUAAAUGUGACCAAGAAAGCCUUCUUGACUGAACAAGUGAGUGCUAUCAUCCAAUGCAAGUCUCCAGUGAAGUAUAAAGAUCCAGGAUGCCCCACCAUUUCAGUAAAUAUUGGAGGGACAUGUGUGGAGAAAGCUCUUCUAGACUUGAGAGCAAGUGUGAAUUUGCUACCCUAUUCGGUUUACAAGCAGUUGGGACUUGGGGGGUUGAAGCCCACAUCCAUUACUCUCUCCCUAGUUGAUAGAUCAGUGAAGAUCCCAAGGGGGGUAAUUGAGGAUGUCUUGGUAUAGGUUGACAAAUUCUACUAUCCAGUAGAUUUUGUUGUUCUUGAUACUAAUCUAGUUGUCAUAGGGACAAACUAUGUGUCAAUCAUACUUGGAAGACCAUUCCUCGCUACUUCUAAUGCAAUCAUCAAUUGUAGGAAUGAAGUUAUGCAACUCAUGUUUGGCAACAUGACCUUGGAGCUAAACAUCUUCCAUUUGUGCAAGAAGCAUCUCCAUCUAGAAUAAGAGAAAGGGCCAGAGAAAGUGUGCAUGAUUGACACUUUGGUGGAGGAGCACUGUGAACAGAGCAUGGAGGAAGAUUUGAUUGAGAGUCUUGGGGAUCCUGAUGAAGGGUUACCUGAACCCUCAGAUUUGCUAACUACCAUGUCUCAUUGGAGAAAGAUGGAAAAGAUUCUACCUUUGUUCAAUGAGGAGGAGUCGCACAGAGUUGGUAAGGAGGAGCCCCCAAAACUUACUCUUAAGCUUCUACCUACUGGGUUGAAAUACGCAUACUUGGAGGAAGACAAGCAGUGCCCUAUGGUGAUUUCUUCAGCUCUCACCAUUCAUCAAGAGGAUUGUCUAAUCGAACUCCUUAGAAGAUGUAAGAAGGCCAUUGGGUGGAAAAUUUUAGACUUGAAAUGAAUCAGCCCUUUGGUGUGCACCCAUCAUAUCUAUAUGGAGGAGGAAGCAAAGUCAGUUCGCCAACCGCAGAGAAGGUUGAACCCUCACAUGCAAGAGGUGGUACGAGCUAAAGUUUUGAAGCUACUUCAAGCCGGUAUUAUAUAUCCCAUAUCAGAUAGCCUAUGGGUGAGUCCAACCCAGGUUGUCCCAAAGAAGUCUGGGAUCACGGUGGUGCAGAAUGAUAAGGGAGAAGAUGUCUCCAAAUGCCUUACUACUGGUUGAAGGGUGUGUAUCGAUUACAGGAAGUUGAAUGCGGUGACAAGAAAUGACCAUUUCCCGUUGCCUUUUAUUGACCAAGUGCUUGAAAGGGUUUUUGGGCAUCCUUUCUAUUGUUUUUUGGAUGGCUACUCUGGCUACUUUCAAAUAGAGAUUGAUUUGGAAUAUCAAGAGAAGACCACUUUCACAUGCCCCUUCGGUACAUUUGCAUAUAGGAGAAUGCAUUUCGGUUUAUGCAAUGCACCUGCAACUUUCCAAAGAUGCAUGCUAAGCAUCUUUAGUGAUAUGGUGGAGCGAAUUUUGGAAGUCUUUAUGGACGAUAUCAUCGUUUAUGGAAGUGCAUUUGAGGAUUGCUUAGUAAACUUAGAAGUUGUUCUAAACCGGUGCAUUGAAAAAGACUUGGUGCUUAACUAGGAGAAGUGUCAUUUCAUGGUACAACAAGGGAUUGUUCUUGGGCAUAUCAUCUCUAAGGAGGGUAUUGAGGUUGAUAAAGAAAAAGUUGAACUCAUUGUGAAGUUGCCAUCCCCCACCAAUGUCAAGGGAGUAAGGCAAUUCCUUGGACAUAUCGGUUUCUAUAGGAGGUUUAUCAAGGACUUUUCAAAGCUUACAAGGCCUCUUUGUGAAUUGUUGGUCAAGGAUGCUAAAUUCAUAUGGGAUGAAAGAUGCCAAAGAAGUUUUGAGCAAUUAAAGUCAUUUUUGACAACAAUACCCAUUGUGCGAGCUCUUAACUGGCAGUUACCCUUUGAGGUAAUGUGCGAUGCUAGUGAUUUUUCUAUUGAAGUUAUGAUGGGCCAAAGAGAAGAUGGAAAACCCUAUGUGAUCUAUUAUGCCAGUAAGACACUCAAUGAGGCUCAAAGAAACUACACAACCACUGAGAAGGAAUUGUUAGCAGUAGUUUUUGCCUUGGACAAAUUUCGUGCUUACUUGGAGGGGUAUUUCAUAGUGGUAUUCACCGAUCACUCUGCUUUGAAGUAUUUGUUGACUAAGCAAGACUGAUUAGGUGGAUCCUCUUGCUUCAAGAGUUCAAUCUUCAAAUCAAAGACAAGAAGGGAGUAGAAAAUGUGGUAGCUGACCACCUUUCAAGGCUUGCAAUCGCACAUAAUUCCCAUGGUUUGCCCAUUAAUGAUGACUUCCCAGAGGAAUCUCUCAUGUUAGUGGUAGUAACUUUGUGGUAUGCUCACAUUGCGAACUACCUAGUUACAGGAGAAGUUCCAAGUGAGUGGAAAGCACAAGAUAGAAAACAUUUCUUUGUAAAGAUCAAUGCCUACUAUUGGGAAGAACCAUUUCUAUUCAAGUAUUGUGCGGAUCAAAUAAUAAGGAAGUGUGUUCCUGAACAAGAGCAACAUGGGAUUCUCUCUCAUUGCCAUGAGAAUGCUUGUGGAGGUCACUUUGCUUCUCAAAAGACAGCUAUGAGGGUCUUGCAAUCGGGUUUCUAUUGGCCCUCACUUUUCAAGGAUGCCCAUGCCAUGUGCAAGGUUUGUGAUCGAUGUUAGAGGCUUGGGAAGUUGACCUGAAGGUAUAUGAUGUCUUUGAACCCCAUUCUGAUAGUUGAUCUUUUUGAUGUUUGAGGCAUUGACUUCAUGGGACCUUUUCCUAUGUCAUUUGGCUACUCCUACAUCUUGGUGGGAGUCGAUUAUGUUUCUAAGUGGGUUGAAGCAAUUCCAUGCAAACACAAUGACCAUAGGGUGGUUAUCAAGUUCUUGAAGGAGAACAUUUUCUCAAGAUUUGGAAUGCCUAAAGCCAUAAUCAGUGAUGGGGGUACUCAUUUUUGUAACAAUCCUUUUGAAACUCUUCUAGCCAAGUACGGGGUGAAGCAUAAGGUAGCUACGCCUUACCACCCUUAAACUAGCGGGCAAGUUAAGUUGGCAAACCGGGAGAUCAAGAACAUAUUGAUGAAGGUGGUGAAUGUGAACAGAAAAGAUUGGUCUAUCAAACUCCUUGAUUCACUAUGGGCUUAUAGAACUGCUUACAAGACCAUUCUUGGAAUGUCCCCUUAUCGCUUAGUCUAUGGUAAAGCGUGCCAUCUCCCUGUGGAAUUGGAAUACAAGGCUUGGUGGGCAAUCAAGAAACUCAACAUGGAUUUGAGCAAAGUCGGGUUGAAGAGAUUCUUAGACCUCAAUGAGUUGGAGGAACUGCGAAAUGAUGCUUACCUUAAUUCGAAAAUUGCAAAAGAGAGGUUGAAGAGAUGGCAUGAUCAGUUGGUGACCCGAAAUGACUUUUCAAAGGGACAAAGAGUCUUGCUCUAUGACUCUAAGCUCCAUAUCUUUCCGGGCAAGUUGAAAUCAAGGUGGUUAGGUCAUUUCACAAUCCACCAAGUGUAUUCAAAUGGAGUAGUGGAGCUACUCAACGCCAAUAGUAAUCGAACUUUCAAAGUGAAUGGCCAUCGUCUCAAGCCUUUGUGGAGCCUUUUUCUCGAGACAAGGAGGAAUUCACCCUCCUUGAUCCCCCUCAGGCUUAAAAAAUAAUAAUAAUAAUCAGAUCCUGGAUGGACUUAGUCUUUCUGAAAACUAUUAAGUUCAUCCAUUUUUGCUUUUUGUUUUUAAUUUCAUGUUUUUCUUGCAUUUGUAUUUGUUUUGAUUUCGAUUUCUUACUUGAAUUCCAUUUUAGUUUGAUUUAAUUUAGGUUUUUGAUGAUCACUUGUAGAGGAAAAGCUGAGGAAAAAUUGAAGCAAAGCAUUUCGCAUACCUCUCUGCGAAUUUUUCGCAUGGUGUGUGAAAAGUGCUCUUUGCAUUAAGUGAGCUACUGCCAUUUAGCAGAGCAUGCAAAAAUUUCGCACCCUCUACGAAAUUCUUGUGACUCUCGGUCUUCAAAUGCGAAUUUCCACAUGGUUUGCUAACUCAAAGUUCACCCUACAAAUCAACUUUGCGAAAAUUCCAUUUUGCGAAAAUCCCACUUUGCGAAAACUCCACUUUGCGAAAAUUACACUUUGCGAAAAUUCCAUUUUGCGAAGACCCCACUUUGCGAAAAUUCCACUUUGCGAACAAUCUCCACCCCUCAUUUUUCUAAAAAAAAAAAAAAAAUAGUAAAAUUUUAUUUAUUUAUUUUUUUUGCAGCAUACAUCCCAACUUCAUUUCUCACUUCUCUAGUCAUUUUUGCGCCCUUUUGCGAAACUUUUGCAUGACUAUGAAAAAUUUGCCUCGAAAGGUAUCACUUCCUCCCUUUAUUUUCACUUGCAAUUGAAACAUUGAGGACAAUGUUCGUCUUGGUUAGGGGGAGAGUUGAGGAAGUAAGUAUUGUAAAUAUUGCUAGGAUAUUUUGUUAACUUAGUUACCUUUUGUUUAUUUUUUUUUUAAAAGUUUUUACUCUACUCUCCAUGGUUGUUAAGGAAAAAUUCUCAAAAUGAAAUGAGAGAAGUUGAGUUCUUGCCUUUUUGCUUAAGUCUUAGAGUUUGUAUUAUGUAUAUUGAGGUUGAUGAAUUAUUGAAGCUCCUAUUGAAUUCAACCUUGUUUCUUCCACUUUAAUCUUACCACACACUGUGCACAUUAGGUUCCAAUUAUAAGAUGAAAAACUAUCUCACCCCUUGAACUUAGGAAAAUUUUGACUUGGUACCUUUGACCUCAUUUUAAUAGUGUUGGGACACCUUAUAGAAGGCCAAUGAGCCUUCAGAAAAAAAAAAAAAAACAAGUGCUACACAUGCCUUGAAACCCAAGCAAGGUCAUAAGGAUAUAUGGCGAAAGUCUUUGAAGCCUGGUGCCCUAAACCUUAAUUGGUUGGGAGUCGCAAACCUUAAUGCUCGUUAUAGGGGUGAAUGGGUGAAGUUGAGCAAAUAAAAGAAUUGUGAAAUAAAAGAGGUGUGUUCUUAGCCUAUUGGGUGUUGGUCAGUUUGCUAGGUUUGAGAAAGAACUAGGUUGGGGGGAGAGCAUAGUUUAGCAUACUAUAAUUGGAAACUAAUCACCUUAACACUUAGAUUCUUGUCGAAGAUUAAGUGUUGGAUCUUUGAGAGUGGAAAUUCUUUUGAUGCUUAAAUUUGUAUAGUGCCUACUCUUUGUAUUUUGUGAUUAGGUAAGUGAUUUAAUGACUCUUGUUAAAGGUUGGGUUUUAUAUCUUUGAUUUUCCAUGAGAGAUUUUUGAUCCAUAUCAUGCUGCUUUAAAAUUUUAUUUUUGAAGUGGUGAGCAUGAUUUUGUAAAUUGUUGUAUAGUCUAUUUUUCUUUUUGUCUCCUUCAUUGCUAAGGGACUAGCAAUGUGUCGGUUGGGGGGAGUGAUUACUACUCAAAAAGUGCAUUUUUAUAAUCUUAAACUUAAUUGUAUUAAGCACUUUUGAGUAGUAGUUAGACAUUUUAUCCCAAUUGGCAUGUUAAGGACCUAGCAAAUGUUAUUAACUAAUUUUUGGUAAGUUUUAGUGUUUUUGGUAGCUUUUUGAUCACUGAAAUAGGCCAAGAUUGAGGGAGAGUUUUGUGCAAGCUAUGGCAAGGCAAGUUAAAGGUCAAUCACAUGAAGAAUUUGAGCCUUGGAGCACUUCAAAACCCCUUGCCAAACUUGGAAAGGGGUUGACAAAGCUAUCAGUAGUAAGAUGGAGGGAAACAAAGCAUUUCGCAAGGCAAAAUCAUCAAAUUCGCAAGGUGUGCCAAACUUUCGCAAGGUGUGCCAAAAUUUUGCAAGGCGUGCCAAAAUUUUGCAAGGCGUGCCAAAAUCACUUUGUGCACACCGACCUUCAGGAAAAAUCUCCAGAAUUGUAAUUUUUUCCUUUUUACUCAUUUUGUAAUAGAUAAAAGACAUUAGGGUUUGUUUAGGAACUAUAAAUAGGGGUUGGAAAACCUCUCAAAGAUGAUGUUAUGUUAGAUAUUAUGUUUUAGAUAUUUUGUAAAGUCUAAGUUUUUCUCUGUCUUUCCUUCUCAUUUUCUCUUCACUUUCUCUCUAGCCAAACAUCCUCUGAGGAUGAUUUCUCAGAGGAUGAGUGGCUAAGUUUCACGUUUCUUAGAGUGAUGGAAGCUAGGUAAAGGACCCAGAUGCAAAGGUGGGAGUUUUCCUUGCUAAAAAUGAAGGUAGUUGUGUAUCGUUAAUGGUUUGUAUGUCAAGUUUUAGCUUUAAUCCCUUAGAAUCACCUUGAAUGGCCAAUACUUGGUAAGCUUUUAGGAUUCUAUGGAUGCUUAUUGCUAGAUCCAUGGAUGUCCAUUAGUUAUCAAGUACGAGCCAUUGGAAGGUGGUUCAAGGUGAGGGUCUUUAGUGUUUGAAGCUAUUAAUGGGAAGCAACUAUGAUUUUUGAAGAACCCUUUGGAUCAAAACUUAUUUGCUAAAUACAAAUCCGGUUUGGGAGAUGACCAUCCUCUAUGUUAUUAUCCCCAAUGUGAGGAGAAGAUCCAGAAUUUCCCACUUUGCAACAGGAACCUGAUCCUAGUAACCAGAGCUCCAAGAGACUUUCUCUUUAUAAUAAUUUCAAUUGUUUAUGUUUCCUUAACUUAAAAUCAACCCUUCCAAUCAAUCUUAUUUUCAUUUAAAAACUAACUUCCAAAAAGGAAAUCACCAUUUCUCCUUUCAUUAAUGUUAAGUGUAUAAAGAAAACCCAUCCCUGUGGACGAUCCUAGAGCCACUAUACUAUAGUAGCUUUGUAUUUGCUACUCUAGUAUAAGGUGUUGUAGGUUUUAUAAAUGUUUUGAUAAACACCCGACUGAGCAUGAAUCAAUAACAUGUUACACACAAAAGAUACCCAAGUAGUCAAAUUUCCUAGAAUUGAGCAAAAUGAAACAAGAUAUGCAAUUUCUUAGUUUUUUCACCUUAUCUUCGUAUACAUAAAUGUGCAUCCAUGUUUAGCAUUCCCCUUAGUGUCUCUUGAUUUUUCCUUGUUUGGUUUUUUCCACCUAAACCUCAUGUGCUUAAUUUUGGUGUCCCCUCAGUAUUUUUCUUAAGACUUUUCUUAAACUCAAACUUCAUCAUUCUUUAAUUUAAAAAAUGAGGAAAAUUUAUUUUGAUUUUUCUUUCUUAGUUUAGGAAAUCUCCUUCUAUAUGGCUUAAUAGGGAUCCAUCGACAACUCCCAAGUUUUCACCCAAGGUACUAGGUAUUGAGAACCUUUGUAGGCCACUUACCUUUUAGGUGUCAUCCUAGCUCAAGGUAGAACAAGGUUGAAUUUCCCAAAUAUUUAUUUAUUUAUUUUAAUGUUUUUUUUCAAAAUUGAGUUUAGCUUAUGUUACAAGCAAGAUAUCGAUGACUUCUAACCAGUCGUUUUCGGGCACCGGGGCUUGAAAACACAGGGCCAUUACCCCCUCAAAUAAUUGCUCAAGCUUAAAUAAAUCAUUUUCAAAUUUUUUUUUCAUCAAUUUUUUUUUUCAUUUCCUCAUUUUAUUGCUUAAGAACAACUCCUUUUAAGCUAAAGAAAUUAUUUUAAUCAAGAUACCACAAGGGUAUAUGUGCUUUAUGUGUGCUUUGAGUCUUAAAUAGAAAAUAACCAUUAAAAAAAAUUUGAAGGCAUUCAAAGAAUUUAACCUAACUAUUUUUGCACUUCAAAGUAUAUAAAGAUAAGGUAAGUGAACUAAUACUCUUGCUCUAACUGUAUUUUUUCUCAAAUUCUAAAGAAAUAAUACUACUUAAAGCAUUCUCAUGCAAAAUAAACCAUGAGUUGCCAAGGCAAAUUAAGAAUGUCAUUAAUUAACCAAAUAUAACAGGCAAACUUUUGAAAAAAAUUAGGGCUAAUAGACCUUCCCCCCUCAACCUAAAUUACACAUUGUCCCCAAUGUGUAGGAUAUUGGGUCAAAUGAAAGGAAAAAUGGAGAUGUUACCUCAAUAUCAUCAAGUGAGAAGUUUGUCAUGAGGACUUCAUAUAAACUAGUCUUGCACAAAAAAAACAAGAUUAGUGGCAAAAGUAUGCAUAGAGAAAAAUAUAAAUGGUGAGAAUCUAAAAGAGAGUAUAAGAGUAUGAGUAUGUGAUUCGUCCCUAGCAGCGGCAGUGGCAACAGCACCAUUUGAUUCGGGGUUCGAUCCCCGGCAACGGCGCCAUUUGAUUCGUGCCCACUUGGUGUCUCAGCUGAUUCAUGUCCAGCUGGUGCUCCUUGAUUGAGAGAGUAAUCAACAAAAUUUAUAACCUAUUACACCAUAUACUAGGGUAGCAAAGACAAAGCUACUAUAACAUAGUGGCUCUAGGAUCGUUCACUGGGAUGGGUUUUCACUUUGCAAAUGAUAUUAAUUCAAAAUUGAAUUGGUGCCUUUUCAUUUCAAGGUUAGCUUUAAAAGAAAACAUAAAGAUGUUUGAAUGAAAAAGGUUUAGAUUUAAACUAACAAAAAAUAGUAACUGAUUUUACUUACAAAGAAAAGUGUUUCUUGGAGUUUCAAAUCACUAGGCUCAGAUUCCUCAUACAAAAAGGGAGUUCCGGUCACUUGUUUCUUUUCCUCGCAUUAGAGAAUUAACAUAUAGUUAAUUCUCUAACCGAUGUUGUACAGAUGCUUCCCAUUAAUGGGUUCAAACACUAAAUCCCUCUCACUGAUGCAUCUUGCAAUGGCUCGUGCCUCUCACCUAGCAUUUGCCAUUCAAGGUGAUCUUUAACCUUGGAUUACCCGUCAAAAGCUCGCAAGAGAUAACUAAUGGAUGUCUCCUUGGAGUCCAAAAGCUUACCAAGUGUUGGCUAUUCUAGAAAAUCCUACCUUCAAGUCACCUCCCAAAAGCUCGCAAGAGAUAAACUAGUGAAUCUCCAUGGACGGAGAUCACUUGCCUUACCAAGUGUUGGCUCAGGUGAAUUGAAGACGUUUUAAGUUAACUAAAAAGAUAAAAACCAUUAACGGGUCACACUUUCUCUUCAUUAAAAACUAAAACAACAAAACUUCCAAACUAUGCAUGUGGAAACUUACCCGGCUUUCCUCACUCCAAGAGACAAAAAGCCUAGCCUCUCAUCCUCUGAGGAAAAAUCCUCAGAGUUUGGUUGGCUAGAAAGAAAACUAACGAGAAAACAAGAAUAUAUAUGAAAAACAGAGCAAGUGCUCUGUUCGUUGAUCUAUAUAUGAUAUAUCUAUAUUACAGUGGAUUACAUGAUUACAUGAUUCUCUGAGAACAAGCUCCCGAGAGCUAUAUAUAAAGAAAAUUACAAAACAAAAUAUCUGAGGUUAUUCACCCCUGUGUUCUUACUUAACAACUAAGGAAUCCUAUAAUUGGUGGAUUACAAGGAGAGAAUUGGGAUUUAGACAUCAAAUAUCUGAAGCAAAAUAUCAAAAAAUGUCGGUCGCAAAUAUCUGGAAGCACUCGGGAGAAUUUCGCAGGCGCACAAAAUGGCUGGUUCGACUCAUGGUAGCUUAGCUUUAAAGGCGUAUCAACAAAAUUUAUACCUUGAAUACUAUUACUAAAGUAGCCAAGCUACUAUAGCAUAGUGGUUCUAGGAUCGUUCACUGGGAAGGGUUUUCGCAAACACAAGUGAUAUUCAAAUUAGGAAAAUAGGUGAUUUUCUUAUGGAUGUUAGCUUUAAAAGAAGAUGUAAAUGUUUUAGAAAGAUUGAAACUAAUCUAAGCUAACAUUAAAGACUAAAAUGAAAGGGUGUAAAAACAAGUUUCUCAAAUAUAGGAUAACUAUGCUCUGGCUCUUAUGCAAAUUGGAAAUCUCAGGAUAGGCUCCUCGCGUUGGGGUUGCAACUAUGGUGAUGCUUGCUUCCCGAACCGGUAUGGAUUUAGCAAAUCAAGUUUUAAUCCUUUAAAAUGACAAAACAGAUGGUAGUGAAUUUCAUCAAUGGUUAUUCACCUUAGACUUCCUUUGAAUGGCUCGUAAGAGAUAACUAGUGGUCUAAAGCCAAAAGCUUACCAAAUAUUGGCAACUCAAAGUCAUUCCAAGUGAUAAACUCACCUUUCAAUGGCCAUUGAAAUUGGUUCUAACGGAUUAAUGCAAAACUUGGAAUUGAAAACCUCACCUUCCAAUAGCUCGUAGGAGAUAACUAAUGGAUAGAAAUCCAAAAGCUUAUCAAGUAUUGGCCGUUGGAAGUUGUCAAAAGGAAAUAAAAACCAAACUUUGCAUUAAUGAACCAUUAAUGAAAAACGACUACCUUACCUUCCGGGUGCGAGAAAUUUCCAUGGGAUUGCAUCCAAGCCAUCACAUAACAUCCAUACUUUGAGAAACUAAAAGUUUUAGCCAAUCAUCCUAUGAGGAAAAGCCCUCAGAGGCUGUUUGGCUACUAAGAAAAUAGAAAUGGGGAAGAACAGGAGAAGAGAGAAAAACAGAGCAAGGCUCUGUAUAUUCUAUAUAUUGAUCGAUAUAUAAUUACAACGGAUGCAAGGGAAUAUAUAUAGAGAAGUUUUUCCAAUCCUUCCUAGCUAAGAAAUCUUAUGAUUCGUGGAUUACAAGGAGAAGAAUGGAAAUUUAUACAAAAAUAUCUAAAAGAAAAGAUCUCGUGUGGAGUCGGCAGAAACAGGGGAAAAUUCGCACGUUGGAGUUCCAAUUUCGCACGUUGAUUUGAGGUGUGCGAAAUUCUCGCACAGUGGACUGAGGAAUUCGCACCUUGAAUAGUGGUGUGCGAAAUUCCCGCUCAGCUCGGUCCAGUUUUCUUGCAAUGACCAUAACUUUUUCGUUUCAACUCCGAUUUGGACACCGUUUGAAGCGUUGGACUUCUGACUUCCCGAGCUUCGAAAUGGUAUAUAGUAUGUAUAAAAUGGACUCGAGAAAGUACUCCAAAAUAUGUCCCAAAGUGGAAAUAGAACCAAUGGCCAGAAUUCUCUCUUCUCUUCCUUUUCUUUCAUCAUUUUUGCAUCUCCUCCUACAAUGAUCAUCCAAAACUCAUCUUAAAAACAUAUUAAAACUAAAUUAAAGCUAAGAAUUCAAACUAAAACAUGCAUAAAUUUAAAGAAAGCAUAGAAUUUAAAUGAAGCUGAUAGCAUGUACCCCAAAAAGAAGAUGAACUAUUUAGCUCAUCCUGACUCACACACCCACUUCAUGCUGAAUUCCCCCUGGAUCCCAAACAAAAUUGGCAUCCUUCCCAUUUGGUCCAAGGGAAUUCGUUUCUCUUCUCUUCCCUAGAGAAGUGGAUGCUUUAAAGGGUUCAGGUAACCCCUUAUCAUCUUGAACCUUAUGAUUUUCAAUGGAAGGUUGGUCCAUAGAGUUGUCAUAGCAAUCCCCCACCAAAGUGUCAAUCUUCAACACUUUCCUUGAUCUUUUUGCAUUGGUUCCUUGAAGGUUAUGGUGGGGUUGAGGAGUAAGCUUCCUUUUCCCCCUUGCUAUGUCGAGAUUGGUGAGCUUCUCAAUGGAGUCUUGAACUUUUUCUAUCCUUAGUGAUAGAUCAUUAUAAACCCCCUCCAUUCUUACAUUUAUUGAACUCUCCAUAUUAUCAAUCUUUUCAUUAAGCUGAGAGUUGAUCUUUUGUUGCUCACCUACAAAGUCCUCCAUGACUUUGCUUAUCUUCAAAAUGGCUUGCUCCAAUGAAGAUGUACUCAUUGAUGGUUGAGGUUGAGGUUGGGUUGCAAGGUUGGGAUGGUUUAUAUACUCAAAUGAAGUUGGCAUGGCUUGUGGUUGUGCUUCAGUAUGCACAUUCCUCAAUUCAAACUCUUCUAUCCUUCUAGCCAUAGAUGCUAGCUUUGCCUUCAUGCUCAUGUCUUCAUUCAAAGCAUACUUACUAGCCCAUUGGCUUUGUUGAACUUGCCUUUUCCCUAAUUCAAUCCGAUCCCUCAUGGAUAAGUAUGCAAAUUUGUCCUUCUCAUGAUCAUAAUGAGAGCUUUGAUCUUCAUGUGGAAUUUCCAUUUAUAAAAAAAAUGAUAUUCAACUAAGGCUCUUUUCUUCAACUUGUACCAGGGUUCCCUCUUGGUCUCGAAUCCAACAAGGAAUGCACAAAUUGAAAUUAAAACAAAAAUAAAAGAAAAGAGAAUAAAAAAUUUAACUCAAUAAAAACUAAACUAAAAAAAAUUAUAAGAAAACUCACCAAACUUGUGAUGAAGAUCACAAGUUACCCUUAAUGGUUGCUUCACUGUGCUUGUGGCACCUUCCCCGGCAACGGCGCCAUUUGAUUCGACUCAUGGUAGCUUAGCUUUAAAGGCGUAUCAACAAAAUUUAUACCUUGAAUACUAUUACUAAAGUAGCCAAGCUACUAUAACAUAGUGGUUCUAGGAUCGUUCACUGGGAAGGGUUUUCGUAAACACAAGUGAUAUUCAAAUUAGGAAAAUAGGUGAUUUUCUUAUGGAUGUUAGCUUUAAAAGAAGAUGUAAAUUUUUUAGAAAGAUUUAAACUAAUCUAAGCUAACAUUAAAGACUAAAAUGAAAGGGUGUAAAAACAAGUUUCUCAAAGAUAGGAUAGUUAUGCUCUGGUUCUUAUGCAAAUUGGAAAUCUUAGGAUAGGCUCCUCGCGUUGGGGUUGCAACUAUGGUGAUGCUUGCUUCCCGAACCGGUAUGGAUUUAGCAAAUCAAGUUUUAAUCCUUUAAAAUGGCAAAACAGAUGGUAGUGAAUUUCAUCAAUGGUUAUUCACCUUAGACUUCCUUUGAAUGGCUCGUAAGAGAUAACUAAUCGUCUAAAGCCAAAAGCUUACCAAAUAUUGGCAACUCAAAGUCAUUCGAGGUGAUAAACUCACCUUUCAAUGGCCAUUGAAAUUGGUUCUAACAGAUUAAUGCAAAACUUGGAAUUGAAAACCUCACCUUCCAAUAGCUCGUAGGAGAUAACUAAUGGAUAGAAAUCCAAAAGCUUAUCAACUAUUGGCCGUUGGAAGUUGUCCAAAGGAAAUAAAAACCAAACUUUGCAUUAAUGAACCAUUAAUAAAAAAUGACUAUCUUACCUUCCAGGUGCGAGAAAUUUCCAUGGGAUUGCAUCCAAGUCAUCACAUAACAUCCAUACUUUGAGAAACUAAAAGUUUUAGCCAAUCAUCCUCUGAGGAAAAGCCCUCAGAGGCUGUUUGGCUACUAAGAAAAUAGAAAUGGGGAAGAACAGGAGAAGAGAGAAAAACAGAGCAAGGCUCUGUAUAUUCUAUAUAUUGAUCGAUAUAUAAUUACAACGGAUGCAAGGGAAUAUAUAUAGAGAAGUUUUUCCAAUCCUUCCUAGCUAAGAAAUCUUAUGAUUCGUGGAUUACAAGGAGAAGAAUGGAAAUUUAUACAAAAAUAUCUAAAAGAAAAGAUCUCGUGUGGAGUUGGCAGAAACAGGGGAAAAUUCGCACGUUGGAGUUCCAAUUUCGCACGUUGAUUUGAGGUGUGCGAAAUUCUCGCACAGUGGACUGAGGAAUUCGCACCUUGAACAGUGGUGUGCGAAAUUGUCCCUCAGCUUGAUGCAGUUGUCUUCCAAAGGCCAUAUCUUUCUCAAUUCAGCUCCAAAUCAUAUAUGGUUUGAACCGUUGGAUUUUUGACUUUCUGAGCUUUGAAAUGGUAUAUAGCAUGUAGAAAAUGGACUUCGGGAAGUGCUCCAAAAGUGCCAAAGAAGACUGCAGCUGCUGUCCUCUGUUUUCCUCUUUGCUUCUUUUAGCUUCUCUUUGCUUCUCUUUGCUUUUCUCCUUUUGUUGGCUUGCUUUGGUGUAGCUAAAACCUUGCUUUAACUUGUACAAGUAGUUCCUCCAUCAUUUGGCAUGCUUGAAUUGAUUCAUAAGCUGAUAUAAACAUGUAAACUUGCCACAAAAUGGUUAAAACCAAUUACUAAGGACCUUAAUGAAUUAAUUGGGUUAAAUGAAUAUGAUUACUACACAAAGGUGCUUAAAAUCAUUAUAAUUAGGUCUAAAAAAUAGCACUUUUUGGUAGUAAUCAAUGGCUGUGAAAUUUCGCAGCCAAAGGCUAAUUUCGCAGCCCUGCGAAAUUGGCCUUCAGCUUGGAGUGAUCUGCUUCCAAUGGCUCUAAUUUCUUCAUUUCAACUCCGAUUUGCAAACCGUUUAAAGCAUUGGAUUGUUGACUUCCUGAUCUUCGAAACGACAUAUAGCAUGUAUAAAUUGGACUUCAGGAAGUGCUCCAAAAGUGGCUGAAAUGACUAUCAUCAAGAAUGCUUCAUGGCAGAUUUCUCUUUGCUUCCCCUCCUUGCAUUCCGGAUUUGCUUAUGGCAAAGGACUUCAAAGCUUUGGUUAUUCAUGUUUUUGAGCUUUCCAUUGCUUUGCCAUGGAUUCCAAAGAACUCUCCUCAAUCUUGGAUUGCUUUGGUGAUCAAAAAGCUAUCAAAACACCAAAACUUAACACAAUUUGAUUAGAAUUGAUUGCAAGGGUCCUUAACAUGCCAAUUGAGUUAAAAGGUAAUAACUACUACUGAAAAGUGUUUAAAAGAGUUAAUUACAAGCUAUCAAAUAGCACUUUUUGAGUAGUAAUCAGUAUGCGCCAAAAAUACCAUAGUAUAUACAACCAAAUUGAAUAAGGUAUAUAUAGAAAUGAACAUCAAGCACCAAUGAUAGGAUGGACAACUCCAUCUAUCUCCUCUAACAUAGGGGUGGCUACCUGGUCAAUAUCCUUCGAUAUAGGUGUAGUAGCCUGAUUAGUGAUAUCCAUGAUAGGUGUAACAGCCUCGCCAGCAGCUUGUACCAUAGGGGGGUCAUCCCUAAUAAUGAUGUCCACACUAGUGUUAAUAGCAUAAAUGAAGAUCUCACCAUCGACCUGUCCUGCAGAAUUUGGAAUAUCAAUAGUCGAGUUAAAAAUCUUAGCUGCGGCAUCACCUGAUGUUUGUAAGAUAGGCAUGGUCUCAUGGGCUACUGUCGGUGCUCUAGUGUCAAAGCCAAAACCAAUCACCUCUGUGUUGCCAUCAACCUCUAAGUUGGUAUCAGUUAGUGUAACCAAAUCUCCCCUUUAUCUAGAUGGAAUAACCAAAGAAGUGAGCUAUUGUAUAGAAAAAGUGAGGUCAUCCAUCUGAGUCUCCAUCUUACUUAGGUAAGCGUCAAUGUGGAAGUCCAUGGACACAAAUAACUUCUGAAGUGUGUCUAGACGAGCCAUGAUUGAUAAAGUACUCGGGGUAGCAUCAACAAUCUAAGGCUAUGAAGGUUUAGGAAGAUCGGAGAUUGGUACUGUUGGUGUAGAAAUAGGAAUAGCAAGCUCUGGGGCACAUGAAAGAGAUGGUGGAAGAGGAAUAGGAAGCACUAGUAAGCUCAUGUCAAAAGUAAGAAUGAGUGGGAGCGGGCUCUUUGUAGUAGAUGGAAGUCGAACAAAAUCCAAAGCUCUCUUUCACCUAGUGCGAUGGGUAGUCAAUUGUGACCCUGAAUGAAUCAUUCGAGCACACUGAUCGAUAACAGAAGUGUGAGAAGCCAUGUGACGACCAAACUCAAGUAACUGUUGUCCACGGUGGAGCAAGUAGUAUGAGAGCAAUCAAGGCAAAGGAAUGAGAUAGCUUUGAGCUAAAAAUAACUGUUUAUCCUUAACCUUCUAAAAAAAAAGAAAUGAUGGUAUCCAACUGAGUUGAGGUGGACUCCACCCCUCGCCUGUGUGCAUAUGAUAUAACCCCCAUAAGACUAAAUCAGAGCGCUCUAUAGAGUGUCCACAACAAGUACCCUGAGGUGCUAGUAUAUGUGCAAUCCUCGAAAAAGCUAGUCGUGACUGAGGUGUAAAUCAGGCUUCAAGAGGAGUGGAUGAUGGUAAACCAAAGGCUGAAACAAUGCUCUCAGUGGAAAUAAUAUCAACUCGUCCUCUAAUAGAAAAAUGGAGCUCUCGGUACCCCCCUCUCUAAUCCUCGAGAGUAAAUAAUAACUCUCGUACACUAGCGACAUAAAAAUAUGGGGGAUGAUCCAUCAAUGCGAGAAAAUAAUAUCGGUCAAGGAGAUGCAUGGACAAUGCAGUGGGCUCAUAAGUACUAAAUGCCUUUAUGUCAUAAAAGAACUCUUGACCAAACUCCCGUUGAGAUAGGUCCACCCUAGGGGCAUCAUCACAAACUCUUAGAGAUGGAGGACGUGUUGGGCUCAGAGUAGGGGGAGCUGCCCAUGGAUGUGGAGGAGUGGUAGUAGGCCUGGUGGUCUUAGGAGUGGUUGAGCGAUCAAAAUGGGCCUUCAUCCUAGUCUUUACAUGCAUGGCUUCAGUCCUCUUAGUGGUUGGGUGGUCAAAACGAGACUUCGUCCUAACCUCUACAUGCAUGGCUUUAGUCCUCUUAGUGGUUGGGUGAUCACAACGAGCCUUCAUCUUGGCCUCUACAUGCUUGGCUUGACUAGUGACAUGCCUCUCGGUAAGCUCACUAAUCAGUACACCACUUUGACUUUGGACAAGAGGUCGGGCAUGCUUUUGCCUUGGGAAUGCUUAGUCUCAUUGUCACUUUGAAUAACAACUUUCCUUUUAUCUCGAGCCAUCUAAAAUAAAUGUCGAAAAAUAAACUAAACUUAAAAAGGGAAAUAAAUAAAUAAAAAUAAAAGCAAAAACUCAUAAGGGUUAAGAAAACAAUCCCAAAAAAAUUGAAUGCUCAUGAAAUUUAUGGAUUCAUGUGAAACGGUGGUAGACCAUUCCUAAAAUGCGGGAAAACAUUCAAGGUGUCCAACACUGAUGAAAAUAUGAGUCUUUGAAGCCUUAGAUAUAAUCCAAACAAUACUUAAGCUCAAAUAUCAUGUGACAAGGAAAUCAAAGUGAUUGGUUAGCUUAGGAGAAUGUGUAGAACAAAUAGAAAAAUCUACUAGAGAGUUUAAAAUGUUCUAGAGGAUAUAAAACAUAAAUUAGGCAACAAUUAUGCAAAACUCAUGGAAAAAUAAGAACCUUGCUCUCAAAGUAUUCUAAGAUGAUAAAAAAUCCCUAAGAAUCAUGUAGAAAAAAUUUCAAAAAUUUUCUCCAAGAAUAAACCAAAAAUUAUAACACCUUGAAUUUCCAAGCAAAACAAAAGAACUAUGUAACCAAAAUCAAUCUUGUUGUGUUGCACUCGGGUUUUUGGGGGUCAAGUUCCCCGUUGAGCUCGUGGGGGUCGAGGGGCAGUGCCCUAUAGAUUUUUUUUUUCAUUAUAUUUAUUGUUUUUUAUUUAUCCAUCCAACCAGAACAAUAGAAACCCCAAACAAUGUUAGUGAGAAUUGGGUAACACCGCAUUUUAUAUGAAGCAACAUCGCACAAUGAAACCAUAAAGAUCAAGGAAAAUCCAUGAAAAAUAAAUAAGAAAUGAGUAUGAGUGUAAUACGUACAUGGAAUGCAACAAACCCACAAUGAAAACCUAAAAUCGCCCUCAAUGGAAGCUAGGACGAUGAACAAGGGAAGUGGAAAUGACCAUUUGUAAAGGAGUUUGGGUGAUUUCAGAGUGAGCUCAAAAUAGAAAUUAAGUAUUUUGAAUUGGAUUUUUGGUUAAGAAAAGUCAUUUCGAAAUUUAACUAUUGAAUUUGAAAAUAACCUUAUUUUGAAUUCAUUAAUUAAUGGUAAAAAAAUGCACAUUUUAAAAUGAAACCAUUGGAUUCGAAAACUACCUUAUUUCGAAAUGGUUCACUAUAUACAAAAAAUUUUAAAAAACCUCAUUUCAAAAUGAAAAAAAAAAAAUUCAUUUCUAAAUUGGGCAAAUUUCGAAUUCACCUUCUGAAGUUAAAAAAUCUCAAUUCUAAAGUAAAAGAUUCAAUUUUGAAAAGCCCACCAUUUUGAAUUUGCUAAAUGUAGCCUCAAUACAUUGUUAAAACCCCAUUUCAAAAUUCCACUAAUGAUUUUGAAAAUAGCUCCAUUUCGAAAUGGCUCACUGUUGAUUCCAACUUCUAUUUCGAAAUAGCAAUUUUUUUAUAUUUCAAAUUUGCCUUUAUUUCGAAAUAACCCACGGUGAGUGUUGAAGUCCAUCUUAAAGCAUGAAAAUUGCUCAUUUCGAAAUUCAAAACUCAUUGUAUUUUGAACUCAUUGUCUGUGAGUUCAAAACACCUAUUUUGACAUUUACUAGUGAUUUCAAAAUUAACCUCAAUUCGAAUUCACUUUCUGUAGAUUUAAAAUUGCAAUUCUAAGACAAAAAUUUUGAUUUCAAAAGGAUCAUAAUAUUUAAAUCACCCAUUACUAGUCUCCAAAAGUGUCAUCUCUAUUUGAGAUUUGAAAUUCAAAAACAAAGGAAUUUUGAAUUCAGCCACUAUACCUUUAACUCUUUAUCAUAAAAAUUUAGGAUUUCCCUCCCAAGGGCUACUCAGUUUUGUAUUUCAUCAUUUGUUUUCAAAGUUCACCAAUGAUUCUCACAAGUAAAUUUUUGGGAGACCUAUUGAUUCGUGCCCAGUCGGUGUAUCAGCUGAUUCAUGUCCAGCUUCUGCUUCUUGAUUGAGGGAGUAAUCAACAAAAUUUAUAACCUAUUACACCAUGUACUAGGGUAGCAAAGACAAAGCUACUAUAGCAUAGUGGCUCUAGGAUCGUUCACUGGGAUGGGUUUUCACUUCACAAAUGAUAUUAAUUCAAAGCUAAAUUGGUGCCUUUUCAUUUCAAGGUUAGCUUUAAAAGAAAACAUAAUUUUUGGUAGAAAAGGUUGGUUUUAAGUUAACCAAAAAUAAUAACUAAUUUUACUUACAAAGAAAAGUGUUUCUUGGAGUUUAGACCACAGGGCUCAUAUUCCUUGUACAAAAAGGAGAGUUCCGGUCACUUGUUUAUUUUCCUCGCAUUGGGGAUUUAACAUAUAGUUAUUUCCCGAACCGGUGUGGUACAGAUGCUUCACUUUAAUGGGUUCAAACACUAAAUCCCUCUCACUGAUGCACCUUGCAAUGGCUCAUACCUCUCACCUAGCACUUGCCAUUCAAGGUGAUCUUUAACCUUGGACUUCUCGUCAAAAGCUCGCAAGAGAUAACUAAUGGAUAUCUCCGUGGAGUCCAAAAGCUUAUCAAGUGUUGUCUAUUCUAGAAAAUCCUACCUUCAAACCACCUCCCAAAGGCUCGCAAGAGAUAAACUAGUGCAUCUCAAUGGAUAGAGAUCACUUGCCUUAUCGAGUGUUGGCCCAGGUGAUUUAAUGGCGUUUUAAGUUAACUAAAAAGAUAAAAACCAUUAAUGGGUCACACUUUCUCUUCAUUAAAAACUAAAACAACAAAACUUCCAAUUUAUGCAUGAGGAAAUUUACCCGGCUUUCUUCACUCCAAGAGACAAAGAGCCUAGCCUCUCAUCCUCCGAGGAAAAAUCCUUAGAGUUUGAUUGGCUAGAAAGAAAAUAAUGAGAAAACAAAAGCAAAGCAAGUGCUCUGUAUUUUACUUCCUUCCCAAAACUGUAAAAAAGGAUUCUCCCCCUGAGAACAGGCUCCCAAGAGAUAUAUAUAAGGAAAAUUACAAAAUAUCUAUAUGAGGUUAUUCACCCUUUUUCCAAACUUAAUAACUAAGGAAUCCUAUAAUUGGUGGGUUACAAGGAGAUUUUGGGGAUUUAGACAACAAAUAUCUAAAGCAAAAUAUCUCAAAAUAUCCCAAAAUAUCGAUGGCAAAUAUCAGGAAGCUUCAGGAGAACACCGCGGCCCUGUGCAAAAUGGCUGCUCUCCCAUCCGGGUAGACGCUAUCAGAUGAUCCGGAUACGUCCGUCCGGAGAAGUUGAAACGCCCUCUUCUCCCAUCCGGCGUCAUGCGCCGGAUGCAAAAUAUCCGGAUGUAAUGGCGGCGACAGUAGAUUUCUGGAUGUGAUACAUCCGGGUGGAAAGAGGCGGCAGCCGGAUGCAAUGGCGGCAGCCGCUCCAUCUGGAUGAAACGAUAGCAUCUUAUCCGGAUAUGUUGUCCGGAUGCCCUCUGAUGGUGUAUCCUGACGCCCUAUCCGGGUAUACUCCUUGCAUGGAUUCCAAGUAACUCUCCUCAAUCUCAGAUUGCUUUGGUGAUCAACAAGCUAUCAAAACACAAAACUUAACACAUUUUUUAUUAGAAUUGAUUGCAAGGGUCCUUAACAUGUUAAUUCGGUUAAAAGGUAAUAACUACUACUCAAAAGUGUUUAAAAGAGUUAAUUCCAAGCUAUGAAAUAUCACUUUUUGAGUAGUAAUCACCUAUGAUCUUAAAUAUAGAUCAAUGUACCUAUAGGAGCUUUGUCACCUUGAACACAUGUGAGGCUUACCAUUUCACUCCCUUCAAGUUUGCAUUCACCUAUAUCACUCGGCUGUUUGCAAGCUAAGUUGCUACAACUUAUAAACUCAUUAGUAAGUUAAAAAUUAACUAAAAAAUGCUAACCACAUUGCUAAUGACUAAUUGAAAAUGCAAAACUAAAAAAAGAAAAAUUAAAUUAAAUAAAAAAAUAAAACAUAAAUUAAAUAAAUAAAAGUUUUACCUAAAUUUAAUUUUUACCUACUAGAUUUUCAGAAAAUACUUCAACCCUUUUAAACAUUCCCAUAAAGAAAAUGGAGAUUCUCCUCUUGUGUCUCAAAUCUUUCAAUGAAAUGCUUUAAGCGUUGACCAUUAACUUUGAAUUCACUACCAAUCCUCAGAUUUUGAAUGGUCACGGUGCCAUAAGGGAAGACUUCCUUUACCACAUAAGGGCCAUUCCACCUCGACCUAAGCUUUCUUGGAAAAAUGUGAAGCUUGGAGUCGUAUAACAACACAUUUUCACCUUGCUUGAACUCUCUUCGUAAAAUAAGUUUGUCAUGGUAGAAUAUGUGUUUUUCCCUUGUAUUAUGUAAGCAUUCAUAACUUUAAUUUUGAUAUGCCUCAAGUUCCUUCAUAUCAUAUUUCCUUUUAGCUCUAGUUUGAUCCAAAUGAAAGUUCAUCUUCUUUGUAGCCCAAUAUGCACGAUGUUUGAGCUCUAUAGGCAAAUGACAUGAUUUACCAUAAAUAGUCUGAUAUGGUGACAUGCCAAAGCCAGUCUUAUAGGUUGUCCUAUAUGCCUGAAGUGCAUCACUCAACUUGGUAGACCAAUCUUUUCUUGUAGUAUUGACUACUUUGGUGAGGAUUUUCUUAAUCUCUCAAUUUUCUAGCUCAACUUGCCAAUUCGUUUGAGGGUGAUAUGGGGUGGACACUUUAUGCCACACUCCAUAUUUCUGCAAAAGAGUGGAAAAGGGCUUGUUACAAAAGUGUGAACCUCAAUUACUAAUGAUUACUCUCAGAAUGUCAAACCUAGAGAAAAUAUUCUCCUUUAAAAAUUUGAGUACCAUUUUGUGAUCAUUGCUCUUGCAUGCCACUGCUUCUACCCAUUUAGAAACAUAAUCCACUCCCACCAAAAUAUAGAGAUUACCAAAAGGAGGGAAUGGUCCUAUAAAGUCAAGGCCCCAACAAUCAAAGACCUUAACAACACAAAUAUAAUUUUGUGGCAUUUGAUACCUUGUGCUGAUUUUCCCCAAUUGUUGACAUUGUGGACAAGUUCCGCAGUGAGUGUUGCAAUCCUUGAACAUAGUUGGCCAAUAUAAUCAACUCUGUAGAAUGUUUGCUAAAGUCUUCCUCGGAGCAAAAUGACCUCCACAAGCUCCCUUAUGGCACAUUUUCAAUAUGUUGUUCAUCCUCUAGAACACAUCUCCGGAUAAUUUGAUUUGGGCAAAACUUAUACAAAUAUGGAUCAUCCCAAGCAUAGUGUUUUUCUCAUAAAAGAAAAUACUUUUUCAUCUCCAUGUUCCAUUCUGAGGGAAGCUCUCUAGUUGCCAAGUAGUUGACUAUAUUUGCGAACCAAGUCAACUUCUCCACUGCACAAAGUGCAUCAUUAAUUCAUACUGCCUUGAAAUGUGACUCUACUUUAACUCGGGACAGAUGAUCAGUAACCACAUUCUUUACCCUUUGCUUAUCCUUGAUUUGAAUGUUAAAUUCUUGAAGAAGAAGGAUCCAUUUGAUAAGUCUUGUUUUGACAUCCUUUUUGUUGAGUAGAUAUUUCAAGGUCGAAUGAUUAGUAAAAAUUACUAUUGAAGUUCUCAAAUGGUAGUUCUUGAAUUUAUCAAGUGUGAACAGCACUACAAGGAACUCCUUUUCAGUAGUUGUGUAGUUCUUCUAAGCAUCAUUGAGGGUCUUACUAGCAUAGUACACCACAUAUGGUUUUCCAUCCUCUCUUUGACCUAGUACGACUCCCAUUGCAUAGUCACUGGCAUCACACAUGGGGUCUCACAAUUAGUGCGAUAGUGAGGAGUGACUUUAGCCUCUCAAAAGCUUCUGGGCAUGCUUUAGUCCAUAUGAAUUAUGCAUUUUUAAGUAAUAAAGCACAAAGAGGUUAAGAGAUUUUUGAGAAGUCAUGUAUGAACCUUCUAUAAAAAUCUGCAUGCCCCAAAAAUUGUCUCACCUCUUUAACGGUAGUAGGCGAAGGUAGCUUUGAGAUGAGCUCAAUUUUUUCUGGAUCUACUUGAAUGCCUUCUCUAGAGAUGAUACGGCCAAGUACUACCCUUGAGGUUGCCAUGAAGUGACACUUCUUCCAAUUUAGGACCAAGUCUUUCUCAAUGCACCUUUUCAAAACUUUUUUAAAUUUAAAAGACAAUCAUCAAAGGCCUUCCCAUAAACUAUCAGAUCAUCCAUGAAAUCUUCCAUGAUUCUCUCUACCAUGUCAUGGAAGAUAUUGACCAAACACUUUUGAAAUGUGGUCGGCGUAUUACAAAGACCAAAAGGCAUGCGCUUAUAAGCAUAGGUGCCAAAUGGGCAUGUGAAUGUGGUUUUCUCCUAAUCCUCUAAUGUAAUGACAAUUUCAAAGUAACCUGAAUAGCCAUCCAAGAAGCAAUAAUAGUCAUGACCAACUACCUUCUCCAAAACCUGAUCUAAGAAAGGUAAUGGGAAAUGAUAUUUCAUGGUGACUGCAUUUAACUUCCUAAAAUCAAUGCAUACUCACCAACCUGUAGUCAACCUUGUAGGAAUGAACUCUCCUUCAUCAUUCUUUACCACAGUUAUCCUGCUUUUCUUAGGUACUACUUGAGUAGGGCUCACCAAACUAUACCUGCAUCUAAAAGCUUCAAUACCUCAUUUCUGACUACAACUUGUAUAAGGGUAUUUAGCCUUUUUUUGUGGUUGCCUUAGUGGUUUUACAUUAUCUUCCAAAUAAAUAUGAUGCGUGCAAAUCAAGGGAUUUAUCCCUUUCAAAUCUAAAAUAAACCAACCAAUCACUCUUUUACUCUCUUUAAGCACUUUUAAAAAAUUGAUUUGUUGCUCUUCAAUUAAUGUAGUUGAAAUGACCAAAGGUUUUUCUUCAUUUUUCUCUAAAUAAACAUACUUAAAACCAUGUGGUGGGCUUUAACUCUAGUUUGUUGGUCUCAACAUUCCCCUUUUUUAUUUCUUCAUCAUUUUCAACACUAUUCAAAGACUAAAUGCUACAUUUUUCUUUCCACUUUGUAGCAACUUCAACGCGUUCUUUCUCAAUGAUUGUAGAGAAAAAUUUGUUUAUAUUUUCUUCCAUUAACUUUUAUAUGGGUUCUUGCACCAAGGCCUCUAUAAUGCAUGCUUCCUCAUCCUCCACAUCAUCAUGGUCCAUCGGUUGCUUGCAUAAAUUGAAGACAUUCAUUUCCACUACCAUGUUCCCAAAAAAUAACUGCAUCAAUCCAUUCUAACAGUUAAUGACAGCAUUGGUUGUAGCAAGGAAGGCUCUCCCAAGAAUAAUUGGAACAAAAUUCACACAUUUUUUCAACGGUUCUGUAUCUAACACCACAAAGUCCAUUGGGUAGUAAAACUUUUCAACUUGCAGCAAGACAUCUUCGACUACUCCUCUAGGUAGUUUAAUCAAACAAUCUGCUAAAGAGAGUGUAAUGGUAGUAGCCUUAAGCUUUCCCAAUCCCAAUUGCUUAUAGAUUGAAUAUGGAAGCAAAUUUAUACUAGCUUCCAAAUCUAACAAAGCCCUUUCCACGAAUGAGUCUCCAAUUUGGACUGAGAUGGUAGAGCAACCUAGAUCUUUGUACUUCACCAUUGCCUUAUUCUCAAUGAUGGCACUGACUUGCUUAGUGAGGAAUGUUUUCUUGCUUAAUUUAAUCAUUCUCUUCAUAGUGCAUAAGUCCUUAAGGAACAUUGCAUAAGCAAGCACUUUCUUGAUCAUAUCAAGGAGUGGAAUGUUGAUCUUCACUUGCUUCAAAACUUCCAAAAUCUCUAAAGUCUUAUCCCCCACUUUGUGUCUUUGCGUUGCUGAAGGGAAAGAAAAAUGAUUGAAAACACUCUUUUUAUCUUUGCUCACAAUGACUUUCUCAUAUUUUUCAUACUCUUUCUCAUUUCUAGCAUUUUUCUCCAUGGUUGGUUCAUUUCUAGCAAGAAUAUCUUCAUUUAUCGGUAACUUGGGCCUUUGAUAUUCUUUUCCAUUUUUUAUUGUGAUAACUGCAUUGCAAUCUUUCUUUUGCACUUCAGAAACUUCAUUUACUCAUCUCAUAUUUUUCUAUUGUUGAGUUGUGAACUUUCUUUUCUCUUGAGAUAAGCCUGUAGCAAGUUGGCUCAAAAUGGUUCAAAUAUUUGCUAGUUCUUAAGAUGCUUGAGCAUUUAUCCUAUUUUGAUCCUCAUUACGGUUGUCUUCCUUCUAUAGAAACUCUCUCAUCAUAUCUUCCAGUCUUGAGUUAAUUGAUGAGGUAUGAUGUUGUUGUUGAAAAUUUUGAGAUGGCAUACCUUGUGGUUGAAAACCUUUUUGCCCAUUAGUCUGAUUACCCUGAAAUCAAUUUCCUUGCUACUGAAAAUGGCCAUUGUUACCUCAUCUCCAUGAUAGAUUUGAAUAAUUCCUCCAACCUGGAUUGUAAGUGUUGGAAUAUGGAGAAUUGCUAGAAUAUUGCUUGUAUGUCCUUAAGGCAUUGGUUUGCUCUGAAAACAUGUCUUGCACUAUAAUUAGAGUGGGACAAGAUUGCACACCAUAUUCCAUAGACUUACAUAUCAAGAACGGUUGAGUUAUUCCCUAAUUGACUAUUUGUACCUCUUGACCUCUUUUGGCUUCCAAAUCAUCCAACCUUCUCAUAAUGGUUACAAACUUUACUUGGACAUCUAAACUCUCUGGUAAUGUAUUCACUCCACUAGCUCUUGCCCUGUUCAUUGUUCUAUCUCUAGGUGUUUCCUUGACGAUUGGUUCUUCCCAACUUCUAGAUACCUCGGCAACAUAAUCAAGGAAUUGAAAUGCUUCAUCAGGGUUUUUAUUCAUGAAAUCUCCUCCACACAUAGUCUCGAGAAGUUGUUUCAUUGGUAGUGACAUGCCUUCAUAGAAAUAUGAUACUAGUAUCUAGUUGUCAAAUCUGUGAUGGGGAUAUGCUGCAACCAUCUCCUUGAAUCUUUCCCAACAUGCAAAAAAUUUCUCAUCCUCCAUAGCCUUGAAAUUCGAGGUUUCCUUUUUCAAUGCACUAGUCAUAUGUAUUGGAAAGAUUUUUUGCAAAAACACUGAUUGUGGAUCACCCCAAUUUCUAAUACUAUAGGGUCUAAGACUAUUUAACCAAGUCUUAGCUUUAUCCUUCAAUGACAAGGGGAAUAGCUUCAUGCGGAAGAUCUCUAAAGGAGUGUUGGCUUCUCGAAAAAUUGAAACGAUGUCCUCAAAUUCCUUGAUGUGAGAGUAUGGGUUUUCAUUUUUCGUUCCCUUAAUAAUGGGUAACUGAGAUACCACUUAAGGUCGAAUGGUAACAUGAUCAUGAUUUGGAGGUAGAAUAAAACACGAUGGUGUGCUCAACCUGGGAGGAUUUAGAAACUCUCUCACAGUUUUUUGGUCCUACAUAGGUGGUCAUGGCCUGUUGUUACUACUGUUGGAUUCUUUAGUGUCCUCCAUAUUUGGUUAAGAUUCCUCAGUUGUUCUUUGAAGUCUACCUAAAAGAUCUCUUUCCCAACCAAGCAUAAAAUAGAAGAAAAAUAUAUAUAAAGAAAAAAAAGAACUAAAACAAAGUAUUGCCAAUCCCUGCCAACGACACCAAUUUCUUGACGAAAAUUCUCUAUUGUACCAAAAUACUUAGCUUUUUUUACGUAGCAACUCCAAUUAAGAAAAACUAGAGAAAGAGUCACUACAACUUUUGAAGUACUCCAGGCAUCGUCCUCAAGAAUUAGCUUAUGGAAAGAAUUAAUACUAGAAUAAAUGAAUUGCUUUCGUCUAAAUCCUAAAGUGAAAAAAAAAAUGAGAAUAAUGUGAAACUAAGUAAAAGAAAUUAAAUUAAUAACAAAAUGGAUAUUAAUAUUAAAUUCAAUUGAUUCAAGUUUGGGCCUUUCCACAAUCCAACCUAAGGUAUAGAAAUUAGAGAAAACAAAGGUCUAUUAAGUAAUAUGAUCUUAGGGUUUUGGGAUCCUUGGCCGCUCACGAUCAAGUUGAGUUUUAUAACUGAAAAUUGCAUCAGAAACCUAUUUUUUUCCUUUUUAAAACAGAUUCCUAAAACCAUCAAAUGAAUGAGAUUGAUUACUACUUUAAGAUUUGGCUUUUUAACCCUUCCUACUCCUUAUAGCUUUGUUUUGGGGCAAAUAAUGAUAGGGAAGACGAGGAUAACUAAUGAUAAAAAAUUACCAAAAAUCACUAGUAUUGGGUAAUAACCUACCAUAUCAUUCCCUAAACCAACUCACAAGGAUAGGAUAAAAAAAAUGAUAAAUUGUCACCCAACCAAUAAAUAAUCUCAUUGUUAUAAUAAUUUACUCAUUGUCCCUAUAGGUUUCCUAGCCCUUAGGUUUUCAUGCUUUAAGCUCCAAGUUGGCUCUUAACCUCUCAUGGGGGUGAUGUCACAUUCACAAUCCAUAAUAUGGUAAAAAUCCAUAAUUUGAAUAAUAAUAAUAAAAAAAAAAACAAACCAAAGUUCUCGUCUUCUUCCACCUUUGAUGUCAAACUCUCCGAAAAAAAAAAUCCAAGAUCCCUAAAACCUAGAACUAAGAGAGUUUAUAUAAUACCAUCAAUUACCAAACAUGUGGCACACACUCAUUGGCCACUUAUUAAAAAAUAAAUACCUAAAAAUGAUUAAAAAAAUAAUAAAAUGGUGAUUUCUAGUCGUGUGGGCUCCAUUUAGGAUGGAGUGCCCUAGAUGCAAUUCCCGAGGUAGAGGAGACAAAACAUCGAAGUGGCAAUGGGUGAAUUCGAAAUUGGUGUCAUUUCGAUGUGGAUUUCAAAUUCAUAAGUUGAAUUUUAAAAUCAUUUUGAAAUCAUUUCAGCUCCGAUUUGCACAUUAUUUAAUGCUUUGGACUUGUAACCUCCCAAGCUUCGAAACAAUAUAUUGUAUAUAUAAAAUAAACUCUGGGAAGUACUCUAAAUUUGUCCUCAAAUUUAGAGUAUAUAUUAUCAUCAGAUUUUUGAGUUCUAAAUUUCCAUGUAGCUAAAUCUUGCUUCAUGCCUCAUUUCCUAUGUUUUCUUGCCUUCUUUCUUACUCCAUAAUGGUCAUUUCUCAUCUUCCAAACUCAUGAUAUCCUUGUUUAGCCUUUCCUCAUGGUUUAUGAGUCCUGACUCACUUAUUUCCUCGUUUAACCCUUUCUUGAUCUUUCAAAAUUUAAAGUGAUUUAACUUACACCCUUUUCUUCCCUUGAACCUAAGAUAAGUCUCCAAAGUACAAAUUAAACUCAUGGCUAGGGCCUUAGCAUCAAUUUAGGUUAAGUUAGGUGAUUUGAAUGUCCUUUGGUGUAUAAAUCAUAUCGAAUAUGUGCCAUUGAGCACAUAUUUUGGCUCCAAUCAAGCUUUCCCGCCAAAUUCUGCAUGCCAAACAUUGAGUGAUAGAAUGGAGUAGGUUGUCCGAAGAUUCACUUGAGGCUCUAUAGUACAGUCAUGAAAGCACACAAAUUAGAUGAUAUGUAGUUGGUUGCUCUCUUCCCCAUGUCACUUAGUUGAGCAGCAUAGAGGUGGUUGGCAUUAAUUAAGCCUUCAAGACUUUGCACUUGGAAGGAUGUGGCCUAUGAGUUUUUGACAUAGUUUGCCUUUAGUGCCGAUAUUGAUUUUUUUUUUUUCACUAAACAAGACGUCAAGAGUGUUACUUAACCAUCCCUAUGGGAAAAGCAAAAGUUGUUGCCUUAAGUGUUAAUAUUGAUGUUUCUAGGUGAGACUUAGAGGCUACUAAGCAGAGGCCAAAUGAGUCUAUUUCUUCAUUUAUUAGGCAUUGGAGGGCUAAGGUGGUUGAUAUGAUAGAUUGACUUAAGGAGUAAGAUCAGAUUGACGCACUUCUUUGGAACCUUCAACCGGGGUUUGCUAGACAUCUUGUAGGUAUUCCAUUUCAAGACUUUUGAAGUUUGGUUCAAGUCGCUUGUAGUGUUCAGGAGGGUAUUGAUAAAGGGUUAUAGACAAACACUAUUCCUUCCUUAGACAAUAAAGGAAAGAAGCCUAUAGGAUCAUCAGGGAGUCUUGGAGAGGUUAACACUAUCAGUUAUCAUCAUUGAGGUUAGCUUAUCAGUCAUACCAAAGGUCUCCUACAAUUAGAGCCCACUUUCCUCAUCCAUUGUGCCAAUAUUAGUCCACCUAUAUUCAACAACCUUUCAUUGCUCAGACCAGUAUGCAACCACGACUACCAUAUCCUAGAGACACUGGUUCUCAUUCAUUACUCAUGUUCCCACUCAUAUUUUUUACACACAUGAUCUUUAUCGAAGAGGGGCAUAUUUGUAGACCCUCCAUUCUAUCUCCUUAAUACAUGCCCUAUUAAGUGUUCUUUCAAUACUCCACAAUGGUUCCCUAGUGGCUCUAUGUUGCUCAUAUAACCUACCUUUUUUAGCCACCUUGGAGACUUUGGUUGAGGAAUUUAUUUCACCCCUCAUUAUGACUCUUGGCAUAAUCGAGUUAGAUUUAGAUUUUUCUUUUUUCUUUUUAGGAUAGCUCCUUUAAGUACAUCUCUAGAAUAGAGUACUUAGGCAUCAUUUUUCGAUCACCUUGGCCCAUUUAGACACUUUUAGCCCAUUUAGGCACAUCCGACCCAUUUGGGAUCACCCUAACCCAUUUAGAUACAUCUGGAUUAUUCAGAUUACCUUGACCGAUUUAGACACAUUUGGCCCAUUUAGGUACAUCCAACUCAUUUAGGUCACCUUGGGCCAUUUAGACACACAUAGGCCCAUUUAGGCACAUCUGGCCGAUUUAAGAUCACCUUAGCCUAUUUAGACACAUCCAACCUAUUUAGGAUGACCUUGCCUCAUUUAGACACAUUUGACCCAUUUAGGAUUACCUGAACCCAUUUAAGCACAUUCGACCCAUUUAGGUCAUCCUAGCUCAUUUAGACCACUUAGGCCCGUUUAGGCACAUUAGGCACAUUGGAGCCAUUUAGGAUCACCCUGGCCCACUUAGGCAUGCCUUGACCCAUUUAGCUCACUUGGCCCAUUUAGGCACAUUUGGUCCAUUUAGGAUCACGUAGGCCAAUUUAGGCAUAUUCGACCCAUUUAGGUUGCCUUGGCCUAUUUAGAAACAGCCAAGCCUAUUUAGGUCACUUAGGCCCACUUAGGCACACCUUGCCCUAUUUAGGUCACUUAGGCCCAUUUAGGCUCAUUCGACCCAUUUUGGAUCACCCUGACCCAUUUAGGCAUAUUUGGCCCAUUUAGGAUCAUCGUGGCCCAUUUAAACACACCCUAGCCCAUUUAGGUCAUUUAGGCCCAUUUAAGAACACAUUAACCCAUUUAGGAUCACCCCAGCCCAUUUAGACAUACCUAGGCCCAUUAAGGCAUAUCUGACCCAUUUUAGAUCACCCUAACCCAUUUAGACACAUUCGGCCUAUUUAUGAUCACCAUGGCACAUUGGGCCCAUUUAGGGUCAGUUAGGCCCAUCUAAGCACACCCUAAGCCCAUUUAGGUCACCCAUUGUCUCACUUCUUAUUGCAUGGUUUGUGUGAUUGCAUUGUUGAACUUCCUUGCAUGGCCUGCAUGACACUUUGUUUUUUUUUUUGUUAUUAUUAAUUACUUAUUUAUUUUUAUUUAUUAUCUUGCCAUUUAUUUAUUUAUUAUUUAUCUAUUAUUAUUUCAUCAGUUUCUGAAUUAUUUUUAAUUACUAUUCAUUUGUUCAAUGUAAUUUUAAUUUUUUUUUUGUUUUUGUAGGGAAAUUUACCAAAGAGAGAGCCAACGGAGAAGGAAAAUAAGAAUCACCAAAAUGAAAAAGGAAGAUAAAGACAAAAGAGAGUAAAACUUACCAAAAGGAGAGGGGAUUGUGAGUUGCAUUAUGAAAGUAUGGAGAACGCAUUUUGGGAAGUUUAUCAAAGAGAGAGUGAAUGGAGGUGUAAAGCAAGAAUUACCAAAAUAAAAAAGGAAGACAAAACGAGAGAGAGUAAAACUUACCAAGAGAAGAGGGGAUUGAGGGUUGCAUUAUGAAAAUAUGGAGAACAUGUUUUGGUAAUUGAGAAAUUCAGCACAUGGAGGUUUUGGAGUAAGGAGAGGAAGGAUUUGGUCAAGGUGGAAUUUUAAGAAAAAAGGAUAUUCAAUGUGGUAGGAAGGAAUGUUUAGCAUAUUAAGGAAGAAUGUGGGGAUUGGUAGGGGGGAAGAAGAACAAUUGCAAUUUUGAGCAUAAUUUUUGUAAAAUUUAUUGGAUGAUUGGUUUGUAUAAUUUUAAUGUUAGUAGAUUUUAAAAUUUUACGGAAUGAUUGUUAGGUUAAAUUCCCAUGUUGAAUGUGUUUUAAAAAUUCGUUAAAAAAAUUAAAUAAAAAUUCUUUGAAUGUUUGUUAGGUUAAAUUCUCAUGUGAGCAUUAUUAUUAUUAUUAUUAUUUAAUGCUAUAUUUGGUUGAAUUUUCAUGUCAAUAGAUUUUUUUUUAUUAAAAAAAAAUUGUUGAAUGUUUGUUAGUUUAAACGUUUAUGUUAAUAUAUUUUUAAAAUUCAUAGGAUGUUCUUGGCAUAAUUCUUAGUUGCCCUUAUCUCUAAAACCUUUCUAAAAUAAGAAAGUCAUUCAAGAAAAUAAAAAAAAUAUAAGAAAAAGGCAAAGUUGCUGCCUUUUUUUUUUUGGGGGGGGGGGGGGGGCCUUAUUUAUUUAUUAAUUUAUUUUUGUCAAUCUCCUACAAAAUGAUAUCCCACUUACACCCUUACGCAACAAGAGCGCGUGGGACACCCACUUCGACCCAACAACUUUAUGAUGAAUCUGAACCCUGUGGACAAUAAUACCAUGUGCAUAUAUACGAGCCUGUAACACUCAUUUAUGGGUUUAAAUUCAUUCAAAUGAGUCAGUAGUAAAAGCUAUGAAACAGAUCGAACCCCACCUUUUUUUUUUUCUUUUUUUUCGUUUUUAAAUUUUCUGGGGUCCCUCAGUUACUUUACAGAAGGUGGCAGAGAAAGAGAGACGAAUAAUCACUUUCAAUGCUGUUGUCUUCUUGUUGUAAGGGUAAAAUAAGAGGCAAAGAAAUUAAUGAAUUCAUUAUCUUACCUUUCUAUUGAAAUGCCUUCCAAGAAAUGUUUUGAGAGCUUUGAGUUUAGUCUAUAAUAAUGGUAGUAUAUUUCAAUGAAUAUGCAUUCUAGAAAAAUAUAUACCUUUAGCAUAUACCAAGAUAUCCUAGGGUUUCAAGUCAAGUAACAACCAAUCAAAACAAAAUCACUCUUCUUGGAAAACAUGGAUGUUCGAGUAUCCAGCUCUUUUCUUUAAUUGUGCUAACAUCGGCUCUCUCUCCAGCAUGCAAGUGUGCGUCCCAGGCAGCUCUUUUGUGCUUUAAAUGAAUUGAAUUCUUGAUCUUAUUCUGCCAUUGUUUUGGCUCAAACCUAAGAAGUAUAUUUACCCUAACUUCUUUUCAUGUCUUCAACUUACUCAAAGGCUCACAAGUCCCAUUGGAAGUAAGCAGUUAAGGAUUUUUGAACUAAAAUUAUCAAACAUAGUCUAAUAGGUUAUUAAUGAAAUUAUUGAUGCAGAAUAACAGGGCGGGUGACUUCAAAUGGAUACACUGAGGUCUAUCUGUGCGUGUUAGGCAUUCAUGAACCUGUUUUCUUCGGUCAAAGAGCAGCCAAUACAAGGAAAAAACAUGGCGAAAAUUAAGUGAAGUAUGACUUCUGGAAGAUUUAUCACCUUCGUAAAUGAAGUGAGAGUUUUGACCGAAUUGAAGUAAAAAAAUUAAAUGCAACGGCUAGACCGGCUCCAACUAUUAAGAUUAUAAGUGCCACACAGAAAGAACGGAAAGAACGGUCCUAGUAAAUGAAGUAUAAAGACAUGAAAACAUAAAAUUGUCCAGGUAAAUGAAGACAUGCAAUGAAGAAGAAAUCUGUUGCAGACUACACAAAUCACAACCACAUAAAUCAACCACCCACCCAUUUUUCGAACUUCCAGCUCUCAUGCACUGGCACAGUUCGGUCCUUUUAAAAAUUAAAGUAGGCAUCUAAAAUUUUAUUGGUUUCAAGAAAUUUGGUGCACUAGGAUCCAAUGAAGAGAACCUUUUUAUUCUAAAUAUUCAAUAGUAGAUUCCAUUCUUAGCUUACCAAUAUAUAUAAAUUACUCAGGACCUUAAGAAGUUGAUAUUACAAUUUAAACAAUGUUAUAUCAUGUGUAUUAGGAGAGAACCAAUCUCACCCACAAAUCAAGAACACUCAAUUGUCAAUUCUUAAGUUUAUGACUAAUAUAGUUUAUGUAUCUUUUGGAAAGUCAUGCGUAUAUUUAAAAGACUAUAGUGUACACCAAUAAUAAUAUACUUGCACCAUUCAUCUAUGUACCUCUUUCUGGUAUCAGAGCAAUUCUAGCUCCCAUGAGUUCUUUUUUUCGCCUUCAUCCUAUGUUUCACCAUGGCUGAAGCAAGCUCAACCAGGCUAUCCCACCUUCCCUUACCUACCAAUACAACCAUGAACCUGGACAAUCUCAUUGCCAUCAACACAAUUAGCUAGCCAACUUCCACUCAAGCUCAUCCUCACUAACUAUUACUCAUGGAAAACAUAGUUUGCUGCACUGCUCUUUGGAUAUGACCUACUUGGCUACAUUGUCGGAACAAAGCCAGGACAAACAAAUAUCAAUCGUAACUAUACUAUUUGGACAAGUAGGACAAGCUUCUUCUUCUAGGAAUCAUCGGCUCUCUCAGCCAUAAAGUCGUACCUGUGGUUCAUUCAUGCAAAACUUCCACUAAAGCUUGGCAUCAUUUUUCAAAGCUCUAUGUCAAUCCCUCAUUCUCCAAAACCAUGGGAUUGGUAGAGCAACUCAUUCUUCUCAACCAUGGCUCUUAACCAAUGGUUAACUACCUUGCAACAAUCCAUGAUAUUAUUGAUGAAUUGGACCUUCUUAGAGAAGCCAUUCCAAACCAAUAACUCACCCCUUAUGCAUGCAAACAUGUCACCCACGAAUUCAAUGAAUUGUUGUUGUUAUAUGCGCACGAGAUACUAUGAUCACAUUUGAUGAGCUGCAUGAAAAAUUGAUGGAAUAUGAAGCCUUCCUCAUGUAGGAAGAGCUUCGUUCCACUAGCACUCUUGGUACCAUUAAAGUCAACAAUACACAAUUUUCAUCUUCCCAUAGUGACAAAAACGCUAGCCAAAAAUAUUUCCCUAGUAGGAAAGGAUACAAAGGCCAACAUCCUCCUCAUUUUGGGAAUCAACACCCCAACAAGAACGCCACUAUGAUUUGCCAAUUCUGCGAGAAGAAAGGUCAUACUACUUGCUAGUGUUACUUGGCUAAGAAAUUGUUCCUUUCAUCCACACCUACUACUAGUCCAAUUAUCCCCACAAACAACUUCCUAACCAAUUGGCUCGUAGAUAUCAGUGCCUCACAUCAUGUUACAUCUAAUCUUAACAAUUUGUCUCUCUGCCAACCAAUGAAUCUGGUCAUUAAUAGUUUUCACAUUUCCUAUACUUGGAGGGUUGUUCCAAGAUUAAAUAAAGUUUUUUCCCAAGCUAAUCUUAAUGUAGUCUUUUCCUAUUCUUUGAGGGUUGUUCCAAGAUUAAAUAUGCUCAGUUUCAGAAUUGAAAGGACUUUUUCAUAUUGCUAAGAAAAAAACUUAUGAGAUUGAUUUUUCUAUCAAAAUUCUUAUCUCUAAAGUGGAUUCCUUUGAGUGGUGAGCUUAAUUCUGAGUUCUUAUCUUUAAGGUGAUGAAUUUCUUAUCGUUAAAGUGGUGAACUUGUGUUAUUAACUUAUCAUUUUAUUUCCUUAAAACGGUAUCAUUUUGUGUCAGAAAAAGUAGUUACAGGCUCCCUUCAAGUUUCUUAUGUAUCAACCCACAAUCAACUUGUGGAUAUACUCAACAAACCAUUGCCCAAGUCCCGCUUUACAUUCUUUCAGUCCAAGAUUGGCAUUUUUUUUUUUUUUAUGGAAGCACCAUCUUGCAAGGGCAUAUUAGGAGAGAACCAAUCUAACCCACAAAUUAAGAGCACUCAACAAACCAUUGCAAGGGCAUAUUAGGAAAGUCAUGUGUAUAAGAUUGUAGUGUACACCAAUACUAAUAUACUUUCACCAUUCAUCUAUUUACCUCUUUAAUGUGAAUGACAUCUACACCAAAAGAUAAUUUGGUGCCUAUACAUGCGUUAGUUUUUCAACUAAAUUGUUGAACAAAUGCCAUGAAUUGAGGUAUUACGAAUUAUUAAAAAGUUAAACUUGACUUAGAAUGUUUCUAAAAAUUAGAAUUUCACUUAGUUUAAGCUAACUAGAAUAUUUUAUUUUUGGCAAUUUAUUAUUUUCUAUUUUUUUUUUAUGAAGUUUUAUAUUUUAUAAGAAGUUUCUAUUUUAUUAGGUGUUAGUAUCUAUAAAUAAGAUGUAAUUUAAUAGUUGAAUAAGAGCGGUGAAAAACAAUAAUUUUUUUCUUAAUCCAUCUCAGUUGCUUAUCUCCCUUUAUGUUAUUAUUUGUCAUAAGUUAUUUCAACCCUAUUACUCCAACAAAUGGCUAUCACUGUCAUUCAAAAAAGUGGAAAUUGGCAUGUAUCUAUUUCAAGUCCACAAAGUCAAUAAAUGUAAUUACAAUAAAGGGGUAUGAAACUACUCUAUCCUAAAAUUAAUCAAAAGGAAUUUUUUUUUUGAAAAAUAUAAGUAAGAAAGAUAAGAAAGCUCUUACCUCCAUCAAUUAAGCAAUGGAUGAAGGUACUUUUGAGAAGAUUUUCAGUGCAACCAUAACCAAAUAUGAGAGAAUUUUAAGCACACAUAACAUAUUUAACAAUAUACAAAAGAUUAAUCUUCAAACUCUAAUAAGAGAAUUUGAAAGUUUGAGCAUGAAAAAAGAAAUCGAAAUAAAUCUCUAAUUAUUUUUCUAGAGUAUUAGCUGUUGUGAGUUUACAAUAAAAAUAUGUCAAAAGUUUGAAUGAUAGCCAUGUGGUAAAAAAAUAUGUUCAAUCUUUAGAUUCCAAAUAAGUUUAACUAUAUUGUUGUUGUCAUUGAAGAAUAUAAACAUUUAGAUUCUAUCACCAUUGAUCAACUCAUGAGAUCACUAUAGACUCAUAAAGAGAUUAAAAAGAAAUAACUAAGAAAAAUUACAACUUUUUUAAACAGAUUAAACUUAUACUAAAGGAGAAUGAUGAAAACAUUAGUGAAAGAAGUCAAAACAAUCAUGAAUAUGUCAAAGACAUGGUCAUAGCCAUGGCUAAGACAAUAGAGGAAGAGAUAGGUUUAAUUUAUCAAACAAUGAAAUAACAAGUCAAAAUUCACAUUCCUCAAGAGGACAUGAAAGAUGACACAACUUCAGGCAUAAUAAAAGAAGAGGAUAUGAUAAAUUUCAAAUUGAAUGUUAUAAUUAUAAAAAAUAUGGUCAUGAUGCUUAUGAAUAUAGAAAUGCUACAAACAAUAUGAAAAGAUACGUCAAAGGAGUUGCCACCUAGGACCAAACUUCCUGCUGAUCAAGUCUCAUAUCGAAUAUUGUAAACCCUCAAUUUUGUCCCUUUAGCACAUGUCUUUAAAAUUCGUUUUCAAUGCUCCACAAUAGUUCCUUGGUGGCCCAUGGCUACUCAUACCACUUACCUUUUUCUGAGUCACCUCGGAGACUUUGGUUGAGGGAUUAUCUGACCCCUUAUUGUGACCCUUGGCAGCCCUAACUUAGACUUAGGCUUUUCUUGCUUUUUAGGAUAGCUUUUAGAUACACUUGGCCCAUUAGGCACCACCUUAGGCCCACUUAGGUCACCUUUUAAGUAAUUUUUUGCAUGUUUGCAUGAUUGCAUUUUUUUGUAUGACUUGCAUGGCUUGUGGGGCCCGAUUUUUGUUAAUUUGUUUAUUUUUAUUUAUUUAUUUUACUUUAUUUUUUAUUUUUUAUUUUUUAUUUUUUUUUUACUAUCAUUCACUUUUUAUUGGUUAUCUUCCUCUUUAUAUUAUUUUCCUUAACUUAUUUAUUUAUUUAUUAUUUUUACCAUUUUCUAAUUUAUUUACUUAUUUAUCUAUUCAUUCAAUUAUUUAACUUAAAAAAUUUCAUGCUUUUGCAAGGAAACUUACCAUUGGAGUUUAAGGAAAGUGGGACUCUCCAUCGAAGGUUUUUGGAGGGGAAUUUGAAAUUGGGAAGAUUGCUUUUGAAUUGGAAGAUUUAAAAAAAAAGGAAAAGGUGAAAAGAAGAAAGAAAAUAAGAGAAUUUGUCUUUUUUAGAGAGAUUUAGGUUUUAGGGGGGUAAUAUAUAUAUAUAUGUGAGAAAAGGAAAAGAAGAGGACACGUAUUGGAGUCACGGUAGGGAGAGGAAUAAAGAUAGCAAAAAAAGGAUUUUUUCUUUUGAGGAGUACGCUGAAGAAGAGGAAGGAGAUGGGUGAUUCAUUACUCUGCAGCUGCCUAAAGGUUAUAGUGUUUUCAUGUUUCACUUUUAUUGAUUUUUCGUCAAGAUCAGUUUGGUACUGCUUUAGUCUCUCUAUAUCCUUGCUUCCCAUAGAGAUGUGGAUGCUUGCUAAUCAGGUAUGCCCUUUCUACCCCACAACCCUAAAAUUCUAUGAAUGUGUAUGUUCUCAUGAGACAUGACCAUGUUUGAUGCCAUAAUUGAUUGCCUUGAUGCUUGAUUGAUAAUCUUUGAUGAAAAUACAUACCAUGUAUCAUAUUUCCAAACUAAUCUCUUAUGUUUCAUGAUAGCGCUUGAGAAGCGGUUUCGGUACGCACCCUAACUUUCCUUUAUUGUGAUUUGAUCUUGUUUAGCAAGCUAUUUUUUGAAAUCACCUUAGUCUAUCUAGGUACUCUCAAUUAAUCAAUUAAUUGCCCCACUUCCCUCAACUUAGUCAGUAGAGACCUCUUUGGGGCUUAGAGGGGUGCUACCUCCUAGAGGUACCUUCCCAAUAAGCAACCUGAUCCCCAGACCUAGACUCGGGUUUCUCAAAGACAUGCUUUUUCCAAAACUAUGGAGUCACUUUUUAGGGUUUCUCUUUCUUGUUUUAUUUUCCCUUCAAAAUAAAAAUAAAAUAGGUGGUGAUUCCAACUUUUCUAAAAUUAAUUUUUCACAAAUAAAAAACUAGUCUCGCCGAUCGAGUGGGGACACACGUGAAAAAUGCGGGUCCGCAAAUAUCACUUUCGAAGUUACUAGAGCUAAGGAGGUAAUUGAAGAAACUAUUGGAUGCAUGCAUGAUCCAAUCUUUAAGGGUUUGUUUUGGUGCUCCUAUCUUAUUCCAAAUAGAUGUGUGUUAACUAUUGGGCCUUGAACAAAGUAACGAUCAAGAAUAAGUAUCCAAUCUCCUUAGUGGAAGAAUUAUUUAAUAAACUGGCCAAGGCAAAGUUUUUCUCCAAAUUCGACUAACGGUUAGGAUACUAGCAAGUAAGGAUUGUAAAGGGGGACAAAAAAAAAAAAAAGACUAUAUGUGUAACUCACUAUGGACCAUAUGAGUUCCUCAUGAUGCCAUUUAGACUAACUAAUGCCUCAAUAACAUUCUACAACCUAAUGAAUGAUUGCCAUACAAGUUCUUAUAUGCCUUUGUUGUGGUUUACUUUAAUGCAUUGUUGUCUAAAGCAAGACCUUAGAAGAGCCUGUGAAUCACUUGAGAUUAGUGUUUCAAAGACUAAGAGAACAUGAACUCUACUUGAAGAUGGAGAAGUGUGAGUUCGCACAAAGUCAUAUUACCUAUCUAGGACAUUAGAUAGAGGAAGGGUUUAUCAAGAUGGAUGUUUAGACCAUUAAAGAUUGGCAUGCUCUAAGCAAGAUGACACUACCUGACUAUUAUUGAAUGUACAUAAGGGGCUACUUCAAGAUAGUGGCUCCCCUUGCUAACCUUCUAAAGAAGGAUAUUUGCUAGGAUUGGAGGUUUGAAUGCUAGAAAGAUUUUGAGAAGUUGAAAGUAGUGAUUUGAGUCAAGUUGGUGUUGCAAUUACUAGAUUUGGAUCUCCUAUUUGAGGCUCAAAUAGAUGCAUCAGCUAGGGCCUUAGGAAGGAUCUUGGUGCAGGAAGGGCACCCAAUAGCCUUUGAGAGUUGAAAACUUAAUGAGUUAGAACAAAGAUACUCCAUUCACGAGAAAGAGAUGACAAUGAUUAUCCAUUGCUUAUAGUAGUGGAAGCAUUAUCUGUUGGGGAGUAUAUUUACUAUAUAUGGUCACAGGCAACAUAGUUAAUACAUUUUUCAAGAUGCAAAAGGAGUUGAGCCCUAAGCAAUCUAGGUGGCAAGAAUUCCUAGCCGACUUCAAGUUUAAAUGGUUGUAUUGACCAAGAAGACAUACUGUAGUUGUAGAUGCCUUAAACCAGAAGGAAUUGACAGAGUAUGUGAUCCCUCUAUCACAUGUGAUCUCAUAUUUUAAUGAAAAGAUCAAGCAAGCUGCUAAGCUUGAUUCUACUUAUGAGAAGAUGAAUCAACAAGUCAAAGAGGGGGCUAUUAAAAAGUAUUGGCUAGAAGAUGACCUCUUGGUGGCUAAAAGAGGUAGGCUAUGUGUACCAAGAAGUUGCUUACAUAAGGAGUUACUAAGAGAGACCUAUGAUGUCGAGUAGCCAGGUCACCUUGGCAAAGAGAUGACAUCAAUAGUAUUGUCCAACUACUAUUACUAGCUAAAAAUAAGAGAGGACAUCUAGGCUUAUGUUCUAUAUUGUUUGAUAUGUCAAUUGGAUAAGACAGGCAAGAAGAAAGCUAUAAGGUUACUACAACCUUUCCCUAUCCUAAAGAGACCUUAGGAGAACAUAUUUGUGGACUUCAUCGGUGGCUUUCCAAAAGUGAGGGAAUUUAAGUAUAUCUUCAUGAUAGUAGAUAGACUCUUUAAGUAUGUUGCUUUCAUACUUACACCACAUGCAUGUCCCGUAAAGGAGGUUGUUAGGCUAUUCCUCAACCAUGUGGUCAAGUACUUCAAGUUGCCUAAAGACAUAGUCAGUGAUUUUGAUGCUUGAUUCAUUGGUUAGUGUUGGAUUGAGUUGUUUAAACUCCUAGGAUUGAAGUUGAAGUUCUAAACAACAAAUGAUUCAUAGAUAGAUGGGCAAACAAAGUGUAUCAAAUGUGCCACUUAAGGAAUACCUCAGACACUAUGUUUUUGCAACACAAAAGAACUAGAUUGAUUUAGUGGAGAUAGCUCAGUUAUCCUAUAACUUACAUAAGAGUUCAAUAAUAGGGUUGAGUCCCUUUGAAUUGGCUAACAAGUGUUAGGGUUCCCAACAAAUACCCCCUUAGAGGUUAGGGUUUCUAAGGUUUUUCAGUUGUCUUCCUAAUCUAGAGAGCGUAAGAGAAAGAGCUUAGGAAUCAUCCCUUCUAAAGCCCACUCUUUGGAGUUCUAAGAUCGUAGUUCGAGUCAUCAAGUGUAAGAUCUUGGAUGUACAAGACCUCCAAACUCUUCAAGUUUAUUUUUUACCCAUGAAAUUGAUUUGGGGACAUCCAGAUCUAGACAUGAAUGUUUCUUCUCUAGUUUUAUUAAUCUAAAUCAUUUUAAAAGUCAUAUUUCAAUUCAAAUUAGUUUCUACAAAAGCCUAGGGUAGAUUUACAUGUACCUAUACAAUCCAAGGUAUGGGAAUGGAAUGAUCCAAGGUUCUCAACAUACACACUAUCUUACUCCCAUGAGAUAUCAUGGUGCUUUUAUUAAGAAUACUUGUUGCUAGCUUUCCCAUAUGGAUAUAUGACCACAUUAGGGUCUCACCUAUAAAUCAAAGUUUCUUAUUGAUUUUGGUAUAAAUUCAAUAUAUUCUCAAGGUUGAGAAUCUAUGUAUUACAGUAGCUUAGUGAAUCAUGACAACUAAUAGCCUUAUGUCAUGAUUCACUAUAGGUCUUGUCCUAUAUGUAACCAUACACACUAAUGUACUCAUCAUGGGAAACUCAUCUCAAUGGUCAUGAUAAGUCAUCUCUCCAAUUAGGAGGUGGUGCAUUGUAGUCUUUAUUGAAUUGCCCAAAUCUAUGAACCAAUUAUAAACAACUAAUCAUCUUGCAAGGAAUCCAUGACUUAUGUCCUUUAUGCAAUUCCUAGUACACUAAAGUCAUAUGCAAUGCAAGUGAAAUGACAUGUUUAUUUAGGUAACCAAUCAGUACAUAAUGGGAUAGUAAGUUGAGCAAUAAACAUAAAUAAAUAAAUUUAUUAAUGAAUCUACAACUAUUAUAUCAUGUCAUGCUUUCCAAGGCACUAUCCCAAUAGGUUGGAUUAGGUGACUCAAGUUCAGUUUAAGCUUAAGUCACUUAAACCCAUAAGAAGCCCUAUAUAAACACUCUAAGAGGUUUAGGGUUCACGAUUUUAACAUUUUGGCCACCAUCUUCCUAAAAGAGAGUAAGAGCAAGCCUUAACCACUCUUAGGAGAGGAAGAGAAGCUCACCCUUAUCUUAUGCCAUGAUCCUUGAAAUGAGAGAUCGAGUAAAAGAUCUUUGGGUAGAUGAACUCCACCACAUCCCCAACAUCUUCUUUGACAUCUUCUUGGGAUUAGAUUCGAUUUUGGAACAUCCAAAUUGUAGGUAUGAAACUUUAACCUCUACAUCUAGAUCAUAAUGUGGUUUUAGUUACCAUAUAUUUUUACUAUGUUAGAUACAAAGCCUAUGAACUAAGUAACUAGUGGUUCCCAACAGUUUAUAGUUAUAAAAUGAUGAAAACUAAUGUCUUUUCACCAACUAAACCUCAUAAAGCAUUAAAAUCAUUAGUUUCAUUGCAAAUUCAAGUUAAAGAUUAAAAUGCACCAAGUAUGAGUCUCACCCACAAAAUGAUCCCUAAUGCUCAUUAAUAUAUAUAUUAAAAGUCAAAAGGAUAAUGAAGAUGAUGACAAACCAAUAAUCAAAGCAAACUUUUGAUAAUGAAGAAAUAUGUUAUGUUCAGUGUCAAAAUAAAAUCAACACUAAAUUUUCUAAUAAAAGAAUUUGAUAGUAGGUUGUGACUACAACCUAGAUAUCAAUUCCAUAUUGAUACAAAAACAGAGCUUAAGGCAAUUUGAAAAACAAGCAUAAAAUCGAUGGUUUUGGAAUUGAUAAUAAAAUCAAUAAACCAACUCAACUUGAUACUCCUUGACAACAUGGAACCAAUGUCAAUCCCAAUAUGAUAACAAGAUCUAUACAACAUGAAAAACUGACAAAGCAAAAUUUACCAGACUUGGUAUCAAAUCAAAAUCAACAUGUAUUUCAAUAAAUUAUAUAUAUAUAAAUCAAUACAACACUAACAAUGGUAAUGUUAUUAUUUGGGAUAAACUAAUAUACAAAUAAUAAAGGCUCUGAGGUAUCAAAAUAUCAUUAAUGAGUACAAAAUCUAAUUCAACCAAUUUCAGGCAUUCUCAUGUGAAUUUACAAGUAUAAAAUAAUGAAAACUAAUGCAUUUUCACAAGCUAAACCUCAUAAAAGCAUUGAAACCAUUAGUUUCAUUGUAAUUUCAAACUAAAUAUCAAAAUGCACCAAAUAUGAGUCUCUCACGCAAAAUGAUUCCUAAUGCUCAUUAAUCUGAUUUUUUUUUUUUUCAUAUAAGACAAAAACAAAAACAAUUCAACAAUUUUUAUAGGGCUAAUUUUUUUUAAAAUGAUAUAGAAUAAUACAAAAGAAAAUAGAAAGGAGAGGAUAAUAUAUUGAAUGAAAGCUUGAAGUGCAGUUGGGGAGGCUUCAAGACUUGUUCAUAGCUUUGAUCUUCCUUUUUGAUCUCCAAUUUGACAAAGUUUCUUCUGCUUUUAUUUCCAUAGAAUUGUCUCCUUUGAAAAUGUAGCUCCCUCUUUGAAUUUAUUGCCUUGAGGAUGAUGAGGAUGAGGAGGAUGAUGAUAAACCAAUAAUCAAAGUUAACUUUUAAUAAUGAAAAAAUAUACUAGGUUCAAUGUCAAAAUCAAAUCAACACCAAAUUCUCUAAUAAAGGAAUUUGAUAAUAAGUUGUGACUCCAAACCAAAUAUAAAUUUCAUUUUGAUACAAAAACUGAGGCUAGACUAAUUCGAUAAACAAACAUAAAAUAGGUGGUUCGGGAAUUGAUUUGAAAUUAAUACUUGAGUAAAUACAACUACCCAAAUUGAUACUCCUCUACAACAUAGAACCAAUGUCAAUCCCAAUAUGAUAACAAGAUCUAUGCACCAUGAAAAAUCAACAGAACAACAAUUACCAUAGACUUGCAUUGAAUCUAAAUUAACAUUGAUUUCAAUGAAGUAUUAAAAAAUCAAUACAAUACAAACAAUGGCAACAUUAUUCUUUGGGAUGCAUGGAUACAAAAACAAUUAAGACUUUGAGGUAUCAAAAUGUUAUUAAUGCUUCAAUAAAAAAUCUAAUUCAACAAGUUUUUUUUUUAUUUCCAUUUGAAUUUACAAGUAUAAAAUGAUGGAAACUAAUGCAUUUUCAAUAGCUAAAACUCACAAAAGCAUUAUGUAGAACCUUCCUUUUUGUCCUGGUAACACAUGCUUUUAAUCGUAUUUAGUACCCCUCAUUUUUAGCAAUUUAAAUUGUUUAUAUAUAUAUAGAUUAUACGAAUGUUUUAACACUUAGAGAAAUUGGAAUGAAGCAAAAUAUGCAAAAAAAAAAAAAAAAAAAAAGAAAUAAUUGUCUAUAGUUAUCUUUAUUAUUUUUUAUACAUUUCUAUUGACAUGGUAUAAAUCAUCAAUAAUUGUUGUGAGUAAUAGCAUUGAGAAAAGUCAAUGUCCAUAAUAAUACUCUAUUGCCAUUUUUUAUUUUUUAUUUUUGUAAAAUAAUAAAUCAAAUCACAUCUUGUAACAUUAUCAUUAAGAUUUACAUGAUUUCUUACAAUGUAGCUUAAAACCAAAUAUUUCAUCAAAGAAGUUAUCAAUAAUUAGCCCCACACAAUGAUAUCUAUUAUAAUACAGACUUCCUUCAAUAUGUGUGUUUGUGAGUGUAAAGAAAAUAACAAAGAUAAGAAAGUAAGGUAAUAGAAAUUGAGAAAGUAAGAGAAAUAUUUUUUUUUUGUUUUAUUUUUCUCUCUCUAUUUAUUAUGCUAUUUAUAGAGUAAUAUAUAUAGUAAACCUAACUAAAAAAUUCUUUAACAAUAAUAGAAGAAAACCAAUGAGUAUAUGACACGUGUACAUCUUGUAACCAUAUGAAACUAUCUCUUAACAUUCUUCCUUGAACUUAAGGUAGAAAGAUUUUCUACUUUGAGUUUGUUUCUUAGAUUUACAAAGUGAGUGCUUGAGACAACUUUUGUUAAGACAUCUGCUACUUGAUCAAUGGAAGGCACUUGUUGGACUAAAACCUUUCUUUGCAAAACCUUUUCCUUGACAAAAUGUAAAUCCAAUUCAAUGUGUUUGUCCUAGCAAGUAAUAUUGGAUUAGCAACCAACAUAAUAGUGCUAAGAUUAUCACACCAAAUAACUAGUGGUGUCGGCAAAGUGAUUUUAAGUUUUGAGAGAAGAUAUUGUAACCAAGUGAUUUUUGCAACGAAACUAGUUAGGUUUCUAUACUCUACUCUUGUACUUGAUCUAAAAAUAGUAUGUUGUUUCUUUGACUGCUAAGUGACUACAUUUAAACCAAAGUAUACACAAAAUCCUAAAGUUGAUCUUCAAUCAUGAGGAUCAAAGGCCCAAUCGACAUCACAAAAUGCUAUAAGAUCAAGAGUAGGAGACUUUCUUAAAUGGAAUUUCAAGUAUCUAAGAAUUCUUUUGACUACUGUUUAAUGAGAUUCUAAGGGAGCUUGCAUAUAUUGACACUUUAUUAAUACUAUAGGUAAUUUCAAGCCUAUUAACUAUUCCUUAUUGUAAAGGUCUUACAAUUGAUCUAUAUAACUUCACAUCCUAAACUGAUUCACUUCCAUAGCUUAAAAGUUUCUAUUCAUUGGUCAUAGGAGUAGAAAUAGGAUUGGAACCUUGCAUUUUGAAUUUUCAUAAUAGAUCAGUUAAGUAUUUUCCUUGAGAGAGGUGAAUGCCUUCAACAAUAUGCUUUACUUCAAUCCCUAAAAAAUAAUUGACUUCUCCAAGAUCUUUUAAGGUAUACUCUCUAUUUAAUUGGUAAUGAGAUAAAUCAUAACUUUUUCACUACUACCAGUGAUAAGAAUAUCAUCUACAUAUACAAGAAUAUAGGUAGAAUGAAUAGAGAUUGAUCUAACUUUGUAGAGAUAAAUCCAAAAGGAAUAUAGGGUUGCACUUAACUUUUCAAGCCAAGCACUUGGUGCUUGUUUGAAGUCAUAUAAAGUUUUAUGUAAUUUGUGAACAAGAUGAGACUAGUUGUGCUGAAUAAAACCAGGAGAUUGUUGCAUAAAAACUUCCUCAUGUUAUUAAUGUCUAAUUGAUGAAUUAACCAACCUCUAGACAAAGUUAUAGUAAGCAUAACCCAAAUAGUGGCAUGUUUAACAACUGGAUUGAACGUUUCAGUGAAAUCAAAACCAGAUACUUAAUGAAACUCUUUAGCCACUAACUUGGCUUUGUACUUCUAAAUUGAGCCAUUGGGGUUUUCUUUCACUUUAAAUACCCAUUUGCAGCCAAUAGGUGUUCUUCCAGGUGGUAAUGAGACUAAGGAUCAUGUAUUAUUCUUCAAAAAAGCCAUCAAUUCAUCAGUCAUUGCUUGUUUCCAAUGAUGUAUAUGUAAAUCUUCCUUAACACAAGUAGGUUCACAUGUGGCAGCAAAAAGCUUUGGUUUAAAAAAUUCCAGUUUUAGAUCGAGUGACCAUAGAAUGAGUAUUUUUGCAAGGUUGCAUUGGAACAAAAGCUAAAUCUUCUUGUGUUUGGUCUUGUGAAAGAGCUCUAUGACCAACAACACUGUCAUAAGUAUUAGUAGCAAGAGGAGAGGUAGUGGGUACUAAAACAUUAGUAACAGAUUGGACAAUUUCUAGAUGAGUAAACCUACCAAAAAAAGAAAUUAUUAGAGAAGCAACAGAAAGAUGAAAAAAGGGUGAAACAUAAUUAGAUAAGGAUGAUUGAAUUUUAUGAGCAAAAGAAAAUGAAGACUCACAGAAAAUGACAUCUCGAGAAAUAAUAAAUUUGCCAUUAAAAUCAAGACAUUUAUAGCCUUGAUGAUUGAGACUAUAACCUAGAAAAGUACAUUCAACGAAUUGGAACUGAAGCUUGUGUUUGUUAUAUGAAUGAAUGUUAUGAAAAUAGGAGCAACCAAAUAUUUUUAAGAAAAAGUAAUCUGGUAAGGUUUUGAACAAAACUUCUAGAGGAGUUUUAUGAUGAAAAACAAAAGUUAGUAAAUUUAUUGUUGAGAUAAACAUAAGCUUUAAAGGCUUCAUCCCAAUAUUCCAUUGGCAUUAAAGCAGAUGCUAACAAGGUGAGACCAUGUUCUACAAUGGUUUUAUGCCUCCUUUCAGGCCAACCAUUUUGUUCAUGAGUAUAAAGACAAGAAUAUCUAUAAAAAAUGCCAUUUAAAGUUAAAAAAUUUGUGAAAGCUCUAUAUUCUCCACCCUAAUUUGUUUGUAUGGUGUUCAUUUUAAAUCCUAGUUGUAAUUCACCUUGAGUUUUGAAAUUAAGAAAGGCUUGAAAUGCAUCUAAUUUAUAUCUAAGCAAGUAGAUCCAAGAAAAUCUUGAGUAAGCAUCAACAAAGUGAAUGUAGUAGUAAUAACCACUAGAAGAUUGAAGUAGAGAGGGACCCCAUAAAUCAGAGUGUAUAAGUUGUAGGGUUUGAGUGUAAACAAUGUCAGAAAAAUAAAAAAGAAGUUUGUGAAUCUUGCCAUAACAACAAGUUGAGCAAAAAGAAAAUUGCAUUUUAUUAGGAACAUAAAUAUUGCAAUUAAUUAGACAGAACAAACUUUAAAAUUUUAAAGAAUGGAUGUCCAAGUUUGUGAUGCCAUAGAUCAAAAGUAUUCAAAGAACCAGAAGAAUCCUUAGUUGCAGUACAAGAGUCAAGAUUAUCUUGAAAGGGGCUAGAAACAUGAUUCUGAAAUAAAGAGGUGGAAAACUCGCAAAAGGUUGUAAAAGAUGGAACUGAUAGUGGCUUUGAUGAAGACAAUAGUGUGAAAUCAUCAAAUACGUAAAGUUCAUUCUUAACUCUCCUUGCCAUGAAAAUUUCCUUGGAAGCUUGAUCUUUGACAUAACAGAAAUUAGGAAAGAACUCAAAAUACAUAGCAUUAUCUUUGGCAAAUUUAGAGACAUUGAGCAAAUUUUUGGUAAUAGAUGGAACAUGAAGAAGAUGAUUUAAAGAGAGCAAUUUCAAAGUAAAUUGAGAUUGAAAAGAUGAUUGUCCAAUAUGUUUAAUGUUCAACCCUGUUCCAUUACCCAUCAUGAUCUUAUCUUACCCAACAAAUUUAGUUUUAUUCAUCAUAUUAUUAAUGUCUAGUGUGAUAUGAUUUGUAGCUCCUGAAUUUGGGUAGGCAAAUUCAAGAGUAGUAGCAACCAUGGCAAUCAUUUGUGAUGAAUCUUGAGUAGAAGGAAAUUCAUGCUAAAAUGAAGAUGGAUCAAAUCUAUAGUAACAUGGUUACACCAAAUGACCAACACGACCACAAAAUUGGCAUUGAGGUUUAUUGAAAUUCCAAUAAUUUUGACCACCAUUGAAGCCUCCAUGACCUUUGCUACUAGGACCUCUAAAUUUAUUGAAUCCACGACUACCAAAACCUCCUUUACUAUGAAAGUUAUUGAAAACACAAAAAUCGCCCUGAACAAAAGUAGAAAAGCCAUUUUCAGAAGAAUUGUAAGACCUUUUCUUGUCUUUGUUAUUCUCACUCUGAGUUGCUAAGUUAGCAUUCAAAUUAGAAUCUAAAACUUUUAUAGCCUUCUCAAUGUGCCUUUCUUGAGCCAAAAGAACAAACUUUAUUUCAUCAACAGUAUAUGAAUCCAUGUGUGUGGUAACAACAGUAAUCAAUGUGUCAUACUUGAGGGUAAUCCUUCAAAAAUUGUGUCAAUAUGAUCCAAAGUAGAUAUAGAAUAAUUAACCAAUAAUAUGCUAUCAACAAUGAUUUUGAUUUGCAAGUGAUAAUCAUUCAUGGAUGAUGAACCUUUCUAAGAGCUCUUGAUUUGCAUCUUGAACUUAUCAGUCUUAGUAUGAGUUUUAGUAGCAAAGAAAAUCUCCAAUUUCUCCCAAAUCUGAAAAGAAGUUACACAUCCAACCAUUCUUGUUAAAAGCCCUUUGGACAUUAAUGAAUGAAACCAAGAGAUUAGUAAUUAGUUCUGUUGUUCCCAAUUAGAGAAAUCUCAAUUGAUUUUACCACUUGUUUCAUUAAUGGAAGAAAGAAAUUUUGGAGGAGUGGUAUCGGUUCUAUUGAUGAACUUUGAGAGCUUGUAACCCUUGAUUGCAACUUCAACUUGUUGACGCCAAAUCAAAAAAUUAUUAUGAUAAAGUUUUAUGGCAAUUGAGUGAUUGAAGGAAAUCAGAACAAAUUGGGAUAGGAACGAAAAAGUAGGGGUGAGGGAAUCGGCCAUGGAUGAGACCUCCGAUACCACGUAAAGAAAGUAAUAGAGAUAAGAAAGUUAGGUAACAGAAAUUGAGAAAAAUCUUUUCUCAUUUUCUAUUUUAUUUUUCUAUUUCUAUUUAUUUUGCUAUUUACAGAGUAAUAUAUAUAGUAAACCUAACUAACAAAUUCUCUAGCAAUUCAUCUAACAAUAAUAGAAGAAAAUCAACGAGCAUAUGACACAUGUACAUCUUGUAAUCAUAUGAAAUUAUCUCUUAACAAUGAGUAAAAAACAAAGUUCUUGGUUUAUAUUCAACAUAAAUGUUAUAAAGGUAUUGCUAAUGGCAAGUAAUAACAAAAAAUCUCAAUACUAAAGUUUUUAGCAUGCUAACAUUUAUUUUUUCUGUUAUAACAACUAUAUUAGUAUAGAAUAUUCUCGAUAUAGUUUGUUAGAAUAAGUUUUGAGCUAUACAACCUCGUUUAGCAAUGUAAGGAAAAACACUUUCCUAUAUAUUUUUUGUACUUUCAAACUAUCAAUUAAAUUCAAUGAAAUGAGAAUGUGUUUUCUCUUUUCUAUUCUCUUCUUAUAAUAUGGUAUCAAAACAUUUUCCUUUUGUUGUUCUUCCAUCUUCUUGCUAAAAUGACCCAUGGUGGUCAAAAUAACAACACCAACUUAUUCAAGUCAUUGAUACCUCCUUCUUCCACUAGUACCAUGGCUUAACAUGAUUCUUCUUCUUCCAUGAAUAACACUAAUGGUCCUUUUUUCUUGCACAGUUGUGACCAUCCCGAAUUGGUUCUUGUUUUUCAUUUCCUUACUACUCUUAACUAAAAUUGUUGGAGUCAAGCCAUGGCCAUGGCUCUCAACACCAAGCAUAAACUCGUUUUUGUCAAUGGAUUGAUUCCACAACCACCUUCAGAGAAUCCUGUUGCUAAGGUUUGGUUAAGAUGUAAUAGUAUGGUCACUUAUUGGCUUCUCAAUGUCGUUUCCAAAGAGAUUAUUGAUAAUUUCCUCUACCUUGAUAGUGCUCAAGAUAUUUGGGCAGAUCUAUGAUCCAUGCCCAGUCGAGUGUUUAUCAAAACAUUUAUAAAACCUACAACACCUUAUAUUAGGAUAGCAAAGACAAAGCUACUAUAGUAUAAUGACUCUAGGAUUGUUGAUUCCUGCCCAGUCGGUGUCUCAACUAAUUCGUGUCCAGUUGGUAUCCUUGAUUGCGGGAGUAAUCAACAAAAUUUAUAACCUAUUACACCAUGAACUAGGGUAGCAAAGACAAAGCUAUUGAUUACUACCCAAAAAGUGUUAUUUUGCACCUUUAAUUCAUUAUGUUUUAAGCACUUUUGUGUAGUAGUUCUCCAUUUUUAUUCAAAUUGGCAUGUUAAGGACCUAGCAAUGACUUCUAAUCAUAUUUGUGGCUAUUUUUAGUGUUUUGACAGCUUUUUGGAUCAUUAAGACAAGCCAAGUAAAAGAGAGAAGCAAAGAGGAAAACAGAGUGAAGAAAACAGAGGACAGCAGCUGCAGUCUUCCUUCGCACUUUUGGAGCACUUCCCGAAGUCCAUUUGCUACAUGCUAUAUACCAUUUCAAAUCUCAGGAAGUCAAGAAUCUAACAAUUCAAACUGUGUAUGAUUUGGAGCUGAAAUGAGGAACAUAUGGCCUUCGAAAGACAACUGCACCAAGCAUGUGCAAACUUUGCACAACAGCCCAAGCUUGUGCAAAAUUCGCACAACACCUUUCCCUUGUGCGAAAUUCGCACCAGCCCAUGCAUGGUGCGAAAUCUCCUCUGUUCUGCUGACUCCACACGAGAUCUUUUCUUUUAGAUAUUUUUGUAUAAAUUUCCAUUCUUCUCCUUGUAAUCCACCAACCAUAAGAUUUCUUAGCUAGGAAGGUUGGAAAAACUUCUCUAUAUAUAUUCCCUUGCAUCCAUUGUAAUAGAUAUAGAAGUAUGUAAUAUAGAUAUAUAAAUAUAAAGAAUAUACAGAGCCUUGCUCUGUUUUUCCUUCUCUUUUAUUUUUCUUUUUCUUGAAAGCCAAACAACCUCUGAGGAUGUUUUCCCAGAGGAUGAGAGGCUAAACUUUUGGUUUCUUGGAGUGAAGGAAGCUAGGUGAAAAGUCCAGAUGCAAAGGUGAAAACUCUCGUGCAUUAAAUACAGGUAGUUGGAGUUCAUAAAUGGCUUUUAAAUCUAAAGUUUUGCUUUAAAUCCCUUAGAAUAACUUUGAAUGGCCAAUACAUGGUAAGCUUUAGGUCUUUGUGGAUACUUAUUACUAGAUCCACACCAGUCCAUUAGUUAUCAUGUACGAGCCAUUGGAAAGUGGCUCAAGGUGAAGACCCAUAGUGUCUAAAGCCAUUAAUGGAACCUGACUACCAUUUCUAUUGACUUUUUAUGGAUUAAAUCUUCAUGGUUAAACCUAUACCGGUUCGGGAAACAACCAUCUUUUAUGUUGUUGUCCCCAAUGCGAGAAGAAGAAUCCGAAAUUUCCACUUUGCAUUCUGAACUUGAUCCUAGCAACCUUAGCUCCGGGAGACUUUCUUUCUUCCAUUUUUACCUAGUUUUAUGUUAGUUUAGUUUAAAACACCACUUUCAAAACAAAUAUUAUUUUCUUUUAAACUUAAAGUUUUUGACAAAGGAAAUCAUCAGAUUCAAUCUCUAAUCUUGAGUCUAUCACUGGUAGAGUGAAAACCCAUCCCAGAGUUCGACCCUAGAGCUGCUAUACUAUAGUAGCUUUGCUACGCUAGUAUGAGGUCAUAGGAUUUAUAAAUUUUUUUUAUUAAAAGACCCGACUGGGCACGAAUCAAAAUGGUGUCGUUGCCGGGGAUGGUGCCACUUUACAGUGAUAUGACCUUUUCAGAGUACUUGUGAUCUUCAUCACAAGUUUGGUGACUUUUCUUUUCCUUUUACUAACUUUUUUUAUUUGUUUAUUUUCCUUUGUUCAUGUUUUAGUAUAUCUUUUAUUUAGUUUUUAGUUAAUCUUAACAAUUUUCUUUAGAAUUUUAUUUUCUUUUAUUUUCUUUUGUUUUCUCUGUUUUUAAUUCACAAAUUGCUAGUUGUGCAUGCCAUUUCUAAAACACUAGUGCAAGCUAUGUUGUGUUCCAUUUGUCAAUCUUUUGAGCACUUGGUGGAGGAGUGUCCUAUCCUUCCAGCAGCGAGGGAGAUGUUUGGUAUGCCAUGUAGCAUUUGUCAGUCUUUUGAGCACCUGGUAGAGGAGUGUCCUAUCAUUCCAGUGGUGAGAGAGAUAUUUGGUGAUUAUAACACCUACAAUUCAAAUUGUAGGAAUCAUCCAAAUUUCUUUUGGGAACCACAACCACGUCAGUACAUGCAACCCACUCAAGCACCACAGCAAGCCUCAAACCUUGAACAAGCUAUGAUGAAUCUUAACAAGGUCAUGGAAGACUUUGUUGAAGCUCAGAAAUCCAUCAAUGCUCAGCUCAGUCAAAGAAUAUCACUCCCUGAUAGAGUAGAGAGUUCAUUGAAUAAAAAGAUGGAUGGAGUGCAACAUGAUCUAUCUCAAAAGAUAGAUAAUCUCCAAGAUUCAAUCUCAAGGUUUGCCAACCUCAACACAAUGCAAGAAAAAGAAAACUCUCCUUCUCAACCUUAUCAAAAUUCCAAGGGUAUCCAUGAAGUGGAGGCUCAAAAGGGAGAAUCUUCAAUGGUGAAGGAAGUUAAAAUGGUUAUCACUUUGAGUGCUAAAGAGGUUGAUUUGGCCACAUCCAAACAAGAGCAUGAAAUAGAGAAUGAAAUAGAGAAAAAGAAGAGGGAGGAAAUUAAAGGAAAGAGAAAGGGAAUUGUUUCCAUUGCCAUCAUACAAUGCAAAUCUCUAAUGAAGGAUGCAAACUUCAUAUGGGAUCCGGGCAAGCUGAACCAGGAUCAAAUUUUUUUAUGGACUUAGUUUUUUUAAAGACUAGCUAGUCCAUAUCUUUUUGUUUUAUUUUUAAAUUUGUUUUGAUUUUGAUUUCUUGCUUUAAUUUUAUUUUGGUUUGAUUUAACUUGUUUUUUUUUUAUGAUCAACAUAGGGGAAGCCAAAAAUAGAGGAAAAUAGAGCAAUUUGCACCACCCAAUUCUCUGGUGCGAAAUUCGCACCACCCUACCCCCUUGUGCGAAAUUGCCUUUGUGAGCGUUUUCCAAAAAGCAUGCUCUCAGUCCCUACCCAAAAUCUCAGUGCAAAAAUCACAGGAAUGCGAACAUUGUGUGAAAUUCCCACCGCCAUCUCCACAUGUGCGAAAUUCGCACAACACUACUCCACCUGUGCAAAAUUCGUACCACCCCAUUUCGGCAACUGUUGGGCACAUUUAGAUCACUUCCCAAAUUUCAUUUCAUGCGUACUAUAUCUCGUUUCAAAGCUUGGGAAGUCAGGAGUCCAUAGCUUCAAACGGUGCUCGAUUUGGAGUUGAAACGAAGAAGUUAUGGCCAUUUGAAGACGACUGUGCAAAGCUGAACGGAAAUGUUGCAGCCGCACCCCAUUUCGCUACUGUUGGACACGUUUUUUGGAGCACUUUCUGGAGAUAAAAUUAUGCAUACCAUAUGUCGUUUUUAAGCUUAGGAAGUCAGGAGUCCAGUGCUUCAAACGGUGUGCGAUUUAGAUUUGAAACGAAGAAGUUAUGGCCAUUUGAAACCACCACAAUUUCGCAUUUGGACGGGUGAAUAGUGCCUUGUGCGAAAUUCGCACAACCCAUUCCCUUGUGCUAAUUUUUGAGAUUCUUCAUCCCUACCCUUCCCAAUCCCAAGCCUUUGAGCCUCAUUUCUUUGCUCCAUUAUGCCUAAGACCCGAGGAGGCUAUGCCUCAGCUCCCCAGAGGCAGCAUCGUCUGAUGCCCCACCUACUGUCCCUCCUUACCAACAGAGCCCCGCGCACCCUGGGAUCACACACAUGAAGCCUCUUACUCCAUUUCUGACCUCCUUAAACCAUCAAAGCCCAUAGCUCCAGCUGAGAGCUCCAGUUGAGGAGACUAUGCCAUCCAAGGAGAAUAUCAAAACAGAGGCCAAAGUCCUGAUCCAACCCACUCAGAAGGCCACCACAGAUGCAUCAGCUCCAUAGGACCUUACCAUUAUUUGAUCAUCUCUUUACUUUUUGUCUUUACAUAUUAUAUUAGUAUAUAUAAUUCCAUGUUUUGAUGUUUUAUAUUCUGGGAUUGGAUGUAUUGCAUGAUCAUAUAUUAUAUUCUAUUUUCUCAGAUUAAUAUAUAGGCAUCAUUUUUGUUUAAACUUGACAUUUUUCUAUUUUCUCUACUCACUAUUUUUUUUUAAACAUGUGGUUUCUCUUAUACAACUCAGACUCCAUGUCACUCAAGAGGUACCACUUCCUCCCUAUUUUUUAAUCGCUUUGUCACAUUGAGGACAAUGUUUAGCUUGGUUGGGGGGAGAGUUGAGGAAGGAAGUUUUUGUUAUUAAUGCUAAGUUAUUUUGGUAAUUUAGUUGCUUUUUGCUUAAUUUUAAAAAAUUUUUAAAGUUUUUUUUGAAUACUCUCCAUGGUUAUUAAGGAAAAAAUUUCAAAAUGAAAUGGGAGAAAUUAAAUUUUUGUCUUUUUACUUGAAACUUAGAGUUUGUAUUAUGUUUAUUAAAGUUGAUGAAUUAUUGAACUCCUAUUGAUUUCAACCUUAUUUCUUCCACUUUAAGCUUAUCACACACCAUGCACACUAGGUUCCGUUUAUAAGAUGAAAAACUAUUUUACCCCUUGACUUAGGAAAAUUUAGACUUGGUACCUUUGACCUCAUUUUAAUAGUGUUGAGACACCUUAUAAAAGGCCAAUGAGCCUUUGGAAAAAGAAAGAAAAAGAAAAAUGUUUUACUUGCCUUGAAACCCGAGCAAGGUCUGAGGGGUAUAUGGUGAAAAUCUUUAAAACCUGGUGCCCUAAGCCUUCAAUGGUUGGGAGUCACCGACCUCAAUGCUCGUUACAUGGGUGAAUAGGUGGAGUUUAACAUAUUGUAGGUGCUUGGGUAUUAAAAAUUCAUUCUCAAAAGUCCGAGGUGAAAUCCGAGGAGUUAGUGGUUGAAAAAUCCUUAAAGCUUGAUGCCCUAAACCUUGAUUGGUUGGGAGUCAUCGAUGGACCCCCGUUACAUGGACAAUUUAGAAAAGAAUGCCUUUAAGCUUUGCACUCCUACAGGAAAAAAAUUGUGAAAGAAAAGAGGUGUGUUCUUAGCCUAUUGGAGGUUGAUUAGUUUGCUAAGCUUUGAAAAGAACUAGGUUGAGGGGAGAGAUUAGUUUGACAUACUAUAUCCGGAAACUAAUAAAUAACACAUAGAUUUUUGUGGAAGAGUAGGGUUGGACCUUUAGGAGUGGAAAUUAUUUUGAAGCUUAAAUUUGCAUAAUGCCUACUCUUUAUGAAUUGUGACUAGGCAAAUUAUUUGAUAGCUCCUAUUGAAGUUUGAGUUUUAUUUCUUUCAUGUUCCAUGUGAGAGUUUGAUCCAAUCAUGCCACUUGAUUAUUUUUUGGAGUGAUCAACAUGAUUUUAUAAAUUAUUAUAUUAUCUAUUUUUCUUUCUUUCUUUUUCUCUCCUUCAUUGCUUAGGGACUAGCAAUGUGUCAGUUGGGGGGAGUGAUUACUACCCAAAAAGUGCUAUUUUGCGCCUUUAAUUCAUUAUGUUUUAAGCACUUUUGUGUAGUAGUUCUCCAUUUUUAUUCCAAUUGGCAUGUUAAGGACCUAGCAAUGACUUCUAAUCAUAUUUGUGGCUAGUUUUAGUGUUUUGACAGCUUUUUGGAUCAUUAAGACAAGCCAAGUAAAGGAGAGAAGCAAAGAGGAAAACAGAGUGGAGAAAACAGAGGAUAGCAGCUGCAGUCUUCCUUCGCACUUUUGGAGCACUUCUUGAAGUCUAUUUGCUACAUGCUAUAUACCAUUUCAAAGCUCAGGAAGUCAAGAAUCCAACUCUUCAAACCGUGUACGAUUUGGAGCUGAAAUGAGGAAGAUAUGGCCUUCGGAAGACAACUGCACCAAGCAUGUGCGAAUUUCGCACAACAGCCCAAGCUUGUGCGAAAUUCGUACAACACCUUCCCCUUGUGCAAAAUUCGCACCAGCCCAUGCGUGGUGCGAAAUCUCCUCUAUUCUGCCGACUCCACGUGAGAUCUUUUCUUUUAGAUAUUUUUGUAUAAAUUUCCAUUCUUCUCCUUGUAAUCCACCAACCAUAAGAUUUCUUAGCUAGGAAGGUUGGAAAAACUUCUCUAUAUAUAUUCCCUUGCAUCCAUUGUAAUAGAUAUAGAAGUAUGUAAUAUAGAUAUAUAAAUAUAUAGAAUAUACAGAGCCUUGCUUUUUUUUUCCUUCUCUUUUAUUUUUCUUUUUCUUGAAAGCCAAACAACCUCUGAGGAUGUUCUCCUAGAGGAUGAGAGGCUAAACUUUUGGUUUCUUGGAGUGAAGGAAGCUAGGUGAAAAGUCCAGAUGCAAAGGUGGAAAACUCUCGUGCAUUAAAUACAGGUAGUUGGAGUUCAUAAAUGGCUUUUAAAUCUAAAGUUUUGCUUUAAAUCCCUUAGAAUCACUUUGAAUGGCCAAUACAUGAUAAGCUUCAGGUCUCUGUGGAUACUUAUUGCUAGAUCCACAUCAGUCCAUUAGUUAUCAUGUACAAGCCAUUGGAAAGUGGCUCAAGGUGAAGACCCAUAGUGUCUAAAGCCAUUAAUGGAACAUGACUACCAUUUCUAUUGACUUUUUAUGGAUUAAAUCUUCAUUGUUAAACCUAUACCGGUUCGGGAAACAACCAUCUUUUAUGUUGUUGUCCCCAAUGCGAGAAGAAGAAUCCGAAAUUUCCACUUUGCAUUCUGAACUUGAUCCUAGCAACCUUAGCUUCGGGAGACUUUCUUUCUUCCAUUUUUACCUAGUUUUAUGUUAGUUUAUUUUCAAACACCACUUUGAAAACAAAUAUUAUUUUCUUUUAAACUUAAAGUUUUUGACAAAGGAAAUCAUCAGAUUCAAUCUCUAAUCUUGAGUCUAUCACUGGUAGAGUGAAAACCCAUCCUAGAGUUCGACCCUAGAGCUGCUAUACUAUAGUAGCUUUGCUACGCUAGUAUGAGGUCAUAGGAUUUAUAAAUGUUUUUUAUGAAAAGACCCGACUGGGCACGAAUCAGCUACUAUAGCAUUGUGGCUCUAGGAUCGUUCAUUGGGAUGGGUUUUCACUUCACAAUUGAUAUUAAUUCAAAACUGAAUUAGUGCCUUUUCAUUUCAAGGUUAGCUUUAAAAGAAAACAUAAAGAUUUUUGAAACUAAACUAACAUAGAACUAGGUAAAAAUGGAAGAAAGAAAGUCUCCCGGAGCUAAAGGUUGCUAGGAUCAAGUUCAGAAUGCAAAGUGGGAAAUUCCGGAUUGUUCUCCUCGCAUUGGGGACAACAACAUAAAGGAUGGUUGUUUCCCGAACCGGUAGAGGUUUAACAAUGAAGAUUUAAUCCAUAAAAAGUCAAUAGAAAUUAGUCAAGUUCCAUUAAUGGCUUUAGACAUUAUGGGUCUUCACCUUGAGUCACUUUCCAAUGGCUCGUAUAUGAUAACUAAUGAUCUGAUGUGGAUCUAGCAAUAAGUAUCCCCAUAGACCUAAAAGCUUACCAUUUAUUGGCCAUUCAAAGUGAUUCUAAGGGGUUUAAAGCAAAACUUUAGAUUUAAAAGCCAUUUAUAAACUCCAACUACCUGUAUUUAAAGCACGAGAAUUUUCCACUUUUUCAUCCGGACUUUUCACCUAGCUUCCCUUAGUCCAAGAAACCAAAGGUUUAGCCUCUCAUCCUCUGGGAAAACAUCCUUAGAGGUUGUUUGGCUAGUAAGAAAAUAUAAUCAAAAUGAGAAGGUAAAAGCAAAGCAAAGCUCUGUAUUUUUCUUCCUUUCAAAAUUGUACAAAGGAUUGAUCGAUAAUAUAUUCGAUAUCUUGUGUAAAGGAAAUUACAAACUAUAUAUAAGGGUUUAUUCACCCUUUUUCCAAACUUAAUAACUAAGGAAUCCUAUCAUUGGUGGGUUACAAGGAGACUUUGGGAAUUUAGACAUAAAAUGUCUAAAGCAAAAUAUCUUAAAAUAUCCCAAAAUAUUGGUGGCAAAUAUCAGGAAGCUUCAGGAGAACACAGCAGCACUGUGCAGAAUGGUUGCUCUCCCAUCCGGGUAGGCGGUUAUCAAAUGAUCCGGAUACGUCCAUCUGGAAAAGUUGAAACACCUACAUCUCCUAUCCGGCUCCUGAAUUCCAGAAGUGAACAUUCGGGGUGGAAAGUGCGCGGCAACCGGAUGCAAUGGCAGCAGCCGGGUGCAAACGGCGGCGCACAUCCGGGUGCAAAUGGUGGCGCACAUCCGGGUGCAACUCCUAUCUGGUGGUGUGGUCCGGACGCCCUCCAAUGGUGUAUCCGGACGCUCUGUCCAGGUAUACUCCUUGCAUGGAUUCCAAAGAAGUCUCCUCAAUCUCAUAUUGCUUUGGUGAUAAAAAAGCUAUCAAAACACCAAAACUUAACACAUUUUUUAUUAGAAUUGAUUGCAAGGGUCCUUAACAUGCCAAUUGAGUUAAAAGGUGAUAACUACUACUCAAAAGUGUUUAAAAGAGUUAAUUACCAGCUAUGAAAUAACACUUUUUGAUCCUAGUUCAGCUGGCCCGGAUCCCAUAUGAAGUUUGCAUCCCUCACUUGAGAUUUGCUUUGUAUGAUUUUGCCAUACAAAGCUUGGGGGAAAAGUGGAUGCAUGUGUUUCUUCCUUGAUGACUAUCCUUUUUGGUUUUUCUUUUAUACAAUCAUCUUUCUCUGUACUUUUCCCCUUUCUCUUUCCUUUUAUUUUCUCCCUCUUUUCUUUCUCUGUUUCACUCUCUUCUUUGUGGUCUAGCUUGCAUGCGGGUAGAUCAACCUCUUUAUCACUCUCCUUAGCCUCUAUUUCAAGGAUACCCUUUUGAUUUUGAUGAGGUUGAGAAGGAAAGUUUUCUUUCUCUUGCAUUGCGUUGAGGUUGGCAAACCUUGAGCUUGAGUAUUCGAAAUUGUCUGUCUUCUGAGACAGGUCAUUGAACCUCUCAUCCAUCCUAUCAAUUCUUUGACUGAGCUGAGCAUUGAUGGAUUUUUUAGCUUCAACAAAGUCUUCCAUGACCUUGUUAAGAUUCAUCAUAGCUUGUUCAAGGUUUGAGGCUUGCUGUGGUGCUUGAGCAGGUUGCUGAUACUGAGGUGGUUGUGGUUUCCAAGAGAAAUUUGGAUGAUUCCUACAAUUUGAAUUGUAGGUGUUAUAAUCACCAAAUAUCUCUUUCGCCACUGGAAUGAUAAGACACUCCUCCACCAAGUGCUCAAAAGAUUGACAAAUGGCACACGACAUAGCUUGCACUAGUGUUUUAGAAAUGGCAUGCACAACUAGCAAUUUGUGAAUUAAAAACAGAGAAAACAAAAGAAAAUAAAAGAAAAUAAAAUUCUAAAGAAAAUUAUUAAGAUUAACUAAAAACUAAAUAAAAAAUAUACUAAAACAUGAAUAAAGAAAAAUAAAAUAAAAAGAGUUAGUAAAAGGAAAAGAAAAUUCACCAAACUUGUGAUGAAGAUCACAAGUACUCUGAAAAGGUCAUAUCACUGUAAAGUGGCACCAUCCCCGGCAGCGGCGCCAUUUGAUUCAUGCCCAAUCGGUGUCUCAGCUAAUUCGUGUCCAGCUGGUAUCCUUGAUUGCGGGAGUAAUCAACAAAAUUUAUAACCUAUAACACCAUGAACUAGGGUAGCAAAGACAAAGCUACUAUAGCAUAGUGGCUCUAGGAUCGUUCACUGAGAUGGGUUUUCACUUCACAAUUGAUAUUAAUUCAAAGCUGAAUUGGUGCCUUUUCAUUUCAAGGUCAAGUUUAAAAGAAAACAUAAAGAUGUUUGAAACUAAACUAACAUAGAACUAGGUAAAAAUGGAAGAAAGAAAGUCUCCCGGAGCUAAAGGUUGCUAGGAUCAAGUUCAGAAUGCAAAGUGGGAAAUUCCGGAUUGUUCUCCUCGCAUUGGGGACAACAACAUAAAGGAUGGUUGUUUCCCGAACCGGUAUAGGUUUAACAAUGAAGAUUUAAUCCAUAAAAAGUCAAUAGAAAUUAGUCAAGUUCCAUUAAUGGCUUUAAACACUAUGGGUCUUCACCUUGAGUCACUUUCCAAUGGCUCGUAUAUGAUAACUAAUGAUCUGAUGUGGAUCUAGCAAUAAGUAUCCCCAGAGACCUAAAAGCUUGCCAUGUAUUGGCCAUUCAAAGUGAUUCUAAGGGGUUUAAAGCAAAAAUUUAGAUUUAAAAGCCAUUUAUAAACUCCAACUACCUGUAUUUAAAGCACGAGAAUUUUCCACUUUUUCAUCCGAACUUUUCACCUAGCUUCCCUUAGUCUAAGAAACCAAAGGUUUAGCCUCUCAUCCUCUGGGAAAACAUCCUCAGAGGUUGUUUGGCUAGUAAGAAAAUAUAAUCAAAAUGAGAAGGUAAAAGCAGAGCAAAGCUCUGUAUUUUUCUUCCUUUCAAAACUGUACAAAGGAUUGGUCGAUAAUAUAUUCGAUAUCUUGUGUAAAGGAAAUUACAAACUAUAUAUAAGGGUUUAUUCACCCUUUUUCCAAACUUAAUAACUAAGAAAUCCUAUCAUUGGUGGGUUACAAGGAGACUUUGGGAAUUUAGACAUAAAAUGUCUAAAGUAAAAUAUCUCAAAAUAUCCCAAAAUAUCGGUGGCAAAUAUCAGGAAGCUUCAGGAGAACACAGCAGCACUGUGCAGAAUGGCUGCUCUCCCAUCCAGGUAGGCGGAUAUCAGAUGAUCCGGAUACGUCCAUCUGGAAAAGUUGAAACACCUACAUCUCCCAUCCGGCUCCUGAAUUCCAGACGUGAACAUCCGGGGUGGAAAGUGCAUGGCAGCCGGAUGCAAUGGCAGCAGCCGGGUGCAAACGGCGGCGCACAUCCGGGUGCAACUCCUAUCUGGUGGUGUGGUCCGGACGCCCUCCGAUGGUGUAUCCGGACGCUCUAUCCGGGUAUACUCCUUGCAUGGAUUCCAAAAAACUCUCCUCAAUCUCAUAUUGCUUUGGUGAUAAAAAAGCUAUCAAAACACCAAAACUUAACACAUUUUUUAUUAGAAUUGAUUGCAAUGGUCCUUAACAUGCCAAUUGAGUUAAAAGGUGAUAACUACUACUCAAAAGUGUUUAAAAGAGUUAAUUACCAGCUAUGAAAUAACACUUUUUGAGUAGUUAUCAAUUGUCCACAAUGAUGGGUUUUCGUUAUACACUUGACAUUAAUGAAAUGAGAAAUGGUGAUUUCCUUUUUGAAAGUUAGUUUUUAAUGAAAAUAAUAUUGAUUGGAAGGGUUGAUUUUAAGUUAAGCAAACAUAAACAACUGAAAUUACUACAAAGAGAAAGUCUCUUGGAGCUAUAGGUUACUAGGAUCAUGUUCCUAUUGCAAAGUGGGAAAUUCCGGAUCUUCUCCUCGCAUUGGGGACAAUAACAUAAAGGAUGGUUAUCUCCCAAACCGGAUUUGUAUUUAGCAAAUAAGUUUUGAUCCAAAGGGUUCUUGAAAAAUGGUAGUUGCUUCCCAUUAAUGGCUUCAAACACUAAAGACCCUCACCUUGAACCACCUUCCAAUGGCUCGUACUUGAUAACUAAUGGACAUUCAUGGAUCUAGCAAUAAGCAUCCAUAGAAUCCUAAAAGCUUACCAAGUAUUGGCCAUUCAAGGUGAUUCUAAGGGAUUAAAGCUGAAACUUGAAAUACAAACCAUUAAUGUUACACAACUACCUUCAUUUAAAGCAAGGAAAACUCCCACAUUUGCAUCUGGGUCCUUUACCUAGCUCCCAUCACUCCAAGAAACGUGAAACUUAGCCACUCAUCCUCUGAGAAAUCAUCCUCAAAGGGUGUUUGGCUAGAGAGAAUAUGAAGAGAAAAUGAGAAGGAAAGGUAGAGAAAAACUCCCGUAUAUUUUCUUCAAAACCCGACUUUACAAAAUAUAAAAAACAUCAAGCAUCCUUUGAGAGGUUUUCCAACCCUUAUUUAUAGUUCGUAAACAAACCCUAAUGUCAUUUAUCUAUUACAAAGGAGUAAAAAGGAAAAAUUACAAUUCUGGAGAAAAAUCCCAAAAGUUGGUGCGCACAAAGUGAUUUUGGCACACCCUACCAAAUUUUGGCACAUCCUGCCAAAUUUUGGCACAUCCUGCCAAAUUGAUGAUUUUGCCUUGCAAAAUGCUCUGUUUUCCUCCAUCUUACUACUGAUAGUUUUGGCAAGAAUAGAGAAGUCAAGUAAUGGGUACAUUUCCUCAAUCAAUAGAAGCAAGACACACUAUAACUCAUAUGGCAUAAACUUCAUUCAAACCAAGUUUUCCAAACUCAAAUUUCAAAAUUUUGAAGGUGAGAAUUGGGAAUUAGGAAAAAGUAGGUGUGGACCCCGCAUUUCGCUUUGCUCGAAUGCGUUUCCCACUCGAAUGGCGAGCUCGAUUUUUAUUUUUUUUGAAAAUGAUUUUUAUUCAUUAAAAAUUGACUUGGAGUCGCCACUUAUUUUUGUUUUAUUUUUAAAGGGUAAACAAAAUAAGAAAGAAAAACCCUAAGUGUGACUCCUUAUUUUGGAAAAGGCGGUCUGUGAAAAACCGGAUCGGGUUCGGGGGUCAGGUUACUUAUCGGGAAGGUACGGUAAAGACCGUAGCACCCCUCUAAGUCCCUAAAGUCGGGUCUCUACUAAUAAGAUGAAACUGACAUGGCAAUCAAUGAGAAUCGAUGAAUAGUCAAAUCAAUCAUGCACAAUAUGAGAAGCGAAGCAUGUAUAAAGAAUGAGCGAAAUAUGAAUAGAUGCGUACCUGGAUGGCAAUCACGAAUGUGCUAUCAUGAAACAUGGUUAGUGAACAAUGAACAAAUAUAGUUAAGCGCAUAUCAAGGAAUAGAGUAAAUCAAUCAUGCAUGACAAAUAAAUAAAUCAAUCAGUCAAUCCAUCAUGAAGUCUCAUAUGUAGGGCCCCCACCAAAGCCCAAUUCAUUUUUGCAUGAAUUAAUACCAUAAAUUCCCUUGCUUGGAAUUACGGAAUUUUAUUCUAGCUUAUUUUAAAACAUUUUGAAAAUUUGAGGAGUUGUGAAAAUUGCUUAUCAGAAGAAAAAGUGGAGGCAAAAAUUUAUUAAAAAUAGGAUUUUUGUGUAACCUAGGGAAAAUGCUAAGGAUGAAAAGUUGGAAUAUUUGAAGUUAUUUAAUCGACCAAAACUUGGAAAACUACUUUGAAAACAGAGGUUUGAGGAAUUAUUUUAAAAUAAAAUAUGAUGAAAUAACAAAAAAAAAAUAAAAAAAUGGCACGUGGUCUAAUUGCCUGCUUUUUUAUUUCAUAAUAGUGACUCCAAACCCCACGCCUCUCAAGCUCACAAACUUGUCAUCUUCUCAAUCAGCAAAUGGCCUGUCUGCCAAGGCUGGCAUGUCACAAACGAUGCGUCCUGCAGCCAACAGUGUUUCAAGAACAGCAGCUUAGUGAUCAACAUGGAAAAUCUGACACGGCUCCCAGGUCAAAUUUGGUUUAGAACGAGUCCUCAAGCUGUUUCUCCCUGCAAUACUGGACCAUAAAUUUGUGACGAGAGUCCUGAAGUGACCUUUCCCAGCAAUAUGUUCCCAAAAGUGAGGGUUACUCUCCACAUGUUUAUCAGGACUCGAAACAUCCACACUACUGGUGCUCAUGUCGUUACGUACAAUGCACAGCUUUCCAUUAAGGGGGACAAGAGCAGCAGCCUCUAGAACUCGGGAGCUCCCCAGAUGGAGCUUGCUAUCUAUGAAUUUGUUCCAUGAAUCUGUGUCACUGUCAUAGACCCUGAGCUUGCACCCACCCUGGCAGUCCAAGGCGUAGAGCUGUCCAUUCAAAGAGAUGCUAGGGUUGCGCCAACCAGCAACCAUUCCAUCACUGAUUGGGGUCCAAGUAUUGGUUUCAGGAAUAUAAGCUUCACUCAUGACCUCACGGUGGGAUCCAAGUCCUUUUAGGAACCAUUUUCCAUUUAUAGAUUACUCCGAUAAAGGGCACCAUAGCCGAGCUCAUAUCUGAAAUAAAGCUCCACCUAUUCCUGUUAGGAUCAUAGACUUCAGCUGAACGGAGAGUCUUCUGAAUUCCUUCACAUUCGGAGCAUGCCAACUAAGGAGUUGAACGAAGUGGGCCCACAAUUCUUUAUCAAAACGAGGCUCAACAGUUUCUUUAUUGUUGGAAUCCUUGAGCCGACUAGGAUCCUCAUUGCAUACCUUCAGGUUCUGACGCCUUUCCAAGCAACCAUGCAUAUUUACUUCGAUCACACUGGUGAAUAGAAAGAGUUAUCUUCGUGUAAGCAUGCUAAAAAAACAUCGGUGUGCACUGUCGAAUGCUUCGAGCAUUGAGCUAUAUGUUUACAAAUCUGACAUGAGGGAAAUACUGCCACCAUCCAUGCAUAUACUAGAAGCAAAAAGUAGCAUCAUCGGAGACUAUAGAUAGACACUUGGCGGCCAAAUCUGGAGGGCAGUCUGAAUAUGAAGCAUGUAGUCCCCAAAUGAGCUUUUCGAGCUCCUCAUACCAUGAAGAAGAAUUUUUAGAAGGUGGUGAAGGGAAGGAUAAUGGAUAUGAGAAGGUCUUAGAGUGAGAAAAUGGGUUUGACGGAUGUUUUGAUGGGUAAUGAAGGCUGCCAUGCAUAUGAGAGAGUAUGAGACACGGGCAUGAAACAAUGGAUUUGAUGGAUAUGGGAUGCAUGCAUGAGGUGGAUGACAGAGGAUGAGAUGGACGGGUUUGAUGGGUACGUAGAAAUAAAAUAAUGGGUAUGAAAGGGUAGAGAGAGAAAAGAUGAUAGGAAAUGGGUGUGAAGAGUGGAAUAGAGAGAGAAAGUGAGGUGGUGAGAAAAAUGUAAGGGUGUAGGGAUAUGGGUCUAGAUAUGAGUGUAGGGAGAUGGUUUGUGGGUAUGAAAAGAAUGGGUACGAAGGACGGGUAUAGUGGGGUGUGGUUCAAUGAUGUUGUGCAUGGGCUUGUGCUCAGUUUCGCUACCGAUCCUGGAUUCAUCCCAUUGUUGAAGCAUGAAAUUAGUGGAGUAGCGUAGUGGCUGCGUCUUAGCAAGAUGCUUCACGGUGUCUUCUCCAGCUGUAGCCAAAACGCGUCAGCUGCUUCCACCCAAAACCUGAUAUGCUGAGAAGUUUCUGUCUAUUAUUGGAUUCGGUAUCUGAUUCGUCAAUCGUUGUGAUCUUCUCUUCUUCAAACUUGAUGCAUGGAUGCCAAAUUGCUCCAACAUUCUUUGAUAUACAUAUAGUUGGUAUCAGCCUUUGUCCUACUGUUGGGAGCAAGGACAUGAACCCUAGCAGCAUUAACUCUAACUUGACCUUUUCCAGCGCUUCAUAUAGAGCUCUCCUGUGUAACCUCAGAUUGCAAGGUAACCUCAGAGUUUUGUACAUCACAACCAGGAAUUCCAGCAGCGGAAUUAUUGCCAUAGCCUCUGACACUGACAUCAAAUUCCUGUCUCAUAUUCCACAAAUACUAAGACAAAGCUUUCAAAGAAUCCGGAAUCAUUGGUGGCUGUAGUUGCUCCAAAGUAACAUCAUUUGGAAGCAAAGAAGCACCAUUGAGAGAAUCAGAUUGAUUAAUUGUAACAGCUUGGUUAAGUUGUUGUUCGCUAGAGUCUCUCAAACCACUUAAACCAUAAGUUCCUAUGCCUUUCUCUGAGACAGGAUCCCAAAUUUUUGAGGAGGAUUUAUCUUCAUGUGAAGAAGAAACAGGGCAUGUAGCAUCAGUGAAGUCCCUAAACCAUACAAGCCCAUCCUCUGUACCACAGCUAGUAGUGAUAACUCUUUGCAUCGUCCUCAAAUCAAUUGUGGAAACAGAGGAACCAGCAGCAACAAAAAACAAUGAUUCAUAACAUCUCAUGUCCAUAGGUGCAUCAAGAACAGAAGUCAUUCCCACACAACAUAAAGAAUGGACAGUAGAUGAUGUAGUUGUAUUCCAAACUCUCACCUUAGAAUCUUUCGAAAUUGUCACUCGAAGAGAAGUUUUAUGCCCAGUAACUGUCAUCAAUUUUACAGGUUUCGCAUGCCCAUAAAGAGUUGCCUUUAAAGCCUGAUAGCCACGUUAACCACUUGAGCUAAGGAACCAAAGUCAAACUGUACCAUCUUAUCCUCCACUUGCAAAUACUUUGCCACUACCAUCACCCAGCAAUUUAUCUCAAAGAGUGGAAACUGGGCCAUUAUGAUUUCUAAAACACCGCUGGCAAGAACCCUUCCACCAUAGACGAAUGGAGUGGUCACAGCUUGAGAUUACCGAAACAUUUUCUUCUCGUUGUGUCUCACUUCGAAAUAAAGAUGUUUCACUAAGCGGAAAUAAUCUGCUAAAUGAUCAAUUCCAUAUUCUUUGUCAUUCACAUCAUGGGAAGCCCAGAAACGAAUUAUUAAUUACUUCUGGUCCAAAUUGGGAGACGAAUUCAGGCAGCCCUAGCAGGAGCCCACGACUUUCAGACAAGCUGAUGGUAUCUUCUGGGGUCACUCUAUCAGCACAUGGAACCUUCUUAGUCAAGGAUGCUACUGCUACUGCCAAUUUGGCUCCGCUUCUUGGCCGUGGCUAUGGACCUUUGGCUGAACUUCAAAACGUCAUUGACAAGACUGAAGCUGCCGAAUCACUUAGAUGUUCUCGUGAUCAAUUCUCCUCUUAGAUGUCAACCAAACUUUGAGAAUAUGUAUCCCUUGUAAGGAUUCACAACUAGCCUUGAUUUCUCUCUCUCUCACAGCCAAUGUAUUGAACGAGAUCCCAAAAGCAAAAGGCAAUCACCACAGAGAAAGAAACAAUAGAAACAGAGCAUAAAAAAAACAAAGUAAAAACAUCCUCAAAUGAGGCUUCACUGCAUGAGUCAUCAGCAAGCCCUCUGAUUAAGUGAGAAAAACCACAUCAAAUAUGACUAUUGGCAUGAUUCCUAGGUAUUUCGCAAUAGAGGCAAGGUGCAUUAAGAUCAACAAUGGCAAACAUGAGUUCAAGAUUAUAUAUCAACAAGCAACAAGUGGCCUUCAUCAUCCACUCCAAGCAAACCAACAAAUAUCCAGAUAUUAACAAGAAAUGCAGAGGAGUAAUAAGAAUCCAAACCAAACAAGAAAUCAGCUGCAUUCAUACCUGAGAGAACCCUUUUCCGGUAAGGCUCUGUUCAGCUCUAAACGCCUUAAGUCCUCCUCCAAUGCCGAUGAAACCAGCAAGCUUACCUCCCUAUCACUCUCUCACCAGCAGCCUCUAAAUCAACUCUCAGCAGUCUUCUCCCUCUGGUUUUCUCUCUGAGCUCCUCUCAAUCUCUAGCUAAGCAAUCCCUCAAAAAUAUCUCUCUCUAAGCUCUCCAAAAACUCACCUCUCUGCUCCAACCUCAAACCUCCCUCCUACAGUAAUAAAAAACUCCCCUCCCUAGCUUACCUUCCUUCCUCUCUGGUUCUCUCCCUCUCAAGUUCCCCUUCUCUCAAGAAAACUCUCACAGUAGUCUAUCCGCCCUCCCCUCCAGUUGCUCUCUCUCCUUUUCUCUGCCGAGAACCCUCCAAAAGCAGCCUGCUGUCCAAAAUAUCUCCUAACCAACUCUGAAAAGCACCACCUGCCAGAGACGCCCCUCUCACAGCAACGUACCUCCUCUGCAUAUCCUCCUCCAGGUGUCAACCUCUGAUUAGUCCAUCAAUUCCACUAUUUUGAUAACCAACUCUGAAAAGCACCACCUGCCAGAGACGCCCCUCUCACAGCAACGUACCUCCUCUGCAUAUCCUCCUCCAGGUGUCAACCUCUGAUUAGUCCAUCAAUUCCACUAUUUUGAUCCCAUAUUGACUAAUCCGGGAGUGACACGUGGCCAUGCAAGAUGGUGACACUUGUCAAGCAUCAGCUGCAAGAAUCACUCCCAAAAUGGGGGUCUACAGUAGGAUUGGCUUCCUUACAUUUAAAAGGAAGGGCCUUAGAAAGGUUUCAAGGGUAUGAGGCUAUUAACAAGGAAAUCAAAUGGACACAAUUUUAUAUAGAUGUUGUUUCUAGGUUUAGCCCUAGUGUUAAUGAUAACCUUAUGGGGUAAACAACCAAAUUGAAAUAGGUUUCUACAGUUAUGGCAUACAAAAAUUAGUUUAAGGUAUUGAUGACCAAAACUAGUGGGUUUUUGAUUCAUGCCCAGUCGGGUGUUUAUCAAAACAUUUAUAAAACCUACAACACCUUAUACUAGGGUAGCAAAGACAAAGCUACUAUAGUAUAGUGGCUCUAUGAUCGUCCACAGGGAUGAGUUUUCUUUGUACACAUGACAUUACUGAAAGGAGAAAUGGUGAUUUCCUUUUGAAAGUUUGUUUUUAAUGAAAAUAAGAUUGAUUGGAAGGGUUGAUUUUAAUUUAAGCAAACAUAAACAACUUAAAUUAUUACAAAGAGAAAGUCUCUUGGAGUUAUAGGUUACUAGGAUCAGGUUCCUGUUGUAAAGUGGGAAAUUCCGAAUCUUCUCCUCGCACUGGGGACAAUAACAUGAAGGAUGGUUAUCUCCCCAACCAAAUUUGUAUUUAGCAAAUAAGUUUUGAUCCAAAGGGUUCUUGAAAAAUGGUAGUUGCUUCCCAUUAAUGGCUUUAAACACUAAAGACCCUCACCUUGAACCACCUUCCAAUGGCUCGUACUUGAUAACUAAUGGACAUCCAUGGAUCUAGCAAUAAGUAUCCAUAGAAUCCUAAAAGCUUACCAAGUAUUGGCCAUUCAAGGUGAUUUUAAGGGAUUAAAGCUGAAACUUGAAAUACAAACCAUUAAUGAUACAUAACUACCUUCAUUUAAAGCAAGGAAAACUCCCACCUUUGCAUCCGAGUCCUUUACCUAGCUUCCAUCACUCCAAGAAACGUGAAACGUAGCCACUCAUCCCCUGAGAAAUCAUCCUCAGAGGAUGUUUGGCUCUAGAGAGAAUGUGAAGAGAAAAUGAGAAGGAAAGGCAAAGAAAAACCAGGCUUUAUAAAAUAUCGAAAACAUAAUAUCUCCUCCUCCUCUGAGAGGUUUUCCAACCCUUAUUUAUAGUUCCUAAACAAACCGUAAUGUCUUUUAUCUAUUAUAAAAGGAGUAAAAAAGAAAAUUUACAAUUCUGUAGAAAAAUCUCGAAGCUCGGUGCGCAUAAAGUGAUUUUCGCACACCCUGCGAAAUUUUGGGACACCUUGCGAAAGUUUGGCACACCCUGCCAAAUUUUGGCACAUCUUGCGAAAUAGAUGAUUUUGCCUUGCGAAAUAGAUGUUUUCCUCCAUCUUACUACUGAUAGUUUUGGCAACCCCUUUCCAAGUUUGGCAAGGGGUUUUGAAGUGCUCCAAAACUCGGAUUCUUCAUGUGAUUGAUCUUCAACUUGCCUUACCAUAGCUUGCACAAAACUCUCCCUCAAUUUUGGCCUGUUUCAAUGAUCAAAAAGCUACCAAAAACACUAAAACUGACCAAAAAUUGGUUAGUAACAUUUGCUAGGUCCUUAACAUGCCAAUUGGGAUAAAAAGGUCUAACUACUACUCAAAAGUGCUUAAUACAAUUAAGUUUAAGCUUAUAAAAAUGCACUUUUUGAGUAGUAAUCAAUCUACAUGCAUUUUUUUAGAUCAAACAAUAACUGCAUGGUUUGUCUCAAGGUUCUCUCGAUAUUAAUACUUAUUAUACCAGUUUAAAAAUUCUUUGGGAUGAACUUAAGAUGUUUGAACCCAUUUCCCGUUUGGCAAUUUGGUGGCAUCAAAAUAUGGAUGGAUUAUCAAUAGCAUAAGUAUGUAAUGCAAUUUUUUAAGGGCUUGAAUGAAUCCUAUGUCGUGAUGAGUGGGUAGAUUUUGAUGUUUGGCCCAUUACCCUCUGUUGCGAAGGUUUUCAAUCUCGUCGUUUAAGAAGAACAAUAAUGCACCAUCGAAUCUAGUUCCCUUGCUCUGUUUGAAUCUUUGGCAUUUAGUGCCUCCUCGUCAUCUCUCUCUGUUGCAAAUUUCUCUUCUUAGGGUAAGCUCAAUCAUGAUCACCCGAUUUGUUCUCAUUGUGGGCUCAUGGGGUAUAUUGUGAAUUGUUGCUACAAGUUACAUGGGUACCCAAUUGGGUAUAAGCCCAAACCCAAGGCCCAAUUGAGCUCUCUUCAGCCCACCAACAAUCCAUUAUCUUUCCUUAAGCCAUCAAAAGACACCCACUUCUCUCAUUUAGCUACAACUGCCAUACCAUCCUCUCCACUUUCUAGUUCUCUCUCAAUAGAUCAAGUUCAAUAGCUCAUAAAGUAGACUUUAUUCACUUUGGAAUAAUCCUUUGUCAUGAUCAAAUCUUAUUAUCCACAUGCCUUGUUUGACUAAGAUCAUUAUAAUUGUUUCCCAAAGUGAGUCAAUGCCAAAUAUUGAAUAAUUGGUUAAGCAUAACUCUUACACACAUUCUAAGAUUUAUGCUCUUAACUUUAUGUGACUUGCUUGCAACAUUUGGAAAUACCCCUAAAGUGGAUACAAAGGUAGCCAUGAAUGAAAAAAAAAAAUCAAUAUUGAUCAAAGUGUACAAUAGCUUUACUUUCAAAAGAAAAAAAAAGUAAAAAAAAAAAAAGAACUAUGAUAUCAAAUUAAGGGGAAGUCAAGUUGUGUUGUAUAUAAAUCAACAAGACCGUGUUAAAUAAAAAUCCAACAAUCUUAGAUCAAAUUAAUUGGAUGUGUACUUUAAUUAGAACAAAGGUAUGAUUGGAACUCUUCUAAGUGAUCAAUUUUGAAAUAUAGAACUAGACAAUAAGUUGUAUUCCCUUGAACAUCAAUACUUAUGUAUCUAUGUUGACCUUCUUAUCUACUAAUGGUUAUGCACUAGAUUUUGAAAUUGAAAUUACAAUUAACUCUAACCUUUUGGACUUGAAACCUCAAUCUUGAUGGAUUGAUGUAUAAUAUCUAUAGUAACUCGCUUUAUAAUUGAUUAAAGUAACUCCUGCAAGCUAUUUAAAGCCAUCCAGUACAUUAUUUCUUAUUUCUCACUUUUCUGAGUUGUUUCAAUCACUCCAUGUUUCCACUUCUUCGUCAUUUGAGGUCAAUUCUCUUAGUUUUUCGUAUUUUUGUUCAUAUAAUAUUUUUUACACCUCAUUUUUAGUAUUCUUAGAUGUUUAGGGGUUUUUUUUUUUUGGAUUUUCAUCAAUUUUUCUUACUUUUAUUGUCCUUUUAUAUUUCAUCCUCUUGUUAUGGAAAGUCGUCAUCAUCCGUAUGAGGUGACCCCUCUAAGGUCGCCUGAGCUCAUUUAAAGCAUUGCACUCUAAAGUCCAUUUGACCUAAGAAUUUUUCUUGUUGAGUGCUUCCAUUGUUAGGAGGCAUGAGAUCAAUACUACACCUCUUUCAAUGAUUAACUAGUCGAGGUUGAGCAUCCAGUCAAUCUCAAAGUCUUCUAGGAGACUUCUCUCAUUGCUAUUGUUAGAGUGAGGAUAAGAGACAUUAUUUUCUCUUUAGGGGACUUCUACCCCCAUCAUAUUCACAUGUUUUAUGUGAACAUGCAUUCUCUUGUAAUUGGAGUUACCUUUUAGUUGAUUUUGUAUUAUCAAUCAUUUCUUGUCUCUUCCUGUUCUAUUUGAUGUGUUCUUAGCAUGUUGCGACAUGAGUCUUGCUUUGGGCAGAAGCCAUUCUCUAAGCCAGCGUGGCUACUAGCUACCUUCUUCACCUACUCCUUCUGUCAUUCUACUCAUCGUACCCAUAUUUGUCGGUUGUCUACUCAAUUCAUUCAUGCCAUACUCUCUAGCUACCAAUUUGAUAUCGACUUAAUGAUUUUGGAUAGAAUUACUCCUUCCCAUGAUCCAUAUUUUUGAGAAGGCACCUUUUCCUUUACCCUUCUUAUCUCAUAGAAUUUGGAGGAUGUAGGUUUUGAGAUAAACCCUACAUUAGGGGGUAUAAGAUACAUAUGCCCUCUUGGAAGGGAGCUCCUGGGCUAAGCCUUAUAGCCACAUUUAUGGACCAAUGGCACCUUUAAUCCACCAUGGUCCUCAGGAUAUAGCUCAACAGGCGGCUUAGGAGGCAACAAUAGAGGAGGAUGAGCUCCAAGCUAUGAAGCAAAGUGUAGUUCUUGAGGUAAAUUAUCUUAAGCCUACUUUGAGGACUUGCUCUAGUUGAGGUCAAGCAAAUUCUUCAAGAGCUACUCACAAGCAGUGUUUUAAAUGCCACAAAAUAUCGGGGAUAUUUUGCCAAUAUUUCGGGUAUAGAUGGGGCUCAAUAGAUAAAGAGAAUGAAAUUUUGGGUUAUGCAAAAUUUUGAGUAUUUCCCUCAUUUUUCAUUGAUAUAUCGGCUAUAUGCUGAUAUAAUACCAAUAGAUUAGUUAUAUUGGUCAUUUUUUAGUGCUUUGAUUUCUUUUAGGCCAAAAGGUUUCCCUUUUUUGCCAAAAGGUUUCUCUUUUUUUUCCAAAAGGUUUCCAUUUUUUAUUUUAAGCCGCAUUCUCACACGCACAGCCACACAAUAGUUGUUCGAGAGGAGAAAGGCACCAUCUAUUAAAUAGGCAAUUUUGUUCUCUCAAGUUUAUUGAUAAGUUUAAAAUUCUAAUCAAAUAGGUAAACAAAAUUUACAUUGGUGAGACUUGAACCCGAGUGCACAAGUUUGUCAUGGAAGGACACAACCAUUAAACCAUAUGUGAAUUUGUGGUUUAAAUUGUAUAUAGAAUUAUAUAUAUAAUGUACAUACCUUUUAUACAUUAUAAUAUUUUUAAUAUAUAUUAUAAUAAUAUUUAAUAAAUUAAACCAUUAUAAAUAAGUUAAUUUUAAUUAUCAUAUUAUAUAUUUUGUAUUCCAAUUAAAUACAAGGUAAAUAUAAAUUUUAUAAAUGAAUUUUUUAAUAUAAAAUACUUAUCUAAAUAUCACUUUUUUAUCCCUCAAUAUAUUCAAAUCAAACUAUUAUCAUUCUAAUAUUAUUGUGCUUUUAAAUUAGUAUAUUAUUGCCUACUAUUACAAAUUUAUUACAUAUUACUAUAUAUAUAGUAAUAUGCGUAUUCUUUUUUAUUUUAUCAUUUUUUUUAAGUUUUUCCAAGUAUUUUCAUGAAUUUUGAUUAAUUUGUAUUUCUUCAUUUUUUUUUUCAAAAUAUUCCACCGUUAUUUCCUGAUAUAUCCAUAAAAUCCAAUGAUCAAUAAUUCCAUGAUUAUCGAUAUUUUCAUCUUUGCUCACGAGACAUCUUUUUCUAUAGGCCCGACUACCCGAGAGACAUUGGAUUCCAUGGCUUAUGUCCAUUAGUAGAUGGACUCACAGGAUCUUCACCUUCGUGAGAUCCAAGGAUAACUCCACUAUAUCAUUUCCUAGAUCCACUAUAAAGGCGCCUUGAGCUCUACCUCUCUGUCUUCUUUGGAUGCAUAUAUAUAUAUAUAUGUUGUAUUCUUCUUUCUAUUUAACUCUUUAACUAUUGUGUGCUUUCCAAUGUUUAUAAUUCAUAUGCUUUGCCAUUUUUAUGACAAAAACAGGAGAUCAUUGACCAUAUUUAACUCACUUAAAUAGGGAGAGCGUAGGCAUCAAUAUAAUAGAAAAAAAGAUAAAGAAACUCGUUGACAAAUAGGAGUUAAUAAUUUUUUAAUUAUUUAUUUAAUUCAUUCUUUUGCUCAUUUAAUUCUUAAGGGAAAUUAAUUGAAAUAUUGGAGAAAAUUAAACCUAAGACAUUAGAAGAAAUUCGAUCAACUGUUGAAAGCAUAACUUGGAAGUUUAAGAGAGUUACCUAACACAAAUAUUUAUGUUUGAAUUGUCUUUCUCUUUGGAACUAUUAUGAGUCACGAAAGCUUCUUCUCAUGGUUUUCAUUGUCUAUUUUCUAGUUGGAGAUAGGCCUCUAGGCAUCAUAGUUGAUCUAUUGUGUCUUAUCAAGAUUCUAUUAUGUUCGGUUGAUUUGUAUACAUUUAAAUUCCUCUCGAGCUUUACUUUGUACCUUGGUAUCACUAUAGGGAUAUAUUUCUCUUACAUGUUUUCACAUCCAACUAUCAUGUUCUAUUGCUUUGAUCAUAUCUUAUUUCACACAUUGUUCUACUUUUGUUGUAGUUUUUUUAUGUGUGUAGCUUACAAGAUUGGAAGAUAAGUACUACAAGAUGAUGCAAAGCAUUCCCUUAGUUUAUUUUUAAUUAAGCAUUAAUGUGUGUUAUGUAAACUCCUUUAUAAGAGUUUAGAUCGGUUUAUGUAAUGAUGUUUUGUCACAAGACUGCCAAAGAGUGAAAUAGUUAGGACAUUAAGUCUUGAUUAUAUGUUGGAAAUUUUGUUCAUUUUAAUGUUUGGCCACAAAAGUCUUUUUAGAUAGUGAAUUGCUCUCCAUUGAAGGUCAAAAGUUAUUGUUUGUCUAACCGAGAAUUCACAAGUAUAUCUAAAAAAGUUUGGCUUGUAGUAAGUUAGGCUCCUUUGAGGUAUAAAGAAGAUUGAUAAUUGUUUUGAACUUAAAAUUAAUUUUUAUAAGGUUUUUGAAAAACAGGGGAUGCUUAAGUAGGAAGCAAUGCUCAAGUUGACCACUCAAGUGCCAUACACUGCUUGAAUGCCCAAAGCGCUCAAGCCACUAUCAUAAGCUCGAGCAAUCAUGAAUUUAUAGUUGAGAUUUUUUCAUGCAAAAUUGAUUUGGAAGUCUUCUAAAACCAAACCUUUUGGAGAUUUAUUCCUACAAAUACCUCUUUAUAACCCCUUAAGGGUUAGAGAUUGUUUAAGAGAUUGGUGAGAGAUCUUACAUUCUUUAGGGAGAGUCUCUUAGAGAAAAAGCUUAACGAGCCACACCAUUCCCAAUCUCUCAUUCAAGGAUUCAAUCUUUGAAUCUUGGUUGAAAUGCAUUCACUAGAGUAAUAGGAGGUUGCUACGUUGCGGACAUGGAUCAAGUUUUAAGUAUUAAAGAGUAAGUCUUUAGGGUAAAGUGGCUAAGUAAAUCUAUAUAACUUGAUCUCAUAUAAUGGAUUUAGAUUAUUGGUCUUACACUUCAUGUUCUUUUAUCUCCACAAUUAGUGUGGGGGUUUUCCAUGUGAAAAAUCUCUUGUACCUCAUUUCUUAUUACUUGAUAUCUUAUUUGAACUGCCUACAAUAGAAAUUAUUGGUAUACUAAUAUCUCGUAGGAUAAAAAUUAGGUAUAACAUAUAAAUCUUUAUUUAAAUUUUUUAACAAAUCCAUUUUGCCUCCUUCCCCUAGGUGUUACCUCACUGGACUUAGGGGCUUUUCAAACCAUAAGUUGGUUCAACUUGAGUUGUUCUUUUAUGUUGUUGACCAUCGUUAGAUGAAUCAUUUUGUUGGAUUGCACUUGUUAAUCGAUUUUUUUUUCUCAUAUCCAACUUUUGUUUCUUGUGAUUCCUCCAUCUAAAACCCACCAAUUAUUUUACAUCAUAAUAUAAAGUUUCACCACUUGUUUUGUAUUUUAACCCUAACAAUUCAUGUUCUUUAAAAGUAACAUCUCUACUAAUUAUUGUCUUUCUCAAAUUCAGACACUACAACUUAUACCCCUUCACUUUAGUAGAAUAUCUAAGAAAUAAACAUUUCUUUCUUUGCUCUUGGUUGCAACUUUUUAUCAUUUACAUGUGCAUAUGUUGUUGACCCAAAUACAAUAAGGUGUUCCAUACUUCUUGAGGUGUUUUGAACUUUAUGGAACUUGAAGGUCAUUUGUUAAUCAAGUCACAUCUUGUAUGGAUAUCUUUCACCCAUAACUUUGUAGUUUAUCUUAUAUUUAUCAACAUGCAUCUUACUCUUUCAAGAAUAGUAUGAUUCAUCCUUUUAGUUAAGCCAUUUUGUUGAGAUGUACUCUUCACAGUUCUUGUUGGGAUUGAGCUCUUAAAGGAAACACAUGAUGUAACAAAGUUAGACUUAACUGUCCUCUUGCCAUCCUUUUGGUGUAUUGACAUUGAUUUGAGCAUUUAGCUCAUAUCUCUUACAUUAUUACAUGACUUAGGUCAUUAAGAGUUGCACACAAGAUACAAGUCAUGAGUUCCUCAUAAGUACAUAAGUUGUCCACAAUUGGUUAAUGGAUUUGGGCAAUCCAAUAAAGACUGUAGUGCACCACCUCAUAAUUGAAGGGAUGACUUAUCUUGGCCAUCAAGAUGAGUAUCCCAUGAUGAAAUGAUGAGUGCACUAGUUUAUGUGAUGCACAUUGGACUGGACCUAUGGUGAAUCAUGAUGUAAGGCUAUCAAAUGUCAUGAUUCACCAAGCUAUUAUGCUACAUGGACUCUCAACCUUGAGAGGAUAUUGAGCUUGUGAUGAAAUCAAUAGAAGGCUUUGACCUAUGGGAGAGACCCUAAAGUGGUCAUAUAUCCUUAUAGAUUAGGUCACUAUUAAUGAAGACUAGCGACAAUAGGUAUUCUCAAUAGAGGCACCAUGAUAUCCCAUAGGAUUGAGACGGUGUGUCCCCUUGAGUGAUCUAAAGGACAUGUGAUAAUGAAAUUUGUGGCCAAAGUAAUUCCUUUAGUGGAAUUUGACUUAUGCUCCUUGGAGUUGGAGCUAGAGUAUGUUAGUUAAUCAUAUAAUAGGUUGUGUGCACGAGACGCGCAUAGGUCACAUGCAUGGGAAUUGCAUGAGACGUGCUUAUGGGUAGCAGCAUGAGGAGAAAGACUCUCUAGUUUUUCCAAGUAUGUUCUUCAUCGGAUGGAUUUUGAUUUGGGAACAUCUAAAUCACAAGUAUGAGUUUCAAAUAUCAAGAUCUAUAGUUAUUAAUGGUUUUCAUUGCCAUUUUAUUUCACUAUGAUAGAUUUUCAAAUGCCUAGAGAUAGAUGCAUGCACCCUAUGAGAUCCAAGGUAUUGGAAUGGAGUAUUAAUCUAGGGUUCCGAAGUGAUUAGAAUAGUAAGAUCUAAAGAUUGAACCUAGCACUAAUUAAACAUCUGGUAUUUAGACCUAGGUCAUAUUAAUCUGAAUAAGAUGCAAAGAUUGGCAAAGUCAAGACUCUUUGAUUCCAAAAGAUCUUCCAAUCUAUGAAUUUUAUAUAGAUGGUAAAAUGAUCAAGAGGACUAGAAUUAAGGAAUAUUUGGAGUUAGUGCAUACUAACAUGUAUGGACCUUUUAGUGUCUAUGCAUGGGGAGGGUAUGGGUAUUUCAUCACUUUUAGUAAUGAUUGCUCUAGGUUUGGAUAUGUACAUAGGAAAUCUGAUGCCUUGGAUACAUUCAUUGAAUUUAAGGUGGGAUCGAAUAACCUAUUGGAUAUACAUACCAAGUCAUUUCAAUUAUGUCAAGCUGAUAUGUCUAGUAAGUUUGAUUUUUUUUGUUGGAGCAUAGGAUUAUUUUCUAGUUAUGUUCAUCAAGGUCUCUAUUGCAAAAUGGAGAAGUGGAAAUAAGAUAUCAAACUUGGAUUAACAUAGUAAGAUUGUGGAUAGGCUUCUCCUAUUUUAUCAGAUUAUUUUGGGGAUAUGUCAUAUAGUCUGUGUAAUUACCUUUUUCUUUUUUCUUCGUAAGAGGUGUAUUAGUUUAUAGGAUAUCUAAGAGGAUUUUUGGGUUAUUAGGUUUAUAGUCAAGAUGAUCAAAAAAUAUUUGUGAACAUAAAUGUCCCAUUUUUUAUGAAGAUUAUAUGAUAAGGAAGAAGGCAGGGAGUGACAUAGAUUGGAGGAUAUAUUAGAAUAUAGUUCCACAUUACAUAGGACACUAUGGAUCGAAAGGGUUAAAGACAUACCAUUCUUAUGAUUUCUAGUACACCAGUACUUCAUCAUAGUAAGGAGUUUAUAUCCCACAAAUUAUGAUGAAGCAAUGAGCAGUGUUUAUGCUCACUUAAGGCAAGGACGUGUGAUCAUGAAAUCUAUGAACCCAUUAUAAUUCUUUUAGUGAAAUUUGACAUAUGCUCUUAGUGAUUUAGAGUAUGUAAUUUAAUCACAUAAUAGGAGGAUCUAUAACUCUAAAAUUGUAGAGGUAGUCUUUAAAGACUGAUAACUUUCACCUUGUUAGACUACAAACAACCAAUUCAUGGGAAGAUUGUAUACAAUAGAUAGCAAGUCACGAACUUGAGCACUUGGUGUCUCAUUGUAAUAUACAUAGGGUACCAAAAUAUAGUUAACUCUCUAUAGUGGGAUAUUGAGUCAACUUUAUAAUUGGAUUCUAAGGGAUCUAGUACUGUCCUAUGGGUUCCAUUGGUCUCUACUAAAGCUUAUUUUCCUUGAUAACAUGGUUUAUGAGAGUUGGAUGAGUUUUUAGUUAACUUGUGUGCAUAAAUGCAUUUUGGUAAUUACACAAGGUUACAUAGGGGUAACUGUGCGAUAUCUUUGAACUUGGGUAAUUGAUUAAUUAGAGCCUUAUCGUAUUAAUUAAUCAAUUAGAAAUCUUUUUGGGUUAAAUUAAGUGACCCAUGCCCAUAGUGGGCUCAAGUCACUUAAGCAUAGUAGGAAACUUAUAAAUACCCCUCUCAAGGGUUUAGGUUUCUAAUUCAAUCUUGCCAUUCUCUCCCUACAGUCCAGAGAGAGAACCUUAGUCUUCAACCUUGAGAUUUCCACCAUCUCAGUGCCUAGAUUCAAGAAGGAGUCAUCGAGUGGAUGAUUAUGGGUUUACAGGAUCUUUAUUAGAUUUGGAGCUUUCUACACUAACAAGAAUUGAUUUGGGAACAUCUGAAUAAUACAUAUAACACUUUUUUCUAGAUUCAUGAUAUGUUUUCUUUUUUAAAAUACCAAAGUUUUCAACUAUGCUUAGAUCUAGAAAGCACAAAAUAGGAUUACAUGCACCCUAAUGAUCCAAGGCCUAGGAAUAGAGCGAUCCAAGGUUUCCUAGAAAAUAUAACCCAAUAAGUAAGAAUGAUUUAUAGGAACUAAAAAUUCUUUCAAAAAGAAAAAAAGUUAAUUGGAGUAAGAUAGGUAUACAAGAGAAGGAAAAAUGCAAAAGGAGUAGAAAAAUAUAAAGCAACAUUGGUGCAAAGGAUUACAAGAAAGAAUAAUGCACCAACAAGAUGAGGGUAUUUGCUCUCAUUGUUCUUUUAGUAACUAUAAAUUAAUAAUCUCUUUGGUAGCUCAAAAUAGUUGAAAUUUUCAAAUGGAUGUGAAAUCCAAUUUUUUGAAUUGACAUCUUGAAGAAGUGUAUGUAGAACACACCAUAGUUGGUAUAUAUAUAUAUAUGGGCAUGAGAAUAAAGUUCCAAAAUUGAAAAUAACCUUGUAUGGAAUAAAACAAACACUAAGAGCAUGAAAUGAUAGAAUUGACCAAUAUUUUCAUGAUAAUAAUUUUGUUUAAUACCUUUAUGAACACGCUCUCUGCAUAAAAGUGAAUGAAAAAAAGUAAUAUAUUACUUGUUUGUUUAAAUGUGAAUUUUUUGAUCUUUAUUGGAACUAAUCCAAUCAUGUUUAACGAGUUCAAAGAAGUAAUAGAAUAAAAGUUUGAGAUGACUGGAUUAGUCUCAUAUCAUACUCUCUUGGCUUAGACUUGAAGAGAUUGAAAAGAGUACUUUUUAUUUCUCAAGAAGACCAUGCAAAAUAAAUUUUCAGAAAGUUUAACUUGAAUAUGUGUAAUAUGGUAAACACUACAAUAUAAUGCAAAGCUAAAUUAUCAAAGACAUGUAGAAAGAGAAAAAGUGGAUUCAACAUAACAUAAAAUCUUAGUUGGAAGCAUACACUAUUUGACUUAUACAAUUUCAAACAUUCUCUAUGGCAGUUGGAUUUGUCCAUCAUUAUAUGGAAGCACUAAUGAGUAUUUACACUAAGACCUCGUGAAUUUUUCACUACAUCAACGACACAUUUGAUUAUGACUUAUAUUAUUCACCUUUAACAAUUUCAAACUUGUUAGAUAUAACGAUAGUGAUUAAGGUGGAGACUUAGGAUGAUACAAAGAGAACCACUAGCUUUAUGUUCCUCAUGGGAGAUACCAUGUUCACUUGGACUUCAAAGAAGCAACCUAUUGUGAAACUUUCAAUGUAUAAAGUGGAAUUUGUAUUGGCAUCAUGUGUACGUAGGUCAUGGAAUUUGGCUCAAAAAUUUGUUGAAAGAAUUUAGUUUACCACACAAGAAACCAAUAAAGAUCCAAGUGGAUAUAAAAUCAACAAUUACCUUAUGAAAAAAUCUAGUUCUCCAUGAUGAAAGCAAGUACAUUGAUACAAAAUAUCAUAUUUUAGAGAGUAUAUGAAAUACAGAGUGCAAUUAAAAUUUACAAAAUCUCAUAAUCAAAUUGUUAAAAUGUUUACAAAUUCUCUUAAGUUUAGCGAUUUUAGAAAGCUAAGCUUGCUACUUUGACAAAUCAAGUUGAAGGCAUGAGUGAAAAUGUUGACAAAGUUUCUCGAGUUUAAAAAUUUUAGAAAACUAAGGAUGCUAUUUUUACAAUUGAAUGGAGGAUUUAGUAAAACUGGAUUUAGGAAGUUUCUAAAAAUUAGAAUUUGAGUUAGAUUCUAAAAUGCUUGUUUAGUUUGUAUAUUUUGUUAUUACAAGAUUUCAUAUUUUACCAUUAUGAGUAUUAAAUUUUUUUAGGUGUUAAUAUCUAAAAAUAAGAUGUUAUGUAAUAGUUGAACAAGAGUGGUGGAAGAAAAUAAAUUUUUUCUUAGUCAUCCCAAUUAUUUAAAUAUCUCCCUUUACAUAUGUAAUUAUGUAAUGCCCUAAACCCAAUUUAGGGGUAAAAUCAUAAUUUAGAAAUUAUUAAUGAAUAAAAGUAAUUUAAUAAGGGUAAAAAAGUCUUUUUAUAUUUAAAACCCUAGAUAUAAAUUAGAUUUUUCAUAUCUUCUCUAUUCAGAAAACCCUUUUACAUAGAGAUCAGAAAGAUCAAAGAGCAUAGGGCUGAAGAUUUGGAGGUUUAGGGUUUGAAGAUCAAUUUUUCAGGUAAGAUUUUUAAUCCUUAAAUUAAUAUUUUAUAUUCGCUAAUUAGUUUUGAAUACUUUAGAUAUUCUUUGGAAUAUCUCAAUUUUGAUUAGAGUUCAUUUAAUUAAUUUCUAGGUCAAAAAGAUUAAAAAUUUAUGAACAUAGUUUGAUUUAUUAAUGGAGAUCGAUAAGUUUUGAUUGCUCAAAUGAAUAAAUCUAGAUAAAAAAAAAUUAAAAAUUAUACUUUAGAGGGUAUGGAGGUUAAAAGUUUUUACUUUAGAGAGGAGAAAACAAAUGAUGAAAGAUGCGUAGGAAGGAUUUGGCAUGUUGAAAAAAAAAAUGGUUGACCUAGGAAAGGAAUUAAAUAGUAUUUUGGUAAACAAUAAGGAAGAAAAGGACGUGGAUGUCUUGGAAGAGAAAUAGGUUAAGGUGUUGUUAGGUAUUGAAAUUAAUAAUAAUAAUAAUAAUAAUAAUAAUAAUGAUGAUAAUAAUAAUAAUAAUAAUAAUAAUAAUAAUAAUAAUAAUAAAAGAAACAAUAAUAAUGAAAGGAGUUGGUGUGGAGUUGUUGGGAAAAAAAAAAAGAAAAAUUGCAUGGGGUAUUUGUUAAGUUUCAAUAGAAGAUUUAAAUAAUAGUAAUAAUAAUUUAAUACAAAUAAAUAUUCGUAAAAGUUUUAAUUUAGAUAAGUUAGAAAAGAGAAAUAAAUUAUUGUUUAGGAAGUUGAAAAUAAUAUUGGAUGGUAAUAAUAUUAAUAUGAGAAAUUAAUUAGGAUCCCUAAUACUAAAUAAAAUAUUUUUAAGGUUGUCAAAUUUAUAUAUUUAGAUAAAUAAUCAAUAAUCAAUAUUGUGUAUGAUAUUAUGUUAGGUGAGGAGUAAAUUCGUCAAGCUAAAUACUUUAAGUUUUUGAGUGCUUCUUCAAGGUAAGGGAAAUUAGUGCGGAUUUUUAUAAAAGAAAACAAUUUUAUUUUUAUAUUGUAUUUUGAAAUGUGCAAAAAUAUUAUUUUUAUCUUUACGUAUAGAUGAAAUAUGUGUUUUGUAUGGAAAAUAUAUUUGAGAAUUUUCUUUGUUUAUGAAAAAUGAAAAAUUAAGGAGAUAUGAUAUUUUGUUUUGUAAAUUUGAAUUAAUGAAAUAAAGUGUUUGACUUUGGUUCUUAUGGCCCUAAUCAACGGGUUAUAAUUGUUGACAUAUUCAGCCCUAAUCAACGGGUUAUAAUAGUUGAUAUUAUAUGACCCCAGUCAACAGGUUAUAAUUGUUGACAUAUUCAAUCCUAAUCAAUAGGUUAUAAUAGUUGAUAUUAUAUGGCUCUAGUCAAUGGGUUAUAAUUGUUGACAUUUGGUUUUGUUCACCUUAAAUAGAACAAAUUUGAAACUAGUUACUCAAUUGUGAAGUCCCAUCUAAUUAGGCACUAUUUGUCAUACAAUAACCAGAGUAAAGAUAUUUUGAAUGUAUUCGAUUUGGUUUUGAUGAGAAAUUGUUUUGAAAUGGAUAUGAGAAAGUUUUGUUGAAAAGUUUGAAUGUAUUAGUAUUUUGAACUCAAAAGUUUUUGUGAAAAUAAGUAUAUGUUAUAUUUGUUAUUUGCAAGCAUGAUUGAAAAUGUUUGAUCCAUGAAACUGUAUUAAUGUUCCUUAUUGGGCUUUGAGCUCAUCCACUUUUGUUAAUAAUCUUUCAACUAACCUCAGUUCGAGUGAGGAGUGACCGUUAGGAGGGAAAUUUGGCUUUAUUAGGACAUUUGUUUAAACUCUCUUUAUGUUGGACAUUGUUUAGAUGUUAAAACUUAAUUCUCAUUUGAAUUAUUUUGAGUUUGGAGUUAUUUGGACAAUGACACUUUGGUUGAUGUAUUAGUUUUUUUAUAAAGUUGAUACUUGGAGAUUUUAGAAUUUUAUCAUACUACUCUGAAUAGGAAUUUGGUAAUUUGUAAAUUUCUAGUUACAAUAUGAAUGUUUGUAUCGUUUCCACUUUGAGCCUUUGGGCUUGAGGUGAAAUGAGAGGUGAAAUGAUCGUCAUGCCCUUGGAGUGGGUUUUGGGGUGUGACAAAUUACUUCCAUGUUUUUUCAACCAUAUUAUUGCAACAUAUGUGGAUCUGCUGGUUGGUCUAUGAAAAUUCAUAUAAGUUGUUAAAUUCUGUUAGGCUUGUGUAACGGUAUUUAGAUCAUAACAUCUUUCCCUAAGCCCGCAUUUUUCUAAAUAUAUAAUUAAAAUUGUUGUGUUUGCAAUUUUAAUGAAAUCUAGCAUUGGAUACUCAACUUCUCACAAAAUGACAAAAAAAAAUGGUGGUGAUUUCAUGGAGGCUAACCAUUCACCUACCUUUAGUCAAGGUUUUCAAGUUGUGUUACAAUAGUAAAGUAAUAAUCUCAAUCAAAACACAAAAUUUAGUUUUCUAAACAAUUAUUGUUCUUGGAAAACAUGCAAGGAAUUUAAGCAUCUUAAGGUACUUAAGCAAUCUUAGUUGGACAUUCAGUAUCCAGAUCUUUUCAUUAAUUGGUUUUUCUCUUUUUGUGCCAACAUCUGCUCUCUCUCUCUCCAACAUGCAAGCGUAAGUGGUAGGCACCUCUUUUGUGCUUUAAAUUAAUUUUUGAAGUAAUUUAAAUCAACUUAAAAGAUCAUAAGUCCCAUUGGAUAUGAUGUAUUGAGUUUUAGAUUUUUGAAGUAAAAUUAUCAACAUAGUCUAGAAUAUAUACUAAUAGAUUAUACUCUUUCCAAGAGUUUAAAUUGCUUUUUGUUAAUAGAUUAUAUGGAUGUUUUAACACAGAAAUUGGAAUGAAGCCAAAUAUGCAGAAAAAAGAAAUGGUUGUGACCAAUAGUUAUAUUUAAUCUCUUUUAUUUCUAUUGAUACUCAAAUUUUUAGGGAUAGAGCAUCAACAAUCCUUGUGAUGAAUUAAUAAUGUUGAUAAAAGUCAAUGACUACACAAUGUAGCUAGCUUAAAACCAAAUAUGUCAUUAAAGAAGAUAUCGAUAAUCACCCCCACACAAUGAUAUCUUGUAUAAUUCAUUAGUUGAAUCAAACACAAAUUUCGUUCAAUAUAUGUGUCUACGAGUAAAAGAGAGUUCUUGGUUUAUAUUCGACAUACACGCUAUAUAGGCUAUGCUAACAGCAAUUGAUAACAAGAAUCUCAACACUGAAGUCCAUGUAGAAUCAGGUGUCCACCAUAUUGGAGUUGCAUAGUUAGGAUAUUGAAAGGAGCAUGAGCAUAGGAUGGCGAAAGUUCAAAUAAGAAGUGUUGUAAGAUCAUUGCCAAAGCUAUUUUUGCCUCCAUCAUUGCAAAAUUUUGUCCAAUGCAUGCCUGAGGACCCCAACCAAAUGGGAAAAAUGAAACUUGGUUUUUUUUUGCCUUCGAAAUUCCUUCUGCAAGCCUCUCUGGGUUAAACUCCUUUACAUCAUCUCCCCAAAUUUCAUGAUCAUGGUGAACUAGGAUGGUGGGCAACGCAACCUGCACUCCAGCUGGAAAAUACAUGUCUCCCACUUGAGUGUCCUUAUAAACAGCUCUAGUAAGCAUUGCUACUGGUGGGUAUAACCUAAGAACCUCAUGAAAAAUCAUGGUAACCUGUGGUAGAGAAACUUUAUAAGUUGUAGCAUGAGAAUUCUUACUAAAAUACAUUCUAAUCAUUAUGCAGAACACUGAAGAAUAAAGCAAUUUCUUAAAAUAGUGAUGCAUAAGAGAAAAUGUUCUAAAUCAUGCAUGCCAAAAUAUCAAGUAUACAAAGGACAUUGCAUAUCCCAUGGAUAUAAUAACUUAAGAACCUCAUAAAAAAUCAUCAUGAUCUAUCAGAGAAAUUUGAAAUCAUGGCAUGAGAACCUGUUCCUGAGCUACUAAGUGAAAGCAAAUGUUUAGUACAAAAUAUAAAAACUUAAGAAAAAUGUGUUUUCAAUUUUACUCCAAUUUUGGGGAAAAAAAAUAGAGUACUAUAUGAUUUCAGUGAGAAUCACUAAACUGAAGAUUGGACUGAGUACUCACAAUUUUUAGGUGAUUUAAUCCAUUAGCUUCCAGUUUUUUAUUCCCAAAAACCUGUAAAACCUCUUCUCUUGCACGAGCUUGCCAAUUUGGAUUCUCGCUUAGCAGGACCAUUGUCCAUACAAGAAAAACUGAGGUUGUCUCUUGGCCAGCAAGAUAGAAUAUCUUACACUCUUCAAUGACCUCUUUGACACUCAUUCCAAUCUUCUUGUUAUUUUUAUGUUCUUGAAUUUAUCUAAAAUUGGAUUCCAUUAGUAUAACUAAUAAGUCACUAUUACCAGUUUUGUCAGCCUUCAUUGUCUUCUCCCUUUUGUUAAUGAUACCCCUCAGCAAUGCAUAUGCUUUUUUGCUUAUUUGCUUCAUCUUCCUGUUCGUCUUUGUGGGUAAAAACUUGUGCGCAUGUUAGUAAUUCUAGUAAAUAAAACAUCACAUGAAACACACAGACAUUAAUUCUUAUUUUCAUUCAUGCUUUUUACUUCUCCAUUAAUUUUUUGAAGCUUGUAUAAGGCUUCAAAGGUAGAAACUAUCAAGACAAUAACUAAUGGUUUCAUCUACACAUGUGUUGCAAUGGUAUAUCAUCAUCUUGACACAGUAUCCUGCCAACAUAAGAUUGAGGAUACUAAACAUCAAUUAGUGAAACAUACUACUUUCUAGGUGUUAUACAAAAGAAGUAAUUGACUAAAAGGGGAUGAAAUGAUCUCAUAUUUGUAAAUCUAAUAUCUCCUAUGCUUGACCGUGAAAAGUAAUCCAUUUUUAACAUAAAUUCCCUUCAACAUAUGAACCGAAAUUUGUGCUGGCAUCAUGUGUAGGUCAUGAAAUUUGGCUCUGAAAUUUGUUCAAUAAACUUAAUUUACCAAACAACACUACAAGGAAAAAGAUAUAUGGUGACAUUUAUAAUAAGUCACUAUAAACAUAGGGUGUCACUACAACAUAGCGUCACCUUAUCCACUGACACCAUAAAGGGUAUCAAUUGGUGACGUAUUUGGAAGCGACACCAAAGCAGAUAAAUGGUGACACAUUCAGAAGAGACACCAUAUAUUUUUAGUGAUGCUUAAUUUGAUAUAGAGUUGUAUGAGAUAUAUAAGGUGUCAUAUUAAAUGCAUCAUCUUUGAGUUAUGGUGUCACGUUAAAUGUAUCACCUUUAAUUUAUGGUGUCACAUCAUUGUAAAUGAUUAUGGAAAAUAUGGUUGUUUUUUGUUGAUUAGUUUGUAGAUUUUUGUAAUGCUUAUUAAUAAAUAAGACUAACCUGUGUAAAUUGUCCAUAAAUAUAAUAAUCAUAUUACAUUUAACUUAUAUUUUCAUAAUGCUUAUGAAUUAAUUUGUAACAUAUUACAUCAUCCAAUAAUAUUUGUAUAUCAAAUGUUCACAAAAUGAUAGUACAUCAAACACAUCAAACCCACCAAAAGGAAAAAAGAAAAGUGAAUACACAUUAAAACAUGAUUUAAANNNNNNNNNNNNNNNNNNNNNNNNNNNNNNNNNNNNNNNNNNNNNNNNNNNNNNNNNNNNNNNNNNNNNNNNNNNNNNNNNNNNNNNNNNNNNNNNNNNNGAAUAAGUAAUGUUAUACAAUAUCAAUGGAAAAUUCAAUCAUAUAACAACUAAGGGACUUACCAUGAAUGAUCACAAUACAUCAAUAUGAUUCAUGAUUAGUUAUAACACAAAAGUAAUCUAUUCUUCUCUAAUUUCAUCAAAUUCUACUUGAGAAUAUGUUUUAUUUGUCAUCAAACUGAAAUCAAAUGAGAAUAACAUUAAUAUCACAAUAAUUAAAAGUAUGAAAUUAUGUACAAUUCAUUAAAUGAGUAAAACCUUUGAUGCAAUUACUGUAAAAUCAACAAUUAUUUCUUUAAUGAAUCUCAUAACAAAGUAGUCAUAUUUGAACUUAGCAUUAUUUUUUUACUCUUAAAUUAUUUUAAAACAAAAUAACAAUUAUUAAUAUAUUGGUUCAUUUUUAAAUACUUUCACAAGAAUAUAUUUUAACUACGAGUUAUUUUAAUUUAUCAAAAGACUUUUAGGAAAUGAGCUAUUAUCCAUUUAUUAUUUUCUUAUUUUUCAAAAAAUAUUUUUAGUCAUUUCAUACACGUUUUCAACUACUAAAAUUAUUGUUUUUAUAGAAUAAACAAAGAAGCAUACACUUCUCCUCCACUCACUAAGUCAACUAUUACAAUCACCAUAAUAUUUUAUUCACCUACCAACAUCUCAUUCCAUUUAGAUAACUCUCUCAACAAAAUCAUUUCUACAAUACUUUUUACUCUCCUAUGAUAUUGAAUAUUUUAUUCCAUUUAGGUGACUCUCAACACAAAGAAAAGUAGGAAUGUCUUCUUAGGUUAACUAAACAAAGACUUUUUUUUUUUUUUUUACUUUACAAUAUGUAUAAAAAACAAUUAUUUAUUACAAGGAAUGUGGUAGAAAGGUCAUUUUAUUUUUAAAGAAUUUUUAAGAAUUUAUUAAACAUUUACAAAAAAUAGAAUCUAACAAUUUUAUUUCUAAAAAAAUUGAUCAAUUCAAAAAAGAAAGAAGAAUGUUAUUUUUUAAGAAAAGUUAAUAAACCACUUUAUUCUUGAAUUAUCUAAACAAAACUUACUAAAAAAUAUUUUAUCCCAAAUUUAUUUUCAAAACUUUCUUAUUGAAAACUAUCUCAUAUAUAAAUUAUUUUAUUAUAUAGAGAAAUUCUUAUUUUAUUCUUUUUUUAGAGAAAAAUUCACUUGUUUUUUAAAUAUCAAAGAAGUCUAUUUUUAUGUCUAUUAUAUAUAUAUAUAUAUAUAAAUUCUCUUAUUUUCAUACAAGAAAUUUCCAUUUAUGCCUAAAAUACUUUUAGAAAAAUCAUUGCCAACAAAAUUUUAUUUUUAAAAUUAUUUUCAACAUUCUUAUUUAAAAAAAUUAUCAUUGGAUUAUUUUCAAAAAAGACCGUCCUAAAAAAAUUAACCAUUUAUAACCCAAUUUAAACUCAAAAAUUAUCCCCAAUAUUAUUUUAUAUUCCUAAAUUAUUUUCAAACAAAAUAACAAUUAUUAAUAUUUUGAUUCAUUUUUAAAUACUUUCACAAAAAUAUAUUUAAACCACAUAUUAUUUUAAUUUAUCAAAAUAUUUUUAGGAAAUGUGCUAUUUUCCAUUUAUUACUAUCCUAUUUUUCAAAACAUAUUUUCAGGCAUUUCAUUCACAUUUUAAAUUUCAAAUACUAAAAUUAUUGUUUUUAUAAAACAACAAAGCAUGUAAAUUUCAACUACUAAAAUUAUUGUUUUUAUAGAAUAAACAAAGCAACAUACACUUAUCUUCCAUUUACUAAUUCAACUAUUACAAUCACCCCAAUAUUUUGUUCACCUACCAAUAAUUCAUUCCAUGUAGGUGACUCUAAAAAAAAAAAGUCAUAUUUAUAAUACCCUUUACCACUCUGAUACCCAAUAUUCUAUUCCAUUUAGGUGACUCAAUACAAAGAAAGUGGGAAUGUUUUCUUAGGUUAACCGAAGAAAACCCUAAAUAACUUAAGUGCUUUUGGAUUAAUUGAGCAUCAUCUUGUAGUAGAUGUCAAUCUCUAUUGUUAGACUUCACCAAAAAGCUCCUAGCACGGUGGAAAAAAGUAUCAAAUAUAGUCAAGUCUUCAAUAAAAUAUUUUCACAUGUGAAAAAUUACAACCAAUACACUAUAUAGUCAAGUCUUCAAUAAAAUAUUAUUUCAUACGAAAAAUUACUACAAACUAGUGUAUCUCUCAUUCUCAAUUAGACAUAAUUUUUAAAAAUAAUUCCUUUUUUUUUUUCAUUUGUUUUGGGGCUUAUUAGCAAUGAAACAAAAAAUAUGUUAGAAUGUUAAACCUAGUUUUUACUUCCCUGGAACUUGAUAAAAAACACCAUUUACAAAACCCACAUCAUAGAUAUACUUAAUCAAGAGAUAUAAAACAAUUAUACUAACAAAGUUUUUUGCAUUAAUAAAAAAAAAUGAAGAUGAUAGAUAAGAGAUUUGGACUUACCCGAGAUUUUACGAAGCAAAGAAUAUCAAUUAUGGGUGUGCCGACCAUGGGUGUGAGAAGAAGGAGAAGAAAACGAUGGUUAGGGUUAAGCAAUAAGAUCUUUUAUAUUAGUUAAUGUAUAUAUGGAAACAAUGGACUUUUCAUAAAUUGUUCCUACUUACUAUUUUUAAAAAGGGCCCAUUGAGUUAUAAAAUUUAAAACUUUUUAUUUCAUAUGGUGUCACUUCCAAAAAAUGACACUGUAAAUCUGAAAUUAGCAUCAUCUAACUAUCCUAAUUGAAGAUUUUUUAUAUGAUGUGUCACCUUUAUAAAUUUUAAGUUCAAUGGUGUCAUUAUUUUAAAUGCGACACCAUAAAUAGUGACAUCAUAAAUUAUUUUUGUAGUAGUGCAAGAAACGAAUAAAGAUCUAUAUGGAUAUGAAAUCAACAAUUAUCUUAUGAAAAAAUCUAGUUCUCCAUGAUGGAAGCCAGUAUAUUGAUACAAAAUAUAAUUUAUUAGAGAGUACAUUAUGAAAUAUGAAAUGCAAUUAAAAUUUACAAAAUGUCAUGAUCAAAUUGUGAAAACAUUAACCAAGUCUCUCAAGUAUAAAGAUUUUAGAAAGCUAAGGAUGCUAUUUUUACAAAUCAAGUUGAUGGGAGGAUGUUAGUUAAACUAGAUUUAGAAAGUUUCUAAAAAUUAGAUUUUGAGUUAGGUAUUAAAAGUUAAUUAAAAUAUUUUAUACAGAAUUCUUGAUUUAGUUUGUAUAUUUUGUUACUGCAAGAUUUUAUAUUUUACUAUCGUGAGUAUCUAUUCUUUUUAGGUGUUAGUAUCUAUAAAUAAGAUGUUAUGUAAUAGUUGAUCAAGUGUACAGGUGGACGACAAUAAAUUUUUUCUUAAUCAUCUCAAUUAUUUAUUUAUGUAAUUGCUUGUGUGUUUUUUCAACCACAUUGCUGCAACAUAGGUGAAUCUGUUAGUUGGUCUAUGAAAAUUCAUAUCAGUUGUUCAACCUUUUAAAUUCUAUAACGUAUGUAGAUUAUAGCCUCUUUCCCUAAGCCUGCAUUUUUCUUUCAUUUCAUGGUGUCAACACUUGAGGAAAGCAAAAUUUCCUAAAAUGGAAUAUGGUGUGCAAGGAUCCAGUGACUUAUUAGGCAUCUAAACAUGGUGGCAUUUAUUUUUUUGGCUUUUUGCUAAAAGCAAUUUGCUUUCAAAAUUUAGGUUGUUUGUUUUUUUAGUUUUUGAUGACUUAUUAUUGAAUUUUUAAAAUUUUUGGCUAAAUUGAGCACAAACAACUGACAUAAAAAUUCAUCUAAAAGUUUUCAAAAUUUUUGCUAAAACGUUAUAAAUUAACACUUGAAAAAAAAAUAGUACUUUUCAAAGUGGAAGUAUAUUAAUUUCUUGAUAAAAGAAAUUGCAAUAUUGUUAGCAAAGAUUAAGAACUACCACUGAAAUCUAAACCUUUGGUGUAAUUUAAAAAAGAGGGAAAAAAAACAAAAAGGAAAAGAAAAAUAAUUAGGAAGAGAAGAGCAGAAAACAAACAACUGCUUUAGGGCAGUAUAAAAAAGUUGGCCAUAAUUUGAAGAGAUCAGCAAACUUUAAUACUAUGAUGAAAAGUAAUAACUCAUAUCGCUAACGUAUUUCUUAAUGAAAUGACAACGGAAGGGCAGGACACGCGGGGCAAUAUCAUCAGAGAGGCUGAUUGGUCUUGAAUAUGCUUCUUUUAAUAUCAUGGACAUUUCUUUGAAGUCCCCAUGUAAAAGGCUAUAAGAAUUCUCAGCCAGGCCUUACUCUCUAAGGCAUCUUUCUAACCUCUAUGGCCUCAACCACACCCAAUUCAAUAGCAUCCAUAAACAGCUUAUGAACACAGUAAGGAACCCAAAAGAAAUUGCAACUGAGUUAUGCUUCAUUUCCAGGUUGAGGGACUUCUAUCAGGAGAGGUAUGUUAAAUCACUUCAGAGUGAGAAAAUGACUUUAUGCUGCCGAUGUGUAUAAAUUGGCCGCUAUUCUAUUCCCUCGUGUCGGCAAACAUAGAAGAGUUCGUCAAUACCUAAUGGAGAGAAGAACUUCUAGUAUUUUAAAAUCUAUAAAUUAUCUAUUUUAAUUGUCUCCAUCAAUAUGGCUUUUAAACUUCUCAAUGAAUUAUUAAUUUAUUCUAUUUGAUACAUUUCAAAGUUUGUGCAAUCAUCACUGCUUAUUAAAAACUAUAUAUGCCAUGAAUGUAGAAGGCAAAAUUUGAGCAUACAGAAUAUGGAAUUCUAUUUGAUGGACCAGCUUUCACUUGUGAGUCGAUGGAGCAUGUGGAUGCUCACUUUCAGAGAGUCAAGGGGCAGCUCGCAUCCCUCACAUCUUGGAAGAUGUCGCAGGGUGCUUCCAGCUCUACAACUCCAUCUGAUCUGGACUUUUUGAUACUUUAUGUUUUUUUUUUUUUUUUGGUGGAUAAGCUUAUUUUGUACACCUAACCCAUCUUGGCUCAGUUUAUCAUAUAUUUUGUUUGUCUAGAUGUACUUUUAUUUUCUUAUCUCUUGUAUCCAAAACCUUUUUUAUCAUAUAUGUCCAUGUGUUUGCUUUUCUUUUCUUCUUUUUGUAUGCUUACUGCUUCAUCAUGCUUUUUGUCAUUUUUUUUGCAACAAAAAAGGGGAAAUGGAUUGUUGAUUUGAUUGAGUGUUUUGAUAUUCAUAUUUUUUUGACAUCUGUUUCAUGACUUGCAUCCCCUUACUCGUUUACCUGAUUUGAUAAAAUUGAUCAAUUAUCUUUCUUCCCACACACUACUUUACCUGGGUAUGUUGUUUAGUGUGUGCAAGUUCUAGGUACUAGGGUGUUGGUCAUUUUUUGGAUGUGGCUUCUAGUCCUUUGCACGAUAGAUGAUGAAUUGGUUUAGACAAGAGGUAUUGAGAGAGAUUUGUAAACUCCAUUUCAGAGUAUUGAGGGGUUUAUGCAAUUUGUAUUUUAUCACAAAAUUGCCAAAGGGAGAGAUUGUUCGUACAUUAGGUGAUGUAGUUUAAAAUUGUCAAUUUUGUUCUAUUCAUUUUGGUUUAGGAUCUUUCUAGAUUGUGUUUCAUUCCCCAUUGAAGACUCAAGGUUAUUAAUUGAUCAACCAAGAUUACAUAGGUAAGUGUAAAAAGAUUUAGGAAAGGGAAGUUAGUGUUUGGUAUGACAUGGCAUGGAUUGAGUGGUUUAAAAUUGAGCAAAAUGAUUUUCUAAUUGGGUUUAAAAAAUGCUUAAAGUGCUCAAGCACUCUAAGAGCAUUUGAGCUCUAGAAAAAAAAUUCUCUAGAAUUUUGGAGAUCUGUCUUUCUAUUUUUAAAGGAUUUAUUUUGAGGAACUUUUUAGAAUUAGUCCACUAGGUUCCUAAGCUUAAAUAUACAUUGCAUAAAAAGGUUUUUGGUUUGAUGCUUUUGAGUUGAAAAACCUAGUUUUUCUUAUUGUUUCCAAAAUUAUAGAAGAAACAUUCAUAUUUACUUCUGCCUAGUUGAGAAGGAGAUUUGUAUCCCCCUCAAGUGCUGAAGUGAGAUCCUCUAUGAGCACAUGAGAUGUUGCAUUGUGGACGCAAAACACAGUGUAGGUGUUAGGUAGUAAGUCUUAGUAGUAGCUUUCAUCAGGUAAAAUUGAGUACAUACCUCAUUAUAUAUGAUGGACAGCUCCUCAAAUGCAUAUCCUACAAUCAAAAUCAAUUGAUUCUAAAUUAACACCCAACCCAUAUUUCAAACAAAAUCUUGCAAUUUCACAUUUUGAGCACCAAUCCAUGAAAAUGGUGUUUUUGGGGAGAAAAUUCAAUUGAUUUAGGAGCAUAUUAGAUCUUACCCUUCCCCUCUUGAGACUUGAGACUUAGGAGUAACCUAUUUUCAGAUAGAUUCAAUAUCACUAAUUGAUUAAUUUUUAUGUACAAUAUGUUUUUCUAAAUUUUUAAAAAUUCCAUCCUUUUAAUUCUAUUAGAAUAACGUAAAUCAUAUGGAAGUUAGAUUCUAAAUCUCAAGUCUUCACAUCAUCAAGUAUCAACUAUAAGAACUCAAACUCAACACUUUAGUGGCUCUAAAGAGUCUAUUUUAGUGCAUUUGAGGUAUUUAAAAAUGACCUAAUGCUUGGUUUUUUUGUUAUUAAUGCCUUAGCCAUUUGUUUUUGAUAUUUUUUUGUGAGUAUUUUUAGAACUUUAAAGUAUUUUGAAAAUGAAGUGGACUUUGUGGAGGAUUCUCAAAGAAUAAAAUGCCUAAGUAGAGAGCAAGAACAAAUUGUAUACCUUUUAAGUACACAGGAUUCUAUUGUGCAUCUCGCUAGUGUGCCACCAAACUAGAUUGCACAUUCCCUCUAACAAUUUAAAUUGAGCACCUUCCCUAUGAUUCAAAGGUUGCAUACCCCUCAACAAUUGAACCUAACAAGAGCACUCAAGUUGUGCAUGUCCAUAACAUCUUAAUUGCACUUUUCCCUACCGCUACAGUAGUUUAUCCCUAGGGUCACUCACCAUGCAAUGUCACACCCCAAAACCCACUCCAAGGGCAUGAAGAUCUUUUCACAGCUAGCUCAAGCCCAAGGGCUUAAAGUGGAAACAACACAAACAUUUGUAUUGUAACUGAAAAUUUACCAAUUACCAAAUUCUUGUUCAAAGUAGUAGGACAAAAUUCUAAAAUCUCCAAGUAUCAACUUGAAAAAAAAAACUAAUACAUCAACCAAAGUGUUAUUGUCCAAAUAACUUUCAACUCAAAAUAAUUCAAAUGAGAAUUAAGCUUUAACAUCUAAACAAUGUCCAAAAUAAAGAGAGUUUAAACAAAUGUUAUAACAAAGCCAAAUUUCCCUCUUAAUGGUCACUCCUUGCCAGAACUGAGGUUGCCUAAAAGAUUAUCAAUGAAGAGAGGUAAGCUCAAAGGCCAAUAAGGAACAUUAAUACAAUUUUAUGGAUCAACAUUUUCAAUUAUGCUUGCAAAUAGGAGAUAUAACAUAUACUUAUUUUCAUAAAAACUUUUGAGUUCAAAAUGCUAAUACAUUCAAACUUUUCAACAAAACUUUCUCAUAUCCAUUUCAAAACAAUUUCUCAUCAAACCAAAUCAAAUACAUUCAAAAUAUCUUUACUCCAGUUAUCGUGUGACAAAUGGUGCCCAAUUAGGUGGGACUUUGCAAUUGAGUAACUAGUUUCAAAUUUGUUCCAUUUAAGGUGAACAAAACCAAAUGUCAAGAAUUAUAACCCAUUGACUAAGGUCAUAUAAUAUCAACUAUUAUAACCUGUUGACUAGGGCCAAAAAUGUCAACUAUUAUAACCCGUUGACUAAGGCCAUAUAAUGUAGAGAGUCAAAUACUUUAUUUCAUUAAUUCAAACUUACAAAACAAAACAUCAUAUCUCAAAUUUUCAUUUUUCAUAAACAAAGAAAAUACUCAAAUAUACUUUCCAUACAAGACAUAUAUUUGAUCCGUGCUUAAAGAUAAAAAUAAUAUUUUUAAACAUUUCAAAAUAUAAUAUAAAAAGAAAACUAUUUUCUUUUACAAAAAUCUGCAUUAAUUUCCUUUACUUGAAUAAGCACUCAAAAUCUUGAAGUAUUUAGCUUUGAAGAAUUUCCUCCUCACCUAACAUAAUAUCAUACACAAUAUUGAUUAUUGAUUAUUUAUCUAAAUAUAUAAAUUUGACAAUCCUAAAAAUAUUUUAUUUAGUAUUAGGGAUCCUAAUUAAUUUCUCAUGUUAAUAUUAUUACCAUCCAAUAUUAUUUUCAACUUCCUAAACAAUAAUUUAUUUCUCUUCUCUAACUUAUCUAAAUUAAAUCUUUUAAGAAUAUUUAUUUGCAUUAAACAUUAUUACUAUUAUUUAAAUCUCCUACUAAAACUUAACAAAUACCCCAUGCAAUUCUUUAUUUUUUUCCCAACAACUCCACACCAACUCCAUUCAUUAUUAUUAUUUCUUUUAUUAUUAUUAUUAUUAUUAUUAUUACUAAUUUCAAUACCCAAUAACACCUUAACCUAUUUCUCUUCCAAGCCAUCAACGUCCUUUUCUUCCUCAUCGUUUACCAAAAUACUAUUUACUUCCUUUCCUAGGUCAACGUGCUGACCAAUCCUUAGUUUUUUUUUUUUCAACAUGCCAAAUCCUUCCUACCUACAUGCAUCUUUCAUCAUUUUUUUCUCCUCUCUAAGGUCAAAACUUUUAAUCUCCAUACUCACAAAUUUUAUGUAAUUUUCACAUCUGAAACUAUAUAUAUAUAUAUAUAUAUAUAUAUCUAGAUCUAUUCGUUUGAGUAAUCAAAAUUUGUCGAUCUCCAUUAAUAAAUCAAACUAUGUUCAUAUUUUUUUUAUCUUUUUGACCUAGAAAUUAAUUAAAUGAACUCUAAUCAAAAUUGAAAUAUUCCAAAGAAUAUCUAAAGUGUUCAAAACUAAUUAACAAAUAUAAAAUAUUAAUUUAAGGAUUAAAAAUCUUACUUGAAAAAUUGAUCUUCAAAUCAUAAACCUCCAAAUCUUCAACCGUAUGCUCUCUAAUAUUUCAAAUCUUUAUGUAAAAGGGUUUUCUGAAUAGAGAGGAUGGGAAAAAUCUAAUUUAUACCUAGGAGUUUUAAAUACAAAAAGACCUUUUUACCUUUAUUAAAUUACUUAAUUUAAUUAUUAAUUUCUAAAUUAUGAUUUUACCCCUAAAUUGGGUUUAGGGCAUUACAUUCACACUGUUCCCACUCUUGCAAAGGUUGCACACCUGAGAAAACUCCUUCCAAUGAUUUGUACACUCACCAAAGUAAUGCAAGCAUCUAAGCCUUAAGUCAUCAUCUAUACUAUCAAUUCUCCCAUACCGAUUGCAUUGAAAGCCAAGUGCAGCCACCAACUCCAAGCUGACAAGUCAAGUACAAGAAAGAUGGCUAGUUGACUACAUUGACACAUGAUAUGAUCCCCAACAUGAGCAAGAGGCAGUUCUAGGAGAAUAGUUUGAGCAAUAAGAAUGGAUUACCUAAAGGGAAACCCAUCUAUAAAUAGAGGAUUGUCUGGGCACGCGUGCGCAUACACACACACACACACACACACACAUAUAUAUAAAUAUGUAUGUAUGUAUGUAUGGGGAGAAGAAAAGAAAAGAAAAAAAGAAUGUUGAAGAGUUUGAAUCUUUAAUGGAGAUGAUAUUAACCUUUUUAGGAUUUAGUUAGGAAUUUAUUUUGGUAAUUAAAAUGACAAUUAAUUAUUUGGAUAGGAUUUGUUAGGUAGUUUCCUACUUCUUUCCAUAUAUUUUCCUUAUGUUUGUAGGUUUCCUACAUUAUAUAAAUAGAGGACAUUUUCUCUUCUUUUCUCUAUGAAUGAAUAUAUGACUAGGUAAAAUUAAGCUAUAGGUUUCUUAAUUGUAUCAAAGCCAAAUUCUUAUUACUAGGAAUAAUGGUUAAAAUUACAAUGAUAGGUGCUUCCAAUUAUGAUAACAACUUGAAGGAGGCAGAAAGAAAACCUAUCCCUCAUUAGAAUUUUGUGACCAAUGGUCAUGGUCACUCUUCUUAGCUAAUUACCUCUCACAAACUAACUUAAUGGAGAAAAUUAUCUUGAAUGGUCUCAAUUUGUCUAACCUUUCAUUCGUGGGCAUGGACAAAUUGAAUAUUUUAUUAGAGUAACAUCAAUACCACAAGGAACAAUUCUCAUCGAGACAUAGGAAGUAGAGAAUGCCAUGAUUAUGUCAUGGUUGAUCAACUCAAUGGAACUCAAGAUUAGGAAGACAAACAUGUUCAUGCCCAUAACUAGAGAGAUCUAGGAGGCUACCAAGGAAACCUAUUACAACUUGGUAAUUUGCUCAAGUCCACAAGAUAGCCAUACAAGUAAAAAAUACCAAGCAAGAUAAUAUGAAUGUAAUUCAAUACUAUAAUACACUCAAAACUCUUUGGUAAGAACUUAAUUUGUUCUAUGAUUAUGAAUAACAUUGUGCACAUGAUAGUGAAAUGUUCUAAAAGAUAUGAUUGAGAAGGAUCGAGUAUUUGCAUUCCUAAUGGGGUUUAAAUAAUAAAUUAGAUGAGGUUUAAAGUAGAAUUCUUAGUAGUGAAUAAUUCUAGCAAAAUCUAAUACCUCUUUACUUAACAUUACCCUAGUUGUAAAAAAACAGUAAGCUUCACAUUUCGACCAAUGAUCCAAAAUUCAAAAGUAUUCAUGGAAGGCCCUAGUGUGACCGUCAUCUCCUCUAAAUGCUUCCAGAAUUCAAAAUAUUCAUUGACAAGUGAUUAACCAUCAUCUUUUCCAAAUGCAUCUUUAGAUGUCAUAUACCCAAAGGUGUUCAAAUUCACAAGAUAUUGACCAAGUCUAGAUAUUAAGAAGGUAUAUGAUCCUCUACCAUUAGAAAGAAUAAGAUACAUUAUCCUCUACUAGUGAAAGCACAUAUGUCAUCAUAUCAACAAAUCAAGCAUGCGUGCAAAUCUAUCUUCUUGGUCUUCUAAUUGUGGUCAAGCAAGUAUUAAUGAAGUACUUAAUUUGAAGCAUCUCUUUAUCAUCUAUAGUGGUUGUAGUUGCUAAUCCAAUAAUUGUACUCCUUUAAAAGUGGUACAAAUUAUUCUUCCUUAUUCCUUGCAUCACGACAAGUUUACUUGGCAUAACUUUCAAAAUCCCAUCUUUUAUAGUAACAAUAUUGAACCCUAUGGGUUCUAAUACUCCAAUUGAGAUGAGACACUUAUUCAUACUAGGAACAUACCAAACAUCACUCAAAAUUUUAGUUGAUUCAUCGUGAGUCUUCAACUGGAUGGUAUUUAUUAUUGUUAUCUCAUAAGCAUUAUCAUUCCCCAUGUAAAUAACUCCAUCUUGUAGUUCUUCAAAGCAAGAAAACCACUCCUUGUAGGAAUGCGUGUCAAGGUGGACCCAAUAUCCAAAAUCCAUUCAACUAAGUUAUAAAACAAGGAUAAGCAAACCAAAGCAAAGUUUGACCCAUCUUUUCCAAACUUAGCCACACAAGCAUCGAAUACUAUUUCUUCUUUAUUCUUAUUCUGUAGCUUAGGACAAUCAUUAUUUUGACACUACCAAAACUUAAGUAUGGUUGACCCAUUUACAUUUAAUUUUCUAACAUAUUUAAGCUGACGGAAAUUUAUAAUACACCUAUUCCAUCGCAAAUUGAAUUGUCCGUCACUUAUAUGUAACUAUUUACCAACAGUAAUUGCAACAACAAAUACUUGUCGGCAAAAAUAUUAUUGCAAUGGAUUUAAACCAUUGCAAAUGUUCAACUAAUAUACUUUGUCACAAGAGCAAUUUACCUAUAAAAUAGAAAAAUAAAAAACAAACUUUCAAAAAUAAUUUUUUCUAUGAAAAUUACUACUCACUAAAACAGUUUUAUUAUAGUGGAUAAUAAUACCACACAUAAUUUGUUCCAAAAAUAAUUGUAGUUAUAUGAAUAUAAAAUCUUUUCACCAUGGUUUUAUGAUAAAUACGAUCUAGCUAGUGACAAAACAAUUUUAUGAUUAUUUUUUAGGUUCAUACAAUAUUUACAUUUUUUUUAAUCAUAAUAGUUUUAACUACUUUUUAUUGUCCAUUUUAGAAAGAAAUAAAUUAAAAAUUAUUGACAUAUAUAUAUAUAUAUAUAUAUAUAUAUAUAUAUAUAUAUGUAUGUAUGAUAUAAUUUAUGAUAUCGAAUAAUAAUAUUUAAAAUUUAAAAAUAUAUUUUAUAGAGAUUUAUCUAAUUUGAAUGUAUUCAAUAACAUAAAAAAAUGAUAGUACAUGUAUAAGUAUUUUUAUUUUAAAAUGUUGAUAAUUUUAUUUAUAAAUUUAUAUUUAAUUAUUAUACAAAAUAAACAAGAAUCAAAAUUAAUUAAUUUAUAAUAAUUUUAUUUUAACUAAUUUAUAAUUUAUAUAUAUAUAUAUAUAUAUAUAUAUAUUAAUUCAUGCAUGUAUAAUUUAUAUAUAAUAUGUAUUUAUAUAUAGAUAAUAUUUAUAAUAUAAAUGCAUAAGUAUAUAAUAUUUACAUUUAUGAAUCUCAUAUACAUUCUUUAUAUUACACAUAAAUAAGAUGACUUGGUGGCAUAGUUGCUUCCUUUCAAACUUGAGGUCAAGGGUUCAAUCUCAAGAAACAACAUCCAAGUCAAUAUCCAAAAUUAGCAAGGAGAGGAGUGUACAAGAUGCUCCAUGUGAAUGUAAUGAAAUCGAAAUUUCAUGACAACCUAAAAUCUUUUAUUAUUUAUAUUUCUCAACCAACUUAAUUUGUUGGUAAUAGUGAUGGUCUAAAUCCAUUGGAUAGUUUGUCACUAAAUAUUUUUUAUUGGCAACGGAAAAUUCCCAUCAAUGGACUUUUGCCAACACACCUUUCCUCGACUACCAUGCGAUGGGAUUAUUGAUUGGUAAAUAUUUAUUUCGACUGUGUAUAUUAGUUGAGAAAAGUCAAAUUUCUUGUAGUGCGGUGACCCUUGUCAUGAAAAAAGACGCAUUCAUCUUUUGCAAGUAUACAUUUAAAUUAAGAAUUGUCUUCUUUUCUAAGUUUUCAACUUUGAGAUUAGUCAUUAACUGUUAAAGCUUCCAAUGAUAUAUCUCUAUGAUCGCUUUGGUCCUUCUUCCUUUAUUCAUAUAUUUGUCCUCCAAUGUCUUCCAUAAAUGUUUUUGUGGAUAUCUCUUUCAUAAUGGAAUAAUUUUAAGCUUUAACAAGAUAUAAGUGGAUGGAACUAUAAAAUUGACAAUUGAUCCCUUACCCAUUCUUUAUCAUUCAUGUUUUCAAGUUUUUCUUCCAAAACAAUAUCCAAAUCCUAUUGACAUAUCUAAUUAAUGCCUCUUACUGCCACAUUCCAAAAGUACUAGUCCUAUCAAAUUUAUCUAUUAUAAAUUUUGCAUUAGUAACCAUAGUUUUAACUAACGAAGUUUUUACCUUUUCUUUUAACUAGUGCAAUAAAAAAUAAUCUUGAACUAAUCUUGAAACCAACCUUGGAUAGAACUAAUGCUCUUAUACCAUUUUGUUGUGCUUUAACCUAAUCCCACAUGCAAGACUUCCAAAAGUACCAAAUAAAAUACAAACUAAACUAGUCCAUAAUAUAAAGAGAAAUAUCAAGAGAAAUAAAAAUAAAGGAGGGUACACAAUAUUUAUGAGGUUUAGUAACGAUGUCUUACCUAUUUCACCGAACAAUGAUGAUCAAUCUACUAAUCUUCAAAUCAAAAUUACAAAAUCAAGUUGUGAAAGAUUGUCUCACAAAGUGGCUGCAAUUACAAAGAUUGACUGAAGCUACUCUAACAACUUUGCUAAAGUCAUUCUUACACUACUAUGAUGAAAAGACUUAAGACUCAUUUAUAGAACCUAAAUAAGUCCUCGAGCCUUGACAAAACUAAUUCAUAGUUCCUAUGGGACAAGGACUCCUAACAUAUAACAAAUUAUGAAAUCAUAAUCCUUAUAGGACAAGGAUCCCUAAAAUAUAUUAAACUCUUAAUUAAGCUAAAAGCCAGUACCUAAUAUAGAACCUAUACCAUAUUUGCUAUAACUCUACUAAGUAGAUGGUUGUUAAGAAGUAUUAUCACUUUCAAAAGUUAAAUAAUCAUUUAUUUUUCCUUCCCUUUCCACUUUUCUUAUCAUCCAGACAACAACAGUAAAAAAUGUAGUGUAACUUUUGUUACUUUGCUACUUGUUCUCUCAACUUACUUGCUUGCUUGUGAAUGACCUCCAUAAUCAAAGUAAAUGGAGAAAAAAUGUGGAGUUCCAAGAUAUAGGUAGAAAAGAGUGGAAAAAACCUUAGUUCUAUAAAAUAGUUUGCAAUUUUGUCUCUAGAUCUCUCAUUUUCGUGGUAAUGGCCAUUGAAGAUGUCAUCACUGAGAAGAUCACAAAGUGAAGAAGGCAUGACUGAGGGUUGGUAGUAUAGAGAGUUAAGGUAGAAAAUAGCAAAGAUAGGAUUUUGACGUUUUUAGAAUUUGUAAAUAAAAAAUAAAUACAAUCCAAAAAUCACUUUUAGAACAUGAUUUUACCUAACCAUGCCAAACAUAUUUUUUGUUAUGUGGAUUGUAUUUGAUGUUCUCAAAAACAUUGAAUACAUUUUGGAUUGACUAUUAAACACGACCUUAGUAAUUAAAUUAGCAUAUUGAUAAAUUAUCAAGAGGCUCUUAUCAAUUUGGUCAACUCUUAGAAAAGUGUUGUUGAAAACACUAAAUACAAUCUAUAUAUAUAUAUAAAAAAAUGAAACAUGAAUUUACUUGACCAUACCAAACACAUUAUUUUUUAUUUGGAUUGUGUUCAGUAUUUUCAAAAACACUAAAUACAUGCAGUUUGAUUGACUACUGAACAUGAACUUAGUAAUUAAAUUAGAAAUUUCAAAUGAAUUAAUGUCUUCUAUUUUGCAAGCAAGUCAAGAUUUUAUGUUUUCUACUAAAAUUUUAAAUGCAUCACUAAAAGUAACAUCACCACUUUCUAGUUAUAAAGUUUUGAGAAGAUAUUUUUUAUCAACACAUAUAGUUGUUUGCUUUCAUGUCAAGAUACCAAAUACUUUUUUCGUAAAAUUUUUCCUUUUUAUGCAACUAAUAAAGUGGGGUUUUUUUCUUGAUUCAUUUUUUAACAUAGUUUUCCAUUCUACACUGUUAAUAUACCAACACUUUUCAUUUUUUCUUGAAUUUUGGAUGUUCCUUCAUUGUAUGAUGGACAAUUUCCUUAGCCACAACCAUGAUGACCAUGACCAUGACAAUGAUUAUUUUGGCUUCCUUCAUACCAAAUUUUUUUCCCCUCUUGUUGAUAUAUUAAACUAUGUUGACAAUUUUCUUUUAUUUAUAUAGUGAGUCUAAUACAUCAUACUUCCAAGGGUCAUAUUGAUGUCACUCAACUUCAAGCUACUUUUGAGUUAACUAUAUUACAAGGUAUAUGUGCAACAUUAGGUUGAAUUAAGGCACAAGGAAUGGCUACCACAUGUAUGCUAGGUGAAAUAUUAGAGUUUUUUUUUUUUUUUUUGUCAAGGAUAAGGAUUUGAGUAACUAAAGCCUCAAUAAAGUCUUUAAGAUAUCCAUUAAGGAACACAAGGAGUGUUGCAUGGGGGCGUGGAAGAAGAAUAUAAGUUAUGUGUAUCUUGUCUUUAUAUUUAGUAGAUUGUUUGUGGUUGAUAAACUAUUCAUGUAAUGACCUGCUCCCAACCGUGUAGAUAUUGUCCACUUUGGACCUAAAGGGGCCCUCACGGCUUUAAAAUGCCUUUAUAGAGUUAAGAUAAGUCCAUACUUAUAUAGCGCUAAGAAAUUUCCCCCCUAUUUGAUGUGGGAUGUUAGAAACACCCCCUUCCCUAUGUAGACACAACGUCCUCGUUGUGUCCUAUGGGAUUGUAGGGCCAAACAAAUGAACACCCCUACAAGGCCAAACAAACCCUCAAACCGAGGUUGAAGAUCGGCUUUGAUACCAUUUGUAACAACCCAUUCCCAGCCAUGUAGAUAUUGUUCGCUUUAGGCCUAAAGGGGCCCUUACGACUUUAAAACACAUCUACGAAGUUAAGAAAAGUCCAUACUUAUAUAGCGCCAAGAACUUCCCCCCUAUCCAAUGUGGGAUGUCACAAACACCCCCAUCCCCCACCCCAUUAUAUAAAUAUAUUAUUAUUAUUAUUAUUAUUAUCAUUACUUUCAAAAAACCCUACAACACCAUUACUCCAAGCCACCAACUACACUCAUUAUUAUUAUUAUAAUAAUAACACUUUUUUUUUCUUUUGUUUCUUCCUUCAUAGACGUCCACAUGCAUUUUUUUUUUCUUUUUAGUUUGUUUGUGACAUCCCACAUCAGAUAGAGGGAAAGUUCUUGGCGUUAUAUAAGUAUGGACUCCUCGUAACCCUGUAGACGUGUUUUAAAGUCGUGACGGCCCCUUUGGAUUCAAAAUGGACAAUAUCUACAUGAUUGGGAGCGGGUUGUUACAAAUGGUAUCAAAGUCGAUCCCCAACCUCGGUGAGGGGUUUGUUUGGCCCUGUAAGGGUGUUUGUAUGUUUAAACCCACAAUCCCGUGGGACACAACGAGGACGUUGUGUCUGCAUGGGUGUUGUUUGUGACAUCCCACAUCAAAUAGGGGAGAAAGUUCUUGGCGCUAUAUAAGUAUGGACUCCUCAUAACCCUGUAGACGCAUUUUCAAAUUGUGAGGGCCUAUUUGGGUCCAAAGAGGACAAUAUCUACACGGUUGGGAGCGGGUCGUUACAUACACAUAAAUUUCAUGAAAGUCUUGCAACAUAUAAGGGGUAGGCCUUGAAGUUACAGUGAUAAUUUAUUCCACUAAAAAAUUUGAUCUCUACAUUGAUAUCAAAUUUUUUUUUUUUUUUGGGAGUAAUAGGGAUAAAUACACAAAUAAUAGUACUAUUAAAAGAGAUAAGUAGAUGAGGAAAUUAAAAGAAAUUUAUUGUGUUUUAAUACAUUAAUUGAAGUAUUAUAUACACAACUCCAAUUACAAUAUGUUUUAAUACACUUUUAAAAACCAAAUCAAAUGUAAUUUUUGAAAACUUCUUGAAACUCAAAUUUAGAUUUCAACGUGUGAUUGAAUGAUAGGGAUGAAAAAAAAUAGGUAAAUAAAACAUAUGUAAUAUUAUUGUAUAUUAUUAAUCGCUUCCAUACCAUUAGCAUAUCAAUGGCAUCUUGCUAAGAAGAAGAACCACCACAACAAUCCAUUAUAAUAGUUUCGGAAUGAAUGACAUUUAUUUGUUUGUAUUCUAUUGUUUUUCUAUUUACGUCAUAUUCACAUGAAUUGACUUUUUGUUUAGAGUAGUGUUUUAGUAGAGUAUUCGUAGUACACCUAGAUAUCUUUCUAUGCUAUCAUAAAGUAGCUGAUUGCCCAUGAUUAUGCAAUGCCAUCAUAAAGGAACUGAAUGGCCAACACACGUACAUGUGAGGUACCAUAUUUUUUAAGAAAGACAAGUCAGUUUGCAAUUGAUGUUAAUAUCUUUCCAAGGCAGAAACAUCAUUUUGUAGGUAUAAUUGAAUUAGUUAAACUCAAACCCCAAUUGACAUUCUUUCAAGUAAAAUCAUUUUUAACCUAUAAUGCUCAACACUUUUAUGAGAAUCAUAAAAGUAUCAGAAUCAUAGAGAAUUAUUGAAAGUGAUUUUGUAGUGUUGUUGAUAAUAUGUCACAUGACUAUAAAAAUGCUUUUAAUAUUAGCAAAUUAUAAAAAAGGACAUCAAAUUUAAUUACAAGGAAAUAUUAUAAUAAACUAAUACUUUUUCGUGAUAAAAGAAUAUAUAAACAUUUAUAGUAAAAGAAUAUAUAAACAUCUAUAUUACUAACAAAAACUAAAAAAUAAUAGUUCUUGUGAUUACAAGAAAAUUUUAGAAAAUAUUUACAACAUGAUUUGGAUUAAUAAACAAACAUCAAUAAUAAUAUAAUAAUUUUUAAAACAAAAAAAAUCAUUUGAUUAUUUAUUCACUUAAAAAUAAUAAUUUUUAUUACUACAAAAUUUUGAAAAAUACUUACUAAAAAUCUAGAUUAAUAAUGAAAAAUUGAAUAAAAACAUAUUAGUUUAGUUUCUAAAAAAAAAAAAAUAGUAAUUGAAAGCAAAUGAGAAAACAAAUUCUCUCAUAGUAAAAAAAUGAGAAAAUUAUAUAUAUUUUUUUCAUAUUAGUGUUAUAAUAAAACAUCAACAAGAUAUAAAACGACUAGCAAUUCGAUCACGUUUUUCUUACAUCUCUCUUGCAUGAUAGAACCAUCUUUCUCAACUCAUGAAUCCACUCUACUCUUUUUUUUUUUUUUUAUUGAAACAGAUGUAACCCUUGAUCAUCAUCAUAAGGUUUAAAUUUCAUAUAUAUCCUAACAUUAAUCAUUAUUAAGUUGUAAAAACCAUCAAAGUAAUAACAGUGUUGACUUAUUUUUCAAGAGGAAAACUAUGCAUUUCUCAUAUUGUUCCACAUCUAUUCUUUAAAAAGGCAAAUGUUCAAUUGUUCUUCUCAAAGAUGUCUAUGGUUAAAUAUUUCCUUCUUACCUCUUGGUAAACUACUCUAUCGAAAUCUAAAAGAUGGUAACACUCGCCCUUUAAGGGCCUAAUUAUAUAUCCACUCAUUUAAGGAUAACCAACAUUGAGUAAAUAAUAUUUACCUACAAAAAAAAAAUUAAAAUUAUAUAAGAUUAUGAAAAUCUAAUCACAAAAGUAACUUUCAUAUUUUUAGUCACAAAUCUCUAGAAGGAUGAGGAAAACCCAAUUCUAGCAUUUUUUUUUAAUGCCUAUGAAAAGACGCAUACAUCAUGAGCAAAACCUUCCCAUCUAGCCAAUGCAAAUGUGAAAUACAUAUUGAAAUAAUAUAUGACCAUAAUAUUUUAGGUAGUUAUGCUUUUUGUACCAAUAUAUGAUAUUUGCCUAUCUAUAAAAACCAUAAUGGGCAUAUGAGUUCCAUCAAUUAACCCUGUACAAUUCUUAAAAUAUUGCCAAUAACGUCUAACAUUUCUUAUUUUAUCAAGGAUCUCCCUAAACUAUGAAUCACUUGGUUUUAUAUAUCCAUAGCUAUAAGAUAAACAACAUAUAAUAUAAUCUCAAACCAUCUAGAAAUAAAUUCAUUGGAGUGAUAAAAUCUUUCUUAGGUUGUCAUGUUGCCAAGUUUAUGGCCAAUUGUAGUGAGAAACAUUGCUAAAGCCUCUAUUAAGGGAAUAUCUAAACCUUCUCUUAGACCAUGCCUUUUAAUAAGUGUUUCCAAUAAUUAAUGCAUACAUGUUUUUCCAUUCUAAAUUGCUCAACUAUAAUUUUGAAAAAGUUCUACAAGGUUUUUAUUUUUUGUAGUUAGUAACUGUUAUAGGUAUAACACAUCCAACCAACACCAAUUGAUAAAAAUCAUUUCAUCACUGCGUUCAUCUUUAAUAUCAUGAUUGCAACUAUUAUUAUAAUUAGAAAACAUAAAUACAAAAAGUAAAAAUAAGAAAUACAUUAAAAAAACUAAUAAUGUAUAUUAUGUUAAUAUAGCUUAAACUAAUGCAUGUUUACUAAAAUAAAAGGAUUUUUUAUUUAAAAAUUUAUUUGAACAUGCAAAAUCAAGAGUAGUAGUAGUAUGCAAAAUAAUAGCACUGAAAAGUAGUAAGAGUAGAAAUACAUGUAAUCGUAUAAUUCUAUUUUUCCAUAAUAAUAAUAAUAAUAAUCUAGCUCAUGUGGGUCACCCUAGGAUAGGACUCCUCCCAUAACACCCCUAUUUUCAAUCCAUUUAUAUUCUUAAUAGUUUGACUAAAUAAAAUUUUAAAUUCAAAAGUGUUGUAUUGAGAAAUCAAAUACAUUAUAAAGCUCAUCUAAUUAGGAACUUGACUGAGACAAAAUUUUAGAUUCAAAGGUGUUGUGUUGUGAAAUCAAAUACAUUAUAAAGCUCAUCUAAUAGUCACAACUUUUAGAGAAAGAAACAAUUAAAUAUACCAUGUGAUAGACAUAUAUGUCUUCCUCACUCAAAAAGUUUACUCAAUACCAACAUACAAAUCUUAUUUAAAACAAUAUUAGGUAGCAAAAUAUGUUUCAACAUUAGAAUAAGAAAUAACUCAAAUAGUGAAACAUAUUUAUGCUUAUUUCAUGCAAUUUGAUCAAUUGAGUUUUCUAAUGCUAGAAACAGCUCCUUAUUUCCCUUGACAACUUGAAUAAUACAAUUUAAGGUCAUUCUUCACUUCAAGCAUGCCACAUAUAACUUUUAUUACUUUAACAAUAGCCAGGCUUAUCUACUCUAGAUGUAACUUUAAAAAUGGCCUCUAACUGCAUAGUCAAAAAACAAGAUUUGGUUCCAUCUCUUAUCUUCUUUCUUAUUCUCUCAUUUUGCUAUGAAAUUUAUUUCCUUGGGGUUCUCCUACAAAAGUAUUCAAUUUAUUAUAUUUCACGACCAAAAUAUAAAUUAACCAAAUAAACUUAGUAAAUAAAUAAAAAUGUAUCAUCAAUUUAUUAUCCCACCAUUCAUUUUUAGCAUUAGUGGUUUCUCAUAGGAUCCCACCCAAGGCCAAUCUUUUUCUGAAUCAAGGCAUUCCAAAGUUGUCAAUCUUUUUUAAGAGAACUUAAUAUAUUCUUAGGUUGCUUGUAUUGGUAGGUUCUUCUAGUUAGAUUGUUGAAUACCUUUAUCAUUUUUUUCCAUCCAAUUUACUAAAGUGACUAUUUGGUCUAUUUUUAGCCAAAAUCUUAGCAACACAAACUGUGAGAUAUGCAUUAACAACAAUAUCAUUCAAUAUACUUUGCUUUAUUUAUCAUUUUCUUUACCACUUGUUUGUUGUAGUGGUUGAACUAUACUACUAGACAUCUAAUAACAAAGUAAAGAACAAAGAAGUAUUAAAAGAAAAUGUUGUCAAUGUACUUUUAUAUUUUAUAGUUUAGACAUCUAAUGAGACCCAUAAAAAAGUGAACCUUAAAGAAAUAGGUCAACUAGAGGAAAAUGAAUCUCAGAAUACUGAAUUGGAAAGACUCACAUUCAUGGAAUAAAUUAAUAUACUAUAUCAUAAUUUUAUUAAUUCUUUUCAUUAGGUUGCUAAAAGUUGAAAAAGAAUUCCUCAUGAAACAAAUUAAAUAAUUUCCUCAUGAAAGAAUCCAAUCAUGGCCUCAUUAUGAAGUAUUGAAUUAACUCAAAGAACUUAAAUAUUAUCUAAUAAAUUUUUUCAUGGGUUUGUUUUUAUAACUUUAAUGUUACCAAUAUAAAAGGAAAUGAAACAUGUUUUAAAUAAUGUAAGAAACUAUGGUAGAAACGUGGAAAGAUUUAAGGAUAAGAGGCUUUAUAUGAACUUUAAUAUUGUUAGUAACAGAGAGGCAAAUGAGAUAUCUCAAUAUUAAAUUAUGCAUAAUUAGUAUAAUUUUUUAAAACUAAAUGGAAGAGAAUUUAGGAGGAAAAUAAGUAAUUAGAGUAUGAGAUAACAUGAAUGGUUAAAAUUGCCAAUCAUUAAAUUUAAGAUAAUUGUUAAUUUUCCAACUCCAUUAAUUAAAGCAAAGAGGGGAAAUGAGUUGGAUUUCUUAAUAGUAUUAAGUGUUGGAUUGACACAAAAUUAGGGUGCUAGUGGACACUUGAAAUGAGGACAAAGUAACAAUUGCAGAUAGCAUUUUACUCAUCUAACAUAGUUAAAAUUUGCAAAACCCACUUCUUAUUUAGUACUUUUAUUGAAUAUAUGGGUAUAGUUUAACUUCGAAUCUAAUAUGAGUGUACUUUGAAUUUCCUAAAGCUUACAUAUAUCUUCACAUAUUAAAUCAAAGAGAAAAUAUUAACGUUUUUUACAAUUACAAUUUAUCAGGACUCAAGGUUUAAUUCCUAAACUUUUAAAGUGGGAAAAAGAAGUGUAAGGGAGAAAAAAGGAAAAGGAAAAGAAAGGAAAAACAAAAAGAAUAAAAAACUAUUAAAAGGCAUUAGAAGCCUAAGAUGGGCAUAUCCAUGAUUUGAGGUGCAAAUAGGGGUGACAAUUCAUGUUGGUGGAUAGUGUUUGUGUUGUGUCAAAGCCUAGGUAUUCUACUACAUAGCUCAACCCAACCCUGAUACUACUUAUAAUCAUAUAAAAAAUAUAAGCCUAAAUACUAUCUAAUUAUUAAACAAGUAACACAUUGUACAACCCGCUUAAUCUAUUUAAUAUUCAGGUCCUGCUAUUUAAUAAUCAAAUUAAGUUAGGUCUUCUAUAUGUCUAUAUGAUUAAUGCCUCAAUAAAAUAUGUUUUUGGCUCAAUUGACCUAUCUAUUUAGAAACAAAUUUAAAAUGAAUCAAAUAUGGGUCAAACAUCUUAAAAAUAUAAGUAAGUUAAUAGCAAGAUUAUUAAAUAGGUUAAUUUGGGUCAAAUUCGUAUUAUGCAGGUUGACCAAAAAAGUACUUAUUUAGUAAAUGAGUUAUGUAAGUCGACACAAAUUUUACCUAAACUCAUUUAUACUUGACCCAAACCCAUGAAAAGCAUGUUAGGCUUGUAUCAUGCUAGGAAUUGUAUCAAACUUUGUCAUUCCUAGGUGCAAACAACUCCAAGACCCUACUUUUAAGGAGAAUAUAUAUACUUGAGAUUGCUACAUGAUUACUACUCAAAAUGUGCACUUUUAUAAGCUUAAACUUAAUUGUACUAAGCACUUUUGAGUAGUAGUUAGACCUUUUUAUCCCAAUUGUCAUGUUAAGGACCUAGAAAAUGUUACUAACCAAUUUCUAGUAAGUUUUAGUGUUUUUGGUAGUUUUUUUAUCACUGAAGCAGGCCAAGAUUGAGGGAGAUUUUUGUGCAAGCUAUGGCAAGGCAAGUUAAAUAUCAAUCACAUGAAGAAUCCGAGCUUCGGAGCACUUCAAAACCCUUGCCAAACUUGGAAAGGGAUUGGAAAAGUUAUCAGUAGUAAGAUGGAGGAAAACAGAGCAUUUUGCAAGGCAAAAUCAUCAAUUUUGUAAGGCAGGGUGUGCCAAACUUUUGCAAGGUGUGCCAAAAUUUCGCAGGGUGUGCAAAAAUCAUUUUGUGCGCACCGACCUUCUGGAUUUUUCUCCAUAAUUGUAAUUGUUCCUUUUUACUCCUUUUGUAAUAGAUAAAAGACAUUAGGGUUUGUUUAGGAACUAUAAAUAGGGGUUCGAAAGCCUCUCAAAUGAUGUGAGAUAUUAUGUUUUAGAUAUUUUGUAAAGGAGUUUUGAAGGAAAUAUAUGGAAGUUUUUCUCGGCCUUUCCUUCUCAUUUUCUUUUCAUAUUCUCUCUAGCCAAACACCCUCUGAGGAUGAUUUCUCAGAGGAUGAGUGGCUAAGUUUCAAGUUUCUUGGAGUGAUGGAAGCUAGGUAAAGGACCUAGAUGCAAAGGUGGGAGUUUUCCUUACUUUAAAUGAAGGUAGUUGUGUAUCAUUAAUGGUUUAUAUUUCAAGUUUCAGCUUUAAUCCCUUAGAAUCACCUUGAAUGGCCAAUACUUGGUAAGCUUUUAAGAUUCUGUGGAUGCUUAUUGCUAGAUCCAUGGAUGUCCAUUAUUAUCAAGUACGAGCCAUUGGAAGAUGGUUCAAGGUGAGAGUCUUUAGUGUUUGAAGCCAUUAAUGGGAAGCAACUACCAUUUUUCAAUAACCCUUUGGAUCAAAACUUAUUUGCUAAAUACAAAUCCGGUUCGGGAGAUAACCAUCCUUUAUGUUAUUGUCCCCAAUCCGAGGAGAAGAUUCGGAAUUUCCCACUUUGCAACAGGAACCUGAUCCUAGUAACCUAUAGCUCCAAGAGACUUUCUCUUUGUAGUAAUUUCAAUUGUUUAUGUUUGCUUAACUUAAAACCAACCCUUCCAAUCAAUCUUAUUUUCAUUUAAAAACUAAAUUCCAAAAAGGAAAUCGUCAUUUCUUCUUUCAUUAAUGUUAAGUGUACAAAGAAAACCCAUCAUUGUGGACGAUCGUAGAGCCACUAUACUAUAGUAGCUUUGUCUUUGCUACCCUAGUAUAAGGUGUUGUAGUUUUUAUAAAUGUUUUGAUAAACACCCGGCUGGGCAUGAAUCACUACAUUAUUUAGACUAAUCCACACCUACUUAUUAAGGGAAAAAAAUAAAAGAGGACAAAGGUAGGGCACAAGAUGAUGAGACAAGGCACAAAAUGAUAAGACGUAGGAUGAUAAGAAUCCACUUCAAUUAAUAUUUCCCUAAAUCAAGAGUAAUCAAAUAUUAAAAUAUUUUAUUCUCCUAAUUUAGGAUAUAAUAUUUAUUCUAAAUAAAUCAAGAGCAAUCAAAUAUUAAUAAUAUUUUAUUCUCUUAAUUUAAGAAAUAAUAUUUAUUUUCCUUAAUUAUAGGAUAUUUAUUAUUUAUUUCUUCUAUAAUUCACAAUGCAUUCUUGUAUAAAUUUAUGAAAAGAAAUAAUAAAAAUUCAUCGCUUCUAUUAUCAAAUUAUCAAAUUCUUCUUGGUAUUAGAGAUAGAGGAGGAGACUCAAACUUGGGUUUUCUCCGAAGGUGGUUGAAUACCCUAAAAGACUUGACCUAUCCACACAAACAAUGUCUUCCUCUUCAUUCAUUCAAAAAUAAAAUAAAAUAAAAUAAAAUCCUUAGUGCUCUAGCUUUCCAUCAACAUUUUUUCUAAUUUGAUUUCAUUCAAGCUAAACACAACAAAUUUUCUACUAUGGGGAAAUCAAAUCAUCCUCUCAGCUUGUGGUUUCCGUGUUCAAACCUUUCAUCAAUGUUUUACCCUUUCAUUGGUGUUAUUUCUAGUUUGAUUUCAAUCAAGUUAAACACCAUAAAUUUUCUACUAUGGCAAAAUCAAGUCAUCCUCUUAGUUCAUGGUGUGUUCUCUGACAUUUCUUAGGUGGAGAAAAACCUGCUAAAGAAUUAAAGAUGAUGAGGAAAGCAAAAUUUUUAUCCUACAAUACUAGUAAUCAAUUAAUAAUAACAUAUUUGUCACUUCAUGAGUUAUCGAAACCAUGACAAAAGACAUUUUCAUUAUGAUCCUUGGGGCUAACAAGAUAUAUAAGGUAUAAACUUUUCUUAAGGAGUAAUCGCUUCCUAUUAUAGUUGAAAAAAAAAUGAUAUCUUCAAGAAUAGUUAAGAGAUAUAAACAAUAUAUAUUAUAAUCUCAUGAAAAUCAAAAGCUAAUUUCAGACCAAUACAAAGUUUGUUGAUUCACUCAUGGUUUAGGAUAAUGGAAUGAUUUUUUUUUUUAACCUACUAUGCUUUUCUAACCAAUUCAUGGCAACUCUUUAGGGACAUAAGCAAUCACUCACUACCAAAGGGAUGGAAAGAAAAUUUUUAUAGAGUAUUCACAAAUUUUUAUUUGGACAACAUAGUUAUGGUCAUAAUGGUUGAAAAGGCAUAAAUUUUAAUUUGAGGGGAAGAAGCUUUACACUUUCUAUGUAUUACAAUUCUUUAAAAAAAAUAAACUUUUAUGAUUUUAUGAAGUCCUUGUCAAAGGAUAUCUUCAUCAUGUUUUGAGAUAAGCUGGGGUGUGCAUAUUCUUUUCGACUCCAAUUUGAGCUUGCAUAUUAAGGGAAAUAAUAAAAUAAGAUAAAAAGCACAUAGGAUUGCAACAUGUAGGAUGAUAAAAAUCCGAUUCAAUUAAUAUUUCCAUAAAUCAAGAGUAAUCAAAUAUUAAAAUAUUUGAUUCUCCUAAUUUAGGAUAUAAUAUUUAUUUUAAAUAAAUAAUGAACAAUCAAAUAAUAAUAAUAUUUUAUUCUCUUAAUUUAGGAAAUAAUAUUUAUUUUCCUUAAUUUUAGUAUACUUGUUAUUUAUUUCUUUGUAUAAUUCAAAAUGCAUUCUUGUAUAAAUUUUCUAAAAGAAACAAUAAAAUUCAUCAUUUUCACUACCAAAUUAUCAAAUCCUUUACUAAUGACCUUAUGAUUAAAAUCUUGUUUGUUUGGUAAGUGUUAAGCAAAAUGCCUUAGUAGCUACAAACAUUAUGGAAGACGUGUGAAAGUUGUUGUGAACUGAGGAAGCUUAAGAAUCUGUUAAGAAGGUUGCUGAGGUGUGAAGAGAUGUUGAAAUUGAGGCUGCAACCAUAAAACAACUUAGUCAAUGAAGUUGUUAUGCUAUUGUUGCUGUUGUUGUUAAAAUCUUGUUUCAUGGAGUUGUUAUGUUGUUGUUGUUAAAAUCUUGUUUCAUGGAGUUUUUAUGCUGUUGUUGCUAUUAUAUAGGAAAUAAUUGUUAGUUCCAACUAUUUUUGCUACUUUUCUAUUGUUUUCUGUUGCAAAUUUGUGUAUAAAUGUUGCAUUGAUCAUUCAACAAGAGUAGACAUUUUCGUUGUCUCAAAUACAACUUUUGGUUGUUACUUCCAACAUUUCUAGAUUCUAAAACCUAUAGAUUAGUAUCAGAGCCUUCAAUGUUGAGGAACAUGUGAGGAUUGAGUGAAGCCAAAAUACCUUCACACAUACUGAAACUCCAAAGCCAACAUAAACACACAACCUUUGACAGGUUGUAACUAUCAUUCUACAACAAAUGGAUGGAGAUACAAGCUUUCUGUUAGUACCAGUUUUCAAUGGUGAUAAUUAUCAGGCGUGGGCUAUUAGAAUGACAGUCCACCUUGAAGCUUUGGAUCUUUGGGAAGUAGUAGAAGAAGAUUAUGAAGUACCACCACUUGGAGACAAUCCAAGUAUCAAUCAAAUGAAGAUUCACAGGGAAAUAAAAACAAGGAAAGCCAAAGCCAAGGCUUGCCUCUUCUUUGCAGUUUCACCUUCUAUUCUCACCAGAAUCAUGCAAAUAGAGUUUUUUAUAGCAAUCCGGGAGUAUCUAAAAAAUGAGUAUUGGGGGAAUGAAAGGGUGUAGAAUAUGCAGGUAAUGAAUUUAAUAUGAGAAUUUGGAAUGAGCAGAAUGAAAAAGUCUCUAACUAUCAAAGAUUAUGUUGAACAACUGCUUAGCAUAGCAAACAAGGUAAGAUUGUAUGGUAAGGAAUUUUCUGAUGAAAGAAUUGUUAAGAAAAUCUUAGGAACUCUGCCUGAAAAAAUAUGAAGCCACAAUCUCUUCCUUGGAAAACUCUAAAGAUCUGUCAAGUAUAUCUUUGGUAGAAAUUGUUAAUGCUUUGCAGGCCUUGGAACAAAGGAGAAUGAUGAGACAAGAAGGAUAUGUUGAGGGAGCAUUCUAAGCCAAAUCAAAGAACAAUGAUUCCAGCAAAGACAGAAAGAAAAACAAGAAAUAGAAGUCAAGCAAUAACAAAAUGAAUCAGAAAGGAGCUGAUCCACCUUGCCCUUAUUACAAAAAAACAAAUCAUCCUCCACAAAAGUGUUGGUGGAGGCCAAAUGUCAAGAGCAACAAUUAUGGUCAAUUAGGCCAUAUGGAGGAGGUAUGCAAAAAAAAAAAAAAAAAAAAAAACAAACAAGGAGAGAUCAAGGCUACAAUUGUUGAUCAAUAUCACGAAGAACAAUUGUUUGUUGCCACCUGUUUUUCCAGCAAAAACAUGUUUGAAAGUUGGCUCAUAGAUAGUGGUUGCACAAACCACAUGACUUAUGAUCAAGGACUUUUUAGGGAACUCGAUAAAAUAACCGUUUCCAAAGUAAGAAUUGGAAAUGGGGAAUACAUCUCAGCAAGGGGCAAAGAGGUUGUUGCCAUUGAAAGUCUCUCAGGUUUGAAACUUAUCCCCGAUGUUUUGUUUGUUCCUAAUAUUGAUCAAAAUAUCUUGAGUAUUGGGCAGCUACUUGAGAAAGGUUUCAAGGUGCUAUUUGAGGACAAGUUCUGUAUGAUUAAGGAUGCAAAUGGAAAAAAUGUGUUCUAGAUCAAGAUGAGAGGCAAAACCUUUGCCUUGAAUCUGCUUGAGAAAGAGUAGGUUGUUAUUUCUCAAGAAAAUAAUGUCACAAUUUUAUGGCAUAAGAGAUUGGGGCACUUUCAUCAUAAUGGAGUGCUCUACAUGAAGAAUAAUCAACUUACAGUAGGUCUACUUGACCUAAAGCAAAAUCUUCCUACUUGCAUAGCCUGUCAGUAUAGAAAACAAUCCAGACUUCCUUUCCCAUAGAAAUCUACAUAGAGAUCAUCACACAUGCUGCAACUUGUACACAUUGAUGUUGGAGGACCUCAGAGAACACCAUCUCUAAAGGGCAGUAAGUACUACAUUGCCUUUAUAGAUGAUUACACCAGAUAUUGUUGGAUUUUUUUCCUAAAUUUUAAAUCUGAGGUUGCUGAUGUAUUUUGGAAGUACAAGGCCCUAGUAGAAAACCAAAGUGGUGUCGUCUUGUAGGUUAUAAGGACAGAUAAUGACACUGAAUAUACUUCUGAAAUAUCCAACAAUUUCUAUGAAGAAGUAGGCAUAAAGCACCAACUGACUACACUUUACAGACCACAACAGAAUGGAGUGGUGGAGAGGAAGAAUAGUGGAGAGGAAGAAUAGGACUAUAAUGGAGAUGACAAGAUGCCUUUUGCAUGAGAAAGGGCUACCAAAAAAGUUUUGGGCUGAAGCCACAAACACUAUAGUGUUUCUACUGAAUAGACUCCCAACCAAAGCUUUUAAAAAAAAGACUCAUUUUGAGGCUUGGUUUGGAUAUAAACCUCUAUUAUUAAACUUAAAAACAUUUGGUUGCCUUUGUUUUAGUUAUGUGCCUUAGGUGAAACAAGACAAGUUAGAUAAAAAGGCAGAAGUUGGGAUCUUCGUAGGAGACAACAACCAAUCAAAGACUUAUAGAGUUAAUAUGCCUCAUGCUAACAAAGUCAUUGUUAGCAUAGAUGUCAAAUUCAUGGAGGAUGAUAAAUGGAGUUAGGAUGCUAAAAAAAAAAUUAGAAUUUUGAGUUACUUGACGAAAAUAUUGAUGACAUUCCUAUAAGAAGCACCAAAUCACUUUUUGAUAUUUAUCAAAUGUGUAAUGUGGUUGUGUUUGAGCCUGUAGGGUUUAAUGAAGUUGUUGAGGAUAAAAAAUGAAGGGUUGUAACGUGGGAGGAGCUUAGAAUGAUAGAGAAAAACAACACUUAGGAGCUAGUUGAUAGACCAACACAUAAAAAGACCAUUGGUGUCAAGUGGGUUUAUAAAACCAAACUCAAUUCUGAUGGUUCUGUAAACAAACAUAGAGCCUGGCUGGUUGUCAAAGGUUAUGCUCAAAUGUUCGGUGUGGAUUUUUCAUAAACCUUUGCACCUGUAGCUAGGUUGGAUACAAUAAGGAUGCUGCUAGCUUUGGCUGCUCAAAAUGGUUUGAAAAUCUAUCAGCUAGAUGUAAAAUCAGCUUUUCUAAAUGGCUACCUUGAGGAGGAAAUCUUUGUAGAGCAACCUGAAUGAUUUGCAGUAAAAGGCAAAGAAGACAAGGUUUAUCAACUAAAGAAAGCCUUGUAUGACUUGAAGCAAGCCCCCAGAUCUUGGUACAACAGGAUUAAUGCACAUCUGCUUGGUUUGGGGUUAAAAAAAGUCAGAGUGAAUCCACACUUUAUAUUUGAAAAAUUAAUGCUGGCAUACUUAUUAUUUCAUUAUAUGUUGAUGAUUUGCUUGUAAAGGAAGCAAUCAAUUUUUAAGCUAAAAUAGAGAAGGUCUUUGAGAUGAAAGAUCUUGGAGACAUGUCUUAUUUUCUGGGAAUGGAAGUCCAUCAGAAUCAGCAUGAGAUAUUCAUCUAUUAGCAAAAGUAUGCAAAGGAAAUUCUAAAACAGUUCAAGAUGGAGGAAUGCAAGGCCACAUGCACACCUAUGAAUCAAAAAGAAAAGUUUUGAAAAGAAGAUGGUGCUAAAAAAGUAAAUAAAGAGUUAUACAGAAGCAUGAUUGGAUGUUUGAUGUAUUUGAGUACAAGAAGAACAAAUAUAAUACAUGUUGUAAGUCUACUCUCAAGAUAUAUGCAUUGUGCUAGUGAAAUUCACUUGUAGGUAGCAAAACGUAUUGUGAGAUAUAUAAAAAACACUAUCGACUUUGGCAUCAAGUUCAAGCAGGUGCAGAAUUUUCAUUUUCAUGGAUUUUAUGAUAGUGAUUGGGUUGGCUGCAUUGAUGAUAUGAGAAGCACAUCAAGUUAUUGCUUUAGUUUUGGUUCAAGUUUUUUUCUCUUGGUGCUCUAAAACAUAGGAUAUCAUGGCAUAAUCCAUAGUUGAAGCAGAGUACAUUGCUACUGUUGCUGCUGCAAAUUAAGCACUUUAGAUAAGAAAGCUACUAACAGACUUAAACAUGGAGCAAACUAGGAGCACACAAGUCUUUGAGGACAAUCAAGCUGCAAUUUCAAUUGCAAGUAAUCCAGUAUUCCAUGGUAGGACAAAGCACUUCAAAAUCAAGUUUUAUUUCUUAAGGGAAAUACAACUUGAUGGAGAAGUAAUUUUGGUACAUUGUAAAACAGAAGUAAAAAAUGUUAAUAUUCUAAAAAAAGCUCUACCAAAAGCUAGGUUUGAAUUUCUCAGAAAAAGACUUAAAGUUUGUAGCUCCCAAGUCAAGGAGGAGUGUUAAGCAAAAUACCUUAGUAGCUAUAAUCAUGUUGGAAGACGUGUGAAAGUUGGUGUCAACUGAGGAAGCUUAAGAAUUUGUUAAGAAGGUUGCUGAGGUGUGAAGAGAUGCUGAAAUUGAGGUUGUAACCAUAAAACAACUUAGUCAAUGAAGUUGAUAGAGUUUCAUGGAGCUGUUAUGCUGUUGUUGCUAUUUUAUAGGAAAUAGUUGUUAGUUCCAACUAUUUUUGUCGCUUUUCUAUUGUUUUCUAUUGCAAACUUGUGUAAAAAUGUUGCAUUGAUCAUUCAAUAAGAGUAGACAUUUUCGUUGUCUCAAAUACAACUUUUGGUUGUUGCUUCCAGCACUUCUAGAUUCUAAAACCUACAGAUUCUAUGAAUUUUAAUGAUAUUCCAUCAUUUCUAGGUCUCUCAAACCUUCAAUUUAGUAGGGUUACAAAACAUAGCAUCUCUAUUUGGCAUUUCAUCAAACGCCUUUCUCACUUUUUCUUGAUCCACAUGGGCAUAAAUCACUCUCAACUAUUAACACAAACAACAUAGAUUUUAGCUAAUUACAAACCAAAUUGAUAUAUCACCCCUAGUAGUUGUAAUUUCCUUCAUUAAUUGCCUUCCCAUUUCCACAUCUCUUUUUUUACGCAACCCAUAAAAAAAUUUCAUGAAAUUUGAGUCUAGGUAGGAGAAAGCACGAAUCUCAGUGCACAAAAAUUUGAUUUCAAUCAUUCACAAAAAAAAAUUAAUUUUAUGGAAAAACAUUAAAAUAGUAAAAUAACAAAUUGAGAAGGACUUUCUAAGAAAAUAUAAUCAAAGGAAAACAAGGUAAUCAAAAGACUCAUAUAAUGUUUUACUUCCAUUUUCUAAGUAACUAAAUAGAAAUGUUGAAAUGAAAGUACCUCCAACUAUGGAUGUAAAGAGUCAUUGUUAAUGAGAAAAUGGUGAGAAUUGGAAUCAUGAAAAGUGUAGAAGAAGACUGUUUGGACUAUGGAGAGUGAAGGAGAAAGAGAAUGCUUGUUGAAAAGGAAAGAGUGGGUUAUUGGGUAACACUUAAGGUUAUUUUAGGUAUAUUUGAAAAUUUUAAAAGUAUUUUUUUUUUAAAUAAUCAGCUCUUAAGUGCUUUUCUAAAAAUUACUUCAAGUGAUUUUUUUCUUUUAAAGGUUUUUAAAAGUGUUUUUGAAAUCUUGCCAAACAUCUAUUUUUCACCCAAAAAAAAACUCUUUUAAUUAUUAAAAAUGCUAGACACUCUUCUUAAAAAUACUACUAAACAAGUUCUUAAUAGGAUUUUAUUUAUUAUCGCAUGUUUCUUAGUCUUUAACCAAGGAUAUGUCUAUACUUCAAAAUAAAAGAAGGGACACAAUUUUAUUCUAACCAUCCUUCAACCUUAUUUUCUUUAAAUAUCUACUAAAAUGGGAUUACUAUGAUUUCACCCCAAUUCCAACUCCCUUUUCUACAAAAAGUAAAACUAAUUUUUUGGGAAUACGUAUGCAAAGGUAAUGGCAUAGAUGAAGUUGUAAAUGGAGAUUAAUGGAAGUGAUAGAAACGGGAUUAUGCUAGGGUUUUAGAGCCAAAGAGGAUGGGUUGGUGAUGGUGGGUCUUAAGGGAAGUGAUAGAGAAGUUGGGAAUUAAGGUUAGAUUUAAGGUUAAGGUUAGGGCUAGGGUUUCAUCAAUGGAUGGUGAUGAAGAUGAAGAUAUGGACAUCCCUUGCAAAAUCUACCAAUAUAAUUAGUUUCUACUAUAUAAUCAACUAAAAUUGGAAUCAAUUCUCCUUCUCAAACUAUGAUAAUAUGACUUUAGAUGGUUUUUGAUAAUGAUUUCUUUUCCUCUCAAUGAAACUAUAGAUCAAUUAUAUGUUUCAACCCAAAUAAGGGAUCCUUAGAAUCCCUUAAUCUUUAGUUUCUAUUUAGAUUAAGGAAUAAGAGAUCCCUAAGAUCUUUUAAUCUUUAAUUUCUAUUUAGUUUCCUAUAUAAAAUAAGAAGAGUGUAAUGGGGAAAGAAAUGGAAAAAUAAUCUCAAUAUGAAAAAUUGGUUCUCUCAAUUUUGCAUCUUCUCUUUGAGUCAUAAGAAUUGGUGUUAGAACACGAUCUUGGCACCAAUCAUGGAUGAAGGGACUAGAGUGUAAGAACAACAUAGACUUGAAGAUACUAUUAAAUAGUUGAAAAAAUCAUUGGAUAAACAAGCGACUACCUCAUUAGAACUAUCAAAGAUGGUUGCAACCAUAAACUUGAAAUUUAAACACAUGAAUUCAAGAAUAGAGAAGUCAAGUAAUGGGUACAAUGCCUCAAUCAAUAGAAGCAAGACAAACUAUCAUUCAUAUGGCAUAAACUCCAUUCAAUCCAGGUUUUCCAAACUCAAAUUUCAAAAUUUUGGAGGUGAGAAUUGGGAAUUAGGAAAAGGUAGGAUUGGCUUCAUUACAUUUAAAAGGAAGGGCCUUAGAAAGGUUUCAAGGGUACAAGGCUAGUAACAAGGAAAUCAACUGGACACAAUUUUAUAUAGUUGUUGUUUCUAGGUUUAGCCCUAGUGUUUAUGAUAGCCUUAUGAGGUAAAUAACCAAAUUGAAAUAGGUUUAUACGAUUAUGGCAUACAAAAAUUAGUUUAAAGUAUUGAUGACCAAAACUAAUGGGUUAUCAAAGGAAUUUUUUGUCUAGUAUUUCAUUAGUAUCUUGAAAGAGGCAAUUAAAAAUCAAGUCACCAUGUUUCAACCGAUCACACUAGCCCAAACCAUCGAAUUAGUCUUGUUGCAGAAAUGAAUAGUGGAAGUAAUUCUCAAGGAAGUCAAGGACUCUAACGAAAGUGAGGAUAGUACAAUGAACUUUACAAGAAUCAUAAUGAAUCAUAAUAACAAAUUACCACCCUUAAGAAGAUUUCAGUUGUAGAAGUGCAAGAGAGAUGAAAAAAAUGUUUUGUUAUUAUUGUGAUGAGAAGUAUAAGUCUGGCUAUAUAUAUAAAAUGAGACAAUUUUUUCUACUAAAUGGUCAUAGAAGUGAAGGGAAAGCAACGUGUGAAGCUAAAAAUGAUAUCAGGAGGAUGAUCUUAUGGCUUUAAUAAAUGCAAUAUUUGGUUCAACAUCUCAUCAAACCAUGAGAAUCUGUGGCAACAUAAAAAGGAAGGUCGUGACCAUACUAAUUGACUUAGGAAGAACCCAUAACUUUCUUGAUCUCGUAGUGGCCAAAAGAACAAGAUGCUCAAUACAAACUACCGACCCCAUGAAGGUGGCAAUAACAGAUAGAACUAGAAUUACUAGUGAUGCAAUUUGUCAGCAAUGAUAGGAUAGAACCCUUAAAAGCAUGACAUAAUGUAAUAAACUGGGAAUUCAUUAUUUAUUCAAUGAUAUUCCAAUUUCAGUUUUAUCUAUCCUUAUUCCAUGUAUUAUACUUUAUGAACUUUUUUGUCCGCAUCUUUUGCAUUAUAUGUGACUUAGGUGGAUCAGGAGUUGCAUAGAAGAUCUAAGUCAUGAGUUCCUUGUAAAUAGAUGACUAGUUCACAACCAAUUUAUGGGUCUAGGCAAUCCAUUAGAGGUUUCGGUGCACCACUUCCUAAUUAGAGGGAUAACUGGUCUUGGCUAUUAGGAUGAGUUUUACUAAUAUGUAUGGAUGCACAUUGGGCAGGACUGAUUAUAAGCUUAAGGCUAUCAAGUAGUCAUGACUUCACCAAGUUGUUUCAUUAUGUUGUUUCUCAACCUUGAGAGAAUAUUGCAUUUGUGUAGAAGUUAGCAGUGCUUUUGAUCUACGGGUAAAAUCGUAAGCUAAUCAUAUGCUCUUUAUGGAUUGGAUCACUAUUGACGGAUGCCAGUAGCAAUAAGUAUUCUAAAUAGAGACACCAUGAUAUCUCUUAGGAAUAAGACAGUGUGUAUCCUUGGGUGAUCCUAAGGAGGUGUGUUCAUGGAAACUAUGGUCAUAAUAGUUCCUUAUGUGGAACUUGACAUAGGCUCUUUGAAAGUUAAGAUAUGUCAAUUGAAUACACAAUAGGAGAAUCUGUAACUCAAGGAUGGUAGAGGUAGUCUUAAAAAGCUUAUAGCUUUCACUUUAUUAGACUACGAACACCAAUUCAUGGGGAGACUAAACAUAAUGGAUAGCAAGUCAUGGACUCGAGCACUUGGUGUCUUAUUAUUAUUUACAUAGGAUAUUUGAGUUCAAUUGAUUCUCUAUAGUGGGAUGUUGAAUCCACUUUAGAAUUGGAUUAUGAGAGAACUAGUAUUUCUAUAGGUCCUAGUGGUCUUUGUUUUGAGCUCAUAUACCUUGUUGGCACUGAUUAUGAGGGUCAGAUUGGCUUUAGGUUCACUUUUGUACAUAAAGGUGUUUUGGUAAUCACACAAGGUUGCACAAAGGUAAGUGAGCAAAGUCUUUGGAUUAGGCUAAUUGAUUAAUUAGUAGGCCCUAUUGGGUUAACUAAUCAAUUAGGACCCAUUUUGGGAUAGAUUAAGUGACCUAAGCCCUUAGUGAACUCAAGUCACUUAAGUCUAAUAGGAAACCACAUAAAUACCCCCUUAGGGGUUAGGGUUCCCAUUGCUUUUUCUAGAGAUCCAUAUUCCAUCUCUAGAGAGAGAGAGAGAUUCAUAGCAUGUACUCUUCCUUCUAUCCCCACCAGAAGUGUGUCAAGAUCAAGUUUCGAGUCAUUUGGCGAAAGACUUCGGGUUUAUGAGACUUCUACGAUUUCAUUCUUCAUCUUCACCAUGUAGAUUUGAUUCACAAACAUCCGAAUCUAAGGUAUGGAUUUUGUUUGCACUUUCUGAAUCCCUUUAAAGUUUAAAAAUGUUAUUUUUCCGUUGUGCAAAGGAUUUAGAAAAAGCCUAGGAUAGUUAUGCAUAUUCCUAACUUGAUCCGAUCUUAGGAAACAAAGAGAUCCUAGUUUUUCCCAUUAGGCAAUUGACAUGGAACAUGCAAGGGAAGAAAUUUUAGAUAGAUUUGAGGCUCAUCCUUUUGAGUGGGUGCGAUAUGGUAUUGGGAAUUCAAUGGCCAACUGAAUUGGGACUCAUAUUGUGGGAUUUCAGGAAUUUUAAAUUUGAAUUUAUUGUUGAUGGAAGGAAAUUCGUGUUAAGAGGUACAACUAUAGGUCCUAAGAAGUUAGUUUCAACUAAUGAAAUUCAAAAUUAUUGAAGGCAUAUGUCUCAAGCAUCUACAAUUCAAAAUUUCACUAUACAAGGGAAUGAGGAAAAUAAAGUUGAAAAUGAACAACAUGGCAGCUGUCCAACUCAUUUCCAAAUAAUGUAACAUAGAAAGAUGCUUACUUUCAACAAAAGUUUCCAUAGUUUCAACCUUGAGGACAAUGCUUCUUUUGAUGGGGGAGAGAAUGUUACAACCCUGAAUAAAGGAUCCCUGGGAUCCCUUAAUCUUUAGUUUCUAUUUCUGUUUAGUUUCUACUUCUAUUUAAAUUGGGGAAUAAAGUAUCCUUAAGAUCCCUCAAUCUUUAGUUUCUAUUUCUAUUUAGUAUCCUAUAUAAAAUAAGAAAAGUGUAAUGGAGAAAAAAAUGAAAAAAAAAUCUCAAUAAGAAAAAUUUGUUCUCUCAAUUUUGUAUCUUCUCUUCAUAUCAUAAAAUUCUACAUGUAGAUUUUCUCCUUCUAAAUCUCUAUAUGAUACAAAAUCAAUUCUUUUUUACUCCAAUUCCAAGUAUGUAUUUAUAGAAAUAGGUAUGCUUUGACUCUCAAUGAACACAUUUUUUCAAUUUUUCUACCUACCUAAGUGGAAAUAACAUAAGGUAACUAAACUUGCUUUGAGAUUAAUUAUGGUUUUGACAAUACAAAACUAGGUAUAGUACAAGACCUCCUAAACAAAGUUUCUAGCAUUAAUGAAUUCAAAAGAAGCUGGGUAAAACAAGUUUCUACUCACCAUCCCAAACAUCCCUUUAGAUGUAUUGUAUGAUAGAGGAUUAUUCUUUUAUUAUUAUUAUUAUUAUUAUUAUUAUUAUUCUUUUUUCUUUUUCCUUUUAAUGGUUUGGAGCAAAUUCAAAUGGCAUUAUAGAAGUAGAAUUUCCUAAUUUAAUUUGUUGGACAAAUUUGUUUUGGUUUUGCUAUAUUUUAUGUUUUGAAUACAUAGAAAUUGAAAUAUAAUAAGAUAACAAUUAUAAUGUAUUUUUAAGGGGAAAAUGUUUUUAUCUUCUAUAAUUAAAAAAAAAAAAAAAACAACAACAACAUCAACAACUACAAUAAUAUAGACAUUUGCAAUUUUUUUUAAAGUGUCUUUGUUAGGACAUUGAGUUCUAUUUGUAUGUUGGCAAUUUUGUUCCGAUUUAUUUUUUGCCUUAGAAAUCUUUUUAGAUAGUGACUUACUUUCCAUUGAAGAUCAAGGAUUGCUACUUGUCCAACUGGAAAAUCACAGGCAUGUCUAAAAGAUUUGACUUGUAGCAAAUUAGGGUUCUAAAAGGUAUAAAGAGGAUCGUUAUUCUUUUUUUUUUUGGAAUAAAAUUGAUUUUUAUUUAUCUUUGUCAAAAAGGCAGGAUUGCUCAAGCAAGGAAUAACACUCAAGCGUUAGGAUGCUCGAGCACUUGACUAGCGCUCGAAUGCCCGAGUUGCUUAAGUGAUGGUUAAGUGGACUCGGCCUCGAGCUCUCGAGCAUUCAUACCAAUUCUACCAAAGAUUAGCAUAAUAUUUUUGGAGAUUUCAUGCAAAUCCUUUCUGGAAACCUUGAGAUACCGACUCUCUUCAACCUUUAAGCCUAUAUGUACCCCAUUAUGGCCAUUCUAAAGUUAGGAGAUUGAUUUAUUGUCGUAAUUGAUAGAGAGUCUCCUAAAUAGAAAGCCUAAUGAACCACACGAUUCCUAAUCUCUCAUUUGAAGGAUAAUCUAGGGUUGAAAACUUGCAUCCCUUCAGUAAGGUUGAAGAGUACUCAGUGGAGUAAUUAGAGAUUAUUGCAUCACAGACGUCAAUGAAGUUGUAGGUAUUAGAGGGUAAGUCUUUAGGAUAAAACGACGAGGUAAAUUUGUGUAACUUGAUCUUGUAUAGUGGAUUUUGAUUAACAAUCUUAGACCUCGUGGUUUUUUUAUCUCCACAGUAGUGCAUGGAUUUUCCAUGUAAAAAUCAUUGUGUCCAUUGUUAUAUCUUGUGAUUAUCAUGAUUGUUUGGAUUUUUUUUAUCUCUAAUAUUAUCUCAUAGGGUAAAAAUUGAGUAUAACAUAUAAUCUUUUUUUUAGAAUUCUUUUAAUUACACCCAUUCACCCCCCUCCUCUCUUUGGGUGUUACCCUACUAGACUUGGCUUUUUCAGUCUCAAAUACUACAAUAGCAUUUUUUUACUUAAGUUAUAAAUGGAAAAAGUUAUAAACCCAAGAUAACUUGCUAAAAAAGUGAGAAAUAAUAAAGGACUCGUGUUAGAGUAUAAAUAGUUAAUCUAUUCUAGGCUUAAUAUAGCUCCAAUGUCAAACAUGAAUACUUAAUUAUUUAUUAUAUUUUGAAAAUAAAGUAAGUAUUUUUUAUAUAAAAAAUGAAACAACUUUUCUAGAACAACACAAGGCACUAAUGCAUAUAGUUGGUAACAAGUUGGAGAAAGAAAAUAAUGUGGAGAAAUAAAACAACAUGUAGAAAGAAACAAAAUGGAGAGAAAGAAAAUGACUAACAAAAAAGAAAAUAGAGAAAUUAUAGAAAAUAAGAUAAUUAAACUUAUUUUCAUAAAAAUAAUAUAUUUUCGAAAAAUAGAAAAUUUCAUUCAUAUUCUCUUUUUCACUUAUUUUAAAAAUAAAAGUAAAAAUUAAUAUUUAUCAAAUAUAUAAGAUUAAGAUUGAGAUAUAAACUUUUUAUAAUCUAAACUAUUAUUUUCAUUUUAAACAAGAAAGUUCGAUGUGACAUAAUAAAAUUUGUACACAAAAUUUAAAUUAUCUCUAUUCAUAUAGAAUUAUAUAUAGGUAUAGAUUCAUUUCAAAAUUCGAAUAAUUAUUUGAAUUUUACAUUUAAAUUUUAUUUUAAAAUUUAAAACUUAAUUAUUUUGUAAUAGGGUAUGUGUCAUAAAAUUGAAGCUUAUAUAUAUAAAUGCCUCCACUUCCAUACCUCUCAUAAAAUUGGAGCCUACUUUUUUUGUUUUCUUUUGUGUGUUUAUAAAUGUCUCAAAUUCCAUAUCUAGUUGUGAUAUAGUUUUGUAGAUGAUUGUGAUUGAAGUAUACUUUCUUUUGAUAUGUUUCCCUCCAUACAAAUCUAUUUAAAAGAAAAAAAAAACACAAAGUGUGGACCCCGCAUUUCGGCUCAUGCGUUUCCCACUCGAUGGUGAAACUCGCUUUUUAAAUUAAAAAAUGAUUUUUUGUUGUUGAUUAAGAAAAAUGACUUAGAGUCGCCACUUAUUUUGUUUUAUUUUUAAAGGGUAAACAAAAUAAGAAAGAAAACCCUAAGUGUAACUCCUUAUUUCGGAAAAGGUGAUAUGUGAAAAACCGGAUCGGGUUUGGGGGUUAGGUUACUUAUCAGGAAGGUACGGUAAAAAAAAAACCGUAGCACCCUUCUAAGCCCCUAAAACGGGUCUCUUCUAAUAAAAUGAAGCUGACAUGGCCAUUGAUGAGGAAAUCAAUGAAUACCCGGAACUAUCAUGCACAUAUGAGAAUCAGAAUAUACGUAACGAAUGAUCAGAAUGAGUGAAUGCGUACCUGGGCAGCAAACUGCAACGCGCUAUCAUGUGUGGACCCCGCAUUUUCGACUCAUGCUCGAAUGCGUUUCCCACUCGAUGGCGAGCUCGAUUUUGCCAAUUGAUGAAUAAAUCAAUGAAUACACAGAGUGAUCUUGCACAUGUGAGAAUCAAAAUAUGCAUAUAGAAAUACCAGAAUGGGAAUAGAUGCGUACCUGAGCGACGAACCACUAGGCGCUAUCAAGAAAGAGGGUUAGUGCACAAUUAAGGACUAAUAACAUGCAUGUAAGAGAGCAGGAUAAAUCAAUCAUGUAUCAUAAUCAAAUCAAAUCAAUCAGUCAAUCAAUCAAUCGGUCACAUAUGUGGGGGCCCCCACCAAAGCCCGUUUAUUUUGCAUGAAUUAAUUCCAAUAACUCCAUUACUUGGAAUUACGGAAUUUAAUCCUUGCUUAUUUAAAAACAUUUUAAAAUCCGGGAAGUCUUGAAAGUUGCAUGCCGAAGAGAGGUGGCAUCAAAUUUUAUUGAAAAACAGGAUUUUUGGAACUCAAAGGAAACGUAAGGAUGAAAGAUGGAAAUUAUUUAAAUUAUUUGAAAACCGACAUAAAAAAAAAUUAUUUGCAAGAAAGGUAUCAGGAAAUUAUUUUUUUAAGCCAAAAGAUUGAGGGAAUGGGAGGUGACACGUGGCCCAAAAGGUGGCCAUGCAGCUGGGUGUAUAGAGUAGAUGGCAAGUGGACCCCUGAGUCAUUUUGUUUGACAAACAGCUUGCUGUUGUAGUCUGCAUCCAUAUUGAUAAUACCCAAACUUGGAGCGCUGACCUUAUUUUUCAUUGGAGACAUCAAAUGACGUGUUUCAUGGUGGUGAGGCACGUACACUGCUGCAAAAUGGGUGACUUUGCUCCUAUGACUCAUGUUUUCUCCUCUUGAGUUGUUCAUCUGGGAAUAUACAAUAAUUUUCCAGCACAAACAUUCAGAAUCUGGAUUCCUUUCACUCAAUUUAUCUGCUACCACUUCUGAUAUAUUCAGCUCGAACCAGGGUCGUUCAUGUUCUCGGUAUAUUUCCCUUAUACCCUGGUCAACAUGGAAUUCGCGGAAACUGCUUGGUUGAUCUGCAUUAAAUGGAAUUAGUGAGCUCAGUGAUAGCAAAUCUAGCUCAGCACUUGCUGCUAAUUGCCUUUGUUCGCGCAACUCCCUUCCUUUUGAAGGUCGUUACUUCCACCUCGAGCCAAGCCAGUCUGGAUGUCUCCCCUAAUUGAGCAUUCAGAAUACUCAAAGAAUCUAGACUGCGACAGAUGACCUGUCUGACCUUCGCAUGCUAUGUGCUUGCUGCACUGAGCUUUGCUCCACCGUUGAAGGCGACGCUGGAGGUAGCAACGACACAGGUCUGAAUGACGGUGUUCUCCUGCCUUAUGAAGGGCUGCUUAGGGAAUUGGAAAACUCACAACCACUUAAAGUUCCAAAUUGACUGCCACCAUUCGAAACUAAGCCUUCAUCUGAUUCAAAAAUGUCUCGGCUUUAACAUCCAUUAGAGCCUUUGUCCUGAUGUUAAUAGAAUCUGGAUCAUAUUGCUCAGAAAAAGAUUUCGGUGCUUUGCUUCCCCCAGAGAACCCAGCUAUCCUUGAAAACUUUGUCUCAUAUUGAAUUCCCAAAACAACCAGUGGGAUUGCUACAGCUGGACCAUUUCCCCUUUUGACCAACGUGGCUGUUAAAGCUGGAAGAUGAGGUCAGAGGUGUUCCAUGAUAUCCUUGUUCGAGAUCCCUUAACAUUCAUUCCAACAGCUACCGAUUUGCACCCUUCAGUAGACAUUGCUCGGGUAAGGACUGUAGCAUAGGCGGUACCAUCUCUUGCCACAUUAUUAAUGGUAUUUGCAACCUAUUUUGCAAGGCUUGCACAAAUAUUCUUGACUGUAGCAUUAAGCCUCGAACUUCAACCCCGAAUCUGAUGUCUUUAGCAGUAUGGUUCCUGCCCUAGUUCAGCCUACUACCGAUAUGAUGGGUGUUGUGCCAAGUGGUCUGAACCUUAGGAGCAAGACUGGUGACGAGUGUGAAGGUGAUGGGUGAUGUUCACUUGCACCAUGCCCUUUUCUAAUUGGAGAUAUCACCAAUAUAAAGCAGGGUGGAUUUUCUGAUGAGAGAUUUCUAUGUCCUAGAGUGGUUCAUGUCGCAUGGGCAUAGGGAUUAAUGAAGGGGCAUGAUGAUGCCAGACGGGUAUGAGUUGUUGAUAACGGAUGUGAGGGAUAGUAGGCUCUACUAACAGAUGAACAAUGUCAUGCAAGCCUUGCACAACAAAAUGCGGAGAGCACAGUACCCGAGAAUACUUCCUUUGUCCCCUUCAACUCAUUUUCUGCUUGAACACUUCCUCUUCCUCUCAUCCUUAGAUGACAUCUCUUCUUUCAAAGGUAUCUCUUCUCUCAAAACCCAUAUAAUGAACAAGAUCCAGGAACAGAGGUGGCCUCAACCAUGAAAAGAAAUGCAUGAAAACAGAGCACAAAGGGAAACAAAUAUAAAGGUCCUCAAAGGAAGAUUCACAUCAUGAGUCAUCAGUGAACCUUCCUAUUAGGUGAGGAAAAACAGCAUCAAAUGCAAACAUUGGUGGGGUUCUCGGGCAUUUCAUAGUCACAAAUAGAAACAGAACAUAUUAAGAUUGACAAUGGCAGGUAUGAAUUCAGGAUUAUAUCUCAACAAGCAACAAGUGGCCUUCAUUAUCCACCCCAAGCAAAACAACAAAUAUCCAAAUAUCAACAAGCAAUGCAGAGGGAUAGCAAGGAUCCAAAUCAAACAAUAAACCUGUUGCCUUCAUACCUGAGAAUGUCCUUCUCCAGUAAGGCUCUGUUCUUCUACAAACACCUCAAGUUCCCCUUUAAAAUCAACGAAAACUAAUGAGACAGCAGCACCUCUUCUACUCUCCAAACACACAGCUCUCUCCCUCUUAAUUUUCUCUCAAACUAAACAGCCACCUAAAAUCCUCCAUCAACCUCUCUCUCAAAACUCCUCCUGUGAAAACUCUCCCCUCUCUCAGGUUCCUCUAAACGGCAGCCAAUAGCACCCCUACCUCUCACAGUUUGCUGCUCCCUGUUCUCUCCUCCGAUAGCCUCUCCUCUAAGCUAGAAACUUAUCCUCAAACUCUCACCCUUUUCUCCUCUGAUUCCCCUGUUUUUCUCUCUCUCUAGUCUCCCUCAGUAACCAGCCUGGAGACCCUAGUUCUCUCCCAAGCUCUCCUCUCUCGUUCCCCCAAGCAAAGGCCCCCCUAACAAUAUCUCCCGGUAGCCUCCUUCUUUUGCUCUCUAGCCUCAAAACUCUCUCUGGAAUCCCUCAGACUUCAGCAGCCCAGGUACCUCUCUCUUCUGAUUUUUCUCUAUUUUCUCUCUAAAAAUCCUCCCCCUUGAGUAACCAGCCUCCUCCUUACCCAAGCAAAGGAUCCCCUAAAAAAAUAUCUCUAACGGCCUGCUCAGAGAGCUCCUGCAGCUGCCAGACGACACCCCCUUCCAGCUGCCUGCCUCCAAAAUAUCUCAUAACUGCCUGAAGAAUCCCUUUACAGGUGUCACCCUCUGGUUUGCCUCUCAAAUCCACUACUUGAUCCUUUAGCAGCCUGUCAAGAGGCACCAUGCGGCCUCCUCAAGUUGCUCCACCUGGAAAAAUUUGCUACAACAAUUACCUCCCAAAGUGGGGGUCUACAUCAUGGAAUGGGGUUAGUGAAUAAAUGCAGAAUGAUUAUAUGUAUAUCAAGGAAUAGAGUGAAUCAAUCACGCAUGGCAAACAAAUAAAUAAAUCAAUCAAUCAAUUAUGAAGUCGAGUAUAUGGGGCCCCCACCAAAGCCCGUUUUAUCUUGCCUGAAUCGAUUCCGAUAACUCCAUUGCUCGGAAUUACAGAACUUGAUUCCUUGCUUAUUUCAAAACAUUUUAAAAAUAGAGGAAGUAUGAAAAAUUGCUUGCCAGAAAUAAAAGUGGCAGCAAAGCUUUAUCAAAAAUGUGAUUUUGGAACCUAAGGAAAAUGCUCUAAGGAUGAAGAAAAAGGUGGAACAUCGGUUGGAUAGAAUUCCGGAUGUGAGAUAUCCAGAGAAGGUGGAACGUCGGCGGAUAGGAUUCCAGGCGUGAGACACCCGGUGAUUACUACCAAAAAUUGCUAUUUUUUAGACCUAAUUAUAAUGGUUUUAAGCAUCUUUGAGUAGUAAUCAUAUUCAUUUAACCUAAUUAAUUCAUUAAGGUCCUUAGUAAUUGGUUUUAACCAUUUUGUGGCAAGUUUACAUGUUUUUAUCAGCUUAUGAAUCAAUUCAAGCAUGCCAAAUGAUGGAGGAGCUACUUGGACAAGUUAAAGCAAUGAUUUUGGAAGUUUACAGGCUUGAAUUUCAAGUGGAAACACGAGCACAAACAAAGGGAUAGCCAUUUCGCAAGGCAAGGCAAAGUACCUUGCCAAAAUGCAAUUUUCGCAAGGUGAAUUUACUCAUGAUGCGAAAAUAAGGCACUUCGCAUCAUGAGUAAUUCACCUUGCUAAAAUUUAGCAAGGUGCCUUUUACCUUGCCAAAUUACCUCUGUUUCUCCACGCACGCACCAUCGACUUCCCAGAUAUUUUUAGCUUGAUAUUUUCUCGUGUAAAUUCCUUUUGUAACCUUGUAUUCAGCCGACAUAAGGCUUUAUCUUGUAAUUUUGCUAUAUAUAGAGGUGCACAACACCUCCAAAAGAUAUUGGGGAUCGAUCCUCUGUACAUUAACUUAGAAAUAUAUAAAGCUCUGUUUUUCUCUCUUCUCCUGUUCUUCCCCAUUUCUAUUUUCUUAGUAACCAAACAACCUCUGAGGGCUUUUCCUUAGAGGAUAAUUGGCUAAAACUUUUAGUUUCUCAAAGUAUGGAUGUUAUGGGAUGGCUUGGAUGCAAUCCCAUGGAAAUUUCUCGCACCUAGAAGGUAAGGUAGUCGUUUUUCAUUAAUGGUUCAUUAAUGCAAAGUUUGGUUUUUAUUUCCUUUGGACAACUUCCAACGGCCAAUACUUGAUAAGCUUUUGGAUUUCUAUCCAUUAGUUAUCUCCUACGAACUAUUGGAAGGUGAAUUUUUCAAUUCCAAGUUUUACAUUAAUCCGUUAGAACCAAUUUCAAUGGCCAUUGAAAGGUGAGUUUAUCACCUGGAAUGACUUUGAGCUGCCAAUAUUUGGUAAGCUUUUGGUUUUAGACCAUUAGUUAUCUCUUACGAGCCAUUCAAAGGAAGUCUAAGAUGAAUAACCAUUGAUGAAAUUCACUACCAUCUGUUUUGCCAUUUUAAAGGAUUAAAACUUGAUUUGCUAAAUCCAUACCGGUUCGGGAAUCAAGCAUCACCAUAGUUGCAACCCCAACGCGAGGAGCCUAUCUUGAGAUUUCCAAUUUGCAUAAGAGCCAGAGCAUAGCUAUCCUAUCUUUGAGAAACUUGCUUUUACACCCUUUCAUUUUAGUCUUUAAUGUUAGCUUAGAUUAGUUUAAAUCUUUCUAAAACAUUUACAUCUUCUUUUAAAGCUAACAUCCAUAAGAAAAUCACCUAUUUUCCUAAUUUGAAUAUCACUAGUGUUUGCGAAAACCCUUCCCAGUGAACGAUCCUAGAACCACUAUGCUAUAGUAGUUUGGCUACUUUAGUAAUAGUAUUUAAGGUAUAAAUUUUGUUGAUACGCCUUCAAAGCUAAGCUACCAUGAGUCGCAUCACCCGGGAAAGGUGGAACAUCGGCGGAUAGGAUUCCGGAUGCGAGGCAUUCGGAUGGAAUGACAGCGGAGAGGACUCCGGGUGUGAGACACCCGAGGAAGGUGGAUCGUCGGCGGAUAGGAUUCCGGGCGUGAAACACCCGGGGAAGGUGGAACGUCGGCGGAUAGGAUUUCGGAUGCCUUGCAUCCGGAUGGAAUGACGGCGGAGACGACUUCGGGUGUGAGACACCUGGGGAAGGUGGAUCGUCGAUGGAUAGGAUUCCGGACAUGAGACACCCGGAUGGAAAUGACGGCGCAGAACGAUUCCGGGUGUGAGACACUCGGAUAGAAAUGGCAGCACAGAAGGGAUUCCGGGUGUAAGACAGUCGAAUGAAAAUGGCGGUGGGGAAGGAUUCCAGGUGUGAGACACCCGGAUGGAAAUGGCGGCGCAGAAGGAUUCCAGGUGUGAGACACCCGGAUAAGGUAGAAUGUUGUUACGAGUAGCAUGAAGGAUAGGUAUGGGUUGUGUGGAUAUGGGGGCUUGGGUGAGUGGUUUUAAUGGGUAUGCGAAAAAGUGAAGGAUAGCAUGCACCCAAGAGACCCCAUGUACGUGGGGGGAGUGGGGUGGAGAAUGAAUGAGAGGAAAAGGAGUGCAGUGGAGGAUGCCCGAUUCCUAUAAGCUUGAGUGAGGAAAUGGGUAUGACGACCUAGAAAGAAAGGUAUAUAGAUGAACGAUGGGUAUGGGGAUGCUGAUGAGGUGAGCUUUGCCGCCACGAAAACUACUCCAGAUUCUCUAGGAUCUCUUUCGAGUAGGGAUGAGAAAAUGGAUGCGUACCAUGGACGGAUAUCAAGAAACAGGGGAAGUAGAGAAACAGAGCGUGAAAGAAGACGAAUAAACAAAGAAAAAAAAGAAUCUCAGAAAAUCCAUUUCAUGGAUCAUCCAUGAACCUUCUGUGCAGGUGAGUAGAUCAUGUCAAAUGCAACCACCCCCCUGAUUCUCAAGCAUUACGUAAUCAUAGUAGGAUUAGAGUAAGUAAAAAUGGACAGUGGCAAACACAAAUACAAGGUCAUACUUCAACAAGUAGACUGGUGGCCUUCAUUAUCCACCCUAAACAGAUCAAUGAGUAUUCAAAUAUUCACAAGAGAUGUAAAAGAGUGAUAGUCAUACCUGAAAGCCUCUUCUCCCGCUAGGCGUCUCUGGCUAAACUCUCCUCUCCUCUCCCCUCUGUCUCCCUUUUUCCUGGAUUCACCUUCCUUAGCAAGUCAGUACCUGCCUCCUCCUAUUCAUGCAUCAGCCAGUAUGGCUUGCCCAACUACCGUCACUGUUGUUGUACGCUUCAUGCAGACGACAUCAAGCUCCCAGCUGGGGGUCCCCUACCCUAUCUCAAAAAAUGUAAUCCAAAACCAAGAAAAAAACCGCUCCCCCCUCCUCACAAAAAGCUCAUCUCUAACAACCAAAAAGCUCCUCCGAAUAUCCUCCAACAGGUGUCUCCACCCCAUUGCAUUUCCAAACCACUACCUGGUUCAUUGACCACCCAACCAGGAAGCAACAUCUGGCUCUUCAAGAGCCCUCCACUUGGCCAGAAGCGUGAACUGCAGCAAAUGAAAAAAACGAGCCCCAUAUGGGGGUCUACACAAACAAAGACAACAACAGAUGAAAAUAAUUAUUCAUCUGUUAGUGCAAAAUAUGAAAGAGAAGACAACAGUGUGCAUCUUCACUAUGACUGAGGAUCAAAUUCUCUUUGAGAUUGAUAUAAAUUAUUUAUAGCUUCAUUGUUCAUGGAGAGUUGAUUCAGUAGUGUCUUCCAUUUGAAGACAUACAAAAAUGGUUAGAAUUAUCUAUUCAUUUCAAGAGAUAACUUGCAUCUAUGACCCUUAUACUCCCAUGAACUUUGAGCAUCUAUUAUUUAUAAAAUAUGGAUGAAAAGAGAAUAAAAAAAAAAAAUUCAUGGGAAGUGUAUUUUGGAAAAAAUAAUUCUCAUUUGAUACAUUGGAAAAGUGUCUACCUCACAUUACCCAAAAAUGACGUUAUAUGUGUACAUGGGUCAUCAUCCAUAGUAACCCAAUUCACAUGAGGAUGGUAUAUCAUUUAUAAAGGUACAUUAAGCUCAAAACAGUGGUACAUUAUAAUCAAAACAAUAUUACUUUAAUAUCAAAAUACAUGUAAGGACAUUUUCAGGUAAUGUGAGGUAAAUACUACUAUAAUACAUUAAAUAAGAAUUAUUUUCCCAAAAAAGUACUUCCCAUGAAAAUGACUUAUGUAGGUUUUCUUUUAUUUAUUUUUUAUAAAUAGUGCAUGUUUACAUGAUUCCCUUAUUAAUAUAAUAUAAUCAUCUAUACAUGAUAAUUAAGGAAAUCGAAAAUAUUUACAUACUAAGCAAGGAUAAUGGAAAUUAAACAGUAUGAAAAAAGAGAAAAAUAAAUAUUAAAUAUAAAUUAAAACUCUAAAAUACAAGCCUUCAUUUGCACAUAUAGGCCAAUAUCUUAGGAGGUAUUUGAUUAAAAAAUAAUAAUGAUUAAAACUGGAAAAAUUUAUGGGUCCCAUUUUUUAAGUGUUUUCAAUAACAUAAUUAUAAACCUCUUAAAAUUUAAAAUCAUUUAUUUAAACCACUUUAUUCAUUUAGCAACAAGGACUUAAUUAAUCACUAAGAUCAAACAUAAUGAUUUAUAAUUUUUAUAAUUUUUUCUUCCAUUACUAUCAUUUUUUUGUUAAUAAAAUGAAGAUUUCUAUUGAUGAAUUUUUUACUAUUAAAAAAAUUAAUUCAUCUAUGAGAUUCUUUUAACUAAUCCUUUUAGAAUUUUUAUAAUUUUUUUUUUCAUAUUUAAAGAUAAAAAAAUUGUUAUGAAAUAAUUAAAUUAAUUAUAAAAUUUAUCUUUCUUUUCUAAAUCAGAAUUUUUGUCAUGUCCAUUCAUAUAAUAAAAUUAAAAUUAUAAAUAAAUAAAAAAACCUAUUUUAAUUGACAGCAUCAUGGAAUCUCUCCAUGCACACUCAUGCAGCCAGCCAUCAAUUCCCACGGCAGCCACGUGUCUUCCAACAAGUAUAUUCCCUUUCUUUGGCUCUCCACGUGUUUGUGUUCUAUUUUUAUUUAUUUAUUUUAUCCUGAUUAGUAGUUCACCGAACAAGCAUAACAAGGAUAUGAGUAGAUAUGUCAUGGCUAUGAUCACUUCUAACACUAAACCUUCUUAAACAAAGUGAGGUAUGAAUGUAGUAUGCCAGUCUAAAUAAUGGUGAAAGAAUAAAAACAAUGGAGAAUGCAUGUAAGAUGUAUAUAUAACUAUAAAUAAGGAUUCAAAAUGAGGGGAAAAAUCAUUGAGAAGGGUGAACCAUGGGUGAUAAGCCACUUUAAGGUUCAUCCUUUGGAUAAAUAUUAAAAGUUAAAGAGUAUAAAAUGUCUACUUAUGUCAUCAUUUUUUUUUUUCACUUUUAAGUUAAAUAUAUUUUUAUUGUUAUAAAUGAAGUAAUGAAUGCCACCACAUUUAUUAUAUUAAAUGUUCAUUAAAAGCAUAUAAAAAUGUUUCCUAUCCCCUAUAAAAUGCAUCCCAAGCAAAGAAAUACAUUUUCUUUCUCUUUUAUUCUCUUUUUUUAUUUUUUUAUUUUAUUUUUAUUCUCCAUAUCUUUCAUUCUUUCAACUAUCUUAAUUGUCUUUUAUGAUUCCUUCCUCUCCAUUAUAUAUCAUUGUCAAAAUAAUAUAUAGUUGUUCUCUACUUUUAUUGUCGUUGCAUUUAUCCUCUUUUUAUAAUAGGUUAUUAGCAUGAAUUGCUCUGAAGGUAAUUCUCAUAUCUUAAACUUGAAGUUAUUUAUAUAGAAUAAAAUUUUACAUAUUUAUAUUGCUAUUGUUAAAUUCAUUUAAUUUGUGUUAUAUAUUAUUAAAAGCUAUACACAAAUUAUUUGAUUUUGAUUAUAAUCAAAAGUUAUACCAAUGCCAUUAAUUUAUAACUAAUUAUAGUAAUAUUGUUUUGUCAUAUAUCUGAAGUUAUUUAACAAUGUCAAAUCUCACAAAACUCAAAUUUAUGGCACUUGACAUUUCGGGAAAGAACUAUAUAUCUUGAAUCCUUAAUGCUGAAAUACGUCUUGAUGCAAUGAAUCUUGGAGCUAUGAUUAAAGAAGGAAAUCAAGCAUCCUUGUGGGAUCACGCAAAAGCGUUGAUUUUCUUUUGCCAUCAUCUCUAUAAAGGUUUUAAAAAUGAGUAUCUUAUAGUAAAUGACACUUUUACUCUAUGGAGUAAUUUAAAGGAAAUAUAUGACCACCAGAAAAUUGUAAUUAUCCGGAAAGCCUGAUAUGAUUGGAUGUAUUCAAGGUUGUAGGAUUUCAAAACUAUUGGUGAAUAUAACUCUGCCCUUUUCAAAAUCAGGUCUCAAUUAAAGCUAUGUGGAGAAAAAAACCAUAGAAGAAGACAUGUUAGAAAAAACUUUACUACAUUUCACGCCUCGAAUGUGCUCUUACAACAGUAAUACCAAGAACGUAUAUUUACAAAAUACUCUGAAUUAAUAUCAUGUCUUCUUGUUGUUGAACAAAAUAAUGAGCUUUUGAUGAGAAAUCACUAGUCUCAUCUAAUUGGAUAUGAACCAUUCCCUAAAGUGAAUGCAAUAUUGUCCCAAACUCGUGGACAUGGGCAAUGACAAGGAAAUGGUCAUGGUCAUGGAAGGAAUCCCUGAUAUAAUGGUUAUUAUGGUAAUAAUUCCACAAAUUCUCAUAAAAUGAAAGCUUCAUUGCACCACUGAUUACUACUCAAAAAGUGCAUUUUUAUAAGCUUAAACUUAAUUGUAUUAAGCACUUUUGAGUAGUAGUUAGACCUUUUAUCCCAAUUGGCAUGUUAAGGACCUAGCAAAUGUUACUAACCAAUUUUUGGUAAGUUUUAGUGUUUUUGAUAGCUUUUUUAUCACUGAAACAGCCCAAGAUUGAGGGAGAGUUUGGAGCACAUGAAGAAUCAGAGCUUUGGAGCACUUCAAAACCCCUUGCCAAACUUGAAAAAGGGUUGCCAAAACUAUCAGUAGUAAGAUGGAGGGAAAUAGAGCAUUUCGCAAGGCAAAAUCAUCAAAUUCGCAAGGUGUGCCAAAAUUCGCAAGGUGUGCCAAACUUUCGCAGGGUGAUUACUACCAAAAAGUGCUAUUUUGUAGACCUAAUUAUAAUGGUUUUAAGCACCUUUGAGUAGUAAUCAUAUUCAUUUAACCCAAUUAAUUCAUUAAGGUCCUUAGUAAUUGGUUUUAACCAUUUUGUGGCAAGUUUACAUGUUUUUAUCAGCUUAUGAAUCAAUUCAAACAUGCCAAAUGAUGGAGGAGCUACUUGGACAAGUUAUGGCAAAGCUUUUGGAAGCUCAAAUUCAUGAAGAACCAAGCUUUGGAGCUCCAUAGCCCUUUUCCAAAGUCGUUCAAAGUAUGCAAGGAAAGAACAAUGGAAAAGAGGAAAAGCAAGCAAAGUGAAGAGAAGCAAAGAGGACAGCAGCUGCAGUCUUCUUUUGCCCUUUUGGAGCACUUACCGAAGUCCAUUUUUUACAUAAUAUAUACCAUUUCAAAGCUCUGGAAGUCAAGAAUCCAACGCUUUAAACCAUGUACGAUUUGGAGCUGAAAUGAGGAAGAUAUGGCCUUCGGAAGACAACUGCUCCAGGUUAUGCGAAAAUUUUGCACGACACAAGGUGUUAUGCGAAAUUCGCAUAACACCUUCAAAAUUCGCAUAACCCAUGCGUGGUGCGAAUUUUGCUCUGUUUUUUCCGACUCCACUUUAGAUAUUUUCCUUUGUAUUUUGUGAUGUAAUUUCCUUUCUUAUCCUUGUAACUAACCAAUCACAAGCUUUUGUUUUUGUAAAGACUAUAAAAGAGGUGGAAAUCACCUCUUGAAAAAAAGAGAACAUGCGUGUUAGGUUUUAUACAGAGCUCUCUCGUUUCUCUUUUCUCUUUACUAUUUUAUUUUCUUGGAAGCCAAACAGCCUCUGAGGGCUUUUCCUUAGAGGAUGAUUGGCUGAAACUUUUAGUUUUUCAAAGUAUGGAUGUUAUGUCAUGGCUUGGAUGCACUCCCAUGGAAAUUUCUCGCACCCGAAAGGUAAGGUAGACGUUUUUCAUUAAAGGUUCAUUAAUGUAAAGUUUGGUUUUUAUUUCCUUUGGACAACUUCCAAUGGCCAAUACUUGAUGAGCUUUUGGAUUUCUAUCCAUUAGUUAUCUCCUACGAGCUAUUGGAAGGUGAGGUUUUCAAUUCCAAGUUUUGCAUUAAUCUGUUAGAACCAAUUUCAAUGGCCAUUGAAAGGUGAGUUUAUCACUUGGAAUGACUUUGAGUUGCCAAUAUUUGGUAAGCUUUUGGCUUUAGACCAUUAGUUAUCUCUUACGAGCCAUUCAAAGGAAGUCUAAGGUGAAUAACCAUUGAUGAAAUUCACUACCAUCUGUUUUUCCAUUUUAAAAGAUUAAAACUUGAUUUGCUAAAUCCAUACCGGUUCGGGAAGCAAGCAUCACCAUAGUUGCAACCCCAACGCGAGGAGCCUAUCCUGAGAUUUCCAAUUUGCAUAAGAGCCAGAGCAUAGCUAUCCUAUCUUUGAGAAACUUGUUUUUACACCCUUUCAUUUUAGUCUUUAAUGUUAGCUUAGAUUAGUUUAAAUCUUUCUAAAACAUUUACAUCUUCUUUUAAAGCUAACAUCCAUAAGAAAAUCACUUAUUUUCCUAAUUUGAAUAUCACUUGUGUUUGCGAAAACCCUUCCCAGUGAACGAUCCUAGAACCACUAUGCUAUAGUAGCUUGGCUACUUUAGUAAUAGUAUUCAAGGUAUAAAUUUUGUUGAUACGCCUUUAAAUCUAAGCUACCAUGAGUCGAAUCACAGGGUGUGCCAAACUUUUGUAGGGUGUGCGAAAAUCACUUUGUGCGCACCGACCUUUGAGAUUUUUCUCCAGAACUGUAAUUGUUCCUUUUUAAUCCUUUUGUAAUAGAUUCAUUACAUUAGGGUUUGUUUAGGAACUAUAAAUAGGGGUUGGAAAACCUCUCAAAAGAUAUUAUGUUAGGAUAGAUAUUAUGUUUUAGAUAUUUUGUAAAGUCUGAGUUUUUCUCUGCCUUUCCUUCUCAUUUUCUCUUCACUUUCUCUCUAACCACACACCCUCUGAGGAUGAUUUCUCAGAGGAUGAGUGGCUAAGUUUCACGUUUCUUGGAGUGAUGGAAGCUAGGUAAAGGACCCAGAUGCAAAGGUAUGAGUUUUCCUUACUUUAAAUGAAGGUAGUUGUGUAUCAUUAAUGGUUUAUAUUUCAAGUUUCAGUUUUAAUCCCUUAGAAUCACCUUGAAUGGUCAAUACUUGGUAAGCUUUUAGGAUUCUAUGGAUGCUUAUUGCUAGAUCCAUGGAUGUCCAUUAGUUAUCAAGUACUAGCCAUUGGAAGGUGGUUCAAGGUGAGGGUCUUUAGUGUUUGAAGCCAUUAAUGGGAAGCAACUACCAUUUUUCAAGAAUCCUUUGGAUCAAAACUUAUAUGCUAAAUAUAAAUCCGGUUCGGGAGAUAACCAUCCUUUAUGUUAUUGUCCCCAAUGCAAGGAGAAGAUCUGGAAUUUCCUGCUUUGCAACAGGAACCUGAUCCUAGUAACCAUAGCUCCAAGAGACUUUCUCUUUAUAAUAAUUUCAAUUGUUUAUGUUUGCUUAACUUAAAAUCAACCCUUCCAAUCAAUCUUAUUUUCAUUUAAAAACUAACUUCCAAAAAGGAAAUCACCAUUUCUUCUUUUAUUAAUGUUAAGUGUACAAAGAAAACCCAUCUCUGUGGAUGAUCCUAAAGCCACUAUACUAUAGUAGCUUUGUCCUUGCUAUCCUAGUAUAAGGUGUUGUAGGUUUUAUAAAUGUUUUGAUAAACACCCGACUGGGCAUGAAUCAAAUGGCGUUGUUGCCGGGGAUGGUGCCUAAGCGCAUAAAUGUUACCUUUUAUGAGUACUUGUGAUCUUCAUCACAAGUUGGUGAUUUUUCUUUCACUAACUCAUUUUCUUUGUUUUUAUUUUAUCUUAUCUUUCAUUUAGUUUUUAGAUAACCUUAAAUAUUUUCCUAGAAUUGUAGUCCUUUUUGUUUUCUUUGUUUUUGUUUCAGUAAUCUCGGGUUGUGUAUGCCCUAUUAGAUAAGAGAUAUUGAGGGAAGACUUGUGAAAAUUGAAACUCCUCAAGAAACUGAGUUGGAAGUCUGCUUGAACAUCAUGGAUUGUCCACAUGAAGAUCAGCAUAGCCAACAUGGGCAAGAGGAGAAUCUCAAUGCAUACCGAUCCAUGAGGGACCGCAUGCAUCCACCUUGAAUGAGUGCACCUUCAUGCAUAGUGCCUCCCACUAAGCAGCUAGUGAUCCGACCUCAUAUAGUGCCACUUCUACCUACUUUUCAUGGGAUGGAAAGUGAGAACCCCUAUUCUCACAUCAAGGAGUUUGAAGAAGUGUUGAUUACUACCCAAAAAGUGUUAUUUUGCUCCUUUAAUUCAUUAUGUUUUAAGCACUUUUGUGUAGUAGUUCUCCAUCUUUAUUCCAAUUGGCAUGUUAAGGACCUAGCAAUGACUUCUAAUCAUAUUUGUGGCUAGAUUUAUUGUUUUGACAGCUUUUUGGAUCAUUAAGACAAGCCAAGUAAAGGAGAGAAGCAAAGAGGAAAACAGAGUGAAGAAAAUAGAGGACAGCAUCUGCAGUAUUCCUUUGCACUUUUGGAGCACUUAAUGAAGUCCAUUUUCUACAUGCUAUAUACCAUUUAAAAUAUCAGGAAGUCAAGAAUCCAACGCUUCAAACCGUGUAUGAUUUGGAGCUAAAAUGAGGAAGAUAUGGCCUUCGAAGACAACUGCAUCAAGCUAAGUGCGAAUUUCGCACAGCAGCCCAAGCAAGUGCGAAUUUCGCACCACCAGCCAUGCAAGUGCGAAUUCGCACCAGCCCAUGCUUCUUUGGUGCGAAAUCUCCUCUGUUUUUCCGACUCCACAUGAGAUCUUUUCUUUUGUAUUUUUUGAUGUAAAUUCCUUUCUUAUCCCUGUAAUUAGCCAAUCACACGCUUUGCUUUUGUAAAGAUUAUAAGAGGGGUGGAAAUCAUCUCUCGAAAAAUGACGAACAUAUGUUAUGUUUUACACUUAGUAAAAUACAGGGCUCUCUUUGCUUUCCUUUUCUCUCUACUAUUUUCUUUUUCUUGGAAGCCAAACAACCUCUAAGGAUGUUUUCCCAGAUGAUGAGAGGCUAAACCUUUGGUUUCUUGGAGUGAAGGAAGCUAGGUGAAAAGUCCAGAUGCAAAAGUGGAAAACUCUCGUGCAUUAAAUACAGGUAGUUGGAGUUCAUAAAUGGCUUUUAAAUCUAAAGUUUUGCUUUAAAUCCCUUAGAAUCACUUUGAAUGGCCAAUACAUGUUAAGCUUUAGGUCUCUGUGGAUACUUAUUGCUAGAUCCAUAUCAGACCAUUAGUUAUCAUGUAUGAGCCAUUGGAAAAUGGCUCAAGGUGAAGACCCAUAGUGUCUAAAGCCAUUAAUGGAACCUGACUACCAUUUCUAUUGACUUUUUAUGGAUUAAAUCUUCAUUGUUAAACCUAUACCGGUUCGGGAAACAACCAUCCUUUAUGUUGUUGUCCCCAAUACGAGAAGAAGAAUCCGGAAUUUCCACUUUGCAUUCUGAACUUGAUCCUAGCAACCCUUAUCUUCGGGAGACUUUCUUUCUUCCAUUUUUACCUAGUUCUAUAUUAGUUUAGCUUCAAACACCACUUUCAAAAAAAAAUUUAUUUUCCUUUAAACUUUAAGUUUUUGACAAAGGAAAUCAUCAGAUUCAAUUUCUAAUCUUGAGUAUAUCAUUGGUAGAAUGAAAACCCAUCCCAGAUUUCGACCCUAGAGCUGCUAUACUAUAGUAGCUUUGCUACGCUAGUAUGAGGUCAUAGGAUUUAUAAAUAUUUUUUAUUAAAACACCCGACUGGGCACGAAUCAAAAUGGCGCUGCUGCCGGGGAUGGUGCCACUUUACAGUGAUAUGACCUUUUCAGAGUACUUGUGAUCUUUAUCACAAGUUUGGUGACUUUUCUUUUCCUUUUAUUAACUCUUUUUUUUUGUUUAUUUUCCUUUGUUCAUGUUUUAGUAUAUCUUUUAUUUAGAUUUUAGUUAAUCUUAAUAAUUUUCUUUAGAAUUUUAUUUUCUUUUGUUUGCUCUGUUUUUAAUUCACAAAUUGCUAGUUGUGCAUGCCAUUUCUAAAACACUAGUGCAAGCUAUGUCGUGUGCCAUUUGUCAAUCUUUUGAGCACUUGGUGGAGGAGUGUCCUAUCCUUCCAGCAAUGAGGGAGAUGUUUGGUAUGCCAUGUGGCAUUUGUCAGUCUUUUGAGCACCUGGUGGAGGAGUGUCCUAUCAAUCCAGUGGCAAGAGAGAUAUUUGGUGAUUAUAACACCUACAAUUCAUUUUGUAGGAAUCAUCCAAAUUUCUUUUAGGAACCACAACCACGUCAGUACAUGCAACCCGCUCAAGCACCACAUCAAGCCUUGAAACUUGAACAAGCAAUUGUGAACCUUACCAAGGUUGUGGAAGACUUUGUAGCACACUAGAAAUCCAUCAUUGAUCAAUUCAGGCAAGAAAAUGCUCAAGUCAGGCAAGAAAUUGAUAGCCAAGACAGAAAGAUGGAUGGGAGGUUGAAUGAUUUGUCUCAGAAGACAGACAAUCUUGAAUACUCAAGCUCAAGGCUUAUCAACCUCAACACAGAGCGAGAAAAAGAAAACUUUCCUUCUCAACCAUAUCAACAUCUCAAGGGUAUCCAUAAAGAGGAGGCCCAAAACGAAGAAAAUUCAAUGGUGAGGAAAGUCAAAGUAGUUAUGGUUGAUCAGCCCAUAUUCAAGCCAAAGCAUGAUGAAGGGUUACCUGAACCCUCAGAGAAGCUUGCUAAUCUGUUCCAUUGGACGAGAACAAAAGAAAUGUAGCCCUUAUUGAAUGCGGUGGAGAUACAGAGACAUGCGAAGGAGGAGCCCCCAAAGCUUAUUCUUAACUCGCUACCUCUAAAGAUGAAAUAUGCAUACCGGGUAGAAGACAAGCUGAAACAGGACCAGUUUUUUUUUUUUUUUAUAGACUUAGUCUUUCUAAAGACUAGCUAGUCCAUAUAUUUUUGUUUUAUUUUUAAAUUUGUUUUGAUUUUGAUUUCUUGCUUUAAUUUUAUUUUGGUUUGAUUUAACUUGGGUUUUUUUAUGAUCAACACAGGGGAAGCCAAAAACAGAGGAAAACAGAGCAAUUUGCACCACCCUACCCCCUUGUGCAAAAUUGCUUUUGUGAGCAUUUUCCAAAAAGCAUGCUCUCGGUCCCUACCCAAAAUCUUAGUGCAAAAAUGCACAGGAAUGCGAAAAUUUUUGCCAUCACUAUUCACUUUGUGCGAAAUUCGCAUUUGCUCUUUAAAAGCCAAUUUCUCUUCUUAAAAUCUAAGUUUGUUCUUCUUCAAUCCUCUCAACCCCUCUUUUCCGAUCACUCCUUUCCAUCCACAAGGUCCUCUCCUUCAUCAUCUCCCAUCCUAAAACCCCACCAUGGCAGCCCAUCUCAAAAGCUUCAUUCCAUAGUCGCGGCCAUCACUAUUCACAACAGCCCAUGCCUUUCAUUUUCAGCUUUUUCUCCUCCUUCCACCAUAAAAAACCCUUCAUUUCUUCACUCAACACUCCAAAUCCAUCCCUAAACCCAACCCAACCUUGAUUUUUCAAAAUCAAAACCUCAAGCAUAGGUUUCAAAGCCUCGAUUUCUUCAUAAGAAACCCAUUGUCGCCGGGUAUGGGAGCUUCAAAAUCUCUCAUUCUCUUCUUGUAAAGCUCCCAUUUCCAAGCUUAGCCACCAUGAAAAACUCCUUUCCUACCUCAGCCAGCAUUUCCCACCCUCAAAAACCAAGAAUUGUUGCCAUUUGAAACCACCACAAUUUCGCAUUUGCACGGGUGAAUAGUGCAUUGUGUGAAAUUCGCACAACACAUUUCCCUUGUGCGAAAUUCGCACCACCCUUCCCUUGUGCAAAUUUUUGAGCUUCUUCAUCCCUACCUUCCCUAAUCCCAAGCCUCUGAGCCUCAUUUCUUUGUUCCAUUAUGCCUAAGACCCGAGGAGGCUAUGCCUCAGCUCCCUAGAGCAGUCAGAGAGCUGCCCCUGUGCAGGCCCCACUAGAUGUACCCCCAUAUUUACCUGAUUCUGUCCCUUAGCGCAGAUACCAUACGAGGAGAGCAGUUGCCAUGCUUGUGGCCCCUACUCAGAUUCCACCUAGGAGUCCUCCUACAAAGAAAGCCAAGACUUCAAAGCCAAGAGAGUCCUCCAGAGCACCUCGAGAUUCACAGUCUCAGCCUCCUCCCACCAAGCGCCCUAUCCUCGCCAGCUCGCCCAUUGAGGGCAACUCCGAUUGCCGAUCGAGAGCAUUCCAUGUCGAGGCAUAUUUUGAUCACUCUAUUUUGCGACAGCAGCCUGAGUUAGGGGAUUCAUACCGCAUACUUGAGAGGUACCACCUUAUACCCUUUAUGACUCCCCCACAGUUCUUUUAUCCUCAAGUAGCUUUAGACUUUUACCAGUCUAUGACUACUCGUGGCGUCCCGGUACCAGCCUCGAUCCUUUUUGCCAUUGAUGGAUGCCAGGGUAUUUUGGGGGCUAGACAGAUUGCCGAGGCUUUCCAUAUCCCUUAUGCACUAGCAGAUCCCGCUACAUUUAGACGUUGGGCCCCACUUUCUGAGUGGGACAUGGUUCGUAUACUAUCUCGAGGGACAUCUUCACAGAGGAUCAUUAUGAGGAAGGAGCUUCCCCCUGGGAUGCUCCUAGUUGAUGUGGUGCUUUGUAACAAUCUUUUUCCUCUUCAGCAUAAAGUGUAAAGGCGAGGGGCCAUUCUAAAGGCAUUAUUCCGUAUCUCUGAGGACUACUACUUUAGCCCCCAUCAUUUGAUUAUGGUCGCCCUCCUCCAUUUUGAGGAGAAGGUGCAUAAGCGGCGUCUUACGAGGGCAAACACCAUUCUUUUAUUUUUCCCUCGACUGCUAUGCCAUGUUCUAGCGCAUAUGGGUUUCCCUGCAGACCCUCAUUCUGAGCACCGUCGCCAUUAUCGAGAGAACUUCUCUCUUGACCAAUGGAAUCAGGUAUGGCUCCAUCAACAUUCCCCAGAACUUCCCGAGCCAAGGGAAGUCCCUCCACAGCCUUUACCAUCUAUAUCUGCUCCGUCCACUUCAGCUCCCUCGGAGCCCGUACCAGAGGCAGCAUUGUCUGACACCCCACCUGUUGUUCCUCCUACCUAAGAGCCACCCAUUACUAUCCCUGGUGCAGAGUAUCGUGACUUGCUCGCUUCUUUCCAGACUCUGACCACUACUCAGACGGCUAUUAUGGAGCGGAUGGACCACUUCCAGCUUCGGUAGGACCAACAGACUCUCAUUCUCUGUGAGAUUCAGCAGCACCUCGGUCUUUUGCCACCAGCUCCACCUGUUGCUCCUGUGCCCUCAGAGCCUUCUACUCCAGCUGAUGAUGCUACACCUAUAGCGGUACCUUCCACAGUUGCAGCGGAUGACCCCUCCUAUCCACCAGAGGAGCCUACUACUUGAUCAUACGAUCACUCCUCUCAUUUUUUGAUUUGUAUCUAUAUUCUAUGUUUUUGGAUGUGUUAUAUAUUUUGGACUACUUUUAUAUUGGGAUUGGAUGUGUUCCAUGUUUAUCUUGUAUAUUGUACUCUCUCAGUUUAUAUAGACAUCUUCCUUUUUGUGUAUUUUAGUUUUUUCUUUUUAUUUCCUCUAAUCAUCACUCUUAUGAUUUUUCUUUUCUUAUGCAACAUGUGGUUUCUCCUAUUCAUUUAGAGUCCCUUACUAUCAGGAGGUAUCACUUCCUCCCUUUUUAUUAUCACUUGUUUUUGGAACAUUGGGGACAAUGUUCAUCCUAGUUGGGGAGAGAGUUGAGGAAGUAAUUUAUUGAAUUUUUAGUUAAGUUAUUUUGCUAACAAAUUUUUUGCAAACUCUUUUUGUUUUCUCAAAGAUAAAUUCUCAAAAAUAAAUGGGAGAAAUUAAAUUCUUAUCUUAUUGCCAUAGUCUUAGAGUUUGUAUUAUGCUUAUUAAAGUUGAUAAAUUGUUGAAGCUCCUUUUGAUUUCAAUCUUAAGUCUUCCACUCUAAUCUUUUCACACACUGAACACAUUAGAUUCCAGUUAUAAGAUGGAAAACUUUCUCACCCCCUAAACUUAGGAAAUUUUCGACUUGGUGCCUUUGACCUCAUUCUAUUAGUGUUGGGACACCUUAUAAAAGGCCAAUGUGUCUUAUGAAAAAAUUUGCUUCACUUGCUUUGAAACUCGAGCAAGGUUCGAGGGGUAUAUGGUGAAAAUCUUUGAAGUCUGGUGCCCUAAGCCUUUAUUGGUUGGGAGUCACUGACCUCACUGCUCGUUACAUAGGUGGAUGGGUGGAGUUCAAAAAAAAAAAAAAAAAAAAAAGGUGCGUUCUUAGCCUUUUAUAUGGGGGUUAGUGUUGCUAAAGUUAGAGAAAAACCUUAGUUGGGGGGAGAAUAUAGUUUGACAUACUAUAACUGGAAACUAAGCACCUUAACACUUAGAUUUUUGUGGAAGAUUAAGAGUUGGUCCUUUGGGAGUGGAAAUUAUUGUGAUACUCAAAUUUGCAUAAUGCCCACUCUUUGUAUGUUGUGAUAUGUAAGUUAUUUGAUGACUCUUGUUGAUGAUUGAGUUUUAUAUCCUUGACUUGCCAUGUGAGAUUUUGAUCUAAUCAUGCCACUUGAUUAUUUUUUCGAGUGAUCAGCAUGAUUUUGUAAAUUAUUAUAUUAUCUAUUUUUCUUUAUUUUUCUCUCCUUCAUUGCUCAGGUACUAGCAAUGUGUCAGUUGGGGGGAGUGAUUACUACCCAAAAAGUGUUAUUUUGCGCCUUUAAUUCAUUAUGUUUUAAGCACUUUUAUGUAGUAGUUCUCCAUCUUUAUUCCAAUUGGCAUGUUAAGGACCUAGCAAUGACUUCUAAUCAUAUUUGUGGCUAGAUUUAUUGUUUUGACAGCUUUUUGGAUCAUUAAGACAAGCCAAGUAAAGGAGAGAAGCAAAGAGGAACACAGAGUGAAGAAAACAGAUGACAGCAGCUGCAUUCUUCCUUCGCACUUUUGGAGCACUUACCAAAGUCCAUUUUCUACAUGCUAUAUACCAUUUCAAAGCUCAGGAAGUCAAUAAUCCAACGCUUCAAACCGUGUACAAUUUGGAGCUAAAAUGAGGAAGAUAUAGCCUUCGGAAGACAACUGCAUCAAGCUAAGUGCGAAUUUCGCACAGCAGCCCAAGCAAGUGCGAAUUUCGCACCACCAACCAUGCAAGUGCGAAUUUCGCACAGCCCAUGCGUCUUUGGUGUGAAAUCUCCUCUGUUCUGCCGACUCCACAUGAGAUCUUUUCUUUUUUAUUUUUUGAUGUAAAUUCCUUUCUUAUCCCUGUAAUUAGCCAAUCACAGGCUUUGCUUUUGUAAAGACUAUAAGAGGGGUGGAAAUCAUCUCUUGAAAAACGACGAACAUAUGUUAUGUUUUACACUUAGUAAAAUACAGGGCUCUCUUUGCUUUCCUUUUCUCUCUACUAUUUUCUUUUUCUUGGAAGCCAAACAACCUCUAAGGAUGUUUUCCCAGACGAUGAGAGGCUAAACCUUUGGUUUCUUGGAGUGAAGGAAGCUGGGUGAAAAGUCCAAAUGCAAAAGUGGAAUACUCUCGUGCAUUAAAUACAGGUAGUUGGAGUUCAUAAAUGGCUUUUAAAUCUAAAGUUUUGCUUUAAAUCCCUUAGAAUCACUUUGAAUGGCCAAUACAUGUUAAGUUUUAGGUCUCUGUGGAUACUUAUUGCUAGAUCCAUAUCAGACCAUUAGUUAUCAUGUACGAGCCAUUGGAAAAUGGCUCAAGGUGAAGACCCAUAGUGUCUAAAGCCAUUAAUGGAACCUGACUACCAUUUCUAUUGACUUUUUAUGGAUUUAAUCUUCAUUGUUAAACCUAUACCGGUUCGGGAAACAACCAUCCUUUAUGUUGUUGUCCCCAAUACGAGAAGAAGAGUCCGUAAUUUCCACUUUGCAUUCUGAACUUGAUCCUAGCAACCCUUAGCUCCGGGAGACUUUCUUUCUUCCAUUUUUACCUAGUUCUAUAUUAGUUUAGUUUCAAACACCACUUCCAAAACAAAUUUUAUUUUCCUUUAAACUUUAAGUUUUUGACAAAGAAAAAACCAAAAGCAACCCUGAAUCAAGUACCAAUUAAACACUAAUCUAAAUUAAAGUGAUCGUGAGAAGUUGCCAACUCAUAUUGGCUGGUGUAAAGUUUUUUUGGGAUUCAAUAGGUUUUGAUAUACUUCCCUUAAACCAUCGCACUUGAAUUUAAAGGCUAGAAUCAAGAAGCCUAAUGAAACUUGGUACAAGCUCAAUUACUGGACUUCUUAUUAAUUAACCAGGAGCAUCAAGUGACAAGAUAUUCACAAAAUCUAUCAAAGCAAUGAAAAUUGUGUAUCCUACAUAAUUUGAUUGUAGAGCUGAUUUCAAAUCCAUUACUCGAACUUAAAAGGAAAAAAAUUGAAGACAAUUUUGUGAGGACAAAUUAAAAUUGUGAGGAUCCCGAAUUCAACAAAUUAGCAUUUCUCUACCGGGUGCAAUUUGGCAAAUUGGUUUGACCUAACUUGAAUCUUGGUGAAGUUGAGAAACCAUUUAUAGUACUCAAGUUAGGAUUUGGUCGAGUUUCUCAACCAAAAGUUAUUUUGGGUUGAGUUCAAUUUUGGGCUAAGUUCAAACCAAUGCUUCAACAAUCUAAGCUGAAUUAAACUCCAUUAAUAUUUUAUAAUAUUUAUAGAAUAUAUUACUAUAUAAUAAUAUCAAUUUUUUUUCUAAAAUAAGUUUAAGGGAAAAACCAUCAAAAUAUAUUAAGCUAACUCUCAGAAAUUUGCCUAUCCCCUUGUGAACACUAUUUGGAAGGAAAAUUAAUUAGGAAGCCUCUUAAGCAAGCCAAAAAGGUAUCUGGUCCUUUGUAGCCUAUGCAUUCCAAAGUACAGGGCCUAAUGAACAUGCGAGCCAAGCAUGGUGCCUACUACUUCAUCACAUUUGCGGAUGGUUAUAUCUACAAGUCCAAAGAAUUGCUUUGAUUUAGAUGUUAUAUGAAUAUUGUUAAAAAAAAUGAAAAGAAAAAACUAUUACAACAUUAAGGAUAAAUCAUGGACUUGAGUAUCCAUUGAAGAGUUUUAAAAAUCUCUAUGAUGAAAAGGAAAUCCAAAGAACAAUCAAUGGCUUCAAGGACUCCACAGUAAAAUGGUUGAACUAAAAAAAGUAACCAUAAACUUUUGGAUAUGGUUCACUCAAAAAGGCACAAGCCAACUAUCUAACAUCUUUCAGGGUGGGAAAUGAGGGUUACUAUUUUGAUUGAAUAGAGUGCCCUCAAAAUCAAUUACUUCAAAUCCAUAUAGUUAAGAAGUCAAACCUAGCUCACUUGUGAUCCUAAGGGUUAGCAAGUUUAGUUCAUGUAAAUUUUCAUAGAUAUUGUGCUAUAAAGGAAACAAGUGCACUUUCAUUAGAUAUUCUAAUAAAUCAAAGGUUGUGUGAUGCUUAGUGAACAACUCAAUGGGAGUAUAAUUGAAAUAAAGUCAUAUGAAGUCAAUUUCUUAUAGGAUGAUAUUUUUAGUAGAGCAGCAUUGAACAAGAGUCUCAAUUUAUUUGAGGCAAUUAAACCAAAGGAAAAUACUAUGAUAUCUCAUAUCGAAUAGGAGAAAAAGUUCUUGACAUUAUAUAUAUGAGCUUCUCUUAAUUAUUUAGACACAUUUUAAUGUUGUAAGGGCUCUUUGAGCCCAAAGUGGAUGAUAUAUAUUUACACGGUUGGGAGUGAGUCAUUACAAAUGGUAUCAAAGUGUAUCCUCAACCAUGGUAUGGGAGUUUAUCUCAUCAUUGUAAUUAUGGGCAUUAAGGUGAAGCUUUCAUGUUUGCAUGAUAUGAUGUAACCAUAAAUGGAGUUCAUUAAUACUUAUAUUAUGACUUCGAAUUUCUAUUCACUAUCCUAUUUAUGAAUUAUGUAUGUUAAGCAUUCAAACCUACAUCACUUGCAUGUACAUGACUUGAGUGAAUUAGGAGUCACAUGAAAAAUCUAAGUCAUAGAUUCCUUACAAGUUAAUGACUCGUUCACAAUUGGUUCAUGGACUUUAAUAAACCAUUUGAGGCUAUAGUGCACUACCUCCUAAUUGGAGGGAUGACUUGCCCUAGUCAUUAGGAUGGGUUCCCCAUGGUGAGUGUACUAGUGUGUUUAAUUAUGUUGGGAAACCUAGAUAUUUCCAUUCCCAUAACCCUAGAUCGUAUAGGUGCAUGCAAAAUACCCUAGGCCUCUAAAUCCUAUGAACCAGAAGCAAAAAUCAAAAUUUUAACAUUCUAUAAUCUAGGGAAAAGUCACUAAAAACUUUGAGAAAAUUAAAGGCUAAUCUUAAUAGAGAAAACACCCAAGAGAUGAGGAAGGGGGUGAAUUGGGUUUUUAAAAAAUAUUUUUCAAACACCACAAAUUCAAGAAAAUGAAACACAAAUAUAAAGAUAUAAGGUUAGAAAGAGCAAACUUAGAUUUUAUAGUGGUUCAGCACUUCCUUGCCUAUGUCCACUCUCCUCAACCUCUUAACCGAGUGAAGGUUCCACUAUACUUGAAGCUUCAACUAAGCUUUUAAUCACCUUUACACUUGGAUUCCGGCUCCAAUGGGCUAUUACAUAAUCCCUUCAAGUCUUAACUCACUUGAAUCUUUUAGCAUUCAAAUAACAAGUUUGAAUCUCUCAACCUAGCCCAACAAGGGCUCAAAUACAACUUAAAUGUUAGGAAGAAUCACAAAGGUGCACUAAGAAAUAUGCAAAUGGAUAUUGAAUGCACUAAGGAAAGAAUGAGAGCUUUUGAGGCAAGAACAAGUAGGCAAACAAAUAAAUGCAGGUGUUCUCUACCUCAUAAAUGAAGUGGAGUUCUCAAUUUAUAGGUUUCUAGCCUUAAGAGUAAAAAAUGCCAAAAAGCGGCCAUGAUCAGUCGAGUUAGGGUUACUAGCCAUUGGAUAAUAAAUGCAUUGUAGGUGAUUGUUACGCCUCAACCGGUUUUUGACCAAAUCUCGACCAGAUCUCGACCGAGAAGGCAUAUCCCUUGACCAGGAAUGCAAAGCUAUAAGAAGAGAGAGAAGAUUUUUUGCAUUUCUCGACUGGACCUCGAUCAAGAAGGUGUAACCGAUCGACCAGUGCCCUAGCCGAUUGAGCCAGUUGGCUAGUGCCUUGACGAGUUCACCAUUUUUUGCCUGAAAACUUUUUUUUUUUUUUUUUGUUCUUUUCUCUUCUAACACUUAGGCAAGGUAUUUAGGUAAAUUAAUAUGCCAAUUUUGAAACAAUUUGUCUAAGGUUCAUCUGAUAAAACUCGGGUUUUGACGAAAAUGUAACUUUAAUGCCUAAACUGAGUUUUUAAAGUGCAUGAAAAGAUAUGAAAAUCCUAUGUGCACAAUGCAUUCAUCUUAGAUAUGUUUCCUAUUAUUAAAGGGUCUUUCAAUUGUCUUGAUCUUGCAUCCAUUGGGUUCUUUUAUGAAUUUCCAAACUAAUAUAUGAAAUUCUUUAUAAUUCAAACCAAUUAAUGACUUAACCAUGGUUUGUUAUCAUCAAAACGUGAUUAGGAGAACCCUUGGGCUAACAAACUUUACAUUUGAUUUAAAUGGUUCUUAAAUCAAUUAUGCUUAGUGAAUGUGAAGCCUAAAGAGUCCAGAGGUCUCACACAUCGAAAAUCUUUUGCUUGAUGACUUGAUCCACGAUCUUGCCACUCCAAAAUGGGGGCUUUUGAAGAGAGAAAUCCUAGGCUCUCUCUUUUUAGAGUUAGAAGAUGAUUGUCUCUCAAAAAGUGAUUGCAACCCUAACCUUUAAAUGGUAUUUAUAGAAUUUCCCUACUGGGCUUAAAUGACUUGAGCCCACUAAGGCUUGGGUCACUUAAUCUUGUAUAAAAUAGGUCUUAAUUGAUUAAUUAACCAUACAAGAUCAUCUAAUUACCUAAUUCAUGUCAAUGAGAUAAUAAAGAGAAAACAAAAAAUAUAAAUAAAUUUCUAUCUGUUACAUCAUGUCAUGCUUUUUAGGGCUCAAUCCUAAUAGGUUACACAUUAGAUAGGAUUUAUGGUGAGUCAGACAUUGGUCAUUAGGUAGUCUUGACUUCACGAAGCUACUAUGUUGCAUAAGCUCUCAACCUUGAGAGAAUAUUGAUCUAGUGCUAAGGUCUUCAAUGGCUUUGACCCAUGAGUGAGACCCUAAAGUGGUCAUAUAUUCUCUAUAAAUUGAGUCACUAUGAUUGAGGCAUGUGAUAAUGGGUAUUCUCAAGAUAAGCACCAUGAUAUCUUAAGGGAUUGAAACAUUAUAUCCCCUUAGAUGAUCAUAAGGACAUGUGAUUGUGAAAAUUAUGGUCAUAAUAAUUCCUUAAGUGGAAUUUGACAGAUGCUCUUGAAGAGAUAUAGUAUGUCAAUUGAUCACAUAAUAGGAGGAUCUAAGACUCAAGGAUUGUAGAAGUAGUCUUGAGAGGUUGAUAACAUUCAUUUUGUUAAAUUAUGGAUAAUAAUUCAUGAGGAGCUUGCAUGCAAUUGCUAGUAGGUCACAAACUGAAGUUUUCUAUCUCGGUCUAAUAUCAUAAAGAUACUAAAGUGUAGUUGACUCUCUAGAGUUAGAUUUUGAGUCAACUUUAAAAUUGGAUUUUAAGGGAGCUAGUACUUCCCUAUGGAUCCUAGUGGUUCCCACUCAAACUCAUAUUCCUUGGUCAAAAAAUAUUUGAGGAAUAGUAGGAUUCUUUAUUUAUAUGUGUGUAUAAGAGCAUUUUGGUAAAUACAGAAGGUUGCACAAGUACAUAUAAAUAGUCUUUUAAAUCAGAUAAUUAAUUAAUUGAAGCUUAAUAGAUAAAUUUAGUUAAUUAGGACCUAAUGAGUUAGAUUAAGUAACCCAAACAUAAGAUGAGCUCAAGUCACUCGAGCUAAGAGGUAAGCCUAUAUAAACUCCUUAAAGGGUUUAAGGCUUAGUACUUUUCAGCUAUUCAAUCUUCUACCUUAAUAUCUAUCCCCGUAGAGAGGAUUCUAACACCCUUGUGUAUUAGGAUACAAGAAAGAGAGUUAUCAGGCAAAAGAUCAUGAGUUAUUUGAGAUCUUAAUUAACCUCUUCACCAAUUAGAUUUAAUUCUUUGAGCACUUAAAUCUAAUAUUCAUUGUUCUGAAUUCUCCCAUUACAUAGUUCUAGCAUUUCUACGAAGAUAGUGUCAUGCACCUAAUGAUCUAGGGCUUGAAGUUAAGUAAUCUAGAUGUUCCAACACAUCAGAAGUAUAAAUUUUUUAAUAAUGUUCUCUUAUCCAUACUUGUGAAAUAUGGAAAGCUAUAGUGAAAUAACAUAUGAAGUUUAUUAGCAAGAACUCUAUUUGAGAAUUAAUUGAACUAUUGUUAAGACAUAAGACCUUAAGGAAUAAGUAGGUUUUUAAGGUCAAACUUUAGGCAAAUGAUGCAAGUUGUUAAACUUAACUCAUGAAGAAAGGCUACAACCAAAAUGAGAGUGUAGAGUAUAAAAAAAAAAAAAAAAAAAAAAAAAAGAACUUCUCAUGAGAAGUGAGGUUUGCCUCAACUCUCCUUAUUCAACCAUUAUCACAUUUUGGAUUUGAAAUUAUAUCAAAUAAACAUUCAAAUCAUUUUUUUUUCAAUGGAGAACUAAAUAAGAAGAACUAUAUAGAUCAACUAACUUGUUUUAUGGCAACUAAAUAGAAAGUCAAAGUUAACAACUACAAAGGUCCAUUUAUAGCCUACAAUAAUCAUUUAAACAAUGGUAUAUUACACUAAUGGGUUUAUGAUGGUCUAAGAACACUAUUACAUGUUUGUUAAAUGGUGUAAGGGUAGAUUCUUUAUUUUUUAUUUAUUUAUUUAUUUUUUUGUAUACAAAUGAAAUGUUAGUUAGGGAUGAUAAUGAGAUGGUUGCCUCUAAAGUGUGGUGGUCGUCAACUUUUAAAAUGAACAACAUGCUUAAAGCAAACUAUGUGUUCAAAGUUAUGAUUCUAAUCAAUCAAUCAAUGAGACUUUUUGGUUUGUUUUACAAAUCAUACACAAUGAAUAUUCUUGGAAAAAAUCUAGAUGUAAAAUUGAAAAUCUAUUAGCAUACAUAUACAGAAAGAUAAGACCUUAAGCUUUAACAUGUGUCGUAAGACUUUAAAUGAAUAGGAAAAGAUCACUCAAGGUUCCUAUAUGCUAGCAUUGUUAGUAGCUUAAAGUACCCAAUGAUGUGUACAUGAACUAAUAUUUGUUAUGUAAUUAGGUUAGUAACUUCUAAUUAGAUCUAAACCUUGCUUACAAAAAAGCAAUGGACUGGAUGCUUUCGUACCUUAAAGUCACCAUAGGCUAUAUAAUUUUCUAUUGAGGAUUGAAUUUGGACUUGAUUAGCUAUAACAAUGAUAAUUGGGGUAGCAUCCUAAAUGAACCCAAAUCCACACAUGGUUAUAAUUUUACAUAUGCUCUAUGAUGGUAGCAUAUAUUGGUGAAAUAGAAAACAAUCAUGUAUAACAUUGUCUACCAUGCAUGUAGUUAGGAGUACAUGACUUGUCGUUUAGGAAAGUGACUAGUUUAUGAUGUUCAUACAUAUUUUUCACAAUAUUGCUUGUUCUUUUGAGCAUACUACUAUUUAUUGUGAUAGCAUGGAAACUUUAGCCUAUGUCAAAGACCCCCCCAAGUAUCCAUAGUUGAACCAAACACAUCAAUCUUAAACAUUAGUUUAUAUGAGACAUGGUUGCAUAGGAACAUAUUUCUAAUUGAUAAAUGGUUAAAAAUCCCACCCUCACCCCCUUGUUGACUAAGCUAAUAUGUAAAGAUGUUUAUUAGGGUCAUGUUGAGAGCAUUGUAUUAUUUAGAUUAUGAUUACAUGGGAGUUAAGUUAAGAGCAUUGGAUCAUGUAUAUUAUGAUUACAUAUUAUAUAUUUCAAUUAACCAUUAUAUCUAUGAUUUAUUCAUUGUCCAAUCUUGUUUGAUGGUGCCAUUUAAUUAUUUGUUUUACUUUAUUGACAUACACUUUCAUUACUUUGCACAAUUGAAACAUAAUGAGUCCAAACCACUUAGAUAGUGUGUUAGAUCAUUGAUAUUUAUAAGACUCCUAUUUGUAUCCAAUAAAACUUGCAUGUUAGUAGCGACCAAGUAUAGAUAGUCCUAUAGUACACAUUUGUAAUGGAGUCAAUUGCCAAAUCUUGUUAAUGUAGUGCUUGAUUUAGUAAGCAUGUGCAAAACUUGAGUUCUUUGUUCGAUGCAAGUAAACUAAGAUUUGUACAAUAUAGAAGAUCUAAGGUACACUCAUAAUGAAGAUCUCCAUGUCAGCAUGUAUUUUCAUACUAUAUCUUCUUGGCAAUCAAACAAGAAUGAAUGAAUAUAUUCAUAGCUACUCCCUCAUCAUGUGCAUUAAUCUUAUAGGUCAUUAUAUAGUAUAACUUUUAUGCCCUUGUGAUUUUCAGUCAUAAGUUACAAGUAUGGUGUAGUUUUAAAUAUUUUUCUAAGGGGAUUCACCAUGUUUAACUCAAUGUGAAUAAAAGUGUUUAAGAUAUAACGAGACACCUUUUAGGGAUGAAUUACACUGGUUAAGAUGAAAUUUAGUUUAAUACUCUUACACCUUUCUUAUCAAUGUGUUCGACAGUUGUACAAUCCAUUAGUCAAUAUGGACAUGGAUGAUAAUGAUAUAGUUGAGAGAAAUGCAUGACGUUAUUUUGCCUACUAUGCAUGAGUGGGAAACAAUGGAGUUUCUAUUUCAUGAGAUACUCUUAGUAGAACUUCAUUAACUAAGAGCUUGAGAGUAAGUUGCAUACUUAUCAGUUAAGAUUCCUCAUGCGAGGAAAGUUUAGUUAAGAUUCCUCUCGUGGGAGGAGGUUCACAUUUAGAUUUGGUCAGAAUAUAUAAGAGUUGUUUGUCCUUUGCAAUUCCAAUUCUAGUCUUUUUGCAUGUUUUCAAUUUAGUUUGUGGCAGUUGUUAAAUACUUCUACUUUAAUUUGUAGCAAUUAUAAUUUUUAAAGCUUACUAUUUAGGUUUAGAUUUACUACAUGCUUAUUAGAUAUCUUAAUUCCUAUUGUAUUCUCCUUGGUUAAUAAUCUUUCAAUUUGAUUGUGGAGUUCAAAGAUUUUUACCAAAAUAGGGAUCGGGGUUUUCAAAGUUAGGAAAAGUAUUUAAUAAAAUUAAUUUUUGAAAAAGUUUGCAAGCUAAAUCUUUCAAUUGAACCUAAUGAGUUUACAUACUAAAUCUCUCAUUUUCAGCCUUGGUUGUUUCCACUCUUUGCAAUUUAAUUAGUUUUUUUUAAUAUACAUAUAUAUAUAUAUAUAUAGAUAAUUCAUUUUGUGUACCUAUAUACUCAAGUUUUUGAGUAAUUAUGAGUUGUAUUGUUAUAUAGUAGAAUUUGAUAAACUAAAAAUGCUUACCUUUGAACAAUCGAGUACAAUAGCACAUUUGUGUGGAUAAAUCAUAGCUACCAACUUGAUUCUCCAUGCCUCCUCUAUUAGGCUGACUAAGAAAAUGGAUUAAUUUCACAAGAACACCUUAAGAAUAAAAAUGUCAAGAAAAAGAGAAAAAUCAUGCUUCAUCUAAUUUGACUGCAAGACUUAAAGGAAAAAACAUAAUAAUAUAAUAGUUAUUAUAAUGAAUAUAAUAAAAGGAAAAAUUGUCAUGUUCUUCCCAAUACUCAUAUAACCCCUUUCAAUGAAACUUUGUAAGCUCUACUAAUACAAAAUAAUGGUUCAUAUAGUAAAAGCUCAAUAAAUGAAUCUUUGAUAAAUUGAUAAUCUUACUUAUAAAACAAAAUCUUCUAGUCUUAACUCAUACCAAUGUACUAAAUUAGCAAUCUCGUUAAAUACAUAAGAAAAAUAUUUUCAAAAAUCAUUAAGGGCUCAAGAAAUAUAAACUAAUAAUUGAUGAAGUAGAAACAAAAAUUUAUAGUAUAGCAAAUAGAACUUCGUAAUAUAGUAUUAAGUAAUUUUUCAUAACUUUUGUUUUUCUAAAUUCACUUCUUUUAGAAUUAUCACAUAUUUGAAAUAGCUUUAUCUUUUUCAACAUUAAGUUUUGAUGCCACAUCUUUUUUUAGGAGUCUUUUUAUCUUUAAUUUACAAUCAAUAACUUUUUUUUUUCUUCAGUCUCUUAGGUUUCUAUGUAUUAACUUUUUACCAUGUUUAUUAUUUUUAAAUUUAUUAAGUCAUACAUGUACUAAUAAUGUACAGUAACAACAUAAUACUCUUCAUCAAUUAAUAAAUAUUCAUUUAUCUAUAAAUCAAUAACCUUGCUAAGAUCAUAAUUUUUCUUAGUACCAAGAGUACUAUUUUAUAAGAGUUUUUCUCUAUAUAGUUCCUUCAUUGUAGGAAUUUCUUUGGGUUAAUAUUACUAAAGUUGUAAUUUUAAAAAACAUAUAUAAUGGAAAUGAAGAGAAAUUUGAAAUCUAUGAAUUAGUGUUUUAUAUCAUUCUUUUUUCCUAUGAAUGCUAAAGCCAUUGUCAAAUAAAAAGAGUAAAUAAAAUAAUUAAUCAAGUAAUUAGUUGAAAGUGAAAUAGGUGACUUAAAACUAUUGCUUUGGUACAUGUUUGUUUGAGGUAAAUAUAGUAGAUAAUAAGAAAUAAAAUCCUCUAACUAUGUUUAUUUGAUAGAAUAAAAAAGUGAGUGUGUGGUUGCUCCAUAGGAGAAGACCACAUGUUAACCAAAGAAUAAGUAACUAGAAAGCUUACACAAGUGUUAAAUGAUCAAUUUCUCACCUAAGCACAUUAAUGAGAACUAAAUGUUGAAGGUCCAUGCCUCCAUGUGGGGAGACCUUAAUUGCUACCUUAAAGGGGCAGUUUAAAAGUGGUCACAUCCUCUAUGCCAAGUUAGUAUUCCAAAAACUAAGAAAGUUAACCUUUGAGUUGAUGCUUAUUUGUUUGGUAGUUUCCUCAUUCUUCUUACUAACUUGACCUUUGAAGGCUCUAUGACUGUAAGGAGCCUAGAGUGGUCACUUUAGGUUCCUUAUUAUUGUAAGGUCCUAACCAUCCAUUGAAGUAAGAAAGUGAACUAAUACUUGGAAAAAUGGUGUCAUCUAUGGUGAAGAUACAAAAAUUCAGCUCACCAAAAAAUCUUAGUAAAGCUACUAAAAAACACCCCACCCCGAGGCAAGGACCUUCAUUUUAGUACUCCUUGAGGUCUACCCAAAUCAAAGACCCGACGUUGAAGAAAUGAAGUCAACUAAACUUAGUUCCAUGCAUGAUAAGGUUGAAAAGCCUGCAUAAAAACCUACAGAAAGCUUGCCUCUUUAUAAGAAUAACUUGAACAUAAAAAGGAAGAAGACCUAUAAAAGGAAAUCAUAAACAACAAAGAAAAAGAAGUUUUUCCCUCCUUUGAAAAAGCUUUCUGUGAAUGCAAAAACCUAUUUUUUUUUUUUUUAUCAAGAAACCUUCCUUUGUAUCCAAAAAUUGGUGGAAUAAAAAUUUUUAAUUACAUAUGAAGAGUUUUAGCUUCUUCAUAUGGGAAUGCAUUAAAAGCCUUGAAGACAUUGUUUAGAUCUAUAGCAACGGUUAGGCAAUAGAAGACUAUGUAAUAGAGUCUUGGUAGGAAAAUGUAAUCAUGAUAGAAAUGAAGUGGAGCAAUGAGUGAGAGCAAACCAUUCAAUAAAUGAAGAAGCUCACUAAAAGAAGCAAUCGACUCAUUCAAGAAAAUGUUGCCUUCAAGGUAAGGGUAAACAAAUGCCAAUGUGAUUUUGACUAGGAACUCUCAUUGGUAAGCACCAAUAAGAUGCAAGUUAAUGAAUAAUAGUUAUCAAAGCAAUUAGACCAACAUAUAGAUUAAAUUGGGAGAGAAAGGUGAAGCAAACCUUAAUUAAACUAACCAAAUAGACCACCUUGCCAGAGGUCCCAAUGCUCUAAGGGCUUCUUACCACUAAAGCUACCACAAAAUGCAUAAUCUUAGUGGAUAAGGCGAUUGAGGCUAAGUCCCUUUAGGAGGAGGAGGAGGCCACAUGAGGGUUUUCCCUCCCUAAGUUUAAUUUCUUUCAAUGAAACUAAAGGCACUCUAGAUAACUCAUGCAUUUCUAUGCAUAUGAUGAUCUUAGAGAAGGGAAAUGAUCGACUUUUAUGCAAAAUCUUCUCCUUCAUCCUCCAAGGACUAACUUUGUAUUGUUUUAUCAACUUACCUUAGAGUUUGUUCCUGAUAUUGAGACCCUAAGGGCGAUGUCUGCCUCCUAGUACAUGCACUUAACAAGACAAAAGAAAAGCCUCAAAUAACCCAAGGUAGUUAUAGCUACCAUCCAUGGUGGCUCAUCUACUAGAUUUGAGUAACUAGACAGGGUAUCAAGAUGUUACAGAAGCAUAUGGCGAUUGAAGCAAAAGUCCUCACAUCCUUGCAUGAAGCAACUACCACUUGUCCAUAUGUCAUAUGCUUCUCUAAUAAAGACUUAAAAGGAGUCCAAACCCUGCCCAAGAUCCAUUGGUUAUUACUUUAAGAAUUAUUGAAUACAACAUGCACCUAUUCUUAGUUGACCUAACAAGUUUAGUUAACUUGCUAAAUAUAUUAGCCCAUAUAUGAACAAAUGAAUAUGGACGAAGGAAAACUAGUUUCAAGUCUUGGGUCAUUAGUGGGACUAGACAAAGUCCUAUGUGGCUCAACUAGGGAAGCAGCUCUAAUGGUUUCAAUUAGUUGUUGCCAUAUAAUGACACAAUUCUUUGUUAUGGAUAUCCUUUUCCCGAUAAUGCCAUUAUGGGAUGAACAUGGAUAUACAACCACAGAGGAACACUAUUCACAUACCAUCAUACAAUUAAAUUCCUAACACUACAAGGAAUAUGGGAAAUAUAUCGGGACUAGGUGGCAACAUGAGUAUGCUACACCAUACCCCUUAAAGCAGUCAACAAGUGCAUCAACCAGGACCUUUAGGAAGUUCAUAAAUCAAAACUCAAAUACAAAUUAGUAGGUGACCCAAGAAAGCAAUUAGAGAACCUAUGGAUUCAUUAUUUGAAAGCCCCUAAACCUAGGAGGUUCCUUCUAGUCCAUGUAAAAAAAAAAAAAAAGGUUUAAGAUGGCUACUAGAAAAAAACACAUCUUUGCUAGGAAACUACAGGACAUCAUGGGCAUUGAUCCCCAAGUCACAUGUCAUCGACUCAACAUAAACCCUAGUGUUUAGCUCCUUAAAAACAUUAGAUUGUGAAAGAAAUGGUAUUUAGGCUCUUAGAUGCUAGAUUUGGUCAUCUAGGUCUUUUAACAACAAAUAGAAGUCAGUAUGCUAGUUUACAUUAAUAACAUGUUAGUAACAAGUAAGAAGAGGAAUGAGUACCUGAUUGACCUCCUAAGAACAUUUCAAACUCUUAGAAAUUACUAAAUGAAGCUAAAUUAGUGAAGUGCACCUUCAAAUGUAGGGUAUGGAAAGUUCCUUAGGUACUUGGUUACAUACAAAGGAAAAGAAGCUAACCCAAACAAAAUAAAAUCAACUUUGGAGAUACCAAUGACCAAAAGGGUUGGAGAAGUCCAAAAGCUCACUAACAAGAUUGGUUCUUGAAAUGGAUUUAUAUAUUGGACAAAAAAUAUAUGUCCUCCUUUAUUUGACAUUAGCAAGAAGGGAAAAUGGACUAAAGGAACCAAAAAAUGCAACUAAGCCUAUGAAUCACUAAAGCAUUACAUGAUGCUAACCUUCACUUUGGAUAAACCUUAGGAUAAGGAGGUCUUACAAGGUCUCAUUAGUAGUAGUAAGUGGAGUGUUAUCUCAAAAAAAAAAAAAAAAAGGAAAAGAGGAGCAACCAAUGUACUAUGUCUAAAAGGCCCUCUUAGAUGUGGAAACCUGAGAUACAUAUAAAUAUUGAAAAACCGAUGCUUGCCCUUUAGAUUGCCACAUUGAAGCUUCAAUGUUACUUCCAAGUGCAUGUUAUUAAGGUAAUGACAAAGUGAUGAGAACUCAAACUUAAUACUUUAAUGGCUUUAAAGAGCCCACUUUAGUGUGUUUGAGGUACCAAAAAAUUAACCCAAGGUUUUGUUUUUUUUUAUAAUACCUUAGAAAAUUAUGUUUGAUGCAUUCUAUGACCAUUCUACAUUCUUUAAGGUGUUUUUUUGUUAGGAUAGAGUCCUUAAAAGUAUGAUAUGAUGUAAUAAAUUUGGAAUUCAAUAUUUAUUUAAUGAUGUUCUAGUUUCACUUUUAUCUAUCCUUAUUCCAUGUAUUGUACUUUAUGAGCAUUCUUAUCUACAUUUUUUGCAUUGCAUGUGACUUAAGUGCAUUAGGAGUUGCACAGAAGAUCUAAGUCAUGGGUUCCUUGCAAAUAGAUUACUUGUUCACAUUCAGUUCAUGGGCGUAGGCAAACCAUUAGAGGUUGCAAUGCGCCACCUCCUAAUUGGAGGGAUGGUUGGUCUUGACUAUUGGGAUGAGUUUUCCAUGAUGAGUGCACUAGUGUGUAUGGUUGCACAUUGAACAGGACCUAUGGUGAUUUAUGACUUAAACCUAUCGAGUAGUCAUGACUCCAUUGAGCUACUUCAUUGUAUUAUCUCUCAAACUUGAGAGAAUAUUGAGUUUGUGCUAAAGUUAAUAGUGGCUUUGGCUUAUAAGUGAGGUCGUAAGCUGAUCAUAUAUUCCCUAUGGAUCAGGUCACUAUUGAUGGAAGUCGAUAGCAAUGGGUAUUCUUAAUAAAGGCACCAUGAUAUCUAUUGGGAUUGAGAUAGUGUGUCCCUUGGGUGAUCUUAAGGAAGUGUGUUCAUGGAAACUUUGGCUAUAGUAGUUCCUUAAGUGGAAUUUGACAUAGACUCUUUGAGAGCUAAGAUAUGUUAAUUAAACACACAAUAGGAAGAUCUGUAACUCAAGGAUGGUAGAAGUAGUCUUGAAAGGCUGAUAGCUUUCACCUUGUUAGACUAUGAACACCAAUUCAUAGGGAGAUUAAACACAAUGGACAGUAGGUCAUGAACCCAAGCACUUAGUGUCUCCGUUGUUAUUUACAUAAGAUACCGGAGUUCAUUUGAUUCUUUGUAGUGGGAUGUUGAAUCAACUUUAAAAUUGGACUAUAAGGGAGCUAGUAUUCCUGUAGGUCCUAGUGGUCCUCGCUAUAAGCUCAUAUUCCUUGUUACAUGGGUAAUGAGGGUUGGAUUGACUUUAGGUUCACUUUUGUGCAUAAGGGCAUUUUGGUAAUUAUGCAAGGUUGUAUAGGAGUAAGUCAUCAAGGUCUCUGAACUGGGCUAAUUGAUUAAUUAGUAGGCCCUAUUGGGUUAGUUAAUCAAUUAGAACCCAUUUUAAACUAGAUUAAGUGACUUCAACCCAUGUGGGCUCAAGUCACUUAAGUCCACUUAGAAACCCUAUAAAUAACCCCUAGGGGUUAGGGUUUCCAUAACUUUUGUCUUCCAUCAUCCAGAGAGAUAGAGAGCCAUAGCCUCCACCAUUUUUUCCUCCUUAUCGAAAGUGUUCCAAGAUCAAGGUUCGAGUCAUUUGGCAAAAGACUUCGGGUUUACGAGACUUCUAUGAUUUCAAUUUUCAUCUUCACCAUGUGGAUUUGAUUCGGGAACACCUAAAUCUAAUGUAUGGUUUUCUUUAGCACUUUUUGAAUCCUUUUUAAGUAUAAAAAUGUUAUUUUUCCAUUGUGCAUAAGAUUUAGAAAAAGCCUAAGAUAGUUAUGCAUGUUCCUAACUUGAUCCGGACUUGGGAAAUGGAGAGAGAUUCGGGUUUUUCCCAUCAUUUUUGGUGCAAUAGAACCUUGUUAGGAAAUCAUAUAGACAAAAAUGCCUAAGUAAGGAGGAAACAUAGAUUGCACACCUAAAAGGUGUGCAAGACUUAAUCAUGCAAUUCUUUCUUAGUGUAAAGCCACAUAGUGCACCUCCCAUGUAUACCUUAAAGACCAAACACACAAGAUCUCUCUAAUGCAUUGGACCAAAUUUCACACCCUAUUCAAGCAACCCAAUCUGCAAACCUCUUAAGUGCUUUAAGCUAAGAUGUUGUGCACCCCCUUACUUGAGUCAACAAGAUGUGUAGUAGUGCAGCCCCUUGAUGUCAUCUAAAUUACAAACCAUUCUUACCUCUACAAUAGCUAAGUACUUAAUAAUUCUUCUAAUGAUUGGCUUACACACCAAAGUAGUAUGUUGUUUAUACCUCAAAGUCUUCAAUUGUACUACCUAAACGUACCUAAGCCAAAUUACAUAGAGAAAAAGAUGCAACUACCGACCAUAAGCUAACACAUCAAGAAUGAUGGCGGGUUGAUUGCAAUGACAAAGGACUUGACCCUUAAUAUAAGAAGAGACAAGUCUUGAGGAGGGGGGGACAAGUUUUGCCUAUAAAUGGAGGAUUGUGAAUAUACAAGUGGAAGCAAAUUAUAGAAAGUGAAAUUGUAGAUAAGUUUUUUCUGCUUGUGGGAACAAAAGUAGGAAUAAGAAUAACUUAAUGUAAUUUUAGUUUUUAAUUUUCCACUGUAAUCUUUUCUUUUCAUUAUAAAUGUUCCCUAAUUUCUAGUUUAAUGAGUUUUCUAGUCUUUUUAAUUAACAUCACAUUUCAGUUUUUCAAUUUCAACUUACAAAUUUGCAUUUUUAGUUCUUUACUUAAUUUUAACAUGCUUAGAUAACCUUUAACACUCUAAGGGGUGAGAGGAGCUCAAGUCUCCCAUAUCUUAGUUUAGCUCUCUAUUGGUUUAUCUGUGCAUUAGUUACAAGCAAUAUGAUCUCUAUUAGUAAUUAUAAUGACCAAAAGAAGUAACCAUGGGGAGAAAAGUCUAUGUUGCAUUGGUUGUGAGCGUUGUAAGUCAAGCAACCUUGGAAGCAUACUUAGGCAUUGUUUUAAUGAUUCUUUCAACUAAGUAUAGGCCUAUUGACAUGAAAAGAAUUUAUCUAAAUCAUUUGGUUAUAAGGAUAUUAAAAAAAAAAAAAACAAUUAGAGGGAGAUGAACGUUAUUAAGGUGGUUCUUGUUCAUUUGAAGCAGGAAACCUUUUUGGUAUAAAUCCUUGCUUUGACCCUAAAUCUGAAAGCAUAAGUUCAAAGCCUUGUUGGUGAGUUGUAUCUAAAAGUGGUGAUCCUAGUGAAUCUCUAGGUUUGAGGUUUUCUUUCCUUUAAUUUUCUAUCUUUUAAACUUUGUGUGUGUAUGUCUAUUUUAUUUAUAAAAUCAUUUUUCUAAUCUUUUAGCUAACAUUCACACCCCUAAAGCUAUUACCUUAGUUGCUACCAAUUAAAGUUCCUUGUGGAGGCAACCUAACAAUUAUAAAAUUAUUAAUUUUAUUUUUUUAUUUUUGGUUAAGGAGUUGAAAGUUUCAAUGAAUGAUCAAGUUUAAUUUCUCUUUGUAAAACUUAACUAUUAAAUAUAUUUCCUAGUUUUGAUAAAAGAAAUGAAUUAGAGAAUGACAAACCAAAAAUUAGUGUCGUCACUAGGGUACUUUCAACAUUGAUGACUCUAAAGGUAUUUUUGUGUAUAUGCUUGUUGUUUUAGAAGCUUAACAAGUAUAUUUCACCCACUCCCCACCUCUCUUUUAGUUGGAUUUUUUUCUUUUUUUACAUAAUUUUUUUUCUUUGGAUUUUCUUUUUCUACUCAGUUAGCAUUUUCAAUUGUUAAAUCCAACAUUUCCAGCAUUUUCUUUAAAGUGAUAUGAUGUAUUAGGGAAAUGAUUUUAAAGGAAGGGAACUAAGAGUGCAUUUGGGAGCGAUUCUACAAAGCAUUUCUAACAUUUCUAACACUUGAGUGAUAAAAAUUUUCAAGUAUUAUGAAUAUUAAAAGUGUUUCCUAGAAUCACUUCCAAAUAGGUUCUAAGUAAUCAACUAGAAGAAACAAUUUUAGAGGAAGGACACUAAGUAAUUAACCAAAAAAAAGUGAUUUUAGAGGAAGGACACUAAGUAAUCAACCAACCCCUAGUUAUCCUUUUCCUCAACACACCAAACCACCACCGUCUCAUAUCUAUUUUCCAAAUUCAACUAUUGGUGGUACUAAUAGAAGUGUGAUGAAUGGGGGUUUUAACCCCAAUAACUAGCCACCUAAGACCAUGAGGGAUUACCUAGUCGGGCCAAUGCUCCUUUUUGCUUGAUAUUUUUUUUUACGCUUUUCAAAUAAACAUUGAGCUUGAAAUGAUCCAAUUUCUAUCUCUAUUUUAUGGAAGGGAGGACGAAAAUCCUUUUUCUUAUUUAAAAGAAUUUGAAUAGGUAUGGUUUAUUUUGGUAGAACUGGAUUUGAUAUCUCUAUUUUAUGAGCCUUCAUGAAACCUGGAUCAUUCGAAACUCAAGGUUUUCUUUUUUCAUUAAAGAAAGAGGAUAAGCAUUGGUGGUAUAGCAUGAGACUCUAUAGGAUAAGUUCUUAGGAUACUUGAUAAAAUAUUUUUUUCACAAAUUUAUUUUGGUAUAUAAAAUUGUUUCCUUUGAAAGACAAAUUAAAAUUUUUUGUUUUAUAGAGAAUGAGACUUUUCAUCAUUGUUAUGAUUAAUUUAAAGCUUUUUUGUUUAACUUCCUUACCAUAGUUUUGAAAACUCAAGGAUUGCUUCUUCUUUUUAAAGGGGACCAUCCCCCUAAAUGAAAUAAUUUGUUGAAAACAUGACUGGUGGGUACUUUAUACAGGAGAAACCAAAAGAAGCACUUAAGCAUUUAAAAUUGCUUGCUGAAAAAUCAAGGGUUUGGGACCCCUUAGUCCUCAAGUGCAUCUUCUAGAACGUGAAAGCCAACCCCAACAACAUCUAAUCUCUCAUCUCAUCUCUCAAUUUAUCAUUUCCCCUUAGAACAAGAGUUUUGACGAAGAUGAUUUUUGGAUGCUGUAAGAGGACGAAGCCACUGAAGUUAAGGAAAAGGAAACUGUGUACAUAGCAGUUGAAAAGAAUUUGAAGAGAACUUCCAACAGGUUGCAAAUAAGGUUAUAAGCUGCAUUUUUUCUUCUUUUCCAAAAAAAAAAAAAACCAAAGAUAGAAAAAGAAAUCCGUAAAGAGCAAGAAACAGAGGAGGAGUGGAGCAAUGUAUUGCAUGAUCACACCUACUUUAUUUGUUUCUCAAUUCCCUUCUCUUUGCAACCCAAAAAUGUUGAUCUUCAAGGUAUCAUCAGAGGGCUUCUCAAUAUCUCUUCUAAUGAAAGUGGCUCUUAACUAGAGGGGAGGGCAUCCCAAAAAUUUUAGGAAACCAUGAAGAAAAAUUUAUCAAAGUGGAUGCUUCCAAUCUACCUGUGGGAAGCAAAGAAAAAGUGAACCAUUGGCUAGCUAGAAGCUAGCCAAAAACUUGUAAAUAGCUUUCAUUUUUUUUUUUCUUUAUUAUUUUUGUUUUUAUUGCUUUGGCCAAUUUAGUGUGUAGGAGCACCAUCAUUGUGAAGCCUAUAAUAUUAUGUUCUCAGUCCACUCAAUACAUUUGGGUAACCUUUAUCAUCUCAUAAGAACUCAAGUAUAAAUUUCUCUAUACUCUAUUGGUUUUAUCAUACUUCAGAGUAGGUGUAAAUUGUUAGCACCAGGAAAGUGUAGGACAUAUAGGAAUUGCGCACUUUUGAGGUUUGCUAACCCAACUUGUAUGAUGACUUAAAUUACGUAUCUGUAGAGCAUAACUCAAAUUGUACACUUUGAAAGCAUGACUGAAAUUCCACACCCUAAGAGAUUAAUUUAAACGGUGCAUCCAAAGGAGCGCAACCAAAAAUUGCACACCUUUAAGUGCGCAAUCAUUUCCCAAGGGAUGCCUACUUAUUCUCUUUUGUAUUAUUGUCCAAGCACGCCAUCCAUAAUAAAAAUCUUUAUUCUCUUAUGUAAACUUUUUGGAAGAAAAAUGCCUUCCCAAAUAAAACCAUAAUUGCUUAGAGACUUUUGUCCACCCCACCAUCAUAUCAAUUGAGGUAACCGAGAAGUCUUCUAAGUUUUAUAUAAAAGAAGUAAUUUUCACUAAAGUAGUCACUGCAAUAAAUACUAAAAUAAUCCAACGAAGCAUUCAGUGGAAUGAGCAUAUUAUAAAAUUGUACAUGGGAACCCGACAGUAAUUCAUAUCAAGAAAGUAGAUAGGGGAUAGUAAAUAUAGCUCACCAUGAAACCCCACCAUUAGAGCUCUGUACAGAAGUUCGAAUCCAGGCUUGUCUGCGAAAGGACUUGGAUCUACAUCAUCUCUGGUGACGCUUAAUAAAUAUGAAGUCAGCUCUUUAUGACCAUACCUAACAGCGCUGUGAAGAGGCGCAAAAUUGUGGCGUUGGCAGAUAUUGGGCAAGCUUGGGUUUCUGUUCACUAACAACUUGACUGCUUUUAUAUUGCCAGCCCUUGCAGCGUUGAAAAGGGUAGUGGCGCCAUCAGAAUCCCGCAGAGCCAGUGCCUCACUUGGCAUAAACUCAACGAACUUCUCCACGAAAUCCAUUCUGGCCUCUCCUAACUCAACUGCUAUGUGAAGCAUUGGGGAAUCAUCUGUUCCAAUCGGGGCGGAGAAUGAUUUGGGAUCAUCCGCCAAUAAUUUUGAAGCACUUUCCCAGUCACCAUUGAGCACAGCUUUGUACAGUUCCAAGUAAUAGAAUUCUGCAGUCACAAAACCAAAAGAUGUAUACCUCGCAGAGAAGAUACUCUCAUCCAAAGAGAAACAACAGCAGCCCCUUUUUCCCAGAGUCUUCAAAAGAUACAGGAAAUGGGCCAGGAACCAUUGAAGCAUAAGAGGUGCAAUGAUAGAGUCUUCCAAGUCAACUUUAUUUAGUUGAGUAUUGGGUCAGGAGUAGAUAUAGCGUUGAAACGUUAUGACUGGUGGAUGAUAGUCAUUCAAAAUAAACAAAGAAAAUUAGGGGGUAACUUUGAGCCGUUUGUUUUCGCAUGAUUUCUUCUGACUCUGUUGCUGGGCAUAGACCUCGACUGCCAUACAAGCACAGUCACCAGCGGCUGCCGUGGGAAUUAAUCCUAUGCACCACACAUUGCUAUGAUAGUUUACAAUAACUAAUUAUAUAAAAUCUGUUAAAAUAUUUUAUAUAAUUAACUUUUUGGAAUUUUUUUUUUAUCAAGUAGUAAAAUAAAGAAAAUUUAGGAAAAAAAUAUUUUUGAAAAAUGAUAAGUUUAAAAAAACGAUAAAGUUUUUGUAAAAUAUAGAAAAGGAUACAAGGCUAUUAAAUCAUAAUUAUAUGAUAACCUUUUAGUAUUUCAAUCUUUGAAUUUUUUUUGGAGAUUAUUUCCAUAAAUUCCACAUUCCAAAAACAAUGAUAAUCUUUACACAAUAUUAUUGUCAUAAAAAAUAAAAUUUUUUAAAAAAAUUAGAGAUUACAAAGAAUAUAAGGAUACGAAGAAUGUGAGAAUUGUCAUAUUUUUCGUACCCUCCUCACAUUCUUCAUGGCCCAACCCAUUUGAAUUUUUUUAUUUUUUUAUUUUUUUCAAACAUUAUUUACUUCACUUGCAAGUGUAAUUAGUGUUUUUACACAAUAUUAUUGUCAAAUGAAGUAAACAAAAAAAUCCUUAUUCUCUUAUGUAAACUUUUUGGAAGAAAAAUGCCUUCCCAAAUAAAACCAUAAUUGCUUAGAGACUUUUGUCCACCCCACCAUCAUAUCAAUUGAGGUAACCGAGAAGUCUUCUAAGUUUUAUAUAAAAGAAGUAAUUUUCACUUCCUUUUGCAUGCACUCAAACAAGAACACACACAAUAACGCAACAUGAAAACUCCAAAGAAUCUUAAAACCAAAACACUGAGCCUAAAUAAGAUAAGGAAGUGAGAUAAAAAUGAACAAUCAAGCCAAUUUGUUGAAGUCAAUAGGCACAAUACUAAAAUAAUCCAACAAGCAUUCAGUGGAAUGAGCAUUUGGACAGAAAGGGAACACAUUAAAUUUAAAAGCACUUGAAGCUAGCAAUGGGUGAUAUUGAUAUUUUUGGUCAAUCUCACCCUCAGUGCAGAAUUCCAAAUUGUUUCCAACUUUUCUGUAAUAUUUUUCUUACAUUUUUAUAUUAUCCAAAGACAGAAAAUUAAUUAUUCCUUUCAAGUUUUUUUUUUCUUUUUUAUUUAUAGGACAUAGCUAAACAGGAUUAGCAUAAAAGAAAAUAACUUGACUUAUAAACAAAAGCAAAGGAGAUGCAAUGGCAAACACAAAGCAAUUUAAAAGGGGCAAGCAGUAAAGAAACUAACAAUGAUAUAUUAUGAGUUGCCAUAAGUUGAAGCGACUUCCACUUGGGAAAGCCCAAGGCCUUUUAGCCAAUACUGUCAAAGGGGCAAAAUCCUCAUCAGAAUCAUUAGCAUCAUCGUGGCGGGCGGAAUCGAAAUGGCAUGUGGCAAGGUCAGGAUAACGUUCAACCAGAUACAGUGCUACAUCUGCAUAUUAUAAAAUUGUACAUGGGAACCCGACAGUAAUUCAUAUCAAGAAAAUAGAUAGGGGAUGGUAAAUAUAGCUCACCAUGAAACCCCACCAUUAGUGCUCUGCGCAGAAGUUCGAAUCCAGGCGAAUUUGAGAAAGGAUAUGGAGGUUCAUUAUCUCUGGUGACGCUUAAUAAAUAUAAAGUCAGCUCUUUAUGACCAUACCUAACAGCGCUGUGAAGAGGCGCAAAAUUGUCGCGUUGGCAGAUAUUGGGCAAGCUUGGGUUUUUGUUCACUAACAACUUGACUGCUUUUAUAUUGCCAGCCCUUGCAGCGUUGAAAAGGGCAGUGACGCCAUCAGAAUCCCGCAGAGCCAGUGCCUCACUUGGCAUAAACUCAACCAACUUCUCCACGAAACCCAUUCUGGCCUCUCCUAACUCAACUGCUAUGUGAAGCAUUCGGGAAUCAUCUGUUCCGAUCAGGGCGGAGAAUGAUCGUGGAUCAUCCUUCAAUAAUUUUGAAGCACUUUCCCAGUCACCAUUGUGUUGGGGAUAAAUGUAUGCCCAAGAUCCAAUCUAUCAUGUAAUCAACUUUAGUUUUAAUAAGGUAUUAAUUCUUUAUUUCAUUAUCAUAUCUGUUUAAAAUAGUUUAUAUGAUAAGGUCCUUGAUUAAAAUUUGAAAAUUGUUAUCAUGAUAGAGAUUAUGAUAAUGAGAAGCAAUUCUUUUAAUAAUUUUAAUCUAAACUGUUCUUGAUCAUAGGAUUAUUGUCAACAGGACAUCAAUAAUCCAGAUAGAUCAAUAUAUAUGUGAUGGUCUUUAUUGGAUAAAGAUUGAUAUAUCUCAUUUGUUAAAUUACAUAUAUAGAUGAUGCACAUGUAGAUGUGAUCAUUGAACUGACUCAACUGAGAAUUUCUAAUGGUCAUCUUUACCUUAAAUUGUCAAUAGGAAUUUCUCAAGAAGAAAUAUAAUAGUUUUCUUUGACCUGAGAUUAUCAAAGUAAUUAACAAGUUAUUUAUUAUAUUUUAAUCCCGGACACCUAAUGCCUUAGGGCACUAGUUGAAUGGAUAUUGGAUAUAAUUAAAUACUUGUAGAAUUAAUGAUUAAUCAAGAAGGAAUCCAUCAACUCGUGGUAAUGAGUUUGAGCUCUAUGAUAAAAAUAAGACCUUGGCCAAGGGCAAUUGAAUGAAUGAAGAAAUGAGUUUCUUAAGUUAUUCACUAAAUAAAUAAUGUGCUGACUUAUUAGAGUUUGACAGUAAUACCAUACUCUAGAGUUAGCCCAGAGCUGUGAAUGAUGGAAGGAAAUAUUACAUUAUUCUUCUACCGGUUCUUGAAAGUAAAAGAUAUUACUUCAUACUAUCUGGACGUUAAGGAGUGUUGCUAGAUGCCUACCUUAAUUAGUAAAUUGAUUUGAUUAAUUUACUACCAGCUUAGUAAUGAACCUACGGGGUUACACACAAACGAGUGUUUUAAUCUUUGCAAAGAACUAUUUAUUAUUAUUUGAUAAUUAAAUUAGAGAAUUUAAUUUUAAUCAAAUAAAUAAAUAUGUUCUAUGUGGAAUAUUAUUAUAUUCUUUGCUAGCACCAAGAAUAUAAUUAAUAUAUAGAUAAAAAAAUAAAAUAUUUUUCUUUGGACGUGGAAGUUAGUCCACGAGAAUGUUUGCUAAACAUUUGCAAACAUAUGGGUACAUGCAGCAACUUACAGGAGGGAUGUGGGUUUUGUUUUUAACUUACAAGACUUGGUCAAAGUGUUUUUCAAAUGCUAUUGAAAAUAGCAAAAGAAAAACAAAUGGACCAAUAGAAUCUCUUAGUAGCCCAAAAAAGAAGGAGGACACGAUAGAGAUAGAUUAAGUGAUAAAAUCAAAAAUCAAAUUAGUUGAGUUAUCUUAUCACUUAAAACAGAAGUUGUAUCGGAUAUGCUAUAUAGCAUAUAUACACAAUCUGAAUAAGGAUCGAUCUAUCUUUAUCCUCCUUGUUUUUACGCCAAAGAAAUACAAAGUGUUGUUCUAUUUUUUUUAAGUUCCGCGUAUCAAAGGGUUGAUAGCAAAGAUUAAUUUCGGUGUGGAUACACGUAGAGUCUUCAUACAAUUGGAGAAAAUUUUAUGCUUGAAGAACUGAUAUCCAGGUUAUUAUUUUAAAUUUUUUGAUAGCUGCAGUAUAUAUUUUGAAUGCAAAAUAGAUCAAUUUUCCGCUGUAUGUGUUAUAAAUUUAUUUUAUAACCUUUCAAUUGGUAUCAGAGCCAGGUUUAUUUUUGUGUUUAAAAUUAUACUACCAAUAUAAUUUUCGUGACGUGAAAGCUUUAUCCUCUGUUAUUGCUGUUCAUUAGACUGCAACAGUUGCAGAAGUAAAGAUUGAUGCGACAAUUGCUUAUUGCUUUUCUGUUGAUAUACGUGCCUAAUAGAUAUUUCAAAUUUAUAUUCACAUGCUGAAGUAUUACUUUUUGAAUUAUAUAUAUAUGUGAUCUUUUACUUUGAAUCCCGCAUGCAUAUAUAUUUUUAUAUGCUAAAGUCUUGUCAUGCUUUAUCAUUGUGAUAAGUAAAAGUUGAUUCAAAUAAAUGAUCCUCUGUCUUGCCAUUUAUCUAAUAUAAAAUAUAGUAAUAUAUAGUUGAUAUAUUUUGACUUACGUUUUAUUAAAACUAUUUGGCUUUAAUAUGAAUAUAUAAAUAUACAUGUACCUGGAGAGGUAUAAUUCAUUAUUGAUUUUGUUGAAUUAUUAUAUAUAGUGAUAUAUAUUAAUUCUUUGAUAGAUGAAUUCUAUUCAUGUAUAAUAAUGUGUUUAUGUAUAUUUGCAAGUUGUGUAAAUUUUUUAGCAUGUGAUGAAAUUUUUUUUAUUAAUAACAAGGAACGACCUGAUAACCAGGAGACUUGUAAUUAAUUACAGCAUGUAUGUUUAAAAUAAUUUUAUACUUAAUGUCUGGACUACCCAGAGAAGUAUUAAAUUAAAUUCAUAGAUAUUAAUAAGUUUGACCUGACAACCAGGAACUUAUGUAAUAUAUUAUUCUUUUGAAAUUGUAUGAGAUACAUUUUGUCUUAGAAUAUGUAUGAGAAACGACUUGAUAACCAAGUGGCUUAUUCAUAGUUUUAAGAAAUUAUAUAUGUUUUGACAUAAUUAUAUUUUAAUAUCCAGAAUGUCUUCCUUAUCACUCCGUUCCAUACUUGAAACUUCAAAAUUGGUUGGAGCCAAUUAUGAUGACUGGUACCGCAAUCUGAGAAUUGUUCUCAUGCAUGAAAAACUUAUCAAUAUAAGUGAUAAGCCUGCUAUAACUGCACCAGCUGACACAAAUCAUGCUGAAGCAACCAAGACCUAUCAAAAUACUUGGAAGAAUGUCUUUCUGCAAAAUGCAUAAUGCUAGCAUCCAUGAGUCCUGAACUUCAGAGGCAACAUGAGGAUAUGGAACCACCUGCAAUCAUCGAGCAUCUUAAGAAGAUGUACGGUGGACAAAGUAGGACAGCUAGAUACCAGUUAUCUAAGGCUUUGUUCAGGUCCUCAUUAGGUGUAAAUGCUCAAGUUGGACCCCAUGUUCUGAAGAUGAUUGAUCUUAUUGAACAACUUGAGAAGUUGGGGUGCACGCUUGGAAAGGAACUUUCUCAAGAUUUGAUUUUACAAUCACUUCCUGAUUCUUUGUCACAAUUCAUUGUGAAUUUCAACAUGAACAAAAUGAGUUGUGAUCUGCAUGAGAUGCUUAACUUGUUAAUUGAUUAUGAGAAUCAAGUUUCCUCUGAAAAGAAUAAAGGAAUUGUCAUGGUGGUUGGCAAGACUUCUAAGAAAAAGGGCAAAGGUAAAUAUAUACCAAAAAGGAAACCUCUUGGAACUAAGGGUGGUGUGACCAAACCCAAAUACAAGAAGGUUAAAACUGACCACAGUGAUGCUGAAUGCUUCUUCUGUAAAGAGAAAGGACAUUGGAAGAGAAACUGCAAGAAAUAUCUUGAUUCUUUGAAAAACAAGAAACAAGGUAAGACAUUAAUGAAAAAUGUUUUCAUGAUUUCUUUAACUGUCACAGAUUCUUCAACAUGGGUAUUAGAUACCGGUAGUAGUUUUAACAUCUACAAUAUGUUGUAGGGGCUGAAGAUAACUAGAUGGUUGAAGAAAGGAGAAAUCAACCUUCAAGUAGGGAAUGGAGCAAAUGUUGCCGCCUUAGCUUUAGGAUCAAUUUCUUUAAAUAUGCCCACUGGCAAAGUACUAGUGUUAAAUGAUUGUUAUUAUGUUCCGAACUUUGUUUCAAAUAUAAUUUCAAUUUCUAUGUUGGACAAGCGAGGUUUUCGCAUUAUUUUCAAUAAUAACAUUUGCUCAAUUUAUCAUGAUGAUGAUUUAUAUGUAAAUGGUUAUCUCCAACAUGGCAUUUAUGUCUUACCUGAUGUGAAUUAUAAUUCAGUUAUGCAUGUUUCUUCUAGUUUUAAAAGAAAAAGAGAUAGUCAAUUAAAUAAAACAUAUCUUUGGCACUGUAGGCUUGGUCAUGUUGGUGAGAAAAGAAUUAACAAGUUAUACAAGGAAGGUUACCUUGAUAAUUAUGAUUAUGAAUCAUAUAAAACUUGUGAAUCUUGUCUCAAAGGAAAAAUGACUAAAUCUCCAUUUAUUGGAACUGGAGAAAGAGCCUCUGAAUUAUUGGGACUAGUUCAUACAGAUGUUUGUGGACCCAUGAAAAUUCAAGCCAAAUGAGGAUAUUCUUAUUUUAUAACCUUCACUGAUGACAUGUCAAGAUAUGGUUUUUUGUAUCUCAUGAAACAUAAAUCUGAGUCAUUUGAAAUGUUCAAAAGGUUUCGCAGUGAAGUUGAAAAACAAACAGGUAACAGUAUCAAAGUGCUGAGAUCUGAUAGAGGAGGAGAAUAUCUCAGUGAAAAUUUUAUUGACUAUCUAAGAGAGAAUGGGAUUCUCUCACAGUGGACACCCCCAGGAACACCACAGCACAAUGGUGUAUCAGAAAGGAGAAAUCGAACCUUAUUAGAUAUGGUAAGAUCUAUGAUGAGGUUCACUGAUCUUCCAUUAAAUUUAUGGGGAUAUGCUUUAGAAGCAGCAGCUUAUUUACUAAACAAAAUCCAUACAAAAACAAUAUCUACAACUCCGUAUGAGAUAUGGAAAGGGCGUAAACCAAAUCUCAAACACAUUAAGGUUUGGGGUUGUCCAGCUUACGUUAAGAAAUUACAAACAGAUAAACUUGAGGCAAGGUCAGAUAAGUGUAGGUUCAUUGGGUAUCCCAAAGAAACAAUGGGAUAUUAUUUCUACCACCCUUUAGACCAUAAAGUGUUUGUGGCAAGAGGAGGAACCUUUCUAGAAAGGGAAUUUCUUGCAGAAGGGAGUCAUGGCAAAGAAAUAGAGCUUGAUGAAACUCAAGAAGAAACCAAUGAAACAACAGCAGCUCAAGAACAUGAGAUGGAAUUUGAGCAACCUUUCUUUGAUGUCUUAAAAUCAACACAAAGGUUACAAUCUCCAACAAUUGUGGCUCCAGAACCAGCUAUAGUUCAAGAACAAGUUAAUGAACCUGAACCAGCUGUAGUUCAAGAACAGGUUAAUGAACCAAUCUUAGAACAGAUUCAGCAACCUCUGAAUCCAAUACAUGAGCCUCUAAGAAGGUCUAGUCGAGCACAUCGUGCGCCGGAUAGACUAAACUUGAUGGUUCAAGAUGACUUGUCUAAUGAGGUUCAUCAUAAUGAUGAUGACCCUAAGAACUAUGAAGAGGCUAUGCAAAGCUUGGACCGCAAUAAAUGGCAAGAAGCCAUGGAAUCCGAAAUAGAAUCAAUGAAGAUCAACAAAGUAUGGACUUUGGUUGAAGCUUCAAAGGAUAUAAAACCAAUUGGUUGUAAAUGGGUUUACAAGAAAAAGAUUGGAGCAGAUGGAAAAGUUGAGACUUACAAAGCUCGCCUUGUUGCUAAAGGAUAUCGUCAAAAAGAAGGAAUUGAUUAUGAUGAAACUUUUUCCCCAGUGGCAAUGCUCAAAUCAAUUCGGAUUCUACUUGCCAUAGCAGCAUACUAUGAUUAUGAAAUAUGGCAAAUGGAUGUGAAAACAGCUUUUCUUAAUGGUGAGUUGAAAGAGGAUGUAUACAUGACACAACCUGAAGGAUACACAUCAAUGUCUGAUCAUAAUAAAGUUUGCAAGUUGCGACGAUCCAUUUAUGGAUUAAAACAAGCUUCAAGAAGUUGGAACAUACAUUUUAACAAGACAAUCGAAAAGUUCGAUUUUGUUAAAUGUGAAGAAGAACCUUGUGUGUACAAAAGGUUUAGUGGGAGCACAAUCAUUUUCUUAGUGUUAUAUGUAGAUGACAUAUUGCUUAUAGGAAAUGAUAUACCAGCAAUGCAAGGGACAAAGGUUUGGCUAUCAGAACAGUUCUCCAUGAAAGAUUUGGGAGAAGCAGCCUAUAUUCUAGGAAUAAAGAUUUAUAGAGAUAGAUCUAAAAGGUUGCUUGGACUAUCCCAAUCCAUGUACAUUGAUACCAUCUUAAAGAGGUAUAAUAUGGAAAACUCCAAAAGGGGCUAUUUACCAAUAGGAACUGGAGUUACUCUUAGUAGGGAGGAUUGUCCUAAAACUCCUAAAGAGAGAGAACGCAUGAAUAGGGUACCAUAUGCUAGCGCAGUGGGAGCUAUUAUGUAUACCAUGACUUGUACACGUCCUGAUGUCGCUUAUGCACUAAGUGUAGCUAGUCGAUAUCAGGCAAACCCUGGUGAGGAACAUUGGAAAGUGGUCAAGACCAUUCUUAAAUACUUAAGAAGAACUAAAGACCAAUUCCUUAUCUAUGGAGAAUCUGAAUUAAAAUUAAAGGGUUAUACUGAUGCAAGUUUUGCAUCAGAUAAAGAUGAUAGCAAAUCUAUUUCAGGUUAUGUUUUCACCUUAAAUGGUGGUGCAGUGAGUUGGAAAAGCUCCAAACAAGCUACAGUAGCAGAUUCAACUACUGAAGCCGAAUAUAUAGCAGCAAGUGAGGCAGCUAAGGAAGCAGUUUGGAUGAAGAAGUUCAUAUCUGAACUUGGUGUGGUUCCUUCAAUUGAAGAACCAAUUCCACUGUUAUGUGACAAUAAUGGAGCAAUUGCUCAAGCAAAGGAACCAAGAUCACACCAAAAGUCUAAACAUGUCUUGCGAAUGUAUCACUUGAUUAGAGAAAUCAUUGAACGUGGUGACGUUAAGAUUGAAAAGAUAGAUGGAAAAGAGAAUGCGGCAGACCCAUUUACCAAAGCACUUGGCAUAACGCAGUUUGACAAGCACAAAUGGGAAGUGGGAAUGAAAUACAUGACUGAUUGGCUCUAGUGCAAGUGGAAGAUUGUUGGGGAUAAAUGUAUGCCCAAGAUCCAAUCUAUCAUGUAAUCAACUUUAGUUUUAAUAAGGUAUUAAUUCUUUAUUUCAUUAUCAUAUCUGUUUAAAAUAGUUUAUAUGAUAAGGUCCUUGAUUAAAAUUUGAAAAUUGUUAUCAUGAUAGAGAUUAUGAUAAUGAGAAGCAAUUCUUUUAAUAAUUUUAAUCUAAACUGUUCUUGAUCAUAGGAUUAUUGUCAACAGGACAUCAAUAAUCCAGAUAGAUCAAUAUAUAUGUGAUGGUCUUUAUUGGAUAAAGAUUGAUAUAUCUCAUUUGUUAAAUUACAUAUAUAGAUGAUGCACAUGUAGAUGUGAUCAUUGAACUGACUCAACUGAGAAUUUCUAAUGGUCAUCUUUACCUUAAAUUGUCAAUAGGAAUUUCUCAAGAAGAAAUAUAAUAGUUUUCUUUGACCUGAGAUUAUCAAAGUAAUUAACAAGUUAUUUAUUAUAUUUUAAUCCCGGACACCUAAUGCCUUAGGGCACUAGUUGAAUGGAUAUUGGAUAUAAUUAAAUACUUGUAGAAUUAAUGAUUAAUCAAGAAGGAAUCCAUCAACUCGUGGUAAUGAGUUUGAGCUCUAUGAUAAAAAUAAGACCUUGGCCAAGGGCAAUUGAAUGAAUGAAGAAAUGAGUUUCUUAAGUUAUUCACUAAAUAAAUAAUGUGCUGACUUAUUAGAGUUUGACAGUAAUACCAUACUCUAGAGUUAGCCCAGAACUGUAAAUGAUGGAAGGAAAUAUUACAUUAUUCUUCUACCGGUUCUUGAAAGUAAAAGAUAUUACUUCAUACUAUCUGGACGUUAAGGAGUGUUGCUAGACGCCUACCUUAAUUAGUAAAUUGAUUUGAUUAAUUUACUACCAGCUUAGUACUAAACCUACGAGGUCACACACAAACGAGUGUUUUAAUCUUUGCAAAGAACUAUUUAUUAUUAUUUGAUAAUUAAAUUAGAGAAUUUAAUUUUAAUCAAAUAAAUAAAUAUGUUCUAUGUGGAAUAUUAUUAUAUUCUUUGCUAGCACCAAGAAUAUAAUUAAUAUAUAGAUAAAAAAAUAAAAUAUUUUUCUUUGGACGUGGAAGUUAGUCCACGAGAAUGUUUGCUAAACAUUUGCAAACAUAUGGGUACAUGCAGCAACUUACAGGGGGGAUGUGGGUUUUGUUUUUAACUUACAAGACUUGGUCAAAGUGUUUUUCAAAUGCUAUUGAAAAUAGCAAAAGAAAAACAAAUGGACCAAUAGAAUCUCUUAGUAGCCCAAAAAAGAAGGAGGACACGAUAGAGAUAGAUUAAGUGAUAAAAUCAAAAAUCAAAUUAGUUGAGUUAUCUUAUCACUUAAAACAGAAGUUGUAUCGGAUAUGCUAUAUAGCAUAUAUACACAAUCUGAAUAAGGAUCGAUCUAUCUUUAUCCUCCUUGUUUUUACGCCAAAGAAAUACAAAGUGUUGUUCUAUUUUUUUUAAGUUCCACGUAUCAAAGGGUUGAUAGCAAAGAUUAAUUUCGGUGUGGAUACACGUAGAGUCUUCAUACAAUUGGAGAAAAUUUUAUGCUUGAAGAACUGAUAUCCAGGUUAUUAUUUUAAAUUUUUUGAUAGCUGCAGUAUAUAUUUUGAAUGCAAAAUAGAUCAAUUUUCCACUGUAUGUGUUAUAAAUUUAUUUUAUAACCUUUCACAUUGAGCACAGCUUUGUACAGUUCCAAGUAAUAGAAUUCUGCAGUCACAAAACCAAAAGAUGUAUACGUCAGCCUAGAUUUCCCUAAUAUGUAUAUUUCUUCAACGUUCACAAUGUCCUAAUACUAAAAUUAUUUUUAAAAAAUAAAUCAUUUAAGUUAUGUUUGGUUCUUAGAAAAUUUGACAAAAAAAUAGAGGGGAAAGAAAAGAAAGUAAAUUGAAAAAAUAGAAGGCAAGAAAAAGUGAAAUAAAAUACAUCUAAAAUCAAUAAAUUAAUUAUUUUUAAUUAAUUUAUUUUAAUUAUAUUUUAUUUUCUUAAAUAUUUUUUUUCGAUAUAACCAAAUACGGGAAAAUCAUUUUCCUUGAUAUCUUUUCUUUGCUAAUUAUUUUCUUGGACUUCUUUGUUUACAUCUAAUCAACAUCUUUAUAUAUUUCAAUAAUAGUUUGAACCUCCAAUAAACUACACGAAUUAAAAUUUAAUUUUCUUCCAUUUUUUAUUUUAACAGCAGGUUGUAAAAUACUUCUACUUGUAUACUAAUUAUGCCCAAAAGUUUCAGGAGGACCUCAAACGGAAAUGGGCAUGAACAUGGUUUUCAGCAUCUCACCGGAGCUGCUAGUCCUUCGCAAAGAUGAAGAUGAAACCACUGAAACAUAUUCAUUGGUAUGGUGUGCCGUGUCGAUGGUAGUAGUUCUUUUCAAUGAUGAAGUGGAAGAGACUGGGCCAUAUUCAUCAGUAUCCUGCGCCAUAUUGAUGCUGCUACAGUUAGGAUUGUUUGGGCUGUCAUCGAUUACCGAGAGUGGUAAUGAAGAGGAAGCCAUUACAGUGAACUCCUCAUCAUGCUCAGCAAUGUCCAUGUUACUGUUUGUAGGGCUGUUUGCGCUGUUGUCAUUUAUAAGACGUAGUGAAGAAGAAGAAGCCAUUACAACAAAUUCUUUAUCGUGCUGAUAGUCAUUGCCAUGUUUAGCGAAGUUAUUCUAAUGUGCAACAGAAAACCUAAACAAAAUCUGCAGUUGACAAAGGUCAAAAUUAACUUACCUCGCAGAUGGAUUUGUUAUCUAUGAUAGAAGAUUAUAUUUAACUAUAUCAAGGCAGAGAAGAUACUCUCAUCCAAAGAGAGACAACAGCAGCCCUUUUUCCCAGAGUCUUCAAAUGAUACAGGAAAUGGGCCAGGAACCAUUGAAGCAUAAGAGGUACAAUGAUAGAGUCUUCCAAGUCAACUUUAUUUAGUUGAGUAUUGGGUAAGGAGUAGAUAGCGUUGAAACGUUAUGACUGGUGGAUGAGAGUCAUUCAAAAUAAUAGGCAUACAUGAUUUAUUCAUAUAUAAAUUAAACAAAGAAAAUUAGGGGGUAAUUUUGAGCUGUUUGUUUUCGCAUGAUUUCUUCUGACUGUGUUGCUGGGCAUUACUAGGUCUUUUCUUUUUAAUUUUUCAUGUUUUAUUUUAAGACGAUAUCCAGAAGUAGUAGGUAUGGUAUAUGAAUUAUGGUCUGCGGGCAUGUUGAACACAGACUUGAAUUUCACUUAGAAUGAUAAACAUUCAUAGAGCCAAAUGUAAAUCCAGGCGAAUUUGAGAAAGGAUAUGGAGGUUCAUUAUCUCUGGUGACGCUUAAUAAAUAUAAAGUCAGCUCUUUAUGACCAUACCUAACAGCGCUGUGAAGAGGCGCAAAAUUGUCGCGUUGGCAGAUAUUGGGCAAGCUUGGGUUUUUGUUCACUAACAACUUGACUGCUUUUAUAUUGCCAGCCCUUGCAGCGUUGAAAAGGGCAGUGACGCCAUCAGAAUCCCGCAGAGCCAGUGCCUCACUUGGCAAAAACUCAACCAACUUCUCCACGAAACCCAUUCUGGCCUCUCCUAACUCAACUGCUAUGUGAAGCAUUCGGGAAUCAUCUGUUCUGAUCGGGGCGGAGAAUGAUCGUGGAUCAUCCUUCAAUAAUUUUGAAGCACUUUCCCAGUCACCAUUGAGCACAGCUUUGUACAGUUCCAAGUAAUAGAAUUCUGCAGUCACAAAACCAAAAGAUGUAUACGUCAGCCUAGAUUUCCCUGAUAUGUAUAUUUCUUCAACGUUCACAACAUCCUAAUACUAAAAUUAUUUUUUAAAAAAUAAAUCAUUUAAGUUAUGUUUGGCUUUUAUAAAAUUUGACAAAAAUUACAAGGAAAAGAAAGUAAAUUGAAAAAAUUGAAGGUUAGAAAAAGUGAAAUAAAAUACAUCUAAAAUCAAUAAAUUAAUUAUUUUUAUAUGCUACUCAUUUCACUUAUUUUAAUUAUUUAAUAUAAAAAUUAAAUAAUUUAAAAUUUCAUAAAUUUAUAACUAAUUUUAAUUAUAUUUGAUUUUCUUAAAUAUUUUUUUUCGAUAUAACCAAAUACGGGAAAAUUAUUUUCCUUGAUAUCUUUUCUUGGACUUCUUUGUUUACCUCUAAUCAACAUCUUUAUAUCUUUCAAUAAUAGUUUGAACCUCCAUUUUUUAUUUUAACACUUCUACUUGUAUACUAAUUAUGCCCAAAAUACACGGAAAUGGACAUGAACAUGGCUUUCAGCAUCUUACCGGAGCUGCUACAGUUAUUGGUAAGGUGUGCCGUGUCGAUGGUAGUAGUUCUUUUCAAUGAUGAAGUGGAAGAGGAAGCAACAGUUAGGAUUGUUUGGGCUGUCAUCGAUUACAACAAAUUCCUUAUCGUUCUUAUAGUCAUUGCCAUGUUUAGCAAAGUUAUUCUAAUGUGUAACAGAAAACCUAAACAAAAUCUGCAGUUGACAAAGGUCAAAAUUAACUUACCUCGCAGAUGGAAGAUUAUAUUUAACUAUAUCGAGGCAGAGAAGAGAGUCUCAUCCAAAAAUAAAAACUUUGCUCUCAAAGUAUUCUAAGAUGAUCAACAAGCCCUAAGAAUCAUGUAGGAAAAAUUUUAAAAAUUUUCUCUAACUAUAAACCAAAAAUUCUAACACCCUAAAUUUCCAAGCAAAAUAAACGAAUUGUGUGUAACCAAAAUCAAUCUUGUUGUGCUACGCUCGGGUUUUCGGGGGUCAAGCUCCUCGUUGAGGUCGUAGGGGUCGGGGGGCAACACCCUCUAGAAUUUUUUUUUCAUUAUAUUUAUUAUUUUUUAUUUAUCUAUCCAACUGGAACAAUAGAAACCCUAAACAAUGUUAAUGAGAGUUGGGUAACACUACAUUUUAUAUGGAGCAACACUACACAACGAAACCAUAAAGAUCAAGGAAAAUCCAUGAAAAAUAAACAAGAAAUGAGUAUGAGUGUAAUGCGUACCUGGAAUGUGACAAACCCACAAUGAAACCCUAAAAUCGCCUUCAAUGGAAGUUAGGAUGAUGAACAAGGAAAGAGGAAACAAGGGAAAAAGGAGAUGAAAAUUGUAAUAUCUGAUAGAAAUAAAGGUAUAUAAAAUAUCGUUUUUUCACCAACAAAAAUUAUCAAAACUUUUCAACACUAUCUACUCUACAGAAUGUUUGUUAAAGUCUUCCUUGGAGCAAAAUGACCUCCACAAGCUCCCUCAUGGCACAUUCACAAUAUGUUUUGUUGUUCAUCCUCUGGAACACAUCUCCGAAUAAUUUGAUUUGGGCAAAACUUAUACAAAUAUGGAUCAUCCCAAGCAUAGUGUUUUGCUCACGAAAGAAAAUACUUUUUCAUCUCCAUGUUCCAUUAUGAGAGAAGCUCUCUAAUUGCCAAGUAGCUGAGUAUAUUUGCGAACCAAGGCAACUCUCCACUACACAAAGUGCAUCAUCAAGAAACUCAUCAUUCAUCUUUUCUUUCUCGAAAUGUGACUCUACUUUAACUCAGGAGAGAUGAUUAGUAACCAGAUUCUCUUCCCUUGCUUAUCCUUGAUUUGAAUGUUAAAUUCUUAAAGAAGAAGGAUCCUCUCUUUGACCUAGUACGACUCCCACUACAUAGUCAAUCGCAUUACACAUCAACUCAAAUGGAAGAGACCAAUUGGGAGGUCUCACAAUUGGUGUAGUAGUGAGGAGUGACUUUAGCCUCUCAAAAGCUUCUUGGCAUGCUUUAGUCCAUAUGAAUUCUGCAUCCUUAAGUAAUAAAGCACAAAGAGGUUGAGAGACUUUUUAGAAGUCGUGUAUGAACCUUCUAUAAAAAUAUGCAUGCCCCAAAAAUUGUCUCACCCCUUUAACAGUAUUGGGCGAAGGUAGCUUUGAGAUGAGCUCAAUUUUUGUUGAAUCUACCUGAAUGCCUUCUCUAGAGAUGAUAUGACCAAGUACUACCCCUGAGGUUGCCAUGAAGUGACAUUUAUCCCAAUUUAGGACCAAGUCCUUCUCAAUGCACCUUUUCAAAACUUUUUUCAAAUUUAAGAGACAAUCAUCAAAGGUCUUCCCAUAAACUGUUAGAUCAUCCAUGAAAGCUUCCAUGAUUCUCUCUACCAUGUCAUUGAAGAUAUUGAGCAUACACCUUUGAAAUGUGGUCGGUGCAUUACAAAGACCAAAAGGCAUGCACUUAUAAGCAUAGGUGUCAAAUGGGCAGGUGAAUGUGGUUUUCUCCUGAUCCUCCAAUGCAAUGGAAAUUUGAAAGUAGCCCGAAUAGCCAUCCAAGAAGCAAUAAUAGUCAUGACCAACUACCUUCUCCAAAACUUGAUCUAAGAAAGGUAAUGGGAAAUGAUAUUUCUUGGUGGCUGCAUUCAACUUUUUAAAAUCAAUGCAUACUUGCCAACCUGUAGUCAACCUUGUAGGAAUGAGCUCUCCUUCAUCAUUCUUCACCACAGUUAUCCCGCUUUUCUUAGGUACUACUUGAGUAGGGCUCACUAGACUACUGUCAGAGAUAGGAUAUAUAAUACCUGCAUCUAAAAGCUUCAAUACCUCAUUUCUGACUACAUCUUGCAUAAGGGGAUUUAGCCUUCUUUGUGGUUACCCUAUUGGUUUUGCGUUCUCUUCCAAAUAAAUAUGAUACGUGCAAAUCAAGGGAUUUGUCCCUUUCAAAUCUAAAAUAGACCAACCAAUCACUCUUUCAUUCUCUUUAAGCACUUUUAAAAAUUUGAUUUCUUGCUCUUCAGUUAAUGUAGUUGAAAUGACCAAAGGUUUUUCUUCAUUUUCCUCUAAAUAAACAUACUUUAAACCAUGUGGUAGGGGCUUUAACUCUGCUUUGCUGAUCUCAACCUCCAUUUUUUUUUUCUUCAUCAUUUUCAACAUUGUUCAAAGACUGAAUGGUAAAUUUUUCUUUCCACUUUGUAGCAACUUCAACACUCUUUCCUUAAUGAUUGUAGAGAAAAAUUCAUCUAUAUUUUCUUCCAUUUAAUUUCUUAUGUUUUCUUGCACCAAGACCUCUAUAAGGCAUGCUUCCUCAUCCUCCACAUCAUCAUGGUCCAUCAGUUGCUUGCAUAAAUUGAAGAAAUUCAUUUCCACUGUCAUGUUCGCAAAAAAUAACUGCAUCAAUCCAUUCUGAUAGUUAAUGAGAGCAUUGGUUGUAGCAAGGAAGGGUCUCCCAAGAAUAAUUGGAACAAAAUUCACGCAUUUUUUCAACGAUUCUAUAUCUAGCACCGCAAAGUCCAUUGGGCAGUAGAACUUUUCAACUUGCACUAAGACAUCUUCAACUACUCUUUUAGGUACUUUAAUUGAACGGUCUGCUAAAGAGAGUGUAAUGGUAGUAGCCUUAAGCUCUCCCAAUCCCAAUUUCUUAUAGAUUGAAUAUGGAAUCAAAUUUAUACUAGCUCCCAAAUCUAACAAAGCCCUUUCCACAAAUGAGUCUCCAAUCUGGAUUAAGAUGGUAGAACAACCUGGAUCUUUGUACUUCACCAUUGUCUUAUUCUCGAUGAUGUCAUUGACUUGCUCGGUGAGGAAUGCUUUCUUGCUUAAUUUAAUCAUUUUCUUCAUAGUGCAUAAGUCCUUAAGGAACUUUGCAUAAGCAAGCACUUGCUUGAUCAUAUCAAGGAGUGGAAUGAUGAACUUCACUUGCUUCAAAACUUUCAAAACCUCAAAAGUCUUAUCCCCCACUUUAUGUCUUUGCAUUGAUGAAGGGAAAGACAGAUGAUUGAAAAUACUCUUUUUAUCUUUGCUCACAAUGACUUUCUUAUAUUUUUCAUACUCUUUCUCAUUUCUAGCAUUUUUCUCCACGAUUGGUUCAUUUCUAAUAAGAAUAUCUUCACUUAUUGCUAACUUGGGCCUUUCAUAUUCUUUCCCAUUUCUGAGUGUGAUAACUGCAUUGCAAUCUUCCUUUUGCACUUCGGAAACUUCAUUUACUCAUCUCGAAUUUUUCUAUGGUUGAGUUGUGAACUUUCUUUUCUCUUGAGAUAAGCUUCUAGCAAGUUGGUUCAAAGUGGUUCGAAUAUUUGCUAGUUCUUAAGAUGUUUGAGCAUUUAUCCUAUUUUGAUCCUCAUUACGCUUGUUUUGCUUCUAUAUAAACUCUCUUAGCAUAUCUUCCAGGCUUGAGUUAAAUGAUGAGAUUUGAGGUUACUGUUGAAAAUUUUGAGAUGGCAUACCUUGUGGUUGAAAACCUUGCUACCCAUUAGUCUGAUUACCUUGAAAUCAGUUUCCUUGCUAUUGAAGUUGGCCAUUGUUACCUCAUCUCCAUGAUAGAUUUGGAUGAUUCCUCCAACCCGGAUUAUAAGUGUUAGAAUAUGGAGAAUUGCUAGAAUAUUGCUUGUAUGUCCUUAAGGCAUUGGCUUGCUCUGAAAACAUGUUUUGCACUGCAAGUAGAGUAGGACAAGAUUACACACCAUGUUCCAUAGACUUACAUAUCUAGAAUGGUUGAGUUAUUCCCUCAUUAACUAUUUGUACCUCUUGACCUCCCUUAGCUUCCAAAUCAUCCAACCUUCUCAUAAUGGUUACAAACUUUGCUUGGACAUCUAAACUCUCUGUAAGGUAUACACUCCACUAGCUCUUGCCCUAUUCAUUGUUCUAUCUCUAGGUGUUUCCUUGAUGAUUGGUUCUUCCCAACUUCUAGAUACCUCAGCAACAUAAUCAAGGAAUUGAAAUGCUUCAUCGAGGUUUUUAUUCAUGAAAUCUCAUCCACACAUAGUCUCGAGAAGUUGUUUUUCCUUCAUAGAAAUAUGAUACUAGCAUCCAAUUGUCAAAUCUGUGAUGGGGGCAUGUUGCAACCAUCUCCCUAAAUUUUUCCCAGGAUGCAAAAAAUUUCUCAUCUUUUAUAGCCUUGAAAUUCGAGAUCUCCUUUUUCAAUGCACUAGUCCUAUGUGUUGGAAAGAACUUUUUAAAAACACUAAUUGUCAAUCACCCCAAUUUUUUAUACUACAGGGUCUAAGACUAUUUAACCAAGUCUUAGCUUUAUCCUUCAAUGACAAGGGGAAUAGCUUCAUGCGGAAGGUCUUUAAAGAAGUGUUGGCUUCUCGAAAAAUUGAAGCGAUGUCCUCAAAUUCCUUGAUGUGAGAGUGUGGCUUUUCAUUUUUUGUCUCCCUAACAAUGGGUAGUUGAGAUACCACUUGAGGCCGAAUGGUAACAUGAUCGUGAUUUGGAGGUAGCAUAAAACACGAUGGUGUGCUCAACCUAGGAGGAUUUAGAAACUCUCUCAUGGUUUUUUGGUCCUGCAUAGGUGGUCAUGGCCUGUUGUUACUACUGUUGGAUUCUUCAGUGUCCUCCAUAUUUGGUUGAGAUUCCUUAGUUGUUCUUUGAAGUCUACUUGAAAGAUCUCUUUCCCAACCAAGCAUAAAAUAGAAGAAAAAUAUAUAUAGAGAAAAAAAAAAGAACUAAAACAAAGUGAUGCACUAUAUCCUAGUUAUGACGAUUGCUAAUCCCCACCAACGACGACAGUUUCUUGACUAAAAUUCUUUAUUGUACUAAAAUACUUAGCAUUUUUUACGUAGCAACUCCAGUUAAGAAAAACUAGAGAAAUAGUCACUACGACUUUUGUAGUACUUCGGGCAUCGUCCUCAAGGACUGGCAUAUGGAAAGAGUCAAUACUAGAAUAAAUGAAUUGCUUUCGUUUAAAUCCUAAAGUGAAAAAUAAUAUGAGAAUAAUGUGAAACUAAGUAAAAGAAAUUAAAUUAAUAAAAAAAUGGAUAUUGAUAUUAAAUUCGAUUGAUUCACGUUUAGGGCUUUCCACAAUCCAACCUAGGUUAUAGAAAUUAGAGAAAACAAGGGUCUUUAAAGUAAUAUGAUCUUAGGGUUUUGGGAUCCUUGGCCGUUCACAAUCAAAUUGAGUUUUAUAACUUGAAAUUGCAUUUGAAACCUAUUUUUUCCUUUUUUAAAACAAAUUCCUAAAGCCAUUAAAUGAAUGAGAUUGAUUACCAGUUUAAGAUUUGGCUUUUUAACCCUUCCUACUCCUUAUAGCUUUGUUUUGGGGCAAAUAAUGAUAGGGAAUAUGAGGAUAACUAAUGAUAAAAAAAUUACCAAGAAUCAUUAGUAUCGGGUAAUAACCUACCAUAUCAUUCCCUAAACUAACUCACAAGGAUAGGACAAAAAAAAUGAUAAAUUGUCACCCAACCAAUAAUUAAUCUAAUUGUUAUAAUAAUUUAUCCAUUGUCCUUUUAGGUUUCCUAGCCCUUAGGUUUUCAUGCUUUAAGCCCCAAGUUGGCUCUUAACCUCUCAUGGGGGUGAUGUCACAUUCACAAUCCAUAAUAUGGUAAAAAUCCAUAAUUUGAAUCAAAAGAACCUAAAACAACAUAUUUAAUAAAGAAGAGAAAGAAAACAAACCAAAGUUCUCAUCUUCUUCUACCUUCAAUGUCAAACUCUUCGAAAAAAAAAAUCCAAGAUCCCUAAAACCUAGAACUAAGAAAGUUUAUAUAAUAUCAUCAAUUACCUAACAUGUGCCACACUCUCAUUGGCCCCUUAUUACAAAAAUAAUUACCUAAAAAUGAUUUAAAAAAAUAAUAAAAUUGUGAUUUCUAGUCAUAUGAGGUCCAUUUAGGGCGGAUGGAAUGCCCUAGAUGCAAUUACUGAGGUAAAGGAGGUGAAACAUUAAAGUGGCAAUAGGUGAAUUUGAAAUUGGUGUCAUUUUGAUGUGGAUUUCGAAUUCAUAAGUUGAAUUUCGAAAUCAUUUCGAAAUGACCCUUAAACUUUGUGCAGUUGUUUUCAAAUGGCCAUAACUUCUUCAUUUCAGCUCUGAUUUUCACACUAUUUGAAGCAUUGGACUCAUAACAUCCCAAGAAACGAUAUAUUGUAUAUAUAAAAUGGAGUCCGAGAAGUGCUCCAAAUUUUUCCUCAAAGUUAAAGUAUAUAUUACCAUCAAAUUUUUGAGUUCUAAAUUUCCAUGUAGCUGAAUCUUGCUUCAUGCCUCAUUUCCUAUGUUUUCUUGCCUUCUUUCUUACUCCAUAAUGGUCAUUUCUCAUCUUCCAAACUCAUAAUAUCCUUGUCUUGCCUUUCCUCGUGGUCCAUGAGUUCUGACUCACUUAUUUUCUCAUUUAACCCUUUCUUGAUCUUUCAAAAUUUAAAGUGAUUCAACUUGUACCCUUUUCUUCCCUUGAACCUAAGAUAAGUCUCCAAAGUACAAAUUAAACUCAUGGCUAGGGCCUUAGCAUUGAUUUAGGUCAAGUUGGGUGAUUUGAAUGUUCUUUGGUGAAUAAAUCAUAUUGAAUAUGUACCAUUAGAGCACAUAUUUUGGCUCCAAUCAAGCUUACCCGCCAAACAUUGAGUGAUAAAAUGGAGUGGGUUGUCUAAAGAUUCAUUUGAGGCUCUAUAGUAUAGUCAUGAGAGCACACAAAUUAGAUAAUAUGUAGUUGGUUGCUCUCUUCCCCAUGUCACUUAGUUGAGCAGCAUAGAGGUGGUUGGCAUUAAUUAAGCCUUUGAGACUCUAUACUUAGGAGGAUGUGGCCUAUGAGUUUCUGACACAGUUUGCCUUUAGUGUCGAUAUUGAUUUUUUUUUUUUUACUAAACAAGAUGUCGAGAGUGUUACUUAACCAUCCCUAUGGCAAAAGCAAAAAUUGUUGCCUUUAGUGCUAAUAUUAAUGUUUCUAAGCGAGAGUUAGAGGCUACUAAGUAGAGGCCAAAUGAGUUUGUUUCUUCAUUUAUUAGUCAUUAGAGGGCUAAGGUGGUUGGUAUGAUAGAUUGACUUAAGGAGUAAGAUCAUAUUGACGUGCUUCUUUGGAACCUUCAACCGAGGUUUGCCAGACAUCUUAUAGGUAUUCCAUUUCAAGACUUCUGAAGUUUGGUUCAAGUCGUUUUCAGUGUUUAGGAGGGUAUUUCUAAAGGGUUAUAGACAAACACUAUUCCUUCCUUAGACAAUAAAGAAAAGAAGCCUAUAGGAUCAUUAGGGAGGCUUGGAGAGGUUAGCACUAUCAGUUAUCAUCAUCGAGGUCAACUUAUCAGUCAUACCAAAGGUCUCCUAUAAUCAAAGCCUACUUUCCUCAUCUAUUGUGUCAAUAUUAGUCCACUUAUAUUCAACAACCUUUCAUUGCUUGGACUAGUAUGCAACCAUGACUGUCGUAUCCCAGAGCCACUGGUUCUCAUUCAUUACUCAUAUUCCCACUCAUAUUUUUUAAAACAUGUGAUCUUUAUCAUAAAGGGGCAUAUUUGUAGACCCUUCAUUCUAUCUCCUUAAUACAUAAGUGUUCUUUCAAUACUCCCCAAUGGUUCCCUAAUGGCUCUUUACUGCUCAUAUAGCCAACAUUUUUUAGUCACCUUGGAGACUUUGGUUGAGGAAUUUAUUUGACCCCUCGUUAUGACCCUUAGCAGAAUCGAGUUAGAUUUAGGUUUUUCUUUUUUCUUUUUAGGAUAGCUCCUUUAAGUACAUCUCUAGGAUAGAAUACUUAGGCAUCAUUUUUCAAUCACCUUGGCCCAUUUAGGCACAUUUGACCCAUUUAGGAUCACCCUAACCCAUUUAGAUCCAUUUGGCCUAUUUAGUUCACCUUGACUGAUUUAGACACAUUUGACCCAUUUAGGUACAUCCAACUCAUUUAGGUCACCCUGGCUCAUUUAGACACAUAUAGGCCCAUUUAGGCACAUCCGACCCAUUUAGGAUCACCCUGGCCUAUUUAGACACAUCCAACCUAUUUAGGAUGCCCUUGUCCCAUUUAGACACAUUUGGCCCAUUUAGGAUUACCUAGGCCCAUUUAGGCACAUUCGACCCAUUUAAGUCAUCUUAGCCCAUUUAGACCACUUAGGCCCGUUUAGGCACAUUAGGCACAUAGGACCUAUUUAGGAUCACCCUAACCUACUUAGUCACACCUUGACCCAUUUAGGUCACUUAGCCCAUGAUUACUACUCAAAAAGUGCUAUUUGAUAGCCUAUAAUAAAUCCUUUUAAACACUUUUGAGUAGUAGUUUAGGCCUUUUAACUCAAUUGGCAUGUUAAGGACCCUUGAAAGGGAUUUUAAUCACUUUGUGUAAGUUUUGGUGUUUUUGUUAGUAAUUUAAUCACCAAAGCAAGUCAAGACUAAGGAGAGCUAUGAGGAAUCUUGGGCAAAGCUUAGAAGUCAUUUUCCAAGAGUAAAUCCGGAUUGCAAGGAGAAAAAGUAAAGAGAAUCUGCCAUGAAGCCUAUUCUUGAUGACAGUCGUAGCAGCCACUUUUGGAGCAUUUUAUGAAGCUCAAAUGAUGCAUGCUAUAUACCAUUUCAAAGCUCAGGAAGUCAACAAUCCAAUUCUUCAAACGGUGUGCAAUUUCGAGUUGAAACGAAGAAGUUGCAGCCGUUACAAGCCAAUCACUCCGAGCUGAAGGAAGCAUUUUGCAAAGUGCUGCGAAAUCACCCAUUUGUUGCAAAGUGAUUUCGCAGCCUUUUUGAACAGUGUGAUGUUUCUCCUUCUGACGAUGCCCGACAUAUACCGUGAGAGGGAAGCUAGGAACCUCAAGGUGGGAGCCAACUUCGCAGCCCUGCGAGUUUAACUUGUUGAUGCGAAAAUAUUUCGCAGCCCUCUUGAGUGUCUGCGAAAUCUCGCAGACACCAUUUUUCUCUUGCGAAAUGGUUCCUGAAGCCUCCUGAUAUUUGCUACCGACAUUGGGAGAUAUUUUCCAUUAGAUUUUUGUUGUCUAAAUCCCAAAGUACUCCUUGUAAACCACCAAUUACAUGAUUCCUUAGCUUUUAAGUUAGUAAAAAGACUAAAUAUCUAUGUAAUAAUUAGUUUUAUAUUAUGUUCAUAUAUAUACCUCUCGGGAGCCUGUUCUCAGGGAGGAGUUCCUUCUAUAAAAGUUUGGGUAAGCAAGUAAAGUUUAUUUCUUUCUAUUGCUUUACCUUCUCACUUUGUAUUUUCAUUUUCUUACUAAGUUAUGAAUUCUCUGAGGAGUUUUUCCCAGAGAAUGAGUAACUAAACCUCUAAUUCCUUGGAGCUAAGGUUGCCAGGGAAGGUUCCAAGUGCAAGAAUGCAAGGCUUUGUGGUUUUAGCUAUUAAUGAAGAGGAAGUGAAAUCCUUUAAUGAUUUCUAUGUUUUUAGUUAACUUAAAACACCUUAGAGUCACCUGGGCCAACACUUGGUAAGGCAUGUGAUUUCCAACCAAGGAAAUGCACUAGUUUACCCCUUACGAGCCUCUGGGAGGUGACUUUAGGGUAGGAUUUUCUAGAAUAGCCAACACUUGGUAAGCUUUUGGACUCCUAAGAGACAUCCAUUAGUUAUCUCUUGCGAGCUUUUGACGGGUAAUCCAAGGUUAAAGAUCACCUUGAAUGGUUGAGGCUUAGUGAGAGGCUUAAACCAUUGCAAGUUGCAUCAGUGAGAGAAUUAAAGUGAAAUCUAAUUGAAGGAGUCUCUGUACAACACCGGUUAGAGAAUUGACUAUAUGUUGAAUCUCUAACGCGAGGAAAUGAACCAUCUGACCAGAGCCGUGUCUUUUGCAUGAGGAACCACCCCAGUGAACCUAACUCUCCAGGGAAUGCUUUUCUUCCUAAAUUAUUCCAAACUUCUGUUGUGUUAGUUAGUUUAAGUCUAAACCUUUACCAAUCAAAGCUUGUGUUUUACUUGUUAAGCUAACCAUGAAAUGAAACAAAACCAAUUCACUUGGAAUUGGUAUCAUUGAUAGCUUGCUAAUCCUUCCCAGUGAACGAUCCUAGAGCCGCUAUACUAUAGUAGCUUUUUCUUUGCUACCCUAUUAUAUGGUGUUAUAGGUUAUAAAUUUUGUUGAUUACUCCCUCAAUCAAGGAGCACCAGCUGGACACGAAUCAGCUGAGACACCAAUUAGGCACGAAUCAAAUGGCGCCGUUGCCGGGGAUCGAACCCCGAAUCAGAUGGUGCCAUUGCCACUUCCGCUGCUAGGGACGAAUCAAAUGGUGCCGUUGCCGGGGAAUGAGUGUCAAGUUUAUAUUGAUACCAUUUUUGAGCACUUGUGAUUUUCAUCACAAGUUGGUAAAGUUUCUUUCACUUUACUAAUUCUCAUUCUUUCUUUAUUUAUUCAUAAUCUAAGUUUAUCUUUUAAAAUUUAGCCUAGUUUAAUUUUGUUGUUGUAGCCCUGUUUUUCUUGUUGUCCUCUGUUUUCAUUUUUUGUUGCAGAUUGAUACUAGUUGUGUAUGCCAAAGUGGAUACGAGACAUUGGAGGCAGGCUUGUUAAGUGUGAUACACCUCAGAGAAGAGAAUUCGAAGUGAUCUUGAAUAUCAUGGAAGCUACACCUGAAGAUCAACAUAGUCACCAAGGUCGUCAAGAUAAUCUUAAUGAAUUCAGAUCAAUGAGGGAUCGUAUGCAUCCACCUCGUAUGAGUGCACCAUCAUGUAUAGUGCCCCCUACAGAGCAGCUAGUGAUCAGACCGUAUCUUGUUCCACUUCUACCAACUUUCCAUGGAAUGGAAAGUGAGAAUCCGUAUGCACACAUCAAGGAAUUUGAAGAUGUUUGUAAUACAUUCCAAGAGGGAGGAGCUUUAAUUGAUUUGAUGAGGCUUAAGUUAUUUCCUUUUACUUUAAAGGAUAAGGCCAAAAUUUGGCUUAAUUCUUUAAGGCCAAGGAGUAUCCGCUCUUGGAUUGAUUUACAAGCUGAAUUCCUUAAGAAAUUUUUUCCCACUCAUAGAACAAAUGACUUGAAAAGGCAAAUUUCAAACUUCUCAGCUAAAGAGAAUGAGAAAUUCUAUGAGUGUUGGGAAAGAUACAUGGAAGCUAUAAAUGCUUGUCCUCACCAUGGCUUUGAUACUUGGCUAUUGGUGAGCUAUUUUUAUGAUGGUAUGUCCUCCUCAAUGAAGCAACUCCUCGAGACAAUGUGUGGAGGAGAUUUCAUGAGCAAAAAUCCAGAGGAAGCUAUGGAUUUCUUGAGCUAUGUAGCUGAUGUUUCAAGGGGAUGGGAUGAACCAACCAAAGGAGAAGUGGGAAAGAUGAAGUCUCAGUUGAAUGCUUACAAUGCAAAGGCUGGGAUGUAUACCUUGAAAGAAGAUGAUGAUGUGAAAGCAAAGUUGGCAGCUAUGACAAGAAGAUUGGAGGAGCUGGAGCUGAAAAGAAUACAUGAAGUGCAAGCUGUUGCUGAAGCACCAGUGCAAGUGAAGUUGUGUCCCAAUUGUCAAUCAUAUGAACAUUUGGUGGAGGAAUGCCCUGCAAUUUCAGCUGAAAGGGAAAUGUAUAGAGAUCAAGCAAAUGUUGUUAGACAAUUCAGGCCUAAUAACAAUGCGCCUUAUGGAAAUACCUACAACUCAAGUUGGAGGAAUCAUCCAAAUUUCUCAUGGAAGGCCAGAGCAACUCAGUACCAACAGCCGGAUCCACCAUCUCAACAAUCUUCAAGUAUUGAACAAGCAAUAGCCAAUCUCACUAAGGUAGUGGGAGAUUUUAUUGGAAAGCAAGAAGCCACCAAUGCUCGAGUCGAUCAAAGAAUUGAUAGAGUGGAGAGUAUGUUGAAUAAAAGGAUGGAUGGAAUGCAAAAUGAUAUGAACCAAAAGUUUGAUAACAUCCAGUAUUCAAUUUCAAGGCUCACAAAUUUGAAUACACUGCAAGAAAAGGGAAGAUUUCCUUCUCAACCUCACCAAAACCCCAAAGGUGUCCAUGAAGUGGAAAGCCAAGAGGGAGAAUCAUCACAAAUGAAAGAAGUUAAAGCCUUGAUCACUCUAAGGAGUGGUAAAAAAAUUGAGCAGCCAACACCCAAGCCACAUGUUGAGAAAGAAGAAGAGAUAAAGAAAGGGAAGGAAAUGGAAGAUAAAGAGAGUGAGAUCAAUGAAGAAAAGAAGGACUCUGAUUCAACAAGGAAAGUAAUUCCAGAGAAGGAGCUUCUGAAGGAAGAAAUGCUGAAGAAAUCAACUUCUCCACCUUUUCCUCAAGCAUUACAUGGGAAAAAGGGGAUUAGAAAUGCAGCUGAAAUCCUUGAAGUAUUGAGACAAGUGAAAGUCAAUAUUCCACUGCUGGAUAUGAUUAAACAAGUUCCAACGUAUGCAAAAUUCCUAAAGGACUUGUGUACUAUCAAGAAAGGGUUAACUGUAAACAAGAAAGCCUUCUUGACUGAGCAAGUAAGUGCAAUCUUACAGUGUAAGUCUCCUUUGAAGUACAAAGACCCUGGAAGUCCUACCAUUUCAGUCAUGAUUGGAGGAAAGGUAGUGGAAAAAGCCUUGCUAGAUUUGGGAGCAAGUGUGAAUUUGCUUCCAUAUUCCGUCUACAAGCAAUUGGGACUUGGAGAGUUGAAGCCAACAACAAUCACUCUAUCUCUGGCAGAUAGAUCAGUGAAAAUUCCAAGAGGGGUAAUUGAGGAUGUAUUGGUUCAAGUAGAUAAUUUCUACUAUCCAGUAGAUUUUAUUGUUCUUGAUACAGAUCCUACUAUAAAGGAAGCUAAUUUAGUUCCUAUCAUCCUUGGAAGGCCAUUUCUUGCAACUUCAAAUGCAAUCAUCAACUGCAGGAAUGGGCUUAUGCAACUCGCUUUUGGUAACAUGACACUGGAUCUCAAUAUUUUCUAUAUGUCUAAAAAGCAAAUCACUCCGAAAGAAGAAGAAGGACCAGAAGAGUUAUGUAUUAUUGACACUCUGGUGGAGGAGCACUGUAAUCAAAAUAUGCAAGACAAGUUGAAUAAAAGUCUUGUGAAUUUUGAGGAAGGUUUGUCUGAAUCUCCUAUUGGGCUUGCUACUCUACAAAGUUGGAGAAAGAUAGAAGAAAUUCUACCUUUGUUCAAUAAAGAAGAGGAGGCAGCUGUUGAAAAAGAAAUUCCAAAACUCAAUCUGAAGCCUUUACCUGAGGAGCUGAAAUAUAUAUAUCUUGAGGAAAAUAAUCAAUGUCCUGUUGUGAUAUCUUCAUCUCUGACCAGUCAUCAAGAGAAAUGUUUAAUGGAAGUUCUCAAGAAGUGUAAGAAGGCAAUAGGAUGGCAAAUAUCUGACUUGAAAGGCAUUAGUCCUUUAGUUUGUACUCAUCAUAUAUAUAUGGAGGAGGAAGCAAAGCCAAUUCGUCAAUUUCAAAGAAGGUUGAAUCCUCAUCUACAAGAGGUGGUGCGAGCUGAGGUGCUGAAGCUACUUCAAGCAGGAAUCAUUUACCCUAUAUCUGAUAGCCCUUGGGUGAGUCCUACUCAAGUGGUACCAAAGAAGUCAGGGAUCACAGUGGUUCAAAAUGAAAAAGGGGAAGAAGUUACUACACGCCUCACUUCAGGUUGGAGGGUGUGUAUUGAUUAUAGAAAGCUGAAUGUUGUAACCAGGAAAGAUCAUUUUCCAUUGCCAUUUAUUGAUCAAGUGCUGGAGAGAGUCUCUGGACAUCCAUUUUAUUUUUUUUUUGGAUGGGUAUUCAGGGUAUUUUCAUAUUGAAAUUGAUUUGGCAGAUCAGGAAAAGACCACUUUUACAUGUCCAUUUGGAACAUAUGCUUAUAGGAGAAUGCCUUUUGGUUUAUGCAAUGCACCUGCUACAUUUCAAAGAUGUAUGUUGAGUAUUUUCAGUGAUAUGGUGGAGCGAAUUAUGGAGGUUUUCAUGGAUGACAUCACCGUAUAUGGAGGUACAUUUGAGGAAUGCUUGGUUAAUUUGGUAGCAGUUCUUCACAGAUGCAUUGAAAAAGAUCUGGUGCUCAACUGGGAGAAAUGCCAUUUUAUGGUACAUCAAGGAAUUGUCCUUGGCCAUAUCAUCUCUGAAAAAGGCAUUGAAGUUGAUAAAGCAAAGGUGGAGCUUAUUGUCAAAUUACCAUCCCCAACAACUGUAAAAGGAGUAAGGCAGUUCCUUGGCCAUGCAGGGUUCUAUAGGAGGUUUAUAAAAAGUUUUUCAAGUCUUUCAAAACCUCUUUGUGAGCUGUUAGCUAAGGAUGCUAAGUUUAUAUGGGAUGAAAGGUGUCAAAAUAGCUUUGAUCAACUGAAGAAAUUUUUAACAACAACUCCAAUACUAAGAGCCCCUAACUGGCAAUUACCUUUUGAACUGAUGUGUGAUGCCAGUGACUUUGCUAUAGGAGCUGUGCUUGGCCAAAGAGAAUAUGGGAAGCCCUAUGUGAUUUACUAUGCAAGUAAAACACUGAAUGAAGCUCAAAGGAACUACACAACUACAGAGAAAGAAUUGUUAGCUGUGGUAUUUGCUUUGGACAAAUUUCGUGCUUAUUUAGUGGGGUCUUUCAUCAUUGUCUUUACUGACCAUUCAGCCUUGAAGUAUUUAUUGACAAAUCAAGAUGCAAAAGCAAGGUUGAUUAGAUGGAUUCUUUUGUUACAAGAAUUCGAUCUUCAAAUCAAAGAUAAGAAAGGAGUGGAGAAUGUGGUAGCUGACCACCUUUCAAGGUUAGUUAUAGCACAUAAUUCCCAUCCCUUGCCUUUUAAUGAUGAUUUUCCUGAAGAAUCACUCAUGUUCCUAGUGAAAACUCCUUGGUAUGCUCAUAUUGCUAAUUAUUUAGUAACUGGUGAAAUUCCAAGUGAGUGGAAUGCACAGGACAGGAAGCACUUCUUUGCCAAAAUUCAUUCUUAUUAUUGGGAAGAGCCCUUUCUCUUUAAGUAUUGUGCAGAUCAGAUUAUUAGGAAAUGUGUCCCUGAAGAUGAGCAGCAAGGGAUUCUAUCUCAUUGUCAUGAGAAUGCAUGUGGAGGCCACUUUGCCUCUCAGAAAACAACCAUGAAGGUAUUGCAAUCAGGGUUUACUUGGCCAUCUCUUUUUAAAGAUGCCCACAACAUGUGUAGGAAUUGUGAUAGAUGCCAAAGACUUGGAAAGCUAACAAAAAGAAUCAAAUGCCUAUGAGCCCCAUUCUAAUAGUUGAGCUAUUUCAUGUAUGGGGCAUUGACUUUAUGGGACCUUUCUCAAUGUCUUUUGGUAAUUCUUACAUCUUGGUGGGGGUAGAUUAUGUUUCUAAAUGGGUUGAGGCAAUCCCCUGUAAACAAAAUGAUCACAGGGUGGUUCUCAAGUUUCUUAAAGAGAACAUUUUCUCAAGAUUUGGGGUGCCCAAAGCCAUAAUCAGUGAUGGAGGUGCUCAUUUUUGCAACAAACCUUUUAAAGCUCUGUUAUCCAAGUAUGGAGUGAAGCAUAAGGUGGCUACACCUUAUCAUCCUCAGACUUCCGGGCAAGUUGAGCUAGCUAACAGGGAAAUAAAGAACAUCUUGAUGAAAGUGGUGAAUUCCAAUAGAAAGGAUUGGUCUAUUAGGCUUCAUGAUUCAUUGUGGGCAUAUAGAACAGCUUAUAAGACUAUUCUUGGGAUGUCUCCCUAUCGUCUUGUCUAUGGUAAAGCAUGCCAUCUCCCUGUGGAAGUUGAAUACAAAGCUUGGUGGGCAAUAAAGAAGUUGAAUAUGGACUUGAUCAAGGCAGGAGAAAAGAGAUAUCUAGACCUUAAUGAGAUGGAGGAAUUAAGAAAUAAUGCUUAUAUCAAUUCCAAAGUUGCAAAACAGAGGAUGAAGAAGUGGCAUGACCAACUCAUCUCCAACAAGGAAUUUCAGGAAGGGCAAAGAGUUUUACUGUAUGACACAAGACUCCAUAUCUUUCUUGGGAAGCUCAAGUCAAGGUGGAUAGGGCCGUUCAUUAUUCACCGAGUAUGUUCCAAUGGAGUGGUGGAAUUAUUGAAUUCCAAUGGCAAGGACAGCUUUAGAGUCAAUGGAUAUCGUCUCAAGCCAUUCAUGGAGCCAUUCAAACCAGAAAAGGAGGAGAUCAACCUCCUUGAACCUCAAAAAGCAUAAGCGAAAAAGGGUUUGCUGGACGUGGUUUACCACAGUCCAAAUUUUUUUGUAAAUUUUGUAAAUUUUCAAGUUGUUUCCAUACUUUUGAUCUUAGUUUUUGAUCUUAAAUCAUGUUUUUAUGUGUAUUUUAAUCUUUUUGAAUGAUCCCAGGUGGAAGAAAUUUCAAGGAGAUUGAAAGAAAAAAAAUCGGGAAGAAAUCGGAGCAAAAAUAGAGUAAAAACAGAGGAAAAACAGAGCUCUGCGAAAUUUCGCAGAGUGAAGGAAACUUCUGCGAAAUGAGCACUAUGCUGCAAAACCAUUCCGCAACACUGUAGAAGUCUCUGCGAGGGUAUUUCGCAACUGCGAAGGCGUUCUUGGCACACGAGUGCCACUUCGCAGCACAGGAACUCUCAUUUCGCAGCUACGAAACGCACUGCAAAGUUACUGCGAAAAUGGCAUUUUGCUACGAAAUUUGCGUUUUGUUGCAAAACUUAAACUGACCCUUAGGCUUCCGUUUUUCCUAUUUAUACCGGUCAUUUGAGCUGCGAAAAGGGUUUCAAAAAUCAGAGCGCCAUUCUCGCAAGCUGUUCGUCUUCUUCAGUGAGCCACGCCGACCAAGCCUCCGGUCAUCUUCUCCGAUCAGCAAUGUCGGCCAAAGUUCGGUAUCCCGAAAUGGCGCGAACACAAGGGGCUAAGUCUUCGUCUCCUUCGAAUCGCAAGAGGAGUCUGCGAAAGGAGCCAGUUUCAGAUCCUGCUCCUCAACCUUUGCAGCCGAAAACAAUCCCUCCUCCAAUGAAGCCAGCGCUGCCAAAGCCUCCGGUGAAGCCCGCACCGCCAAAACCUCUGGCAAAACGAUACCUUACCAGGUCAGGGGGUCGGCCACUGUAGAAGAAGCCCAGGGUUGAGAGCUCAGAACCCAUCGAUUUGACUGAGCAAUCUCCAGAGCCUUCACCAAUUCCAACUCCAGUGCCGUCUCCAGUUCCCUCGCCGAUUCCAAUGCCAGUUCUGUCUCCGGUGUCAUCUCCGGCGCCGAAAGAAAAAUCUCAGGAGCCUCAAGCGCCAAUUCCUGAGCCCCAAAUUCCAUCCGAAACAGCUCUGGAAGAAGUAAUUAGGCGGCCAAUGCUUCAUCAGCCACCAAUUGAGGGAAACUUGGAUUGUAGAACUCGGCCAUUCCAUUCCGAGCUAUGCUUCGACUUACCGGCAUUCAGAGUGAGGCCAGAGCUUGCCCAAUCAUUCCAGCUAUUGAGGAGGUAUCACAUGGAGCACUUGCUGACUCCAAGAGAUUUUUUCUAUCCCCGGAUAGCCACGGAUUUCUAUCAAUCCAUGACAACCAAAGAGGUUAGGAAUCCAACCUUGAUUCAUUUCACUAUCGAUGGGAGACAUGGCAUAUUGGGAGCAUGACAUAUUGCUGAAGCCCUGCAAAUUCCCUUUGAGCCAACCCAAUUCGAUAAUUUUAGAGCUUGGGCAAAUCCUACUGAGCUGGAGAUGGUGCGCACCCUUUCCAGAGGAGCUGCAAAUCGAUCACAUCUGCUGAGGGGGGAGCUUCCUCCAGUUAUGUUUUUGAUUGAUGCAUUUUUACGUCAUAAUAUCUAUCCAUUGCAGCAUUGGACCCAAAGAAGGGGAGUCCUCCUAGAAGCUCUUUACAAGAUGUCAGAAGGAUUUUUCUUUGGGCCUCAUCAUCUGAUCCUAGCAGCCCUUCUCUAUUUCGAAGAGAAGGUUCACAGAAAGAAGCUUCAGAGAGCUGAUUGCAUUCCCCUCCUCUUUCCAAGGCUGCUAUGCCAAAUUUUGGAGCAUCUGGGAUGCCCUUCUAAGCCUCAGCUGGAGAGAAAGCGAAUUUUCCGUGAACCAUUCACUCUUGAUAAAUGGAACAAUAUGACGGCCUACAAAGUUGAUCAGCCUGAGCAGCCUCAGCCAGCUGCAAGAAGAGCAUCCCCAAGACAUAUACCUGAAGGUAUAACAGUUGCUGCUCCUGCCAUUCCUAGAGCUCCACCAGCUGCACCAGCUUCAUCUCAGCCAUCCACAUCAGCUGAGCCGAGGAUGGCCAUUCCUAUAUCUGAAUAUAGAGAGUUGUGUCGUGCAUUGGAGACUCUCACAGCUUCUCAUAGCAGUCUUGCUCAGGAGAUGGCAACCAUUAGAGCAUGCCAAGAGCAAAUGUUGGCCACUCAGGCUCAACAAGCUGCCAUCUUAAGGCAGCUCCAGCUUCAUUUCAAUCUGCCACAAGCUGUAGAGCCCUCCACUGAUACACCACCAGAGCCACACUCUCAUCCUUCAGAGUCUCAUCCUCCAGAGCCCCAAGCCCCAGUUGAUGCACCUACUGAAGAGGCAGAUCCUUCUGCCUAGUCCCAGCACCACCCCACUCAUCAGACUAUAUUAUAUAUCUAAUAUUUUUAUGUAUUUCGUUUUUUUAGUUGAAAAGAAGUCCCAGUAUUUUGGUACUAUAUUUGGGAUUCCUUGUGUUACUUAUCUUUUGCAUUGUAAUCAAAUGAAUUUAAAGUAAUACAAGUUGAAUAUUUCUUGUUAACAGUUAGCAUUAAGUUGUCUUUAUUUCCUUUUCUCACAUAUUCUAUUCUUUUUUAAACAUGUGGUUUUCCCCAAUCAAUAUUCGAAUUUGAUAUCAACAAGGAGGUACCACUUCCUCCCUUUAAUUACAGUCACUCAUAUCACAUUGAGGACAAUGCUUAAUUCGGUUGGGGGGAAUGAGGAAGGAAGUAUGCUAAAUCUUUUUGGUAAUGCAAUUAUUUUGGUAAAUUAGUUGUAAUUUUUACUUUUUACUCUUGUUACUCUAAUCUCCAUGAAUUUUGAGGAAAAAUUUUCAAAUUAAACCAAGAGAAAUUGAACUGUUGUUUUUCACUUGACUUAGAGUAUGGAUUAUGCUUACUAAAGUGGUUCAAUUGUUUAAACUUCUAUUGAAAUUGAAUUUAGUUCUUCCACUUUAAGCUAUCCACACACUGUGCACAUUAGAUUCCGAUUAUAAGAUGAAAAUCUAUUUCCCUCUUGACUUAAGAUAAUUUUGGGACUUGGUAUAUUUGACCUCAUUUGAUAAAAUUGAAACACCCUGCAAAAGGCUAAUGAGCCUUUGAAAUAAAGAAAGUUGUUUGCUUGCCUUGAAACCUGAGCAAGGUCUGAGGGGUAUAUGGUGAAAGCCUUUAAAGCCUGGUGCCCUAAGCCUUAAUUGGUUGGGAGUCAUCGACCUCAAUGCUCGUUACAAGGGUGAAUAGGUAGAGUUAACAUAUGGUAAAUGCUUGGGUAUUAGAAAUUCAUUCUUAAAAGUCUAGGGAAAAAUCCGAGGAGUUAGUGGUUGAAAGAUCCUUAAAGCUUGGUGCCCUAAAUCUUAAAUGGUUGGGAGUCAUCGAUGGACCCCCAUAACAUGGACAAGUCAGAAAAAGUACCACAUAAAGCUACCUUAAAAAAAAAAAUAAAAAAAUAAAAAAAAAUGAUGAAAGUGUGUUCUUUUCUUAUUGAUUUUGGUCAGUUUGCUAAGUGUUGAAAAGAGAUAGGUUGGGGGGAGAGAUUAGUUUAGCAUAUUAUUCUCGGAAGCUAAGGAACCAAUACACAUAGAUUUUUGUGGAAGAUUAAAGUUUGGUUCUUAGAAAGUGGAAAUGACUUUAAAACUUCAGUUUGCAUAAUGCACUCCCUUGAUUGACAGUGUUUAGCAUAGUUUGUUAUAACUCUUGUUGAAAUUUGGGUUUGUAUUUCUUUAAUGUUUCAUGUGAGAAUUAGAUCAUCAUGCCACUUGAGAAUUGAUUUUGAUCAGCAUGAUGUGGUAAAUUUUAAUAUAGGUUGCUUUUUAUUUUCAUUGUUCUCUCCUAUUUUGCUAAGGGACUAGCAAUAUGUCGGUUGGGGGGAGUGAUUACUACUCAAAAAGUGCUAUUUGAUAGCCUAUAAUAAAUCCUUUUAAACACUUUUGAGUAGUAGUUUAGGCCUUUUAACUCAAUUGGCAUGUUAAGGACCCUUGAAAGGGAUUUUAAUCACUUUGUGUAAGUUUUGGUGUUUUUGUUAGUAAUUUAAUCACCAAAGCAAGUCAAGACUGAGGAGAGAUAUGAGGAAUCUUGGGCAAAGCUUAGAAGUCAUUUUCCAAGAGUAAAUCCGGAUUGCAAGGAGAAAAAGUAAAGAGAAUCUGCCAUGAAGCCUAUUCUUGAUGACAGUCGUAGCAGCCACUUUUGGAGCAUUUUAUGAAGCUCAAAUGAUGCAUGCUAUAUACCAUUUCAAAGCUCAGGAAGUCAACAAUCCAAUGCUUCAAACGGUGUGCAAUUCGGAGUUGAAACGAAGAAGUUGCAGCCGUUACAAGCCAAUCACUUCGAGCUGAAGGAAGCAUUUUGCAAAGUGCUGCGAAAUCACCCUUUUGUUGCGAAGUGAUUUCGCAGCCUUUUUGAACAGUCUGAUGUUUCUCCUUCUGACGAUGCCCGACAUAUACCGCGAGAGGGAAGCUAGGAACCUCAAGGUGGGAGCCAACUUCGCAGCCCUGCGAGUUUAACUUGUUGAUGCGAAAAUAUUUCGCAGCCCUCUUGAGUGUCUGCGAAAUCUCGCAGACACCAUUUUUCUCCUGCGAAAUGGUUCCUGAAGCCUCCCGAUAUUUGCUACCGACAUUGGGAGAUAUUUUCCAUUAGAUUUUUGUUGUCUAAAUCCCAAAGUACUCCUUGUAAACCACCAAUUACAUGAUUCCUUAGCUUUUAAGUUAGUAAAAAGACUAAAUAUCUAUGUAAUAAUUAGUUUUAUAUUAUGUUCAUAUAUAUACCUCUCGGGAGCCUGUUCUCAGGGAGGAGUUCCUUCUGUAAAAGUUUGGGUAAGCAAGUAAAGUUUAUUUCUUUCUAUUGCUUUACCUUCUCACUUUGUAUUUUCAUUUUCUUACUAAGUUAUGAAUUCUCUGAGGAGUUUUUCCCAGAGAAUGAGUAACUAAACCUCUAAUUCCUUGGAGCUAAGGUUGCCAGGGAAGGUUCCAAGUGCAAGAAUGCAAGGCUUUGUGGUUUUAGCUAUUAAUGAAGAGGAAGUGAAAUCCUUUAAUGAUUUCUAUGUUUUUAGUUAACUUAAAACACCUUAGAGUCACCUGGGCCAACACUUGGUAAGGCAUGUGAUUUCCAACCAAGGAAAUGCACUAGUUUACCCCUUACGAGCCUCUGGGAGGUGACUUUAGGGUAGGAUUUUCUAGAAUAGCCAACACUUGGUAAGCUUUUAGACUCCUAGGAGACAUCCAUUAGUUAUCUCUUGCGAGCUUUUGACGGGUAAUCCAAGGUUAAAGAUCACCUUGAAUGGUUGAGGCUUAGUGAGAGGCUUAAACCAUUGCAAGUUGCAUCAGUGAGAGAAUUAAAGUGAAAUCUAAUUGAAGGAGUCUCUGUACAACACCGGUUAGAGAAUUGACUAUAUGUUGAAUCUCUAACGCGAGGAAAUGAACCAUCUGACCAGAGCCGUGUCUUUUGCAUGAGGAACCACCCCAGUGAACCUAACUCUCCAAGGAAUGCUUUUCUUCCUAAAUUAUUCCAAACUUCUGUUGUGUUAGUUAGUUUAAGUCUAAACCUUUACCAAUCAAAGCUUGUGUUUUACUUCUUAAGCUAACCAUGAAAUGAAACAAAACCAAUUCACUUGGAAUUGGUAUCAUUGAUAGCUUGCUAAUCCUUCCCAGUGAACGAUCCUAGAGCCGCUAUACUAUAGUAGCUUUUUCUUUGCUACCCUAUUAUAUGGUGUUAUAGGUUAUAAAUUUUUUUGAUUACUCCCUCAAUCAAGGAGCACCAGUUGGACACAAAUCAGCUGAGACACCAAUUGGGCACGAAUCAGCCCAUCUAGGCACAUUUGGCUCAUUUAGGAUCAUAGGCUAAUUUAGGCACAUUCGACCCAUUUAGGUUGCCUUGACCCAUUUAGAAACACCCAAGCCUAUUUAGGUCACUUAGGCCUACUUAGGCACACCUUGCCCUAUUUAGGUCACUUAGGCCCAUUUAGGCACAUUCGACCCAUUUUGGAUCACCUUGACCCAUUUAGGCAUAUUUGGCCCAUUUAGGAUCAUCGUGGCCCAUUUAAACACACCCUGACCCAUUUAGGUCAUUUAGGCCCAUUUAGGAGCAUUCGACCUAUUUAAACAUAUUUGGCCCAUUUAGGAUCAUCGUGGCCCAUUUAAACACACCCUGGCCCAUUUAGCUCAUUAAGGCCCAUUUAAGAACACAUUAACCCAUUUAGGUCACUUAGGCCCAUUUAGGUACAUUUCAUCCCCUAGCCCAUUUAGAAACACCCAAGCCCAUUUAGGUGAUUUAGGCCAAUUUAGGCACAUUUGGUCCAUUUAGACACUCUGGGCUCAUUUAGGUUCACGUAGGCCCAUUUAGGCACAUCCGACCCAUUUAAGAUCACCCUAACCCAUUUAGACACAUUCGACCCAUUUAGGAUCGUCUAGGCCCAUUGUAGCACAUUUGGCCCAUUUAUGAUCACCAUGGCACAUUAGGCCCAUUUAGGGUCACUUAGGCCCAUCUAGGCACACGCUAAGCCCAUUUAGGUCACCCGUUGUCUCACUUCUUAUUGCAUGGUUUGCGUGAUUGCAUUGUUGAACUUCCUUGCAGGGCUUGCAUGACACUUUGUUUUUUUUUUUUUUGUUAUUAUUAAUUACUUAUUUAUUUUUAUUUAUUAUCUUGCUAUUUAUUUAUUUAUUAUUUAUCUAUUAUUAUUUCAUUAUUUUCUAAAUUAUUUUUAAUUACUAUUCAUUUGUUCAAUCUAAUUUUUUAGUAUUAUUUUUUUUUGUGUUUUUGUAGGGAAAUUUACCAAAGAGAGCCAACGGAGAUGGAAAUUAAGAAUCACCAAAAUAAAAAAGGAAGAUAAAGGCAAAAGAGAGUAAAACUUACCAAAAGGAGAGGGGCUUGUGAGUUGCAUUAUGAAAGUAUGGAGAACACAUUUUGGGAGGUUUAUCAAAGAGAGAGUCAAUGGAGGUGUAAAGCAAGAAUUACCAAAAUAAAAAAGGAAGACAAAGCGAGAGAGAGAGUAAAACUUACCAAGAGAAGAGGGGAUUGAGGGUUGCAUUAUGAAAAUAUGGAGAACAUGUUUUGGUAACUGAGAAAUUCAGCAUAUGGAGGUUUUGGAGUAAGGAGAUGAAGGAUUUGGUCAAGGUGGAAUUUUAAGAAAAAAGGAUAUUCAAUGUGGUAGGAAGGAAUGUUUAGCAUAUUAAGGAAGAAUGUGGGGAUUGGUAGGGGGGAAGAAGAACAACUGCAAUUUUUCUUUUUUCUUUUUUGGUAGAGAGAACACUUUGGCAAAUUUUUGGGAGGUUCAACGUGCAUGUACAAUAAGAUCUCUUGAAAGAGAACCUAUAGAAGAGGGCACAAAUUAUUUUUGGAGACAAUUAGUUGCAUCUUAAAAGGGAAUUGAAGGAAAAUAUUGAUGAUGAUAUUGAUUUUAUUAGUUUCCAAAAUAUUGAUAUUAGUUUCAUGAAUAUGGAUGUUUUAGUUUAGAUAGAUAUUGAUGUUUUAGUUUUGAAAAUAUUGAUGUUUGCUUAGAUGUUUUGAUUCAGAUAAAUUUUGACAUUUUAGUUUUGAUAAAUAUUGAAUUCUUGGAUGUGUUUGCAUGUUGGUUAUAUUUUUAAAUAAAAAUUCUCAGAACGUUAGUCAUCCGAGAAAAUAAAAAUAAUAUAAGAAAAAAGCAAAGUUGUUGCCUUUUUUUUUUUUUUUUUGGCCUGUAUUAAUUUUAUUUUUAAAUUUCAUUGGAUGAUUAGUUGGGGUAUAAUUCACAUGUUAUUUUUAUUGGAUGAUUAGUUUGGUUAUAAUUCACAUGGUGGUAUUAAUUUAAAAAUUCAUUGGAUGAUUAUUUUGAGCAUAAUUUUUGUAAAAUUUAUUGGAUGAUUGGUUUGUAUAAUUUUAAUGUUAGUAGAUUUUAAAAAUUUAUGGAAUGAUUGUUAGGUUAAAUUCCCAUGUUGAAUGUGUUUUAAAAAUUCGUUAAAAAAAUUAAAUACAAAUUCUUUUUUUAUUUAUUAAUUAAAUAAAAUUAAAUGAUUGGCUAUAAAUUAAAUAUUUACAAAUGAUUCCUCAGAAUGGGAAACGAAAGGCUAUAAAUGAUUGGCAGCUUAGAAACCUCAACAAGCCCAUCUCUAAAACCUUUCUAAAAUAAGAAAGUCAUCCAAGAAGAUAAAAAUAAUAUAAGAAAAAGGCAAAGUUGCUGCCUUUUUUUUUUUUUUUGGGCUGUAUUUAUUUAUUAAUUUAUUUUUGUCAAUCUCCUACAGAAGGUGGCAGAGAAAGGUAGAGAGGAGUUAUUAGAGUUACAGACGAAUAAUCAGUUUCAAUGCUAUUGUCUUCUUGUUGUAAGGGUAAAAUAAGAGGCAAACAAAUUAAUGAAUUCAUUAUCUUAGCUUUCUAUUGAAAUGCCUUCCAAGAAAUGUUUUGAAAGGUUUUGAGAGCUUUGAGUUUAGUCUAGAAUAAUGGUAGUAUAUUUCAGUGAAUAUGCAUUCUAAAAAAAUAUAUACCUUUAGCAUAUACCAAGAUAUCCAGUAACAACCAAUCAAAACAAAAUCACUCUUCUUGGAAAACAUGGAUGUUCGAGUACCCAGCUCUUUUCUUUAAUUGUGCUUUCUUCUUUUUGUGCCAACAUCUGCUCUCUCUCCAGCAUGCCAGUGUGCGUCCCAGCCAGCUCUUUUGUGCUUUAAAUGAAUUGAAUACUUGAUCUUAUUCUGCCAUUGUUUUGGCUCAAACCUAAGAAGUAUAUUUACCCUAACUUCUUUUCAUGUCUUCAACUUACUCAAAGGCUCACAAGUCCCAUUGGAAGUAAGCAGUUAAGGAUUUUUGAACUAAAAUUAUCAAACAUAGUCUAAUAGGUUAUACUCUUUUCAACAGUUUAAAUUGUUUUUGUUGAUAGAUUAUUUGAUUUUUCUCCUAGCUGGCCCAGUUGUUUAUUUCAAAGUGCAGUUUAGAACAACUUUCAACAUUUGAAUAAGGAAAAGAAAAUAUAUAGAUGAAUUGACUGAUUCAAAGGGCAUAUUACAGUCAGUCUGGUCACCUACAUUAUUAAUGAAAUUAUUGACGCAGAAUAACAGGGCGGAUGACUUCAAAUGGAUACACUGAGGUCUAUCUGUGCGUGUUAGGCAUUCAUGAACCUGUUUUCUUCGGUCAAAGAGCAGCCAUUACAAGGAAAAAACAUGGCGAAAAUUAAGUGAAGUAUGACUUCUGGAAGAUUUAUCACCUUCGUAAAUGAAGUGAGAGUUUUGACCGAAUUGAAGUAAAAAAAUUAAAUGCAACGGCCGGACCGGCUCCAACUAUUAAGAUUAUAAGUGCCACACAGAAAGAACAGAAAGAACGGUCCUAGUAAAUGAAGUAUAAAGACAUGUAAACAUAAAAUUGUCCAGGUAAAUGAAGACAUGCAAUGAAGAAGAAAUCUGUUGCAGACUACACAAAUCACAACCACAUAAAUCAACCACCCACCCAUUUUUCAAACUUCCAGCUCUCAUGCACUGGCACAGUUCGGUCCUUUUAAAGAUUAAAGUAGGCAUCUAAAAUUUUAUUGGUUUCAAGAAAUUUGGUGCACCAGGUUCCAAUGAAGAGAAGCUUUUUGUUCUAAAUAUUUAAUAGUAGAUUCCAUUCUUAGCUUACCAAUAUAUAUAAAUUACUCAGGACCUUAAGAAGUUGAUAUUACAAUUUAAACAAUGUUAUAUCAUGUGUAUUAGGAGAGAACCAAUCUCACCCACAAAUCAAGAACACUCAAUUGUCAAUUCUUAAGUUUAUCACUAAUAUAUGUAUACUUAUAUAGUUUAUGUAUCUUUUGGAAAGUCAUGUGUAUAUUUAAAAGAUUAUAGUGUACACCAAUAAUAAUAUACUUUCACCAUUCAUCUAUGCACCUCUUUCUAGUAUCAGAGCAAUUCUACCUCCCAUGAGUUCUUUUUUUCUCCUUCAUCCUAUGUUUCACCAUGGCUGAAGCAAGCUCAACAAGGCUAUCCCACCUUCCCUUACCUACCAAUACCACCGUGAACCUUAACAAUCUCAUUGCCAUCAACACAAUUAGCUAGCCAACUUCCACUCAAGCUCACCCUCACUAACUAUUACUCAUGGAAAACAUAGUUUGGUGCACUGCUCUUUAGAUAUGACUGUAGACCCUCAAUUUUGUCCCUUUAACACAUGUCUUUAAGUUCGUUUUCAGUGCUCCACAAUAGUUCCUUGGUGGCCCAGUACUAUUCAUUACUUACCUUUCUUGAGCCACCUCGAAGACUCUGGUUGAGGGAUUAUCUGACCCCUUAUUAUGACCCUUGGCAGUUUUGAUUUAGACUUAGGUUUUUCCUUCCUUUUUAGGAUAGCAUUUAGGUGCACUUUUAGGAUAGCACACUUAGGCAUUGUCCUAAACAUCCUAGUCUCACUUAGACACUUUUUUUUUUAGACUCACUCAGGUUCGCUAGGUCCACCUAAGCAUCCCAGCCCAUUUGCAUUUUUAAUGCUUGCAUGUACUUGAUCUCUUAUUUAUUUAUUAUUAUUUGGUUAGUUAUUUGUUUUUAUUUAUUUAUUUUAUAGAAUAUUGCAUGAGAUUGAUGAUUAAUUGUGUAAAUUGAUGUCUUAAUUAUUUUUGUGUACCUAUGAUAGACAUAAUGUUUUUAAUUGCAUAAUUUUAAAUUAGUUUUAAUUUUCAAUUUCAUGACCUUUACUAAUUUUAAUUCUUAUUUUUAUUUUGGCAUGAGAUUCGAAUGCACACAUUGGAGAAGAUCCUUGAUGUACACGGCUGCAUAUAUGUGGGAAGAUUCUAUGCAACAUGGAAAGGAGAUUUAAAAUGUUAAAGAAAGGAAAGCAGAUCACUUAUGAAGGAUGGAAAGAAGAUUUUUCUUUUAUUUAUUUUUUUUUUUCUAAAAAAGGGGCUGCCAUUUAUUGGGAAGGAGGAUCACCAAAAUUUUAAAGAAAGGAAAGUAGCUGCCCAUAGAAUAAUAUAUGGAAACUUCCAUACAAAAGGGGGGAUUCUUGGAUGGUCAGAGGGGGAAAGGAGCACGUAUUGGAGGAUGGGAGAAUUCUGAAGGGAGGAGAGAGGAACGUGUAUUGGGAACGCAGGGAGAUACAUAGAAAGCAAGGAGGUUAGGCUAUGAUUUUGAGAGGGCGGGCUGCUGUUUUCAAAGGGAUCAGCCCGUGGAUUUUGAGAGUGAGAGAUUAGUCCGCGGAUUUUUAGAGUGGAGGAUCAGUCCGUUUCAGAGUAGAGGACUGGCUGCUAUUUUUUUAAGAGAUCAGUCUAUGGAUUUUCAGGAUGGUGGACCAAUUCGUUUUAGAGGAGAGGACGGUCUGCUUUUUUUUUAAAAAAGAUCAGUUCGUGGAUUUUGAGAGUGGGAGAUCACUCCGUGAAUUUUUAGAGUGGGGGAUCAGUCCGUUUCAGAGGAGAGGGCAGGCUGCUAUUUUUUUUUAAGAGAUCAGUCCAUGUAUUUUCAGGGUGGAGGAUCAGUCUGUUUCAAAGGAAAGGGCGGGCUGCUAUUUUUUUAAGAGAUCAGUCCAUGGAAUUUAAGAGUGGACGAUUAGUCCAUUUCAGAUGAGAAGGUGGGCUGUUAUUUUUUUUAGAGAUCAGUUCGUGGAUUUUCGAAGUGGAAUUUGGAGGAUCCUCACGCAGCCAUAGAAGGAGUGGGCUGCCACAGAAAUAAAGGGAGAAGAACAGGAAAAAGGAGAGAGAUCAAUCCAUGUUUCAAAGAGAUUAGAGGCUGCUGUUUGGGCAAAGAGCAGUCCGUGUUUUGAAAUGAUUUUGGGGGCUGCUAUUUGGAGGGAUCAAUCCGUGUUUUGAAAGGAAGGGGGCAGCAGCGGCACGAAGGAGAAUUCGGGUGAAAGGAGAAGGAUGGAUUUUCUGGAAUGUGAGAGGGUGCAGCCGCAACACUUUGUGCGAUACCCGAGCAUCUCCGACAACAUCUUAUGGCUGUUGGAGAUUCGCACCAGCUUGUUAAUCCCGCCACCUAAACACCACAGCCGCACCGGAUUUUCAAAGGGAAUUCAUAUCCACGCAGCACUUUGAGGAUUUGCAGCACAUAGGUAUCCACCACACCAUGCAUCCUUGGAAUUUUUUUUUAAUUAAAAAGUCCUACUAGUGGAAAGUAGUCUUCACAUUUUGAAAAGGUAUUUAAAGAAUUUGCUGUGCAAGGGUAUCCACCACACUAUGCAUCAUUGGAAUUGUUUUUUUGUUGUUUUUAUUAAAAAAAAUCCUACUAGUGGAAAAUGACCUUCACGUGUUAAAAAAAAGUAAACUAAUUCAUCCCAUUUCAAUUUUGCUCCAUGAAACAUUCAAUUCAAUUCAUAGUUGUUUAGAAUUUUGGUUAUUUAGUUUAAUUUAUUCCAAUGUCAAUAUAUUCAUGCUAUCAAGUUGUUAAGUUUAGCUUUAAAUUAUUCCUAUUUGGCCUAUGCAUUUUCAAGGUUUAUUUUAUUAGAAAUUCAUGGUUAAUUUAGAUGUUAUUUAUUUAUUUAUUUUUAAUUUUUCUUAUCUAAAUAAAUUAAUUAUUACUGAUUCAUUAUUCUAGUUUGAAGAUUAUGAUUUUUGUUUAAUAUAGUUACAAUUUAUUAUUCUUAGUUUGACAAAUUAAUUUUUUAGUAUUGGUUUGGGCAAUUUUUGUUAAUAAUGGAAAAGUUAAGAUUUUUUAGAGUUUAGGUAAUUUGUUAUGAUAGGUAAAAAUUUAGAAUUUUGAUUAGCAUUAUUUUGGUUCUCAAUUAGGAAAUUCAUAAUUUCUUUUAGUUUAGUUUUAAUCUAUCUUUUAGUUUAGAUGUUAUUAAAAUUCAGUUCAUUAGUUCAAUUGAUUCCAUGUCACAUCUUUUCGUAUCUAAAGGUUGUUAAAUUUAAUUCAUGAUUCAUUCUUUUAGUUUAUUAAUUUUAGAAUUUAAGUUGGUUAAUUUAUUUCAUUCCGCAUUGAUAUAUUCAUGUUUUAAAAUAAAUAAAGAAAAAAAAUUAUUUUAGUUUUGAUUGAUCCUACUUUAGUUGAUAUUCUUUAGAGUUUUAAUUAAUUCGAUUGGUUUCAUAUUGUUUAGUUUAUGUUAAAAUUUUUCAAUUCCAUUUUGCUAUUAAUUCUAUGCUUUCAAAUUGUAGGCUAUUAGUUUAAUCUAUCCCCAUGUUGCCAUUUUGCGUUUAAAAAUAGUUCAUUUUCGUUUUUGAUUAAUUUUAUUUAUUUUAUGUGUUUGUCUUUUUUUUUAUUACUUUCUUAUUUUUUAUUAUUAUUUUUUUUAUUUUUUUAUUUUUUAUUACUCAUUUGUUUAGUUAGUCGAUUAAAUUUAUGACUCCAAAUUGUCAAUAUUAGUUGAUAUGUAUCGUUUGUACUAUUUUAAAGGUCACAUAAUAUUUAGUGCUUGAUUAAGUUUAUCUUAAGAUUAAAUGUUGUUAAAGUUUCAAUGCUUGUAAGAUCUAAGGUUUCAGUUUAUCACUUUGGUCAUCCUUUGUCAAAUUCAAUUUUUAGAGGCUAUCGGAAAAUAGUGAAGAUUAGCCUCCAUUCUCACCUUCAAUUUUCUUGGUUGUCAAAAAUUCUACUUUGUGAUUUUGUUCUCUUUUGUUUUGCUUGGUAUUUUGAUUCAUACACUUUAUUGCUUUCAAAUUAAUUUCUUUUUAUUUUUAAAAUACAACACUAUUCUCAAAAUCUCAUUUUCCUUAAAAAUUCAUUUAGAGUUCUUAGAAUCAAAAUCUCAUUUUUUUAAAAAUAAUGUGCAACCAUGUUUUGAUCGGUUCACAUCUUUCAAAUAAAAUUACAGUUUUGAAUAAAACACGAAUCAAAGCUUGUGGUCCCAAAUAAAUGGGAUAAUUCUAGGCUAAAUUCGUGUAUAUCAAUUGGGGAAUUGGUGAAACCCCUACAUAAGAAAAUCUUUUCAAAAAUUAUUUUCGUUGCCACUUUUGUCACUUGUUGAAAUUAUGUCUAUCUUUUUAUUAGAAAUUGUAUACAAGAUGAGUGUGAUAAUUAUCGUUUUCAUAUACUUUGAUAAUUUCUGCUAUGCUAAUUAGAUAACGAGCAUGCUAGGCUUUCUAUAUUUUAUUAUUUAUCAUCUAACCCCUUACAACUUGAGGAAGCAUGUUACAAAUUAUCUAUGCUAUCCAGGUAUGUCUUCUAUCACCUACUUUCUGAAUUUUGUGAACAUGCUUGUCAUUGUGAAAUAAUACUUAUGUCUAAUAAUGCUCGAAUAUUCUGAUAUACAUGUUUCAUUGCUUGAUUAUUUCUGAUAAAAUACAUGUUGGAUGAUAUAUUGUUUAAAUUAACCAUCGAUGUUUUAUGAUAGCGCUUGAGAAGCCGUCCAGGUAUGCACCCUAACUCUCUUUUAUGGAAAUCUGAUCCUAUUUGGCAUGUUAUUUUUCGAAAUCACCUUAGUCUGUUUAGGUAUCCCCAAUUAAUCAAUUAAUUACCAUUUUACCCCCAACUUUGUUAGUAGAGACCUUUUUAGGGCUUAGAGGGGUGCUACCUCCUAGAGGUACCUUCCCAAUAAGUAACCUGAUCCCCAGACCUAGACUCGGGUUUCUCAAAGACACGCUUUUCCAAAAAUUAUGGAGUCAUUUUUUUUAGGGUUUUAUUUCUUGUUUUAUUUUCCCUUUAAAAAAAAAAUAAAAUAAGUGGCGACUCCAACUGUUUUUCAAAAAAUCAAUUUUUCACAAAAAUAAUAAAAAGCGAGUCUCGCCAAUCGAGUGGGGACGCACGUGAAAAAUGCGGGUCCACAAUGACCUACUUGGCUACAUUGACGGAACAAAGCCAGGACAAACAAAUCUCAAUCCUAACUAUACUUUUUGGACAAGUAGGACAAACUUCUUCUUCUAGGAAUCAUCGGCUCUCUUAUUGGAUUUUAAGGGAAUGGAAACAAAGACUAUCCCAAAAGACACAAACAAAUAACAGAAUGAAUAAAAAGAAAAAAUUAUCGGCUGAGGUGUGACAAACACUAUCCUUGAAAUAGAUCCACCCUCCUCGAAGACAAACUCGGUGCACUAGGGUACCAAUGGUCUACUUCCAGGAUUCAACAGCUAGAUCUCGCCUUGGGUGCACUCUGAAAUCGAGAUGUAUACAACUUGAAUUUUUUAAUAAAUUCCUCCAAUUAGAUGUAUGAAAAUACUCCCUGAAAAACUCUUCAAAAAAAUUCUCUAAAAAAUUUUGUAUCCAAAGUAUAGAGAGGGGUGACCUGCUUUUUUAGGCCACUAACACAAUCUCAAUGGGAAUCUACUUAUAAUUAGAAGAUGACACAAAGUGGAAGGUGAUUCUACUUAUAAAAGGAAUGAGAUUCCACUAGCACAAUUCCAAUAGGACUCUUCCCAAAAAUAUAACACUAAUAGAAUAAAAUAAAAUAUAAAAAAAUAAAAAAAUAAUUCUCAAUAGGACACUUCCCAAAAAUUUAAGACUCAUAGAAUAAAAUAAAAUAAAAUAAAGUUAAUUUCCAAAAAUAAAAAUAGAAAUUAUUUACACUCAUCCUAUAUCUCUCAGCCACAAAGUCAUACUUGUGGUUCAUUGAUGCAAAACUUCCACUAAAGCUUGGCAUCAUUUUUCAAAGCUCUAUGUCAAUCCCUCAUUCUCCAGAACCAUGGGAUUGGUAGAGCAACUCAUUCUUCUCAACCAUGGCUCUUAACCAAUAGUUAACUACCUUGCAACAGUCCAUGAUAUUAUUGAUGAAUUGGACCUUCUUAGAGAAGCCAUUCCAAACCAAUAACUCAUCACUUACGUAUGCAAACAUGUCACCCCUGAAUUCAAUGAAUUGUUGUUGUUAUAUGCACACAAGAUACUAUGAUCACAUUUGAUGAGCUGAAUGAAAAAUUAGUGGAAUAUGAUGCCUUCCUCAUGUAGGAAGAGCUUUGUUCCACUAGCACUCUUGGUACCACUAAAGUCAACAAUACACAAUUUUCAUCUUCCCAUAGUGACAAAAACGCUAGCCAAAAAUAUUUCCCUAGUAGGAAAGGAUACCAAGGCUAACAUCCUCCUCAUUUUGGGAAUCAACACCCCAACAAGAACGCCACUUUGAUUUGCCAAUUCUGUGAGAAGAAAGGUCAUACUACUUGCUAGUGUUACAUGGCUAAGAAAUUGUUCCUUUCAUCCACACUUACUACUAGUCCAAUUAUCCCCACAAACAACUUCUUAACCAAUUGGCUCGCAGAUAUCAGUGCCUCACAUCAAGUUACAUCUAAUCUUAACAACUUGUCUCUCUGCUAACCAAUGAAUCUAGUCAUUAAUAGUUUUCACAUUUCCUAUACUUGGAGGGUUGUUCCAAGAUUAAAUAAAGUUUUUUCCCAUGCUAAUCUUAAUAUAGUGAUUCAUGCCCAGUCGGGUGUUUAUCAAAACAUUUAUAAAACCUACAACACCUUAUACUAAGGUAGCAAAGACAAAGCUACUAUAGUAUAGUGGCUCUAGGAUUGUCCACAGGGAUGGGUUUUCUUUGUACACUUAACAUUAAUGAAAGGAGAAAUGGUGAUUUCCUUUUUGGAAGUUAGCUUUUAAAUGAAAAUAAGAUUGAUUGGAAGGGUUGAUUUUAAGUUAAGCAAACAUAAACAACUGAAAUUACUAUAAAGAGAAAGUCUCUUGGAGCUAUAGGUUACUAGGAUCAGGUUCCUGUUGCAAAGUGGGAAAUUACGGAUCUUCUCCUCGCAUUGGGGAUAAUAACAUAAAGGAUGGUUAUCUCCCGAACCGGAUUUGUAUUUAGCAAAUAAGUUUUGAUCCAAAGGAUUCUUGAAAAAUGGUAGUUGCUUCCCAUUAAUGGCUUCAAACACUAAAGACCCUCACCUUGAACCACCUUCCAAUGGCUCGUACUUGAUAACUAAUGGACAUCCAUGGAUCUAGCAAUAAGCAUCCAUAGAAUCCUAAAAGCUUACCAAGUAUUGGCCAUUCAAGGUGAUUCUAAGGGAUCAAAGCUAAAACUUGAAAUACAAACCAUUAACGAUACACAACUACCUUCAUUUUUAGCAAGGAAAACUCCCACCUUUACAUAUGGGUCCUUUACCUAGCUUCCAUCACUCCAAGAAACGUGAAACUUAGCCACUCAUCCUCUGAGAAAUCAUCCUCUGAGGGUGUUUGGCUAGAGAGAAAGUGAAGAGAAAAUGAGAAGGAAAGGUAGAGAAAAACUCGUCUUUACAAAAUAUCUAAAACAUAAUAUCUCCCAUCCUUUGAGAGGUUUUCCAACCCCUAUUUAUAGAUCCUAAACAAACCCUAAUGUCAUUUAUCUAUUACAAAAAGAGAAAAGGAAAAAAUUACAAUUCUGGAGAUUUUUCCCGAAGGUCGGUGUGCAUAAAGUGAUUUUUGCACACCCUACAAAAAUUUGGCACACCUUGCGAAAAUUUGGCACACCUUGCGAAUUUGAUGAUUUUGCCUUGCAAAAUGCUCUGUUUCCCUCCAUCUUACUACUGAUAGCUUUGCCAACCCCUUUCCAAGUUUGCCAAGGGGUUUUGAAGUGCUCCAAGGCUCGGAUUCUUCAUGUGAUUGAUCUUCAACUUACCUUGCCAUAGCUUGCACAAAACUCUCCCUCAAUCUUGGCCUGUUUUGGUGAUAAAAAAGCUACCAAAAACACUAAAACUUACCAGAAAUUGGUUAGUAACAUUCGCUAGGUCCUUACAUGCCAAUUGGGAUAAAAAGGUCUAACUACUACUCAAAAGUGCUUAGUACAAUUAAGUUUAAGCUUAUAAAAAUGCACUUUUUGAGUAGUAAUCACUCCCCCCAACUGACACAUUGCUAGUCCCUUAGCAAUGAAGGAGAGAAAAAAAAAUGCAUCUCUCAUGGAAAAUCAAAGAUAUAAAACCCAACCUUCAACAAGAGUUAUUAAAUCACUUACCUAAUCACAAAAUACAAAGAGUGGGCAUUAUGCAAAUUUAAGCAUCAAAAGAAUUUCCACUCCCAAAGAUCCAACUCUUAAUCUUCCACAAGAAUCUAAGUGUUAAGGUGAUUAGUUUCCAAUUAUAGUAUGCUAAACUAUACUCUCACUCCCCCUAACUUAGUUCUUUCUCAAACUUGGCAAACUGACCAACAUCCAAUAGGUUAAGAACGCACCUCUUUUAUUUUACAAUUCUUUUAUUUGCUCAACUUCACCCAUUCACCCUUGUAAUGAGCAUUAAGGUCUAUGACUCCCAACCAAUUAAGGUUUAGGGCACCAGGCUUUAAAGACUUUCGCCAUAUACCCCUAGGACCUUGCUCGGGUUUCAAGGCAAGCACAACAUUUUUUUAUUUUUUUUCUGAAGGCUCAUUGGCCUUCUAUAAGGUGUCCCAACACUAUUAAAAUGAGGUCAAAGGUACCAAGUCAAAAUUUUCCUAAGUUCAAGGGGUGAGAUAAUUUUUCAUCUUAUAAUUGGAACCUAAUGUACACAGUGUGUGGUAAGAUUAAAGUGGAAGAAACAAGGUUGAAUUCAAUAGGAGCUUCAAUAAUUCAUCAACCUCAAUAAACACAAUACAAACUUUAAGACUUAAGCAAAAAGGCAAGAACUCAACUUCUCUCAUUUCAUUUUGAGAAUUUUUCCUUGACAACCAUGGAGAGUAGAGUAAUUUUAAAAAAAAAAUUAAACAAGAGGUAACUAAGAACAAAAUAUCCUAGCAAUAUUUACAAUACUUACUUCCUCAACUCUCCCCCCAAUCAAGAUGAACAUUGUCCUCAAUGUUUCAAUUGCAAGUGAAAAUAAACGGAGGAGGUGAUACCUUUUGAGGCAAAUUUUUCAUAGUCAUGCAAACGUUUCGCAAAAGGGAGCGAAAAUGACUAGAGAAGUGAGAAAUGAAGUUGGGAUGUAUGCUAUAAAAAAAAAAAUGUACUUUUUUUUUUUGUAGAGAAAAAUGAGGGGUGUAGAUUGUUCGCAAAGUGGAAUUUUCAUAAAAUAGAAUUUUCGCAAAAUGGAAUUUUCGUAAAGUGGGAUUUUCGUAAAGUGGGAUUUUCGUAAAAUGGAAUUUUCGCAAAAUGGAAUUUUCGCAAAGUGGAAUUUUUGCAAAAUGGGGUUUUCGCAAAGUGGGGUUUUCAAAACUUGAUUCGCAAGGUGAACUUUGAGUUUGCAAACCCUAUGGAAAUUCACAUUUGAAGACCGAGAGUUGUAGUUUUCAAAAAUGAUCACAAAGGGUUUUCGCAGAGGAUUCGCAUACCCUGUGUUUUUUCACAUAGGGUGCGAAGUUAAAGACCGAGAGCUUGAAUUUUUCAAAAAUCAUCAGGAGGAUUUCGCAGAGGGUGUGAAAUUUUCGCAUGCUCUGCGAAAUGGCAGUAGCUCACAUAAUGUAAAGAGCACUUUUCGCACAACAUGCGAAAAUUUCGCAGGGAGGUAUGCGAAAUGCUCUGCUUCAAUUUUUUCCUCAGUUUUUCCUCUGCCGACGAAUCCUUAAGUGCCCUCCCCUACAAGUGAUUGAUUACUACUCAAAAAGGGCUAUUUGAUAGCUUGUAAUUAACUCUUUUAAACACUUUUGAGUAGUAAUUAUUGCCCUUUAACCCAAUUAACAUAUUAAGGACCUUUGCAAUCACUUCUAAUCACUUUGUGUAAGUUUUGGUGUUUUUGUUAGUAAUUUGAUCACCAAAGCAAUCCAAGAAGGAGGAGAAGUAAAGAGAGAAUCUACCUUGAAGCAUUCUUGAUGACAGUCAUUUCAGCCACUUUUGGAGUACUUCCUAAAGUCCAAUUUAUGCAUGCUUUAUGUCGUUUCGAAGAUCGGGAAGUCAACAAUCCAAUGCUUCAAACGGUUUGCAAAUCAGAGUUGAAAUGAAGAAGUUAGAGCCAAUGGAAGCAGAUCACUCCAAGCUGAAGGCCAAUUUCGCAGGGCUGCGAAAUCAGCCUUCGGCUGCGAAAUGAUUUCGCAGCCAUCUUGUUCGUCUACGAAAUUUCGCAGCCAUUUUGUGCGCCUGCGAAAUUCUCCUGAGUGCUUCCAGUUAUUUGCGACCAUCGUUUUUUGUUAUUUUGCCUCAGAUAUUUGUUGUCUAAAUUCCAAUUCUCUCCUUGUAAUCCACCAAUUAGAUGAUUCCUUAGUUGUUGAGCAAGGAUGCAGGGGUAAACAACCUGAUAUGUAUUGUUUUGUAUUUUUCACUUUAAAACAUCGGGGAACUUUCCCCAGGAGAACGGAUGUAAAUUUUACACUUAGCUAAAUACGAAGUAUCUUUUGCUUUCUUUUUCUCUCUACUAUUCCCUAUUUUCUCAGUAGCCAAACAUCCUUGGAGGAUGAAAUCCCCAAGGAUGAGAGGCUAAAACUUUUUAGUUUCUUGAAGUAAUGGAUGCCAUGUGAAGCUCCCGUGUCAGGAUGGAGAUUUCCAAGCCAUGAAUGUAAGUAGUUGAGCAUCAUAAAUGUUUUCAUUCAAAGUAAAGCUUUUAAUCCCUCUGACUUGCUUUGAAUGGCCAAUACUUGAUAACCUUUUGGUCUCAGUGGAUUCUUAUUGUUAGAUCCACUGACGUUCAUUAGUUAUCUCCUACGAGCCAUUGUAUUGCAAGUCGAGGAGAUGACCUAUAUCAUUAAAAGAGCAUUUAUGAGGUUCAGCUACCCUUUUUGUAAGUUUUGAAGGACUAAAACUCAGUUGUUAAACACAUACCGGUUCGGGAAGUAAGCAUCACCUUAGUUGCUUCCCCAACUCGAGGUGAAAAGUUCCAAAAUCUCCAUUUUUACACAUUGAGUUAAGCAUGGCUAUCCAAAGCUUUGAGAAACUUCUUUUUCCAUCUUUUAACCUAUUUGCAUGUUAGUUUAGUUUAAAACACUUUCAUCUUUUUAUGUUUUCAUCUUAACCUAAUUUUUAUUAAGAAAAGUUCACUCCAUCCUCCGAACUUCAUCAGUUAAAGUAAAAACCCUUCCCAGUGUUCGAUCCUAGAGCCACUAUGCUAUAGUAGCUUUGCUACUUUAGUGUAAGGACGUUAGGUAUAAAUUUUGUUGAUACCCUUACAUGCCAAGCUACCAAGAGUCGGGUUAUCAGUGAUCAUCAAAAACCUAAAUUAAAUCAAACUAAAAUGGAAUUCAAGCAAGAAAAUGAAAUAAAAACAAAUACAAAUACAAGAAAAAACAUGAAAUCAAAAACAAAAAACAAAAAUGGAUGAACUUAAUAAUUUUCAGAAAGAUUAAGUCCAUCCAGGAUCUAAUUUUUCAAGCCUGAGAGGGAUCAAGGAGGAUGAAUUCCUCCUUGUCUCGGGAAAAAUGCUCCAGAAAGGGCUUGAGACGAUGAAAGUUCGAUUGGUGUUGGCGUUGAGUAGCUCCACUACUCUAUUCGAAUACACUUGGUGGAUUGUGAAAGGACCUAACCACCUUGAUUUCAACUUGCCCGGAAAGAUAUGGAGCUUAGAGUCAUAAAGCAAGACUUUUUGUCCCUUUGAAAAGUUCUUUUGGGUCACCAACUGAUCAUGUCAUCUCUUCAACCUCUCUUUUGCAAUUUUGAAUUGAGGUAAGCAUCAUUUCGCAGUUCCUCCAACUCAUUGAGGUCUAAGAAUCUCUUCAACCCAACUUUGCUCAAAUCCAUGUUGAGUUUCUUGAUUGCCCACCAAGCCUUGUAUUCUAAUUCCACAGGGAGAUGGCAUGCUUUGCCAUAGACUAAGCGAUAAGGGGACAUCCCAAGAAUGGUCUUGUAAGCUGUUCUAUAAGCCCAUAGUGAAUCAAGGAGUUUGAUAGACCAAUAUGUUUUGUUCACAUUCACUACCUUUAUCAAUAUGUUCUUGAUCUCCCAGUUUUCCAACUCAACUUGCCCGCUAGUUUGAGGAUGGUAAGGCGUAGCUACCUUAUACUUCACCCCGUACUUGGCUAGAAGAGUUUCAAAAGGCUUGUUACAAAAAAUGAGUACCCUCAUCACUGAUUAUGGCUUUAGGCACUCCAAAUCUUGAGAAAAUGUUUUCCUUCAAGAACUUGAUAACCACCCUAUGGUCAUUGUGUUUGCAUGGAAUUGCUUCAACCCACUUAGAAACAUAAUUGAAUCUCACCAAGAUGUAGGAGUAGCCAAAUGACAUAGGAAAAGGUUCCAUGAAGUCAAUGCCCCAAACAUCAAAAAGAUCAACUAUCAGAAUAGGGUUCAAAGGCAUCAUAUUCCUUUGGGUCAACUUCCCAAGCCUUUAACAUCGAUCACAACCCUUGCACAUGGCAUGGGCAUCCUUGAAAAGUGAGGGCCAACAGAAACCCGAUUGCAAGACCCUCAUAGCUGUCUUUUGAGAAGCAAAGUGACCUCCACAAGCAUUCUCAUGGCAAUGAGAGAGAAUCCCCUGUUGCUCUUGUUCAGGAACACACUUUCUUAUUAUUUGAUCCAAAAAAUACUUGAAUAGAAAUGAUUCUUCCCAAUAGUAGGCAUGGAUCUUUACAAAGAAAUGUUUUCUAUCUUGUGUUUUCCACUCACUUGGAACUUCUCCAGUAACUAGGUAGUUUGCAAUAUGAGCAUACCACGGAGUUACUUCCACCAACAUGAGAGAUUCCUCUGGGAAGUCAUCAUUGAUGGGCAAACCAUGGGAAUUAUGUGCAAUUGCAAGCCUUGAAAGGUGGUCAGCUACCACAUUUUCUACUCCCUUCUUGUCUUUGAUUUGAAGAUUGAUCUCUUGAAGCAAGAGGGUUGAUUCCGUGCCCAACUGGUGUACCUUGAUUUCCGUCCUCUGAUGGGAGUAAUCAACAAAAUUUAUAACCUACUGCACCAUGUACUAGGAUAGCCUCGGCUAGCAUAGCAUAGUAGCUCUAAGAUUGUUCACUGGGAAGGGUUUUCAAUUAUAAAUGAUACUAAUUCAAAGUGAAUUGGUGCCUUUUCAUUUCAAGGUUAGCUUUAAAAGAAAACAUAAACUUGGGUUGGAAAAGGUUUGGUUUUAAGCUAACUAAAAAGAAAGUAAUGGGAAUUACUUAUAAAGAAAAGCGUUUCUUGGAGUUUUAGGAUCACCGGGGUCAGGCUCCUUAUACAAAAAAAAAGUUUUGGUCACUUUGAUUCUUUUCCUCGAAUUGGAGAAUUAACAUAUAGUUCAUUCUCCAACCGGUGUUGUACAGAUGCAGCCCAUUUAUGGAUUUCAGCAUUAAACCCCUCUCACUGAUGCAUCUCGCAAUGUCUUAUGCCUCCCACCUAGCAUUUGCCAUUCAAGGUGAUCAUUAACCUUGGACUUCCCUUCUCAAGCUCGCAAGAGGUAACUAAUGGAUGUCUCCUUAGAGUCCAAAAGCUUACCAAGUGUUGGCAAUUCUAGAAAAUCCUACCUUCAAGUCACCUCCCAAAGGCUUGCAAGAGAUAAACUAGUGAAUCUCCAUGGACGGAGAUCACUUGCCUUACCAAGUGUUGGCCCAGGUGAAUUGAAGGCAUUUUAAGUUAACUAAAAAGAUAAAAACCAUUAACGGGUUACAUUUCCUCUUCAUUUACAACUGAAACCACAAAACUCUAAAUUCAUGCAUUUGGAAACUUACCCAGCUACCUUAGUCCAAGAGACACAAAGUCUAGCCACUCAUUCUUUGAGGAAACAUCCUCAGAGCUUGUUUGGCUAGUAAGAAAAAUACAAUCAAAAUGAGAAGGUAAGGCAGAGCAAAGCUCUGUAUUUUACUUCCUUGAAAAACUAUACAAAAAGUUGGUUUUUCUCUGAGAACAGGCUCCCGAGAUAUCACUGAUAUGAAAAUUACAAUAAUAAUAUAUACAUGGCUAUUCACCCUUUUUGUCUUUCUUAGCAACUAAGGAAUCCUAUAAUUGGUGGGUUACAAGGAGAAAAUGGGGAUUUGGACAUCAAAUAUCUGAAGCAAAAUAUCCAAAAGUGUCGAUCACAAAUAUCUGGAAGCACUCAAGAGAAUUUCGCAGACGUACAAGAUGGCUGAGAAAUUUCGCAGCCAAAGGCUGAUUUCGUAGAGGCUUUCCUUAGGCUGCGAAAUUGGCCUUCAGCUUGGUGUGAUCGGCUUCCAAUGGUUCUAACUUCUUCAUUUCAACUCUGAUUCAUGUACCAUUUAAAGCUUUGGAUUGCUGACUUCCCGAGCUUCGAAACGACAUAUGGUGUAUAUCAAAUGGACUCUAGAAAGUGCUUCAAAAGUGUCAAAUAGUUGAUGUCCUCUUGCAUUAUUCAUGUUACUUUCAUCCUUGCAUUCUUGAUUUGUUUUUGGCAAAGGAUUACAAAGCUUCAAAGCUUGAAUUCUUCAUGUUAAUGAGCUUCCAAUUGCUUUGCCAUGGAUUCCAUAGAACUCUCCUUAGUCUUGGAUUGCUUUGGUGAUCAAAAUACUAUCAAAAACACCAAAACUUAAACUUUUUGAUUAGAAAUGAUUGCAAAGGUACUUAAUAUGUUAAUUGAGUUAAAAGGUAAUAACUACUACUCAAAAGUGUUUAAAAGAGUUAAUUACAAGCUAUCAAUUAGUACUUUUUGAGUAGUAAUCACUCCCCCCAACUGACAUAUUGCUAGUCCCUUAGCAAAAAAUGAGAGAAAAAGAAAAUUAAAAAGUAAAAAAAAUACUAUAAUUUACAACGUCAUGCUGAUCACUUCAAAAAAUUUUAAGUGGCAUGAUGAUCAAGCUCUCUCAUGGAACAUUAAAGAAAUGAAACUCAAAUUUCAGCAAGAGUUAUCACGUAUGUUUUCUAAUCAUAAUUCCAACAAGAGAAGGCAUUAUGCAAAUUGAAGCUUUAAAAUCAUUUCCAUUUCCAAAUGACCAACCCUUACUCUUCCACUAAAAUCUAAGUGUUACUUGAUAGUUUCCGAAUAUAGUAUGCUAAACUAAUCUCUCUCCCCAAUCUAGUUCUUUUUCAACACUUAGCAAACUGACCAAAUUCAAUAGGCUAAGAACACACCCUUUUAUUUAUUUAUUUAUUUUUAUUUUUUUUUUCAGCGUAGGAGUACAAGGCUUGAAGGUAUUCUUUUUCUAAAUUGUCCAUGUAGCGGGGGUCCAUCGAUGACUCCCAACCAAUUAAGGUUUAGGGCAUCAAGCUUUAAGGAUCUUUCAACCACUAACUCCUCGAAUUUUACCUCGAACUUUUGAGAGUGAAUUUUUAAUACCCAAGCACCUACAGUAUGUUAAACUCCACCUAUUCACCCUUGUAACGAGCAUUGAGGUCGGUGACUCCCAACCAAUUAAGGCUUAGGGCACCAGGUUUUAAAGAUUUUCACCAUAUACCCCUCAGACCUUGCUCGGGUUUCAAGGCAAGCAAACAUUUUCUUUUAAAGGCUCAUUGGCCUUUCAUAAGGUGUCUCAACACUAUUAAAUAAGGUAAAAAAUACCAAGUCUAAAUUUUCCUAAGUCAAGAGGGAAAUAGUUUUUCAUCUUAUAGUCGAAAUCUAUUGUGCACAGUGUGUGAAUAGCUUAAAGUGGAAGAACUAAGGUUGAAUUCAAUAGAAGUUCAACAAUUCAUCAACUUUAAUAAGCAUAAUACAAACUCUAAGUCAAGUAAACAAAAAUUCGAUUUCUCUUAUGUUAAUUUGAGAAUUUUUCUUUAAUAACCAUGGAGAAUAGAAUAAAAACUUUAAAAAUUUAAAAUUAAGCAAAAAGCAACUAAAUUAUCAAAAUAACUUAGCAUUAAUCACAAAACUUCCUUCCUCAACUCUCCCCUCAACCAAGCUGAACAUUGUCCUCAAUGUGAGAAAAGCGAUUGAACAGUAGGGAGGAAGUGGUGCCUCCUUAGUGGUAUGAAGUUCGGGUAGAAUAGGAGAACCCACAUGUUUCAUAAAACAACAAAAGAUAUCAGUAGAGGAAUUAAAAUAAUGCUAAAAAUGCUAACAAAUUGAUAGACUUGUAUUACUUGAAGAAAGUACAAGAUGGCUAACAAGUAAUACAACCAAUCCCAAUAUAUAAUAUCAAAAGCAUGGGAGUACAAUUUCUAUUUUAGUAAAAAAAAAAAAUACAUAAAGAAAAUACAUAAAGUAAAGUAUGUAAAUGAUCAGAUAGGGGGAGGGUGAUGAUGGCUCAGGUGGAUGUCUCUACAUCUCCUGCAGUCGGCGGCUCAGUAUAGGGCUCUGUGGGCUCUGAAAUGAUAGGAUUGGGGUACUCAGAAGCUGAUGGAAUACCCAGAUAGUGCUGAAUCUGCCUCAUAAUGGCAGUAUGCUGAGUCUGGGUGGCCAAAAUCUGCUCCUGAUGGGCACGAAAAGCUACCAUCUCCUAAGUAAGGAUGUUUUGAGAUGUGGUCAAUGUCUACAAAGUGUGACAAAGACCUCUAUACUCGGACAUGGAUAUAGCAAUCCUAGGCUCAGAUGACGAAGUGGGCUCUGAUGUAGAUGGUAUAACAGGAGGAGUCUGUGGUGUGGCAAGAGGAGCAGAGGGUGCAACCUUAGGUAUAGGCUCCUCAGGUUGUGGAAUGUCUGGAUGUUCUGCUCCAGCUGGGGAUCCAGGCUCUGCACUAUAUGCUGUCAUAUUUGACCAUUUAUCAAGAGUGAAUAUCUCUCGGCAAAUGCGUUUAUGCUCAUGGUGAGGCUCAGAUGGAUAGCCCAAAUGCUUGAAAAUCUGGCAAAGCAAUCUCGGGAAAAGAAGUGGAAUAGCAUGUGCUUGGAGCAGCUUCUUCUUGUGAACCUUCUCUUCAAAGUAGAGAAGAACAGCCAUAAUCAGAUGAUGAGGGCCAAAGAAGAAUCCCUCAGAUAUCCUAAACAGGGUCUCCAGCAAAACUCCUCUCCUCUGCACCCAAUGCUGAAGUGGAUAAAUGUUAUGGCGCAGGAGUGCAUCGAUGAAGAACAUGCUGGGAGGGAGCUCCUUCCUCAACAGAUACUGAUGUGAGGAUGCUCCUCUGGAUAGGAUAUGAACUAUGUCACUCUGAGCCGGAUGAGUCCAUACUUGAAAAUCCUCUGGAUGGGCUGGCUCGUAUGGAAUAUGCAGUGCCUGUGCUAUAUGUCGAGCUCUUAGAAUACCAUGAUGUCCGUCAAUGGUGAAGUGAAUGACAGUAGGAUCUCUGACCUGGUGUGUGGUCAUGGACUGAUAGAAGUCCAUGACUACACGGGCAUAGAAAAAAUCCCUAGGAGUCAGCAAAUGCUCCAUAUGAUACCUGUGUAGCAGAUGAAAGGAGUCCCGGAGCUCAGGCUAAAGUUUGAAAGUGGCUGUGUCAAAACACAGCUCAGAGUGAAAUGGUCGAGCCCUGCAAUCUAGAUUACCCUCAAUGGGCGGCUGAGCGUUCAUGGGACGCCUGAUAAUCACCUCAGGAGUCAUGCCUGAGGGAAUCUGAGAUUCUAUAGGUGGCGACUGAGACUGAUGAGGCUCCAACAGAGGCUCCGGAGACGGCUCCGUUAAGUCAAUUGGCUCUGAAUCCUCUACCCUGGAUUUUUUCAUUGGUGGACGGCCACCUGACCUUGUCUGAUAUCGUCUGACCGGUGGACUUAUCGGCAAGGGUUCAACCGGAGGUGGAGCGACUACUUGACGCGGAGGCUGGGAUGUGGAUCCUUGAACAGGGGUCUCUUUUGCGGCUUUCUUGCGGCCGGACGGGGAUGAGGACUUUGCUCCUCUGGUUCUUGCCAUGGCGAAUUGAAGAAAAUGGUUGGAGACACUUGCGGCUUGGGCUCAGACGAGAGAGAGCAAAUGAACGGUUGCUCUGGCUUUCUUUCUCUUUAGUAUCUUUUUGCAGCUCAAAUGACCGGUUUUUACAAAAUAUGGAAUUUAUAAGGUUCAAAAAAUGGAUACCAAGGGUCGUUUUAAUUUUUCGCAGAGGAGGGUCGAUUUCGCAAUGGAGGGGCUUUUUCGUAGCGAAGGGCCGAUUUCGUAGCCCAUUUCGCAACUGCGAAAUGAGGCUACUGUGCUACGAAAUGGCACUCGUGUGCCAAAGGGGUGUUUCGCAGCUGCGAAAAUUUUCGCAGAGGAGGGCAUGGGGCUGCGAAAUGAAUUUCGCAGCCGAUGGGCGAUUUCACAGCGGACCUUUUGGGGCUGCAAAAUCAUUUCGCAGGGGCCCCCUUUUGGCUGCGAAAUUUCGUAAACCACUACUUUUCCCUUUCUUUUAAAUUCCUUUUUGCUCCCAACGACCUUCCUUCGAUUUCUUUGCAAUUCCUCCUACAUGAGAUCAUUCAAAAAGAUUUAAUUACAUACAAAUACACAACUUAAGAUCAAAAAUUAAAAUUAAAAUAAUUAAUAAAGCUUUUAAAUUAACAAAAUUAAACAAAAAUAUGGACUUUGGUGAAACCAAGUCCAUCUAACCCUUGUCUGAUUAGGCUUUAUGUGGCUUAAGGAGGUUGAUUUCCUCAUUUUCUUUCUUGAAUGGCUCAAUGAAUGGCUUGAGACGAUGACCAUUGACCUUGAAAGUGUCAAUGCUGUUGGAAUUCAAUAAUUCCACCACUCCAUUCAAGCGCACUUGGUGAAUAAUGAAAGGGCCUAUUCACCUUGACUUGAGCUUCCCUGGAAAGAUGUGGAGCCUUGAAUCAUAGAGUAAGACUCUUUGUCCUUUAUGGAAUUCUUUAUUGGAGAUUAAUUGAUCAUGCCACCUCUUCAUCCUCUGUUUUGCAACUUUGGAAUUGAUGUAAGCAUCAUUUCUUAAUUCCUCCAUCUCAUUAAGGUCUAAGCACCUAUUUGCCCCGGUUCUGAUCAAGUCCAUGUUUAACUUCUUGAUUGCCCACCAAGCUUUAUAUUCAACUUCCACAGGGAGAUGGCAUGCUUUGCCAUAGACUAGGCGAUAAGGAGACAUACCAAGAAUAGUCUUGUAAGCUGUUCUAUAUGCCCAUAGUGAAUCAUGAAGCUUAAUAGACCAAUCUCUUCUACUUGUGAUCACCACCUUCAUCAAUAUAUUUUUGAUUUCCCUGUUUGCUAGCUCCACUUGAUCGGAUGUCUGAGGGUGAUAAGGUGUAGCUACCUUAUGCUUCACUCCAUACUUGGCUAAUAAGGCUUCAAAAGGUCUAUUGCAAAAAUGAGUACCUCCAUCACUGAUUAUGGCCUUGGGCACCCCAAAUCUUGAAAAAAUGUUCUCUUUGAGAAACUUGAGAACCACCUUGUGAUCAUUAUGUUUACAGGGGAUUGCCUCAACCCAUUUAGAAACAUAGUCCACCCCCACCAAGAUAUAAGAGUUACCAAAAAACAUUGGGAAAUGGCCCAUGAAAUCAAUGCCCCAAACAUCAAAGAGAUCAACUAUUAGAAUGGGGUUCAUAGGCAUUUGAUUCCUUCUUGUUAGCUUUCCAAGCCUUUGGCAUCUAUCACAGCUCCUACACAUGAUGUGGGCAUAUUUGAAAAGUGAUGGCCAAGUAAACCCUGAUUGCAACACCUUCAUGGUUGUUUUCUGAGAGGCAAAGUGGGCUCCACAUGCACUUUCAUAACAAUGGCUGAGGAUUCCUUGUUGCUCUUCUUCAGGAACACACUUCCGUAUUAUUUGAUCUACACAAUACUUGAAAAGGAAAGGCUCCUCCCAAUAAUAAGCAUGAAUCUUUGCAAAGAAGUGCUUCUUGUCUUGUGCUUUCCACUCACUUGGAACAUCACCAGUAACUAGAUAGUUAGCAAUAUGAGUAUACCAAGGAGUUUUUACUAGCAACAUGAGUGAUUCCUCAGGAAAAUCAUCAUUAAUAGGUAAGACAUGGGAAUUGUGUGCUAUAGCCAACCUUGAAAGGUGGUCAGCUACCACAUUUUCCACUCCUUUCUUGUCUCUGAUCUGGAGAUCGAACUCUUGUAGUAAGAGAAUCCAUCUAAUCAACCUUGCUUUAGCAUCUUGUUUUGUCAAUAAAUACUUCAAGGCUGAAUGGUCAAUGAAAACAAUGAUGAAAGACCCUACUAGAUAAGCACGAAACUUGUCUAAGGCAAACACCAUGACUAAAAAUUCUUUCUCUGUAGUUGUGUAGUUUCUUUGAGCUUCGUUCAAGGUUUUGCUUGCAUAGUAGAUCACAUAGGGCUUCCCAUCUUCUCUUUGGCCAAGCACAGCUCCUAUAGCAAAGUCACUGGCAUCACACAUUAUUUCAAAGGGUAGUUGCCAGUUAGGAGCCCUCACUAUUGGAGUUGUUGUUAAGAAUUGCUUCAGUUGAUCAAAGCUCUUUUGACAUCUUUCAUCCCAUAUAAAUUUAGCAUCCUUAGUCAAAAUUUCACAAAGAGGUUUUGAAAGAUUAGAGAAAUCUUUUAUAAAUCUCCUAUAGAACCCUGCAUGGCCAAGGAAUUGCCUCACUCCUUUUACAGUUGUUGGGGACAACAAUUUGAAAAUAAGUUCCACCUUUGCUUUAUCAACUUCAAUGCCUUUCUUGGAGAUGAUAUGGCCAAGGACAAUUCCCUGACGUACCAUAAAAUGGCAUUUCUCCCAGUUGAGCACCAAGUCCUUCUCAAUGCAUCUGUUAAGAACCGCUUCCAAAUUGACUAAGCAUUCUUCAAAUGUACCUCCAUAUACGGUGAUGUCAUCCAUGAAAACCUCCAUAAUUUGCUCCACCAUAUCACUGAAGAUACUCAAUAUACAUCUCUGGAAUGUUGUGGGUGCAUUGCAUAAACCAAAAGACAUUCUUCUGUAAGCAUAUGUUCCAAAUGGACAUGUGAAAGUGGUCUUCUCCUGAUCUUCAACAUCAAUUUCAAUUUGAAAAUAUCCGGAGUACACAUCUAAGAAACAAUAGAAAGGAUGGCUAGAGACUCUCUCCAAAACUUGAUCAAUAAAUGGCAAUGGAAAAUGAUCUUUCCUUGUCACAACAUUCAAUUUUCUAUAAUCAAUACACACCCUCCAACCUGAAGUGAGGCGUGUAGUAAUUUCUUCUCCUCUUUCAUUUUGAACCAUAGUAAUCCCUGACUUCUUUGGUACCACUUGAGUAGGACUCACCCAAGGGCUGUCAGAUAUGGGGUAGAUAAUACCUGCUUGAAGUAGCUUUAACACUUCCACUCGCACCACCUCUUGCAAAUGAGGAUUCAAUCUUCUUUAAGGUUGACGAAUUGGUUUGGAUUCUUCCUCCAUAUAUAUAUGAUGUGUACAAACCAAAGGACUAAUGCCUUUCAAGUCAGAUAUUUGCCAUCCUAUUGCUUUCUUGCACCUCUUGAGAACUUCAAGUAGACACUUUUCCUGAUGAUUAGUAAGAGAUGAAGAUAUAACAACAGGGCAUUGUUUAUUCUCUUCUAGGUAUGUAUAUUUCAACUUCAUGGGCAGAGGCUUCAAAUUAAGCUUUGGGGUUUCUUUUUUAUCAGCUUCUUGUGCCUCCUCUUUAUUGAACAAAGGUAGAAUCUCUUAUCUCCUUCUCCAACCUUGUAGAGUAGCUAGCACAUCAGAGGGUUUAGGCAACCCUUCUUCAAGAUCCCCAAGACUUUCAUUUAAUUUGUCUUGCAUAUUCUGAUUACAGUGCUCCUCCAUUAGAGUGUCAAUAAUGCAUACCUCCUCGAGACCUUCUUCUUUUUCUGGAGUGAUUUGCUUUUUAGACAUAUAAAAGAUAUUGAGCUCAAGUGUCAUGUUGCCAAAAGUGAGUUGCAUGAGUCCAUUCCUACAGUUAAUGAUUGCAUUUGACAUAGCAAGGAAUGACCUUCCAAGGAUGAUAGGAACUGAAUUUGCUUCCUUAACAGUAGGAUCUACUAGAUAGUAGAAAUUGUCAACUUGAACUAAGACAUCUUCAAUUACCCCCCUUGGAAUUUUCACUGAUCUAUCUGCUAGAGAUAGAGUGAUUGAUGUUGGCUUCAAUUCACCAAGUCCCAAUUGCUUGUAGACAGAGUAUGGAAGCAAAUUCACACUUGCUCCCAAGUCUAACAAAGCUUUCUCCACUACCUUUCCUCCAAUCAUGACGGGAAUGGUAGGACAACCCGGAUCUUUGUACUUCAAAGGAGACUUGCAUUGUAUAAUAGCACUUACUUGCUUAGUCAAGAAGGUUUUCUUGUUCACAUUCAACCCUCUUUUGAUAGUACACAAAUCCUUUAGGAAUUUUGCAUAUGUUGGAACUUGUUUAAUCAUAUCUAGCAAUGGAAUAUUGACUUUCACUUGUCUCAAUACUUCAAGAAUUUCUGAUGCAUUUCUAAUCCCCUUUUUCCCAUGUAAAGCUUGAGGAAAAGGUGGAGAGGUGUGCUUCUUCAGCAUUUCUUCCUUAAGAAGUAUCUUCUCCGGAUUUGUAUUCACUGUUGAAUCAUGGUCCUCUUUCUUUUCACUGAUAUCUUUCUUCUUUCCUUUGAUCUCCUCCCUCUUCUUUGUCUCUUCUUCUUCUACCUCUUCAUUGUCUCUUCUUCUUCUACCUCUUCAUGUGGCUUGGGUGUUGGCAUCUCAACCUUUUUACCACUCCUUAGAGUGAUCAAAGCUUUAACAUCUCUCACCUGUGAGGAUUCUCCCUCAUGAGUUUCCACUUCAUGGAUACCCUUGGGGUUUUGGUGAGGUUGAGAAGGAAAUCUACCCUUCUCUUGCAUUGUGUUCAAGUUAGUGAGCCUUGAGAUUGAGUAUUGGAGAUUAUCUAUCUUUUGAGAUAAGUCAUUUUGCAUCCCAUCCAUCAUUUUAUUCAAAGUAUUCUUUACACUGUCAAUUCUUUGACUGAGUUGAGCAUUGAUGGCUUUUUGAUCUCUAACAAAAUCUCCCACAACCUUGCUGAGAUUUACAAUUGCUUGUUCAAGACUUGAAGAUUGUUGAGAUGGUUGAGCCGAUUGUUGGUACUGAGGUGCUCUUGACUUCCAUGAGAAAUUUGGAUGAUUCCUCCAACUUGAGUUGUAAGUAUUUCCAUACGGAGCAUUGUUAUUGGGCUUAAAUUGUCCAACAACGUUUGCUUGAUCUCCAAACAUUUCCCUUGCAACUAGAAUUGUAGGGCAUUCCUCCACCAAGUGUUCAUAAGAUUGACAAUAGGACAUGGCUUUACUUGCACUGGUGAUUCAGCAUCAGCUUGCACUUCACACAUCUUUUUUAGUUCUGGCUCCUCCAAUCUUCUUGUCAUAGCCGCAACCUUUGCUUUCAUAUCAUCAUCUUCAUUCAAGGUAUACAUCCCAGCCUUAGCAUUAAAAGCACUCGGUUGAGACUUCAUCUUUCCCACUUCUCCUUUGUUUGGUUCAUCCCAUCCCCUUGAAACUUCAGCCACAUAAUUCAAGAAAUCCAUCACUUCCUCCAGAUUUUUGCUCAUGAAAUCUCCUCCACACAUUGUCUCGAGGAGUUGCUUCAUUGAGGAAGACAUCCCAUCAUAGAAAUAGCUCACCAAUAGCCAUGUAUCAAAACCAUGAUGAGGGCAAGCAUUGAUGGCUUCCAUGUAUCUUUCCCAACACUCAUAGAAUUUCUCAUUCUUUUUAGUUGAGAAGUUUGAAAUUUGCCUUUUCAAGCCAUUUGUUCUGUGAGUAGGAAAAAAUUUCUUAAGGAAUUCAGCUUGUAAAUCAGUCCAAGUAUGGAUACUAUUUGGCCUUAAAGAAUUAAGCUAAAUUUUGGCUUUAUCCUUUAAAGUAAAAGGAAAUAGCUUAAGCCUCAUUAAGUUAAUUGAAGCUCCUCCCUCUUGGAAUGUAUUACAAACAUCUUCAAAUUCCUUGAUAUGUGCAUAGGGAUUCUCACUUUCCAUCCCAUGGAAAGUUGGUAGAAAUGGAACAAUAUGCGGUCUGAUCACUAGCUGCUCUGUAGGGGGCAUUAUACAUGAUGGUGCACUCAUAUGAGGUGGAUGCAUGCGGUCCCUCAUUGAUCUGAAAGCAUUGGGAUUGUCCUGGUGACCAUGGUGACUAUGCUGAUCUUCAGGUGUAGCUUCCAUGAUAUUCAAGCUCAAUUCCAAUUCCUUGUUAUGAGGUGUAUCACGUUUAACAAGCCUUCCUCCACUGUCUCGUAUCCAAUUUGGCAUACACAACUAGUAUCAACUGUAACUAUAAAAAAAACAAAAGAAAACAAGACUACAAAAAGACUAAAAUAAAGUAAAUCUGAAUUAAAAGAUGUAUUCAAAUAUGAACAAGUAAAGAAAUAAUAAAAAAAAAUAGUAAGAUGAAAGAAAAGUUACCAAACUUGUGAUGAAAAUCACAAGUACUCUAAAAUAGUAUCACUGUGAAAUUGGCACCUUCCCCGGCAACGACGCCAUUUGAUUUCGUGCCCAGCUGGUAUACCUUGAUUUUGGUCCUCUGAUGGGAGUAAUCAACAAAAUUUAUAACCUAUUACACCAUGUACUAGGAUAGCCUCGGCUAGCAUAUCAUAGUAGCUCUAGGAUCGUUCACUAGGAAGGGUUUUCAAUUAUAAAUGAUACCAAUUCAAAGUGAAUUGGUGCCUUUUCAUUUCAAGGUUAGCUUUAAAAGAAAACAUAAACUUGGGUUGGAAAAGGUUUGGUUUUAAGCUAAUUAAAAAGAAAGUAAUGGGAAUUACUUAUAAAGAAAAGCGUUUCUUGGAGUUUUAGGAUCACCAGGGUUAGGCUCCUUAUACAAAAACAGAGUUUUGGUCACUUUGAUUCUUUUCCUCGCAUUGGAGAAUUAACAUAUAGUUCAUUCUCCAACCGGUGUUGUACAGAUGCAGCCCAUUUAUGGAUUUUAGCAUUAAAUCCCUCUCACUGAUGCAUCUCGCAAUGGCUCAUGCCUCUCACCUAGCAUUUUCCAUUCAAGGUGAUCAUUAACCUUGGACUUCCCUUCUCAAGCUCACAAGAGGUAACUAAUGGAUGUCUCCUUAGAGUCUAAAAGCUUACCAAGUGUUGGCAAUUCUAGAAAAUCCUACCUUCAAGUCACCUCCCAAAGGCUCGCAAGAGAUAAACUAGUGAAUCUCCAUGGACGGAGAUCACUUGCCUUACCAAGUGUUGGCCCAUGUGAAUUGAAGGCGUUUUAAGUUAACUAAAAAGAUAAAAACCAUUAACGGGUUACACUUCCUCUUCAUUUACAGCUGAAACCACAAAACUCUAAAUUCGUGCAUUUGGAAACUUACCCGGCUACCUUAGCUCCAAGAGACACAAAGUCUAGCCACUCAUUCUCUGAGGAAACAUCCUCAGAGCUUGUUUGGCUAGUAAGAAAAAUACAAUCAAAAUGAGAAGGUAAGGCAGAGCAAAGCUCUGCAUUUUACUUCCUUGAAAAACUAUACAAAAAGUUGGUUUUUCUCUGAGAACAGGCUCUCAAGAUAUCAUUGAUAUGAAAAUUACAAGAAUAAUAUAUACAUGGUUAUUCACCCUUUUUGUCUUUCUUAGCAACUAAGGAAUCCUAUAAUUGGUGAGUUACAAGGAGAAAAUGGGGAUUUAGAUAUCAAAUAUCUGAAGCAAAAUAUCCAAAAGUGUUCGCAAAUAUCUGGAAGCACUCAGGAGAAUUUCACAGACGUACAAGAUGGCUGUGAAAUUUCGCAGCCAAAGGCUGAUUUCGCAGAGGCUUUCCUUAGGCUGCGAAAUUGGCCUUCAGCUUGGUGUGAUCAGCUUCCAAUGGCUCUAACUUCUUCAUUUCAACUCCGAUUCAUGUACUGUUUGAAGCGUUGGAUUGCUAACUUCCAGAGCUUCGAAACGACAUAUGGUAUGCAUCAAAUAGGCUCUGGAAAGUGCUUCAAAAGUGUCAAACAGUUGAUGUCCUCUUGCAUUCUUCAUGUUACUUUCAUCCUUGCAUUCUUGAUUUGUUUUUGGCAAAGGACUACAAAGCUUCAAAGCUUGAAUUCUUCAUGUUAAUGAGCUUCCAAUUGCUUUGCCAUGGAUUCCAUGGAACUCUCCUUAGUCUUGGAUUGCUUUGGUGAUCAAAAUACUAUCAAAAGCACCAAAACUUACACAAUUUGAUUAGAAAUGAUUGCAAAGGUACUUAAUAUGUUAAUUGAGUUAAAAGGUAAUAACUACUACUCAAAAGUGUUUAAAAGAGUUAAUUACAAGCUAUCAAUUAGUACUUUUUGAGUAGUAAUCAAGGGUCCACCUAAUCAGUCUUGCCUUGGCAUCUUGCUUGGUCAACAAAUACUUCAAAGCAGAGUGAUUGGUUAAUACCACUAUGAAAGACCCCACCAUGUAAGCACGAAAUUUGUCCAAGGCAAAAACUACCGCUAACAAUUCCUUCUCGGUGGUUGUGUAGUUUCUUUGCACCUCAUUGAGUGUCUUACUGGCAUAAUAGAUCAUAUAGGGUUUUCUAUCUUCUCUUUGGCCCAACACAGCUCCAAUAGCAAAAUCACUAGCAUCGCACAUUACCUCAAAAGGUAAUUGCUAGUUAGGAGCUUGCACAAUGGGUGUUGUUGUUAGAAAUGACUUUAAUUGCUAAAAAAUUCUUUGAAAUCUUUCAUCCCAUAUGAAUUUGGCAUCCUUGACCAAUAGUUCACAAAGAGGACUUGCAAGCUUUGAAAAGUCCUUGAUAAACCUCCUAUAGAACCCGACAUGUCCAAGGAAUUGCCUUACUCCCUUGACAUUGGUGAGGGAUGGCAACUUGACAAUGAGUUCAACUUUUGCUUUAUCAACUUCAAUUCCCUCCUUAUAGAUGAUAUGCUCGAGAACAAUCCCUUGUUGUACCAUGAAAUGGCACUUCUCCCAGUUAAGCACCGAGUCUUUUUCAAUGCACCGAUUUAGAACAACUUCUAAGUUUACCAAGCAAUCCUCAAAUGCACUUCCAUAAACGGUGAUAUCGUCCAUAAAGACUUCCAAAAUUCGCUCCACCAUAUCACUAAAGAUGCUUAGCAUGCAUCUUUGGAAAGUUGUGGGUGCAUUGCAUAAACCAAAAGGCAUUCUCCUAUAUACAAAUGUACUAAAGGGGCAUGUGAAAGUGGUCUUCUGUUGAUCUUCCAAAUCAAUCUCUAUUUGAAAGUAGCCAGAGUGGCCAUCCAAAAAACAGUAGAAAGGAUGCCCAGAAACCCUUUCAAGCACUUGGUCAAUAAAAGGCAACGGGAAAUGGUCCUUCCUUGUCACCGCAUUCAAUUUCCUGUAAUUGAUACACACCCUCCAACCAAUAGUAAGGCGUGUGGAGACAUCUUCUCCCAUAUCAUUCCGCACCACCGUGAUCCCAGACUUCUUUGGGACAACCUGGGUUGGACUCACCCAUAAGCUAUCUGAUAUGGGAUAAAUAAUACCGGCUUGAAGUAGCUUCAAAACUUCAUCUCGCACCACCUCUUGCAUGUGAGGGUUCAACCUUCUCUACAGUUGGCGAAUUGGCUUUGCUUCCUCCUCCAUAUAGAUAUGAUGGGUGCACACCAAAGGGUUGAUCCCUUUCAAGUCUGAAAUUUUCCACCCAAUGGCCUUCUUACAUCUUCUAAGGACUUCAAUUAGACAAUCCUCUUGAUGAAUGGUGAGAGCUGAAGAGAUCACCAUAGGGCACUGCUUGUCUUCCUCCAAGUACGCGUAUUUCAACCCAGUAGGAAGAAGCUUAAGAGUAAGCUUUGAGGGCUCCUCCUUACCAACUUUGUGCGACUCCUCAUCAUUGAAUAAAGGUAGAAUCUUUUCCCUCUUCCUCUAAUGAGACAUGGUAGUUAGCAAAUCUGAGGGUUCAGGUAACCCUUCAUCAAGAUCCCUAAGACUCUCAAUCAAAUGUUCCUCCAUGCUCUGUUCACAAUGCUCCUUAACCAAAGUGUCAAUCAUGCACACUUCCUCUGACCUUUCCUCUUCUACCGGAUGGAGAUGCUUCUUGCACAAAUGGAAGAUGUUUAGCUCCAAGGUCAUGUUGCCAAACGUGAGUUGCAUAAUUCCAUUCCUACAAUUGAUGAUUGCAUUAGAUGUAGUGAGGAAUGGUCUUCCAAGUAUGAUUGGCACAUAGUUUUUCCUCGUGACAACUGGAUCAGUAUCAAGAACAACAAAAUCUACUGGAUAGUAGAAUUUGUCAACUUGUACUAAGACAUCCUCAAUUAUCCCCCUUGGGAUCUUCACUGAUCUAUUAGCUAGGGAGAGAGUAAUGGAUGUAGGCUUCAACCCCCCAAGUCCCAACUACUUGUAAACCGAAUAGGGUAGCAAAUUCACACUUGCUCCCAAGUCUAGAAGAGCUUUCUCCACACAUGUCCCUCUAAUAUUUACUGAAAUGGUGGGGCAUCCUGGAUCUUUAUACUUCACUGGAGAUUUGUACUGGAUGAUAACACUUACUUGUUCAGUUAAGAAGGUUUUCUUGGUCACAUUUAACCCUCUCUUUACAAUGCACAAGUCCUUCAAGAAUUCGGCAUAAGUUGGAACUUGCUUGAUCAUGUCAAGUAAAGGAAUGUUGACCUUCAGUUACCUCAACACUUCAAAAUUUUAUGAUGUAUUCUUGGUUCCCUUCUUACCAUACAAAGCUUGAGGGAAAGGUGGAGGCAUGUGCUUCUUCAUCAUAUCUUCCUUGAUGACUAUCCUUGGUUCUUCAUCCACACUUGAAUCAUGGUCACCUUCAUCUGACUUCUUCUCACCCAUGUUUUUCUCUGAUUCACUUCCUUCACCAUGCUUCAGCUUGGGUGGGGGUUGAACAACCUCCUUACCACUCCUAAGAGUGAUAACUACUUUGACUUCCCUCACCUUUGAAGAUUCUCCCUCUUAAGCUUCUACUUCAUGAAUACCCUUUGGAUUUUGACGAGGUUGAGAAGGAAACUUUCCUUUCUCUUACACAGUAUUGAGGUUGGUGAGCCUUGAGAUGGAAUAUUGAACAUUAUCUAUCUUCUGAGAUAGAUCAUUUUGCAUCACAUCCAUCCUCUUAUUCAAUGUACUCUCCAUUCUAUCAAUUUUCUGAUUCAAUUGAGAGUUGAUUGACUUUUGCUCCCCCACAAAGUCUCCCACAACCUUGCUAAGAUUCACAAUGGCUUGUUCAAGGUUUGAAGCUUGUUGAGGUGCUUGAGCUGGUGGUGUAUACUGAGGUGGCCUUGGCUUCCAUGAGAAAUUUGAAUGGUUCCUCCAAUUAGAAUUGUAGAUGCUUCCAUAAGGAGCAUAGUUGUUAGGCUUGAAUUGGACAACCACAUUUGCUUGAUCACCAAACAUUUCUCUCACUGUUGGAAUGGUUGGGCACUUCUCCACCAAGUGCUCAUAAGACUGACAUAUGGAACAAGGUGUAGCUUGCACUCGUGUCUCGGAAAUGACCUGUACUUCUUGUACUUUCUUCAGUUCUAGCUCUUCCAAUCUCCUUCCCAUAGUUGCAAAUUUUGUUUUCAUGUCCAUGUCUUCACUCAACACAUACAUUCCACCCUUAGCAUUGGAAUGAGACUUCAUCCUCCCCACAUCUCUAGUAUUCGGUUCAUCCCAUCCUCUUGAAACUUCAGAAACAUAGCUCAAGAGUCCAUAGCUUCCUCCGGAUUCUUACUCAUGAAGUCUCCUCCACACAUGGUCUCUAGGAGUUGCUUCAUACAGGAAGACAUACCAUCAUAGAAAUAACUCACUAAGAGCCAUGUAUCAAAGCCAUGGUGAGGAAAAGCGUUGAUAGUUUCCAUGUACCUCUCCCAACACUCAUAGAAUUUCUCAUUCUCCUUAGCUAAGAAGUUUGAAAUUUGCCUUUUCAAGCCAUUGGUCCUAUGAGUAGGGAAGAACUUCUUGAGAAACUCAGCUUGUAAAUCAGUCCACCUUCUGAUACUCCUCGACCUUAAAGAAUUAAGCUAAACCUUGGCCUUAUCCUUUAAGGUGAAAGGGAAUAGCUUGAGUCUCAUCAAGUCAAUUGCAGUUCCUCCUUCUUGGAAUGUAUUGCACACGUCUUCAAACUCCUUGAUGUGAGAAUAGGGGUUCUCACUUUCCAUCCCAUGGAAAGUAGGUAGAAGUGGCACUAUAUGAGGUCGGAUCACUAGCUGCUCAAUGGGAGGCACUAUGAAUGAAGGUGCACUCAUCCGAGGUGGAUGCAUGCGGUCCCUCAUGGAUUUUGAGAUUCUCCUCUUGCUCAUGUUGGCUAUGUUGAUCUUCAGGUGGACAAUCCAUGAUGUUCAAGUAGACUUCAAACUCGGUUUCUUGAGGAGCUUCAAUUUUCACAAGUCUUUCCUCAAUAUCUCUUAUCCAAUGGGGCAUACACAACUCAUGAUUUCUGAAAUAAAAACAAAGAAAACCAAAGGACUACAUUUCUAGGAAAAGAUUUAAGGUUAGAUAAAAACUAAAUGAAAGAUAAAAUAAAAUAAAAACAAAGAAAACGAGUUAGUGAAAGAAAAAUCACUAACUUGUGAUGAAGAUCACAAGUACUCAUAAAAGGUAACAUUUAUGUACUUAGGUACCAUCCCCGACAGCGGUGCCAUUUAAUUCAUGCCCAGCCGGGUGUUUAUCAAAACAUUUAUAAAACCUACAACACCUUAUACUAGGGUAGCAAAGACAAAGCUACUAUAGUAUAGUGGCUCUAGGAUCGUCCACAGGAAUGGGUUUUCUUUGUACACUUAACAUUAAUGAAAGGAGAAACAGUGAUUUCCUUUUUGGAAGUUAGCUUUUAAAUGAAAAUAAGAUUGAUUGGAAGGGUUGAUUUUAAGUUAAGCAAACAUAAACAACUGAAAUUACUAUAAAGAGAAAGUCUCUUGGAGCUAUAGGUUACUAGGAUCAGGUUCCUGUUGCAAAGUGGGAAAUUACAAAUCUUCUCCUCGCAUUGGGGAUAAUAACAUAAAGGAUGGUUAUCUCCCGAACCGGAUUUGUAUUUAGCAAAUAAGUUUUGAUCGAAAGGAUUCUUGAAAAAUGGUAGUUGCUUCCCAUUAAUGGCUUCAAACACUAAAGACCCUCACCUUGAACCACCUUCUAAUGGCUCAUACUUGAUAACUAAUAGACAUCCAUGGAUUUAGCAAUAAGCAUCCAUAGAAUCCUAAAAGCUUACCAAGUAUUGGCCAUUCAAGGUGAUUCUAAGGGAUUAAAGCUGAAACUUGAAAUACAAACCAUUAAUGAUACACAACUACCUUCAUUUUUAGCAAGGAAAACUCCAACCUUUUCAUCUAGGUCCUUUACCUAGCUUCCAUAACUCCAAAAAAUGUGAAAAUUAGCCACUCAUCCUUUGAGAAAUCAUCCUCAGAGGGUGUUUGGCUAGAGAGAAAGUGAAGAGAAAAUGAGAAGAAAAGGCAGAGAAAAACUCGUCUUUACAAAAUCUCUCAUCCUUUGAGAGGUUUUCCAACCCCUAUUUAUAGUUCCUAAACAAACCCUAAUGUCAUUUAUCUAUUACAAAAGGAGUAAAAAGGAAAAAAUUACAAUUCUGGAGAUUUUUCCCAAAGGUCGAUGCGCAUAAAGUGAUUUUUGCACACCCUGCAAAAAUUUGGCACACCUUGCCAAAUUUUGGCACACCUUGCGAAUUUUGGCACACCUUGCAAAUUUGAUGAUUUUGCCUUGCGAAAUGCUCUAUUUCUCUCCAUCUUACUACUAAUAGCUUUGCCAGCCCCUUUCCAAGUUUGGCAAGGGGUUUUGAAGUGCUCCAAGGCUCGGAUUCUUCAUGUGAUUGAUCUUCAACUUGCCUUGCCAUAGCUUGCACAAAACUCUCCCUCAAUCUUGGCCGGUUUCGGUGAUAAAAAAGCUACCAAAAACACUAAAACUUACCAAAAAUUGGUUAGUAACAUUCUCUAGGUCCUUACAUGCCAAUUGGGAUAAAAAGGUCUAACUACUACUCAAAAGUGCUUAGUACAAUUAAGUUUAAGCUUAUAAAAAUGCACUUUUUGAGUAGUAAUCAUAUAGUCUUUUCCUAUUCUUUGAGGGUUGUUCCAAGAUUAAAUAUGCUCAGUUUCAUAAUUGAAAGGACUUUUUCAUAUUGCUAAGAAAAAAACUUGUGAGAUUGAUUUUUCUAUCAAAAUUCUUAUCUCUAAAGUGGAUUCAUUUGAGUGGUGAGCUUAAUUCUAAGUUCUUAUCUUUAAGGUGAUGAAUUUCUUAUCCUUAAAGUGGUGAACUUGUGUUAUUAACUUAUCAUUUUAUUUCCUUAAAACGUUAUCAUUUUGUGUCGAAAAAAGUAGUUACAGGCUCCCUUCAAGUUUCUCAUGUAUCAACCCGUAAUCAACUUGUGGAUAUACUCAACAAACCAUUGCCCAAGUCCUGCUUUACAUUCUUUCAGUCCAAGAUUGGCAUUUUUUUUAUGGAAGCCCCAUCUUGCAAGGGCAUAUUAGGAGAGAACCAAUCUCACCCACAAAUUAAGAGCACUCAAUGGUGAAGUAUUAAGUUUAGGAGUAACAGAUGUAUACCUUGUAUAGCUGUUGUAUCUUUUGGAAAGUCUAAUACAAAAGAUUAAUCUUCAAACUCUAAUAAGAGAAUUUGAAAUUUUGAGUGUGAAAAAAGAAAUCGAAAUAAAUCUCUAAUUAUUUUUCUAGAGUAUUAGCUGUUGUGAGUUUACAAUAAAAAUACGUCAAAAGUUUGAAUGAUAGCCAUGUGGUAAAAAAAUAUGUUCAAUCUUUAGAUUCCAAAUAAGUUUAACUAUAUUGUUGUUGUCAUUGAAGAAUAUAAACAUUUAGAUUCUAUGACCAUUGAUCAACUCAUGAGAUCACUACAAGCUCAUAAAGAGAUUAAAAAUAAAUAACUAAGAAAAAUUACAACUUUUUUAAACAGAUUAAACUUAUACUAAAGAAGAAUGAUGAAAACAUUAGUGAAAGAAGUCAAAACAAUCAUGAAUAUGUCAAAGACAUGGUCAUAGCCAUGGCUAAGACAAUAGAGGAAGAGGUAGGUUUAAUUUAUCAAACAAUUAAAUAACAAGUCAAAAUUCACAUUCCUUAGGAGGACAUGAAAGAUGACACAACUUAAGGCACAAUAAAAGAAGAGGAUAUGAUAAAUUUCAAAUUGAAUGUUAUAAUUAUAAAAAAUAUGGUCAUGAUGCUUAUGAAUAUAGAAAUGCUACAAACAAUAUGAAAAGACACAUCAAAGGAGUUGCCACCUAGGACCAAACUUCCUACUGAUCAAGUCUCAUAUCGAAUAUCACUUUUGAAGUUACUAGAGCUAAGGAGGUAAUUGAAGAAACUAUUGGAUGCACGCAUGAUCCAAUCUUUAAGGGUUUGUUACGAUGCUCCUAUCUUAUUCCAAAUAGAUGUGUGUUAACUAUUGGGCCUUGAACAAAGUAACGAUCAAGAAUAAGUAUCCAAUCUCCUUAGUGGAAGAAUUAAUUAAUAAACUGGCCAAGGCAAAGUUUUUCUCCAAAUUGGACUAGUGGUUAAGAUACUAGCAAGUAAGGAUUGUAGAGGGGGACAAAAAAAAAAAAAAAAGACUACAUGUGUAACCCACUAUGGGCCAUAUGAGUUCCUCAUGAUGCCAUUUAGACUAACUAACGCCUCAAUAACAUUCUACAACCUAAUGAAUGAUUUUCCAUACAAGUUCUUAGAUGCCUUUGUUGUUGUUUACUUUAAUGCAUUGUUGUCUAUAGCAAGACCUUAGAAGAGCAUGUGAAUCACUUGAGAUUACUAUUUCAAAGACUAAGAGCACACGAACUCUACUUGAAGAUGGAGAAGUGUGAGUUCACACAAAGUCAUAUUACCUAUCUAAGACAUAAGAUAGAUGAAGGGUUUAUCAAGAUGGAUGUUCAAACCAUUAAAGAUUGGCAUGCUCUAAGCAAGGUGACACUACCUGACUAUUAUUGAAUGUACAUAAGGGGCUACUUCAAGAUAGUGGCUCCCUUUGCUAACCUUUUAAAGAAGGAUAUUUGGGAUUGGAGUUUUGAAUGCUAGAAAGCUUUUGAGAAGUUGAAAGUAGUGAUUUGAGUUAAGUUGGUGUUGCAAUUACUAGAUUUGGAUCUCCUAUUUGAGACUCAAACAGAUGCAUUAGCUAGGGCCUUAGGGGGGAUCUUGGUGAAGGAAGGGCACCCACUAGCCUUUGAGAGUUGAAAACUUAAUGAGUUAGAACAAAGAUACUCUACUCACGAGAAAGAGAUGACAAUGAUUAUUCAUUGCUUAUAAUAGUGGAAGCAUUAUCUGUUGGGGAGUAUAUUUACUAUAUAUGGUCACAGGCAACAUAGUUAAUACAUUUUUCAAGAUGCAAAUGGAGUUGAGCCAUAAGCAAGCUAGGUGGCAAGAAUUCUUAGCCAACUUCAAGUCUGAAUGGUUGUAUUGACCAAGAAGACAUACUGUAGUUAUAAAUGCCUUAAACCAAAAGGAAUUGACAGAGUAUGUGAUCGCUCUAUCACAUGUAAUCUCAUAUUUUAAUGAAAAUAUCAAACAAGCUACUAAGAUUGAUUCUACUUAUGAGAAGAUGAAACAACAAGUCAAAGAGGGGGCUACUAAAAAAUAUUGGGUAGAAGAUGACCUCUUAGUGGCUAAAAGAGGUAGGCUAUAUGUACCAAGAAGUUGCUUACACAAGGAGUUGCUAAGAGAGACCUAUGAUGUUGAGUAGCAAAGAGAUGACAUCAAUAGUAUUGUCCAACUACUGUUACUAGCUAAAAAUAGGAGAGAACAUCUAGGCUUAUGUUCAAUAUUGUUUGAUAUGUCAAUUGGGUAAGACAAGCAAGAAGAAAGCUAUAAGGUUACUACAACCUCUCCCUAUCCAAAAGAGACCUAUUUGUGGACUUCAUCGGUGGCUUUCCAAAAGUGAACGAAUUCAAGUAUAUCUUCAUGAUAGUAGAUAGACUCUCUAAGUAUGUUGCUUUCAUACUUACACCACAUGCAUGUCCCGUAGAAGAGGUUGUUAGGCUAUUCCUCAACCAUGUGGUCAAGUACUUCAAGUUGCCUAAAGACAUAGUCAGUGAUUUCGAUGCUCAAUUCAUUGGUGAUUCGUGCCAAGAUGGUGUACCUUGAUUUUGGUCCUCUGAUGGGAGUAAUCAACAAAAUUUAUAACCUAUUACACCAUGUACUAGGAUAGCCUUAGCUAGCAUAGCAUAGUAGCUCUAAGAUCGUUCACUGGGAUGGGUUUUCACUUCACAAUCGAUAUUAAUUCAAAGUUGAAUUGGUGUUUCUUCAUUUCAAGGUUAACUUUAAAAGAAAACAUAAAGAUGUUUGAAAAGGUUGGUUUUAAGCUAACAAAAAAUAGUAACUAAUUUUAAUUACAAAGAAAAGUGUUUCUUGGGGUUUCAGAUCACUAGGCUCAGGUUCCUUAUACAAAAAGGGAGUUCAGGUCACUUGAAUCUUUUCCUCACGUUGGGGAUUUAACAUAUAGUUAUUUCCCAAACCAGUAUGGUAUAGAUGCUUCUCCUUAAUGGGUUCAAACACUAAUUCCCUAUCACUGAAUCAUCUUGCAAUGGUUCAUACCUCUCACCUAGUAUUGGCCAUUCAAGGUGAUCUUUAACCUUGGAUUACCCGUCAAAAGCUUGCAAGAGAUAAGUAAUGGAUGUCUCCUUGGAGUCCAAAAGCUUACCAAGUGUUGGCUAUUCUAGAAAAUCCUACCUUUAAACCACCUCCCAAAGGCUCGCAAGAGAUAAACUAGUGUAUCUCAAUGGACGGAGACCACUUGCCUUACCAAGUGUUGGCCCAAGUGAUUUAAAGGCGUUUUAAGUUAACUAAAAACAUAGAAACCAUUAACGGGUCACACUUUCUCUUCAUUAAAAAUUGAAACAACAAAAACUUCCAAUUUUUGCAUUCGGAAACUUACCCGACUUUCUUCACUCCAAGAGACAAAAAGCCUAGGCACUCAUAUUAUGAGGAAACAUCCUCAGAGUUUGAUUUGCUAUAAAUAAAAAUGACGAGAAAACAAAAAUAUGAAGGAAAAACAGAGCAAGUGCUCUGUAAAAUAUAUUUCUUACUAUCGUCGAUUACAUAUCUGAUAUAUGAUAUAUGAUUUACAUUGGUUCAAAGAUAUAUAUAUAUAUAUAUAUAGAAGAUAUUUUCUAAGAAAUAUCCCAAUAAUAUCUUUGACUGAUUACAAAGAGAAAAUAGAAAUUUACAAAAUAUCUUGAAAAAAAUCUAACUUAGUCGGUGGCAAAUAUCUGAGUUUACACAAGUGGAUUUCGCAGCUGCGAAAUGGCCUUUGGGUUGCAAAAUUUUCGCACAACUUGAUGUAGUUGUCUUCAAACGGCCAUAACUUCUUCGUUUCAACUCCGAUUCGCACACCGUUUGAAGCGUUGGACUUCUAACUUCCCAAUAUUCGAAAAGAAAAGAAAUGGAAUCCAGGAAGUACUCGAAAUAUGUCCAACAGUUGUUGUCCUCUUGAAUUUCCUCAUGUUAGAUUUCUCUCAUUUUCCUCCUUGCAUUUUUUAUUGGCUUUGGCAAAGGACUACAAAGCUCCAAAGCUUGAAUUCUCCAUGUAAAUGAGCUUCCAUUUUCUUUGCCAUGGAUUAUAUAGAACCCUCCCUUAUCUUAGAUUGCUUUGGUGAUCAAAAAGCUAUUUGAUUAGAAGUGAUUGCAAGGGUCCUUAACAUGCCAAUUGAGUUAAAAGGUAAUAACUACUACUCAGAAGUUGGAGCUUUCUACAUUAACAAGAAUGGAUUUGGGAACAUCUAAAUAAUAUGUAUAACACUUUUCUCUAGAUCUAUGAAAUGUUUUUGUUUUUUAAAUACCAAAGUUUUCAACUAUGCUUAGAUCUAGAAAGCAUAAGAUAAUGUUACAUGCACCCUAAUAAUCCAAGGCCUAGGAAUAUAGCGAUCUAAGGUUUCCUAACAAAAUAACCCAAUAAGUAAGAAUGAUUUAUAGGAACUAAAAUUUCUUUCAAAAAGAAAAGAAGAUUAUUGGAGUAAAAUAGGUAUACAAGAGAGGAAAAAAUGCAAAAGAAGUAAAAAAAAUACAAAGCAACAUUGGCGCAAAGGAUUACAAGUAAGAAUAAUGCACCAACAAGACAAGGGUAUUUGCUCUCAUUGCUCUUUUAGUAACUAUAAGAUUAAUAAUCUCUUUGGUAGUUUAAAUUAGUUGAAAAUUUUCAAAUGAAUGUGAAAUCCAAUUUUUUGAAUUGACAUUUGGAAGAAGAAGUGUAUGUAGAAUAAACCAUAGUCGGUAUACAUAUAUGGGCAUGAGAAUAAAGUUCCAAAAUUGAAAAUAACCUUGUAUGUAAUAAAACAAACACUAAGAGCAUGGAAUAAUUGAAUUGACCAAUAUUUUCACGAUAAUAAUUUUGCUUGAUACCUUAAUGAACAUGCUCUCUACAUAAAAUUGAAAGAAAAAAGUGAUAUAUUACUUAUUUGUUUGGAUGUGAAUUGUUUGAUCUUUAUUGGAACUAAUCCAAUCAUGUUUAGUGAGUUCAAAAAAGUAAUAGGACAAAAGUUUGAGAUGAUUGGAUUAGUCUCUCUUGGCAUAGACUUGAAGCAGAUUGAAAAGAGUACUUUUUAUUUCUCAAGAAGACCAUGCAAAAUAAUUUUUUAGAAAGUUUAACUUGAAUAUGUGUAAUAUGGUAAACACAAUAAUAUAAUGCAAAGCUAAAUUAUCAAAGACAUGUAGAAGGAGAAAAAGUGGAUUCAACAUAACAUAAAAUCUUAGUUGGAACCAUACACUAUUUGACUCAUACAAGUUCAAACAUUCUCUUUGGAGUUGGAUUUAUCCAUCAUUAUAUGGAAGCACUAAUGAUUAUUUACACUAAGACCUCCUAGUGAAAUUUUCAUUUUUCACUACAUCAAUGACACAUUUGAUUAUGACUAAUAUUAUUCACCUUUAACAAUUUUAGACUUGUUGGAGAUAAUGAUAGUAAUUAAGGUGGAGACUUGGAUGAUACAAAGAGAACCAAUAGCUUUAUAUUCCUCAUGGGAGAGAUACCAUGUUCACUUGGACUUCAAAGAAGCAACCUAUUGUGAAACUUUCAACCUAUGAAGUGGAAUUUCUGAAAAUGUUUACAAAAUCUCAUAAUCAAAUUGUGAAAAUGUUUACAAAGAGUCUCAAGUUUAAUGAUUUUAGAAUGCAUGAGUGAAAAUGUUGACAAAGUUUAAAAUUUUUAGAAAACUAAGGAUGUUAUUUUUACUAACCAAGUUGAAGGGAGGAUGUUAGUUAAACUGGAUUUAGGAAGUUUCUAAAAAUUAGAAUUUGAGUUAGAUUCUAAAAUGCUUGAUUUAGUUUGUAUAUUUGUUAUUACAAGAUUUUAUAUUUUACCAUUAUGAGUAUCUAUUUUUUUUUAGGUGUUAAUACCUAUAAAUAAGAUGUUAUGUAAUAGUUGAACAAGAGUGGUGGAAGACAAUAAAUUUUUUCUUAAUCAUCUCAAUUAUUUAAAUAUCUCCCUUUACACAUGUAAUUACUUGUGUAUUUUUUUUCAACCAUAUUACUGCAACAUAUGUGAAUCUGUUGGUUGGUCUAUGAAAAUUUAUAUCAGUUGUUCAACCUUUUAAAUUUAUAUGUAACGGUAUUUAGAUCACAGGAUCUUUCCCUAAGCCCGCAUUUUUCUAAAUAUAUAAUUAAAAUUGUUGUGUUUGCAAUUUUAACGAAAUCUAGCGUUGGAUACUUAACUACAUCCCACAAAACGACAAAAAAAAUGGUGGCGAUUUCAUGGAGGCUAACCAUUCACUUGCCUUUAGCCAAGUCGUGUUUCAACAGUAAAGUAAUUAUCUCAAUCAAAACACAAAAUUUAGUUUUCUAAACAAUUAUUGUUCUUGGAAAACAUGCAAGGAACUUAAGCAACUUAAGUGCCAACAUCUGCUCUCUCUCUCUCCAGCAUGCAAUCGUAAGUGGUAGGCACCUCUUUUAUGCUUUAAAUUAAUUGAAUACUUGAUCUUAUUCCGUCAUUCUUUUGGGUCUAACCCAAAAAUACAUUUACCAUGCCUUCUUUUCAUGUCCUCAACUUACUCAAAAGCUCAUAAGUCCCAUUGGAUAUGAUGUACUAAGUUUCAGAUUUUUGAAGUAAAAUUAUCAACAUUGUCUAGCAUAUAUAGUAAUAGGUUAUACUCUUUUCAACAAUUUAAAUUGUUUUUGUUAAUAGAUUAUAUGGAUGUUUUAACACUCAAAGAAAUUGAAAUGAAGCCAAAUAUGCAAAAAAAAAAAAAAAAAAAUGGUUGUGACCAAUAGUUAUAUUUAUUCUCUUUAAUUUCUAUUAAUACUCAAAUUUUUAGGGAUAGAGCAUCAACAAUCCUUGUGAUGAGUUAAUAAUGUUGAGAAAAGUCAAUGACUACACAAUGUAGAUUAAAACCAAAUAUGUCAUCAAAGAAGACAUCAAUAAUAACCCCACACAAUGAUAUGUUGUAUAAUUCAUUACUUGUAUCAAACACAAAUUUCCUUCAAUGUGUGUAUAUGAAUAAAAGAGACUUCUUAGUUUAUAUUUGACAUACAUGCUAUAUAGGCCAUGCUAAUAGCAAUUGAUAACAAGAAUCUCAACACUGAAGUCCAUGUAGAAUCAGGUGUGCACCAUAUUGGGGUUACAUAGUUAGGAUAUUGAAAGAAGCAUGAGUAUAGGAUGGUGAAAGUUCAAAUGAGAAGUGUUAUAAGAUCAUUGCCAAAGCUAUUUUUGCCUCCAUCAUUGCAAAAUUUUGUCCAAUGCAUACCCGAGGACCCCAACCAAAUGGGAAAAAUGAAACUUGGUUUUUUGUUACCUUUAAAACUCCUUCUACAAACCUCUUUGGAUUAAACUCCUUUGCAUCAUCCCCCCAAAUUUCAUGAUCAUGGUGAACUAGGAUGGUGGGCAACACGACCUGCAAUCCAGUUGGAAAACACAUGUCUCCCACUUGAGUGUCCUUAUAAACAACUCUAGGAAGCAUUGCUAUUGGUGGGUAUAACCUAAGAACCUCAUGAAAAAUCAUGGUGACCUGUGGUAGAGAAACUUUAGAAGUUGUUGCAAGAGAAUUCUUACUAAAAUACAUUCUAAAUCAUUAUGAAGGACACUGAAGAAGAAAGCAAUUUCUUAAAAUAGUGAUGCAGAAGAGAAAAUGUUCUAAAUCAUGCAUGACAAAAUAUCAAGUAUGCAAAGGACAUUGCAUAUCCCAUGGAUAUAAUAACUUAAGAACCUCAUGAAAAAUCAUCAUAAUCUAGCAGAGAAAUUUGAAAUCAUGGCAUGAGAACCCGUUCCUAAGCUACUAAGUGAAAGCAAAUGUUUAGUAUAAGAUAUAAAAACUUAAGAGAAAUGUGUUUUCAAUUUUACUUCAAUUAUGGGGAAAAAAACCAGAGUACUAUACGAUUUUAGUGAGAAUCACUAAACUGAAGAUUGGACUAAGUACUCACAAUUUUUAGGUGAUUUAAUCCAUCAGCUUCCCAUUUUUUAUUCCCAAAAACCUGUAAAACCUCUUCUCUUGCACGAGCUUGCUAGUUUGGAUGCUCGCUUAGCAGGACCAUUGUCCAUACAAGCAAAACUGAGGUUGUCUUUUGGCCAGCAAGAUAGAAUAGUUUACACUCUUCAAUGACAUCCUUGACACUGAUUCUAAUCUUCUUGUUAUUUUGAUGUUCUUGAAUUUCUCUAAAAUUGGAUUCCAUUAGCAUACCUAAUAAGUCACUAUUAGUAGUUUCGCCAACCUUCAUUGCCUUCUCUCUUUUGUUAACGAUACCCCUCAACAAUGCAUAUACUUCUUUGCUUAUUUGCUUCAUCUUCCUGUUCGUCUUUGUGGGUAAAAACCUGUGCGCAUGUUAGUAAUUCUAGUAAAUAAAACAUCACAUGAAACACACAGACAUUAAUUCUUAUUUUCAUCCAUGCCUUCUACUUCUCCAUUAAUUUUUUGAAGCUUGUAUAAGGCUUCAAAGGUAGAAACUAUCAAGACAAUAACUAAUAGUUUCAUCUACACAUGUGUUGCAGUGGUAUCUCAUCAUCUUGAUACAAUAUCCUGUGAACAUAAGAUUGAGGAUACUAAACAUCAAUUAGUGAAACAUACUACUUUCUAAGUGUUAUACAAAAGAAGUAAUUGACUAAAAGGGGAUGAAAUGAUCUCAAAGUUGUAAAUCUAACAUCUCUUAUGCUUGACCUUGAAAAGUAAUCCAUUUUGAACAUAAAUUCCCUUCGAACAUAAAUUCCCUUCAACCUUGUUAACCAAACACACACUUGAGCAUUGUGAAACUUUCAACCUAUGAAGCGAAAUUUGUGUUGGCAUCAUUUGUAGGUCAUGAAAUUUGUUCAAGAAACUUAAUUUACCACACAAGAGACUGAUAAAGAUCUAUAUGGAUAUAAAAUCAACAAUUACCUUAUGAGAAAAAUCUAGUUCUCCAUGAUGGUGUUGAGUUUUGAAUUUUGCCUUAGUAUCUGCUGGAAUUUGAAUUUUGAAGUUAAAUUUUACAGCUGGAGUCUUGCACAAAAUCUGCAACAUCCAAAUAUUUUCUUGUUUUUAUUUGGUCAAGAUUUGGUUUCUAUUUUAUAGGAAGUAGUUGUUCAUCAUCUAGUAGCUUGAUUUUAUGCUAUUCUAAUGUUAUUUCAGUUACAAGCUCAUGUAUAAAUUCAGCACUCUUCAUCAAUAAAAUGUGUGUUCCAACAGUCUAAAAAUAUAUAUUCUGCAUAAGUGUUUUAAUUUAAGAUCAACAGAUGGAAGCCAACAAUGCAUUCCCUUACAAUUCAAAGUAUAUUCAAUUGAGCACCUUUCCUAUGAUUCAAAGGUUGCAUGCCCCCUCAACAAUUGAACCCAACAAGAGCACUCAAGUUGUGCAUGUCUGUAACAUCUUAAUUGCACUUUUCCCUACCACUAUAGUAGCAUAUCCCUUGGGUCACUCACCAUGCACUGUCACUCCCCAAAACCCACUCCAAGGGCAUGACGAUCUUUUCACGCCUCAACCCCAAGGGGUCAAAGUGGAAAUGACACAAACAUUCAUGUUGUAAUUGAAAAUUUACCAAUUACCAAAUUCCUAUUCAAGGUAGUAGGAUAAAAUUCUAAAAUCUCCAAGUAUCAACUUUAAAAAAAACUAAUACAUCAACCAAUGUGUUAUUGUCCAAAUAACUUCAAACUCAAAAUAAUUCAAACUAGAAUUAAGUUUUAACAUUUAAACAAUGUCCAAAAUAAAGAGAGUUUAAACAAAUAUCCUAAUAAAUCAAAAUUUCCUUCCUAACGGUCACUCCUCGCCCGAAUUGAGGUUGAUUGAAAGAUUAUCAACAAAGGGGGGUGAGCUCAAAGCCCAAUAAGGAACAUUAAUACAAUUUCAUGGAUCAAACAUUUUCAAUUAUGCUUGCAAAUAGAAGAUAUAACAUAUACUUAUUUUCACAAAAACUUUUGAGUUCAAAAUGCUAAUACAUUCAAACUUUUCAACAAAACUUUCUCAUAUCCAUUUCAAAACAAUUUCUCAUCAAACCAAAUCGAAUACAUUCAAAAUAUCUUUACUCCGGUUAUCAUAUGUCAAAUGGUACCCAAUUAGGAGGGACUUCACAAUUGAGUAACUAGUUUCAAAUUUGUUCCAUUUAAGGUGAACAAACCCAAAUGUCAACAAUCAUAACCCAUUGACUAAGGCCAUAAAGUCAACUAUUAUAACCGGUUGACUCGAGCCAUAAGGUCAAUUAUUAUAACCCGUUGACUAAGAUCAUAUAAUAUCAACUAUUAUAACCCGUUGACUAGGUAGGCCCGAAAAUGUCAACUAUUAUAACCCGUUGACUAGGGCCAUAUAAUCUAGAGUCAAAUACUUUAUUUCAUUAAUUCAAACUUAUAAAACAAAACAUCGUAUCUCCUCAAUUUUUCAUUUUUCAUAAACAAAGAAAAUACUCAAAUAUACUUUCCAUACAAAACAUAUAUUUGAUCCAUGCUUAAAUAUAAAAAUAAUAUUUUUACACAUUUCAAAAUACAAUAUAAAAAGAAAAUUAUUUUCUUUUACAAAAAUCUUGAAGUAUUUAACUUUGAAGGAAUUCCUCCUCACUCAACAUAAUAUCAUACACAAUAUUGAUUAUUGAUUAUUUAUCUAAAUGUAUAAAUUUGACAAUCCUAAAAAUAUUUUAUUUAGUAUUAGGGAUCCUAAUUAAUUUCUUAUGUUAAUAUUAUUUGCCAUCCAAUAUUAUUUUCAACUUCCUAAACAAUAAUUUAUUUCUCUUUUCUAACUUAUCUAAAUUAAAUAUUUUAAGAAUAUUUAUUUGCAUUAAACUAUUAUUACUAUUAUUUAAAUCUCCUAUUGAAACUUAACAAAUACCCCAUGCUAUUCUAUUUUUGUUCCCAACAACUCCACACCAACCUCAUUCAUUAUUAUUAUUAUUAUUAAUUUCAAUACCCAUCAACACCUUAAUCUAUUUCUCUUCCAAGCCAUCAACAUCCUUUUCUUUCUCAUUGUUUACCAAAAUACUAUUUACUUCCUUUCCUAGGUCAACGUGUUGGCCAUUUCUUUGUUUUUUUUUUUCUUUCAACAUGCCAAAUCCUUCCUACUUACACACAUCUUUCAUCAAAUUUUUUUUCUCCUCUCUAAAGUCAAAACUUUUAACCUCCAUACUCACAAAUUUUAUAUAAUUUUCACAUCCAAAACUAUAUAUAUAUAUAUAUAUAUAUAUAUAUAUAUAUAUAUAUAUAUAUUUGUCUAGAUCUAUUCGUUUGAGUAAUCAAAAUUUGUCGAUCUCCAUUAAUAAAUCAAACCAUGUUCAUAAAUUUUUAACAUUUUUUUAUCUAGAAAUUAAUUAAACGAACUCUAAUCAAAAUCGAGAUAUUCCAAAUAAUAUCUAAAGUGUUCAAAACUAAUUAAUGAAUAUAAAAUAUUAAUUUAAAGAUUAAAAAUCUUACUUGAAAAAUUGAUCUUCAAACCCUGAACCUCCAAAUCUUCAAUUGUAUGCUCUCUAAUCUUUAUGAUCUCUGUGUAAAAGGGUUUUCUGAAUAGAGAGGAUGGGAAAAAUCUAAUUUUUACCUAAGGGUUUUAAAUACCAAAAGACUUUUUUACCCUUAUUAAAUUACUUAAUUAAUUAUUAAUUUCUAAAUUAUGAUUUUACCCCUAAAUUGGGUUUGGGGCAUUACAUGCACACUAUUCCCACUCUUGCAAAGGUUGAGCUCUUGAGAAAACUUAUUACAAUUAUUUGGAUAGGAUUUUUUAGGUAGUUUCCUAUUUCUUUCUAUAUAUUUGCCUUAUUUUUGUAGGUUUCCUACAAUUAUAUAUAUAUAGGAUAUUUUCUCUUCUUUUCUCUAUGAACGAAUAUAUGACUAGGUAAAAUUAAGCUAUAGGUUUCUUAAUGGUAUCAAAGCCAACUUCUUAUUACUAGGAAUAAUGGUUAAAAUAGCAAUGAUAGGUGCUUCCAAUUAUGAUAACAACUUGAAGGAGGCAGAAAGAAAACCUAUCCCUCGUUAGAAUUUUGUGACCAAUGGUCAUGGCACUCUUCUUAGCUAAUUACCUCUCACAAAUUAACUUAAUGGAGAAAAUUAUCUUUAAUGGUCUCAAUUUGUCAAACCUUUCAUUUGUGGGCAUGGACAAAUUGAAUAUUUUAUUAGAGCAACAUCAAUACCACAAGGAACAAUUCUCAUCGAGACAUGGGAAGUAGAGAAGGCCAUGAUUAUGUCAUGGCCGAUCAACUCAAUGGAACUCAAGAUUAGGAAGACAAACAUGUUCAUGCCCAUAACUAGAGAGAUUUAAGAGGUUACAAAGGAAAACUAUUACAACUUGAUAACUUGCCUAGGUCCACAAGAUAGUCAUACAAAUAAAAUACCAACCAAGGUAAUAUGAAUGUAAUUCGGUACUAUAAUACACUCAAACCCCUUUGGUAAGAACUUAAUUUGUUCUAUGAUUAUGAAUAACAUUGUGCACAAGAUAGUGAAAUGUUCUAAAAGAUGAUUGAGAAAGAUCGAGAAUUUGCAUUCCUAGUGGGGUUUAAAUAAUAAAUUAGAUGAGGUUUAAAGUAGAAUUCUUAGUUGUGAAUAAUUCUAGCAAAAUCUGAUACCUCUUUACUUAACACUACCCUAGCUAUAAAAAACAGUAAGCUUCACAUUUCGACCAAUGAUCCAAAAUUCAAAAGGAUCCACAGAAGGCCCUAGUGUGACCAUCAUCUCCUCUAAAUGCUUCUAGAAUUCAAAAUAUCCAUUGACAAGUGAUUAACCAUCAUCUUUUCCAAAUGCAUCCUUAGAUGUCAUAUACCCAACGGUGUUCAAAUUCGUAAGAUAUGACUAAGUCUAGAUAUUAAGAAGAAGGUAUAUCAUCCUCUACCAUUAGAAAGAAGAAGAUAUAUUAUCCUCUACUAGUGAAAGCACAUAUGCCAUCAUCUCAACAAAUCAAGCAUGCGUGAAAAUCUGUCUUCUUAGUCUUUUAAUUGCGGUCAAGAAAAUAUUAAGGAAGUACUUAAUUUGAAGCAUCUCUUCAUCAUCUAUAGUGGUUGUAGUUGCCAAUCCAAUAAUUGUACUCCUUUGAAAGUGGUACAAAUUAUUCUUCCUUAUUCCUUGCAUCACCACAAGUUUACUUGGCAUAACUUUCAAAAUCCCAUCUUUUAUAGUGACAAUAUUGAACCCUAUGGGUUCUAAUUCUCCCAUUGAGAUGAGACACUUAUUCAUACUAGGAACAUACCAAACAUCAUUCAAAAUUUUAGUUAAUUCAUCAUGAGUCUUCAAAUGGAUGGUAUCUAUUAUAGUUAUCUCACAAGCAUUAUCAUUCCCCAUGUAAACAACUCUAUCUUAUAGUUCUUCAAAGCAAUAAAACCACUCCUUUUACAGGAAUGCAUGUGAAGGUGGACCCAAUAUCCAAAAUCCAUUCAUCUAAGUUAUAAAACAAGUAUAAGCAAACCAAAGCAAAGUUUAACCCAUCUUCUCCAAACUUAGCCACACAAGCAUCAAAUACUAUCUCUUCUUUAUUCUUCUUCUGUAGCUUAGGACAAUCAUUAUUCUGACACUACCAAAAUUAAGCAUGGUUGAUCCAUUUAUAUUUACUUUUGCGAUAGAUUUAAGCUGACGCAAAUUUCUAACACACCUAUUCCACUGCAAAUUGAAUUAUCCGUCGCUUAUAUGUAACUAUUUACCAAUGGUAAUUGCAAUAACAAAUACCUGUUAGCAAAAAUAUUAUUGCAAGGGAUUUAAACUAUUGCAAAUGUUCAACUAAUAUACUUUGUCACAAAAGCAAUUUACCUGUUUUUUUUUUUUUUUAUUUUAAAAAAAGUGAAAUUUCAUAAAUAAUUUUUUUAAUGAAAAUUACUACUCACUAAAAUAGUUUUAUUAUAGUGGAUAAUAAUACCACACAUAAUUUGUUCCAAAAAUAAUUGUUGUCUUAUGAAUAUAAAAUCUUUUCACCAUAGUUGUAUGAUAAAUACGAUCUAGCUAGUGACAAAACAAUUUUAUGAUUAUUUUUUUAGGUUCAUACAAUAUUUACAUUUUUUUUAAUCAUAAUAGUUUUAACAUUUUAAUAUUUUUUAACUACUUUUUAUUGUCCAUUUUAGAAAGAAAUAAAUUAAAAAUUAUUGAUAUAUAUAUAUAUAUAUAUAUAUGUUUGUAUGUAUGUGUGUAUGUAUGUAUGUAUGCAUGUAUGUAUAUAUGUAUGAUAUAAUUUAUGAUAUCGAAUAAUAAUAUUUAAAAUUUUAAAAUACAUUUUAUAGAGAUUUAUCUAAUUUGAAUGUAUUCAAUAACAUAAAAAAAAAAUGAUAGUACAUGUAUAAGUAUUUUUAUUUUAAAAUGUUGAUAAUUUUAUUUAUAAAUUUAAAUUUAUUCUAUAUUUAAUUAUUAUACAAAAUACACAAGAAUCAUAAUUAAUUAAUUUAUAAUAAUUUAUAUAUAUAUAUAUUAAUUCAUGCAUGUAUAAUUUAUAUAUGAUAUGUAUUUAUAUAUAGAUAAUAUUUAUAACAUAAAUGCAUAAGGAUACAAUAUUUACAUUUAUGAAUCUUAUAUGCAUUCUUUAUAUUGCACAUAACAAAGUUGAUUUGGUGGCACAGUUGCUUCCUUUCAAACUUGAGGUCAAGAGUUCAGUCUCGAGAAACAGCAUCCAAGCCAAUAUCCAAAACUAGCAAGGAGAGGAGUGUUCAAGAUGCUCCAUGUGAAUGUAAUGAAAUCGAAAUUUCAUGACAACCUAAAAUCUUUUAUUAUUUACAUUUCUCAACCAACUUAAUCCAUCGGUAAUAGUGAUGGUAAAAAUCUAUUGGAUAGUUUUUCACUAAAUAUUUUUUAUUGGCAGUGGAAAAUUCCCAUCGAUAGACUUUUUGCCUACACUCCUUUCCUUGACUACCAUGCAACGGGAUUAUCGGUUGGUAAAUGUUUAUUUAGACCAUGUAUAUCAGUUGAGAAAAGUCAAAUUUCUUGUAGUGUGAUGACCCUUGUCAUGAAAAAGGACACAUUCAUCUUUUGCAAGUAUACAUUUAAAUUAAGAACUGUCUCAUUUUCUAGGUUUUCAACUUUGAGAUUAGGCAUUAACUGUUAAAGCUUCCAAUGAUAUAUCUCUAUGAUUGUUUUGGUCCUUCUUCCUUUAUUCAGAGCUUAGCAAAGUGGAACGCACAACAUCAAAAGUAAUCUUAUCCUUACCAUAAAGUAAAGUGAUGGUAAGAUUUUCUUACACAUCAAGAAGCAAAUUCAAUAACAAUAAGGCCUUAUUCUCAUCUUCAAUGAUCUAAUCUAAAUUCAAAAAAUUUGCUUUGAUUCUAUCAAAUUCAUGCAUAUGAUCAUUCAUAGACAUAUCUAGUUGAUACUAGAAGCAAAUAAGUUUUUUCUUCAAAUAUAGUUGAUUUUCUAGACCUUUUUUCAUUUACUUGUCCUCCAAUGUCUUCCAUAAAUGUUUUUGUGGAUAUCUCUUUCAUAAUGGAAUAAUUUUAAGCAUUAACAAGAAAUAAGUGGAUGGAACUAUAAAAUUGACAAUUGAUCCCUUACUCAUUCUUUGUCAUUCAUGUUUUCAGGUUUUUCUUCCAAAACAAUAUCCAAUUCUUAUUGACAUAUCUAAUUAAUGCCUCUUACUACCACAUUCCAAAAGUACUAGUCCUAUCAAAUUUCACAUUAGUAACCAGAGUUUUAACUAACGAAGUUUUUACCUUUUCUUUUAACUAGUGAAAUAACAAAUAACCUUGAACUAUCUUUGAAACCAACCUUGGAUAGAACUAAGGCUCCUAUACCAUUUUUUUUUUGUGCUUUAACCUAAUCCCACAAGACUUCCAAAAGUACCAAAUAAAAUACAAACUAAACUAGUCCAUAAUAUAAAGAUAAAUAGCAAGAGAAAUAAAAAUAAAAGAGGGUACACAAUAUUUAUGAGGUUUAGUAAGGAUGUCUUACCUAUAUCAUCGGACAAUGAUGAUCAAUCCACUAAUCUUCAAAUCAAAAUUACAAAAUCAAGUUGGGAAAGCUUAUCUCACAAAGUGGAUGCAACUACAAAGAUUGACUGAAGCUACUCUAACAACUUUGCUAAAGUCAUUCUCACACUACUAUAAUGAAAGGACUUAGACUCAUUUAUAGAACCUAAAUAAGUCCCCAAGCCUUGACAAAACUAAUUCAUAAUUCCUAUGGGACAAGGACUCCUAACAUAUAACAAAUUAUGAAAUCAUAAUCCUUAUAGGACAAGGAUCCCUAAAAUAUAUUAAACUCUUAAUUGAGCUAAAAGCCAAUACCUAAUAUAGAACCCACACCAUAUUUGCCAUAACUCUACUAAGUAGCUGGUUGUUAAGCAGAAUUAUCACUUUCAAAAGUUAAAUAAGCAUUUCUUUUUCCUUCCCUUUUCAUUUUUCUUAUCAUCCAAACAACAACAAUAAAAAAUUUAGUGUAACUUUUUGCUUUGAUACUUGUUCUCUCAACUUGCUUGCUUGUGAAUGACCUCCAUAAUCAAAUUAAAUGGAGAAAUAAUGUGGAGUUCCAAGAUAUAGGUAGAAAAGAGUGGACAAAACCCUAGAUCUACAAAAUAGCUAGCAAUUUUGUCUCUAGAUCUCUCAUUGUUGUGGUAAUGGCCAUUGAAGAUGUCAUCACUGAGAAGAUCACAAAGUGAAGAAGGCAUGAUUGAGGGUUGGUAGAGUAGAGAGUUAAGGUAGAAAAUAGCAAAGAUAGGAUUUUGACGUUUUUAGAAUUUGUACAUAAAAAAUAAAUACAAUCCAAAAAUCACUUUGAGAACAUGAUUUUACCUAACCAUGCCAAACACAUUUUUUGUUAUGUGGAAGUGAUAGAAGCGAGAUCAUGCUAGGGUUUUAGAGCCAAAGAGGAUCGGUUGGCAAUGGUGGUGUAGACCCUCCAUUUUGUCCCCCUAGCACACGCCCUAUUAGGUGAUCUUUUAGUAUGCUAUAGUAGUUCCUGGGUAGCCCACGUUACUCGUACAACUAACCUUUUUGAGUCACCUCGAAGACUCUGGUCAAGGGAUUUAUCCGACCCCUUAUUGUGGCCUAGGAUUUUCCUUUCUUUUUUGGACAACUCAUUUAGAUACACUUUUAGGAUAACAUAUCUAGGCACACUCGACCCAUUUAGAUGCACUUGGCCCACUUAGGCUCACUUAGGCCCACCUAAGCUCACUUGGGCCCAUUUUGGCGCGCCUUGAUCCACUUAGGUUUACCUAGUCUUGCUUAGGCCACCUUUUAGAUAUGGUUGCAUGGCUUGUAUGACUAGCAUGUGCUUGAUUUUAUUUUUUUUAUUAGUUUUAUUCAUUUACUUCUUCAUUAUUUAGAAAAUUGCAUGAGAAUUGAGAUUUUAGUUUUUCCUAAUUGCUUGAAUUGAUAUUUCAUAUAUAUUUAUAUAUUUAAUUUAUUCAUUUACUUAUUUUUGUAGGAAAUUGCUUGAGCUUCAUGAUUUUAAUUCUUUUAAUGCGAUUGAUAUUUUAGUUUUAAUUACAUAAUUUUAAUUUUUGAUUUUCAAUUACAAGAUUUUUUUUUUAUCCUACUUUUUAAGUUUUUCAAAUUUUACUAUUUUAUUAUUAAUAUAUGGUUACUAACUUCUAUUUUCUUUUGUUUUAUAGAGAGGAUGUCACUUUGAAAGGUGAACUUACCAUUUUGAAAAGGAAAAGAACCCUAUGAGCUUCACUUUUAAAGAACAUGAUUCCAUACAUUGUUUGAGGAUUAAUUAAGUGGGCAGGUUGCAUAAUUCUCUGUAGGCACAUAGACCUAGACAUUCUUUUUAUUCUUAUUAUUUCCUUGAUUUUCUACUCUUCCAUAUAUUCUCUGCAGGCUGCCAUGUAAAAAUGGAAACAUGUUGCAUAUAAGAGCAAGGUCAACACACAGCCAAAGGAAAGGGUGGCAUACCUACCAUACAGUAGGCAUUCAGAAUCACAAUUGGUGGAAUUUUUAGAAGGAUGAUCAACUUGCCGUUCUGAAUAUGGCAGAACGCUAAAGUGAAAUAAGGAAUGAGAUAUUCGGUUAAGGAAAAUUGAAGGAUUUUGGAAGGCUGGUCAAAGGGACAUUCAGGAUGUUUUUGGAAGGAAGACUCUUCAAGCAAGAUCCAGCAGCACACAAUAAUCAAGAGUGGGGUUUUAUCUUUGGGAAAAGCACACAGCACACGCUGGAUGGGGGAUUUUUCUCCAGCAGACACAAUUGAAGAUUUUCUUGAAGGUAGUAUAGACACACUACCAUUGGGGAUUUUUCUGGUGACACACAUCAUAGAGGCUUUUCCAACAGGCAUGCACCAUAAGUUUGCAAAAUCGACCAUGCUGCCAGAUUUUUAGAGCAGCAACUGCACUGCCAGAUUUUUAGAGCACGCACAUGGGGUUAAAAAAAAAAUAAAAAAUUUCCCCACACAGACUAACCACCAAGAAUUCAUCUUCAUUGGGACACACUUUCCACAGAAAAAUAAAUAGAACCAGUUGCCAUCCACUUUGGAGAGGAAAGCGGCCUACACCUUUGGACUUCGAAACAGCCCCCAUGCAUUAUUGAAAAAGGUAAGUUAAAGCUUUUUUAUUUAAUUUUUUGAUGCGUGAAUAUUAAUUUCGUAAUGGUUUUAGAAUUUUAGUUUUUUUUUAUUUAAUUAAUUCCAUGUCGAUAUUUUCAUCUAUGUGCUUUAGAUUUUUUUAUUUUAAUUAAUUCCAUGUUGAUAUGUUGGUGUUUUCAUAUUUUUAAGUUUAGUUUUUUUCAAUUCGUCCCAUUUAGUUCAAAAGUUUUUAGGUUUUGUUUUGUUUUUUUUUUUUUUUAAUUUAUUAGGUUAUUUGUUUUAUAAGAAAACAUGUGUGAACUUUAAGAUUUCAAUUAGGUAUGUGAAAUGUGGCAGAUUAUUAGAUAUGUUAGCGGCUUGAAUUUAAAAAUAAAAGAGUUAAUAAGUGAAUGUGAAUUGUUGUGAGAUGUUAACUUAGUGGUUUGACUAAAGAAAGAAAAAUCAAUGAAUUGAAAUAACACAUGUUGCCAUGGAUUGAUUGGUGUUGGUGGCCUAGUAAAAUAUAAAAACCAAUGAACUGAAAUAGUGCAUGCCAACCUUGGAUUUAUUUGUGUUAGUGGUAUUUGUUGAGUGAAUAAAAAAUAAAAAUUUGUUUAGGAAUGUUUGGUUAAUUAAUUUAGUGAAUCUCAUGUUUGUGUUUGUGUGUUUCCGAAUUCUUUAAUUUUGAUUUUAAUCCAUUAAUAUUCAAUUUUGUAGUUGAUUAUAAUUUUAGUUAGCUAAUUGAGUUAAUAAAAUGUUAUUAUUUUCCUGUUUUAAGUUUAGUAAUUUUAAUUUUGAUCUAUUAAUAUUUAGUUUGAGUGUAUUAGAGUUUUAGUCAAUUAAUUUAGUUAGUCACAUGUUAUUAUUUUCAUGUUUUAAGUAUGGUAAUUUUGGUUUUGAUCUAUUAAUAUUUAGUGUGAGCUUUUUGUAAUUUUAGCUAAUCAAUCUAGUUAAUUACAUAUUAUUGUUUUCAUAUUUUCAAGUUUGUUAAACUUUGGUUUUUGAUUCAUCAUAUUUUGUUUGAGUGUUAAUUUACUUUAAUUGAUCCUAUGUUAUUAUCUCCAGAUGUUAAGUUUGUUGGUUUUAAUCCUUGAUUGGUUUUUAUCUUAGUUCAUGCACUUCUUGAAUUCUAGAUGUUAGUCUUGGUUAAUAUUUUUGUUAGUUUGUUUAAUUUGGAAGUCAUUAAUUUGUUGCCUUAGUGAUUGAUAGUCAAAUCCUUUUUUUGAAGGCCAUUGGAAACCCAUGAAGUGUGGACCAGUAUUUUUCACGUUUGUCCCCACUCAAACAACGAGACUUGCUUUUAUUUGUGAAAAAUUAAUUUUUGGAAAAGUCGAAGUCGCCAAUUAUUUUAUUUUUAUUUUAAAGUGAAAAUAAAACAAGAAAGAAAACCCUAAAAGGUGACUUCAUAAUUUUUGGAAAAAGUGUCUUUGAAAAACCCGAGUCUAUGUCUGGGGAUCAGGUUACCUAUUGGGAAAGUACCUCUAAAAGGUAGCACCCCUCUAAGCCCUAUAAAGGUCUCUACUAACUACUUUGAGGGAAAUAUGACAAUUAACUGGUUAAUCAUGGAUACUUAAGUAGGCUAGGUGAUUUUGAAAAAUAGCAUGCUUAAUAGGAAAAACAAUCACAAUCAUAAGAAGAUUUAGGUUGUGUACCUGGACUGCUUCUUAAGCGCUAUCACAAGACAUCAAAGUUAGUUCAAAUAGUAUAUCAUCCAACACAUGCGUUUUAUUAGAAAUAAUCGAACAAUGAAACAUGUAUAUCAAAACACUAAAGCACUAUCAAACAUAGGCAUAAUUCACAAUGACAAGCAUAUUCACAGAAUCUAGAAAGUGGGUGAUAGGGGGGACAUACUUGGAUAGCAUAGAUAACUCAUUAUACGCUUCCUCAUGACAUAAGGGGUUCAAUAAUAAAUAAUAAAAUAAGAAAUCCUAGCAUGCUUAAUAUCUAAUUAGCAUAACCAAAAUUAUCAUAGUAUACAAAAGCAUCAAUUAUCACUUACAUCUUGAAUAUAAUUCCUAAAAAAUAAAUAGACAUGAUUACAACAAAUAGCAAGAGUGGUAGCAAAAAUAAGUUUUGAAAAGAUUUUCUUAUGUAGGGGUUUCACCAAUUCCCCAAUCGAUAUACACGAAUUUAGCCUAAAAUUAUCCCAUUCAUUUGGGACCACAAGCUUUGAUUUGUGUUUUGUUCAAAACAUAAAUUUUUAUUGAAAACCGAGAAGGAUGCAGACCGAUCAAGAUAUGGUUGCAUAUUUUAUUUUUAUUUUUUAAAAAGAGAUUUUGAUUCGAUAGACUCAAAAUGAAUUUUCUUUUUGAAUAGAUUUUUUAAAAGGGAUUUUUUGAGAAAAAGUGUUUUGUUUUAAAAUAAAAGAAAUUAAUUUUUAAAAUAACAAAACAUAGAAAACAAAAUACCAACCCAAACAAAAGGAAAUGAAAUCACAAAAUAAAGAUUUAGACAAUCAUGCCAAUUAAAAUGGUGAGAGUAAGGCCAACCUUCAUGAGUUUCUAGUAGCCUUCAAAAAAAGAAUUUGACUAAUAAUCACUAAGGCAACGAACUAAUGACUUCCUAAUCAAACAAACCAAUAAAAAUAUUAUCCAAAACUAACAUCUAGAUUUCAAGAAACACAUAAUAAAAAAAGAACAAUCUAGGAUUAAAGUCAACAAACUUAGCAUAUGGAGAUAAUACUAUAGGGUCAAUUAGGGUGAAUUAACAUUCUAACAAAAUAUGAUAAAUCAAAGACCAAAGUUUAGCAAUCUUGAAAAUAUGAAAACAAUAACAUGCAAUUAACUAGAUUGACUAUCCAAAAUUGCUCAAAACUCGAACUAAAUAUUAAUAGAUCAAAACCAAAAUAUGGCAUACUUAAAAUAUGAAAAAUAAUAACAUGUGAUUGACUAAAUUAAUUAACCGAAACUCUAAAAAUACUAAAACUAAAUAUUGAUGGAUCAAAAUUAAAAUUGUCAUAUUUAAGACAUGAAAAUAAUAACACGUGAUUAAAAUCAAAAUUAACGAAAUCAGAAAAAGCACAAACACAUUCAAACUAAAAAAAAAAAAAUUAAUACUAGAUUAAAUUAGAACUAAAAACAUCAACAUCAUCUAAUAAGAUUGGUUAAACUAUCAAAUAGAAAUUGCAAAUACAUUUAAACUAGAACAAAUAAAUAAAUCAGCAAAUUACAACUAAACUAAAAUUAGAAUUAAAAAUAUGGAAUUCACUUAAGAGGAUUAAUCAAAUAAUUAAAUUAAAAUCAUAAAUGCAUUCAAAUUAUAAAAUAUUAAAAUUAAACUAAAUUGAAAUUAAGCUCUAUCUAAUAAGACUAUUUAAACUAAUGAAUUAAAAUCAACAAAUACAUUUAAGCUAAAAACAUAUUAAAACCAAACCAACUAGGAUUAAAAACACAAACUUUAUUUAACACGAUUAUUUAAACUAAUGAAUUAAGAUCAGUAAAUGCAUUUAAACUAAAAACAAAUUAAGAUCAAACUAACAAGAAUAAAAAAACGCAAACUUUAUUUGACACAAUUAUUUGAACUAAAGAAUUAAUAUCAACAGAUGCAUUUAAACUAAAAACAAAUUAAAAUCAAACAAAUUGGAAUUAAAAACAUAAACUUUAUUCAACAUGAUUAUUUAAACUAAAUAAUUAAGAUCAACAAAUGCAUUUAAACUAAAAACAAUAUAAAAUAAAACUAAUUGGAAUUAAAAACACAAACUUUAUUUGACAUGAUUAUUUAAACUAAAGGAUUAAGAUCAACAAAUGCAUUUAAACUAAAAACAAUAUAAAAUCAAACUAAUUGGAAUUAAAAACACAAACUUUAUUUAAAGAAUUAAGAUCAACAAAUGCAUUUAAACUAAAAAAAAAUUAAAAUAAAACUAAUUGGAAUUAAAAACACAAACUUUUGUUUGACAUGUUUAUUUAAACUAAAGGAUUAAGAUCAACAAAUGCAUUUAAACUAAAAACAAUAUAAAAUCAAACUAAUUGGAAUUAAAAACACAAACUUUAUUUAACAUGAUUAUUUAAACUAAAGAAUUAAGAUCAACAAAUGCAUUUAAACUAAAAAAAAAUUAAAAUCAAACUAAUUGGAAUUAAAAACACAAACUUUAUUUAACAUGAUUAUUUAAACUAAAGAAUUAAGAUCAACAAAUGCAUUUAAACUAAAAACAAAUUAAAAUCAAACUAAUUGGAAUUAAAAACACAAACUUUAUUUAAAUUAUCAUAUAAAUUAAGAUAAACUAGGAUGGAACUUAUGAACUGCAAUCACAAAAAGAAGACAUCUAAUUUAAGAAAAAUAAAAAAAAUUAUACGAAUUGAUAUUCAAAAGAAUUUAUCACAAAAAAAUUGAUUAAACUAACGAACUAAAAUCUAAACUAAAAAAUGCUCUAUCGAAAACGAAAACUAACCUGUGUUGUGUUUGAAAAAAUACUCUCUUGAUGAUUAAAGUGGCAGCCCGAUCUCCUUCUAAAGUCCUUUGCUCUCCUCCAAAAUUCCGUGUGUUCUCUCUAAAAAAGUUCCCUCGCAUGUUCUCUCUAUCUCAAAAAUUCUCUUGUGCGUGUCCUCUCUUUUAAAAAAAUAUCCACAUGUUCUCUCUACCAAAAAAUUCCUCACUCUGGAAUUCCUUCGUGUGUCCUCUCUAAAAAAAUUGCUCUUGUGUGUCGAUCUCCAAAAAAAUCUCCCCUCUCUUCCAUUCCUUCUAUCUUAUUUAUAUAACAGCCCACCCUAUGGAAUAUUUUAUUUCCUUUUUGGAGAUGUACUUCUAACCUUAAAGGAGACCCAACUUUCUAAACUUCUAAUGGCACUUUCUAUUUCAACUGACUUAAUAAAAGAAACAUGCCAACCCAAUGAAUGUUGUCUGAUGGGCCCUUGGUCAUAUUCCCCUUCUCUCUUCCAACCAACAACACCUGUAACUUGUAAAGUUGCAUUGGGGACUAGUUUAUCUGAAAGCUUGGAUGAGAAUGGAGACCGAACUCCUUCUUAGGUAAUGUAGAGCUUCAAAAUUUCUAGAGAAAGAUUUUAUGGAUAACCAAAGUCCAUGAUUUCAUCCAAUAGCUCAUAAAUCAGAACAAAGUUGUUACGAAUAGCAUCUUCAUCGAAAGCCCCACCGAAAUAAGAUUUGAACAAUGCAACAGGCUCAGCAAUAAACUUGAAUGCACAAGUUACAUUGGCAUUGCUACUGACCACAAUCAUAAUGUACACAUUGUUGAUUCUCAUAUAAAAGGAGUAACCUCCAAUCUACCGCAUAGGACAUGUGCUAAGUUCUUUUGUUUGCAUUAUAUGCAUUCGAAAGGCAUUCACCAUGUUUCCCCUAACAUCGUCAUGAUAUAGGUAAUUGAUGAGGACAUCGCCCCGGAGAUUCAAGAAAUAGAUAGCCGAAAUAGCCAUUGACAUCUCCGAUCUAGUGGAUCCGAUGCCAAACAGAUCAAAGAAUGGGGUUCAGAUAUGCGGUGGUUGAGGCCUUGUUUCAACGACGUCGUUUUGAUUGGGUUAGAUCUCAAGCUUUGGAGAUGAUGAACUCAAAUCUCCCAAAUGAGAGUUGCAGUCAAUGCUAUUGAUCUUGUGUUCUAAAUGCAGUGUGGGCAAUAACCCUGACGGAUCUAUAAUAGCAUCUAGGGUUCUGACGCGGGAGAGGUGGAGAAAGGGACGACGACUGUGGUAGGGAUUCACGAUGGGGGGAGAGGAAAGAGUGGUAAGAAUGUUCUUACUGGAGAUAUCGAGGCAAGAGAGAAGAGCUCGAGGGGAAGGAUCGCGGUCAAUGAAGGAGGUGAGGAUAUGGGUACCGUCCUCGACUACAGCGCGGAAGGAGAAGAAGAGAUUAGGUACAGAGGUCAAGUAGUAAAAGUGGAGGCAGAGGAUUGGUCAUGGCGUGAGAUGGAGCUAUGAGGCGAGUCUUCCAUUUCUAUUUUCUCUGCGAGUGUAUAUGGGUCCCCCACCUUAUAGGCUGCUUCUCUUCAACAGUGACUCCCCUCUCCUUGAUCGCUUCAAGUGACAUGCAAAAUUAAAAAAAUAAAAUUGGAAUAAGAAAAUCCUAUGAUUGGAAAUAUAAUAUAAUAAAAUAAAAAAUCAAAUCAUAUGCCAUAAAAAAUCUAAGAUGUCAAUUCAUGGAAUUAAAGAAUGUAUAAAUAAGUGAGUAAAUAAACAAAUAAAUUGACAAGGGUAUAAAAAUAAAUAUUAGACGUAUGCCAUUAGAAAAAAUCAAGAAAUUAAAUUAAUGUAACGGAUCAUAACAAUUUAAAUAUCAAACUCAAACCCUAAAAAAAAUAUAUAUAUAUUCAUUUAAUGCAAUAUAUAGUUAAGCCAAUACUCAUUUUGUCUCGAAAAAAUAAAAUCAAGAACAUGCCUAAAUGAACUAUGCCAAAAGAAGUGUCUAAGUGACCUAUUCUGAAAAAGUGCUUAGGUGGCCUCGGGUGAAUGUGUGAAAGUUGAAAAGUGUCUAGGUGAAUCUAAAUGGGUCAAAGGGAACCUAAAUAGGCCUAAGGUGGUGCCUAAUGGGCCAAGUGUAUCUAAAUAGGCUUAGGGUAAGACUAGGUGGGCCUAACUAAGUCUAACCUAAAGUGCACCUAAGUGAAACUUAAUCUAAACUUGAAAGACAACCAAGAUAGUAAUGUGGAACUGGAUAAACCCCUCAACCAAAGUCUCAAAAGUGGCCCUGAGAAGGUAAGCUACAUGAGUAGGAAUGGCCCAUCAUGUGCUAAAGGGACAAAAUGGAGGGUCUACAAAUAUGCCCCUCUUCGGUAGAGAUCACGAGUGUAGAGAAUGUGAGUUGAAAUAUGAAUAAUGAGUGGAACGAAGUGAACUAUAUUGAAGAACUAAAGAAGGACCAGAGAUUUUGUCUUAGCACAUGACGAGAGUAAGAUUAGAACACGGGGCUGCAACGACAAUGAUGGAACAACUAUAUGUGGGAGGAAUGACAGUAAAGAGGUAAAGGUAUGUGAUGAGUAGCACAAAGAUAGAAAGGGAUAAAAAGAAUGACUAAAGGUCAUGGAUGAGAUAAAUGACUCUGGGUUGUGAGCUUAGGGCUCUAAAUGGAAAAAAAUGACUUUGGGUUGUGAGCUCAAGUCUCUAAAUGGAAAACAAAUGACUUUGGGUUGUGAGCUUAGGGCUCUAAAUGAAAAUAAUGAAUAUGGGUCAUAAAUAAGAAGAACGACUCUAGGUCAUGAGCUCAGGGCUCUAAAUGGAUAGCUGAUCAGGAUGCUUUUCGGCUCAUGGUGUCGGGUCGAGGCCACUCGCAAGUGGCUAGAAUGGUGAAAACAAAACAUCUCAAGGAUGUGAAGGAUGCAAAUGACUUUAGGUCAUAAGCUCAGGGCUCGGGAUGCUAUGAAUGACUCUAGAUCAUGAUACAAUGGGAAACUUAGGGUUACAAUGAAUAGCUUAGGGCUAUGGAUGGAAUGAAUGACUCUAGGUCAUGAUGCAAUUUGUAACUCAAGGUUACAAUGGAUAGCUCAAGGUUAUAAAAACAGCUCAGGGCUGUGAGCUCCAGGCUCUAUGAAUGAUUAGCUUGAAAGAGAGAGCGAUAUGCAAACUCCAGGUCAAACCACUCAUGGGUGAGCAAAUGAUGAAGGCUCAGCUCAAGGCUGGAAAGACUCCGGGUCUUAAAGAAAUGAUAGCUCAAGGCUAUCAGGUUUAGGGCCUAUAAGGAAUAGAUAGCUCAGGGCUAUGAGACUCAAGGUCUAGAAGGAAUGGAUAGCUCAAGGCUACGAGGCUCAGGGCCCAGAAGGAGCAGAUAAAGAAGACCAACUCAAAAGUGGGUAGGAAGUAAAUGAGAUCAAAUUUGUAUACCUAAAAUGCUAAGGUUCGGACUAUUGAACUUAAGAAGGGAAAUAUGCCCUAAUAUCUAGGGUGCUCGCACUGCUAAAACAACCAGUAAAUCAAUCAUCUAUCGAAAUCAAUUGGUUAGAAAUCAAUGCAUCAUGACAAACCUCUGAAAAAUUUAGAUUGAAAGAACUCUCUGUGUUUGAAAAGCUGCUCUGUCGAUGAAUCUCAAAGUGUGUAUAUCAUGGCUCAUCUAAAAGCAAAUCUCAAAGUGCUAUUGCUCAUCUAGAUAACCCAAUCUGCAAGACAACAAUGGUGAAAGCAAUCUAUCUCAAGAACAUCUGGCUAACAAAUCUACCCAUGCUCCUUAAGUGAAACCUGAUGUGAUCCAUUUCUAUCUCAACGAAUCCAUGUAAGGAGGUCUUGAUACAGUCAAUCGUCGGAAGCUCCAGACUAGUCUCAAUUUAAAAUCAAGUUUGUCAUUGUCUCAAUCUCAAGGAUACUCAAAGAAAAUGGGGAAAUAUGCCCAGUAUGAGAUCCGACGUCAAAGUUGUACGGUAAAUAACCAACACCUAUCAUCCAUCCUCGUACUAUUGCCUAAACAAAAUCUCACCAAGGAGAGGGGAAUAUGUUCCAAUAUGAUAUCUGAUGUCAAAGUUGUGAGAUAAACAACCAACAAUGAUCAUCCAUCUAUGUAUCGCUGUCUAAACAUAAUCUCACCAAGGAAAGGGGAGUAUGCUCCGGUAUGGAUAUUUGAUGUACGAUAAAGAAUCCGUCAAAAUCAAUCAAACAUCUUUAUAACCAUAAAUGGGAAUAGCCAUGCCGUCUAACAACAACUAGGAACCUCAGAGAAAAAGGGAAAUAUGCCCCAUUGUGGAUGUCUAAUGCAUGACAAAAUGAUGAAUCCGAUAUCAUCAAUGAACUGUCUCCAAACUCAAAAAUCCAUCAAAUAUCAAUAUGCCAAUCAAGAGAGAUAAUAAAUGCUUCCAAAAGUAUCCUGCAUAAGAGAAAGCAUAAUAACGACUAUACUUCAACCAAUCUAUAAAAACCUGUCAAAGUGAAGACUAUCAAAGAUAACGUCUGAUCUUAUGGCCUCAAGGUGGUCUUAAGACCAGGGACGUAACGUAGGCCAGGGUGAUAGGGUGAAAGAAAUGAAGGGAAACUUGGCUCAAAUACCCAAUGAUCAAACCCAUACCCUCAUGUACAAGAUGUAAUGCAUAGAAAAACCUCAUGAGCCAUGGACUUAAAGGUAACCAAAGGAAAUGUCGAUAUUGAAACAAGAGAGAGGAUAAGUGGUCAAACUGUUAAUGAAACAUGUGGAUGAUGUGUAGAAGGUAUCGGACUAGAAAUGUGUGUCAAUAUGUAGGGAAUGGAUAAAAGGUGGAACGAAGAUCUAGAAAGAGGUGAUGAGAUAUAAAAUAAGGCAAUAAGAAAGUGGAAGGAAUGAUGAUCAACCCAUAUCUGUACAAUAAAGAAAAGUCAUAUCACCAACGAUUGAAUGGUGAUUAAGACAAUGAUUCGGAGACCCUAGUAAGAAGUUCAAUCAUCUCUCAUACCUAAUACAUAUCAACCAUGACCCAAGAAGCAUAGGAUCUCAUAGAAAUCUCACAUGAACUCUUGACACUCCAAAUGCAUAACAAAAGUGGCUCAAAGAGUGAAAACUCAUAUAAAAAUCUCACAAGAAUCCAAAAUGACAAAUAUACCCAAUAAACAUACCUUAAAAGGAGACAUAAGUGUCCAAUGGAGCAAAAUACCAUAUACGAACAUAUCAUUGGGUUUUUUUUUUUUUUUGAAUGCGCAUGUUGUUAUCAUCAAUAAAUCGAACUCCAAUGGGAAAUAUAUAAGGAAUGAACAAACUCUCUCAAGUCACUAAUGAAUACAUGAACCUCAUCCCAUGAGACAACCUCUCAAACUGAAAUCUCCGAAUCAAUGCCAAAUGAUGGGAUGAAUGGAGUGAUAUGAUUGCCCUCUUUGCACCAAGAAGUGAAAAAUCAUCAACACAAAGAAGAUGAGAGAUAAGAUGAAGCAAAUAACGAUAAAAACAAGAAAGAGAAUGAAAAUGUGAUAAUAGUAAAAUAGAACAAACAAUGUGAUAAGGAGAUGGUAACAAGAAUGAGAAGAUAGGCCUAUAAGUCUAAAGUUCAUGAGACUUUCAUAGCAAAGCAUGAAUAUACAUCAAAGGGCCCUAACCUGAGUAUAGAAAUGUUAAUCAAGUCUAUAAGAAAUAAAUAAGGCUAUAACAUACCGUGUGAGGCUCAAUGGGCUAGCAAUGGUAUAAUAUAUUAAUAAAGGUGAUAAAGUGUAAGGCUAACCAAAAUGAUGGCCACCCAUCCUACGACCAUAAUCUCAAACGUAAUACUUCUUCAGCUGAUCCACAUUGGUAGGCUUUGAAAAUUGGUUUCCAUCUAAAUUGGUUAACCAUGCUGCCCCUUUUGGAGUCAACUCUCGAAUAACAUAAGGCCCAUUCCAACUAGGUCUGAACUUCCCUCUAGGGUCUCCAACUAAACCUCUGAGAAUCCUUAAAACCAAAUCCCCAUUUUUGUAAUGGUCUAAGCUUAACCCAUUUCCUGAAGGCACGAGCCAUCUUCCUCUAAUAGGCUUGAACAUGAUCUGCUGCUCUCAAUCUCCUCUCAUCUAAAAGGUUAAGUUGAUCAAAUCGAGCCCGAGCCCACUCUGUCUCAUAAAUCUGUUGCUCAAGGACUACUCUCAAUGAACCCAUCUCUGUCUCAACUAGCAAAAUAGCCUCCAUACCAUACACUAGAAAGUAAGGUGUAGCUCCCGUAGAAAUGCGAAAAGAGGUACAGUAUGCCCACAGUGCAAAAUGGAGUUUCUCUAACCAAUCUCGAGAAGUCUCAACCAUCUUCCUCAAAAUCCUCUUAAUGUUCUUAUUUGUUGUCUGUACUGUCCCAUUGGUCUGUGGCCUAUAUGCAUAAGAUCUAUGAUGUCGAAUGCCAUACUUCCACAACAAAGUAUCUACCUCAGCUCGAAAGUGCACCCCUCUAUCUGAAAUCAACUCAUGAAGAAUCCCAUAGCGGCAAAUGAUGUGUGACCUGAUGAAACGGGCAACUCUAGUAGAUGUUAACCUCGCAUAUGAUGCAGCCUCCACCCACUUGGUGAAAUAAUCUAUGGAGACUAGGAUGAACUCAUGACCAUUGGAAUAUUUUGGUGAAAUCUUCCCAAUAAUAUCAAUACCCAUACUGAAAAUGGUUAUGGCGAGGUCAAAGCAUGUAACUUUGAUGGCGGUGCAUGAAUGAGAUCACCAUGAAUUUGACACUCUGGGCAUUUAUGAAAAAACUGAGAACAAUUUGUCUCCAUAAUCAACCAAAAACACCCUGUCCUCGUAAUCUUACGGGCCAACAUGUGUCCUCCCAUAUGCAGACCACAAACUCUUGCAUGAACCUCUCUCAUCACUUUGUCUACAAAGGCUUAAUCUAAACACAACAGAAGCAUACCAUCAGCUGAUCGCCUAUAUAAGUGAUUACUACCCAAAAAGUGCUAUUUUACACCUUUAAUGCAUUAUGUUUUAAGCACUUUUGUGUAGUAGUUCUCCAUCUUUAGUCCAAUUGGCAUGUUAAGGACCUAGCAAUGUCUUCUAAUCAUAUUUGUGGCUAGUUUUAAUGUUUUGACAGCUUUUUGGAUCAUUAAGACAAGUCAAGCAAAGGAGAGAAGCAAAGAGAAGCAAAGAGAAGCAAAGUGAAAAAAAUCAAGAUGUAGCAGCUGCAGUCUUCUUUCACACUUUUGGAGCACUUUCCGAAGUCCAGUUUUUACAUACUAUAUACCAUUUCAAAGCUAUGGAAGUCAAGAAUCCAACGCUUCAAACCGUGUACGAUUUGGAGCUGAAAUGAGGAAGAUAUGGCCUUCGGAAGCCAACUGCUCCAGGUUAUGCGAAAAUUUCGCAUUCCACAAGAGGUUAUGCGAAAUUCGCAUAACAUUCGCAUAUGGUUCGCAUAACCCAUGCGUGUUGCGAAUUUUGCUCUGCCCUUUGCCGACUCCACUUUAGAUAUUUUCCUUUGUAUUUUGUGAUGUAAUUUCCUUUAUUAUCCUUGUAACUAACCAAUCAUAAGCUUUGGCUUUUGUAAAGACUUUAUAAGGGGUGGAAAUCACCUCUUGGAACAUAUGGAAUACGUAUUACGUUUUUACACUGUGAAUUUUACAGAGCUCUCUCGUUCUCUUUUCUCUUUACUAUUUUCGUUUUCUUGGAAGCCAAACAACCUCUAAGGAUGUUUGCCCGGAGGAUGAGAGGCUAAACUUUCGGUUUCUUGGAGUAAAGGAAGCUAGGUGAAAAGUCCAGAUGAAAAGGUGGAAAGCUUCCAUGCAUUAAAUUCAGGUAGUUGGAAUUCAUAAAUGGCUUCUAAAUCCAAAGUUUUGCUUUAAACCCCUUAGAAUCACUUUGAAUGACCAAUACAUGGUAAGCUUCAGGUCUUUAUGGAUGCUUAUUGCUAGAUUCAUAUUAGUCCAUUAGUUAUCAUGUACGAGUCAUUGGAAAGUGAUUCAAGGUGAAGACCCAUAGUGUCUUAAGCCAUUAAUGGACCUUGACUAUCAUUUCUAUUGAUCUUUUAUGGAUUAAAUCUUCAUUGUCAAACCUACACCGGUUUGGGAAAUAACUAUAGGUUAAAUCCCCAAUGCGAGGAGAAAAAUCCGGAAUUUUCCACUUUCUAUUCUGAACUUGAUCCUAGCAACCCUUAGCUCCGGGAGACUUUCUUUCUUCCAUUUUUAAUUAGUUUAUGUUAGUUUAGUUUCAAACACUUUCAAAACAAAUUUUAUUUUCUUUUAAACUUUAAGUUUUUUAUCAUGGAAAUCAUUAAAUCCAAUUUCUAAUUUUGAGUAUAUCACUGGUAGAAUGGAAACCCAUCCCAGAGUUCGACCCUAGAGCCACUAUACUAUAGUAGCUUUGCUACGUUAGUAUGAGGUCAUAGGUUUUAUAAAUGUUUUUGAUUAAAUGACCCAUUUGGAGUUACAUGCGAAUCAAAAUGGCGCCGUUGCCGGGGAUGGUGCCACAAUACAGUGAUGCAACCUUUUAGAGGCUACUUGUGAUUCCCAUCACAAGUUUGGUGAAUUCCUUUUUCACUAACUUCAUUUCCUUUCAUUUUAUUUUUGUCAGGUUUAUUUUCAUUUUCAUUUUCUUUCUAACCUUAAUUUUUUUUUUCUAGGUUUCUUUUGUUUUUGUUAUUUUUGUUUUAUUUCAGGUAAGUAGUAACUUGUGCAUGCCCUAUUGGAUUCGGGACCAAGAGGGAAGAUUAGUAAGGAUUGAGAAUCCUCAAGACACAGAGUUGGAUAUUUGUGUUAAUAUCAUGGACCCUCCACCAGAGGAUCAGAAUUCUCAACAAGGUCAAGGGGGUAAUCCCAAUGCAUAUUUAUCCAUGAGGGAUAGAAUGCACCCACCAAGGAUGAGUGCACCCUCAUGCAUCAUACCUCCUCUUGAGCAGUUGGUUAUAAGGCCCCAUAUUGUGCCCCUUCUACCAAAUUUCCAUGGAAUGGAGAGUGAGAAUCCAUAUGCCCACAUCAAGGAGUUUGAGGAGGUUUGCAAUACCUUUAGAGAGGGAGGAGCUUCAAUAGACUUGAUGAGACUCAAGCUAUUCCCUUUUACUCUGAAGGACAAGGCAAAAAUAUGGCUUAAUUCUUUAAGGCCAAGGAGCAUAAGGAAUUGGGUUGAUCUUCAGGCCGAAUUUUUGAAGAAAUUUUUCCCCACCCAUAGGACCAAUGGGUUGAAGAGACAAAUCUCAAAUUUUUCUGCUAAAGAAAAUGAGAAGUUCCAUGAAUGUUGGGAAAGGUAUAUGGAGGCCAUCAAUGCUUGUCCUCAUCAUGGCUUUGAUACAUGGCUCUUGGUGAGCUAUUUUUAUGAUGGAAUGUCCUCCUCCAUGAAGCAAAUUCUUGAAACCAUGUGUGGGGGAGAUUUUAUGAGCAAGAAUCCGGAAGAAGCCAUGGACUUUUUAAGUUAUGUGUCUGAAGUGUCAAGAGGAUGGGAUGAGCCCAACUCAAGAGAAAAAGGGAAGUUUCCCUCUCAACCAACCCAAAAUCCAAAAGGUGGAAUGUACGUAUUAAGUGAAGACAUGGACAUGAAAGCUAAAGUGGCAACAAUAGCAAGGAAGUUGGAAGAACUUGAGUUGAAAAAGAUACAUGAAGUCCAAGCCAUUUCCGAGACCCAAGCCCAUGUCAUGCCAUGCACCAUUUGCCAAUCAUGUGAUCAUGUGGUAGAUGAGUGCCCAACCAUGCCAGCUGUGAGGGAGAUGUUAGGUGAUCAAGCCAAUGUUGUGGGGCAAUUUAGGCCUAACAACAGUGCACCUUAUGGAAACACCUAUAAUUCAAGUUGGAGAAACCAUCCAAAUUUUUCAUGGAAACCAAGACCACCUCCAUACCAACCACAAGGCCAAACCCAAGCACCUCAACAAACCUCUUCAGUGGAGCAAGCCAUUGUGAACCUAAGUAAAGUCAUGGGUGACUUUGUGGGUGAACAAAAGGCAAUCAACUCCCAAUUGCAUCAAAAGAUUGAAAAUGUUGAGAGUUCUCAAAUUAAGAGAAUGGAGGGGAUGCAAAAUGAUCUAUCUCAGAAGAUAGAUAAUAUUCAAUACUCCAUCUCUAGGCUUACCAACCUCAACACUGUGAAUGAAAAGGGAAAGUUUCCCUCUCAACCAAGCCAAAAUCCCAAGGGUGUUCAUGAAGUUGAAACCCAAGAGGGGGAGUCUUCAAAGUUGAGGGAGGUUAAAGCUUUGAUCACUUUAAGGAGUGGAAAAGAGGUUGAUCAACCCCUGCCUAAGGUGAAGCAAGAUGAAGAACUCAUGUCAAAGAAAACCUUGGUCAAAGAGAGCAAUAACCAAGAAGAGAAGAGUGGGAAGAAAAAUGCAUCCAAAUCAAGCAUUGAAGAAGAGCCAAGGAUAGUGAUUAAAGAGGAUAUGAUGAAGAAACAUAUGCCUCCCCCUUUUCCUCAAGCUUUACAUGGAAAGAAGGAAAUCAAGAAUUCAUCAGAAAUUCUUGAAGUCUUGAGACAAGUGAAGGUGAAUAUACCCUUACUUGAUAUGAUCAAGCAAGUCCCCACAUAUGCAAAGUUUCAAAAGGACUUGUGCACGGUCAAGAGAGGGUUACAUGUGACAAAGAAUGCAUUCCUCACUGAGCAAGUAAGUGCUAUCAUUCAGAGUAAGUCUCCAGUUAAGUAUAAAGAUCCGGGAUGUCCCACCAUUUCAGUCAACAUUGGAGGGACACAAGUGGAGAAAGCUUUACUAGACUUGGGGGCAAGUGUGAAUUUGCUCCCAUACUCUGUGUACAAGCAACUGGGACUUGGAGGAUUGAAGCCCACAGCCAUCACUCUCUCCUUAGCUGAUAGGUCAGUAAAAAUCCCAAGGGGGGUGAUAGAGGAUGUUCUAGUUCAAGUGGACAAAUUCUACUAUCUUGUGGAUUUUGUUGUGCUUGAUACUGAUCCCACAGUGAAGGAAGCAAACUAUGUACCAAUUAUCCUUGGGAGACCUUUCCUAGCUACCUCCAAUGCCAUCAUCAAUUGUAGAAAUGGGGUGAUGCAGCUCACAUUUGGGAAUAUGACCUUGGAAUUAAACAUAUUCCACCUAUGCAAGAGGCAUCUUCACCCAGAAGAAGAGGAAGGAUUAGAGGAGGUGUGCUUGAUCAACACCUUGGUUGAAGAGCAUUGUGACAAGAAUUUACAAGAGAGCUUGAAUGAAAGCCUUGAAAUGUUUGAAGAAGGGUUACCUACACCCUCUGAUGUUCUACCUAUCAUGUCUCCUUGGAGGAGACAGCAAGAGAUCUUACCACUGUUCAACCAAGAAGACUCACAAGAAGCAACUGUGGAUGACCCUCCAAAGCUUGUUUUGAAGCCGCUCCCUGUUAAUUUGAAAUAUGCAUAUUUGGAGGAAAAUGAGAAAUGUCCAGUGGUGGUUUCUUCAACUCUUACUAGUGAUCAAGAGGAUAAUCUUUUGGGAGUCCUCAGGAAAUGCAAGAAAGCCAUUGGAUGGCAAAUUUCUGAUCUGAAAGGGAUUAGCCCUUUGGUGUGCACCCACCAUAUUUAUAUGGAGGAUGAUGCAAAACUAGUGAGGCAGCCCCAGAGGAGGUUGAAUCCUCACAUGCAAGAGGUGGCGAGGGGUGAAGUUCUGAAGCUACUCCAAGCUGGGAUCAUAUAUCCCAUUUCAGACAGUUUGUGGGUGAGCCCCACCCAAGUAGUCCCAAAGAAAUCUGGAAUCACUAUGGUCCAGAAUGAGAAAGGGGAGGAAGUCUCUACACGCCCUACCUCAGGAUGGAGGGUGUGUAUAGACUACAGGAGGUUGAAUUCAGUGACUAGGAAGGACCAUUUCCCAUUGCCUUUCAUGGACCAAGUCCUUGAGAGAGUCUCAGGACAUCCUUUCUACUUUUUUCUGGAUGGGUACUCGGGGUACUUCCAAAUAGAGAUUGAUUUGGAAGAUCAAGAAAAGACAACCUUCACUUGCCCCUUUGGUACUUUUGUGUAUAGGAGAAUGCCCUUUGGUCUAUGCAAUGCUCCUGCAACUUUCCAAAGAUGUAUGCUGAGCAUCUUCAGUGAUAUGGUGGAGCGCAUCAUGGAAGUCUUCAUGGAUGACAUCACUGUUUAUGGAAGUUCUUAUGAGGAGUGUUUGUUGCAUUUAGAAGCUGUUCUCCAAAGAUGUAUUGAGAAAGACCUAGUGCUAAAUUGGGAGAAGUGCCAUUUUAUGGUACAACAAGGAAUUGUCUUAGGACAUAUCAUCUCCAAGAAGGGCAUUGAGGUAGAUAAGGCUAAGGUGGAGCUUAUUGUUAAGUUGCCACCUCCCACAAAUGUUAAGGGAAUUAGGCAAUUCCUUGGACAUGCCGGGUUCUAUAGGAGGUUCAUUAAGGAUUUCUCAAAAAUCUCAAAGCCUCUUUGUGAACUCUUGGUAAAAGAUGCCAAGUUUGUGUGGGAUGAGAAGUGUCAGAAGAGUUUUGAGGAACUGAAGCAAUUCCUCACAACUGCACCAAUAGUGAGAGCCCCAAAUUGGAAGUUACCUUUUGAGGUAAUGUGUGAUGCAAGUGACCUUGCUAUGGGGGCUGUCUUAGGGCAAAGAGAAGAUGGAAAGCCCUAUGUAAUUUAUUAUGCUAGCAAAACUUUGAACGAGGCUUAAAGGAACUACACAACUACUGAGAAGGAGUUGUUGGCAGUAGUUUUUGCCUUGGAUAAGUUUCGUGCUUAUUUGGUAGGGUCCUCUAUAGUGGUGUUCACUGACCAUUCCGCUUUGAAGUACUUGCUAACCAAGCAAGAUGCCAAGGCAAGAUUGAUAAGAUGGAUCCUUUUGCUCCAAGAAUUCAAUCUCCAAAUCCGGGAUAAAAAGGGGAUAGAAAAUGUGGUAGCUGACCACUUGUCAAGACUUGUGAUAUCACGUGACUCACAUGGUCUGCCUAUCAAUGAUGACUUCCCUGAGGAGUCUCUCAUGUCAAUAGAGGUAGCUCCAUGGUAUUCUCACAUUGCAAAUUUCUUGGUUACUGGAGAAGUACCAAGUGAGUGGAGUACCCAAGACAAGAGGCAUUUCUUUGCUAAGAUCCAUGCCUAUUAUUGGGAGGAGCCUUUUCUCUUCAAAUAUUGUGCGGAUCAAAUCAUAAGGAAAUGUGUUCCUGAACAAGAGCAAUCAGGAAUUCUUUCCCAUUGCCAUGAUAAUGCAUGUGGAGGUCAUUUUGCCUCAUAGAAAACAGUAAUGAAAGUGAUCCAAUCAGGUUUUUGGUGGCCCUCUCUUUUCAAGGAUGCCCACUCUAUGUGCAAGGGAUGUGAUCGGUGUCAAAGGCUUGGUAAGCUAACACGCCGAAAUAUGAUGCCCUUGAAUCCCAUCUUGAUAGUGGAUGUCUUUGAUGUUUAGGGGAUAGACUUCAUGAGACCAUUUCCAAUGUUGUUUGGACAUUCCUACAUUUUGGUGGGAGUGGAUUAUGUCUCUAAGUGGGUAGAAGCAAUCCCAUGUAGGAGCAAUGAUCAUAAGGUGGUUCUUAGAUUCCUCAAGGACAACAUCUUUGCAAGAUUUGGUGUGCCUAAGGCCAUUAUCAGUGAUGGAGGAACCCACUUUUGCAAUAAACCUUUUGAGACUCUUCUAGCCAAGUAUGGGGUUAAGCACAAGGUAGCUACACCUUAUCACCCUCAAACAAGUGGCCAAGUUGAGUUAGCCAACCGGGAAAUCAAGAAUAUAUUGAUGAAGGUGGUGANNNNNNNNNNNNNNNNNNNNNNNNNNNNNNNNNNNNNNNNNNNNNNNNNNNNNNNNNNNNNNNNNNNNNNNNNNNNNNNNNNNNNNNNNNNNNNNNNNNNCAUUGCCAUGAUAAUGCAUGUGGAGGUCAUUUUGCCUCCCAGAAAACAGCAAUGAAAGUGAUCCAAUCAGGUUUUUGGUGGCCCUCUCUUUUCAAGGAUGCCCACUUUAUGUGCAAGGGAUGUGAUCGGUGUCAAAGGCUUGGUAAGCUAACACGCCGAAAUAUGAUGCCCUUGAAUCCCAUCUUGAUAGUGGAUGUCUUUGAUGUUUGGGGGAUAGACUUCAUGGGACCAUUUCCAAUGUCGUUUGGACAUUCCUACAUUUUGGUGGGAGUGGAUUAUGUCUCUAAGUGGGUAGAAGCAAUCCCAUGUAGGAGCAAUGAUCAUAAGGUGGUUCUUAGAUUCCUCAAGGACAACAUCUUUGCAAGAUUUGGUGUGCCUAAGGCCAUUAUCAGUGAUGGAGGAACCCACUUUUGCAAUAAACCUUUUGAGACUCUUCUAGCCAAGUAUGGGGUUAAGCACAAGGUAGCUACACCUUAUCACCCUCAAACAAGUGGCCAAGUUGAGUUAGCCAACCGGGAAAUCAAGAAUAUAUUGAUGAAGGUGGUGAAUGUGAAUAGGAAGGAUUGGUCUAUUAAGCUCUUAGAUUCCCUAUGGGCUUAUAGGACCGCUUACAAGACCAUUCUUGGGAUGUCUCCUUAUCGCCUUGUUUAUGGCAAAGCGUGUCACCUUCCAGUGGAGAUUGAAUAUAAAGCAUGGUGGGCAAUCAAGAAGCUCAACAUGGAUUUGACAAGAGCCGGGUUGAAGAGAUGUUUGGAUUUGAAUGAAUUGGAGGAAAUGAGGAAUGAUGCUUACCUCAAUUCAAAAAUUGCAAAAGAGAGGUUGAAGAAAUGGCAUGAUCAAUUGGUAAAUCAAAAGAAUUUUGCCAAGGGACAAAGAGUCUUGCUUUAUGACUCUAAGCUUCAUCUUUUUCCGGGAAAAUUGAAAUCAAGAUGGACGGGUCCUUUCAUAAUUCAUGAUGUGAAAUCAAAUGGAGUAGUGGAACUACUCAACUUCAAUAGCACUCGAACUUUCAAAGUGAAUGAGCAUCGUCUUAAGCCUUAUAUAGAAUCAUUUUCCCGAGACAAGGAGGAAUUCAUCCUCCUUGAUCCACCUCCAACAUGAAAAUACUUGGUUUAUGGUUGAACUUAGUCUCUUCAAAGACUAAAGAGUUCAUCCUCUUUUUGUUUUCUUUUAAGUUGAUUUUAAUUUAAUCUAGUUUUUUUUUCUUGUGUUUUUCCAUGUUUUGAUUUUUUUUUUUUGACUUUAAUGCCGUUCUAAUGUGUUUUUAAUUGGUUUUUUGGGUUAACAUUUAGGUGGGAAAGCUUGAGGAAUGAAGUCAUGGUGAAAGUAAGGCAAAACAGGGGAGAAAAAAACAAGUUUCAGCCAUUUUCGAAACCCCCCCCCCAUAUGCGAAAUUUUCGCAUAACACACCCCUUAUGCGAAAAUGCUUUUGUGGCAAUUUAAAAAAAAACAUGCUCUCGGUCCCUUCCCAAAAUCCCUUAUGCGAAUUUCACAGGAAUGCGAACCAUAUGCCAACCAUAUGCGAAUUCGUUUUUGAGACAAAUUUGCAAAACCAUGCUCUCUGUCUGGGUUCUCACAGGAAUGCGAAAUUUUCGCAUAACAUAAGGGGUAAUGCGAAAUUUGCAUUUCCUCUUUAAAGACCGUGUUCUUCUCUUCCCAUGCUCAAUUUCUUCUUCAUUUCUCAUAGCACCUCUCUUCCAAUCACCAAAUCCCUUCAUUAAGUUUCUUUUCUUCAUCAUUCCUCAAUCUCAACACCACCAUGGCAGCCCAUCUCCAUAACUCCACCUCAUAGUCGCGGCAGUCACUAUUCAUCACCGUCCACCCCUUCAAUUUUCAGCUCUUUCCACCAUCAAAAACCUCCCAAUUCCUCACUCAACACUAUAAAUCCAACCCUCAACCAAUUUCAGCCUUGUAUUCACCAAUUCAAAACCUCAAGCUAAGCAUUCAAGCCACGUUUUCUUCAAAGAGAACCCAUGGCCGCCGGGUAGAGGAGCUCCAAUUUUCAAAAUUUCUUCGUGAAAAAGCUCCAAUUUCCAAGCCUAUUCACCAUGAAAAAUUCUUUUCUUACCUUAGCCAGCAUUUCCCACCCUCAAAAGCCAAAAAUUUCCACAAUUUGAAUGAGCUUCAAAACUUCAAGUGGGCGUGUGAAUAGUGCAUAUGCGAAAUUUUUGCAUUCCAUCAUGUGUUAUGCGAAAUUCGCAUAACCCCCCCCCCCCCCCCAAAGGGAAAAUUUUACAAAAACCCCACCCUGGGGCAAUUUUUCACUUUUUUCCUCUCUGCCCCCCCCCAACCCAAACCCGGGGGGCCCCAUUCAUUACUUUCUUAAGCCCAAAAACCCCAGGGGGAAUACCCCCGCCCCCCCAAGCAAUGGGAAAAACCGCCCUGGGGGGGGCCCNNNNNNNNNNNNNNNNNNNNNNNNNNNNNNNNNNNNNNNNNNNNNNNNNNNNNNNNNNNNNNNNNNNNNNNNNNNNNNNNNNNNNNNNNNNNNNNNNNNNCCCCCCCCCCCCCCCAUAUGCGAAAUUUUCGUAUAACCCCUACCUUGUGCCAAUUUUUCACUUUUUCCAUCUCUGCCCUCCCCAAUCCAAAGCCUAUGAGCCUCAUUUCAUUACUUCAUUAUGCCUAAGACCCGAGGAGGACAUACCUCAGCUCCCCAGAGCAGUGAGAGAGCCACCCCUAUGCGGGCCCCACUAGAUGCGCUGCCACAUUUAGCUGAUUCUGCCUCUCAGAGCAGAUACCAUACGAGAAGAGCAUCUGCCACACCUAUGGCCCCUACUCAGAUUCCACUUUGGGGUCCUCCUACAAAGAAAGCCAAGACUUCAAAGCCAGGAGAGUCCUCUAGAGCACCUCGGGAUUCACAGUCUCAACCGCCCAUCACUAUCCCUGGUUUAGAGUACCGUGCCUUGCUCGGUUCUUUUCAGACUCUGACCACUACUCAGACGGCCAUUAUGGAGCGCAUGGACUACUUCCAGAUUCAGCAGGAGCAGCAGACUCUCAUUCUCCGUGAGAUUCAGCAGCACCUCGGUCUUGUGCCAUCAGCUCCACCUGUAGCGGUGCCUUCCUCAGUUCCAGCAGAGGACCCCUCCUAUCCACCAGAGGAGCCUACUACUUGAUCAUACGAUCACUCCUCUCCCUUUUUUUUUUUUUUUUUAUCUAUAUUCUAUGUUUUUUGGAUGUCUUAUGUAUUUUGGACCACCUUUAUAUUGGGAUUGGAUAUAUUCCAUGUUUGUCUUGUAUAUUGUACUCUCUCAGUUUAUAUAGACAUCUUCCUUUUUGUGUAUUUUAGCUAUUCCUUUUUAUUUCCUCUAAUCAUCACUCUUAUGAUUUUUCUUUUCUUAUGCAACAUGUGGUUUCUCCUCUCUAUUCAGAGUACCUUACUAUAAGGAGGUAUCACUUCCUCCCUUUUAUUACCAUUUGCUUUUAGAACAUUGGGGACAAUGUUCAUCCUAGUUGGGGGGAGAGUUGAGGAAGUAAAUUGUUGAAUUUUUUUGGUUAAGUUAUUUUGCUAACAAAUUUUUUGCAAACUCUCCUUGUUUUCUUAAAGAUAAAUUCUCAAAAAUAAAUAGGAGAAAUUAAAUUCUUAUCUUAUUGCCAUAGUCUUAGAGUUUGUAUUAUGCUUAUUAAAGUUGAUAAAUUGUUGAAGCUCCUUUUGAUUUCAAUCUUAAGUCUUCCACUCUAAUCUUUUCACACACUGAACACAUUAGAUUCCAGUUAUAAGAUGGAAAACUUUUUCACCCCCUAAACUUAGGAAAUUUUUGACUUGGUACCAUUGACUUCAUUCUAUUAGUGUUGGGACACCUUAUAAAAGGCCAAUGUGUCUUAUGAAAAAAAUUUUGCUUCACUUGCUUUGAAACCCGAGCAAGGUCCGAGGGGUAUAUGGUGAAAAUCUUUAAAACCUGGUGCCCUAAGCCUUCAAUGGUUGGGAGCCACCGACCUCACUGCUCGUUACAUGGGUGGAUGGGUGGAGUAUAUUAAAAAUAAAAAUAAAAAAAAGAAAAAAAGAAAAAGAAGAGGUGCGUUCUUAGCCUUCUAUAUAUGAGUUAGUGUUGCUAAAGUUAGAGAAAAACCUUAGUUGGGAGGAGAAUAUAGUUUGACACACUAUAACUGGAAACUAAGCAUCUUAACACUUAGAUUUUUGUGGAAGAUUAAGAGUUGGUCCUUUGGGAGUGGAAAUUAUUUUGAUACUCAAAUUUGCAUAAUGCCCGCUUUUUGAAUGUUGUGAUAGGUAAGUUAUUUGAUGACUCUUGUUGAUGAUUGAGUUUUAUAUCCUUGACUAUUCACAAGAGAGUUUGAUCCAAUCAUGCCACUUGGUUAUUUUUUGGAGUGAUCAGCAUGAUUUUGUAAAAUAUUAUAUUAUCUAUUCUUCUUUAUUUUUCUUUCCUUCAUUGCUCAGGGACUAGCAAUGUGUCAGUUGGGGGGAGUGAUUACUACCCAAAAAGUGCUAUUUUACACCUUUAAUGCAUUAUGUUUUAAGCACUUUUGUGUAGUAGUUCUCCAUCUUUAGUCCAAUUGGCAUGUUAAGGACCUAGCAAUGUCUUCUAAUCAUAUUUGUGGCUAGUUUUAAUGUUUUGACAGCUUUUUGGAUCAUUAAGACAAGUCAAGCAAAGGAGAGAAGCAAAGAGAAGCAAAGUGAAAAAAAUCAAGAUGUAGCAGCUGCAGUCUUAUUUCACACUUUUGGAGCACUUUCCGAAGUCCAUUUUUUACAUGCUGUAUACCAUUUCAAAGCUCUGGAAGUCAAGAAUCCAACGCUUCAAACCGUGUACGAUUUGGAGCUGAAAUGAGGAAGAUAUGGCCUUCGGAAGCCAACUGCUCCAGGUUAUGCGAAAAUUUCGCAUUCCACAAGAGGUUAUGCGAAAUUCGCAUAACAUUCGCAUAUGGUUCGCAUAACCCAUGCGUGUUGCGAAUUUUGCUCUGCCCUUUGCCGACUCCACUUUAGAUAUUUUCCUUUGUAUUUUGUGAUGUAAUUUCCUUUAUUAUCCUUGUAACUAACCAAUCAUAAGCUUUGGCUUUUGUAAAGACUUUAUAAGGGGUGGAAAUCACCUCUUGGAACAUAUGGAAUACGUAUUACAUUUUUACACUGUGAAUUUUACAGAGCUCUCUCGUUCUCUUUUCUCUUUACUAUUUUCGUUUUCUUGGAAGCCAAAAAACCUCUAAGGAUGUUUGCCCGGAGGAUGAGAGGCUAAACUUUCGGUUUCUUGGAGUAAAGGAAGCUAGGUGAAAAGUCCAGAUGAAAAGGUGGAAAGCUUCCAUGCAUUAAAUUCAGGUAGUUGGAAUUCAUAAAUGGCUUCUAAAUCCAAAGUUUUGCUUUAAACCCCUUAGAAUCACUUUGAAUGACCAAUACAUGGUAAGCUUCAGGUCUUUAUGGAUGCUUAUUGCUAGAUUCAUAUUAGUCCAUUAGUUAUCAUGUACGAGUCAUUGGAAAGUGAUUCAAGGUGAAGACCCAUAGUGUCUUAAGCCAUUAAUGGACCUUGACUAUCAUUUCUAUUGAUCUUUUAUGGAUUAAAUCUUCAUUGUCAAACCUACACUGGUUCGGGAAAUAACUAUAGGUUAAAUCCCCAAUGCGAGGAGAAAAAUCCGGAAUUUUCCACUUUCUAUUCUGAACUUGAUCCUAGCAACCCUUAGCUCCGGGAGACUUUCUUUCUUCCAUUUUUAAUUAGUUUAUGUUAGUUUAGUUUCAAACACUUUCAAAACAAAUUUUAUUUUCUUUUAAACUUUAAGUUUUUGAUCAAGGAAAUCAUUAAAUCCAAUUUCUAAUUUUGAGUAUAUCACUGGUAGAAUGAAAACCCAUCCCAGAGUUCGACCCUAGAGCCACUAUACUAUAGUAGCUUUGCUACGUUAGUAUGAGGUCAUAGGUUUUAUAAAUGUUUUUGAUUAAAUGACCCGAUUGGAGUUACACGCGAAUCAAUAAGGUAUCUCCACAAAUCAUAAAUCUAGUGGCUAACUGUCUCAAUGCUCUUCGAUCCUUAGCUAUGGCUACCUCAAGAUAUGUGCCAGAUCUAAGAAACUGAUAAAUGUCAUGAUAUCAAGGUAGAUCAUCCUGGACCUCUGUCUCUCCAAUCAAACAACAGUAGGUGGGUGCAGACCUCAACUCAAUUAGCAAUGGAUGUACUACUACAUCAAUCGGAAUGUCCAUAGAAGAAGCUAGGGUAGCUAAGGCGUUAGCAAACUGGUUUUGCAAUCUAGGAAAAUGAACAUAUCUCAAGUCAUCAAAUCUCGCAACUAGUAACUCCAAGUAAGCGUGAUACGACCUAAGCUUCACAUCUCUAGCCUUCCAAUCUCCUUAAAUCUGUCUGAGUACCAAAUUAGAGUCACCAAAUACCUCAAUUUGUCUAAUGCCAAGCUCCAAUACAGUCUCUCAACCAAGGAUACAAGCCUCAUACUCAAUUAUAUUAUUCAUGAUAAGUGUCAAUCAAGGAAUGCCAAACAAAUAGACCUCGAAAUGUGAUCAUCCUGAGGGGAUACCAACAAAACACCUAUCCCAUACCCUGAUUGAUUAGCUGCACCAUCAAAGUACAUGCACCAUCCUGAUAAGCUAGUCAUAACAAUAAACUCCUCAUCUAAAAAAUCAUCAUCAACUGGUCUAUCCUUAGAUGUCAGUAGUGAGGCUAAGUGAUUGGCGACAAUACUUCCCUUAAUAGACUUUUGAGAAACAUAUUGAAUAUCAAACUCUGUCAAAAGUACGAGCCAUCUCAUCAGUCUACUAGUCAAUACAGGUCUAUCAAAUAGAAAUCUCAAUAGAUCUAGGCGGGAUAUCAAAUGCACUGAAAUCUUUGUCAUGUAAUGCCUCAAUUUCUUGGUAGCCUAAGGUAGUGCUAAGUAAAGGUGCUCAAUCAUAACAUAUCUCAUCUUAUACUCUAACAUCCUCUUACUUGGAUAGUAAAUAGCUCGCUCCCUCCCUAAGUCAUCAAGCUGAGCUAAAAUACAUCCUAAGGUCAUGUCUGAAACUGACAAAUACAAAAGAAGUGAAGGUCCCAACAUAGGAGGCAUUAGAAUAGGAGGAGAAAUCAAGUACUCCUUGAUCUUCUCAAAUGCAAGUUGGUAAUCAUCAUUCCAAAUUGUUGGUGAUUCAUGCCCAAUUGGUGUCUCAGCUGAUUUGUGUCCAGCUGCUGCUCCUUGAUUGAGGGAGUAAUCAACAAAAUUUGUAACCUAUAACACCAUAUACUAGGGUAGCAAAGAAAAAGCUACUAUAGUAUAGUGGCUUUAGGAUCGUCCACUGGGAAAGAUUAACAAGCUCUCAAUGAUACCAAUUCCAAGUGAAUUGGUUUUGUUUCAUUUCAUGGUUAGCUUAAGAAGUAAAACACAAACUUUGAUUGGUAAAGGUUUAGACUUAAACUAACUAACAUAACAGAAGUUUGGAAUAAUUUAGGAAGAAAAGCAUUCCCUGGAGAGUUAGGUUCACUGGGGUGGUUCCUCAUGCAAAAGACAUAGCUCCGGUCAGAUGGUUCAUUUCCUCGCGUUAGAGAUUCAACAUAUAGUCAAUUCUCUAACCGGUAUUGUACAGAGACUCCUUCAAUUAGAUUUCACUUUAAUUCUCUCACUGAUGCAACUUGCAAUGAUUUAAGCCUCUCACUAAGCCUUAACCAUUCAAGGUGAUCUUUAACCUUGGAUUACCCGUCAAAAGCUCGCAAGAGAUAACUAAUGGAUGUCUCCUAGGAGUCCAAAAGCUUACCAAGUGUUGGCUAUUCUAGAAAAUCCUACCUUGAAGUCACCUCCCAGAGGCUCACAAGGGGUAAACUAGUGCAUUUCCAUGGUUGGAAAUCACUUGCCUUACCAAGUGUUGGCCGAGGUGACUCUAAGGUGUUUUAAGUUAACUAAAAACAUAGAAAUCACUAAAGGAUUUCACUUCCUCUUCAUUACUAGCUAAAACCACAGAGCUUUGCAUUCUUGCACUUGGAACCUUCCCCGGCAACCUUAGCUCCAAGGAACUAGAGGUUUAGUUACUCAUUCUCUGGGGAAAACUCCUCAGAGAGUUCAUAACUUAGUAAGAAAAUGAAAAUACAAAGUGAGAAGGUAAGGCAGUAGAAAGAAAAUAAACUUUACUUGCUUACCCAAACUUUUACAGAAGGAACUCCUCCCUGAGAACAGGCUCCCGAGAGGUAUAUAUAUGAACAUAAUAUAAAACUAAUUAUUACAUAGAUAUUUAGUCUUUUUACUAACUUAAAAGCUAAGGAAUCAUGUAAUUGGUGGUUUACAAGGAGUAUUUUGGGAUUUAGACAACAAAAAUAUGAUGGAAAAUAUCUCCCAAUGUCGGUAGCAAAUAUCGGGAGGCUUCAAGAAUCAUUUCGCAGGAGAAAAAUGGUGUCUGCGAGAUUUCGCAGACACUCAAGAGGGCUGCGAAAUAAUUUCGCAACACCAAGCUAUAUUCACAGGGCUGCGAAAUUGGCUUCCACCUUGAGGUUCCCAGCUUCCUUCUCGCGGCAUAAAUCGGGCAUCGUCAGAAGGAGAAACAUUACACUGUUCAAAAAGGCUGCGAAAUCACUUCGCAACAAAAGGGUGAUUUCGCAACACUUUGCAAAAUGCUUCCUUCAGCUAGGAGUGAUUGGCUUGUAAUGGCUGCAACUUCUUCGUUUCAACUCCGAAUUGCACACCGUUUAAAGAAUUGGAUUGUUGACUUCUUGAGCUUUGAAAUGGUAUAUAGCAUGCAUCAUCUGGACUUCAGAAAGUGCUCUAAAAGUGGUUGUUACGACUCUCAUCAAGAAUAUGCUUUAUGGCAGAUUCUCUUUGCUUUUUUCUCCUUGCAAUCCGGAUUUACUCUUGGCAAAUGAUUUCUAAGCUUUGCCCAAGAUUCCUUAUAGCUCUCCUCAGUCUUGACUUGCUUUGGUGAUCAAAAUACUAACAAAAACACCAAAACUUACACAAAGUGAUCAAAAUUGUUUUCAAGGGUCCUUAACAUGCCAAUUGAGUUAAAAGGCCAAAACUACUACUCAAAAGUGUUUAAAAGGAUUAAUUAUAAGCUAUCAAAUAGCACUUUUUGAGUAGUAAUCAGUUGGCUGAUUCUUUCUCAAAAGACGAAAAAUGGGCUCACAUAUGUCUAUCAAUCUGGCUAUGAAUCAACUGAUAUACUGUAAUUUGCCUAGAAAACCCCUGAUAUCUUUCUUAGUCUUUGAUACAAGCAUGUCAAGUAUGGCUUUGAUCUUAUCUGGGUCGACCUCUAUGCCCCUCUCACGAACCAUAUGCCCCAAUAAUUUCCUAGAAGUCACUCCAAAGGUGCACUUCUUUGGAUUCAGCCUCAAUCUGAAUUUUUGGAUUCUCUCAAAGAAUCUCUCUAGAGCUUCUAGGUGAUUUGCUCUGCCUCAGGAUUUCAAAAUCAUAUCAUCCACAUAAACUUCAACAUCCUUAUGCAUCAUGUCAUGAAACAAAGUAGUAGCAGCCCUCUGAUAAGUGGCUCCUACGUUUUUCAACCCAAAUAGCAUAACCCUGUAACAGUAGGUACCCCACUCAAUAAUAAAGGUUGUCUUCUCCAUAUCCUCUAGAGCCAUCAAAAUCUGAUUAUACCCUGAAAACCCAUCCAUGAAGUCAACAUUGAAUGGCCUGAGGUGCUAUCAACCAAUAAAUCAAUAUGAGGGAGAGGAAAGUCAUUUUUAGGGCUAGCUUUAUUAAGGUCUCUAAAGUCAACACAUACUCUAACUUUGCCGUACUUUUUGGGAACAGGGAUGACAUUAGCCAACCACUCUGGGUACUCAACCACUGAUAUGAAUCCAACACUGAGUUGUUUCUGAAUCUCCUUUUUCACCUAUAGACUCCAACGUGGAUGCAACCGUCUUAAUUUCUGCUUAAUUGGUUUGGCAUGUGGUGUUGAACUAUAGAGGGAUCGAGGUUAGGCAUGUCCUCAUAAGACCAUGCAAAGACAUCUAAGUAUGACCAGAGUAAAUAAAUAAGUCUAUCCCUCUCAUCUGUAGAUAAGGGUGAACCAAUCUUCAGCUCUCUAGGCUAAUCCUUUGUGCCAAAAUCAACAGUCUUAACAUCCCCUGUAACUGGUGAAACUCUCUCAUCCAUGGGGUUUGAGUCAUGAUAAAAAAAAGCCUUUAUCUAAAUAGAGCUGUGCAAUCUCAUAAUUUAUAUCCAAUAUCUGUGGAGUGGGUGAAUAGGGUACAAAUAUAGAGAUACUAUCAUAAGAGAUAAGAAAAUACUAAAAAAUACUCAAAUCCAUAAAUGAAGCAAUAGAAACAUCGUCAGAGCAGGAGACAAAUCCUGAUAAAACAUCAAAGAAAAGAUGUGGAUCCACAAGGUUGGACGCUCCCUUAACUGGGCUAACAGUGCCCUCAAACAAACUACCAUCAUCCUCUAGAACCUCUAGAGCAGGAAUAGUCUAGGUCUCCUCAAUAACCUCAAUAGUAGACACCCCAAACAUAUCAAAUGGUGAAACUGGUUGAAGCUGAACAAUGUUGCUGAUCUGAAUCAUGGUUAUCAUGUCCAUCUCAUCUCGGUACUCAUCAUGGAGAACAACUCCAUUAAUCAUCUCAGUGGUAUCGACGACCACUCCCUCAUCAAUGACCUCCUUUGGGAAGCAUAGAAACAACAAACUAGCUCGAUCUAGAGACGGAGGAGCAAUUUCCAUAGAAAUAGAAGUGUCAGGAGCCCCAUCACUCAAUUGUGACCAGUGAAAUAGAUGUUGAAGCUCGAUCUCUCUAUCUAUAUGAAUCACACUAUCAAUCUCCUCUAGACGGGGUUGAAUCUCUGAUCCUUUGACAAAGUAGUUGGUCAAACUUAUCCUAUAAGAUCGAAUAGGAUAAUCAAAUGGUGUGUGAGACAAACGGGCCCUCACUCUCUCCUUGCAUAGUCAUGCCAUGUAUCGGUAAUCAACCUCACUAGGAAUGAACCCAAGUUCAAAUGUCGUAUCAUGGUCAAUGGCAGUUAUAAACUCACUGGGUCCCUACUGAUGUCAUUCUAACCCCAUGCCAGGUAGAAAAGUCAUACCCCUCAUCAUAUCAAGAAUCAUUGUGUGUUGAUCAAAUGACAUGGCUACAAAAUCUCUACAAAAAUCCUCAAUCUCAAGAGUUCGUAUCUCAUCAAAAGUAAACCCAGUUAGAAAUAGGUCAUCCUCACUGUGAUUGGUCUGAAGUACUGGCUCAGAAGAGGCUAACAUAUCUCAGAUAGACUAUACUGUGAUGACUUGCCCAUCAUGAAUGAACUUCACCUUCUGAUGAAGGGAAUAAGGAAUAACUCAUGCUUUAUGAAUCCAUGGUCGGCCUAGUAGCAUGUUAAAAGAUGUAGGAAUCCUCAAAACCUGGAACAAAGUAGAGAAUGUGGCUAAACCAAUCCAUAAAUCAAUCACUAAGGUACCCAUAACCUCUCUCUUGGUGCUAUCAUACUCUCUGACUGUCCAAGUAGAGGGACCAAAAUCCGAAGGCGUGAAACCAAGGGCUAUAGUAGUGGUUAAAGGGCAGACGUUCAGGGUUGAGCCAUAGUCUAAUAGGACAGAUGGAACUCUAUGGCAUGAACAACCAACUAUGAUAUAUAGAAGGCGUACAUGGUCUGAACCAUCAGGGGACAAAUCAUCAUCUGAAAACACAAUGCAAGUGGCCUUGCUGGUCGUCAUUAUAUGAAUCAAUCCCUCUAGAGUGGUUGGGUUCUCUACUCUGAUCUGACUCAAGGCUCGAAUCAAAGCAUCUCUAUGAGUACUAGAUGAUGCUAAUAAGCUCCAAAUAGAAAUACGAGCCUGAGUACUAUAUAACUAUCUCAAAACCUUAUCAUCAUCUCUCUUAACCUCCUUAUGAGAGGCUACACCCUCAAAUGGUUUGACUGCUAGUGGUGGUGGUGGAACUAUCCUCCCACUAAGAGUCACAAUCUGUAUCUCUUUUUCCUCUAAAUCAUCAUCCUCUAGCCACAAAGUGAAUGGGACAGUGAUAUCCUAGUAUCUGAUAACCAAAGGUGUAGAAUGAACCAACUAGAAUGGCGCCCCAUCUGGGAUCAAAUUGAAUGGUGCAAGAACCCGCAGACCUAAUAAAACCCCAUCAACCUCACUACUGUCAUGCAGAACAAUUGGCUUGGGUAAUCCAUCAUCCUAACUCAACAUAUGUAUACUGUCAUCCUCUAUAAAGUCUAUGUGAUGGAUAUCUCUUGGAGGUGGAGGCACUGCAUGUGUAGAAUGGGCGGGAAGAGGGUUAGUGGUCACACUUGGCUGCCCCAAGUUAACCAAACCCUGGUCUAACAAGUCCUGUAUAGCAUGUCUCAAAGCAAUGCAAUGGUCUGUAUCAUGCCCUAUACCCUGAUGGUAGGAACAAUGUAAAUCCAUCCUGAAACGAGGUGGUAUGGGCUGGGGUAAAGGCCUAGGAGCUAACUGAGUCAAUAAACCAUCCUCUAUGAACUUGUGGAAAGCUCGGCUCAAAGACAUACCUAGCUGGGAGAACUUUCAUGUCGACCUUUGUACAUAAGUAGUGGUCUGUGGGGCUUGGGGUUGAGGGUAUGACAUAGGAGGUCUCUCUGUGAAAUGUGCAGAAAAAAUAGGUUGUGAGACUGGAUGUAGAUAAUUAGGAAUGAUGGGUCUAGAAGGAGCAGGUGGUUUAUACUGCACAUGAUGUGAGGGUGGGUAAUAGAAUCCAAAAGUCUACCCAACUGUCUGAUAAAGUAUAGGAGGUCUCAUCCUUGAUGAAUUGAUAGCACUUACAUCUCUUGGUCUUUGUCCUCCUGAAGUCUUCUUCCCCUUAAAGUCAGUAGGAGAAGACUCGGGCCACAAUCCUCUGGCAAUGCCCUCCUCUAUACCAUACAAAGCCGGUACCAAAGAUCCAAAAUCCUUAUAGGGAAAUCCCAUCAAGUGUUUAGCAAAUCUAGGCUGCAAACUCCUCAAAAUCAUACUAAUCUGAUCCUUCUCUGAAAGACGAUCAAUAAUUUGUGAAAUCUUCUCCCUCUAACGGGAGAUAAAUGAAGUGACUAACUCCUUUGGCCUCUGUCUCAAUGCCUCUAGCUCUCUCCUCGAAACAUCAAUGAUAGUGUUAAAUGAAAAAUGUCUCAAAAACUCCUGGGCCAGAUUAUCCCAAGUCCUACGGCGUAAUACACCCAAUGAAGCGAACCAACAUUAUGUCGCACCACUCUAGAAGAUAGGGAAAAGCAUAACCAUUUGGGUCUCAUCUAGUCUGUGGGUCCUCAUAACCGUACUAUAGAGCCUCAAAUGGAUACGAGGAUAACCUAUGCCCAUGUAUCUCUCAAUCUCAAGCAUCCUAAACUUGGUCGGUAAACUGGCCAAUAGUGCUCCAUCAAAAUCCUCCUAAGUAAUAACUAAUUUUGAAGCCCUCAUUUGUCUCAACCUCUGCUCGAGUCUAUCCAUACGUGUAUGUGGGUCCUUUGAGGUCGGGAUAGGCAAUGUGAUAGGAGGUGGGGCUACCUCGGUCUGACUAUGCAGAGUGAAAAGUAUAACCUAUGGUGUUGAUUGACUGGGUGGAGGAGAUAGUGGAACUGUGGUAUCGAACCGGGCACUCUCCUAAACUGGGACCUGUUGGGCCUACUGCCCAUCUAUCAUUUGGCCAAGAUUAGCUAUAGCUUCCUGGAUCAAAGCCAUAACUGCAUCAAAAUGGUCAAUGGUAACUAUCUAUGAGUCCAUAUCUCUCUAAUCUGAUCUCUGAUCUAACUGGUCUGAUACUCUAUUCAAUCUAUCUCCAACCCUAAUCCAUGAAGGUGAAUCCAGAUCGGUCACAGUAAAUCCUCCUACAAAUAUGGAAACACUAGAUAAGGUGCAGUAUGAAUGUGACUCUAUAGGAAUCAACUGACAAGUGCAUAAAAGUAUAGCCCAAAUAUACUCAAUCUGAUACCCAUCUUUGAUCACACCAAAAGGAGACUAUGGAAGGGAUAACCGAACCUAAUCAUGACCAAGACAACUCUAAAGGUCCACAGAUGCACCUACGUGUAGGAAUGAAAUCUUAAUUGGGUCUAGGUUAACUUACAGGGUGGAGAUGGCUCUACAGGAUAAAAUGGGUGGGUUAAAGGAUCCCUAGCAGAAGUUAUCAUACCCUCCAAUGGUACGCAACCCUUUGCACGCCUCCAAGGAAACUAGGUACUUCCAUGCAAGGUGGUCAUCACCUCCACACAUGCACUUCCUCACUUUCCCAGGGGGUUUCUUAAAGGUGAAGGCUCUCUCAUCUCUCAACACUUAGGGACAAUGUAAAGUGCACAAUGAAGGAUGUGGGUGCAUCCGAAAAACCUAAGAUCUAAAGUGAGAUAAGGAACAAAGAUAAACAAUCAUACAAUCAUGCAAGAGAAAGGGUUAUCAUGCAACAAACAGUCAUGCGAAGCAAAUAAAUAUCAAACAAUCAAAGUUUUAUCUAUCAUAUGUGAGAGUGAAUCAUGCUGAAGUGAGCAAGCAAUCAAGUGAUCAUCCUAGGCAAUCAAACAUGUUAAGAUAGCAAACCCAACAAGCAAGCAAAUCUAAUCACCUUGUCCAAAAAGGGGGUACCCUCUAAUCGACCAAUUAAACGCCACAUUUUCCUCAAAUAGUGUACAAGCUUGAUCCUAAAACUCCCCAAUGGAGUCACCAAUUUAUGGACCUGCAUUUUUCAUGUGUGUCCCCACUUGAACGGCGAGACUCACUUUUAUUUGUGAAAAAUUAAUUUUUGGAAAAGUCGGGGUUGCCACUUAUUUUAUUUUUAUUAUAAAGGGAAAAUAAAACAAGAAAGAAAACCCUAAAAAGUAACUCCAUAAUUUUUGGAAAAAUCGUGUCUUUGAAAAACCCGAAUCUAGGUUCGGGGAUCAGGUUACCUAUUGGGAAGGUACUUCUAAAAGGUAGCACCCUUCUAAGCCCUAUAAAGGUCUCUACUAACUAAGUUGAGGGAAAUAUGGCAAUUAACUGGUUAAUCAUGGAUACCUAAGUAGGCUAGGUGAUUUUGAAAAAUAACAUGCUUAACAAGAAAAUCGAUCACAAUCAUGAAGAAUAUUUAGGGUGCGUACAUGGACUGCUUCUUAAGCACUAUCACAAGACAUCAAAGUUAGUUCAAAUAGUAUGUCAUCUAGCAUGUGUUUUAUUAGAAAUAAUCGAACAAUGAAACAUGUAUAUCAAAACACUCAAUCACUAUAAAAAAUAGGCAUAAUUCACAAUGACAAACAUACUCAUAGAAUAUAGAAAGUGGGUGAUAGGGGACGUACCUGGAUAGCAUAGAUAACUCAUUAUAUGCUUCCUUUGGACAUGGGGGUUAGGUAAUAAAUAAUAAAAUAAGAAAUCCUAGCAUGCUUAAUAUCUAAUUAGCAUAGCAAAAAUGAUUACAAUAUACGAAAUCAUCAAUUAUCACUUAUAUCUUGUAUAUAAUUCCUAAAAAAUAAAUAGACAAGAUUACAACAAAUAGCAAAGGUGGUAGAAAAAAUAAGUUUUGAAAAGAUUUUCUUAUGUAGGGGUUUCACCAAUUCCUCAAUCGAUAUACACAAAUUUAUCCUAAAAUUAUCCAUUCAUUUGGGACCACAAGCUUUGAUUUGUGUUUUGUUCAAAACCAAAAUUUUUAUUGAAAAUCAAGAAGGAUGCAAACAAAUCAAGAUAUGAUUGCAUAUUAUUAAUUUUUUUUUUUUUUUAAAAAAAAAAAGAGAUUUUGAUUCUAAAGCUCUAAAUGAAUUUUCUUUUUGAAUAGAUUUUUUAAAGGGAUCUUUUGAGAAAAAGUGUUUUGUUUUAAAAUAAAAGAAAUUAUUUUUUAAAAUAACAUAACAUAGAAAACAAAAAUACCAACCAAAACAAAAGAAAACGGAGAUCACAAAAUAAAGAUUUAGACAAUCAUGCCAAUUAAAAUGGUGAGAGUAAGGCCAACCUUCAUGGGUUUCCAACGGCCUUAAAAAAAAUAAAAAAUUGACUAACAAUCACUAAGGCAAAAAACGAACGGCUUCCUAAUCAAACAAACUAACAAAAAUAUUAUCCAAAACUAACAUCUAGAUUUCAAGAAACACAUAAUAAAAAAAAGAACAAUCAAAGAUUAAAGCCAACAAAUUUAGCAUAUGGAGAUAAUACUACAGGGUCAAUUAAGGUAAAUUAACAUUCUAACAAAAUAUGAUAAAUCAAAGACCAAAGUUUAGUAAUCUUAAAAAUAUGAAAAAAAAUAACAUGCAAUUAACUAGAUUGACUAUCCAAAAUUCCUAAAAACUCGAACUAAAUAUUAAUAGAUCAAAACCAAAAUAUGCUAUACUCAAAAUAUGAAAAAUAAUAUGUGAUUGACUAAAUUAAUUAACCGAAACUCUAAAAACACUAAAACCAAAUAUUGAUGGAUCAAAAUUAAAAUUGCCAUAUUUAAGACAUGAAAAUAAUAACACAUGAUUAACUAAGUUAAUUAACUAAAAUUAUAAUCAACUACAAAAUUGGAUAUAAAUGGAUUAAAAUCAAAAUUAACGAAAUCGGAAAAAACACAAACACAUUCAAACUGAAAAAAAAAAAAUUAAUACUGGAUUAAAUUAGAACUAAAAACAUCAACAUCAUCUAAUAAGAUUGGUUAAAAUAUCAAAUUGAAAUUUCAAAUACAUUUAAACUAGAACAAAUAAAUAAAUCAGCAAAUUAGAACUAAACUAAAAUUGGAAUUAAAAAUAUGAAAUUCAUCUAAGAGGAGUAAUCAAAUAAUUAAAUUAACACCAUAAAUGCAUUCAAAUUAUAAAAUAUUAAAAUUAAACUAAAUUGAAAUUAAGAUAUAUCUAAUAAGAUUAUUUAAACUGAUGAAUUAAAAUCAACAAAUACAUUUAAGCUAAAAACAAAUUAAAACCAAACCAACUAGGAUUAAAAACACAAACUUUAUUUGACAAAAUUAUUUAAACUAAUGAAUUAAGAUCAAUAAAUGCAUUUAAACUAAAAACAAAUUAAGACCAAACUAACAAGAAAAAAAAAACACAAACAUUAUUUGACACGAAUAUUUUAACUAAAGAAUUAAGAUCAACAGAUGUAUUUACACUAAAAACAAAUCAAAAUCAAACUAAUUGGAAUUAAAAACACAAACUUUAUUUAACAUGAUUAUGUAAACUAAAGAAUUAAGAUCAACAAAUGCAUUUAAACUAAAAACAAAUUAAAUAAAACUAAUUGGAAUUAAAAACACAAACUUUAUUUGACAUGAUUAUUUAAACUAAAGGAUUAAGAUCAACAAAUGCAUUUAAACUAAAAACAAAUUAAAAUCAAACUAAUUGGAAUUAAAAACACAAACUUUAUUUAAACUAUCAUACAAAUUAAGAUAAACUAACAUGGAACUAAUAAACUGCAAUCACUAAAAGAAGACAUCUAAUUUAAGAAAAAAAAAAUUAUACAAACUGAUAUUCAAAAGAAUUUAUCACAAAAAAUUGAUUAAACUAACAAACUAAAGUCUAAAAAAAAAAAUGCUCUAUCGAAAACGAAAACUACCCUGUGUUGUGUCUGAACUUGAUGAUUAAAGUGGCAACCCGAUCUCCGUUCGAAGUCCCUUGCUCUCUUCCAAAAUUCCGCGUGUUCUCUCUAAAAAAGAUCCCCCGCGUGUUCUCUCAGUCUCAAAAAUUCUCUUGUGCAUGUCAUUUCUUUUAAAAAAAUAUCUACGUGCUCUCUUUGCCAAAAAAAAUCCUCCCUCCCGAAUUCCUACACAUAUCCUCUCUAAAAAAAUUACUCUUGCUUGUCGAUCUCCAAAAAAAUCUCCCAUCUCUUAUGUUCCUUCUAUCUUAUUUAUAUGGUAGCCCACCCUAUGGAAUAUUUUAUUUCAUUUUUUGAGAUGUAAUUCUAAUCUUAAAGGAGACCCAACUUUCUAAACUUCUAAUGGCACUUUCUAUUUCAACUGACUUAAUAAAAGAAACAUGCCAACCCUAUGAAUGUUGUCUGGUGGGCCCUUGGUCAUAUUCCCCUUCUCUCUUCCAACCAACAACACCUAUAACUAGUAAAGUUGCACUGGGGACUGAUUUAUCUGAAAGCUUGGAUGAGAAUGGAGAUCAAACUCCUUCUUGGGUAAUGUAGAGCUUCAAAAUUUAUGGAGAAAGAUUUUGUGGAUAACCAAAGUCCAUGAUUUCAUCCAAUAGCUCAUAAAUUAGAACAAAGUUGUUACGAAUAGCAUCUUCCUUGAAAGCCCCACCAAAAUAAGAUUUGAAUAGCGCAACAGCCUCAACAACAAACUUGAAUGCACAAGUUACAUUAGCAUUGCUACUGACCACAAUCACAAUGUACACAUUGUUGAUUUUCAUAUAAAAGAAGGAAAAACCUCCACUUUGCUGCAUAGGACAUGUGCCAUGUUCUUUUGUUUGCAUUUUAUGCAUUCAAAAGGCAUCUAACAUGUUUUCCCCGACAUCGUCGCGAUAUAGGCGAUUGAUGAGGACAUCGCUCGGGAGAUUCAAGAAGUAGAUAGCAGAAGUAGCCACCGAAAUCUCUGAUCCAAUGGAUUCGAUGCCAAACAAAUCAAGGAAUGGGGUUUCGAUCUACGGUGUUUGAGGCCUUGUUUCAACGAUGUCAUUUUUAUUGGGUUGGAUCUCAAGCUCUAGAAAUGAUGAACCUAACUCUCCUAAACAAGAGUUGAAAAUAGCGCAAUUGAUCUUGUGUUCUAAAUGCAGUGUGGGCGAUAACUCUGGCAGAUCUGUAACAGCAUCUAGGGUUCCGAUGUGGGUGAGGUGGAGAAAGGGGCAACGAUGGUGGUGGGGAUUCACGAUGGGGGGAGAGGAGAGUGGCAAGAAUGUUCUUACCUGCGUUAUCGAAGCAGGAGAGGAGAGCCCUGGGGGAAGGAUUGCGAUCGAUGAAGGAGGUGAGAAUAUGGGUUCUGUUCUCGACAACGGUGCAGAAGGAGAAGAUGAGCAAAUGUGAGGAUAUCAAGCAGCGAAGGUGGAGGUAGAGGAGUGGUCAUGGCAUGAGAUGGAGUUGUGAUGUGAGUCUUCUAUUUCUGUCUUCUUUGUGAGUGUAUAUGGGUCCCCACCUUGCGGGCUGCUCCUCUUCAGUUGUGACCCCCCUCUCUUUGAUCGAUCCAAGUGAUAUGCAAAACUAAAAAAAAAAUUGGAAUAAGAAAACCUUAUGAUUGGAAAUAUAAUAAAAUAAAAUCGAAAAUCAAAUCAUCUGCCACAAAAAAAUCUAAGAUGUCAAUUCAUGGAAUUAAAGAAUAUAUAAAUAAGUGGGUAAAUAAACAAAUAAAUUGAUAAGGGUAUACAAAUAAAUAUUAUACAUAUGCAAUUAGAAAAAAUAAAGAAAUUAAAUUAAUGCGAUGGAUCAUAACAAUUUAAAUGUCACACUCAAACCAUCAAAAAUAAGAAAAUAUUCAUUUCAUGCAAUAUAUAGUUAAGCCAAUACUCAUUUUGUCUCGCAAAAAUAAAAUCAAGAACAUGCCUAAAUGAACUAUGCCAAAAGAAGUGUCCAAGUGACCUAUUCUAAAAAAGUGCUUUGGUGAGCUCAGGUGAAUGUGUGCAAGCUGAAAGGUGUUUAGGUGAAUCUAAAUGGGUAAAGGAGAACCUAAGUGGGCCUAAGGUGGUGCCUAAUGGGCCAAGUGUAUCUAAAUGGGCCUAGUGUGAGACUAGGUGAGCCUAACAAAGACUAACCUAAAGUGCACCUAAGUGAAACUUAAUCUAAACUUGAAGGACAACCAAGGUCAUAAUAUGGAACCAGAUAAACCCCUUAACCAAAGUCUCCAAAGUGGCUCAGAAAAGGUAAGCUCCAAGAGUAGGAAUGGGCUAUCAAAGAAACACUGUGGAACACUGGAAGUGAACUUAAAGACAUGUUCUAAAAGGACAAAAUGGAGGGUCUACAACAUGAAGGUUGGCCAUACUCUCACCACUUUAGUCGGCUUGGUUGUCAAAAAUUUUAUUUUGUGAUUUUGUUUUCCUUUGGGUUACCUAUGUUUGAUCCUUGAGUAUUGUCGUUUGUAAAUUAUUUCUUUCAUUUUAAAAAGAAACAUUUUCUCAAAUUGUUCCUCAUUAAAAUGCAUUUCAAAAAUUCAUUUAGAGUCCUUAGAAUCAAAAUCUCAUUUUCUUAAAUAACUUGCAACCAUGUCUUAAUAGAUUUGCAUCUUUCUCAAUUUUCAAUAAAAAUUCUGGCUUUGAGUAGAAUACGAAUCCAAGUUUGUGGUCCUAAAUAAAUGGGAUAAUUCUAGGCUAGAUUUGUGUAUAUCAAUUGGAGAAUUGGUAGAACCCUUACGUAACAAAAAAUUUCAAAACUCUUCCUUGCUACUAGUUUUCACUCAACCACUGACUCUUUAGCUUUCAAAUUUGUUUCAACAACUUUAGAAUAUAUAUAUUUUUUUUUAAAUAUCCAAAUCUUGUAUGAUUUUUCUCACUUCUUGAACUUGAAUUUGAAAUUUCGUUUGAGUUAGAAAGCAAUUUUGGAAUAGAAGAUAUAAAUGAGUUUUUAGGAGGGCUCUGUUUUCACCUAGUUCUGGACACUUGAAAUAUUUUUCUAAAAAUAAAAUAACAUAUGACUUUUUUAAUUUGAUUCAAUAUUUUUUCUUAAUUCAAGAAUUCUUGAAAUUGAUUUAGAGAUAUAAAAUAUUUUAAAAAAUAUGCAUUUUUAAGGCAGAUAUGAUUUUUCAAAGUCAUACCUAAUGCACAUGAUGGAAUCUAGACAUCUAAUUAGUUGGAGUGUUUCAAAAAUAUUUUUGAGUACUAUUCGACCCUAGAUUUAUUUUUCAUGUGCUAUAGACCUUUGACCAAUGUGUGUGAUUUUUUGUAUGAUUUUAUGUGAUCUUUUAUUAUUUUUAAAAAAUUGAUUUAUGCAUGCCACUUUUUCUUUACCUAACCUACACUUUGUGGAACUUUUGGGGUGUCUUUGCUGCAAUCUGUCAUUUGAAUGAGUGUUUGGUUUUUGGUAUGUUGUUCUAGAAUUGUAGGUGUUGUUUUCUAAAAAUUUUUGUAAUUAAAUUCAACUCCAAAAUAUUUUUUUUGAAAUUUCUUUUUGAUGCUUCAUUUUAUAAUUGCAUGCUAAUGAUCUUGUACAUUACUCUAGCAUUUUUGGAGGAAUUUUAUAAAUCGUGCAUGUUAUCUAGGUACACUUUCUAUCACUUACUUUUCAGAAUUCUAUGACCAUGCAUGUUGUUGUUAGCCUUAUUUAUUUUUGAUUCCAUCCUUGGGUGCCUAGAUGUUUGUUCGAUUUGCUCAAAUAAAAUACAUUUCGUGUGCUAACUUUAAUGUCUUAUGAUAGUGCUUGAGAGGCAGUCCAGGUACACAUCCUAACCUUCCUUUGCGAUUGUGAUUUGAUUUCUUUUUUGGCAUGCUAGUUUUGAAAUAACCUUAGCCUACCUAGGUACCUCCAAUCAAUUGAUUAAUUGUCACUUUUCCCUCGACUUAGUCAUUAAAGACCUCUUUAGGGCUUAAAGGGGUGCUACCUGAUUCGUGCCCAGUUAGGUAUUUUAAUAAAAAAUAUUUAUAAAUCCUAUGACCUCAUACUAGUGUAGUAAAACUACUAUAGUAUAGCAGCUCUAGGGUCGAACUCUGGGAUGGGUUUUCACUCUACCAGUGAUAGACUCAAGAUUAGAAAUUGAAUCUAAUGAUUUCCUUUGUCAAAAACUUAAAGUUUAAAAGAAAAUAAAAUUUGUUUUAAAAGUGGUGUUUGAAACUAAACUAACAUAGAAAUAGGAAAAAAUGGAAGAAAGAGAGUCUCCCGGAGCUAAAGGUUGCUAUGAUCAAGUUCAGAAUGCAAAGUGGGAAAUUCCGGAUUUUUCUCCUCGUAUUGGGGACAACAACAUAAAGGAUGGUUGUUUCCUGAACCGGUAUAGGUUUAACAAUGAAGAUUUAAUCCAUAAAAAGUCAAUAGAAAUGGUAAUCAAGUUCCAUUAAUGGCUUUAGACACUAUGGGUCUUCACCUUGACCCACUUUCCAAUAGCUUGUACAUGAUAACUAAUGGUCUUAUGUGGAUCUAGCAAUAAGUAUCCAUAGAGACCUAAAAGCUUAUCAUGUAUUGGCCAUUCAAAGUGAUUCUAAGGGAUUUAAAGCAAAACUUUAGAUUUAAAAGCCAUUUAUGAAAUCCAACUACCUGUAUUUAAUGCACGAGAGUUUUCCACUUUUGCAUCUGAACUUUUCACCUAGCUUCCUUCACUCCAAGAAACCAAAGGUUUAGCCUCUCAUCCUCUGGGAAAACAUCCUCAAAGGUUGUUUGGCUUCCAAGAAAAAGAAAAAUAGAAGAGAGAAAAGGAAAGCAAAGAGAACUCUGUAUUUCUCCCUGAGAGGAAAAUUUUACUAAGUGUAAAAAAUACAAUAAUUUGAGAGAUGAUUUCCACCCCUCUUAAAGUCUUUACAAAGCAAAGCCUGUGAAAAUUACAAGGAUAAGAAAGGAAUUUACAUCUAAAAAUACAGAAGAAAAGAUCUCAUGUGGAGUCGGCAGAACAGAGGAGAUUUCGCACCAAAGUCGCAUGAACAAUACAAGGUGCAAAAUUCGCACUUGCAUGGGCUGGUGCGAAAUUCGCACUUGCAUGGCAUUUUCGCAUGAACAGUACAAAGUGCGAAAUUUGCCAUUUUUAGCUCCUUAUACGAAUGGCAAUAUACCACUAUAGGUACUUGAUUUGUCAGAAAUUCCAAGCCGGUUUCGAAUAUGGGAUUCUUGAAAUGUGAUUUUGCACGAUGAACAAAAUAGAGCCUCCCAAAGUGACAGUGCACGGCUACAAAAACUGCUUCUUUCCUCUGUUUUUCCUCUUUGCUUCUCUCCUUUACUUGGCUUGUCUUAAUGAUCCAAAAAACUGUCAAAACACUAAAACUAGCCACAAAUAUGAUUAGAAGUCAUUGCUAGGUCCUUAACAUGCCAAUUGGAAUAAAAAUGGAGAACUACUACACAAAAGUGCUUAAAACAUAAUGAAUUAAAGGCGCAAAAUAGCACUUUUUAGGUAGUAAUCACUACCUCUUAGAGGUACCUUCUUAAUAGGUAACCUGAUCCCUAGACCAAGACUUGGGUUUUUCAAGACUUGCUUUUCCAAAACAGUGGAGUCACUUCUUUAGGGUUUUCUUUCUUGUUUUAUUUUCCCUUUUAAAAUAAAAUAAAACAACUGGGGACUCCAACUUUUCCAAAACUAAUUUUUCACCAAUAAAAAAAGUCUUACCAUUGAGUAGGAACACACGUGAAAAAUGAAGGUCCAUAGGUGGGUCUUAAGGGAAUAGAUGGAGAAGUUGGGAAUUGAGGUUAGAUUUGAGGUUAAGGUUAAGGUUAGAGCUAGGGUUUCAUCUAUGGAUGGUAAUGAAGAUACAUAUAUAGACAUCCCUUGCAAAAUCUACCAAUAUGAUUAGUUUCUACUAUAUAAUCAACUGAAAUUUGAAUCAAUUCUCCUUCUCAAACUAUGAUAAUAUGAUUUUAGAUGGUUUUUUAUAAUGAUUUCUUUUCCUUUCAAUGAAACUAUAGAUCAAUUCUAUGUUACAACCCGAAUAAAGGAUCCUUAGGAUCCCUUAAUCUUUAGUUUCUAUUGCUAUUUAGUUUCUAUUUAGAUUAGGGAAUAAAGGAUCCCUAAGAUCCUUUAGUCUUUAAUUUCUAUUUAGUUUCCUAUAUAAAAUAAGAAGAGUGUAAUGGGGAAAGAAAUGGAAAAAUAAUCUCAAUAAAAAAAAUUUGUUCUCUCAAUUUUGCAUCUUCUCCUUUAGUCAUAAGAAUUGGUAUUAGAACACGGUCUAGGCACCAAUCAUGGCGGAAAGGACUAGAGUGUAAGAACAACAUAGACUUAAAGAUACUAUUAAAUAGUUGAAAGAAUCGUUGGAUAAACAAGCGACUACCUUAUUAGAACUAUCAAAGAUGGUUGCAAUCAUAAAAUUGAAAUUCAAACACAUAAAUUCAAGAAUAGAGAAGUCAAGUAAUGGAUAUAGUGUUUCAAUCAAUAGAAACAUGAUAGACUAUCACUAAUCUAUCAUAAACUCCAUUCAAACCAGAUUUUCCAAACUCUAUUUUCCAAAUUUUAAAGGUGAGAAUUGGGAAUUAGGAAAAGGUUGGAUUGGCUUCCUUACAUUUAAAACGAAGGGCCUUAGAAAGGUUUCAAGGGUAUGAGGCUAGUAACAAGGAAAUCAAUUGGACACAAUUUUAUAUAGAUGUUGUUUCUAGGUUUAGCCCUAGUGUUUAUGAUAGCCUUAUGGGGCAAAUAACCAAAUUGAAAUAGGUUUCUAAGUUAGGGCAUACCAAAAUUAGUUUAAAGUAUUGAUGACCAAAACUAGCUAGUGGGUUAUCAAAGAAAUUUUUUUUCUAGUGUUUCAUUAGUAGCUUGAAAGAGGUAAUUAAAAAUCAAGUAACUAUGUUUCAACCAAUCACACUAGUCCAAACCAUCAAGUUAGUCUUGUUGCAGAAAUGAAUAAUGGAGGUAAUUCUCAAGGAAUUCAAGGACUCUAACGAAAAUGGGGAGAGUACAGUGAGCUUUACAAGAAUCAUAAUGAAUCAUAAUAACAAAUUACCACCCCUUCAGAAGAUUUUAGACGUAGAAGUGCAAGAGAGAUGAAAAAAAAAAAGUUUUGUUAUUAUUAUGAUGAGAAGUAUGAGUCUAGUUAUAAAUAUAAAAUGAGACAAAAUUUUCUAUUAAAUGGUCAAAAAAGUGAAGGGAAAGCAACAUGUGAAGCUAAAAAUGAUAUAAAGAUGAUGAUCUUGUGGUUUUAAUCAAUGCAAUAUUUCGUUCAACAUCUCAUCAAACCAUGAGAAUCUGUGGCAACAUAAAAAAGAAGAUUGUCACCAUACUAAUUGAUUUAGGAAGCACCCAUAACUUCCUUGAUCUCAUAGUGGCCAAAAGAACAAGAAACUCAAUACAAACUACCAACCCCAUGAAGAUGGUGGUAAAAGAUGGAACUAAAAUUACUAGUGAUGCAAUUUGUAGGCAAUGUUAGGAUAGAACCCUUAAAAACAUGACAUAAUGUAAUAGAUUUGGAAUUCAUUGUUUAUUUAAUGAUGCCCCAGUUUCACUUUUAUCUAUCCUUAUUCCAUGUAUUAUACUUUAUAAGCAUUUUUGUAAACAUCAUUUGCAUUAUACAUGACUUAGAUGCAUUAAAAGUUGUACAGAAGAUCUAAGUCAUGAGUUCCUUGCAAAUAUAUGACUUAUUCACAACCAAUUCAUGGGUCUAGGCAACCCAUUAAAGGUUUUAGUGCACAACUUCCUAAUUGGAGGAAUGAUUGGUCUUGGCUAUUGGGAUGGGUUUCCUAUCAUGAGUGCACUAGUAUGUAUGAAUGCACAUUGGAUAGGACCUAUGGUGAGUUAUGACUUAAGGCUAUCAAGUAGUCAUGAUUUCACCAAGUUACUUCAUUAUGUUGUUUCUUAACCUUGAGAGAAUAUUAAGCUUGUAUUGAAAUUAGCAGUGGCUUUGACCUACGAGUGAGAUAGUAAGAUGAUCAUAUAUUCCUUAUGGAUUGGACCAUUGUUGAUGGAUGUCGGUAGCAAUAAGUAUUCUCAAUAGAAACACCAUGAUAUCUCUUAGCAUUAAGAUAGUGUGUCCCCUUGGGUGAUCCUAAGAACGUAUGUUCAUGGAAACUAUGGCCAUAGUAGUUCCUUAGAUGGAACUUGGCAUAGGCUCUUUCAAAGCUAAGAUAUGUCAAUUUAACACACAAUAGGAGGAUUUGUAAUUCAAGGAUGGUAGAGGUAGUCUUAAAAGACUGAUAGCUUUCACCUUGUUAAACUACAGACACUAAUUCAUAGGAACAUUGAACACAAUGGAUAGUAGGUCGUGGACUCGAGCACUUGGUGUCUCAUUGUUAUUUACAUAGGAUAUUGGAGUUCAAUUUAUUCUUUGUGUGGAAUAUUGAAUCCACUUUAGAAUUGGAUUAUGAGGGAACUGGUAUUCUUAUGGGCCCUAGUGGUCCCUACUUUGAGUUCAUAUACCUUGUUGACACGGAUUAUGAGGUUUGGAUUGGCUUUAGGUUCACUUUUGUACAUAAGGAUAUUUUGGUAAUUAUGCAAGGUUGCACAAAAGUAAGUGAAUAAGUUCUUUGGAUUGCGCUAAUUGAUUAAUUAGUAGGCCUUGUUAGGUUAACUAAUUAAUUAGGACCCAUUUUGGAUUAGAUUAAGUGACCCAAGCCCUUAGUGGACUCAAGUCACUUAAGCCAAGUAGGAAACCCUAUAAAUACUCCUUUAGGGGUUAAGGUUCCCAUUGGUUUUUUCUAGAGAUCCAUCUUCCAUCUCUAGAGAGAGAGAGAGAGAGAUUCAUAGCCUCUACUUUUCCUUCUGUCCCCACUGGAAGUGUGUCAAGAUCAAGUUUUGAGUCAUUGGGUGGAAAACUUUGGGUUUACAAGACUUCUAUGAUUUUGUUCUUCAUCUUCACCUCAUUGAUUUGAUUCGGGAACAUCCAAAUCUAAGGUAUGGCUUUCGUUAACACUUUAUGAAUCCCUUUAAAGUUUUAAAAUGCUAUUUUUUCGUUGUGCAUAGGAUUUAGAAAAAAGACUAGGAUAGUUAUUCAUGUUCCUAACCUGAUCCGAGCUUAGGAAAUGAAGAGAUUCGAGUUUUUCCUAUAAGGCAAUUGACAUGGAACAUGCAAGGGAAGAAAUUUUAGAUAGAUUUGAGGCUUAUACCUUUGAGUGGGUGUAAUAUGGUAUUGGGAAUUCAAUGGCUAGCUGAAUUGGGACUCAUAUUGUGGGAUUUCAAGAAUUUAAAAAUGGAAUUUAUUAUUGAUGGAAGGAAAUUCGUGUUGAAAGGUACAACUAUAGGUUCCAAGAAGCUAGUUUCAACAAAUCAAAUUUAAAAGGAUUUAAGGCAUAUGUCUCAAGUAUCUACAAUUCAAAUUUUCACUAUACAAGGGAAUGAGGAAAAUAAAGUUGAAAAGGAAUAACAUGGCAACUGUCUAACUCAUUUCCAAAAGAUAUAACAUGGAAAGUUUCUUACAAGAUUCAACAAAAGUUUUCAUAGAUUCAACCUUGAGGACAAGGCUUCUUUUGAUGUGGAAAGGAAUGUUACAACCCCAAAUAAAGGAUCCCUAAGAUCCUUUAAUCUUUAGUUUCUAUUUCUAUUUAAUUGGAGAAUAAAGUAUCCCUAAGAUCCAUCAAUCUUUAGUUUUUAUUUCUAUUUAGUUUCCUAUAUAAAAUAAGGAAAGUGUAAUGGAGAAAAACAUGAAAAAAUAAUCUCAAUAAGAAAAAUUUGUUCUCUCAAUUUUGCAUCUUUUCCUCAUAUCAUAAAAUUCUACAUGUGGAUUUUCUCCUUUUGAAGCUCUAUAUGAUACAAAAUUAAUUCUCUUUUACUCAAAUUCCAAGUAUGUAUUUAUAGAAAUGGGUAUGCUUUGACUCUCAAUGAACACAUUUUCUCAAUUUUUCUUCCUACCUAAGUGGAAAUAACAUAAGGCCAUUAAACUUGCUUUGAGAUUAAUUGUGGUUUUGACAAGCAUUUCAUCUAUAAUUCAUUUAUGCAGAACUAGGUAUAGUACAAGACCUCCUAAACAAAGUUUCUAACAGUAAUGAAUUGAAAAGAAGCUGGGUAAAACAAGUUUCUACUCACCAUCCCAAACAUUCCUUUAGAUGUAUUGUAUGGUAGAGGAUUAUUCUUUUAUUAUUAUUAUUAUUAUUAUUGUUAUUAUUAUUAUUAUUAUUAUUAUUAUUAUUAUUAUUAUUAUUAUUAUUCUUGUUUUCUUUUCCCUUUUAAUGGUUUAUAGUAGAUUCAAAUGCCAUUAUAGAAGUAGAAUUUCCUAAUUUAAUUUGUUGGACAAAUUUUCUUUGGUUUUACUAUAUUUUGUGUUUUGAAUACAUACAAAUCGAAAUAUAAUAAGAAAACAAUUAUAAUGUGUUUUUAAGGGGAAUUUUUUUAUCUUCUAUUAGCAAAAAAAAUAAAAAUCAACAAUUAUAAUAAUAUAGACAUUUGCAAUUUUUUUAAAAUGUCUCUGUUAGGACAUUGAGUUUUAUUUGUAUGUUGGUAAUUUUGUUCCAAUUUAUUUUUUGCCUUAGAAAUCUUUUUAGAUAGUGACUUAAUUUCCAUUGAAGAUCAAGGAUUGCUACUUGUCCAAUUGGAAAGUCAUAGGCACGUUUAAAAGGUUUGACUUGUGGCAAAUUGGGGUUCUAAAGGGUAUAAAUAAGAGCAUUAUUCUUUUUCUGGGACUGCUCGAGCGCUUAACUAGCACUCGAAUGCCCAAGGUGCUCAAGCAAUGGUUAAGUGUGCUUGGCCUCAAGCUCUCGAGUGUUCAUGCCGAUUCUACCAAAGAUUAGCAUAAUAUUUACAAAGAUUUCAUGCAAAUCCUAUAUGGAAACCUUGAGAUACCAACUCUCUUCAGCCUCUAAGCUUGUAUAUACCCCAUUAUGCCCAUUCUAAGGUUAGGAGAUUGAUUUAUUGUUGCUACUAAGAGAGAGCCUCCUGGAAAGAAAGCAUAAUGAGCCACACAAUUCCUAAUCUCUCAUUUGAAGGAUUCAUUCAAUAAUCUAGGGUUGAAAACUUGCAUCCCUUCAAUAAGGCUAAAGAGUAUUCAGUGAAGCAAUUAGAGAUUGUUGUAUCAUAUACGUGGAUGAAGUUGUAGGUAUUGGAGGGUAAGCCUUUAGGAUAAAACAACCAGGUAAAUUUGUGUAACUUGAUCUUGUAUAGUGGAUUUUGAUUAGUAGUCUUAAGCCUUGUGGUUUUUUUAUCUCCACCGUAGUGUAGGGAUUUUUCAUGUAAAAAUCAUUGUGUCCAUUGCUAUAUCUUGUGAUUAUCAUGAUUGUUUAGAUUCUAUUUAUCUCUAAUAUUAUCUCAUAGGGUAAAAAUUGAGUAUAACAUAUAAUCUUUAUUUUAGAAUUCUUUUAAUUACACCCAUUCACCUCUCUCUUCUCUUUGGGUGUUACCCUACUAGACUUGGCUUUUUUAGUCUCAAAAUCUAUAUUAGCAUUUUUUUUUUACUUGAGUUAUAAAUGGAAAAAGUUAUAAACUCGAGAUAACUUGUUAAAAAAGUAAGAAAUAAUAAAAGGACUUGUGUUAGAGCAUAAAUAACUAAUCCAUUCUAGGCUUAAUAUAGCUCCAAUGUCAAAUAUGAAUACUUAAUUAUUUAUUAUAUUUUGAAAAUAAAGUAAGUAUUUUUUAUAUAAAAAAUAAAACAACUUUUCUAGAACAACACAAGGCACUAAUGGAUAUAGUUGGUAACAAGUUGGAGAAACAAAAUAAUGUGGAGAAAUAAAACAACAUGUAGAAAUAAAACAACUUGGAGAGAAAGAAAAUGACUAACUGAAAAGGAAAUAGAGAAAUUAUAGAAUGUAAGAUAAUUACACUUAUUUUCAUAAAAAUAAUAUAUUCUAAUACAUUAAAUAAGAAUUAUUUUCCCAAAAAUGUACUCCCCAUGAAAAUGACUUUUGUGGGUUUUCUUUUAUUUAUAUUUUGUAAAUAGUGCAUAUUUACAUAAUUCCCUCAUAAAUAUAAUAUAAUAAUCUAUACCUGAUAAUUAAGGAAAUUGAAAAUAUUUACAUACUAAGCAAGGAUAAUGGAAAUUAAAGAGUAUGUCCAAAGAGAACAAAAAUAUUAAAGAUAAAUUAAAACUCUAAAAUACAAGCCUUAAUCUACACAUAUAGGCCAACAUCUUAGGACGUAUUUGAUUAAAUAAUAAUAAUAAUGAUUAAAAAAUAGAAAAAAUUAUGGGUCCCAUUUUUUAAGUGUUUUCAAUAACAUAAUUAUAAACCCCUUAAAAUUUAAAAUCAUUUAUUCAAACCACUUUAUUCAUUUAGCAACAAGGACUUAAUUAAUCACUAAGAUCAAACACAAUGAUUUAUAAUUUUUAUAAUUUUUUCUUCCAUUACUAUCAUUUUCUUUUUUAAUAAAAUGAAGAUUUCUAUUGAUAAUUUUUUUAUAAUAAAAUGUAACUUCUUUUAAAUUAAAACAUUUAUUAUUAAAAAAUUUAUUUUAAUUCAUCUAUGAGAUUAUUUUAACGAUUUUUUUUUUAGAAUUUUAAUAAUUUUUUUGUUUCAUAGUUAAAGAUAAAAAAAUUAUUAUUAAAUCAUUUUAUUCAUUAUAAAAUUUAUCUUUCUUUUCUAAAUCAGAAUUUUUGUCAUGUCCAUUCAUAUAAUAAAAUUAAAAUUAUAAAUAAAAAAACCUAAUUUAAUUGAUAGCACCAUGGAAUCUUUCCAUGCACACUCAUGCAGCCAUCAGUUCCCACAACAGCCACGUGUCUUCCAACGAGUAUAUUCCCUUUCUUUGGCUCUCCAUGUGUUUGUGUUCUAUUUUUAUUUUUUUAUUUUAUCUUAAUUAGUAGUUCACAUAACAAGCAUGACAAGGAUGAGUAGAUAUGUCACUUCUAACACUAAACCCACUUAAACCAAAGUGAAGUAUGAAUGCAGUAUGCAAGUCUAAAUAAUGGUGAAAUAAUAAAAACAACGGAGAAUGCAUGUAAGAUGUGUAUAUAACUAUAAAUAAGGAUUAAAAAUGAAGGGAAAAAUCAUUGAGAAGGGUGAACCAUGGGUGAUAAGCCACUUAGUUCAUCAUUUGGAUAAAUAUUAAAAGUUAAAGAGUAUAAAAUGUCUACGUAUGUCAUCAUUUUUUUAAGUUAAAUAUAUUCUUAUUGUUGUAAAUUAAGUAAUGAAUGUCACCACAUUUAUUAUAUUAAAUUUUCAUUAAAAGCCUAUAAAAAUGUUUCCUAUCCUCUGUAAAUUUCAUCCUAAGCAAAGAAAGAAACUUUCUUUCUCUCUUAUUUUAUUUUUAUUUUUUAUUCUUCAUAUAUUUCAUUAUUUCAACUCUCUUAAUUCUCUUUUAUGAUUCCUUCCUUUCCAUUAUAUAUUAUUAUCAAAAUAAUAUAUAGUUGUUCUCUACUUUUAUUUGUGUUGCAUUUAUCCUUCUUUUACAACACGUUAUUAGCACGAAUUGCUCUGAAAGUAAUUCUCGUAUCUUAAACUUGAAGUUAUUUAUAUAGAAUAAAAUUUUUCAUAUUUAUAUUGCGAUUGUUAAAUUCAUUUAAUUUGUGUUAUAUAUUAUUAAAAGUUAUAAGCAAAUUAUUUGAUUUUGAUUGUAAUCAAAAGUCAUACCAAUGCUAUUAAUUUAUAACUAAUUCUAUUAAUAUUGUUUUGUCAUAUAUCUAAAGUUAUUUAAUAAUGUCAAAUCUCACAAAACUUGAAUUUGUGGCACUUGACAUUCCGAGAAAGAACUAUCCAUCUUGGAUCCUUGAUGCUAAAAUACAUCUCGAUGCAAUGAAUCUUGGAGCUACAAUUAAAGAAAGAAAUCAAGCAUCCUUGUAGGACUACUCAAAAACGUUGAUUUUCCUUCGCCAUCAUCUCUAUAAAGGUUUUAAAAAUGAGUAUCUUAUAGUAAAUGACAUUUUUACUCUAUGGAGUAAUUUGAAGGAAAGAUAUGACCACCAAAAAGUUGUGAUUCUCCCAAAAGCUCGAUAUGAUUGGAUGCACUUGAGGUUGUAGGAUUUUAAAACUAUUAGUGAAUAUAACAUAACUCUACACUUUUCAAAAUCAACUCUCAAUUAAAGUUGUGUGGAGAAAAAAUCACAAAAAAAGAAAAAACUUUACUAUAUUUCAUGCCUCGAAUGUGAUCUUACAGCAGUAAUACCAAGAGCAUAGAUUUAAAAAAUACUCUGAAUUAAUAUCAUGUCAUCUUGUUACUGAACAAAAUAAUGAGCUUUUGAUGAGAAAUCACUAGUCUCAUCCAAUUGGAUCUUAACCAUUCCUUGAAGUGAAUGCAAUAUCAUCCUAAACUCGUGGACAUGGACGAGGACAAGGAAAUGGUCGUGGUCGUGGAAGGAAUCCCCAAUAUAAUGGUUAUUAUAGUAAUAAUUCCUCAAAUCCUCAUAAAAGGAAAGCUUCAUUGCACCUCCAGAAGUGAAAUAAUAUUGAGGCAAAAUAAGAAAAUGGGAAAUGUUUGCAAGAUAAACCUCUAAAGAACCAUGAGAAUAAUUGUUAUAAAUGUGGUCUGAAUGGUCAUUGAUUGCAUACCUAUUGUAUACUCAAAAAUAUGAUCGACCUUUACCAAGCAUCAAUAAAAGCAAAAGGAAAAGAGAUAGAGAUGAACUUUACCUAUGGUGAUGGAUUGGACCUAACCUACUAAGACAUUGAUUUCUUUGGAGGUCUUAGUGAAAAAACACACUAUUUAAUAAAUGAUGAGAAUGCUAACAUUGAUUGGUGUUACAUUAUAUAUCAAAUAAUAUAUUAUUAUGUCUUAUAUUUAUAUCUGGUUAUUACAUUUUCUUUUAUAUUGUUAUUUAUAAUAUUAUGCCUUGUUUUUUUAAUAUUAGUUGCAUUUAAAAUCCAUGUGUUAUUUGGUCUUAAGAUGACUAAGGAUGAUGUAUGUCUCGUAGAUUGUGAAACCACAUACACAAUUCUUCGAGAUAAAAGAUAUUUCCUUGAAUUAACAUUGAUAAAAGCUAAUGUAUGUACCAUAAUUAGUAUUACAAACUUAGUUAAAGAAUCUGGAAUAGGAAACAUAAUGCUACCAAAUGGAACUAGAUUUCAUAUAAAUGAUGCUUUAUAUUCUAGAAAAUCCAUAAGAAAUUUGCUCAGUUUUAAAUAUAUUCGCAGAAAUGUACAUCAUAUUGAAACUAUGAAUGAAGAUAAUGUAAUUAUCUUUACAUUACUUCCAUUAUAUCUGGCCAGAAGCUUAUAAUUGAAAAACUCUCGGCUUUCUCCUCUAGGUUGUAUCAUACAACUAUAAAGCCUAUUGAAUCAUAUUUUUUCAUGAACCAGAAGUUCAACAACCCAAAAGUUUUUGUCUUUUGGCAUGAGAGACUAGGUCACCUAGGGUUUUCAAUGAUGCAUCAAAUAAUCAAACACUCACGUGGGCAUCCACUAAAGAACCUAAAGAGUCUUUUGCAUAAUGAAUACUCAUGUGCUGCUUGCUCACAAGGUAAAUUGAUAGUUAAACCAUCUUUUACUAAAGUCAUAUUUGAGUCACUAGUCUUUUUAGAAAGAAUACAUAGGAACAUAAGUGGGCCUAUCCAUCCACCAUGUAGACCAAUUCGUUAUUUUAUGAUCUUAAUAUAUGCUUCUCCUAGGUGGUCACAUGUUUGUCUCCUUUUUACAUGUAAUGUUGCCUUUGCUGGACUCCUAUCACAAAUGAUCAAAUUAUGAGCACAAUUCCAAUGUUAUCCUAAUAAGAUAAUAUGUCUUGAUAAUGUUGGCGAAUUUACUUCUCAAACAUUCAUUGACUACUGUCUAUUGGUAGGGAUAAAUAUUGACUAUCUUAUUGCUCAUACUCAUACCCAAAAUGGUUUAGCAAAAUCCUUCAUCACACGUCUCCAAUUAAUAACUCGACCAUUACUAAAGAAAACCAAAUUAUCUACUUCUGCCUAGGGACAUGCUAUUAUGCUUGUUGCAGCUUUAGAUCGUAUUCGACCUACAACUUACCAUUCCCUUCACAACUCGUACUUGAAAACAACCAAAUAUCUCACUUAUGAAUCUUUGGUUGUGCAGUAUAUGUACCAAUUGCACCUACACAUUGCAUUAAAAUGGGUCUCAAAUGAAGACUUGGGAUUUAUUUAGGUUUUAAUUCUCCAUCUAUCAUAAGAUAUUGUAAGAAAAAUUAGGCUAAUCCAACCUAAGGUAAUCACCCUAGAGAGGGUGGGGGGGGGGGGGGGUGAAUAGAGUGAUGAUCUCUUUUUGCAAAUUUAAAUUAUAUAAAUAUAAGAGAUAAUUAUAUGCAAAUAUAUAAUAAAACAAUAUAAAGACAAUUGCAUAUAAAGUAUAAGAGUAGGAAAGAGAGAAUGCAAACACUGGAUUUUUAUAGUGGUUCAGUGUAACCCAACUUACAUCCACUCUCCUCUAGCUUCAGUCCCAAGCUUGAGGUUCCACUAUUUCAAGGCUUCCAAAUCAAGCCUUCAAGCAAUAUAAUUGGAUUAUAGUUCCAAUACACGCUCUUGGAUUUUUGGCUCCAAACACCCUUUACAAUCCUUAAGAGAUACCCCACUCUUGAACAACCCCUCAUGUGAUACCCUACACUUGAGAAUUCCUAAAUGAUAUCACACAUUUAAAAUUUUCUUCUCAAAGAUUUACAAAUGAAGAUAAGAUUGAAAGGUGCACUAAUGAUAUGCAAGUUUUAGAACAAUGGUGCACUAAAAAAGACUCUCUCAAGGCUCAAAUAUAUUAAAGAAGGGUUUAAGCUCUUGAAACAAUGAAGAUUGAAACCUUUCUAUAGAGGAAAACGAUCAAACUAACCAUUGAAGGUUUGACCAGUCGAGCUAGGGGUCAACCAGUUGACUAGCCAUUAGCAUUUAAUGCUUAGUAGGUAACCGUUGGAUCUUGACCAGACCUCGAUUAGUUGAACAAGCGUUCUGGAAGAGAGAAAAGGUUUUUGCACCCGUCGACCGGUUGAGCUAAACAAGUCAACUAGUUCCUCAUCUGGUUCAACAGGUUGAGUCGUUUUUGGCUCAACAAUCAUCAUUUUCAACUUAAAACAUUUUAAACAAGUUUGAAAAACAUUUGACAUAAGGUUUUAGUUGAAAACAUGAAAUUAUUAAAUUUUAAAGGAUUUAAUACAAAAUUAAUUUUGGAUGAUUUUGGUGCAUAAAUUAAUAAUGUAAUGCAUAAAAGACCUAGUGCAUCAACAACCUUACAAAGAAAUCUUAGAAAGUUUAGGUCUUGAAAAACACUUCUUUUUUAAGUCUUUUUCUUCUUAUUGAUUACUCUUUGUCUUGAUUUUGUCUUUUUGAUUGACACUUUGGAAAUAUUCUUGCCUAAUCACACUUGAAAUAUAAUCAUUAGUGUCAAACCUUGUUUUAUUAUCAUCAAAAUCGAGAUUAACCAAACCUUGGUUUCACAAAUAUCUUGAACCUUUGACAGUCGAUGUUUUUAUAGUCUGCUUUGCAGAUUGUCAUUUUAAUGAGAGUGUUUUCCUGUCAUUAGGGAGAGAAAAUUCAAUUCCUAAAGAAUGGUGAGAAAUUACUUGGAAUGCAUCUACUAUGUUCCAUUUUGAUCCUUGUACAAAUCAAUAUGAACUAGAAGUUAAAAGGAUCAUUUAUUUGCAAAAUCUUGCAAACCAAUUACCAAAUUGUGGACCCCGCAUUUCGGCUGGCUCGAAUGCGUUUCCCACUCGAUGGCGAAACUCGAUUUUUAUUUGAAAAAUUGAUUUUUUAUUGAUUAAGAAAAAUGACUUGGAGUCGCCACUUAUUUUUGUUUUAUUUUUAAAGGGUAAACAAAAUAAGAAAGAAAACCCUAAGUGUGACUCCUGAUUUUUGGAAAAGGUGGUUUGUGAAAACCGGAUCGGGUUCGGGGGUCAGGUUACUUAUCGGGAAGGUACGGUAAAGACCGUAGCACCCCUCUAAGUCCCUAAAGUCGGGUCUCUACUAAUAGAAUGAAGCUAACAUGGCGAUGAUGAGGAAAUCAAUAAAUACUCAAAUCAAUCAUGCACAUAUGAGUAUCAAAACAUGCGUAUAGCAAGACCAGAAUAAGGACAGAUGCGUACCUGGGCAACGAUCUUCAAUGCGCUAUCAAGAAGUGAGAUUAGUGCACAAUUAAAGGAUGAUCACAUGCAUAUCAUAGAGCAGAAUAAAUCAUGUAUGGCACCCAAAUCAACCAAACAAUCCAUCAAUCAUAAAAUCUCAUAUGUUGGGCCCCCACCAAAACCCGUUUAUUUUUGCAUGAAUUAAUUCCGUAAAUUCCAUUGUUCGGAAUUACGGAAUUUAAAUUCAUGUUUAUUUUAAAACAUUUUAAAAACAAAGAAAAUGCAAAAGUGGCUUGCCGGAAAGAAAAUGGCAACCAAAUUUUAUUGAAAAUGAGAUUUUUGGUAUCUUAAAAAAAAAACGAAAGGUGAAAAAGUAGAGGAGCCGGGAUUAUUUGAAAAGAUGAAUUGAAGAUAAUAUUUACAAAACGGGACAUGGGGCAAUUGUUUUAAAAUCAAAGAUGAUGAAGAAUAAAAGAAAGGAGGACACGUGCCUAAGGCUGCAUGCAAAAAUACUUGAGUGGGGGAGUUGGUGAGGAAUGGUCGCGCAUGGAUGAAAUCCUGAUCAUAACUGUGCUUACUCGAUCAACUUGUGGAUUGGGAUCAUCAAAUUCUGAAAACCCUGCGUAAAACUCAAACCAUUGAAUGUACCACCAUCAAUCACAGCGCUGCUGACCUUCUUAAACAGCCCGUAUGGUGCCUCUAUCUCACUCACACUAAAUACUGCUUCCCUUGCCAGAGCUUCAGGAUCAUGAAGACCUCUUGCUUGAUUCUGCAGAGAAAACCUGAAGAGGAAGAGUGAAGAUGCCAGGGUACCUGAAAAUCCUCAUUAUCAAGAACAUGAGUGACAGCCUUUGCAGGCCUUUCUUGACCUUCUUGCAUUUCCAGCACAUGAGCAGCUGCAUCCCCACAACUCCCAGAUUUACCAUGUUUCCUAGCAUAGCAUGAAUCAUCAGAAUCACUGUCACCAGCACCUUCUUUGACCAUUAUCAAAUCAACCCACAGUUUCUCUUGUUUUUAGCUCUUCACUUCCGUCGUUCAGUGUAAAGCCAUUGAAAUGUUGAAGGCGCCGAGAUGGGGAAUAAGCUUGCAUGCGGGCUUAGCAACAGCCUGAUUUCCUCUUCAGUAAAUGAAACUAACAGCAGUAACCUUUAAGGGAUUGGCAAUGAGCAUCAAAUCCCAGCACAAGAACAUCCACCAGUUAUUUCUUCAAAUUUCCAUGAUCGAGGUGAACAAUGAUAGGAGUAUCAAUCCUGUACUGACAUAGCAGAGAAGAAUGAAAUCCAUUGCCAGUGAUAGUCCUCAACAAACUUUACCACAAUGCGAGAGGUGUAGCAGCCAAGGACUGGGGCAUAACCAUUUCCGAUUUUGGCCAUAGUGAUUCUUAGUUAUCAUGUCUGGAUGGCCUGGUGGAACCCUAGUAGAGACUCCAUUCCAACCACGUUUUCAGAUUCAGAAAACUCUGAUUGGAAAGAAACCUUAAGCCACACCUUGAAUUGAUAUCCAAACUUCAAUUUUUCACAAGAGAAUUUUGAUUCGCAAAAUCGGUCAAGUUCAUUUCCCUUCACUUCCCUGAAAAUCUGGAAGCUUCCUACAAAAGAUCCUCGUCUGAAGUCGAGAAGCUAGAAAGCUCAGAGAGGUUUUCCCCGUAAGACGCCAACCUCAUAUUGAGAACCUCAGUCUAUGAAUCAAGCUGCGUUUUCUCUCCUGCACCGUGCCGUGGAUGACUCCCCACUCUCUGAGGACACCAAAACUCAGGGAUGACACCCUCCGCACACCCACAUACCUCACCUAGCUUCCUGUAAAUCCCCUUCUCUAGCUCGCUUCCACUGCAUAAACCAUCUUUGCACCUGCUUGUGCUAACCAGAUCACAAGAAUGCCACUCCCAGUUCCUUUUCAAUCAAAAUCAAAUUCGAGUAACAAUUGAUCUCUCCAACCAGUUUUUCCUAUUUCAACAAUAUCUUCCGCAGCAUCAAGAAGAAUUUGGAGAUAUAUCAGCAGCCAUGGAUGAGAAUAUCUGUGAUUAAGACCAACUCGGUCAACAAAGGGAACCCACAAUUCUCUUCGCGUGAUUGCAUGGCUACACAGUCUCUGAGAAGCAUAGAUCUAAAUAGUGCACCAAACGCUUUCAUGCCUUACAAAGAGGCCACGUAGGAAUCGCCAAUACCCUGUGGCCUUGAUGCGGCUGCUAAAUGAGCUCACCACUCUGGCUGCUCGACAGGGAAAGCUGCUGGCCUGGGCACUCUUCACUUUCUGCCAGAUUGAAGGCUUACUUGAUGAAUGAGCUUCACGAAUGUACAAGGUGGAAAAGUGAGGGUGGCAACUAUAGGGUGUAAGAAAUGAGUAUGAAUGAGUCCUAUACCCGUGGGUAUAGUGAGAUAAAGCAUGAUGGAAUAGAAAUGGGCAGAGACAAUGUGGAUAUGGGACAUGGUGGAACGAGCAAAGUGGUUAGGCUAUUGAUGGUGAGCAGGGUACGGGUGAAGUGAUGUGUAUGGUGCAUGAGGGUAUAGUGAGUGGGCUAUGGAUGACAGAAUUGGUGAGAAAAAUGAGUGGAGAUAUGCUGAGUGUAAGGGAUAGGAAGGGUGAUGAGAAGUGGGUUAAUGGUGAUGUGAUAGAUAUGUGAAAUUGGAAAAUGAGAAAGGUGAUAGGUAAAAGAAAUGGGUAUGGAUAAUGGCCGGGUUUGCAUGGUUCCAUGCACAUGGGUAGAUGGACCUGGGAAGUCAACAAGGGCUUUAGAAGGAGCUUUGGACAACCAUGCAUGUGCAGAGGUAGGUAUCAAGGAGAAUUCAACCUCACUCUGAUCAUUUAGAACGGGCAAGUAUCUUAGCAGUAGCAUCCUUCAUAGUGGAUUUCUCUGCUCAUCUGGCAUGUACCAGAACGCAUCCAGCACCUUUAAAGAGUGAUCUAGCACCUUCAUUCUUCAGGAUCUGUGAGAAUGCAUCGAAAGAGCUCUUGUAUUUGACAGCUUCGCCUGAGAUCAUCAUCAUCCUUCUACGCGCUGUAUCUAUUGGGUAAUAAGCCAAUCCUGUACCUAUUGUGAUUCCUUAUCCCAGCAUGAAACUAGCCAAGAGACUAUCCCCUCAAGACAGGCCCUGGCGCAUAGUACAUCUCCACAUCUGUGUACAUCUGGGCAUAAUGCGUGUCACCCUGUUUGCGAGGCAGCUUAAAGCCUGGUUCAGGAUAUAUCAUUGUUUCGACAGGAAGCUUGUACAAUCGAUGUGGGCAGAGCCAAAUUGGGUAUACCUCCCUCUCAUGAGAUACCCAUUCUAGAGCAUCUACCUCGCCCAGAAUCUGCUCCACAAGGUAAAAUUUUCCAUAAGAAUCAUCAAAAGUAGGAUUGCUUCCUCCAGAUUAUUUCUCGGUACAUAUGAACCAUCCAUCUGAACAACUAAACUGGGUGGUGCAGCUGCAUGGAACAGUUUUGCUUGCAAUUGGGCAAUUCGUUCUUGCCUUUCUGGUGCUGGAAACCAUUCUGCUUCCUUUGGAUUCUCAUUUUCCACCUCACUAAAUAUAACCUCAGUUACACCCUGUUUGGACAUGCCAAAUUCGUCUUUCUAUGGUUCUGUUAGAAAAGCCUCUGCUUCAGGAGCUUUACCAAGUGAUCCUUUCCAAUGCGUGGAUACCUCUCCACUAAACUAUUGUAGCCUAGUGGGAACGGGAAGCCGUUGUCAUUUUCAUCCCUACUGCAUGCUCCACUCCUCUUGAAAUCUGACUCGUCUCGGUGCAGGGAGACACAGAGGCCAAAUCAACAUGAGUACAAAUAGAAGGAACCCCGACAAAGGUAAUGUGAUCAGGUUGAGUUCUUGAUUUGAAUAGCAGCCCAGAGAACUGAAGAGCCUCGUCAGCUUGGGCAUUCUGAACAUAACCAAUAAUUAGGGAAGUCCAUGGUACUAAAUCUAGUCUCAGCAUCUCAUUGAAAACAUGUCUUGUCUUCUUAAUAUUCCCACACAAUGUGUAUAUGUGAACAAGCGUACUAGCUGCAAAUGAUAACAGAUCAAACCCAAUCCUCGUCAUAUACCCAUGAACCUGCUUACCCAAUUCUUCCGCAACGAGUUUCUCCAAUCCAUAAGCAUCUUGAGACCCUCUUAACCCCCAUUGAUCAUGGAAAACUCAAGCAUGCCGAAGCUGAUCAUCAUAAUAACUGGAUGGUUGGACUACAUGAACCCCAUUCCUCCCAUAUUGGCAACAAGGUUAAACGCAUGGUCAAACCCAACAGUGACCUUCAAGCAGUUGCUCAUCACCUUGAAAUCAAUCAAGAUAGGAUUCAUGACAGAACACAUCUUCAGUCAUAGGCCCUCUCUUCUUCCAGUCAGAAGCAAUAAUGUAGUGGCCCUCCGUCUUCAGACUCCGAGCAAUAUGAAAGGCAAUAAAGCCAUCAGCACCAGUGAUUGAGAUCUGGAACUUUUCAGAUUGUUAGUGUGGUUCCUUCUCAAGCUCCUCAUAGGUGUACCCUUCGUAAGUGGCUCCAUCGGUACUUCCCAUUCUCCUCUGUUUUCUAAAAAACGACUGUGAAUACUUCCCCUCUCAAUAUCUUAAGCUUGUUGUCUUUCCACUUGUUCUACAAGAAACAUGGCAGUAUCUUGAAGAUUUCUGAUGCCAAGACCCCUCAAAGCAACCCCCGAUUUAGACAGCCAAACCCAAACAAGAUGCUCAACACUCCAAGAGAGAGAUAACAAGAACAGGGGAAAGAGAAUGAAGAAAAAUAAAUAAAUAAAUAAAAACAGAGCAUGCAUGAGGAAGAACGAUGCCUUGAAAUCCAAACUCCAUUUUCAUGAAUACUAAGAGACUUGCAAAACAAAGUGGUGGGAGAAUCUUAACACGCUAAUAAGUAGCGCAACCAUUGUAAAUACAUACAGAGAAAUAAAGAUGCUCAACAAGUAACAAUGAAAAGCAAGUUUAACAGCUUAGAUGACCAAAGCAAGCAUCCACUAUCAGUCGGAAACCUAGUAAUGCAGUAAUACUGGAGAAUUUAAAGUGAGGAAGGAUCAAACCUGAGCGGUUCCUCCCCUGCCCUGCUAACUUCCUCUCUCGGCUCCCCUCGAAAAACCUCCUCCUCCCUCUGUUUUCCUCCCAAAAUCUCUCUCUAACGGCUUGCUCUCAAACCACCCUCCUGCAGCCCCAGGUACCGUCCCCACUACCAUGCAGCUGGCAGCCCCAAAAGCACUCUCUCCUCUGCUCACCUCAACAACCUACAGCUUUUGCAGAUUCCUCCUUGCCAGGUGUCAAUCUCUGAUUGGCUUUCAAAAAAACUGUUCUGAUUCCAUGAUAGCUAAUCAGGGAUUGACACGUGGCCUCCUAGAAAUGCUCCAUCUGGCCAAAUAAGCUGCAACAAAUUCAAAAAGAAAGUGCUCCCAAAAUGGGGGUCUACAAAUAUGCCCCUCUUCGGUAGAGUUCACGAGUGUAAAGAACAUGAACACUGGAGUGAAAAGUAAGUGUGAAUAGUGAGUGCAAUGAAGUGAACUCUAUCGAAGAACCAAGGAGACCCCCAUAGGGACACUAGUGAGAUGUGAACUCACUCAGGCCAAAAGACAAACACAAAGGCUCUAAUCCUAAAAGAGAAAGAUGGGUGCCUCAAAAUGCCUCUAAAGCCACACUAAGGAUCCAAGCUCCCUCUAAAACGUCUCCAAAAGUGACCCGAAGAUCGAUGUCAAAGGUGAGUAACGGUCAAACCACCCUGGAGUACGAACAAGAAUGCGUAUAAAGGAGACUGCCCUAUGUGGACUACGAGAUGAAUAAGCGAUAAGCACAGGGUAACGAGGGGAGAGUGAGAAUAAGUGCAAAUCCAUGAAGGUGAGACGUGCAAUGCCAGAGAAUAUGAAUGCUAGGAGCUGUGACUUUGAAUGACGAGACUGACUCUAAACGCUAAACUAGAAAAAUAAUGGCUCUGGAAGCCAAACCAAAAAAAACUAACUCUAAACGCUAAACUAGAAAAUAAUAGCUCUGGAAGCCAAACCAAAAAGCUAACUCUAAACACUAAACUAGAAAAUAAGAAAAUAAAGCUCUGGAAGCCAACCAAAAAGCUAACUCUAAACACUAAACUAGAAAAUAAGAAAAUAAAGCUCUGGAAGCCAACCAAAAAGCGAACUCUAAACGCUAAAAUCGAAGGCGCAUAGGUGAAGACCUACGGUGGUGAUAAUAACUGAAACAAAGGCUCAUGGAUGAAAAUCCAUGAUGGUGAAUCUGAAAUGCCCAUAGAUGUCUGAUCUAUGGUGGUGAAAUCUGAAAUGCCCACAGAUAAAAAUCUAUGGUGGUGAUAAUCUCGAAAUGCCCAAGGAUGAAAAUCCAUGGUGGUGAUAUAAUCUCAAAAGCCCAAGGAUGAAAAUCCAUGGUGGUGAUAACUGAAUCAAAGGCUCAUGGAUGAAAAUCCAUGAUGGUGAAUCUGAAAUGCCCAUAGAUGAAAAUCUAUGGUGGUGAAAAUCUGAAACAAAGGCUCAUGGAUGAAAAUCCAUGAUGGUGAAUCUGAAAUGCCCAUAGAUGAAAAUCUAUGGUGGUGAAAAUCUGAAACAAAGGCUCAUGGAUGAAAAUCCAUGAUGGUGAAUCUGAAAUGCCCAUAGAUGUCUGAUCUAUGGUGGUGAAAACUGAAUGAAGGGGGAUGCCCUAGACAAACUAAUGGUAGGGGGAUGUCCUGAACAAGAUGACAAUAGGGGGAAUGCCCUAAACAAGAUGACAGUAGGGGGACGCCCUAGGUGAUAACUCAUAAAGAUCGACAAAUGCGUCUGACAAUCAUGAAAUCAGCACGAGACAUGGCAAACCCAAAGAGAGGGGAAUGCCCCAAGUCAAGCGCUAAAGGGGUAUGCCCCAGUGUGACGACUCACAAAGAUCAAGAAAUAGGUCGAGUAAUGAGAGAAGUCGGCAAAACGUCAAUGAACUCAAGGAUGGGGGUAUGCCCCAGUAUGACAACUCACAAAGGUCAAGAGAUAGAAUGAACAGCAAGAGAAUCUGCAAAAGAUCUGGUGAACUCAAGGAUGGGGGUAUGCCCCAGUGUAGGAUAGUAACUAACAUGAGACACGGAAUCUCACCAAACAAGACACUCUGGGAUAUGCUCAAUGAUGAUGCAAUGAAAAGGAUAUACAUAGCCUCAAUGAACAAACGCUAAAACAAGUCCAAACAUCACUGAAAUCAUGCUAACAAAGUAAAACUAAAAUAAUGGAUCAAACAAAUGCUGACCAAAACUCUAGGUCUGAAAUGGAAGCAAAUCAAAACACGACAUGUCAACUAUCAAUAUGAGUACAUCAUCACAAGUGCAUCAACAAUCUAACAGGCCCUACCAUCACGGAAGAUGUUGAACCUAAUGUCCAAAGGCAUGUGAAAGCUCGACCAGAAAGCCGAGACUAGCCCAUAUCUUCCCCUGAUCAAGAGAAAGGGAUAAGGUCAUGUAAGACGAUGAAAUAUGUGGGCUCAAAAGAUGUAAGGCUCUGAUAAGAUGGGUGCAGAUAUAAUAGUGUCCAAUGUAGGAUGUAUAGGUGUGUAACAAAGGAAAGUGGGUACCCAAAUCAAACUAGGUAUGCUAAGGAGACUGAGCCCAGGGUGCCAACAACUCUAUAAUCCAUCGAGAGCAGCGAUCAUAAACAAGAAAUGGAGUCUCAAUGUCAAAAUCAGCAAGGUGGCUAUGCCCCAGUAUGAAUGCAUCGUCUCAGAGUGGGUAAGCUCUCAAUGCAGAAUGAUCUCCGGAAAGUAAGUGUCUGGUAUAAACUGUCAUCUCACAAAAUCAUCGCCAAGACGAGUGGGGUAUGCCCUAGUGUAAGCAUCUCCAAAUCAAACAUCCAUGAGAAGAAUACAACCAAUCAUACCUCAUCUGAUCAAAAUGAACAUCUGCUCAUCAAAGCCAUCGUGGUAAUGUGAAGAGAAUAUCUGACCUCCCCCAAAGAAAAUAGCAUGUCCCAAUGUGAACAACCGCCAAUGAAAGGGUUAUGCCCCAGUAUAGGGCAAACCUUGAAAUGACUAAACUCCGCAGUAUGCUCUCAUAAGUGUCCGUGUCCUGAUCCAAUCAUCUCAAAAAUAUGUCAACAAUGAUGAGAAGGUUAUGCUCCUGUGAUCAUAUCAAAGAAAUCACCCGAUCAUAUCUCGUACUCCAAUGUGAAAUGAAUCUAAUCGCCUCCAAGGAACAUCUAUGCCUAAAAACCACCAUCGACCGAAAGGGGUAUGCCCCUGUGUAAAGUACACUAGAUGAAACGCGCCAAUCAUGUUUCAUGCUCCAAUGUGAAGAAAAAUGACAUCUGAUAUCCUCCAAGGAAUGGACAUGGCUCAAAAAUCUGUCAUCGACUGAGAAGAGUAUGCCUCGACAUAAUGGUCAUCCGAUAAUAAAACUCUCUGAGAUGGCUAUGCCCCAGUGUAAGGUCAUACCAUAACUCUCGGUCUGUCACAAUCAGAAUGCUCUCGAAUCAAUCUCAAGUAUCGCUCACAUAAGAGCUAUCAAACACAAUGUGUGAUGUCAUGGCCUCAGGGUGGUCUUAAGACUCAGGACGUAACGUAGGCUAGGGUGAUAGGGUGAUAGAAAUGAAGGGAAACUAGGCCCAAAUACCCAAUGAUCAAAACCCAUGCCCUCAUGUAUAAAAUGCAACAUGUAUAGAAAAUAUCGUGAGCCAUGGACCUGAAGAUGCCUACUGUGAACAUGGUAACAAUGAUGAUGCAAUGAAGAAAAAUCGAACUGAUGACGAGAUGUAUAAUGAUGGCGCGAAGAGGGUAUCAAACCCGAAAAUGAGGUCACUGUAAGAAUGGAAUAAGGGGUGGAAUGAAAAUGAUGAAACAGAAGUGAAAACGAGGAUGAUGAUGAAGCAUAGAAUACGAGAACAAGUGAUGAUCUGCUCAAAUCAAAUAUGAAAGGAAGUCACGUCAAUAACGAACAUAAUGAUGGAAUGGACAAUGACCCAGAGCUCCUAAGAGAAGGCCACUCAUCUCGCUCUCAAAACAUACAACAAAAUGAAUACGAAGAAUGAAAGGUCCCGAGGAGCUCACAUACGAACUCCCAUGAAUAGACAUAUCCAACAAAGCGACCCCUCGAACACUAAUAUACACAUACUGAAUGAUAGAGAAUAAUACACACAUGUGCCUCUUUUCUUUUUAUCUUUUUUUUUUUUUUUUUUUUUUCAAUCAUUUUUUUUUCAAUUUUUUUUUUUUUUUUACAUAUAUGCAAAUAUACAUGUUCUGAAUGCAAACCAAGAAAGACCCAAAGAUGGGAUCAAAAGUGAAUAAACAUGCCCUCAAAUAUCAAUAUAUCACAAACUCUCUCUAAUGAUGUGACCCUCUCAAGCCAAGGAUCCCUGGAUCAACGUCCGUAGGAUAGAUAAUGGAAAAUGACAUGACUACCCUCCAUGUAAUGAACUGAGGAUGAUCACCAUUCGGGGUGGGAGAAGAUGAAGCGAAACAAACGAUAGAUAUAAUAAAGAAGAGGAUGAAGAACCAACGAGAUGUCACGAAAUGCAAUGACGCAAUGAUAGGAAAAGAUAAUGAGAAAGAUGUGCCCCUAGGUCCAAGGCUCAUGAAACUCCUAAACAAUGCAUGCAUACACUGAAGGGCCCCUAUCCCGGUGUAGAAGGUGAGCAAGGCUAUAAGAAAUAAAAGGCUAUGAUGCUCAUGAGAGGCUCAAAGGGCUAGCAAUGGUCUAGAUGUCAAUAAAGGUAAUAGGGUGUGAGCUAACCGAAAUGAAGGCCACCCAUCUUACGACCACGGUCUCAAACAUCAUGCUAUCAAGCCCUCAAAUGAUCAAUACUAAAGAUCGAUGUCCAUCUGAUAUAACCACGUCAACCCUCUAGAAUCAUCCACCAACCGUACUCCAAAUGCAAAGUAAACUGUGAUCUCAUCAAGCAAUACUGCCCAUCACAAGCCAACUCUCAUCAUACAAUAUCAAUCUCUAUACUCACGAUAAGAUAAGUGACAGUCUCAUCAAGCAAUCGACCAAUCCUCAUAUCGUAAGCCACCCAAAUAUCAUAAGCCAACUCUCGCCAUGCCAGAUCAACCCUGGGCUCGAACUCCUCACACUCUACCUGGUCGAAUCAGAGAAGGGAUGUGUAAAGCUAGAAAAGCCGAGGAUGGAAAGGUCAUAUAACGGUCUCAAGGGUGAUGCUGUGCAAAGCUCGUAAUGGAUGGAUGUAGGUCAAAUCAAAGGCAAGGUGUGGGAAGUGAGCAAGGUACUGCUAUGAUCAUAAGAAGAUGUGUCACAGUCUCGAACUCCCUAGGUCAAAUCUCUGAUCCUAGGCUAAUAGGCUCAAUAUCCCCCAUGACAGGUCACUCCUCAAGACUACAACGUGCAAGUGAAGAAAUGCCUCAAGUAAAAAUCACAACACAUCAUAUCACAAGACACAAACACAUGUCCAUAAAGGAAAAGACAUCCAAUAGGAUAACCGAUGAGUACAUCAUGCAAAAGAAGGAUAACAAAGACAAUACUCAAGAAUCGAGUUAUAGUCUCUAAAAGUCAAAAUCAAAACAAGACUAAACAAACAAAAACAAAAACAGUGACUGGUCCUGCCAUCACAUCUCUGGCCAUAGAAGGAACAAAAUCUGAGCGCCACCUUACCAAGGUAAGUCAAUCGCCCAAAUCAAUAAGAUCAGGGAUUGCUGGUGAAGGGGUGUCUGCAUGCAUGGCCUGAGCUGAGGUAGGUAUAGAAAACAUAUCGGACUGAGGAUGCCCAAAUAUACCAGAAUCAACAAUGUCCUGUAUGGCAUGUCGUAGAGCAGUGCAACGAUCAGUGUGAUGUCCUGCUGACUGAUGGUAUAUACAAUAUAAAUCAAGUCGAAACUGUGGAGGCACAGGAUCUGGAAGUGCCCUAGGAGCCAGAGGAGCCAAAAGUCCCAUGGCUUGGAACGUCUCAAAAACUCUGCUCAGGGGUGCGCUCAAAUCUGAAAAGUGUCUCCGACAUCGUCGAUGGGGGUGAAAUCGCUCCCGAGGAACUGUAACGACCGGAGGGCCCCGAAGCUGGGAUGGAGGUCGUGCCAACAUAGCCAAUGAAAUGGAUGAGGAAUGCUGCUGGAGUACUAAAUGUGGGCGAGGUCGUGGAUGCGAGGCACCCAAAGUAACAGGUGUCGGUGAAGUCAAGUGUGGCAAUGAAGGUAUCGCUACUCCUGGAGCUCCUCUCGAUGACGAUGGAUGCUCUGACAAAAUAAGCUCAAUCCUCUCAACCCUCCGUGUCAAAUCCACCAUCAUCUCAUAAAGAGCAGUAAGAGUAAUGGGUGUGAUCUCGUCCGACAUGGUGAACCUCAACUGAAGAAGUCUAAUCUCAAUGUGCUCUGUAUCAUAACCAUCAUACCAUCAAUAUCUGCUCGGGGACCAGUCACGACACUAAAACUGUCCAAGACUCUAAAACAAACACAUGCAAAAGACAAAACAAAGCAACACAAGAUGCUAACACAAGAUAACAACACAUAAAAUACAUGAUACGAAACAAUGAUAAUAAUAAAAUAAAAAAGACAAAAACAAUACCCAAGAAAACAACAAUAUCACUAAGUGAAAUGAGAGUACAUCAUGCAAAAUAAUAGGACAACAAAGGUCUACUCUCGAAGCACAAGGUGCGAACUCAAAACACUAACUAUAAAACAAGACUCAAAUACAAAAUAAAAGAGAACAAAAACUCAAACGACCAACUAACAAUGUAGUCCCAAAACACACCAACAAGGUAUGCAAUAUCAAAGUGUCUGGUGAAUAUCAGUGCCCUAGGUGUCCAAAAUGUGAUGGUAUAAGCCCGAAGGAGGAGGAACUGCAUGUGUGGACUAAGCUGGAAAGGAAUCAGUAGACAUAUCUGGACCAAGAUCAGUGUCUGUAGUCGAUAUGGGAAAGCUAACUGCACCACUGUCAAUAAGAUCUUGUAUGGUGUGACGCAGAGAAGCACAAUAAUCAGUACGGUGGCCCGCCAUCUGGUGAAAUGCACAGAACUCAUGAGCAUGAAAACGCGGAGGCAAGGUACUCGGGAGUGGCCUAGGGGCCAAUGGUACUAAAACACCAGUAGAUCGGAGUCGCUCAAAAGCUCUAUCCAAAGGUAUCCCUAAAUCAGAAUAAGUCCUCUGAUGUCGCCGAUGGGGACGAGACUGCUCAUGCCGUGGGAUGCCAGUCUGUGGACGCUGAAACUGAAAUGAAGGUCGCACCAUGACAGCAUGAGGAUGCGUAGAAGGGUACAACUGAACUGGAUGAGGAUGACGAUGCUGUAAAGGUGGGAAAUCACUCCUGGGUAUCUGCAAUGAUCUCGCAUAGGAAUGAUAACCAGGUCGUCGAUGCUGAAAGUCCGUAGAACAUAUGUCUCCAUAGCCCUCAGAUGAUCCACCAACUCUCUUUCCCUCAGUAUCUGGGGAAGGAAUAAUAUAUGACCAUAAUCCUCUAGAUAUGCCAUCAUCUACAUCGAAUAAAGCCUGAACCAAUGAUCUGAAAUCCUGGAAUGGGACCCCUGUCAGAUGUCGAGCAAACCUAGGAUGCAAGCUCCUCAAAAACAUGCUCAUCUGAUCUCUCUCGGUAGGUCGCUCAAUCAUCUCCGCAGCCUUCUCCCUCCAACGAGAGAUAAAAGAAGAAAUAGGCUCAUCUGAUCCCUGUCUAAGAAACUCAAGCUCUCUACGUGUAACGCUCGUAUCACCACCGAAUGAAUACUGUCUCAGAAACUCCUGUGCUAAGUCCUCCCAAGUUCUCCGACGAGAUGACUCUAAUGAAGCAUACCAUCUCUGUGUCAUGCCGCUCAAUGACAAUGGGAACAAAGUGAGCAACUGUGCCUCAUCUAGACCAAGGGCCCUCAUAACCGUGCUAUAAAGUCUGAGAUGAAUACGAGGACAUCCGACACCCGUAUAUCUCUCUAUAUCAGGCAUCCUGAAACCAACUGGCAGAGUGGCCACUGGCACAUCGUCAGGGUCCUCCCAUGAGAUCAUCUCAUCAGGGUCUCUCAUCUGUCUAAUCCUCCGCUCAAGUCUGUCCAUACGAGAACGAGGAUCCUCAAUGAUGGUAACUGGUGUGACAAUGGGUGGAGUGACAGCAGCCUGAUCCUGUGAAGUAGUAUGCGAAGUCGGUGUAGUUGGCAUCUGAACAGGUAGAACAGGUGGUGUCACUAAAUCAGAUGGCGUGUCCUCGAGCACUACGUGCCUACUCUACUGAGUAUCCAUCCUCUAGCUCAAACUGGUCAAUGCCUCCUGAAUCGAAACCACAGAAGUGAUAAGCUAACCAAUCGAAACUGACUGUGAAUCUGUCUAUAGCAGCUCAACGAUACGAAUCAACAUCUCUCUCACUCAACCCAGGGCACUGAACUAAGACUGGGACCACAAAUAGACUCCUAUAGAAGAGCCAAUCAAAACGACUCAAACACGACUCAUGCAACGACACGGGAUGCAACGAACAAUGACCAAUGCAUGAUACAACACAAUCCACAACAUGACAGGACGCGACACACAAUCAUAUGGUGACAAUCAAAAUUUGGAUAGACGAUAGAAUCUCUAGAGUCACAUGAGUGUCCAAUGUGAGACAACUACAAAUAUGACUAAAGAAUUUCUAUCGAUAAUCCAGAAAAUGAUCGAGGUGUGAAGAAAAUAAAUGGGGUGUGAAGAACAACACUAUCACGAGAUCGAUACUCAAUCUAUAACAAAACAUCCCUUGAUUUUGACCUUCAACUCGGGCUCCAUAGGAGAAGAAAACGAUAAGGUGAUCCAGGCGAAUCUCUCGAAAAAUGUGUGAAUAUGAAAAUAUGCCUUUCACCUUUCUGUAAUGAAAAUAUGAGCAUCGAGUCGAAAAUCGAACCAAGGAUCAAACAAAGAAUGAGGUACUGAGCCCGUGAUAGGUGUACAGUGCAAAAAGAUGGUCAAUGAACAUAUCCCAAAGUAUCGAGAAGUGACGACAAAGUGAAGAGGUGUGCCGAGCCAAGAAAUGAUAACGAAGGCCCUAGGGAGAAAACAUGCCAAACUCAUCGAGUGAAAAACACAAACUAAGGCGACAAGACGAAAGGUGACCCAACCGUACUCAAACUCAUACCGAUCUCCGAGCACUCUCAACUGGAGACUAAAAAGAGGGAGUGUCAAAUCCGAAGUGUAACCACAGAGGCUCUGAAAGCCCUCAGAUGCACCCACGUGUAGGGAGGGAGUCCUAAUCGAAGGAUCUACGGCUCAACCUAUGAGGUCAAGGUGGCUCUAAAUGGAUAUGGGUGGACUUUAAAACAUCCCUAGCAGAAGCGAUCAUACCCUCCGGCGGUACGCAACCCUCUGCACGCCUCCGAAGAGACGGGGCGCUUCCAUGCAAGGUGGUCAUCACCUCCACACAUGCACUACCUCGCAUCCCAGGGGGUUUCCUAUGGUGAAACCUCUCAAACUCUCAACGCUCAAUGGUCGACUAGAGUGCACAAUGAAUGGUGUGGGUGCAUCCGAAAACCCUAGGAAGCUAAAACAGAAGAGGAAACACACUGGCUACACAAAUAUCCAUGAAACCUAGCUCCGGGCUAUACAGGUCUUCAAUGAUCGGACUCCAAUCGACAUCAAAGUGUCGCUCUCCUCCAGAAUGCUCCCGUGCAUCGAUAUAGCCCGUCGCUAGACCCUACUCCUAAUCUCUGGCUCGGUCAGAGAGCAAACACACAGAAGGUCUCACACUUGCAAUAGUGAGAACUGGGAUGAAAGGAAUGACCGAAACCAAGAGAGUUGGAGGUAAGGGGAUAUAUAUGCGGCCCACAGAGACAGGCGACAUGCAAUCAUGCAGAGGAAGGGCAGUCAUGCAUCAUAUAGUCAAUCAGAGUACAAGAUAUAUCAUUCAUGCACGCAUACAAGCUAUGAGAAUCAAGAUGAAUAGUGAUAAGAAUACCAUGCUCAAAAGACGAUCAAGAUAAUAUGCAAGCCAGAGAAUCGACAUGUCAAAUCAAACCAACAACGAAUCCAUACAUGCAAGGCGGUCAGAAUAAUCAUGGCAAAUAUCAAAAUCACUAUACUAAGCGAAAUAAGAUAAGCAAUCAAUACAAUCAGCAUGCCAAUACCUCAAACGAGCAUGACAAUCAAGCAUAGAGAAAAUAGCUGUCUCAGAAUCCUCUAUCAAUACGAAUCAAUCAUCGUAAUCAAUAUGUCAAAUAUCUCAAACAAAAUAUAUCAAUGAAGCACAAAGAAAAAUCACUGUGUCAAAAUCCCUAAUCAAGAUAAUCGACUAAUAUGAUCAAUCAUGUCAACGUCCCAAGUGAAAACUCGAGAACCCUCAAUGUGCAAUCAAGAAGUGAGUACCCACUGAUAGACUCAUCAAAUACCAUGUUUGCUUCAUCUUAAGUUCAAGCUUGACCCUCUAAUGAUCCCCAGUGGAGUCACCAUUUUGUGGACCCCGCAUUUCGGCUGGCUCGAAUGCGUUUCCCACUCGAUGGCGAAACUCGAUUUUUAUUUGAAAAAUUGAUUUUUUAUUGAUUAAGAAAAAUGACUUGGAGUCGCCACUUAUUUUUGUUUUAUUUUUAAAGGGUAAACAAAAUAAGAAAGAAAACCCUAAGUGUGACUCCUGAUUUUUGGAAAAGGUGGUUUGUGAAAACCGGAUCGGGUUCGGGGGUCAGGUUACUUAUUGGGAAGGUACGGUAAAGACCGUAGCACCCCUCUAAGUCCCUAAAGUCGNNNNNNNNNNNNNNNNNNNNNNNNNNNNNNNNNNNNNNNNNNNNNNNNNNNNNNNNNNNNNNNNNNNNNNNNNNNNNNNNNNNNNNNNNNNNNNNNNNNNCAUCCCAGGGGUUUCUAUGGUGAAACCUUCAAACUCUCAACGCUCAAUGGUCGACUAGAGUGCACAAUGAAUGGUGUGGGUGCAUCCGAAAACCCUAGGAAGCUAAACAGAAGAGGAAACACACUGGCUACACAAUAUCCAUGAAACCUAGCUCCGGGCUAUACAGGUCUUCAAUGAUCGGACUCCAAUCGACAUCAAAGUGUCGCUCUCCUCCAGAAUGCUCCCGUGCAUCGAUAUAGCCCGUCGCUAGACCCUACUCCUAAUCUCUGGCUCGGUCAGAGAGCAAACACACAGAAGGUCUCACACUUGCAAUAGUGAGAACUGGGAUGAAAGGAAUGACCGAAACCAAGAGAGUUGGAGGUAAGGGGAUAUAUAUGCGGCCCACAGAGACAGGCGACAUGCAAUCAUGCAGAGAAAGGGCAGUCAUGCAUCAUAUAGUCAAUCAGAGUACAAGAUAUAUCAUUCAUGCACGCAUACAAGCUAUGAGAAUCAAGAUGAAUAGUGAUAAGAAUACCAUGCUCAAAAGAUGAUCAAGAUAAUAUGCAAGCCAGAGAAUCGACAUGUCAAAUCAAACCAACAACGAAUCCAUACAUGCAAGGCGGUCAGAAUAAUCAUGGCAAAUAUCAAAAUCACUAUACUAAGCGAAAUAAGAUAAGCAAUCAAUACAAUCAGCAUGCCAAUACCUCAAACGAGCAUGGCAAUCAAGCAUCGAGAAAAUAGCUAUCUCAGAAUCCUCUAUCAAUACGAAUCAAUCAUCGUAAUCAACAUGUCAAAUAUCUCAAACAAAAUAUAUCAAUGAAGCACAAAGAAAAAUCACUGUGUCAAAAUCCCUAAUCAAGAUAAUCGACUAAUAUGAUCAAUCAUGUCAACGUCCCAAGUGAAAACUCGAGAACCCUCAAUGUGCAAUCAAGAAGUGAGUACCCACUGAUAGACUCAUCAAAUACCAUGUUUGCUUCAUCUUAAGUUCAAGCUUGACCCUCUAAUGAUCCCCAGUGGAGUCACCAUUUUGUGGACCCCGCAUUUCGGCUGGCUCGAAUGCGUUUCCCACUCGAUGGCGAAACUCGAUUUUUAUUUGAAAAAUUGAUUUUUUAUUGAUUAAGAAAAAUGACUUGGAGUCGCCACUUAUUUUUGUUUUAUUUUUAAAGGGUAAACAAAAUAAGAAAGAAAACCCUAAGUGUGACUCCUGAUUUUUGGAAAAGGUGGUCUGUGAAAACCGGAUCGGGUUCGGGGGUCAGGUUACUUAUCGGGAAGGUACGGUAAAGACCGUAGCACCCCUCUAAGUCCCUAAAGUCGGGUUUCUACUAAUAGAAUGAAGCUAACAUGGCGAUGAUGAGGAAAUCAAUAAAUACUCAAAUCAAUCAUGCACAUAUGAGUAUCAAAAGAUGCGUAUAGCAAGACCAGAAUAAGGACAGAUGCGUACCUGGGCAACGAUCUUCAAUGCACUAUCAAGAAGUGAGAUUAGUGCACAAUUAAAGGAUGAUCACAUGCAUAUCAUAGAGCAGAAUAAAUCAUGUAUGGCACCCAAAUCAACCAAACAAUCCAUCAAUCAUAAAAUCUCAUAUGUUGGGCCCGCACCAAAGCCUGUUUAUUUUUGCAUGAAUUAAUUCCGUAAAUUCCAUUGUUCGGAAUUACGGAAUUUAAAUUCAUGUUUAUUUUAAAACAUUUUCAAAACAAAGAAAAUGCAAAAGUGGCUUGCCGGAAAGAAAAUGGCAACCAAAUUUUAUUGAAAAUGAGAUUUUUGGUAUCUUAAAAAAAAAACGAAAGGUGAAAAAGUAGAGGAGCCGGGAUUAUUUGAAAAGAUGAAUUGAAGAAAAUAUUUACAAAACGGGACAUGGGGCAAUUGUUUUAAAAUCAAAGAUGAUGAAGAAUAAAAGAAAGGAGGACACGUGCCUAAGGCUGCAUGCAAAAAUACUUGAGUGGGGGAGUUGGUGAGGAAUGGUCGCGCAGGGAUGAAAUCCUGAUCAUAACUGUGCUUACUCGAUCAACUUGUGGAUUGGGAUCAUCAAAUUCUGAAAACCCUGCUUAAAACUCAAACCAUUGAAUGUACCACCAUCAAUCACAGCGCUGCUGACCUUCUUAAACAGCCCGUAUGGUGCCUCUAUCUCACUCACACUAAAUACUGCUUCCCUUGCCAGAGCUUCAGGAUCAUGAAGACCUCUUGCUUGAUUCUGCAGAGAAAACCUGAAGAGGAAGAGUGAAGAUGCCAGGGUACCUGAAAAUCCUCAUUAUCAAGAACAUGAGUGAUAGCCUUUGCAGGCCUUUCUUGACCUUCUUGCAUUUCCAGCACAUGAGCAGCUGCAUCCCCACAACUCCCAGAUUUACCAUGUUUCCUAGCAUAGCAUGAAUCAUCAGAAUCACUGUCACCAGCACCUUCUUUGACCAUUAUCAAAUCAACCCACAGUUUCUCUUGUUUUUAGCUCUUCACUUCCGUCGUUCAGUGUAAAGCCAUUGAAAUGUUGAAGGCGCCAAGAUGGGGAAUAAGCUUGCAUGCGGGCUUAGCAACAGCCUGAUUUCCUCUUCAGUAAAUGAAACUAACAGUAGUAACCUUUAAGGGAUUGGCAAUGAGCAUCAAAUCCCAGCACAAGAACAUCCACCAGUUAUUUCUUCAAAUUUCCAUGAUCGAGGUGAACAAUGAUAGGAGUAUCAAUCCUGUACUGACAUAGCAGAGAAGAAUGAAAUCCAUUGCCAGUGAUAGUCCUCAACAAACUUUACCACAAUGCGAGAGGUGUAGCAGCCAAGGACUGGGGCAUAACCAUUUCCGAUUUUGGCCAUAGUGAUUCUUAGUUAUCAUGUCUGGAUAGCCUGGUGGAACCCUAGUAGAGACUCCAUUCCAACCACGUUUUCAGAUUCAGAAAACUCUGAUUGGAAAGAAACCUUAAGCCACACCUUGAAUUGAUAUCGAAACUUCAAUUUUUCACAAGAGAAUUUUGAUUCGCAAAAUCGGUCAAGUUCAUUUCCCUUCACUUCCCUGAAAAUCUGGAAGCUUCCUACAAAAGAUCCUCAUCUGAAGUCGAGAAGCUAGAAAGCUCAGAGAGGUUUUCCCCGUAAGACGCCAACCUCAUAUUGAGAACCUCAGUCUAUGAAUCAAGCUGCGUUUUCUCUCCUGCACCGCGCCGUGGAUGACUCCCCACUCUCUGAGGACACCAAAACUCAGGGAUGACACCCUCCGCAAACCCACAUACCUCACCUAGCUUCCUAUAAAUCCCCUUCUCUAGCUCGCUUCCACUGCAUAAACCGUCUUUGCACCUGCUUGUGCUAACCAGAUCGCAAGAAUGCCACUCCCAAUUCCUUUUCAAUCAAAAUCAAAUUCGAGUAACAAUUGAUCUCUCCAACCAGUUUUUCCUAUUUCAACAAUAUCUUCCGCAGCAUCAAGAAGAAUUUGGAGAUAUAUCAGCAGCCAUGGAUGAGAAUAUCUGUGAUUAAGACCAACUCGGUCAACAAAGGGAACCCACAAUUCUCUUCGCGUGAUUGCAUGGCUACAUAGUCUCUAAGAAGCAUAGAUCUAAAUAGUGCACCAAACGCUUUCAUGCCUUACAAAGAGGCCACGUAGGAAUCGCCAAUACCCUGUGGCCUUGAUGCGGCUGCUAAAUGAGCUCACCACUCUGGCUGCUCGACAGGGAAAGCUGCUGGCCUGGGCACUCUUCACUUUCUGCCAGAUUGAAGGCUUACUUGAUGAAUGAGCUUCACGAAUGUACAAGGUGGAAAAGUGAGGGUGGCAACUAUAGGGUGUAAGAAAUGAGUAUGAAUGAGUCCUAUGCCCGUGGGUAUAGUGAGAUAAAGCAUGAUGGAUGAGAAAUGGGCAGAGACAAUGUGGAUAUGGGACAUGGUGGAACGAGCAAAGUGGUUAGGCUAUUGAUGGUGAGUAGGGUACGGGUGAAGUGAUGUGUAUGGUGCAUGAGGGUAUAGUGAGUGGGCUAUGGAUGACAGAAUUGGUGAGAAAAAUGAGUGGAGAUAUGCUGAGUGUAAGGGAUAGGAAGGGUGAUGAGAAGUGGGUUAGUGGUGAUGUGAUAGAUAUGUGAAAUUGGAAAAUGAGAAAGGUGAUAGGUAAAAGAAAUGGGUAUGGAUAAUGGCCGGGUUUGCAUGGUUCCAUGCACAUGGGUAGAUGGAUCUGGGAAGUCAACAAGGGCUUUAAAAGGAGCUUUGGACAACCAUGCAUGUGCAGAGGUAGGUAUCAAGGAGAAUUCAACCUCACUCUGAUCAUUUAGAACGGGCAAGUAUCUUAGCAGUAGCAUCCUUCAUAGUGGAUUUCUCUGCUCAUCUGGCAUGUACCAGAACGCAUCCAGCACCUUUAAAGAGUGAUCUAGCACCUUCAUUCUUCAGGAUCUGUGAGAAUGCAUCGAAAGAGCUCUUGUAUUUGACAGCUUCGCCUGAGAUCAUCAUCAUCCUUCUACGCGCUGUAUCUAUUGGGUAAUAAGCCAAUCCUGCACCUAUUGUGAUUCCUUAUCCCAGCAUGAAACUAGCCAAGAGACUAUCCCCUCAAGACAGGCCCUGGCGCAUAGUACAUCUCCACAUCUGUGUACAUCUGGGCAUAAUGCGUGUCACCCUGUUUGCGAGGCAGCUCAAAGCCUGGUUCAGGAUAUAUCAUUGUUUCGACAGGAAGCUUGUACAAUCGAUGUGGGCAGAGCCAAAUUGGGUAUACCUCCCUCUCAUGAUAUACCCAUUCUAGAGCAUCUACCUCGCCCAGAAUCUGCUCCACAAGGUAAAAUUUUCCAUAAGAAUCAUCAAAAGUAGGAUUGCUUCCUCCAGAUUAUUUCUCGGUACAUAUGAACCAUCCAUCUGAACAGCUAAACUGGGUGGUGCAGCUGCAUGGAACAGUUUUGCUUGCAAUUGGGCAAUUCGUUCUUGCCUUUCUGGUGCUGGAAACCAUUCUGCUUCCUUUGGAUUCUCAUUUUCCACCUCACUAAAUAUAACCUCAGUUGCACCCUGUUUGGACAUGCCAAAUUCGUCUUUCUAUGGUUCUGUUAGAAAAGCCUCUGCUUCAGGAGCUUUACCAAGUGAUCCUUUCCAAUGCGUGGAUACCUCUCCACUAAACUAUUGUAGCCUAGUGGGAACGGGAAGCCGUUGUCAUUUUCAUCCCUACUGCAUGCUCCACUCCUCUUGAAAUCUGACUCGUCUCGGUGCAGGGAGACACAGAGGCCAAAUCAACAUGAGUACAAAUAGAAGGAACCCCGACAAAGGUAAUGUGAUCAGGUUGAGUUCUUGAUUUGAAUAGCAGCCCAGAGAACUGAAGAGCCUCGUCAGCUUGGGCAUUCUGAACAUAACCAAUAAUUAGGGAAGUCCAUGGUACUAAAUCUAGUCUCAGCAUCUCAUUGAAAACAUGUCUUGUCUUCUUAAUAUUCCCACACAAUGUGUAUAUGUGAACAAGCGUACUAGCUGCAAAUGAUAACAGAUCAAACCCAAUCCUCGUCAUAUACCCAUGAACCUGCUUACCCAAUUCUUCCGCAACGAGUUUCUCCAAUCCAUAAGCAUCUUGAGACCCUCUUAACCCCCAUUGAUCAUGGAAAACUCAAGCAUGCCGAAGCUGAUCAUCAUAAUAACUGGAUGGUUGGACUAGAUGAACCCUAUUCCUCCCAUAUUGGCAACAAGGUUAAACGCAUGGUCAAACCCAAUAGUGACCUUCAAGCAGUUGCUCAUCACCUUGAAAUCAAUCAAGAUAGGAUUCAUGACAGAACACAUCUUCAGUCAUAAGCCCUCUCUUCUUCCAGUCAGAAGCAAUAAUGUAGUGGCCCUCCGUCUUCAGACUCCGAGCAAUAUGAAAGGCAAUAAAGCCAUCAGCACUAGUGAUUGAGAUCUGGAACUUUUCAGAUUGUUAGUGUGGUUCCUUCUCAAGCUCCUCAUAAGUGUACCCUUCGUAAGUGGCUCCAUCGGUACUUCCCAUUCUCCUCUGUUUUCUCAAAAACGACUGUGAAUACUUCCCCUCUCAAUAUCUUAAGCUUGUUGUCUUUCCACUUGUUCUACAAGAAACAUGGCAGUAUCUUGAAGAUUUCUGAUGCCAAGACCCCUCAAAGUAACCCCCGAUUUAGACAGCCAAACCCAAACAAGAUGCUCAACACUCCAAGAGAGAGAUAACAAGAACAGGGGAAAGAGAAUGAAGAAAAAUAAAUAAAUAAAUAAAAACAGAGCAUGCAUGAGGAAGAACGAUGCCUUGAAAUCCAAACUCCAUUUUCACGAAUACUAAGAGACUUGUAAAACAAAGUGGUGGGAGAAUCUUAACACGCUAAUAAGUAGCGCAACCAUUGUAAAUACAUACAGAGAAAUAAAGAUGCUCAACAAGUAACAAUGAAAAGCAAGUUUAACAGCUUAGAUGACCAAAGCAAGCAUCCACUAUCAGCCGGAAACCUAGUAAUGCAGUAAUACUGGAGAAUUUAAAGUGAGGAAGGAUCAAACCUGAGCGGUUCCUCCCCUGCCCUGCUAACUUCCUCUCUCGGCUCCCCCCGAAAAACCUCCUCCUCCCUCUGUUUUCCUCCCAAAAUCUAUCUCUAACGGCUUGCUCUCAGACCACCCUCCUGCAGCCCUAGGUACCGUCCCCACUACCAUACAGCUGGCAGCCCCAAAAGCACUCUCUCCUCUGCUCCCCUCAACAACCUGCAGCUUUUGCAGAUUCCUCCUUGCCAGGUGUCAAUCUCUGAUUGGCUUUCAAAAACACUGUUCUGAUUCCAUGAUAGCCAAUCAGGGAUUGACACGUGGCCUCCUAGAAAUGCUCCAUCUGGCCAAAUAAGCUGCAACAAAUUCAAAAAGAAAGUGCUCCCAAAAUGGGGGUCUACACAAAUGCAUUCAUUAAUACAAAGAAAGUGACAAAGUCACAUAUCCCGACUACAAAUACUCCAACACAGAUUGAUGUCACUGUAGAACAAUUAACAAAUGAAUCUAAGAUUUGCUUGAAGCAUGGUAGACUUGUCAGCUCAAAGGAUAUAACUUCCUAGAAGAUGAGAACACAAGAAAAACUUUGUACUUUAGAAGAGGUCGUUAAAAUGACUGAUUAAUCUAAAAUUGAUAAAUCUAUAGCCCCAAAAGAGGCACGAAUAAUGCAAAAAGCACCUGAAGAGGCACAUAUUGAACAAAAAGCUCUUGAAAAGGCACAUAUUGAACAAGAAGCCCUUGAAGAGGCACAAAUACCUAAAAAUUGUGAGAUUUUAGUAAGUUAUGUACACAUGGGAGUAAAAUGGGAUUUAAAUAAUAUUACAAUUAACAAUAUUUUUCACUUUUCAAGUGGCCCAUGUAUCAUAAGAAAUGAUGAAGAUUCCAAACCAUGAAAUAUGGAAGAAUGCCGACAUAGAAAUGAUUGGCCAAAAGGGAAAGAAACUAUGCAAGAAAAGUUAAACUUAUUAACAAAACGAGAAUUGUUUGGACUUAUACUCUAAACACUUGAAGAAGUAAAACCUGUUAGGUAAAAAUGGGUAUUUGUAUGAAAACACAAUGAGAGUAAUGAAAUCAUAAGAUAUAAAGGCGAUUAGUAGCACAAGGUUUCUUUUAGAGACCAGGUAUUGACUACGAGAAAACAUACUCUCCCAUCAUGGACGCAAUCACAUUUCAUUUCUUAAUUAGUUUGGUAGUCUCAUAAGGACUAGAUAUGUGUCUCAUGGACGUUAUUACAACAUAUUUAUAUAGAUCCAUAGAUAAUGAUAUAUAUAAGAAAAUCCCUGGAGGAUUUAAAUUGCCUGAAACAAAUAAUACAAAGACUUGUAACAUGUACUCAAUCAAGUUACAAUGAUCCUUGUAUGGAUUAAAGUAAGUCGGACGCAUGUUGUACAAUCACCUUAGUAAAUACUUACUAAAAGAAGGGUAUGUGAAUAACCCUAUAUGUCCAUGCAUCUUCAUUAAGAAAUCAGAAACCGGAUUUGCAAUUAUUGUAGUGUAUGUUAAUGACUUAAAUCUUAUUGGAACUCCUAAAGAACUCAUAAAAACAAAAAAAUUACUUAAAAAAGGAAUUUGAGAUGAAAGAUCUUGGAAAAACAAAAUUUUCUAUUGUUAUCAAAUCGAGCAUUUUCCAAAUGGAGUUUUAGUACAUUAAGAAAAUUUUAAAGCAUUUUUAUAUGGAUAAAGUGCAUCCUUUAACUUCUCCAAUAGUUUUCUAAUCAUUUGAUGUGAAAAAGGACCCAUUCCGGCCUUGCAAAAAAUGUGAAGAAUUACUUGGUCCUAAAGUACCAUAUAUUAGUGCUAUUGGUGCACUUAUAUAUCUUGCCAAUUGUACAUGUCUAAACAUUCAUUUUUUUGUCAAUUUAUUAGCAAGAUACAGUUCCACUCCAACUCAAAGACAUUGAAAUGGUAUCAAACAUAUAUUGUGCUAUCUUUGCAGAACUAUUGAUGUGGGUCUAUUUUACUCAAGGGAAUCAAGUAAAAAUUGCAUAAAUAUACAGAUGCAGGAUACUUUUCAUAUCCACAUAAAGGUAGGUCACAAACAGGGUAUAUGGUUAAUUGCAAUGAUACUACUAUUUCAUGGAGAUUUGUCAAACAAAUAAUGAUGGCCACAUUAUCAAAUCAUUCAAAAAUUCUUGUAAUUCGUGAAGCAAGUUGUGAAUGUAUAUGACUAAGAUCUAUAAUCCAAUAUAUUCGGGAACCAUGUGGACUCUUAUCUAUCAAGAGUGAUCCGACAAUAUUAUUUGAAAAUAAUGUUGCAUGCAUUGCACAAAUAACAGGGGGUCAUAUUAAAAGAGAUAGAACUAAACACAUUUCAUCAAAUUUCUUUUAUACACAUGAACAUCAAAAGAGUGGUGAAAUUGAUGUGUAACAAAUACGCUCAAGUGAUAAUCUAGUAGAUUUAUUCACAAAGUCAUUGCCAACCUCAACAUUCAAGAAGUUAAUACACAAGAUUGGAAUGCAUCAACUCAAGGAUAUCGACAUGAGGGUGAGUAUGCUUGUAAAAGGAUGUUAGUGUACUAUACUUUUUUUCCCUUCGUCUAGGUUUUAUCCCGUUAGGUUUUACUAGCAAGGUUUUUAAUGAGACAGUCCUAACAUAUCAAGAGCAACUUAAAGAAUUAUUAGAAUAUUGUACUCUUUUUCCUUCGCUAGGUUUUUCCUAUAGGGUUUUUUACUAGCAAGGUUUUAAUGAGACAUAUUCUUCUAAUGUGGUGGACAUCCAAGGAAAAGUGUUAUAAAUGAAGUAAUGAAUACCACCACAUUUAUUAUAUUAAAUCUUCAUUAAUAUUAUUUAUGACUUCCAUUAAUAUUCAUUAAUGGAAGCCAUUUGGAAAGCUUAUAAAACAGUUUCCAAUCCCCUAUAAGAUGUAUCCCAAGGAAAGAAAGAAAUCCUCUCUCUUAUUCUUUAUGUAUUUCAUUCUUUCAACUCAAUUAAUUCUCUUUUCUGGUUCUUUCCUCCCCAUUAUAUUAUUAUUAAAAUAGUAUAUAGUUGUUCUCUGUUUUUAUUUGCAUUGCAUUUAUCCUCGUUUUACAACACUUAUUUUUUUCUUUUCUCUAUUUUUUUCUUCUUCUAGUUAUUAUUAUUAUUAUUAUUAUUAUUAUUAUUAUUAUUAUUAUUAUUAUUGUUGUUGUUGUUGUUAUUGUUAUUUUAUAAACAUAAUAUAACCUAUCAAAAAAUAAUAAUAAUAAUAAUAACACAUAUAUAAAUAAUAUAAUAAUUAAUUUACAAAUUAUUGUUUCAUUAGUUAUUAUUAUUGUUAUUAUUAUUAUAAUUAUUAUUUCAAAAAAUUUUAAAUAUUAUGUAUAACUUAUACAAUAAGAAUAAUAAUAAAAUAAUUUUACAAAUAUUGUUUCAUUCAUGUAUUGAAGACAAAGUUUUCUUAUAUAAACUUUCAUAAAUUAUCAAUUGUUUUUUACAAUAUGAUUAUUAAGAAAAUAUUACAAUAAAAAAUUAGUAUUGAUAAUUAUGAAAAAACAAAAUUAAAGCAUGUGUUAUUGUACUUUUAGUGUACUUAUAUUGUAAUUUCAAUGCAUAACUAUGACACAUACAUUUUGGAACAAACUUAUUAGUGUUCGAAGCAUUGUCUUUAUUCUACUAUAUUGAUUUCUAUAUUAGUAAGGCAUCCCAAUGAAUUAGCAUCAUAUACUAGAUGCAUUCUUAUCAGCAAUAAUUCUUAUAAUGAAACUCAUACACCUUAUAAAAAAAAUGUCUUAUAAGGUUAAUUUAUAGUAGAUGAAAUAUUAAAAAAUAUAUAAAAUAUGUGACAGCCAUUCAUCAAUGCUUGUUUAAAAGGAAAAUUUUAAAAUAAAGUUAGGUUAUGCAGUAAUGUAUAAGACAUUUAAAGUAUUCAUGUUGUAAGAUCAUUAUAUUUUUGUGGUACGUGUACAUUGGCUUUUAUAUUAAUACAUAAUAUCGGUGUACUAGCAUUAUACAUUUAAUGAAUCAUUAUUGUGCAUGAUUUUUAUAAUAAACCUAUAAGUUUUAAGAAUUAGAUGAAAGAAAAAUUAUAUUCUAAGAUUGGUUUAUAAUCAAUGACAUUAUAAUAAUAAAAAUAUGAAUAAUGAUACAUAUGGAAUAUUAAUGAUAUAAAACUAAUAUCAUAAAUAAUAAUAUUAAUAAUAUGUUAAUAAUGAUGAUAAUAAUAAAUAUAUAAUUAUAAUUUUUUUUUAAUAAAUAACAUAGUUAGUCUUAACAUAGAGUAAAUAAAGCACAAAAGGUUGAAAAGAAAAGUAGAAAAGUAAAGUUAUAUGGGAGUAGAAGGAAAAGACAAAAUGAUGUAAUUGGAAUUAUGGAAUGAUCAAAUUAUCAAACUAUAACUUGUGAAUUUGACAAGACUUUGAGACUUGGUGACCCUUGAGGGAGCUUAUCAUCACUUUGAGCUAGGUGACCAUUUUUUUUAAAAAAAAAAAUCGAAAAUAAAGGCCAUGAAAAAUUUAUUUAUAAAGAAUAAUAACAAUUUUGUAUUUUUUUUAUACAAAUUAGAUAUUUAAUUUAUUAGAAUAAUUUUGGUGGUAAUGACAAACAAAAUAACUCCUUAAAUAGGUGAAAUAAUUCAUUUUCUCAAUUUUAUAUGCAAAAGUAUUUUAAAACAAAAAGGAUAAUACAUUAUUUUUGUUCAUCAAUCCACAUUUUGACUUCCAUUUUAAAAUCCAUCUAUAAAAAUCUCUCUUUAUAAAUAUCUGCCUAGAUUGCCUAAUCAUCUAUUUGUUCAUUGUCUAUAACUUCUUGCCUGAUUAUCAAUUUAGAUGUUCAUAUUUGCGUAUAUUUAUUCAUUCCACCAUGGAUUUUGUUGGCUUAUUUGUAAUGUAUACAAUUUUGAUGAAUUGUUUGAUUAUUUGAGAACCGAAUUUCCCCUAACCCACCAAUAAAAUGCAAGUAAAAGUCCGACCAAGAGGGGUGUUCUUGGCCGGUGGCCUUCCUGAUAAGUCACCUUAGCCGUAGACUAGAUUUAGAUUUUGCAAUCACUAUCAUCUUGACCAAUCUAGCCAUGUACCAAAAAGUCAAUUUUGCCAAGUUUAAAAAGUUUGCUUUAAGCCUGUUCAUCAUAAUUGACAGAAGUUAGAAUUACAAUGAAAUAUCUAGGAGAAAAUGUCCGCAGGAGCAGAGAGAGAGAGUAAAGGCAAUACAUUCAGUCAUGAAUUUGAUGCAAAUCCCAAAGUACGUAAUUGUGUCGAAUACUCUCACCAUGAUUGUCGAUCUAUCGGAUCAGACGAUUACUAUGUUUGCCAAAAAUGCCUGGGCCGUAUGUGGAAUAAAUCAAUUCCACAAGGAGGGGAAACUGCAAAAUUCCGUACAAGGUCACAGGCAAACAGGCUAAUGCAGCCAAGGUAAUAAGAAUCCAUGCCUUCUUUUCACCAAAGAGAAGAUAGAUUGCGCUACUGUAGGCUAUCAUCAUGAAUGUUACGGAGAGGAAUAGAGUAACAAGGCCAAAUAUCAACCUCCUGGGAAGGGCAAAAAGAAAAUCAUCUUCUGCA